UUCGUAAGUGGUGUAUGGUGUGAAUCCUUACAAGCCUUUGUAUUUGAUUCCAUUUCCAAAUGAUGAAUUGGUUCACAAGGAUGCAAAUGACAAUUUGAAGGCCAUGAUGUAACUACACCAACAAGUUUGUGUGAAGAUUGAAGCUGUGUAUGACGUGUACAAACAGAAUUCCAACAUGCAUAGGAAACCACGUGUCUUACAAGAUGGUGACGUGGUUUAGGCGCAUAUGAGGAAAGAACGUUUUGCUAACAAAAGGAAGAACAAAAGUUGAUGCCAAGAGCUGAAGGUCCUUACAAAGUGGUGACACAUGUCAAUGAUAAUACUUAUAAGGUUGAUCUGGGACGAGACCAUGGAGUGCAUGCUACCUUUAAUGUGGGAGACCUUUCACCGUAUCUUGUUGAGGAUGGCCUUGAUGAAUUAAGGUCAUUUCCUUUCAAAGAGGGAGGGGAGGAUCCAUGCAUGGCUCAUGAAAAGCCGAAAAAUGUGAUGGAUUAGUGAUUACUAGUAGGCUAGAAGGUGGUUUGUACUCAAUGGUUGGGUUGUGCAUGGUAACCUACGUAUUAAAUUAGGGUCGCAUGAAGGCUAGGGCAACAUUUUAAAGGCUUAAUAAGUGCUCAAAACUGUUACUUUUUGCUUCGUCAAGCCUUCUAGCCAUUGUUGAUACUCUUUGGUGGAUUUGGAUUACACUUUAAUGCUUCUUUUUGCUCCUUAAUGGAGCAUGGACACUUUUUUCAUUCAUCAGUGUGUCAGACGUUUUUUUGUGUGGUUUCAUGAGUUUCUUUAAUUUCCAUUAUUAGUUUUACUGAGUAGUUGGUUGGGUGGUUUGUAACCAACAACUUUGUAAUAAAGGCUUCAUAUAAGCCAAUUAUGCAUGGAAAAAAGAGAUAGAUGAAAUUUUAAUCAAAAGAACCUUUGUUCACUUUGAAUUAUAGUUAUAGUUCACUACUUGUCAUAGUCGAGACCUGUUCUUGACUUGAUAUGCAUUCAAACAAAUAUUAUGUCUUGGAUAGUUUUCACGGGUAUACAACUUAGUAGGUCUUGAUUUGUUACUAGUUUAUCCAUUUCUUCCCAUACACCUGUCAUUUGUGGUUUUUAUUCUAGCUUCAUUUACCUAAACACAGCCCCACUCACUUAAUCUAGCCCAUAAAGGCAUCAAAAGGCAAUGACCUUUGUGUCCCUAAACAUGCAAUACGGGAGUUGCUGAUUCGUGAAGCUCAUGGUGGUGGUUUGGCGGGUCAUUUUUCCAUUACCAAAACUUUGAAGGUGCUUUAAGAACAUUUCUUUUGGCCUAAAGAUGUUAGGGAUGUAACCAUGAUAGUGGGCAAGUGUGUUACAUGUCGGAUGACGAAAAAAACUUUCAAGCAUGGUGUUUACACUCCUUUGUCCUUUCCUAUUCGUCCUUGGCAAGAGGUGUCAAUGGAAUUCAGUAUGGCUUUUCCUAGAACUCAUAGGGGGAAGGAAUCCAUUAUAAUGGUGGUGGAUAGGUUUUCAAAAAUAGCUCACUUUAUGCCAUGUCAUAACACCAAUGAUUUAUCUAAUGUGUCUGAUUUGUACUUUAAAGAAGUGGUUCGCUUGCAUAUUAUUCGUAAAACUAUUGUUUAUGAUAGGGAUUCCUUGUUUUUGAGUUACAUUUGGAACACUUUGUGGAGGAAAGUUGGUACUAAGUUACUUUUUAGUACGUCCCAUCAUCCACAAACUGAUGGGCAAACGAAGGUGACUAAUAGAACUUUGGGUACGUUGUUGAGGGGGUUGGUUAGCAAAACUCAAAAACAGUUGGACAUCAAACUUGCACAUGUUGAGUUUGCAUGUAAUCGUUCUCCUACUUAUGCUACAGGUCACUCUCCUUUAUAAGUGGUGUAUGGUGUGAAUCCUUACAAGCCUUUAUAUCUGAUUCCAUUUUUAAAUGUUGAAUUGGUUCACAAGGAUGCUAAUGACAAGUUUAAGGCCAUGCUGAAACUACACCAACAAGUUCUUGUGAAGAUUGAAGCCGUAAAUGACGUGUACAAAUAGAAUUCCAACAUGCAUAGGAAACCACGUGUCUUUCAAGAUGCUCACUUAGUUUAGGUGCAUAUGAGGAAAGAACGUUUUCUUAACAAAUGGAAGAACAAAAGUUGAUGCCAAGAGCUGAAGGUCCUUACAAGACUUUAUAAGUGGUGUAUGGUGUGAAUCCUUACAGGCCUUUGUAUAUUAUUCCAUUUCCAAACGAUGAAUUGGUUCACAAGGAUGCUAAUGACAAGUUGAAGGCCAUGACGAAACUACACCAAGAAGCUCGUGUGAAGAUUGAAGUCGUGAAUGACGUGUACAAACAGAAUUCCAACAUGUAUAGGAAACCUUGUGUCUUUCAAGAUGGUGACUUGGUUUAGGUGCAUAUGAGGAAAGAACGUUUUCCAAACAAAAGGAAGAACAAAAGUUGAUGCCAAAAGCUGAAGGUCCUUAUAAGCCUACGUAAGUGGUGUAUGGUGUGAAUCCUUACAAGCCUUUGUAUUUGAUUCCAUUUCUAAAUGAUGAAUUAGUUCUCAAGGAUGCAAAUGACAAUUUGAAGGCCAUGACGAAACUACACCAACAAGUUUGUGUGAAGAUUGAAGUCGUGAAUCACGUGUACAAACAGAAUUCCAACAUGCAUUGGAAACCACGUGUCUUAGAAGAUGGUGACUUGGUUUAGGUGCAUAUGAGGAAAGAACGUUUUCCAAACAAAAGGAAGAGCAAAAGUUGAUGCCAAAAGCUGAAGGUCCAUACAAAGUGGUGACACAUGUCAAUGAUAAUGCUUAUAAGGUGGAUCUGGGAGGAGACCAUGGAGUGCAAGCUACCUUUAAUGUGGGAGACCUUUCACCGUAUCUUUUUGAGGAUGGCCUUGAUGAAUUAUGUUCAUUUCAUUUCAAAGGGGGAGGGGAGGAUCCAUGCAUGGAUCAUGAAAACCCAAAAGGUGAUGGAUUAUUGAUUACUAGUAGGCUAGAAGGUGGUUUGUACUCAAUGGUUGGGUAGUGCAUGGUAACCUACGUAUUGAAUUAGGGUCGCAUGAAGGCUAGGGAAACAUUUUAAAGGCUUCCUAAGUGCUGGAAACCGUUACUUUUUGCUUCAUCAAGCCUUCUAGCCAUUGUUGAUACUCUUUGGUGGAUUUGGGUUACACUUUAAUGCUUCUUUUUGCUCCUUAUUGGAGCAUGGACGCUUUUUUUCAUUCAUUAGUGUGUCAGAUGUUUUUAUGUGUGGUUUCAUGAUUUUCUUUAAUUUUCAUUAUUAGUUUUAUUGAGUAGUUGGUUGGGUGGUUUGUAACCUCCAACUAUGUAAUAAAGGUUUCAUAUAAGCCAAUUAUGCAUGGAAAAAAAGAGAUAGAUGAAAUUUUAAUCAAAAGAACCUUUGUUCACUUUGAAUUAUAGUUAUAGUUCACUACUUGUAAUAGUCGAGAUGUGUUCUUGACUUGAUACGCAUUCAAACAAAUAUUAUGUCUCGGAUAGUUUUCACGGGUAUACAACUUAGUAGGUCUUGAUCUGUUACCAAUCUAUCCAUUUCUUCCCAUGCACCUAUCAUUUUUGGUUGUUAUUCUAGCUUAAUUUACAUAAACACGGCCCCACUCACUUAAUCAAGCCCAUAAAGGCAUCAAAAGGCAAUCACCUUUGUGUCCCUAAACGUGCAAUACGGGAGUUGCUGAUUCGUGAAGCUCAUGGUGGUGGUUUGGCGGGUCAUUUUUCCAUUACCAAAACUUUGAAGGUGCUUUAAGAACAUUUCUUUUUGCCUAAAGAUGUUAGGGAUGUAACCAACAUAGUGGGCAAGUGUGUUACAUGUCGGAUGAUGAAAAAAACUUUCAAGCAUGGUGUUUACACUCCUUUUUCGGUUCCUACUCGUCCUUGGAAAGACGUGUCAAUGGAAUUCAUUAUGGCUUUGCCUAGAACUCAAAGGGGGAAGGAAUCCAUUAUAGUGGUGGUGGAUAAGUUUUCAAAAAUGGCUCACUUUAUGCCAUGUCAUAAAACCAAUGAUGCAUCUAAUGUGUUUGAUUUGUACUUUAAAGAAGUGAUUCGUUUGCAUAUUAUUCCUAAAACUAUUGUUUCUGAUAGGGAUUCCUUGUUUUUGAGUUACAUUUGGAACACGUUAUGGAGGAAAGUUGGUACCAAGUUACUUUUUAGUACGUCCCAUCAUCCACAAACUGAUGGGCAAACGAAGGUGACUAAUAGAAUUUUGGGUAUGUUGUUGAGGGGGAUGGUUAGCAAAACUCAAAAACAGUUGGACAUCAAACUCGUGCAUGCUGAGUUUGCCUGUAAUCGUUCUCCUACUUAUGCUACAGGUCACUCUCUUUUAUAAGUGGUGUAUGGUGUGAAUCCUUACAAUCCUUUAUAUUUGAUUCCAUUUCCAAACGAUGAAUUGGUUCACAAGGAUGCUAAUGACAAGUUGAAGGCCAUGAUGAAACUACACCAAUAAGUUAUUGUGGAGAUUGACGACGUGAAUGACGUGUACAAAUAGAAUUCCAACGUGCAUAGGAAACCACGUGUCUUUCAAGAUGGUUACUUGGUUUAGGUACAUAUGAGGAAAGGGGAGUGGAGGAUUAAUGCAUGGAUCAUGAAAGCCCAAAAGGUGAUGGAUUAGUGAUUACUAGUAGGCUAGAAGGUGGUUUGUACUCAAUGGUUGGGACCAUGGUAACCUACAUAUUGAAUUAGGGUUGCAUGAAUGCUAAGGUAACAUUUUAAAGGCUUAAUAAGUGCUCAAAACCGUUACUUUUUCCUUCAUUAAGCCUUCUUGUAACAUCCCGAAUUAUCGAGAGUAGAGUAGAAGGGCUAAAAGAGUAAAUUGGGAAAGAGUGACUCGACGAGUCCAUGGGUGGACUCGGCGAGUAGAGUCGCUACUGGGUCGCGUGUUAAGUAAUCGACUCGGCGAGUCAGUGAGAUGGACUCGGCGAGUAGGCGCUGAGUGGAGAAAACCCUAAUUCUCAGGGUUGAGCCAUAUAUAAAGAACAUGACAGCCUUCUCUCAGCCUCUUUAUUCCCCCUUGAGUCCCAGAAACCCUAAAAUCAUGGAGAAGCACCAUUGUUGAGCAAAUUGGAUCUUGGAGAGGUGAUUGUGGAAGAGAUUCUAGAGAAGGAGAGGCUUAGAGCAAGGGGCUUUGCUUGGAUUCGAAUUUCAUUGUAGUUGGGAUGUUCUUUGGAGGUAAUAUCUCGUUCUUGGGCUGUUGUCAUGUUGUUUCUUCAUUUUGGGGUUUGUGGGGAGCUUGUCUUUGGAUGUAAUUGGAGUCUAGAGGAUAGAUCUGAGGUUGCUACCUCAGAUCUGGAAUGGAGAAGGAUAAGAGAGCAUGAAAGUCCCUGUGUUGGAGUGUUUAGUGGAGCCAUCAUGUCACAAACCCUAGCCCAAUGUGCAAAUGGCCUAGAUCUCUUUGGAUUCACGUAAAGUUUGCCACUUUACGUGAUGGAUGAGUUGUAGGAGGCUAGAUCUAUGUUUUGGAGCAAUUGCAUGGCCUGGAGUGCUUCUGUAUGGGUUCAGACCGGUGGUACUCGGCGAGUCACAUGGGUGGACUCGACGAGUUGCUUGAAGAUGGCCUGGAACUCGGCGAGUUGUAUGAACAACUCGGCGAGUAGGAUGAAGAUUGCCUGGAACUCGGCGAGUUGUAUGAACAACUCGGCGAGUAGGUUGAAGAUAGCCUUAGACUCGGCGAGUCUGUUCUUGGGCUCGGCGAGUCUUGUCGAAGAGUCCCAAUAUUUUCUGGUCGAGUCGAGAAUCGGUGAGUCAAGGGAUGACUCGGUGAGUUGUGUGCGAGUGGACUCAGAGUUGUUGAACUCGACGAGUCUCGGGGUGACUCGGCGAGUUAGGUCGCGGAUUGAGGGAAGUUCUGAGUAUGGGGACUCGGCGAGUCAUCGGGUUGACUCGGCGAGUAGAGUCAGUCAGGGGUUGACUUUGACCUUGUCUUUGACCAAGGGUUGACCAGUGGUUUCCAGGGGCAUUUUGGUAAUUGUUGAUUGUUGUUUUGAGUUCAGUGCAUUGGCGGUUGUCCAGUGGUGGAGAUCGUAUCAGUGAUCGGAGCAGUUCGGGUUAUCUGUUCAGUCGGCAGUUUCGAGGUGAGUUAUCCUCACUAUAUCAACAGGGUCUAAGGCACCAAGGCCGGCCCUUAUCGGAUUGAGAUCCGGGUAGUUGUUGUUAUGUUGUUGCUAUGUUAUGUUUGCAUCCUGAGAGCUAGGAUGGUAUAUAGAGACCUGUUUGAGAUCGGUAUCCUGAGAGAUAGGGUGAUGCUAUGCUAGUGACCUGUUAGGUCGGUAUCCUGGUUAGGAUGAUGAUAUGCUAUGUGAUCUGUUUGAUCUGCUUGUUGACUGUGAAUUGCUAUAUGAUUGUAUGUAUAUGUGCACAUGGUUGUUUGGACUGGAGUUGGGUUGAGGCGGGUCCUGCUGNNNNNNNNNNNNNNNNNNNNNNNNNNNNNNNNNNNNNNNNNNNNNNNNNNNNNNNNNNNNNNNNNNNNNNNNNNNNNNNNNNNNNNNNNNNNNNNNNNNNNNNNNNNNNNNNNNNNNNNNNNNNNNNNNNNNNNNNNNNNNNNNNNNNNNNNNNNNNNNNNNNNNNNNNNNNNNNNNNNNNNNNNNNNNNNNNNNNNNNNNNNNNNNNNNNNNNNNNNNNNNNNNNNNNNNNNNNNNNNNNNNNNNNNNNNNNNNNNNNNNNNNNNNNNNNNNNNNNNNNNNNNNNNNNNNNNNNNNNNNNNNNNNNNNNNNNNNNNNNNNNNNNNNNNNNNNNNNNNNNNNNNNNNNNNNNNNNNNNNNNNNNNNNNNNNNNNNNNNNNNNNNNNNNNNNNNNNNNNNNNNNNNNNNNNNNNNNNNNNNNNNNNNNNNNNNNNNNNNNNNNNNNNNNNNNNNNNNNNNNNNNNNNNNNNNNNNNNNNNNNNNNNNNNNNNNNNNNNNNNNNNNNNNNNNNNNNNNNNNNNNNNNNNNNNNNNNNNNNNNNNNNNNNNNNNNNNNNNNNNNNNNNNNNNNNNNNNNNNNNNNNNNNNNNNNNNNNNNNNNNNNNNNNNNNNNNNNNNNNNNNNNNNNNNNNNNNNNNNNNNNNNNNNNNNNNNNNNNNNNNNNNNNNNNNNNNNNNNNNNNNNNNNNNNNNNNNNNNNNNNNNNNNNNNNNNNNNNNNNNNNNNNNNNNNNNNNNNNNNNNNNNNNNNNNNNNNNNNNNNNNNNNNNNNNNNNNNNNNNNNNNNNNNNNNNNNNNNNNNNNNNNNNNNNNNNNNNNNNNNNNNNNNNNNNNNNNNNNNNNNNNNNNNNNNNNNNNNNNNNNNNNNNNNNNNNNNNNNNNNNNNNNNNNNNNNNNNNNNNNNNNNNNNNNNNNNNNNNNNNNNNNNNNNNNNNNNNNNNNNNNNNNNNNNNNNNNNNNNNNNNNNNNNNNNNNNNNNNNNNNNNNNNNNNNNNNNNNNNNNNNNNNNNNNNNNNNNNNNNNNNNNNNNNNNNNNNNNNNNNNNNNNNNNNNNNNNNNNNNNNNNNNNNNNNNNNNNNNNNNNNNNNNNNNNNNNNNNNNNNNNNNNNNNNNNNNNNNNNNNNNNNNNNNNNNNNNNNNNNNNNNNNNNNNNNNNNNNNNNNNNNNNNNNNNNNNNNNNNNNNNNNNNNNNNNNNNNNNNNNNNNNNNNNNNNNNNNNNNNNUUUUCCCAACAAAGGAAGAACAAAAGUUGAUGCCAGGAACUAAAGGUCCUUACAAAGUGGUGACACAUAUCAAUGAUAAUGCUUAUAAGGUGGAUCUGGGACGAGACCAUGGAGUGCAUGCUACCUUUAAUGUGGGAGACCUUUCACCGUAUCUUGUUGAGGAUGGCCUUUAUGAAUUAAGGUCAUUUCCUUUCAAAGAGGGAGAGGAGGAUCCAUGCAUGGCUCAUGAAAAGCCGAAAAAGGUGAUGGAUUAUUGAUUACUAGUAUGCUAGAAGGUGGUUUUUACUCAAUGGUUGGGUUGUGCAAGGUAACCUACGUAUAGAAUUUGGGUCGCAUGAAGGCUAGGGCAACAUUUUAAAGGCUUCAUAAGUGCUCCAAACUGUUACUUUUUCUUUAUCAAGCCUUCUAGCCAUUGUUGAUACUCUUUGGUGGAUUUAGGUUACACUUUAAUGCUUCUUUUGGCUCCUUAAUGGAGCACGGAUGCUUUUUUCAUUCAUUAGUGUGUCAGACGUUUUUUUGUGUGGUUUCAUGAGUUUCUUUAAUUUUCAUUUUUAGUUUUACUAAGUAGUUGGUUAAGUGGCGUGUAACCACCAACUUUGUAAUAAAGGCUUCAUAUAAGCCAAGUAUGCAUGGAAAAAGAGAUAGAUGAAAUUUUAAUCAAAAGAACCUUUGUUCAGUUUGAAUUAUAGUUAUAGUUCACUACUUGUCAUAGCCGACACGUGUUCUUGACUUGAUUCGCAUUCAAAAAAAAUAUUAUGUCUUGGAUAAUUUUCACGGGUAUACAACUCAGUAGGUCUUGAUUUGUUACUAAUCUAUCAAUUUCUUCCCAUACACCUAUCAUUUGUGGUUGUUAUUUUAGCAUAAUUUACCUAAACACAACCCUAAUCACUUAAUGAAGCCGGCAUGAAAAGGAAAUCACCUUUGUGCCCCUAAACAUGUAAUAUGGGAGUCACUGAUUCGUGAAGCUCAUGGUUUUGGUUUGGCAGAUCAGUUUUCCAUUACCAAAAUUUUGGAGGUGCUUUCAGAACAUUUCUUCUGGCCUAAAGAUGUUGGGGAUGUAACCAACAUAGUGGGCAAGUGUGUUACAUGUCGGAUGACGAAAAAAACUUUCAAGCAUGGUGUUUACACUCCUUUGACGGUUCCUAAUCGUCCUUGGUAAGAUGUGUCAAUGGAAUUCAGUAUGGCUUUCCCUAGAACCCAAAGGGAAAAGGAUUCCAUUAUAGUGGUGGUGGAUAGGUUUUCAAAAAUGGCUCACUUUGUGCCAUGACAUAAAACCAAUGAUGCAUCUAAUGUGUCUGAUUUGUACUUUAAAGAGGUGGUUCGCUUGUAUAUUAUUCCUAAAACUAUUGUUUCUGAUCGGGAUUCCAUGUUUUUGAGUUACUUUUGGAACACUUUUGUUGAGGAAAGUUGGUACUAAGUUAGUUUUUAGNAGUACGUCCCAUCAUCCACAAACUGAUGGGUAAACGAAGGUGACUAAUAGAACUUUGGAUACUUUGUUGAGGGGUUGGUUAGCAAAACUCAAAAAUAGUUGGACACAAACUUUCACAUGCUGAGUUUGCCUGCAAUUGUUCUCCUACUUAUGCUACAGGUCACUCACCUUCAUUAGUGGUGUAUGGUGUGAAUCCUUACAAGCAUUUGUAUUUGAUUCCAUUUCCAAACGAUGAAUUGGUUCACAACGAUGUUAAUGACAAGUUGAAGGCCAUGAGGAAACUACACCAAAAAGUUCAUGUGAAGAUUAAAGCCUUGAAUAACAUGUACAAACAGAAUUCCAACAUGCAUAGGAAACCAUGUGUGUUUCAAGACNNNNNNNNNNNNNNNNNNNNNNNNNNNNNNNNNNNNNNNNNNNNNNNNNNNNNNNNNNNNNNNNNNNNNNNNNNNNNNNNNNNNNNNNNNNNNNNNNNNNCAGGGGCUAUUAGGUAACUUUUGGUCUUGCUUUGAAGAAGAUAUUGUAAGGAGGGGCUAAAUGUGAUAAAAAGGAAUGGAAGUUUGUGAAAGGAGCGGAUCGAGCUGUGCUUUUUUUCUCUCCUGUAUAUGCGACGCAACCUUAACCCUACACUUUGUGAUAUCGGCCGCCACCACCAUGGAUUACAUCCUCAACCGCCACCAGCUGUGGAAGCCUUCUCGGAGCCGCCACCCAUCCUUCCUCGCGAAUCCGACCAGGCGUUGUUCCACUGUUGAGCGCCGCCUCAUGCUGCUGCCGGAGACGAGAUAUGAAGCCGGAAAGAACCGCCGAGGGCUGUGAGGCACGAUGUGUACAUCGUGCAUGAGUCGGCAGUUACCAGAAUCGCACAGUAAAUCCAACCGUGAGCCUACUUACUCUGUCUCUUUUGUUCUUGUUGUGUCUGCAAUGUCGUGAGCAGCGACUGUGGUCCCCGGUGGCCUUGGGUCGCCGCUGCAACGCCUUCAAUUGUUGCCUGCCGCCCUUAAGGCCGAGUUGGCUAUGUUUGUGUGCUCCAAUUGCACCUGUGGACGUGUUCAUGGGUUUGCACGGUGGAAAAUCAUAAGACCCGCCACUGCCACCACCAUGAGGUGGUGGCUGCCACCCAUUGUCGCCUUCUACCGCUCUUUGCCGCCACCAGCCACCCCAGGAGGUGGUUGUGUGCGUGUGUAUUUUGUGUGAGGUUGUUUAUGCAUGUUUAUGUGGUUGGAAAAAACCCACCACCACCGUGAGCCACCACUGACCACCACUACCUGAGGUGGUAGUGGGUGGUGCCACAUCCUAGUUGGCCCAAUUGAUUAUUAUUGGACUGGGUUGGCUUGUGAUUGGGCUAGAAACCCUAAUUAGGGUUUAGAAAACCCUAAUUUUGGGUUUGUUGGGGCCUAUUGAGACCCACGUUUGGACCAGUGGACUGAAGUUGUGACUCAUCCCGAUUCCAUUGUGUGACGGCUUAGUGGAGUAAUGGACUUAAUGGGUUAAGUGAGAAAUACUUAACCCUAAUCGUUAUGUUAUGUGAAAACUCUAAUUUGGGAUGGGCCUUGGUGGGCCCAUUGGGCUUGGAUUAUUUAUGGACAAGAUUGAUGGACCAUUAUUAGACCUAAUAAUGUGAAAGUUGGUCUUAGAUCCUAAUGGGGUUAUUUGUGGGUUUGGCUUAGUGAUAGAAGUCGGAGUGUAGCAGCAGCAUUUAUAAGAUCUGUGUGCCAUCCGAGGUGGGUCUUCUCACUAUUCUUACCUGUGUGGUGAUGUGUGUGAGAUCGGAGGGUCUUAUUCGUGUUAUUGACCGGAGGUUCUUACUUACAUUGUUAACCGCAGGGUCUCAGUAUAUUUGACCGGAUGNGAGGGUCUUAGUACAUUAUCAAUCGGAGGGUCUUAUUUGUUUAUUAUGUGUUAUGUGUUAUCGUGCAUACUGUCUUUGUGACUUAUGCUGUUAUGGAAUAUGUGUAUAUAUUGAUCUUAUGUGUUUAUUAUAGUACUGUGAUAUCCUGCAUUAUGUCUAUGUGAAUUAUGUUGUUUAUUUAUUAUGAGCUUACGGAGUUAGGACCGAAGGGUCCACAGUGUUAGGACCGGAGGGUCCAUUAGAGUUGUGGGACUGGAGGGUCCCACUGAGACACAUUGACCGGAGGGUCUUACAGAGUUAUAGCCUCGAGUGGCUAAAGUGUAUUUGUGGUAUUUUGGGGAACUCACUAAGCUUCGUGCUUACCGUGUUAUGUGUUAUGUGUUCCAGGUACUUCUCAGGAUCACGGGAAGGCGACGACUCGAUUGUACACACGAGAUGAAGAGUUAUGUUUUGGAGGAUCCUCGAUUAUUAAUCAAACAAUUACAGAUUGUGUUUUGUUAAUUUGAUAAUUGGGGAUUUUUGUGUAAUGUCUUAUGAGAAUUUUGUGAUUUAACAAUGAAAAAUUUAUAUGAAAAUUUACGGCGUUACACAACAACCCUAUGCGGCCCUUUAAACCAGAUUCCACGCACCGCGAGUAGUUAAAAAGAUAUUAUAACGACACUUAUAUAAAAAUAGCUCAAAUAUUUAUUAUAANNNNNNNNNNNNNNNNNNNNNNNNNNNNNNNNNNNNNNNNNNNNNNNNNNNNNNNNNNNNNNNNNNNNNNNNNNNNNNNNNNNNNNNNNNNNNNNNNNNNCAGGCCACAGAAAAUGACAUCUCCACUAUCGGCCGAUCGCUCAGCUCAGACCGUGUUCUCCCAUAACGCACCAUCCCUACUCAUCCCUGAGUGUUGCGACUCCAACUGACAUCUCUCCAACAGUCCCUAGGAGUUAACUCAGUUUUCCCCUUCACGGGAUGCUCCACUAAAACUCGUUCAUCAUGUCCCUCUGGCCCAUUACUCUUUCACAUCUGAUCUCAGUCUAGACGAUCACCACAGAAUAACUGGUAAAACCAGGAGCACUAACCGCCACACGUCCUGAUACUCAUCCCAUGUGACUACCUCUCAAUCUGCUUUGAAUCAUGGUACCCGAACCAUGUUACCUCAUCUUAAUUUGCUACUAAUCAUGGUACUCGAACCACGUUCUCUCUUCUCAAUCCGCCUCAAAUCAUGGUACUCGAACCAUGACAUCACCUCUCGAUCUGCUACAAAUCAAAGUACUCGAACCAUGACAUCACUUGUCGAUAUGCUACUUAGAUUCUCCGGAAUACUCCCUAUAUUGAGUAUGGGUCCUCUGCUUUCAAUAGUACAGGCCCAUACAACAUCUACCCAUACUUUCUGCAACGACCAUCCCAGAGCCCCUAAGUAGCUGCUCAACCUUCUCAAUCACCAAUCUCAACACACAUGCUCGCUUCCCAGUGAAAUGCUCUACUCUGUCAGCGUACCCAUCUGACUAAAGUCACUUCCUAGGCUCUUCCUAGGUUCUCACACUUCUCCGCCAUCAAUUGCUGAGAAACUCUUUAUGAUGCCAGUCAUCUACCUCCUGAAUAUCGUCACAUUCACUUGGUAGGUGACUCCCAUCAUCGGGAGUUCCACAAAGCACGAAGCAAGCAAUAUUUGGGCAUCGAAUAAACAUGUAAAACCCACUCCAGGUGAUAACUCCACUUGCUCUACUCACUCAAAAGAUUGAUACCGAACUCAACAACUCCACCCCCCGCGGGUAUCUAACUACUCUCUCAAUAGGCUCGGAAAAUGCUCAUCUAGGUAUCUCUCCUAGAUUACUCCUUUACUCAAAUNNNNNNNNNNNNNNNNNNNNNNNNNNNNNNNNNNNNNNNNNNNNNNNNNNNNNNNNNNNNNNNNNNNNNNNNNNNNNNNNNNNNNNNNNNNNNNNNNNNNCAGGCCACAGAAAAUGACAUCUCCACUAUCGGCCGAUCGCUCAGCCCAGACCGUGUUCUCCCAUAACGCACCAUCCCUACUCAUCCCUGAGUCUUGCGACUCCAACUGACAUCUCACCAACAGUCCCUAGGAGUUAACUCAGUUUUCCCCUUCACGGGAUGCUCCACUAAAACUCGUUCAUCAUGGCCCUCUAGCCCAUUACUCUUUCACAUCUGAUCUCAGUCUAGACGAUCACCACAGAAUAACUGGUAAAACCAGGAGCACUAACCGCCACACGUCCUGAUACUCAUCCCAUGUGACUACCUCUCGAUCUGCUUUGAAUCAUGGUACCCGAACCAUGUUACCUCAUCUUAAUUUGCUACUAAUCAUGGUACUCGAACCACGUUCUCUCUUCUCAAUCCGCCUCAAAUCAUGGUACUCGAACCAUGACAUCACCUCUCGAUCUGCUACAAAUCAAAGUACUCGAACCAUGACAUCACUUGUCGAUAUGCUACUUAGAUUCUCCGGAAUACUCCCUAUAUCGAGUAUGUGUCCUCUGCUUUCAAUAGUACGGGCCCAUACUACCUGCAACAUCUACCCAUACUUUUUGCAACGACCAUCCCAGAGCCCCUAAGUAGCUGCUCAACCUUCUCAAUCACCAAUCUCAACACACAUGCUCGCUUCCCAGUGAAAUGCUCUACUCUGUCAGCGUACCCAUCUGACUAAAGUCACUUCCUAGGCUCUUCCUAGGUUCUCACACUUCUCCGCCAUCAGUUGCUGAGAAACUCUUUAUGAUGCCAGUCAUCUACCUCCUGAAUAUCGUCACAUUCACUUGGUAGGUGACUCCCAUCAUCGGGAGUUCCACAAAGCACGAAGCAAGCAAUAUUUGGGCAUCGAAUAAACACGUAAAACCCACUCCAGGUGAUAACUCCACUUGCUCUACUCACUCAAAAGAUAUCACCGAACUCAACAACUCCACCCCCCGCGGGUAUCUAACUACUCUCUCAAUAGGCUCGGAAAAUGCUCAUCUAGGUAUCUCUCCUAGAUUACUCCUUUACUCAAAUCCCUCUCUAAAAGGAUCCCUACUUGCUACUCUUACUCAACACAUGCUCGAAAGCACAUCACAGAUAACAGCAACUCCUAGGCUAAGGCAUCACAAAUCAGGCCACUCUAGUCCUAACAUAUGAAAUACCUAGCCUAUCUCUAGCAUGCAUAAUAUAUCAUAGCAUAUCUCAUAACUAUCUCAUAAUACAAAUGUAAGGGUAUUUUGGGAAAUCACUGUUCGGGCUCUGGUUGAUUGUACACAAUGCUCUUUCCCGCUUUCUCUUUGACUCUUAUUCACUUUUAAAAAAAAUCGUUUUUGAAAACUUUUCUUAUUUCCUCAGUUUGAGUCCAGAUUUACCCCGAAGGUGCAUCCGAAUCCCUCAAACCAAGGCUCUGAUACCAACUUGUAACGCCGUAAAUUUUCAUAUAAAAUUUUCAUUGUUAAAUCACAAAAUUCUCAUAAGACAUUACACAAAAAUCCCUAAUUAUCAAAUUAACAAAACACAAUCUGUAAUUGUUUGGUUAAUAAUCCAGGAUCCUCCAAAACAUAACUCUUCAUCUCGUGUGUACAAUCGAGCCGUCACCUUCCCGUGAUCCUGAGAAGUACCCGGAACACAUAACACGGUAAGCACGAAGCUUAGUGAGUUCCCCAAAAUACCACAAAUACACUUUAGCCACUCGAGGCUAUAACUCUGUAAGACCCUCCGGUCAAUGUGUCUCAGUGGGACCCUCCAGUCCCACAACUCUAAUGGACCCUCCGGUCCUAACUCUGUGGACCCUCCGGUCCUAACACUGUGGACCCUCCGGUCCUAACUCCGUGAGCUCAUAAUAAAUACACAACAUAAUUCACAUAUACAUAAUGCAGGAUAUCACAAUACUCGAAUAAACACAUAAGAUCAAUAUAUACACAUAUUCCAUAACAGCAUAAGUCACAAAGACAAUAUGCACGAUAACACAUAACACAUAAUAAAUAGUGUAAGUAAGACCCUCCGGUCAAUAAUAUACUGAGACCCUCCGGUCAACAGUGUAAGUAAGACCCUCCGGUCAAUAACACGAAUAAGACCCUCCGGUCUCACACAAAUCACCACACAGGUAAGUAUAGUGAGAAGACUCACCUCGGAUGGCAAACAGAUCCUAUAAAUGCUGCUGCUACACUCCGACUUCUAUCACUAAGCCAAACCCACAAAUAACCCCAUUAAGAUCUAAGACCAACUUUCACAUUAUUAGGUCUAAAUAUGGUCCAUCAAUCUAUUCCAUAAAUAAUCCAAGCCCAAUGGGCCCACCAAGGCCCAACUUAAAGCCCAUCCCAAAUUAGAGUUUUCACAUAAAAUGACGAUUAGGGUUAAGUAUUUCUCACUUAACCCAUUAGGUCCAUUACUCCACUAAGCCGUCACACAAUAGAAUCGGGAUGAGUCACAACUUCAGUCCACUGGUCCAAACGUGGGUCUCAAUAGGCCCCAACAAACCCAAAAUUAGGGUUUUCUAAACCCUAAUUAGGGUUUCUAGCCCAAUCACAAGCCAACCCAGUCCAAUAAUAAUCAAUUGGGCCAACUAGGGUGUGGCACCACCCACUACCACCUCAGGUAGUGGUGGUCAGUGGUGGCUCACGGCGGCGGUCACUACCUCACGGUGGUGGUGGGUUAAUCUGACCACAUAAACAUGCAUAAACAACCUCACACAAAAUACACACGCACACAACCACCUCCCGGGGUGGCUGGUGGCGGCAAAGAGCGGUAGAAAGCGACAAUAUCUUCUUCAAACCAAGACAAAAGUUACCUAAUAGCCCCUGCCCUCAGAAAUCUUUACAAAUUAAAUUUGGAAUUUACUAUUUAGACCUUGCUUCCCAAAAAUCUAUCCAAAUUAAGUCCCAAUAAUUCGCCAAACAACCCCUGCCUUCAUAGAUAUUUAUAAACCACUCUGGAACUUACACUUUUAACUCAAAACUUCUAGAAUCAUGACAAUUAAAUUCUUGAGGCCAAUACCUGGCGAUGUUAUUAUUUAUUUUAGGGUUUCUAUUCAUAUUAACCCUUAUCUAUCUAUUUAAUCCAUAAACGGGAUGUUACAUAUUGGAUUUCAGAAGUGCUAUAUGCCAAAAUGGUCCUUCCCUCCGGUGUUUUAUGUCUGGCCCCUGUCUGUACAUCGUUGGAAAGUAUUGUUUAAACGCUUAUAUAAUAAUAAUAAUAAUCAUAAUAAUAAUAAUAAUAAUAAGACUAAUAAUUAGUCACGGUAAAUAUUAGACUAAAAUUUAGUGGUAAUAAUACUAGGUUUCGUCGAAGGAAAUUAUUUUAAAGUAAACGAAGCGUUGUCCGAGUGCCGAAUCACCACCUUCUCAGGUGAGUGCAUAGUUACUUUCAUCUUACACAUAGAUAUGAAGUAUUUUAUAUAAAUUACGUGCUAUGUGUGCAUAUUAUCUGAAUACUUGCUGUCUAUGUUAGAUGAACAAUUUUAUACACGUUUUAAAUGAUUUAAACUGUAUAUGUAUUUUAUAUCUACGAAAAUGUUGGGGUAAAACAUGGGUAGAUGUAAUAGAUGGAAUAUAAGUUGGACGAUGAGUUGAGAGGUGUUAUAGACCGUGAGGUGAGGGUGAGAGGUGGACGAUGUGAGAAUCUUUUUUCCCAAAUGAUGGCCCCGUCAUUCGGCAGAGUACCACUGACUAUUCUAGAUAGUCCGGUGGGACACUAGCAGGCUCGCAACCUGUAGGUGUUGUGAACGAUGUGUUCACCCGGUGUACUCUAAACCUUGGUGACCAUGCAGACUUGGUGCCUAAACCCUGGUGAUCAUGCAGAAUUGAUGCCUAAACCUUGGUGAUCAUGCAGACUUGAUGCCUAAACCCUGGCGACUAUGCAAAGUUAGUGCCCGUUGUGUAAACCGUGGCAACGAUGGACUUCGUGCCGAUUCCUUAGGAUGAUCCUUAAGAAUGAGUGAACGAGAAAUAGCUGAUUCUUGGGGCAGCUCCUUAAGAAUAAAGAAGAUAAUGGGGUUGGGUAAUUGGGUUGAUUGCUUUAUUGUUUAAACAUGAUAAUUAUAUUAUUGUGGGUUGAAAACCCUAUGUACUCACCAGGUUUCCCAACAUGACCCACUCAGUUUAUUUGUAUCACAGGUGUCGAUAUGAAGUUACAUUACACUGAGAGAUUUAAAAGAGAUGUAGAUCACUAGUGAUAAUGAAUGUAAGUUCUGUUUAUGCUUAUGUUUCUGUAUUGACGAUGACAUCCCAAAUGUUUUAAAAUGAAUAAAAAUACUUUUCUUCGGAAAUGCUUUGAUAACGUAUUUAUCAUGUUUUACUGGGAACAAAUUCCGCAACAUUUUUAUUAAAAGAGGUACUCUGAUUUUUAUAAAUCAUAAACAAAAUCAGUCUUUUCUGGCCGAGAAAAUGGGGAUGUCACAUACACUAACAAGUUCGUGUAAAGAUUGAAGCCGUGAAUGACGUGUACAAACAGAAUUUCAACAUGCAUUACGUGUCUUUCAUGAUGGUGACUUAUAUUAGGUGCAUAUGAGGAAAGAACGUUUUCCUAACAAAAGAAAGAACAAAAGUUGAUGCCAAGAGCUGAAGGUCCUUACAAAGUGGUGACAUGUCAAUGAUAAUGCUUAUCAGGUGGAUCUAGGAGGAGACCAUGGGGUGCAUGCUACCUUAAAUGUGGGAGACCUUUCACUGUAUCUUGUUGAGGACGACCUUGAUGAAUUGAGCUCAUUUCCUUUGGGGGAGGGGAGGAUCCAUAUAUGGAUCUUGAAAGCCCAAAAGGUGAUGAAUUAAUGAUUACUAGUAGGCUAGAAGGUGGUUUGUACUCAAUGGUUGGUUUGUGCUUGGUAACCUAUGUAUUGAAUUAGGGUCGCAUGAAGGCUAGGGCAACAUUUCAAAGGCUUCAUAAGUGCUCAAAACCGUAACUUUUUGCUUCAUCAAGCCUUCUAGCCAUUGUUGAUCUCUUUGGUGGAUUUGGGUUACACUUUAAUGCUUCUUUUGGCUCCUUAAUGGGGCAUGGACGCUUUUUUCAUUCAUUAGUGUGUCAGACGUUUUUUGUGUGGUUUCAUGAGUUUCUUUAAUUUUCAUUAUUAGUUUUACUAAGUAGUUGGUUGGGUGGUUUGUAACCACCAACUUUGUAAUAAAGGCUUCAUAUAAGCCAAGUAUGCAUGGAAAAAAGAGAUAGAUGAAAUUUUAAUCAAAAGAACCUUUGUUCACUUUGAAUUAUAGUUAUAAUUCACCACUUGUCAUAGUCGAGACGUGUUCUUGACUUGAUACGCAUUCAAUCAAAUAUUAUGUCUUUGAUAGUUUUCAUGGGUAUACAACUAAGUAGGUCUUGAUUUGUACUAAUCUAUCCAUUUCUUCCCAUAUACAUAUCAUUUAUGGUUGUUAUUCUAGCUUAAUUUACCUAAACACAACCCUAAUCACUUAAUCAAGCCCAUAAAGGCAUCAAAAGGGAUUCACCUUUGUUAACCCUGAUCCACCAAAGAGUAUCAAAAAGCUAGGAGGCUUUAUGAAGCAAAACAUAACGGUUUUGAGCAUUUAUGAAGCCUUUAAAAUGUUGCCCUAGCCUUCAUGCGACCAUGAUUCAAUUCGUAGGUUACCACGCACAACCCAACCAUUGAGCCCAAACCACCUUCUACCUUACUAAUAGUCUCUAAUCCAUCACCCUGGGCUUUAAUGAUCCAUGCAUGGAUCAUCCCCUCCCCCUUUGAAUGGAAACGACCUCAAUUCAUCAAGGCCACCCUCAACAAGAUAAGGCCAAAGGUCUGCCACAUUAAAGGUUGCAUGCACUCCAUGGUCUCCUCCCAAAUCCACCUUAUAAGCAUUAUCAAUGACAUUUGACACCAUUUUGUAAGGAUCAUCUGCUCACGGCAUCAACUUUUGUUAGGAAAACGUUCUUUCCUAAUAUGCACCUACACCAAGUCACCAUCCUGAAAGACACGUGGUUUCCUAUGCAUGUUGGAAUUCUGUUUGUACAACUUUGUCAUGCUUCAAUCAUCAAACAAACUUGUUGGUGUAGUUUCAUCAUGGCCUUCAACUUGUCAUUAGCAACCUUGUGAACCAAUUCAUCCUUUUGCAAUGGAAUUAAAUCCAAAGGCAUAUAAGGAACACUAUACACCACUUCAAAAGGAGAGUGACAUGUAGCAUAAGUAGGAGAACAAUUACAGGAAAACUCAACAUGUACAAGUUUGAUGUCCAAAUGUUUUUGAGUUUUGCUAACCAACCCACUGAAUAACGUACCCAAAGUUCUAUUUGUCACCUUCGUUUGCCCAUUAGUUUGUGGAUGAUGGGAUGUACUAAAAAGUAACUUAGUACCAGCUUUCAUCCACAAAUUGUUCCGAAAGUAACUCAAAAAACAUAGAUUCCCUCUCAGAGACAAUAUUUUUAGGAAUAAUAUGCAAGCGAACCACCUCUUUAAAAUCCAAAUUAGACACAUUAGAUGCCUCAUUGGUUUUAUGACAUGGCACAAAGUGAAUAAUUUUUGAAAACCUAUCCACCACCACAAUAAUGGAAUCCUUCCCCCUUUGAGUUCUAGGCAAAGCCAUAAUGAAUUCCAUUGACACAUCUUCCCAAGGACAAAUAGGAACCGGCAACGGAGUGCAAACAUCAUGCUUGAAAGUUUUUUCGUCAUCUGACAUAUAACACCCUUGUCACUAUAUCCCAACAUCUUAGGCCAAAAGAAAUUUUCUUAAAGCUCCUCCAAAGUUUUGGUAAUGGAAAAAUGACCCGCUAAACCACCACCAUGAGCUUCACGAAUCAUCAACUCCGUAUUGUGUGACAACCCGAAUUUUUCGUAUGUUUAAUUUCUACAGUCUAACACUUCAUUGAAAGUCAAAUUCAUUUCUAUUACCAUUUAGCUAAAUUUAAGGUAUGUGUGAGUAUUCCGAUGCCAGUACACUUAAGGAAGAAGUGUUAGAAAGCAACCACUAAAGCCCUAUAUUCGUAUUCGUAUUCGUAUUAUCCUAUUAGUUAUAUUCGUAUUCGCAUUCGUAUUCGUACUAACCUAAUAGUUAUAUUCGUAUUCGUACUAUAGUAUUGGUUAUAUUCGUAUUCGCAUUCGUAUUCGUUUAGUAUUAAUCUUAGUUAUGAUUAGUACGAUUUCUUUUACAAAAAGUAAUAUAGUUUAAAACACUUUUUAAAGAAAUCUGACUUUAGUCUAACUGUUUACCCUGCAAUUCAAAUCAUUAGCUAUCACAAUUUUCGAUAUUAGAAACAUACAUCAAAUAGAAUAUUUGAACUGAAAAUACGUCUAAGUACAAGAUUUCCUUGUACCUGUGCUUGUAUCCCCCCCUAAAAAACAUUUGAAAAACAUUGGAAAACAUUUGAAAAAGGGUAGGGGUAUGAACUCACCGGUUGAGAAAUGCGUCAGUUUGGAUCCUAAACGUCAGUUUCUGGGUUCGCGAACGCACAAGAUCCCUGUGGAUUAUGAAAUGAUACACAUUUGUAUCUAAUUAGGACUUGAUUAAUUUAUUUGUUAAAGACACACACUUCUAGUUGCGGAAACACCCCAUUACAAGUGUUUGGAAGGACCCGGGUGGCAUUUAAGGACUUGUAUGACUAGGGAAUGGAGUUUACUCUUCAAGAGUAAUCUCCUUAAGGAGUUUACUACCCUAAACACCUCAUCCAUACGAGUUCACGGCCGUGAACUCUUGGAUGGUGUUUUUGGGUGCAAAAUGGCUUCAUAACACUUGGGAUUAAUGCUAGACUUGGGUUUUAGGCUUUGGAAGGAAUUAAAACUCACAUAGGGACCAUUUAUUGGGGUUUACGGCAGUAAACAUGGAUUUUAUGGCCGUAAACUCCCCCUCACACCCAAUCCUUAAUGUUUUAGGUCUUAAACAAUCACAUGUGAUUCCAAUGAUUUUUCCCAAGCCUUGUAUGGAUUUUUAGGGGACUUUUGGCAUGGUUUUUGGAGUUUACGGCCCAUGAACCCCCCUCGUGGCCGUGAACUCCUUUGAUGGGUGUUUUAUUAUGUUUUAAGGCUUCUAAAUUGAUGGUAGACACUUCUAGAAUUUAUCCUAAGGUUUAAGGUGUGUUCAAGUGGCAUCUUAACACAUUUAGAGGAGUUUACUCCCCAAGAAUAUGAGUUUACGGCCCAAGCAUGUUCUUGGGCAGUAAACAUUUACUCCUCUAAAUUGAUGUUCAAUGUGUUCCAAGGCCAAUUCCAUAAUUCUACAAGUCGUAUCUAAGCCUUAUUGGUGUUUUGGAAGGGUUUAAGGGCUUAAAACCCCCUUUUAUAUGUGUUUACGGCCCAAGCAUGCUCCAGGGCCGUAAACACAUGAACAAGUCUCUAAAUCAUGGUUUAAGGCAUUCUAAGUCCAUUCCAUUAAGUCAUCUAGCCAUAUCCAAGGUCUAAUUGUGGUUUGGAAGGGUUUUGUUGCUCAAAAACCCCAUUUAUAUGAGUUUACCGCCUAGGACUGUUCUAGGCUUAUAAACUCAUGAUAAUGAUCCUAAUCCAUGGUUUAAACUCCAAUUUGAAGGCUAGAGGGGUUGUAUAACAAGUUAGGAAAGGUACCUUGGUGAUUAGAAGCCUUAAAUUUGAGGUUUUGGACCCUUAAACUUGGAUUUAGGAGAGAGGUUAGAGAGAGUAGAGAGAGGAAGCAAAAGCUUCAAAUGAAAGCUUGAACACAUUUAAAUAGGUCCCAAAACUUAGACACGGUGAAAUUCUACCCGACACUGGCGUUAAACAGGGCUUUUGGUCGCACCCGAUUAAGUUUCCGUAACCUGGCGGGGACGUUUCUAAAAUUUCUGAAAUAAACAUUUUGGGCUAAUUUCAUGAGUUCCUAAGGGGGUUGGACACUCAUUAGUAUUAAAUAAACAUAUAAGUUUAAAUAAUUUAGCCUAAAAACGAGAUCAGAACGAAUUGAUGAACGGCGAAUUUUACGGGCGGAACGGGUCUCAGCGAUGGAAAAGUUUGGCCAUUGACAUCUGACACCACUUUGUAAAGACCAUCUGCUCUUGGGAUCAACUUUUGUUCUUCCUUUUGUUAGGAAAACGUUCUUUCCGCAUAUACACCUACACCAAGUCACCAUCUUGAAAGACACGUGGUUUCCUAUGCAUGUUGGAAUUCUGUUUGUACAACUCUUUCACGCUUCAAUGUUCAAACGAACUUGUUGGUGUAGUUUCAUCAUGGCCUUCAACUUGUCAUUAGCAUCCUUGUGAACCAAUUCAUCCUAUGGCAAUGGAAUUAAAUCCAAAGGCAUAUAAGGAACACCAUUGAUACGAAUUUGGAUUGUGUUACCUAAUCUUCCUAUCCAAUUUGGAUAGCAAUAGGCUCAUCUAUUGAUUAUGACGUGAGCUAUAACAAUGUUAAAUUUAUACUGCCACAUGGCAUGUGUUGUGGCAAAAUUUGUGUGCAUGGUAACAUGGGAAGCUGAUAUGGACGUGGAUUAAUGCAUGGGAGUUACAAUGGAGAUGGUUAAGUGUGAUGGAGUUAUGGAGUGGAAGUUACAAAUAAAAAGUUAUUAUGAUGGAGUGGGAGUUACAAAUAAGUCAUUAGUGGUCAUUAGUGGAGUGGGAGUUACAAAUGAAUCAUUAAUGGUCAUUAGUGGUGUGUUUAUUUCAGCUUUUAAUAAGCCUUUAAUUGGCAUAGUUAUAGGUGUCUUUUGAUUAUCUUUACAGUUAUUUUUGUAAGGCUAUAUAAAGCCAUUUUCUAUCAUUUGUAAAAAAAUGUUGAUUGACUUAUAUAUGAAAAUCGAAUUUUUGAUCAUUUCGAGUUGUUGCGACAAUUCAAAGUUUGAUCCUUAUUAGGACGCGCCUCUUAAUAUUGAUCUUGAAUUCAAGUUAAUAGGUAUUGACUUUUCCUUACCGAACUUCAAUCUAUAGGUCUUGUUUGAUAUUCAAAUCUAUCCCUUUUUCUUUAUUUUGUUCUUGUCAAAUCCAUUGUUGUUUAUUCCGCUGCAUUUUCAAACCCAUUUGAUAUUAUUUGUGGUGUCAAUCCCAAUAUUAGUAUCAGUUGAUGUGUUAGAAGUCCAUAUUCGUGUUAGUUGGACUCGGAGCGGUCCAUACACUUAUCAUAUGUGGUAUCAGAACCCAGUUCCGAUUGGGUUUUGUUGAGUAGAAAAAAGAGGUCCUUGUCGAGUGUGCUGAUUUGUUAUUGUUAAGUUCUUGCCAAAAUAUGUUGUUGCUCUUAUUGAACAAGAAAAAACAAUUCUACCAAGUGUUAUCACGAAUUCAGUUACGAUGGAUUGGGAUAAUCCAAAUUUUCUUCGUGUUCUUCGUGAACUAUGAAGGAUGUAUCGAAAGAAUCGAGUCGAAGGAAACCUAGGUGUGAGCAGCCAAGGAAUGUGGGGGAGUUAAAGAUAAAUGAAUUGCCUAAAUUCGUUGGAGGAUUCAAUCCAGAAAAAUAUUUGGAUUGGGAGAAGGAGAUGGAAAGAGUUUUUCAGUUCAAAUGUGUGGCUGAUGAAUGGAGUUGCAAAUAUGCCAUUCUAAGGUUGAGAGGAGAAGCUGAAUUGUGGUAUGAAAAGUUGAAGGCAAAAAGAACCCGUGAAGGAAAGGGAAAGCUUUCUUCUUGAGAAUCUCUGAAACGAAAACUCUGAGAGAGCUAUGCGCCAAUGACCUUGGAGACUGUUAAUUUCAAAAGAAGGGUGGAGAUAUUUAAAAAGGCAGUUAUGAUCAAAGAGGAAGAAGAAGAGUACAAAGCAUUGGCUGUUGACACGGUUUUGGUACUUGAAACAUCACAAACCAUUGAUGACAAGGCUGAUGUUGCCGAUGUCAAGGUGGAAGAAGUCAAGGUAGAAGAGGUUAAUUUAUUUGUUGAAGAUGAAAUUGUUGAAGUAACUAUUGAAGAAAACAAUUUCAUGAUUAGAGAUGAUAAUACUAAAGAAAUGGAUGAAUUCACUGAAGAAGUUGAAGAAGGAGAUAACUCCAAGAUUGAAAUUGUUGAAAGUGUGGAUGCAAUCAUGGAAGAAAAUAAUUUUGUUGAUGCGAACAAAUUAUUUGAGAAGGGGGUGAUUUUGGUUGAACCAAGAAAGGAAUUCCAGGAGUCCAUGACAUCUACAACAGUGUAUCCCAUAAAUGACGAACAAGUCCAGAAGCAUUCGACUAUAUUGACGGGUGAAAUAAAUGUGGAGCAGGUUAAAUGUGAAGAUGCUCGUCUUGCAAAAUUGAGGUCAAUUCCUUUUGAAGUAGGAGGGGAUGAUAUGAAUUUGGACUGCAAUUCGCAAUAUUCAAGUUCCAACCCAAUUUAGAUCGUAAUGGGCUCAUCCCUUGACAUAAAGUAUGGAUAAUGUGAGCUAUAAUAAUGAUAAAUUGGUACUCGCCACAUGGCAUGUGUUGUGGCAAAAUUUGUGUGCAUGGUAACAUGGGAAGCUGACAUGGACGUGGAUUAAUGCAUGGGAGUUACAAUGGAGAUGGUUAAGUGUGAUGGUGUUAUAGAGUGGGAGUUACAAAUAAAUCAUUAAUGUGAUGGAGUUAUGGAGUGGGAGUUAAAAGUAAAUCAUUAGUGGUCAUUAGUGGAGUGGGAGUUACAAAUGAAUCAUUAGUGGUGUGUUUAUUUCAACUUUUAAUAAGCCUUUAGUUGGCAUAGUUAUUAGAGUGUCUUUUGAGUUUUUAACCGUUAUCUUGUGAUGCAAACCCACAGCUGUCAACAAAGGAUCCAAAUCAAAUGCUAGAUGGACCAGUUACGAGGGCACGAGCUAAAACAUUCAAAGAGGCUUUAAAUGGAUUGGUUAGAGAAGUUGGAUUACCAUAAAUCAAGUCCAAGAGUGAUUUACAAGAUACAAUAAGAGCCUUUAUAANNNNNNNNNNNNNNNNNNNNNNNNNNNNNNNNNNNNNNNNNNNNNNNNNNNNNNNNNNNNNNNNNNNNNNNNNNNNNNNNNNNNNNNNNNNNNNNNNNNNGGCGAUGAAGGUUCAUCCGAGGUUGUGAUAGAAGUAGAACUCAUCAAGUCGAUGCUAAACUCGAUGAGUAGGGACGUGGAUGAGGACGGUUGAAGAGACAGGGACUCGACGAGUUGACGGCCCAACUCGGCGAGUCGGGUCAACAGGAAGUUGACUUUGAAUUUGACUUGCUCCGGGGUAGGGGUAAAAUAGUCAUUUUACCCUAAGAGUAGAUAUCAGAUUCUAACUGAGUGUUUUGUGGAGAUGAUAGCCGAAAGAUUUCCGGAGUAGCAAUAGUCAGAGACUUCCCGAGCAGCUUUCCAGCGGUCAGUCUUACGAGGUGAGUUUUCUUCCAGUAGAAACGGGUCUAAGGUACCAAAGUCGGCCCGUAUAGGUGAUACGUUAGUAUUGGAGUGUGGGCAGAGCUCGCAUCUCAUAGUUGAGUUUGAUUAUGAUAUAGGCUUUUUUGAUAGAAUUGCUUAUACUUGUGGUCUGUAUGAUACAUGUAUGCUAUGGUUUAGUAGCUGAGUGUGGGCGAGGCCCGUAUCUAAGAGACAACGGAAUGUGGGCGAGGCUCGUAUCUCCUUGCUAGCAAAGUGUGGGCGUGGCUCGUAUCUCCAUGAGUGUGGGCGAGGCGCGCAUCUCCUAGUUGUUCAUUAUAUGUGCAUGGUAUGUGGUAUUGUGGGGGAUCUCACUAAGCUCCGUGCUUACAGUUUACAGUUUUGGUCUCAGGUACCUCCUUAGCGAAGGGGAAAGAGCUGGCCUGGUAGCGGCACAUCAUAUACACAAGUAUUCAUCUUCCGCACUAGAGAUAUUCUGGGAUUGUACUCUGACAUGUUACUAUUAUAUGUUCUGGGUUUUCAAAUCUGAUACAUUGAUUCACAAAAUGAUAUAUUGUUACACAGUUUUCUUAUGAAUGUAUUUACAAUCCGAUAAAUAAAAAUGAAAUUUUUGGACCCGAAAUUUGGGAUGUUACCCUUGCAUAUUAUUCCAAAAAAUAUUGUCUCUAAGAGGGAAUCUAUGAUUUUGAGUUACUUUCGGAACACUUUGUGGAUGAAAGCUAGUACUAACUUACUUUUUAUUACAUCCCAUCAUCCACAAACUGAUAGGAAAACGAAGGUGACAAAUAGAACUUUGGGUACGUUGUUUGAGGGGGUUGGUUAGCAAAACUCAAAAACAUUUGGAUAUCAGACUUGUACAUGUUGAGUUUGCCUGUAAUCUUUCUCCUACUUAUGCUACAUGUCACUCUCCUUUUGAAGUGGUGUAUGGUGUAAAUCCUUAUAUGACUUUUGAUUUAAUUCCAUUGCCAAAGGAUGAAUUGGUUCACAAGGAUGCUAAUGACAAGUUGAAGGCCAUGAUGAAAAUACACGAACAAGUUUGUGUGAAGAUUGAAGCCGUGAAAGAGUUGUACAAACAAAAAUCCAACAUGCAUAGGAAACCACGUGUCUUUCUAGAUGGUGACUUGGUCUGUAAACUCCAAACUCUUGGAGUUUUUGAAACUUUAUUGAUGCAUAAUAAACCCUAGGGCAUCCUCUCUCCUAAUUUCUCUCAAAGUGCUAAUCCUAAAAUACUCAAACUUAUUCCAAAAAGCUUGAAAAUUAGCAGAUCUAUUUAAGUGAAGGGUUGUACAUAAUAGAAAUCUUGGGUUGUCACAGAAUUUUGGAUCUGAAGAGUCGAAUUCUUGGGUCAUGUGGUUAGCGAAGAAGGAAUUAAUGUGGACCCUUCCAAAAUUAAGGCCAUUGAGAACUAGUCAACUCCCAGGACACCUACAAAAAUUCGUCAAUUUCUAGGUCUCGCUAGCUACUAUCGCAGGUUUAUUCAAAACUUCUCUAUCAUCGUUAAACCACUUACAACAUUGACUCAGAAGGGCGUGUCCUUUGACUGGGAAGUGAAACAAGAAAAAGUGUUCCAAACACUGAAGCGAGCCUUAAUGCAGUGCACCGAUACUAUCCCUCCUAAAAGGGAUAGAAGACUUCAUGGUUUAUUGCGACGCAUCCAACCAAGGACUCGACUGUGUUCUUAUGCAACGAGGUAAGGUCAUCUCCUAUGCCUCAAGAAAUCUAGAGACACAUUAAAUCAACUACACCACACAUGAUCUUGAGUUAGGAGCAGUGGUGUUUGCUCUAAAGAUCUGGAGACACUACCUGUAUGGUACGAAAAGCACUAUCUUUACAGACCAUAAAAGCUUGCAACAUAUAUUCAACCAGCAAGAGCUUAAUAUGCGACAACAACGGUAGGUCGAGCUACUCAAUGACUACGAAUGCGAAAUUCGUUAUCAUCCCAGCAAUGCCAAUGUAGUAGUUGACGCCCUAAGUCGGAAAGAAUACUCUGGUUGUAGAGUCAAAUCAUUGAGAAUGACUAUCCAUUUACAUAUGUCCACACAAAUCAAGGGGGCUCAACUAGAAGCCUUGAAACCUGAAAUGUGGCGGGUGAAUCCCUGAGAGGGAUUGAUAAAAACUUAGAAGUCAAGGAUGGCGGAGACAUAUAUCUCAUGGAUCGGAAGUAUCUUCUAGAGUUUUGUGUGUAGCAUACAAGUCAGAAAACUCUAAGUAUUGGAGUUUACGGCCGUAAACUUCUUUGGGUGGCUGUAAACUCCUUUAAUGAAAUCUUAUGUGACUAUAACACUUCAAUAUAAGUGUCUCCUAGUCCCUAAGGUGGUUUCCUUGCAUGAUUAGUUGCUUAUAUACUAAUUAUAUACAUACGUAUAUAUAUAUAUAUAUAUAUAUAUGUGUGUGUGUGUGUGUUAUUAUAUGUUUAUUAGGAUCUGUUCGUGUUUGAAAUUUCGCUUGACACUUAGCAUCCAAUAUCUGUCUUUUUGCCAGAUCACUCACAAUCAGGUGAGUUCAUACCCUAACUAUCAAACAGAUGGACUUCUUAUACUUGCUUGUAACCACCAACUUUGUAAUAAAGGCUUCAUAUAUGCCAAGUUUAUGCAUGGAAAAAUUAGAUAGAUGAAAUUUUAAUCAAAAGAACCUUUGUUCGGUAUAGCUCACUAUUUGUCAUAGUCAAGACGUGUUCUUGACUUGAUACGCAUUCAAUCAAAUAUGUCUUGGAAUGUUUUCACUAGUAUACAACUUAGCAUGUCUUGAUUUUUUUACUAAUCUAUCCAUUUCUUCCCAUACACGUAUCAUUUGUGGUUGUUAUUCUAGCUUAAAAACAACCCUACUCACCUAAUCAAGCUCAUAAAGGCAUCAAAAGGCAAUCACCUUUAUGUCCCUGAAUACGCAAUACGAGAGUUGCUGAUUCGUGAAACUCAUGGUGGUGGUUUAGCGGGUCAGUUUUCCAUUACCAAAACUUUGGAGGAGCAUUAAGAAUAUUUCUAUUGGCCUAAGAUAUUGGGAUGUAACUACAUAGUGGGAAAGUGUGUUACUUGUUAGAUGACGAAAAAACUUUCAAGCAUGGUGUUGCACUCCGUUGCUGGUUCAUAUUCGUCUUUAGGAAGACGUGUCAAAGGAAUUCAUUAUGGCUUUACCUAGAACUCAAAGGGGAAAGGAUUCCAUUAUUGUGGCGGUGGAUAGUUUUUCAAAAAUUGCUCUCUUUGAGCCAUGUCAUAAAACCAAUGAUGCAUCUAAUGUGUCUGAUUUAUACUUUAAAGAGGUGGUUCGCUUGCAUAUUAUAGCUAAAACUAUUGUCUCUGAGAGGGAAUCUAUGUUUUUGAGUUACUUUCGGAACACUUUGUGGAUGAAAGCUGGUACUAAGUUACUUUUUAGUACAUCACAUCAUCAACAAACUUAUGGGCAAACGAAGGUGACAAAUGAACUUUGGGUAUUUUGUUGAGGUGGUUGGUUAGCAAAACUCAAAAACAUUUGGACAUCAAACUUGUACAUGCUAAGUUUUGCUGUAAUCGUUCUGCUACUUAUGUUACAUGUCACUCUCCUUUCGAAGUGGUGUAUGGUGUGAAUCCUUAUAUUCCUUUGGAUGUAAUUCCAUUGCCAAUGGAUGAAUUGGUUCAAAAGGAUGCUAAUGACAAGUUAAAGGCCAUGAUGAAACUACACCAACAAGUUCGUGUGAAGAUUGAAGCCGUGAAAGAGUUGUACAAACAGAAUUCCAACAUGCAUAGGAAACCACAUGUCUUUCAAGAUGGUGACUUGGUGUAGGUGCAAAUGACGAAAGAAUGUUUUCCUAACAAAAGGAAGAACAAAAGUUGAUGCCAAGAGCAGAUGGUCCUUAAAAAGUGGUGUCACAUGUCAAUGAUAAUGAUUAUAAGGUGGAUUUGGGAGGAGAGCAUGGAGUGCGUGCUACCUUUAAUGUGGGAGACCUUUAACCUUAUCUUGUAGAGGAUGGCCUUGAUGAAUUGUGGUCAUUUCCUUUCAAAGGGGGGGGGGGGGGGAUCCAUGCAUGGAUCAUGAAAGCCCAAGGUGAUGGAUUAGUGACUACUAGUAGGCUAGAUAGUGGUUUGGGCUCAAUGGUUGGGUUGUGCGUGGUAACGUACGAAUUAAAUUAUGGUCGCAUGAAAGCUAGGGCAACAUUUUAAAGGCUUCAUAAGUGCUCAAAACUGUUACUNGGGGGGGGGGGGGAUGAUCCAUGCAUGGAUCAUGAAAGCCCAAGGUGAUGGAUUAGUGACUACUAGUAGGCUAGAUAGUGGUUUGGGCUCAAUGGUUGGGUUGUGCGUGGUAACGUACAAAUUAAAUUAUGGUCGCAUGAAAGCUAGGGCAACAUUUUAAAGGCUUCAUAAGUGCUCAAAACUGUUACUUUUUGUUUCAUAAAGCCUCCUAGCCAUUUUUGAUACUCUUUGGUGUUUUUGGGAUACAUUUUAAUGCUUCUCAUGGCUCCUUAAUGGAGCAUGGACGUUUUUUUUCAUUCAUUAGUCUGUCAGACGUUUUUUUUGUGCGGUUUCAUGAGUAUCUUUAAUUUUCGUUUUUAGUUUUACUGAGUAGUUGGUUGGGUGGCUUGUAACCACCAACUUUGUAAAGGUUUCAUAUAAGCCAAGUUUAUGCAUGGAAAAAGGACAUAGAACUCAAAGGGGGGAGGAUUCCAUUAUAGUGGUGGUGGAUAGGUUUUCAAAAGUUGCUCACUUUGUGCCACGUCAUAAAGCCAAUGAUGCAUCUGACGUGUGUGAUUUGUACUUUAAAGAGGUGGCUCGCUUGCAUAUUAUUCCUAAAACUAUUGUUUCGGAUAGGGAUUCCAUGUUUUUGAAUUCCUUUUGCAACACUUUGUGGAGGAAAGUUGGUACUAAGUUACGUUCUAGUACUAAUUUAUGUUGUUGAGGGGGUUGGUUAGAUAAACUCAAAAACAUUUGAACAUCAAACUUGCACAUGCUGAGUUUGCCUGUAAUCGUUCUCCUACUUAUGCUACAUGUCACUCUCCUUUUGAAUUGUGUAUGGUGUGAAUCCUUACAUGACUUGGAUUUGAUUCCAUUGCCAAAGUAUGAAUUGGUUCAAAGGGAUGAUAAUGACAAGUUAAAGGCCAUGAUGAAAUAACACCAACAAGUUCGCGUGAAGAUUGAUGUCGUGAAAGAGUUGUACAAACAGAAUUCCAACAUGCAUAGGAAAUCACGUCUUUCAAGAUGGUGACUUUGUGUAGGUGCAUAUGAGGAAAGAACGUUUUCCUAACAAAAGGAAGAACAAAAGUUGAUGCCAAGAGCAGAUGGUCCUUAAAAAGUGGUAUCAGAUGUCAAUGAUAAUGCAUUUAAGGUGGAUUUGGGAGGAGACCAUGGAAUUCGUACUACCUUUAAUGUGGAAGACCUUUUGACCUUAUCUUGUUGAGGAUCACCUUGAUGAAUUGAGGUUAUUUCCUUUCAGAGGUGGAGGGGUUGAUCCAUCCAUGGAUCAUGAAAGUACAAGGUGAUGGAUUAGUGAUUACUAGUAGGCUAGAAGGUGGUUUAGGCUCAAUGGUUGGGUUGUGCGUGGUAACCUACGAAUUGAACUAGGGUCGCAUGAAGGUUAGGACAACAUUUUAAAGGCUUCAUAAUGCUCAAAACCAUUAAUUUUUUAUUCAUAAAGCCUCCUAGCCAUUUUUGAUACUCUUUGGUGGAUUAGGGUUACACUUUAAUUCUUCUUAUGAAUCCUUAAUGGAGCAUGGACGUUUUUUUAUUCAUUAGUGUGUCAAACGUUUUUUUGUGUGGUUUCCCGAGUUUCUUUAAUUUUCAUUAUUAGUUAUACUAAGUAGAUAGUUGGGUGGCUUGUAUCCGCCAACUUUGUAAUAAAUGCUUCAUAUACGCCAAAUUUAUGUAUGGAAGAAUUAGAUUGAAAAAAUUUUAAUCAAAAGAACCUUUGUUCUACUGUUCACUACUUGUCAUAGUCGAGACGUAUUCUUGACUUGAUAUGCAUUCAAUCAAUUAUGUCUUGGAUUGUUUUCACCGGUAUACAACUUAGUAGAUCUUGAUUUAUUUUACAAAUCUAUCCAUUUCUUCCCAUACACGUGUCAUUUGUAGUUGUUAUUCUAGCUUAAUUUACCUAAACACAACGCUACUCACUUAAUCAAGCGUAUAAAGGCAUCAAAAGCCAAUCAACUUUGUGUCCCUAAACAUGCAAUACGGAGUUGGUGAUUCGUGAAGCUCAUGCUGGUGGUUUAGCGGGUCUUUUUUCCAUUACCAAAACUUUGGAGGAGCUUUAAGAAAAUUUCUUUUAGCCUAAGAUGUUGGGAUGUAACCAACAUAGUGGCCAAGGGUGUUAUAUGUCAGAUGACGAAAAAACUUUCAAGCAUGGUGUUUGCACUCCGUUUCCGAUUCCUAUUCGUCCUUGGGAAGAUGUGUCAAUGGAAUUCAUUAUGGCUUUGCGUUGAACUCAAAGGGGGAAGGAUUCCAUUAUUGUGGUGGUGGAUAGGUUUUCAAAAAUUGCUCACUUUGUGCCAUGUCAUAAAACCAAUGACGCAUCUAAUGUGUGUCAUUUGUACUUUAAAGAGGUGGUUCACUUGCAUAUUAUUCCUAAAAAUAUUGUCUCUGAGAGGGAAUCUAUGUUUUUAAGUAACUUUCGGAACACUUUGUGGAUGAAAGCUGGUACUAAGUUACUUUUUAGUACAUCCCAUCAUCCACAAAUUGAUGGGCAAACAAAGGUGACGAAUAGAACUUUGGAUACGUUGUUGAGGGGGUUGGAUAGAAAAACUCAAAAACAUUUGGAGAUCAAACUUACACCAACAAGUUCGUGUGAAGAUUGAUGUCGUGAAAGAGUUGUACAAUUAGAAUUGCAACAUGCAUAGGAAACCACGUGUCUUUCAAGACGGUGACUUUAUGAAGGUGCAGAUGAGGAAAGAACGUUUUCCUAACAAAAGGAAGAACAAAAGUUGAUGCCAAGAGCAGAUGGUCCUUAAAAAGUGGUGUCAGAUGUCAAUGAUAAUGCUUAUAAGUUGGAUUUGGGAGGAGACCAUGGAGUGUGUGCUACCUUUAAUGUGGGAGACCUUUGACCUUAUCUUGUUGAGGACGACCUUGAUCUAGUAGGCUAGAAGGUGGUUUAGGCUCAAUGGUUGGGUUGUGCGUGGUAAGCUACGAAUUGAACUAAGGUCGCAUGAAGACUAGGACAACAUUUUAAAGGCUUCAUAAGUGCUCAAAACCGUUAAUUUUUGCUUCAUAAAGCCUCCUAGCCAUUUUUGAUACACUUUGGUGGAUUAGGGUUACACUUUAAUGCUUCUUAUGACUCCUUAAUGGAGCAUGGACGUUUUUUUUUCAUUCAUUAGUGUGUCAAACGGUUUUUUGUGUGGUUUCCUGAGUUUCUUUAAUUUUCAUUGUUAGUUUUACUUAGUAGAUAGUUGGGUGGCUUCUAACCGCCAACUUUGUAAUAAAUGCUUCAUAUAUGCCAAAUUUAUGCAUGGAAAAAUUAGAUAGAUAAAAUUUUAAUCAAAAGAACCUUUGUUCAGUAGUUCACUACUUUUCAUAGUCGAGACGUGUUCUUGACUUGAUUUGCAUUCAAUCAAAUAUGUCUUGGAUUGUUUUCACCGGUAUAUAACUUAGUAGGUCUUGAUUUUUUUACUAAUCUAUCCAUUUCAUCCCAUACACAUAUCAUUCGUAGUUGUUAUUCUAGCUUAAUUUACCUAAAUACAACCCUACUCACUUUAUCAAGCGCAUAAAGGCAUCAAAAGCCAAUCAACUUUGUGUCCCUAAACAUGCAAUACGGAGUUGAUGCUUCGUGAAGCUCAAUGUGGUGGUUUAGCGGGUCAUUUUUCCAUUACCAAAACUUUGGAGGAGCUUUAAGAAAAAUUCUUUUAGCCUAAGAUGUUGGGAUGUAACCAACAUAUUGGGCAAGGGUGUUAUAUGUCAGAUGACGAAAAAACUUUCAAGCAUGGUGUUUGCACUCCGUUGCCGGUUCCUAUUCGUCCUUGGGAAGAUGUGUCAAUGGAAUUAUUAUGGCUUUGCCUAGAACUCAAAGGGGGAAGGAUUCCAUUAUUGUGGUGGUGGAUAGGUUUUCAAAAAUUGCUCAUUUUGUGCCAUGUCAUAAAACCAAUGAGGCAUCUAAUGUGUCUAAUUUGCACUUUAAAGAGGUGGUUCGAUUGCGUAUUAUUCCUAAAAAUAUUCUCUUUGUGAGGGAAUCUAUGUUUUUGAGUUACUUUCGGAACACUUUUUGGAUGAAAGCUUGUACUAAGUAACUUUUUAGUACAUCCCAUCAUCCACAAACUGAUGGGCAAACGAAGGUGAAAAAUAGUACUUUGGGUACGUUGUUGAGCGGGUUGGUUAGAAAAACUCAAAAACAUUUGGAGAUCAAACUUGCACAUGCUGAGUUUGCCUGUAAUCGUUCUCCUACUUAUGCUACAUGUCACUCUCCUUUCGAACUGUGUAUGGUGUGAAUCCUUACAUGACUUUGGAUUUGAUUCCAUUGCCAAAGGAUGAAUUGGUUCACAAGGUUGAUAAUGACAAGUUGAAGGCUAUGAUGCAACAAGUUGGUGUGAAGAUUGAUGUCGUGAAAGAGUUGUAGAAACAGAAUUGCAACAUGCAUAGGAAACCACGUGUCUUUCAAGACGGUGACUUUGUGUAGGUGCCUAUAAGGAAAUAAUGUUAUCCUAACAAAAGGAAGAACAAAAGUUGAUGCCAAGAGCAGAUGGUCCUUAAAAAGUGGUGUCAGAUGUUAAUGAUAAUGCUUAUAAGUUGGAUUUGGGAGGAGACCAUGGAGUGCGUGUUACCUUUAAUGUGGGAGACCUUUGACCUUAUCUUGUUGAGGAUGACCUUGAUGAAUUGAGGUUANGUGGGGAUGAUCCAUGCAUGGAUCAUGAAAGCACAAGGUGAUGGAUUAGUGAUUACUAGUAUGAUAGAAGGUGGUUUAGGCUCAAUGGUUGGGUUGUGCGUGGUAAGCUACGAAUUGAACUAAGGUCGCAUGAAGACUAGGACAACAUAUUAAAGGGACUGCUCAAAACUGUUAAUCUUUGCUUCAUAAAGCCUCCUAGCCAUUUUGGUACACUUUGGUGGAUUAGGGUUACACUUUAAUGCUUCUUAUGACUCCUUAAUGGAGCAUGGACGUUUUUUUCAUUCAUUAGUCUGUCAAACGUUUUUUGUGUGGUUUCCUAAGUUUCUUUAAUUGUCAUUGAGUAGAUAGUUGGGUGGCUUGUAACCGCCAACUUUGCAAUAAAUGCUUCAUAUAUGCAAAAUUUAUGCAUGGAAAAAUUAGAUAGAUAAAAUUUUAAUCAAAAAAACCUUUGUUCAGUAGUUCACUACUUGUCAUAGUUGAGACGUGUUCUUGACUUGAUAUGCGUUCAAUCAAAUAUGUCUUGGAUUGUUUUCACCGGUAUACAACUUAGUAGGUCUUGAUUUUUUUACUAAUCUAUCCAUUUCUUCCUAUACACGUAUCAUUCGUAGUUGUUAUUCUUGCUUAUUUUACCUAAACACAACCCUACUCACUUAAUCAAGUGCAUAAAGGCAUCAAAAGCCAAUAACCUUUGUGUCCCUAAACAUGCAAUACGGAGUUGAUGAUUCGUGAAGCUCAAUGUGGUGGUUUAGCGAGUCAUUUUUCCAUUACCAAAACUUUGGAGGAGUUUUAAAAAAAAAUCUUUUAGCCUAAGAUGUUGGGAUGUAACCAACAUAUUGGGCAAGGGUGUUAUAUGUCAGAUGACGAAAAAACUUUCAAGCAUGGUGUUUGCACUCCGUUGUCAGUUCCUAUUCGUCCUUGGGAAGAUGUGUCAAUGGAAUUCAUUAUGGCUUUGCCUAGAACUCAAAGGUGGAAGGAUUCCAUUAUUGUGUUGGUGGAUAGGUUUUCAAAAAUUGCUCACUUUGUGCCAUGUCAUAAAACCAAUGAUGCAUCUAAUGUGUCUAAUUUGUACUUUAAAGAGGUGGUUCACUUGCAUAUUAUUCCUAAAAAUAUUGUCUCUGAGAGGCAAUCUAUGUUUUUGAGUUACUUUCGGAACACUUUGUGGAUGAAAGCUGGUACUAAGUUACUUUUUAGUACAUCCCAUCAUCCACAAAGUGAUGGACAAACGAAGGUGACAAAUAGAACUUUUGGUACAUUGUUGAGGGGGUUGGUUAGCAAAACUCAAAAACAUUUUGACAUCAAACUUGUACAUCCUGAUUUUCCUUUAAUCGUUCUCCUACUUAUGCUACAUGUCACUCUCCUUUUGAAGUGGUGUAUAGUGUGAAUCCUUAUAUGCCUUUGGAUUUAAUUACAUUGCCAAAGGAUGAAUUGGUUCACAACGAUGCUAAUGAGAAGUUGAAGGCCAUGAUGAAACUACACCAACAAGUUCGUUUGAAGAUUGAAGUGUGAAAGAGUUGUACAAACAGAAUUCCAACAUGCAUGUGUCUUUCAAGAUGGUGACUUGGUGUAGGUGCAUAUGAGAAAAGAACGUUUUCCUAACAAAAGGAAGAACAAAAGUUGAUGCGAAGAGUAGAUGGUCCUUAAAAAGUGGUUUCAGAUGUCAAUGAUAAGGUGGAUUUGGGAGGAGACCAUGGAGUGCGUGCAACCUUUAAUGUGGGAGACCUUUGGUCUUAUCUUGUUGAGGAUAACCUUGAUGAAUUGAGUUUAUUUCCUUUCAAAAGGGAGGGGAUAAUCCAUGCAUGGAUCAUAAAAGCACAAGGUGAUAGAUUAGUGAUUACUAGUAGGCUAGAAGGUGGUUUAAACUCAAUGGUUGGGUUGUGUGUGGUAACCUAUGAAUUGAACUAGGGCCGCAAGAAGUUUUACUGAGUAGUUGGUUGGGUGGCUUGUAACCGCCAACUUUGUAAUAAAUGCUUCAUAUAUGCCAAAUUUUUCAUGGAAAAAUUAGAUAGACAAAACUUUAAUCAAAAGAACCUUUGUUCAGUAGUUCAGUACUUGUCAUAAUGGAGACGUGUUCUUGACUUGAUACGCAUUCAAUCAAAUAUGUCUUGGAUUGUUUUCACCGGUAUACAACUUAGUAGGUCUUGAUUUAUUUUACUAAUCUAUCCAUUUCUUCCCAUACAUGUGUCAUUUGUAGUUGUUAUUCUAGCUUAAUUUACCUAAACAUAACCCUACUCACUUAAUCAAGCCCAUAAAGGCAUCAAAAGCCAAUCACCUUUAUUUCUCAAAACAUGCAAUACGUAGUUGAUGAUUCGUGAAGCUCAUGGUGGUUUAGCGAGUCAUUUUUCCAUUACCAAAACUUUGGAGGAGCUUUAAGAAAAUUUCUUUUAGCCUAAGAUGUUGGGAUGUAACCAACAUAGUGGCAAGGAUGUUAUAUGUCAUAUGAUGAAAAACUUUCAAGCAUGGUGUUUGCGCUCCGUUGUCGGUUCCUAUUCGUCCAUGGGAAGAUGUGUCAAUGGAAUUAAUUAUGGCUUUGCCUAGAACUCAAAGGGGGAAGGAUUCCAUUAUUGUGAUGGUGGAUAGGUUUUCAAAAAUUGCUCACUUUGUGCCAUGUCAUAAAACCAAUGAUGCAUCUAAUGUGUCUAAUUUGUACUUUAAAGAGGUGGUUCACUUGCAUAUUAUUCCUAAAAAUAUUGUCUCUGAGAGGGAAUCUAUGUUUUUGAAUUACUUUCGGAACACCUUUUUUAGUACAUCCCAUCCUCCACAAACUGAUGGGCAAACGAAGGUGACAAAUAGAACUUUGGGUACGUUGUUGACUGGGUUGGUUAGAAAAACUGAAAAACAUUUGGACAUCAAACUUGUACAUGCUGAGUUUUCCUGUAAUUGUUCUCCUACUUAUGCUACAUGUCACACUUAACCAUCUCUAUUGUAACUCCCAUGCAUUAAUCCACGUCCAUAUUAGCUUCCUAUGAUACCAUGCACACAAAUUUUGCCACAACACAUGCCAUGCUACAUUGCCAUGUGGCGAGUACCAAUUUAUCAUUAUUAUAGCUCACAUCAUCCAUACUUAUGUCAAGGGUGAGCCCAUUACGAUACAAAUUGGGUUGGAACUUGAAGAUUGCGAAUUGCAGUCCAAAUUCAUAUCAUCCCCUCCUACUUCAAAAGGAAUUGACCUCAAUUCUGCAAGACGAGCAUCUUCACAUUUAACCUGCUCCACAUUUAUUUCACCCAUCAAUAUAGUUCAAUGCUUCUGGACUUGUUCGUUAUUUAUGGGAUACACUGUUGUAGACGUCAUGGACUCUUGGAAUUCCUUUCUUGGUUCAACCAAAAUCACCUCCUUCUCAAAAAAUUUGUUCGCAUCAAAAAAAUUAUUUUCUUCCAUGAUUGCAUCCACACUUUCAACAAUUUCAAUCUUGGAGUUAUCUCCUUCUUCAACUUCUUCAGUGAAUUCAUCCAUUUCUUUAGUAUUAUCAUCUCUAAUCAUGAAAUUGUUUUCUUCAAUAGUUACUUCAACAAUUUCAUCUUCAACAAAUAAAUUAACCUCUUCUACCUUGACUUCUUCCACCUUGACAUCGGCAACAUCAGCCUUGUCAUCAAUGGUUUGUGAUGUUUCAAGUACCAAAACCGUGUCACCAGCCAAUGCUUUGUACUCUUCUUCUUCCUCUUUGAUCAUAACUGCCUUUUUAAAUAUCUCCACCCUUCUUUUGAAAUUAACAGUCUCCAAGCUCAUUGGCGCAUAGCUCUCUCAGAGUUUUCGUUUCAGAGAUUCCCAAGAAGAAAGCUUUCCCUUUCCUUCACGGGUUCUUUUUGCCUUCAACUUUUCAUACCACAAUUCAGCUUCUCCUCUCAACCUUAGAAUGGCAUAUUUGCAACUCCAUUCAUCUUCCACACAUUUGAACUGAAAAACUCUUUCCAUCUCCUUCUCCCAAUCCAAAUAAUUUUCUGGAUUGAAUCCUCCAACGAAUUUAGGCAAUUCAUUUACCUUUAACUCCCCCAUAUUCCUUGGCUGCUCAUACUUAGGUUUCCUUCGACUCGAUUCUUUUGAUACAUCCUUCAUAGCUUCACGAAGAACACGAAGAAAAUUUAGAUUAUCNUCUCCUCUCAACCUUAGAAUGGCAUAUUUGCAACUCCAUUCAUCUUCCACACAUUUGAACUGAAAAACUCUUUCCAUCUCCUUCUCCCAAUCCAAAUAUUUUUCUGGAUUGAAUCCUCCAACGAAUUUAGGCAAUUCAUUUACCUUUAACUCCCCCAUAUUCCUUGGCUGCUCACACUUAGGUUUCCUUCGACUCGAUUCUUUUGAUACAUCCUUCAUAGCUUCACGAAGAACACGAAGAAAAUUUGGAUUAUCCCAAUCCAUCGUAACUGAAUUCGUGAUAACACUUGGUAGAAUUGUUUUUCUUGUUCAAUAAGAGCAACAACAGAUUUUGGCAAGAACUUAACAACACCAAAUCAGCACACUCGACAAUGACCUCUUUUUUCUACUCAACAAAACCCAAUCGGAACUGGGCUCUGAUACCACAUAUGAUACGUGUAUGGACCGCUCCAAGUCCAACUAACACGAAUCUGGACUUCUAACACAUCAACUGAUACUAAUAUUGGGAUUGACACCACAAAUAAUAUCAAAUGGGUUUGAAAAUGCAGCGGAAUAAACAACAAUGGAUUUGACAAGAACAAAAUAAAGAAAAAGGGAUAGAUUUGAAUAUCAAACUAGACCUAUAGCUUGGAAUUCUAUGAAAACAAGUUAAGACCUAUUAACUUGAGUUCAAGAUCAAUAUUAAGAGGCGCAUCCUAAUAAGGAUCAAAUUUUGAAUUGUCACAACAACUUGGAAUGAACAACAGUUCAAUUUUCAAUAUAUUCAAAAACAUAAUUAUCUCCUUACAAAUGAAAGGAAAUGACUAUANGAUGUGAUCUCACCCAAAAUUGAGGUUUGAACACGUUUUGCCCGAUCGUUCUUUUGGUUACAGAAUUGUAAAACAAAGGUGGAAACCGCGACCCGUUGUCUAUAAAGAGACAAGAACCUUGGUAUAAAACGCCACAAUCAACCCACCAAAUUGAUUGAUAAGUUUGAACGCCACAAGCUAUGAAAACCUGAUAAGUUCUAAAGUUCACAAAGAACGAAAAAAGAGUUAAAAACUCACAAAUUGUAUUCAAAACUUGAUUGAUUUCAAAUGGAUACAAAUACCACGUUUUUAUAGUGUGGGAAGAGCACCUAAAGAGCCAUGAAUUAAAGAAGUGUCUUUAAUUUAAGGCAUUUAACCCCCAAGUUUAAAACUAUGAACCUAGACAUGGUUUAUCACAAGGUUCAUGUAACCUAAGACCCUUUUAUCUCCCCAACACUUAUUUAGGAUAUAUAAAAUUGAAAAUUACAUAAAAAUAUAGAAAAAAACGAAAUGGGCUUAUAAANNNNNNNNNNNNNNNNNNNNNNNNNNNNNNNNNNNNNNNNNNNNNNNNNNNNNNNNNNNNNNNNNNNNNNNNNNNNNNNNNNNNNNNNNNNNNNNNNNNNAGCAAUUUUUGAAAAACUAUCCACCGCCACAAUAAUGGAAUCCUUUCCCCUUUGAGUUCUAGGUAAAGCCAUAAUGAAUUCCUUUGACACGUCUUCCUAAAGACGAAUAUGAACCAGCAACGGAGUGCAACACCAUGCUUGAAAGUUUUUUCGUCAUCUAACAAGUAACACACUUUCCCACUAUGUAGUUACAUCCCAAUAUCUUAGGCCAAUAGAAAUAUUCUUAAUGCUCCUCCAAAGUUUUGGUAAUGGAAAACUGACCCGCUAAACCACCACCAUGAGUUUCACGAAUCAGCAACUCUCGUAUUGCGUAUUCAGGGACAUAAAGGUGAUUGCCUUUUGAUGCCUUUAUGAGCUUGAUUAGGUGAGUAGGGUUGUUUUUAAGCUAGAAUAACAACCACAAAUGAUACGUGUAUGGGAAGAAAUGGAUAGAUUAGUAAAAAAAUCAAGACAUGCUAAGUUGUAUACUAGUGAAAACAUUCCAAGACAUAUUUGAUUGAAUGCGUAUCAAGUCAAGAACACGUCUUGACUAUGACAAAUAGUGAGCUAUACCGAACAAAGGUUCUUUUGAUUAAAAUUUCAUCUAUCUAAUUUUUCCAUGCAUAAACUUGGCAUAUAUGAAGCCUUUAUUACAAAGUUGGUGGUUACAAGCAAGUAUAAGAAGUCCAUCUGUUUGAUAGUUAGGGUAUGAACUCACCUGAUUGUGAGUGAUCUGGCAAAAAGACAGAUAUUGGAUGCUAAGUGUCAAGCGAAAUUUCAAACACGAACAGAUCCUAAUAAACAUAUAAUAACACACACACACACACAUAUAUAUAUAUAUAUAUAUAUAUACGUAUGUAUAUAAUUAGUAUAUAAGCAACUAAUCAUGCAAGGAAACCACCUUAGGGACUAGGAGACACUUAUAUUGAAGUGUUAUAGUCACAUAAGAUUUCAUUAAAGGAGUUUACAGCCACCCAAAGAAGUUUACGGCCGUAAACUCCAAUACUUAGAGUUUUCUGACUUGUAUGCUACACACAAAACUCUAGAAGAUACUUCCGAUCCAUGAGAUAUAUGUCUCCGCCAUCCUUGACUUCUAAGUUUUUAUCAAUCCCUCUCAGGGAUUCACCCGCCACAUUUCAGGUUUCAAGGCUUCUAGUUGAGCCCCCUUGAUUUGUGUGGACAUAUGUAAAUAGAUAGUCAUUCUCAAUGAUUUGACUCUACAACCAGAGUAUUCUUUCCGACUUAGGGCGUCAACUACUACAUUGGCAUUGCCGGGAUGAUAACGAAUUUCGCAUUCGUAGUCAUUGAGUAGCUCGACCUACCGUUGUUGUCGCAUAUUAAGCUCUUGCUGGUUGAAUAUAUGUUGCAAGCUUUUAUGGUCUGUAAAGAUAGUGCUUUUCGUACCAUACAGGUAGUGUCUCCAUCUCUUUAGAGCAAACACCACUGCUCCUAACUCAAGAUCAUGUGUGGUGUAGUUGAUUUAAUGUGUCUCUAGAUUUCUUGAGGCAUAGGAGAUGACCUUACCUCGUUGCAUAAGAACACAGUCGAGUCCUUGGUUGGAUGCGUCGCAAUAAACCAUGAAGUCUUCUAUCCCUUUUAGGAGGGAUAGUAUCGGUGCACUGCAUUAAGGCUCGCUUCAGUGUUUGGAACACUUUUUCUUGUUUCACUUCCCAGUCAAAGGACACGCCCUUCUGAGUCAAUGUUGUAAGUGGUUUAACGAUGAUAGAGAAGUUUUGAAUAAACCUGCGAUAGUAGCUAGCGAGACCUAGAAAUUGACGAAUUUUUGUAGGUGUCCUGGGAGUUGACUAGUUCUCAAUGGCCUUAAUUUUGGAAGGGUCCACAUUAAUUCCUUCUUCGCUAACCACAUGACCCAAGAAUUCGACUCUUCAGAUCCAAAAUUCUGUGACAACCCAAGAUUUCUAUUAUGUACAACCCUUCACUUAAAUAGAUCUGCUAAUUUUCAAGCUUUUUGGAAUAAGUUUGAGUAUUUUAGGAUUAGCACUUUGAGAGAAAUUAGGAGAGAGGAUGCCCUAGGGUUUAUUAUGCAUCAAUAAAGUUUCAAAAACUCCAAGAGUUUGGAGUUUACAGACCAAGUCACCAUCUAGAAAGACACGUGGUUUCCUAUGCAUGUUGGAUUUUUGUUUGUACAACUCUUUCACGGCUUCAAUCUUCACACGAACUUGUUGGUGUAUUUUCAUCAUGGCCUUCAACUUGUCAUUAGCAUCCUUGUGAACCAAUUCAUCCUUUGGCAAUGGAAUUAAAUCAAAAGUCAUAUAAGGAUUUACACCAUACACCACUUCAAAAGGAGAGUGACAUGUAGCAUAAGUAGGAGAAAGAUUACAGGCAAACUCAACAUGUACAAGUCUGAUAUCCAAAUGUUUUUGAGUUUUGCUAACCAACCCCCUCAAACAACGUACCCAAAGUUCUAUUUGUCACCUUCGUUUUCCUAUCAGUUUGUGGAUGAUGGGAUGUAAUAAAAAGUAAGUUAGUACUAGCUUUCAUCCACAAAGUGUUCCGAAAGUAACUCAAAAUCAUAGAUUCCCUCUUAGAGACAAUAUUUUUUGGAAUAAUAUGCAAGGGUAACAUCCCAAAUUUCGGGUCCAAAAAUUUCAUUUUUAUUUAUCGGAUUGUAAAUACAUUCAUAAGAAAACUGUGUAACAAUAUAUCAUUUUGUGAAUUAAUGUAUCAGAUUUGAAAACCCAGAACAUAUAAUAGUAACAUGUCAGAGUACAAUCCCAGAAUAUCUCUAGUGCGGAAGAUGAAUACUUGUGUAUAUGAUGUGCCGCUACCAGGCCAGCUCUUUCCCCUUCGCUAAGGAGGUACCUGAGACCAAAACUGUAAACUGUAAGCACGGAGCUUAGUAAGAUCCCCCACAAUACCACAUACCAUGCACAUAUAAUGAACAACUAGGAGAUGCGCGCCUCGCCCACACUCAUGGAGAUACGAGCCUCGCCCACACUUUGCUAGCAAGGAGAUACGAGCCUCGCCCACAUUCCGUUGUCUCUUAGAUACGGGCCUCGCCCACACUCAGCUACUAAACCAUAGCAUACAUGUAUCAUACAGACCACAAGUAUAAGCAAUUCUAUCAAACAAGCCUAUAUCAUAAUCAAACUCAACUAUGAGAUGCGAGCUCUGCCCACACUCCAAUACUAACGUAUCACCUAUACGGGCCGACUUUGGUACCUUAGACCCGUUUCUACUGGAAGAAAACUCACCUCGUAAGACUGACCGCUGGAAAGCUGCUCGGGAAGUCUCUGACUAUUGCUACUCCGGAAAUCUUUCGGCUAUCAUCUCCACAAAACACUCAGUUAGAAUCUGAUAUCUACUCUUAGGGUAAAAUGACUAUUUUACCCCUACCCCGGAGCAAGUCAAAUUCAAAGUCAACUUCCUGUUGACCCGACUCGCCGAGUUGGGCCGUCAACUCGUCGAGUCCCUGUCUCUUCAACCGUCCUCAUCCACGUCCCUACUCAUCGAGUUUAGCAUCGACUUGAUGAGUUCUACUUCUAUCACAACCUCGGAUGAACCUUCAUCGCCAAGCGGUAUGAACACUCGUCGAGUCCAUCAUCAUCCUAUGAAUACGUCCUGACCUCGACUCGCCGAGUUGUAUGAACAACUUGUCGAGUUCAUCUUCAAGGGUUGGGAGAUUGCCUUGGACUCAGCGAGUCUAUUCUAGCACUCGCCGAGUCCUAUGAACUCCAGGUCUAAAACUAAGUCCAAUGCGUUGGGUCACUCUUCCUGUGCUGCUACAACCCUUCUAACACCCAACUAAGUUCUUUUGACCCUCAGCAUAUAUGGGACUCAAAGCCUUGGACUCGUCGAGUCCCAAGAACGGACUUGCCGAGUUGGUCACAUCCACACCCUAAAUCCUCGAUUUCUGAUGUACAACUCAUGACCAAAAGAUAGAGCUAGGCUGCUACAAGCGUUCUAGCAUGUAAAGUUUAUAACUUUGUGUCUAAAAGGUCCUAAAACAAGCUCUUGGGUUGCAUGGAGUCUUUCUUGGGUGUAAAAGCACCCACUUUCCGCCUUGUGACCCCUCUGAGGACCUAGAUCCGAAUCCUUGUCCCAAACCAUGCUUGCAUCCAUGGUUAGCUACCUAAAAUGGCUUAUAAAAGCCCUAAAUCUCCAUAAAAUGGGAUCUAGCAAAUGAACAAGCAAGUUAGCAACUUUAUACCUUCUGAGGAAUGGAAAUGAAGCGCAAACUCGAACCCCUCUGGUCACAUCUUGUUUCCUAAAGCUCUUCUCCUUCCUUCUUAAGACUACUAGCACCAAAGUCCACCAAAAUGACUUAGAUUGCUUCAACAGCGGUUAGGGUUUUCUAUAGAGGGUUUCUGGCAGCAUAAAGGGACGAUGGAGGCGGUAUAAGGUUGUUUAAAUAGGAUGUAAACCCUCAGAUUAGGGUUUUGUCCAAACAGAUCCUACUCGUCAAGUCCGGGACCCGACUCGACGAGUCCAUCAGUUAAAUCGCGCGUCUCAUCCCGCUUCUACUCGGUGAGUUGGGCCUUCAACUCGCUCCUUUAUAAGUGGUGUAUGGUGUGAAUCCUUACAUGACUUUGUAUUUGAUUCCAUUUCCAAAGGAUGUAAUGACAAGUUGAAGGCCAUGAUGAAACUACACCAACAAGUUCGUUUGAAGAUUGAAGUCGUGGAUGACGUGUACAAACAGAGUUCUAACAUGCAUAGGAAACCACGUGUCUUUUAAGAUGGUGACUUAGUUUAGGUGCAUAUGAGGAAAUAACGUUUUCCUAACAAAAGGAUGAACAAAAGUUGAUGCCAAGAGCNNNNNNNNNNNNNNNNNNNNNNNNNNNNNNNNNNNNNNNNNNNNNNNNNNNNNNNNNNNNNNNNNNNNNNNNNNNNNNNNNNNNNNNNNNNNNNNNNNNNUGCUAAAACUAUUGUUUUUUUAGUACGUCCCAUCAUCCAAUCACAGAUGGGCAAACGAAGAUGACUAAUAGAACUUUGGAUACGUUGUUGAGGGGGUUGGUUAGCAAAACUCAAAAAACAGUUGGACAUCAAACUUGCACAAGCUGCGUUUUCCUGUAAUCGUUCUCCUACUUAUGCUACAAGUCACUCUCAUUUAUAAGUGGUGUAUGGUGUGAGUCCUUACAUGACUUUGUAUUUGAUUCCAUUUCCAAAGGAUGAAUUGCUUCACCAGGAUGCUAAUGACAAGUUGAAGGCGAUGAUGAAACUAGACCAACAAGUUUGUGUGAAGAUUGAAGUCGUGAAUGACGUGUACAAACAGAGUUCCAACAUGCAUAGGAAAACACGUAUCUUUCAAGAUGGUAACUUGGUUUCGGUGCAUAUGAGGAAAGAACGUUUUCCUAACAAAACAAUAAACAAAAGUUGAUGCCAAGAGCUGAAGGUCCUUACAAAGUGGUGACACAUUUCAAUGAUAAUGCUUAUAAGGUGGACCUGGGAGGAGACCAUGGAGUACAUGCUACCUUUAAUGUGGGAGACCUUUACCGUAUCUUGUUGAGGAUGGACUUGAUGAAUUGAGGUCAUUUCCUUUCAAAGGGGGAGGGGAGGAUCCAUGGAUGUAUCAUGAAAGCCCAGAAGGUGAUGGAUUAGUGAUUACUAGUAGGCUAGAAGGCGGUUUGUACUAAAUGGUUGGGUUGAGCAAGGUAACCUAUGUAUUGAAUUAGGGUCACAUGAAGGCUAGGGCAACAUUUUAAAGGCUUAAUAAGUGUUCAAAACCGUUACAUUUAGAUUCGUCAAGCCUUCUAGCCAUUUUUGAUACUCUUUGGUGGAUUUGGGUUACACUUUAAUUCUUCUUUUGGCUCCUUAAUGGAGCAUGGACGCUUUUUUCAUUCAUUAGUGUGUCAAACAUUUUUUGUGUGGUUUCAUGAGUUUCUUUAAUUUUCAUUAAUAGUUUUACUAAGUAGUUUGUUGGGUGGCUUGUAACCACCAACUUUGUAAUAAAGGGUUCAUAUAAGCCAAGUAUGCAUGGAAAAAAGAGAUAGUUGAAAUUUUAAUCAAAAGAACCUUUGUUCACAUUGAAUUAUAGUUAUAGUUCACUAGUUGUCAUAGCCGAGACGUGUUCUUGACUUGAUACGCAUUCAAACAAAUAUUAUGUCUUGGAUAUUUUUCAUGGAUACACAACCACCCAAGAACCUCAGCCAACUCCCCUAAAGAGAAAACUCAAGAUCAAGGAGGGAAGUACGCGGCUCAAGGACCUUCUGAAGGGCAACAAGCUGAGACAGUCAAUAUCCCUGCCAAUCCUUCCAUCCCUACACCUAGGAGACCAUACCUAGGAAACUUUCCCCACUUCAGCAAGUGUAGCUACCAUAAUCAUGGUGUACGCCGGGUGCUCUAUGGUGCUAGGUGCCAUGUGAAGGGCCAUGCUACUCGUGUCUACAGAACUUCGGUUGAGUUUAUUACAUCAACCGCCAAUGUGGCAGACAACCCAGUUUACCACCUAUGUGGUAAAGAUGGACACUUCAAGAAGAGCUAUCCAAACUGAAGUAAAACAACAAGGACUCAGGAGGAGUCUGACUCUACUGCUUAGGGAGAAGCAUCUAGGAACCCGGUAGAAUUUUAAGUACGUCUCUCAAAUUCAGAUAACUAACCGAGAACAUAAAAAGGCUAAUCCUAAGUGUAAGUAUUUUCCAUUAUGGCGAAAGUCGCAACACUAUUAUAAAAUUUAAAAAUUCAUCAGGUAAAACUAUAAUUGCUAAAUAUAUACGUUACGGCCAUGUAUGAUUGAGAUGGAUAGACCUAGAGUGAGUGAAGGCCGCCUCAUUUCAUGUUCCUCGUUUGGUUGUGGAUUUAAGGCGGAGUCGCUCAGUCAACAGUCGUCCCCACCUUAAUUAUACAUGACUAGUAUAUGUGAGGCGACUAUAGAAAUGCCUCGUGAGAAUCCAUUCAGAAAAAGGUACUCUACUCAGAAACACUCAGGACCCUCUAUAGUUCCGUGUCGACUCUAUCGGUCCAAGUAUCCGCGACAGUGAUACACGGGACGAAACCCGAGACGCCUAGAACUUGUGUGCUCGUUCGACACAUGACUCUAUCGACCCUCCUACUGUAUCAUGUCGAAGUGUGCCAACUUCGACGACUCUAUCAAUCAUGGUUUGACGUAGUGCAACCAUGUGUAAAUCCCUAGUGCUGUGUAAAAGAGAACUUUCUCCAUAGCCAUUCGGCAAACAAAGGUUCUUCCGAACCUAAACAAAAUAAGAAUAAUAAAAACUAGUGCGAUCCGUCAGUCGUCACUCUUAUCUCAAACCUUCCGAAGUACCCAGGAAAGGGGUACCGCGUGUUGUUAACCAACCCUCCUUAGACAGAUAGAAACCGAAGCGAAAGACACUACAGAUAUUCCAGAAGACGAUAACCACCUGAAGCAUACUCAGUAGGAACCCAGAAAGACCCUUCAUCCUAUCCCAUGGAAUGGGAACUAGAGUCAAGAGAACCACUGCGGGUUGAGCUACUAUAGUGACCAUAAAUCCGAAAUUGUUGUCAUCUCGGUUAAGCCAACAUAGUAGUGAACACCCUCAGUUGGUAAGGAAAUCUUAGUCAUAAGAGUCAAGUACAUUGACUACGACCAUCCAUUCACGCUUAAUCCCCCAAAUUAAGCAUCUCAGUGGAUACCCCGAAAUCCCGGAAGUUGCGAUAAGUUAAACCUUGAGAAGAGUGGAUGAGGAGAUUAGAAGUUCCGAGUGACGGAACCCUAUACCUCUAGACUUAACCUAAAAUCAAGAAAACUCGGAACCCCCGGAAGAGUAGAUGCAGAAGAUGCUCAAACUACUCAGGCACUUCGUCCACCCCGUUACCGACGAGUGGUGCCCAGUACACUCCACCUCCUUUCGUGGAGGAAGUCACCGUCACCCUGUAGACGAUAGACUGCAUUCUCCGAAGUGAAUACUAGAAUGCCAAGAACCGCAGGAUAGCCCCCGCAACCAAGAAUACUUGAAUAAAGUGCGACAGUAGGUUGCGUUAAGCCUUAUAACCCAGAUCCCGAAGAGAUUAUAGACUUGAUGGCAGUCUAGGUGUUAGUCGAUGGGUUAUACAAGAGCACGCGCUUUCUGCGACUAUAAUAAACCGACGCCUUAGAGAUAUGCCUUGGAGAGUCAUUAAGACUAGUAGGUGUUCCAAGAAUGCUAUCUCUCGUAGAGAUAGUAGAACCACCUCCCGAGAUAGUACAACACUUCAUAAAAUCUCUAAGGAUUGAGUUAGCCCUGAGCAGAGCUUGUUAUUCAUGAAGUAGCAAAGCAAGUAAGAGCAUGAUUCCUUCCNGAUGAUCUAGAAAGUCUCUAAAAGCCAAUUGACAGGAAACACGAAACCAAGGACAACCCGAGCUUCCUAAGAACCAACCUGAAGGACUACACUUCCAGUAUGAGAGAGAACGUUAGGAACUUUAGAGUGGCGAUCACGCCAGUGAUGAUUUUGCCAUAGAAGUACACUAUGUUCUAAGUACUGAAAAGAUUUACCCUUCCGAGAGCUUAGGACCAUCUGAGAACCCUCACGGAGAUUGGUCCAACCCUCAUCAGACCACUACUCCUUUCUGAUAUUCCACAAGCUUCAUCCCAGAUCGAUCCACUUCCUAGACUUGAUAAGUGCUUGCCCGACGUCACUCUUUGUAUCCCACUCAUCUUGAUAGAAACCAUUGAGAACCCUAACUUCGUAGACAUACCUGUAGGAAGUCGCUAACUGCACGAGACGGAAUCCGCAUCUCGUAGGUAAAGGUUUGUUGGAAUGGCAAACACAGGCCAGAGUUCACUUGGGAGUGCGAGGACAAACCGAAUAGGAAGUACCCUCCUGCCCCUACUCGGUCAUUCAUACCUAUUUCCUUGCCUAAACCUGAAUUUCGGGACGAAAUUCCCUCUAACGGGGGGAUGAUGUGACAACCCGAAAUUUAUUCCGUCAUUUUUAACCCCUUGUUCCGUUAAUAAGCCUUGUUUUAUUUGACUGCCCGUUAACCUUUUGGAAGAGGUUAAUUAAUGUGGGAUUGUUAAUGACUUGGUAAGGGUUGAAACAAAUUACAAACACUACAAAUUUUCCCUUAAAAAAUUUUAGUUUCAACCAAGUCAAAAUACGACAGUUUAAUCGGGUGCGACCAAAAAGCCCCGUUUAACGGCAGUAUCUUGUAGAUUUCGACUGAGCCCCAACUCAAACCCCUAUAUAAGGGGGAGUGGACUUCAAUUCCACCCUUUUCACCCUCUCUUUACACUCUCUCUCUUUACAACUUAAUUUCGAGCAAAAAAUCGUCCGUUUCAAGCCCCAAACAAGUGAGUAGUCUAUCCUAACUUGUUGAAUAGCUUACCUAACAUGUAAAUUCGAGUUUAAGAUAUCAAAUAGGGUUAGACCAUGUGUUUACGGCCCAAGAACACUCGUGGACCGUGAACACCAUUUAAUGGGGUUUUUAAGCCCCAAAACCCCUCUAAACUACCCCUAAGGCUUAGAUAUGACUAAAUGGCUUAUGGAAUCAGACUUAGAACACCUUGAACUAACAUUUUGGGGAGUAAACUUGAGUUUACNUGCCCAAGAAAUGCUUGGGCUGUAAACUCCUCUUCAUGGGGAGUAAACUCAAGUUUAGGGAAGAAUAAAACAAUGCUAAACAAUGCUAAGCUUUUUCGCUUUCUCUCUCUACUUUCUCUCUCUUCUCCUGAUUCUCUCUGACGGUGGUGCGAUCUAGCUUCGAUUCAUCAGUGCUGCUUUUCUGACGAAUUUCUUUUCAUUGGUGAAGCAAUUUCUUUCCUAAUUCCGUUGAUUUAAUGGGAGCGUCAUCCAAAUCGGAUCGAUUGAAGGAUGUGAAGGUUAAACCUCCGGAUAAAAGUGCUGCUGUUCGAUAUACAAAAACUGAAAUGGAGGUGAAUGAUCUUAUUCCUCCUGGGGUUAUUGAGCAAUCAUCAGCAACGAUCUAUAAAGCUCGUCGCAAACCAAGUGCGACUGGAGCUGUUGCAUCUGGGAUAAGCAAAGCUGAAUGGAAAAUGGAGGGGAAAGCUUUCAGAAUCAAGAAUAGAGUUCGUAAAUUGGUGGAUGAAUUAGCUCCGAUGGAUACUGAGGAAUACUACAAUGAAGAUGGUUCAGAGGAGGAAACGGAAGAAGAAUCGGAAUCUAUCUCAGUUUGGGAAUCGGAUUCUAACAUUUCUAUACCUGGAUCUGAUGGAAAGGAGAAGGAAUUGAAGAAAGGAUCGUCUGGUGAUUCCAAAAAGGUAAGAUCUCAUGUUGUUACUAUCCCAACUGGUAAUACUGCUAAUUUGAUGAAAAAUUGGGAUGGGUUGAUGAUGAGUAAUGAAGUUUUGAGUCCAAAAUCUGAAUUGAAGAAUGUUAUUAGUGAAUGGUUAGGGUGAAUCCUACCAUUUCGGCGAUGGAUGUUAAAAAUCAGAAUAAUUCAAAAAUGGAAGAUAAUGAAGUUAUGAAGAUUAGAACUGAUGGGGAGAAAAGUGCUAGUAAUAAUGAAGAAUUCAUUCCAGGAAUUGGGUUUCAAUUCCUGAGUGAAUUGAAGGAAGAAGGACAGGUGGGGAAGGGAGAUGAUAAGGGGAUGAUUCAGAAUAUGGAUAUGGAUGAUUUAAAAUUGGGUAAGACAGAGAAUAAGGUGGAAGAUGAUAAAGAAGAAGAGAGUUCAGAAGAAGAAGAGGGGGAAAUUGAUUCAAGUGAGGAAGAGACAAGUGAAGAUGAAGAAAUAAUGAUGGAGGAGGAGGAUAUUGAUAAGACUAGUAGUGAUAAUAAUGGGAAGUUGUUAUCAGGAACAGUUAUUAAUAGUAUUAAUACAUUACCUUCUAUUUUGGGAGUUGCUAAAAAUGGUAAAGUGGUUGAGAAUGAGAUGCAGGGGAAGUUAGAGAACUCUUAUGCAGGUGUGUUAAAAGGAAAUAGGCAUAAGGGUAAAAUAGAUGUUAGAUAUAUACCAGGAGAUACUGGUAAUGAUGAAGGGCCGGUUAUCAUUCCAAUUGAAAAUCUAAAAAGUGCUAGUAUUCCUUAUACUAAUACUUUGUAUGGGUAUAUGAUAAACAAGAAGUUGGCUUUUCCAGUGAUACAGAAAGAGGUUAGAAGACUUUGGAAGAAUUUGGGAUUGGAGGAGGUAUUCAUGAACAGCAAAGGAUUUUUCUUUUUUAAAUUUACUGAUGAGAAAGGGAUGUUAGAGGUGUUGGAGGGAAGUCCAUGGUUGAUGUUCAAUAACAUGCCCCUAUUCCUACAACGAUGGAGACCAGGUCUGACUUUAACAAAAAAUAAUCAUGAUAAAAUACCUGUAUGGAUCAAAAUUUUUGAUUUGCCUCUAGAAGUAUGGAGUGGAGAUAAUUUGUGUAUAAUAGCUAGCAAGAUAGGUAUUCCGCUGGCAUUUGAUUCUUUUACAGAGGAAAUGUGUUUGGAACAUAAAGGAAGAAAUGCUUAUGCUAGGAUCCUUGUUGAAAUGGCAGCUGAUAAGGAAUGGAAGAAGAAAAUUGAUAUAUCUACGUGGGAUUUUGUUACUAAUACUGCUGUAAUUCAGAGUUUUGAUGUGGAAUAUGCUUGGACUCCUUCAAGAUGUAAUCAUUGCAAGGUAUUUGGGCACAUGGAUAAAGUUUGUCUUGCUGCUUUGAGUGAAGAAAAAGUGAUUAAAAAUGGGGGUGAAGAGAAGAUUAAGAAUAAUAAAGGAAAGGAAAUUGCUAAGGAUGAUGGAUUUGUGGAAGUCAAUUAUAAGAAGAGGGCAAGUAAUAAUAAUGGAGAAGGUACAAGCAAAACUAAGGAAGGUUAUUAUCAGGUGAAUAAUCAGAGAUUUAAUGGGAAGAAUAGUAAUUAUAACAAGGGGAAUAAUUUUAGAGGAAAUAAUGGUUAUAGAGGGGAUAAUGGAAAAGGACAGAAUGGGAAUUGGGGCAAUAAGGGGAUUGGAUAUUGGAAUUUAGAUAAGAAUAGAAGAUAUGAGAAGUUCGUGAAUAGUAAGAAUAUGGAGGGUAAUCAGGGGGUUAAGGAUAAUAAGAAACAAGGGUAUGCAGAUAUGAAUACUAAUAAUAAAGAAGAAGAAAAGAUGAGGAGUGAUAAUAACAAUAAACCACUGAUUGGAGGCAAUAACAAAAACAGUUUUGAAGUUUUGGGAAUAAUAGAGGAGGAAGUAUUGUAUAGAAUGGAAGAAGAUACUAAAGGGGAAAAAGAAGGAGAAUUGCAGAAGGGAGCAAAUUAAGUAUCUUUGGAUGAUAAUGAUGGGAAAAAGAAAAAUAUGAUGUUAUCAUCUAAGAUAAUUGAGAAGGAUAAUAUAAAGAGUCGUAUUAGCAAUGAGAAGGGUAUUUUGAAAAAUAAGGGGAGUAGUAAAAGUAUAGUUGGGAACUCUCAGGCAUUAGAGGAGGUUGAUGUCAAAAAUAAUGCUGGUCAACAAUGAUGUCGAUAGGGUGUUGGAAUGUUAGAGGUUUAAAUAAGAUGGUUAAGCAGAAGGAGGUUAUUGAUGUUAUUAGAAGCAAUAAUCUUCGUAUCUGCUCUGUGGUGGAAUCGCAUGUUAGGAUUGCUAAUUUGAAUAAAGUUUGUGCCAAGACUUUUGGACAAUGGGAUUGGGUUUCUAAUAACAGUUGUUGUGAGGCUGGAACUAGGAUCAUUGUUGGAUGGAAUCCUAGAAUUGUGGAUGUGAUGGUGAUUUCUUAUUCUAGACAAGUUAUUCACUGUUAUGUUAGAUUCUGUGAAUCUAAUUAUAGCAUGUAUUUGUCUUUUAUUUAUGCUGCUUCCAAUUAUCUGGAUAGAAGAGAUUUAUGGGAGAAUUUGAAGAAACAUAAACUGGUGGUUAAAGAGGAUGCUUGGGGAUUAUUAGGAGAUUUCAAUGUUGCUUUAAAACAUUCGGAAUACUCUGAAGGAUGUUCUAGAUUUCCUAAAGGUGUUGAGGACUUUAUUAAAUGUAUUAACUAUUUAGAAAUUGAGGACCUGAAUUCGUCUGAUUUUCAAUUUACUUGGAAUAAAACUCCUGCUGGAAGUAUGGGCCUCCUGAAGAAACUGGAUAGAGUGAUGGCUAAUUUGAAGUUUGUUUUGGAUUAUCCGUUGGCUCAUGCUAUAUUCAAACCCUAUAGAAUAUCAGAUCACUGUCCUGCUGUCCUUAAUAUUCCUUUGAGUAAAAUGAGAUGGCGACCUUCUUUCAGAUUUGCUAAUUUUAUUACCGAGAAGGAAGAAUUUUUACCUAUGGUUAAGGAAGUUUGGGAUGAAAACAUUGAAGGGUUUUAUAUGUUUAAGGUUUGUCAGAAAUUGAAGAUUCUUAAAAAGCAGUGUAGGGAUCUUUGUAACAACUACAGAGGAUAUGGGAAGCGAAUUCAUGAGCUAAGGAAAAAGCUGGAAAGUAAACAAGUGGAAAUUGAUUGUAAUCCUUAUGAUUAUAAGGUUAGGAAUGAGCAUGCUGAUCUAUUGUUCAAAUUUAAUGAAGCAUGUAAUGAUGAAGAGAAGCUUUUAUUCCAGAGAUCUAAAAUUAAAUGGAUUCAGGAAGGUGAUAAUAAUACUAAGUUUUUUCAUAGUAUUGUGAAGAGCAGGGGCAAUAAAAAUAGAAUUAUGAGGGUUUUGGAUGAAGAUGGAAGAUGGGUUAGUGGGAUUGCUUUGAAGGAUAAAUUUGUUUCGUAUUUCAAAAAUUUCUUGGGGUGUAAGGAUGGGUCUGUUAAGCCGGAGUUAAAUGAAGAACUUUUCCAAAAAAGGUUAGACAGGACAGAUGCUACUAAUAUGAUAAGAGUGGUGACUGAUGAAGAAAUUAAAGCAACAAUGUUUGAAAUUGAUGACAAUCGUGCCCCUGGGCCUGAUGGAUAUUCUUCAAAAUUUUUCAAAAGUGCCUGGAAUAUUGUUGGAUCAGAGAUUUGCAAAGCAGUGAGAGAAUUUUUUUGGACAGGGAAUCUGCUAAAAGGGAUAAAUGCUACGAGAAUUAUUCUAAUUCCUAAAGUGGAUACGCCGAGGAAGGUUGCUGAUUUUAGACCUAUAGCCUGCUGUAACACUUUGUAUAAGUGUAUUAGCAAGGUUAUAGUGAAUAGAAUUAGGAACUGUUUGGGGAAAAUUGUUAGUAAGAAUCAAUCUACUUUCAUUCCUGGAAGAUCGAUUUUGGAUAAUAUUCUUCUUGCGCAGGAAUUGAUGGUGGGAUAUAAUAACAAGAGGGGAGUUCCAAAGUGCACCUUAAAAAUUGAUAUUCAAAAAGCAUAUGAUACAGUGGAUUGGGAGUUUCUCAAUAGAAGUCUUAAAGGGUUUGGAUUUCAUCCGAUUAUGAUUCAGUGGAUCAUGGCUUGUGUGUCUUCCCCGUGGUUUAUGAUCAAUUUUAAUGGUGAAGACCAUGGGUAUUUUGAAGGAAAGAGGGGUCUUAGGCAGGGUGAUCCACUGUCACCUUACUUAUUUACUAUAGUAAUGGAAGUGUUCAAUUUGAUUCUUGGUAAGAAAAUAGAAGACAACCAUAAUUUUAAAUACCAUAAUAAGUGUGAGUUUCUUAACAUUUCUCACUUAUGCUUUGCUGAUGAUCUUCUGGUAUUUUCUUAUGGUAAUGGGAAUUCGGCUAGAAUUAUAAGGGAAGCUCUUGAUGAAUUCAAAAAUGUUUCUGGGCUGAAGGUGAGCAUGGAAAAGAGCCAGAUCUAUUUCAGUUGUGUUAAACCGAAUAUGAGAAGAAUUAUUUUGGGAAUUCUUCCUUUUGAUGUUGGGAAAUUUCCUUUUAAGUACUUGGGUGUUCCUAUGUGUGUUACUAAACUUUUUGAAAGAGAUUGCAAGAAGUUGUUAGAAAAGAUUAGAAUGAGAAUUUUCAACUGGAAAUGCAAAACUUUAUCGUUUGCUGGAAGGUUGCAGCUCAUUAAUUCUGUGUUGACUUCUAUUCAUGUGUAUUGGGCUUCAAUUUUUAAAAUUCCCAUUGCAACUAUAAAAGAGAUUGAAAAGAUGUGUAGAAGCUUCUUAUGGGCUAAUGGUGAAAAAGUUAAUGGGAAAGCUAAAAUCAAAUGGGAUGAUGUUUGUAAACCUAAAGAUUAUGGAGGAUUGGGGAUUAAGAAUUUAAGGAAAUGGAAUGAUGCUUUACUUGCAAAACAUGUGUGGAAUGUUGUUAAUAAUAAAAAUUCUUUAUGGGUGCAAUGGGUGAAAGCUUAUUACAUUGGAAAGAGAAAUUUUUGGGAUAUAAUGCAAAAGAAAAGCAUGAGCUGGACCUGGAAGAGAUUUUUGGAAAUUAGAAAAAUUGUUAGACCUCAUAUUGUUGCUUGUGUGGGAAAUGGGAGGAACACCUCUUUAUGGCAUGAUUGGUGGCAUCCUUUAGGUAUUUUAAGCACUAUCAUUCCAAGAAGAGAAUGGUUUAGCUAUGGAUUUAAUGACUUUUCUUUGGUUAGUGAUGUGCUUGAUUAUGAUACUUAUUGUUGGCCUGUAAAUUGGGUUGAUAAAUUUUCAGGUCUAAAAGAUGCUCCUAUGUUUUGUAUUGAUCCUAAUAUGAGAGAUGGUGCUGGAUGGAGAGAUAAGGAGGGUAAUUGCAAACAAUUUUCGUGUAAUCAAGUGUGGAGAGAUAUUAACAACUUUGGGAAUAAGGUGCCAUGGAAGGAUAUCGUUUGGUAUGGUAAGGGCAUUCCUAGAAAUUCUUUCAUUUUAUGGAUGGCUAUCUUGAAUAGAUUGAAAACUCAGGAUCGUGUUAGAGUUUGGGAAACCACAGGAAUUCUCCUCUGUCCUUUUUGUAAUCUUAUACCUGAUUCUCAUGAUCAUCUCUUCUUUAAUUGUGAAUUUUCACAAAGUAUUUGGAGACAUUUUUGUGGUAAGAUGAGAAUUAAAUUGGUGAUGGGUGGCUGGAAUGAGACGAUUCUGAAGUGCUGUAACCUGUGGUACAAGGAUACAGGUGAGAGUUUAAUUAAUAAAUGUAUUCUUGCGAGUUGUGUAGCACAUAUUUGGAAGGAAAGGAAUGCUAGGAUUUUUAACAAGAAGAGUCUAACAGCUGAAGGAGUGAUAGCUUGUAUUGAGAAUGAAAUCAGAUUAAAGCUGUUAGGAUUAAGGAAUACUAACAAUUUGAUUAAUGAAAGAAUCUAUAAGGAUUGGGGCAUUUAUGGAAAGGACAAAAAUAAGAGAUGAUGUACAGGUUCAGAAUUGUGAAGUUGAUGGUUGCAGUGAUUUUUAAUUGGGGUUGGCAGCGGAGAAAUUAUAUUGAGUUUGUUCUUAGUAUUGGUAUUAAAUGGGGGCAAUUUUGGAAUAAUUGGUUUUACAAAGGAAUUGACGGAAAUUGUCAAUGGUUGGGGAGUUCUCUCUCUAAUCAUUUGACUUGUACCAAUGGGAUUUUCAAUUUGGAUAUGAUCUUUUAUGUGAUUAUUCAAAUUGAGAAUCCUAGACACGUGAUUGAUGUCAUGUCAAUUCUGAAACUUAUUCUGAAUUUCUGGAGUCUUGGUGUUGGUUUUUGGUUCGUUGGGUUAUGUAUUCUUUGCAGGAAUCUAUUGCAUUGGAUGAAGAUGGACCUUAGUGAAAAGAAGAAAGAGAGUUUCAUGCAGAAAAUCAAGAGGAGGAUGAAGAAUUGGAAAAGGGAUAGAAGAAGUGGGAUUAUUCAGCUCUUGGAGAUUAAUUGGGAUUGCAUUGUUAAAUUGUUUAGCAGUUUUAAAUAUGUUUGGUUUUUAUUUGUGAUUUGUUGGUUGAGGAUUUUGGUCUUAGUUGGAUUUUCCUUAAAGUUUAGUCUUCGGAUUGAGGGUUUUUUUAAGGGCCUUACCCCUUGCUAUUUUUUUUAUGUUAUUUGAAGUUUUUGGAGGUGCAAGGGGGUGAAGUUACCUUUUUUCCUUCAUUCUAUAAGUCCUUGGGCUAACUUUAAGGAUUUUAGGGAUUAUUGGGGUUGUGAGUGGUUAGUUCUUAUUAUUAGGAAGUGGUUUGGUAGUUGGUUAUGGAUAGGCUGGUUAUUUUUGUUUUUUAUUUGAAUUUUUGGUGCUUGUAUUCUUUUAUUCUUUUUAAUAAAGUUUGCUGAGCUUUGGCUCUUUCAAAAAAAAAAAAAAAACUUAAUAGGUCUUGAUUUGUUACUAAUCUAUCCAUUUCUUCCCAUACACCUGUCAUUUGUGGUUGUUAUUCUAUCUUAGUUUACCUAAACAAAACAUUACUCACUUAAUCAAGCCCAUAAAGGCAUUAAAAGGCAAUCACCUUUGUGUCGCUAAACAUGCAAUAAGGGAGUUGCUGAUUCGUGAAGCUCAUGGUGGUGGUUUGGCGAGUCACUUUUCCAUUACCAAAACUUUGGAGGUGCUUUAAGAACAUUUCUUCUGGACUAAAGAUGUUGGGGAUGUAAACAGCAUAGUGGGCAAGUGUGUUACAUGUCGGAUGAGGAAAAAAAUUUAAAGCAUGGUGUUUACACUCCAUUGCCGGUUCCUAUUCGUGGUGGUGGAUAGGUUUUCAAAAAUGGCUCACUUUGUGCCAUGUCAUAAAACCAUUGAUGCAUCUAAUUUGUCUGAUUUGUACUUUAAAGAGCUGGUUCACUUCCAUAUUAUUACUAAAACUAUUGUUUUUUAUAGGGAUUCCAUGUUUUUGAGUUACUUUUGGAACACUUUGUGGCGGAAAGCUGGUACUAAGUUACUUUUUAGUACGUCCCAUCAUCCAUAAACUAAUGGGCAAACGAAGGUGACUAAAAGAACUUUGGGCACGUUGUUGAGGGGGUUGGUUAGCAAAACUAAAAAACAGUUGGACAUCAAAUUUGCAUAUGCUGAGUUUGCCUGUAAUCGUUCUCCUACUUAUGCAACAGGUCACUCUACUUUAUAAGUGGUGUAUGGUGUGAAUCCUUACAUGAAUUUGUAUUUGAUUCCAUUUCCAAAGGAUGAAUUGCUUCUCAAGGAUGCUAAUGACAAGUUGAAGGCCAUGAUGAAACUACACCAACAAGUUUUUGUGAAGAUUGAAGUCGUGAAUGACGUGUACAAACAGAGUUCCAACGUGCAUUGGUAACCACGUAUCUUUCAAGAUGGUGACUUCGUUUCGGUGCAUAUGACGAAAGAACAUUUUCUUAACAAAACGAUAAACAAAAGUUGAUGCCAAGAGCUGAAGGUCCUUACAAAGUGGUGACACAUUUCAAUGAUAAUGCUUAUAAGGUGGACCUGGGUGGAGACCAUGGAGUACAUGCUACCUUUAAUGUGGGAGACCUUUCACCGUAUCUUGUUGAGGAUGGACUUGAUGAAUUGAGGUCAUUUCUUUUCAAAGGGGGAAGGGAGGAUCCAUGCCCAAAAGGUGAUGGAUUAGUGAUUACCAGUAGGCUAGAAGGUGGUUUGUACUCAAUGGUUGGGUUGUGUAUGGUAACCUAUGAAUUGAAUUAGGGUCACAUGAAGGCAAGGGCAACAUUUUAAAGGCGUCAUAAGUGUUCAAAACCGUUAGUUUUUGCUACAUCAAGCCUAUUAGCCAUUUUUGAUACUCUUUGGUGGAUUUGGGUUACACUUUAAUUCUUCUUUUGGCUCCUUAAUGGAGCAUGGACGCUUUUUUCAUUCAUUAGUGUGUCAAACAUUUUUUUGUGUGGUUUCAUGAGUUUCUUUAAUUUUUAUUAAUAGUUUUACUGAGUAGUUAAUUGGGUGGCUUGUAACCACCAACUUUGUAAUAAAGGCUUCAUAUAAGCCAAGUAUGCAUGGAAAAGAGAGAUAGCUGAAAUUUUAAUCAAAAGAACCUUUGUUCACAUUGAAUUAUAGUUAUAGUUCACUACUUGUCAUAGCCGAGACGUGUUCUUGACUUGAUACGCACUCAAACAAAUAUUAUGUCUUGGAUAGUUUUCACGGGUAUACAACUUAGUAGGUCUUGAUUUGUUACUAAUCUAUCCAUUUCAUCCCAUACACCUAUCAUUUGAGGUUGUUAUUCUAGCUUAAUUUACCUAAACACAUCCCUACUCACUUAAUCAAGCCCAUAAAGGCAUCAAAAGGCAAUCACCUUUGUGUCAUUAAACAUGCAAUAAGGGAGUUGCUGAUUCGUGAAGCUCAUGGUGGUGGUUUGGCGGGUCAUUUUUCCAUUAGCAAAACUUUGGAGAUGCUUUAAGAACAUUUCUUCUGCCCUAAAGAUGUUGGGGAUGUAACCAACAUAGUGGACUAGUGUGUUACAUGUCGGAUGACGAAAAAAACUUUCAAGCAUGGUGUUUACACUCCUUUGCCAGUUCCUAUUCGUCCUUGGAAAGAUGUGUAAUUGGAAUUCAGUAUGGCUUUCCCUAGAACUCAAAGGGGGAAGGAUUCCAUUAUAGUGGUGGUGGGUAGGUUUUCAAAAAUGGCUCACUUUGUGCCAGGUUAUAAAACCAAUGAUGCAUCUAUUGUGUCUGAUUUGUAAUUUAAAGCGGUGGUUCACUUGCAUAUUAUUCCUAAAACUAUUGUUUCUGAUAGGGAUUCCAUGUUUUUUAGUUACUUUUGGAACACUUUAUGGAGGAAAGAUGGUACUAAGUUACUUUUUAGUACGUCCCAUCAUCCACAAACUGAUGAGCAAACGAAGGUAACUAAUAGAACAUCAAACUUGCACAUGUUGAGUUUGCCCCUAAUCGUUCUCCUACUUAUGCUACAGGUCACUCUCCUUUAUAAGAGGUGUAUGGUGUGAGUCCUUACAUGACUUUUUAUUUGAUUCCAUUUUCAAAGGAUCAAUUGCUUCACAAGGAUGCUAAUGACAAGUUGAAGGCCAUGAUGAAACUACACCAACAAGUUUGUGUGAAGAUUAAAGUCGUGAAUGACGUUUACAAACAGAGUUCCGACAUGCAUAUGAAACCACGUAUCUUUCAAGAUGGUGACUUGGUUUAGGUGUAUAUGAGUAAAAAAUGUUUUCCUCACAAAAGGAUGAACAAAAGUUGAUCCCAAGAGCUGAAGGUCCUUACAAAAUGGUGACACAUGCCAAUGAAAAUGCAUAUAAGGUGGAUCUGGCAGGAGACCAUGGUGUGCAUGCUAACUUUAAUGUGGGAGACCUUUCACCGUAUUUUGUUGAGGAUGGACUUGAUGAAUUGAGGUCAUUUCCUUUCAAAGGGGGAGGGGAGGAUCCAUGCAUGUAUCAUGAAAGCCCAAAAGGUGAUGGAUUAGUGAUUACUAGUAGGCUAGAAGGUGGUUUGUACUCAAUGGUUGGGUUGUGCAUGGUAACCUAUGUAUUGAAUUAGGGUCGCAUGAAGGCUAGGGAGACAUUUUAAAGGCUUCAUAAGUGCUCAUAACCAUUACUUUUUGCUUCAUCAAGCCUUCUAGCCAUUUUUGAUACUCUUUGGUGGAUUUGGGUUACACUUUAAUUCUUCUUUUGGCUCCUUAAUGGAGCAUGGACGCUUUUUUCAUUCAUUAGUGUGUCAAACACUUUUUUGUGUGGUUUCAUGAGUUUGUUUAAUUUUCAUUAAUAGUUUUACUGAGUAGUUAGUUGGGUGGCAUGUAACCACCAAAUUUGUAAUAAAGGCUUCAUAUAAUCCAAGUAUGCUUGGAAAAAAGAGAUAGUUGAAAUUUUAAUCAAAAGAACCUCUGUUCACUUUGAAUUAUAGUUGUUGUUCACUACUUGUCAUAGCCGAGACGUGUUCUUGACUUGAUAUGCAUUCACACAAAUAUUAUGUCUUGGAUAGUUUUCAUGGGUAUACAACUUAGUAGGUCUUGAUUUGUUACUAAUCUAUCCAUUUCUUCCCAUACACCUAUCAUUUGUGGUUGUUAUUGUAGCUUAAUUUACCUAAACACAACCCUACUCACUUAAUGAAGCCCAUAAAGGCAUCAAAAGGCAAUCACCUUUGUGUCCCUAAACAUGCAUUACGGGAGUUACUUAUUUGUGAAGCUCAUGGUGGUGGUUUGGCGAGUCAUUUUUCCAUUACCAAAAGUUUGGAGGUGCUUUAAGAACAUUUCUUCUAGUCUAAAGAUGUUGGGGAUGUAAUUAACAUAGUGGGCAAGUGUGUUACAUGUCGGAUGACGAAAAAAACUUUCAAGCAUGGUGUUUACACUCCUUUGUCGGUUCCUAUUCGUCCUUCGCAAGAUGUGUCAAUGGAAUUCAGUAUGGCUUUCCCUAGAACUCAAAGGGGGAAGGAUUCCAUUAAAGUGGUGGUGGAUAGGUUUUCAAUUGUGCCAUGUCAGAAAACAAAUGAUGCAUCUAAUGUGUCUAAUUUGUACUUUAAAGAGGUGGUUUGCUUGCAUAUUAUUCCUAAAACUAUUGUUUAUGAUAGGCAUUCCAUGUUUUUGAGUUACUUUUGGAACACUUUGUGGAGGUAAGUUGGUACUAAGUUACUUUUUAGUACGUCCCAUCAUCUACAAACUGAUGGGCAAACGAAGGUGACUAAUAGAACUUUGGGUACAUUGUUGAGGGGGUUGGUUAGCAAAACUCAAAAACAGUUGGACAUCAAACUUGCACAUGCUGAGUUUGCCUGUAAUCGUUCUCCUACAUAUACUACAGGUCACUCUCCUUUAUAUGUGGUGUAUGGUGUGAAUCGUCACAUGACUUUGUAUUUGAUUCCAUUUCCAAAGGAUGAAUUGCUUCACAAGGAUGCUAAUGACAAGUUGAAGGCCAUCAUGAAACUUCACCAACAAGUUUGUGUGAAGAUUGAAGUUGUGAAUGACGUGUACAAAUAGAGUUCCAACAUGCAUAAGAAACCACGUGUCUUUCAAGAUGGUGACUUGGUUUAUGUGGAUAUGAGGAAAGAACAUUUUCGUAACAAAAGGAUGAACAAAAGUUGAUGCCAAGAGCUGAAGGUCCUUAAAAAGUGGUGACACAUUUCAAUGAUAAUGCUUAUAAGGUGGAUCUGGGAGGAGACCAUGGAGUGCAUGCUACCUUUAAUGUUGGAGACCUUUCACCGUAUCUUGUUGAGGAUGGACUUGAUGAAUUGAGGUCAUUUCCUUUCAAAGGGGGAGGGGAGGAUCAGUGCAUGGAUCUUGAAAUCCCAAAAGGUGAUGGUUUAGUGAUUACUAGUAGGCUAGAAGGUGGUUUGUAUUCAAUGGUUGGGUUGUGCAUGGUAACCUGUGUAUUGAAUUAGGGUCGCAUGAAGGCUAGGGCGACAUUUUAAAGGCUUCAUAAGUGCUCAAAACCAUUACUUUUUGCUUCAUCAAGCCAUCUUUCCAUUUUUGAUACUCUUUGGUCGAUUUGGGUUACACUUUAAUUCUUCUUUUGGCGCCUUAAUGGAGCAUUGACGCUUUUUUCAUUCAUUAGUGUGUCAAAUUUUUUUUGUGUGGUUUCAUGAGUUUCUUUAAUUUUCAUUAAUAGUUUUACUGAGUAGUUGGUUGGGUGGCUUGUAAGCACCAACUUUGUAAUAAAGGCUUCAUAUAAGCCAAGUAUGCAUGGAAAAAAGAGAUAGUUGAAAUUUUAAUCAAAAGAACCUCUGUUCACUUUGAAUUAUAGUUGUUGUUCACUACUUGUCAUAGCCGAGACGUGUUCUUGACUUGAUAUGCAUUCAAAAAAAUAUUAUGUCUUGGAUAGUUUUCAUGGGUAUACAACUUAGUAGGUCUUGAUUUGUUACUAAUCUAUCCAUUUCUUCCCAUACACCUUUCAUUUGUGGUUGUUAUUGUAGCUUAAUUUACCUAAACACAACCCUACUCACUUAAUGAAGCCCAUAAAGGCAUCAAAAGGCAAUCACCUUUGUGUCCCUAAACAUGCAUUACGGGAGUUACUUAUUUGUGAAGCUCAUGGUGGUGGUUUGGCGAGUCAUUUUUCCAUUACCAAAAGUUUGGAGGUGCUUUAAGAACAUUUCUUCUAGUCUAAAGAUGUUGGGGAUGUAACCAACAUAGUGGGCAAGUGUGUUACAUGUCGGAUGACGAAAAAAACUUUCAAGCAUGGUGUUUACACUCCUUUGUCGGUUCCUAUUCGUCCUUCGCAAGAUGUGUCAAUGGAAUUCAGUAUGGCUUUCCCUAGAACUCAAAGGGGGAAGGAUUCCAUUAAAGUGGUGGUGGAUAGGUUUUCAAAAAUGGCUCACUUUGUGCCAUGUCAUAAAACCAAUGAUGCUUGUAAUGUGUCUGAUUUGUACUUUAAAGAGGUGGUUUGCUUGCAUAUUAUUCCUAAAACUAUUGUUUAUGAUAUGGAUUCCAUGUUUUUCUGUUACUUUUGGAACACUUUGUGGAGGAAAGUUGGUACUAAAUUACUUUUUAGUACUUCCCAUCAUCCACAAACUGAUGGGCAAAUGAAGGUGACUAAUAUAACUUUGGGUACGCUGUUGAGGGGGUUGGUUAGCAAAACUCAAAAACAGUUGGACAUCAAACUUGCACAUGCUGAGUUUGCAUGUAAUCAUUCUCCUACUUAUGCUACAGGUCACUCUCCUUUAUAAGUGGUCUAUUGUGUGAAUCCAUACAUGCCUUUGUAUUUGAUUCCAUUUCCAAAGGAUGAAUUGGUUCACAAGGAUGCUAAUGACAAGUUGAAGGCCAUGAUGAAACUACACCAACAAGUUGGUGUGAAGAUUGUAGUCGUGAAUGACGCGUACAAACAGAAUUCAAACAUGCAUAGGAAACCACGUGUCUUUCAAGAUGGUGACUUGGAUUAGGUGCAUAUGAGGAAAGAACGUUUUCCUAACUAAAGGAUGAACAAAAGUUGAAGCCAAGAGCUGAAGGUCCUUACAAAGUGGUGACACCUAUCAAUGAUAAUGCUUAUAAGGUGGAUCUAGGAGGAGACUAUGGAGUGCAUGCUACCUUUAAUGUGGGAGACCUUUCACCGUAUCUUGUUGAGGAUGGACUUGAUGAAUUGAGGUCAUUUACUUUCAAAGGGGGAGGGGAGGAUCAAUGCAUGUAUCAUGAAAGCCGAAAAGGUGAUGGAUUAGUGAUUACUAGUAGGCUAGAAGGUGGUUUGUACUCAAUGGUUGGGUUGUGCAUGGUAACCUAUGUAUUGAAUUAGGGUCGCAUGAAGGCUAGUGCAACAUUUUAAAGGUGUCAUAAGUGUUCAAAACCGUUACGUUUUGCUUCAUCAAGCCUUCUAGCCAUUUUUGAUACUCUUUGGUGGAUUUGGGUUACACUUUAAUUCUUCUUUUGGCUCCUUAAUGGAGCAUGGACACUUUUUUCAUUUAUUAGUGUGUCAAACAUUUUUUGUGUGGUUUCAUGAGUUUCUUUAAUUUUCAUUAUUAGUUUUACUAAGUAGUUGGUUGGGGGGCUUGUAACCACCAACUUUGUAAUAAAGGCUUCAUAUAAGCCAAGUAUGCAUGGAAAAAAGAGAUAAAUGAAAUUUUAAUUAGAAGAACCUUUGUUCACUUUGAAUUAUAGUUACAGUUUGUGACAACCCGAAAUUUCUAUUCUGUACAAGCAUAUCAAGUCAAUAGAAGUCAGAACAGUUGCUGUUAAAUUUCAGACUUUUUAGAAUAAGUUUGAGUAUUUCAAGAUUCACACGUUAGAGAUAUCAGGAGAGAGGAUGCACUAGAUUUAUUGUGCAACACUGUUAUUCCAAAACUCUAAGAAAUUAGAGUUUACUGCCUGAAUAAAAUAUUUUCUGCCAAAAACCCUAAAUUUAGGAGUAUAUAUAUGAGAACUUGUCAUUGUUUACACUUUUUCCAAAAACUCAAGAUCCAAACCCAUUUGUCUCUCAAGUAUCAUCCAAAAGAUUUUCAAGAUCUUCAAACUAGUAAGUGAUUCUAGUUUUCUUAAGUGAUUAUAUGGCUUAAUCUAGUGUUUUAACACUCUUCUAACUGUGAAAUCCUUCCAAAAGGUUGAUUAUUCCAUUUACACCAAGAACACCAAGAACAUACACUAGUGUUCUUGGACUUUUAGCUCAUUUCAAGCUUCCAUAUAGUAAGUACUUCGAUCCUAGAGUCUUAUAAAGCUUGUUAUACAUCUUUACAUCAAGAAAAUGUCCCAAGAACAAGGUGUUCACGGUUCAAGAAGUUCUUGAACCGUAAACACCAAGUAAAGGUGCCAAAGAGUGCUUAGUCCCUUCCUAUGCCUUAGUAACUAACAUGGAUCCAUUCUUUGGUGAGCUAAGGACUUGAAAACCCCCCAAAAACCAUGAACCUUUUGAGUUUACGGUAGUAAACUCAAAGGAAAAUGGUUUAGGAACCAUAAACUCCAAAUAGGAGUGAAAUGGUGCCUUAGUUCCUUCCAUAGACACAUACUUCAAGUAGAAAAGCUUCUAGAGACUUUUUAAGGCUUCAAACAACAAAUGGUCAAAAGUGUAUGAGCUUACGGCCGUAAACUUAAGGGUUUACGACCAUAAACUCUUUUUUGUUAAUGACCACAAAACCGUAAAAUCCGUAAUGGUGUUUUCCUUGAACCCCAAGCACACUAGCCUUUCCCUACCACACUUAGAUGCAAUCCUUGGGACUUAUAACACCUGUAUAAGGUGUUUAGCAUGUCCUAGGGUGUCUUAACUUUGUUUAUUAUUUGUUUAAAGACUAAUUGGAUACAUAUAUGUGAUAUUAUAUGUUAACUAGGAUCAUAGAGUGUGUUCAAGACUUCACUUGACACCUAGCAAUCCUACAUCUUCAGUUCAUCCGUACCACUCACUACAGAUGAGUUCAUACCCCUUAAUCAAUGGUUUAAAAGUUUUUAAAUGCUUUUAUGGGGGGGGGGGGAAUACAAGUUGAAUACUUAUAGUUUUUUAUAUCAAUCACAAGUGAUUAAUAACUACCAAACCAGUAGUUUGCUUACUGUUCAAACUGUUUAUUAAACUGUUUUGCUUCAAAUUAUUUUACAAACUCUUUUACUUAUCAAAUACUUUUACUUAAACUCUUUUAUACUUAUUAUCAAAUGCAUGCCUAUGUAUGUAUAGUUAUAUAAGCAAUGUUUUAAAGGGCUUAGGAAGGCCAGCUCGCUUUAUCUCCUUUUCCUCAUUAGGAUGUGGCUUUAGGGCAUCGGUUAUCCGUCCGAAGGUCGUCUAAAUAUUAGUUAUAUAUUAUCUAUACAUAUAUAGACAUAGAAGUUAUUUCAACCAGUUCCAUACCUUUGGGUAGCAAGGGUUUCACAAACAUGAUCAUACAUUACUAGUAAGCUACCAUAGGAGUAGCACAGGAAGAUACUAAUAAUAUUACUAGAAAAAUGAAACAUACAAUGAGUCAGUUCAUUCAUGAGUCAAUACGAGCAGCACACACAGUACAUUACUAUACAUGCUAGAUAGAGAGAGAACACACAUUACAGCUAGCACACGCAGAACAUUACAGUACAUACAGGCUAGACAGAGAAAACAGUACACUUUACAGUUAGCACAUUCAUUACAUGUACAUUUAUGUAGUUAUGUGAACCGUUAAACGGGGUAUGGCACUACCUGCCAUGACCGUUUUUGUAUACCGAAUCUCCUUAAUUGGGGAGCAUAUGAGUUUGCGUAUAGAUCUAUACUAGAUUGACUAUCCUACACCUUGCUGCUCGCUACAGUGUGUCACACCCCAAAAACCGAAGGCGGAAACAUUUCCGGGGUUGACUCCUUGUUGAGUAUCAAAUCCAAUGCACAUAGUAAGUAAAGUAGAACAACCAUUACAUUACAUUAUAAAGUUUUACAGUUGUUUCAAAAGUAAAGUUUGUACAGUUGUGAUACAUAGUAUAUAUAGACAAAAGAAACGGAUCUUCAUGUACUUCAUCUUCUGAUCAAAAGAAAUCUCCAGGUACCUGUUCUAACGUUGACCUGAGAACACAAGCGGUUUGAAAAUCAGCAUAAAGCUGGUGAGUUCAUAAGUAGUUUUGUUUUGUGAAAAUGUUUAUGUUUCCUUUCUGUUUCUAAAAAUGUAUCAGUGUAUUCCCAGGAAAGUCCCAUACUUUCCUGAAUAGUUAGUUAUUGUAAAAGAUGUAAUGAUAUACAAUUGGUUACACUUUUCUGGUUAUGUGAAUGUUACCCAGGAAUGCCCCAUGCUUUCCUGUAUGUUGGUUUUCAAUGUAAAAGAUGUAUUCUAUCAAACCUGGUUAUGUACAAAGUUUUCCCCAGGAAGGUCCCAUACCUUCCUGAAUGUUGGUUAUUGUUUGUAAAAGAUGUAAAAGAUGUAAAAGAUGUAAACUGAAUCCUGGUUAUCCGUAAAAUGUAGUAUAUGGUUCAUUAUUACUGUAAGUAAAUCUCUGUUAUCCUAAUUGCGAGUUCCAUAACCAUACUAAAGACUGAACCUGUGGCAAUAAGUAGUCCACAAUUCCUAUGACUUUCGUCACCCUUGAACCAUUUCGGUUCGGCUGUAGCUAGCAGCCAGGUGUGGGGUAGUCAGCCCCGUAUAGAUCUAUACACUCAAGUCACGCUCUCUAAAUCCCAGAGAUUCUGGUUACGGGUGUAGUCCUCCACUCGCGUAUCUCUGUGGAGUGUUCGCCGAGGACGUGUCUCCAAUCAUACGGAAUAACAAAUUUACUAGUAAUAAUAGUAUAAUCCUCCAUUCGCGUAUCUCUGUGGAAUGUUACCGAGGACAAGACAGUGUACGAAAUAUAUUGUUCAUGUGUUGUAAAGUCAUGCUUUUAACUGAUAAAAUGUGGAAAACCAUUUGUGAAAUAUAUAUAAAGCAUAAUAGUUUAUAAACCCAUUUCACAAAUAAGUGUUUAUAUGAUCUGUAUGUUCUACCAAUUAUCAGUUGCGUAUAUCAGUAUUAAAAGCAUAUAAAUUGUGAAACACACACACACGAAAAAUAAUUUUUGAGUACAAAAACCCUUGUACUUUGCUUGUUUUCCCCCCCUGAAAACAGUGAAAAACAGUGAAAAAGGUAGGGGUAUGAACUCACCGGACUCGGAAACGUGUCGGUUUUGAAUGCUAGACGUUGGUUCGAGGUUUGAUUACUCGCGAUGACCCUAUGUAAAAUGAAAUAAUGUCCAUAUAUAUACAAUUAGGGAUACAUUCACUAAUCAUAUGGAACAUUAUACUCCAAUGAGGUCAAACACCUCGAAAUGAGCGUUUGGAGUGACCCGGGUGGCGUUUAAGGACGUGUAAAGGCACUAGGGACAUGGGACUUGAGUUUACUCUCCAUAAGUAAACAUUUAAAUGAGUUUACACCCACAAAACACACCCACACAUGAGUUUACGGCCGUAAACUCAUGUUGGUGUGGUUUUGAUGAUCUAAGUGACUUAAAUGGCUUACAUGGACAUGGGAAAUGCUAGAAUGAUUUAUCUAAAAUGACUUGGAACACUUGGAAUGAAUUUACAACAUUUAAACAUGAGUUUACGGCCAUACUCUUAGAGUUUACGGCCGUAAACUCACCCAUGGCCAAGAAUGGUUAGUUUAAGCUACAAGGGACAAUCACAUGUGAUUCUAGUUAAUUUUCCAAGCUUUGUUAUGAAUUUAGAACAUCAUUUAACACAUUUAUUGGAGUUUACGGCCUAGAGGUAUGUUCUAAGGCCGUAAACUCUCCUUUACCCAUGAAAAAGAUAGUUUUUGAUGCUUAAAACAAUCACAUGUGAUUAAUAGGAUUUAUACCAAGACUUAGAAUGAGUUUUAUGGGACAUAUGAGGGGUGUUAUGGAGUUUACGGCCCAUGAGACCCUCUUCAUGGCCGUAAACUCUAAUAUAGAGUGAUAUAAUGUGUUUCAAGGUCUAUAACUUGCAUAGAAGGGCUUCUAAAAUUCAUCUAAAGGCUUUAGGGGUGUUUAGUUUGCAUUCUAACACCAAAAAUUUUGGAGUUUACGGCCCAAGAACAAUGCCUUGGCCGUAAACUCUUAGAAAACCCACAAAUGUUGUGUUUAAGUCCCUUAAACUAUUUUUGGUUGGUCCCUUGAUUUAUUCCAAGGCUUUUGGUGGUGUUGGAUGGCUUUCUAACACUUUAAAAUUGAUUUUAUGCCUUGAUUUAGGGAGUUUACGGCCCAAGCACUCCCCUUGGCCGUAAACUCAUAUAAGUCCUUCAAAUGAUAUGAUUCAAGUGUCCAAAUGCUAUAUCCAAGGUCCUAUAAUUCAUACCUAAGCUAUAGAAAUGAUUUGGAAGGGUUUAAAGGCAUGAAAACCCUAGAUUAUUGAGUUUACGGCCCAAGAAUGCUCCUUGGCCGUAAACUCCUUCAAACUUCACAAAGUUCAUGUUUUAAUUGUUUAGAGUCCAUAUCUUAAAGUCCCUUAGCCAUAUCUAAAGUCCAAUUGAGUUUAGGAAGGAGUUUAAGAGCUUAAAACCCCAUAAAAUGGAGUUUACGGCCCAAGCUUGCUCCUUGGCCGUAAACUCUUGUUCUUGACCCUAAAACUCAAUUAAUUCAUCAAUUUGAAGGCUAAAGAUGAUGAAUAACAUGCUAGAGAGGUUACCUUAAAGAUUUGAAGCCUUAAACUUGUGAUUUGGACCUUAAUUCUAGCUUGGAGGAGAGAGGUUGUAAGAGUUUAAUGAGAAUUUGGCCAAAGGCUUCAAAUGGAGUCUUAAACAUGUUUAUAUAAUGUUCGGGAAUUGGACACGAUAGAAUUCUACCCGAUACCGACGUUAAUUGAGGUUUUUGGUCGUACCCGAUUGAGUUACCGUAACCCGACAUAGUAAUUUCUAGAAAUAUUCCGAUCACUAAAGUUGGGUGUUUAAAAUGAUUUCUAAUGUAUUAAGACACCCAUUAAGUCAUUUUAGGUCAAUAUAAACUAAUGACUUUAAUAAAUUGGUGAAAUUGGAAACGAAAUUGAAAAUGACGUUUGGUUGAUCGGAUCGGAUUACAAGUUGUGGUACAAGAAGUGAUAUGAAAUUUCGGGUUGUUACAUUAUCCCCCCGUUAGAGGGAAUUUCGUCCCGAAAUUCAAAGUUUAAAACACAAGACAAGAUACAAAUCAUGGAUUAGAAAAGAGUUGUGGAUAUUUUUGUUUCAUCGAGUCUUCUCGCUCCCAAGUGAACUCCGGUCCUCGCUUGGCAUUCCAGCGAACCUUCACCAACGGGAUGCGACUCUGUUUCGUACGUUUGACUUCUCGAUCCAUGAUUUCGAUUGGUUCCUCCACAAAGUUAAGGUUUUCAUCGAUCUCAAUCUCGUCUAAGGGGAUUGUUAGGGUUUCAUCGGAUAGGCACUUUUUGAGAUUUGAAACAUGGAAGACAGGAUGAAUGUUACUGAGUUCGUGAGGUAAAUGAAGCUUAUAGGCUACCGGACCAACUCUGGCAAUGAUUUCAAAAGGUCCAAUGUACCUCGGAUUGAGUUUCCCACGUUUACCGAAACGUACAGUGCCUUUCCAGGGCGAGACUUUUAACAGAACACGAUCUCCAACCUGGAAUUCUAGUGGUUUCCGACGAUUAUCAGCGUAACUCUUUUGACGAUCGCGCGAGGCCUUUAGUCGUUCACGGAUUUGGAUAAUUUUCUCAGUGGUUUCACGGAUGAUUUCAGGACCGGUAAGUGCGCUGUCGGGGACUCGACUCUUUGCUAACUGUGUAUCUCCUACCUCGGCCCAGCACAGAGGGGAUCUGCACUUGCGACCGUAUAGGGCUUCGAACGGGGCAGCCCUAAUGCUGGUGUGGUAACUGUUGUUGUAUGAGAAUUCGAUCAAUGGUAGAUGUGCGUCCCACGACUUUCCAAAAUCAAUGACACAUGCCCUAAGCAUGUCCUCCAGAGUUUGGAUUGUUCUCUCGCUUUGACCGUCAGUCUGAGGAUGGUAUGCCGUGCUCAUGUCUAGUUGGGUUCCAAGGGCUUUCUGAAGGGAUUGCCAGAAUCUGGAAGUAAACCUGCUAUCUCGAUCAGAGAUAAUGGAUACAGGUACACCGUGUAGACGUACUACCUCUUGGAUGUAGAUUCGCGCAAGUCUUUCCAUUUUGAAUGAUUCUUUAAUUGGAAUGAAGUGAGCGGAUUUUGUCAAACGAUCAACAAUCACCCAAAUGGUAUCAUUCCCAUUCAAGCACUUGGGUAGUUUGGUGAUGAAGUCCAUGGUAAUCAUCUCCCAUUUCCACUCGGGAAUCUCGGGUUGUUGAAGCAGACCUGAAGGUUUCUGAUGUUCGACUUUGACUUUGGCGCAAGUCAAGCACUUGCCCACGAAUGUAGCUAUCUCAGCUUUCAUGUUUGGCCACCAAUAUUGUUUCUUGAGAUCUAAGUACAUCUUGUCAGAGCCCGGGUGAACAGAGUAUUUGGUUCUAUGUGCUUCCUCCAUGACUAACUCUCUUAAUCCUCCAGACUUGGGAAUCCAGAUUCGAUCCAUAAAACACUGGACUCCGUCACUUCUGAUCUCAAGUUUCUUUUCCAUCCCUCUCAAAGCUUCAGUUGUCACGUUCUCAGGUUUCAGGGCUUCUAACUGAGCUUCUCGGAUUUGCACGGGUAGGUUGGAAUGGAUGGUUAUCGACUGACUCUUCACUUUGUUACUGGUAUUCUCCUUUCGGCUAAGGGCAUCUGCUACCACAUUGGCCUUGCCGGGAUGGUAGCGGAUUUCACACUCAUAAUCACUGAGUAGCUCUACCCAUCGCCUUUGUCUCAUGUUCAGGUCUUUUUGGUCAAAGAUAUGUUGCAGGCUCUUAUGAUCAGUAAAGAUCGUGCACUUAGUUCCGUAAAGGUAAUGUCUCCAAAUCUUCAAUGCAAAAACUACGGCUCCAAGCUCCAAGUCGUGUGUGGUAUAGUUGACCUCGUGUAUUUUCAACUGCCUAGAGGCAUAAGCAAUCACUUUUCCUCUCUGCAUAAGCACACAACCUAAACCUUGAGUAGACGCAUCGCAGUAGACAACAAAGUCCUCUGUCCCUUCGGGUAAGGAUAGGACAGGCGCGCUGCACAGAGCUUUCUUCAACGUCUGAAAUGCGGUCUCUUGCUUAUCACCCCAACAAAAGGGUACACCUUUCUGUGUUAGAGUGGUUAGAGGUUUGGCGAUUCGGGAAAAGUUUUGGAUGAACCUUCGAUAAUAGCCAGCGAGACCCAAGAAUUGUCGGAUUUCUGUGGGUGUCUUCGGUGCUGACCAAUUCUCUAUUGCCUUAAUCUUGGAAGGAUCAACAUGAAUACCCUCCUCACUUAUCACAUGACCAAGGAAAGUUACCUUCCGUAUCCAAAACUCACAUUUUGAAAACUUUGCGUAUAGCUUUUCGGAUCUAAGGGUUUCCAAUACUAGCCUCAAGUGUUGUUUGUGGUCUUCUUCGCUUCGGGAGUAAACGAGGAUGUCGUCAAUGAACACGAUGACGAAUUUGUCUAAGAAGGGAUGGCACACCCGGUUCAUAAGGUCCAUGAACACUGCCGGUGCGUUGGUUAAACCGAAGGGCAUCACUACGAACUCGUAGUGUCCAUAUCGAGUCCUGAAGGCUGUUUUGGGCACAUCACUUUCAUGAACUCGCAACUGAUGGUACCCUGACCUAAGGUCUAUCUUAGAGAAGUAACUGGCUCCCUGAAGUUGAUCGAAGAGGUCAUCUAUACGUGGAAGAGGAUAUCGGUUCUUAACAGUCAACUUGUUUAAUUCACGAUAAUCUAUACACAUUCGAAAGGAUCCAUCCUUCUUCUUGACAAACAAAACCGGGGCUCCCCAGGGUGAGGAACUCGGUCUGAUGAAUCCCUUGCUAAGCAACUCGUUAAGUUGACUGGAUAGCUCCUGCAUCUCUGCUGGAGCUAAGCGGUACGGAGACUUCGCUACAGGAGUAGCCCCAGGAAUUAGAUCAAUACGAAACUCGACCUGACGCUCAGGAGGGAUUCCUGGAAGCUCUUCGGGAAACACAUCAGGAAAAUUGCAGACCUCGGGGAUGCUCGCGAGGUUUUUAACUUCUUGAUUUUCGUUGAUUACGUGAGCCAAGAAUGCAACACACUCCUUACGCAGGAGUUUCUGAGCUUUGAUGCAGGAGAUGAUACGAAGGUUGGAACCGAGUUUGUCGCCAUAGAUCACUAGAGUUUGACCAGAAGGAAGGUUAAGACGGAUGGCUUUUUCGAAGCAAAGGAUAUCUGCAUGAUUGGGGCUCAACCAAUCCAUGCCAAUAAUGACAUCAAAGCUCUUUAUGGAUACUGGCAUAAGAUCGACAGGGAACGAAUGGUCGUUUAAGGUAAGAAUGCAAUCUACGAAUACCUCACUCGCACUUUCUUUCUCUCCGUUUGCCAUUUCAACGGUAAACAUUUCAGUUAGUGGUUGGGAAUUAUGUUUUAGGUUAUGUUUGAAUGCAUGACUAAUAAAACUUCUUUCAGCGCCCGAAUCGAAAAGAAUAUUAGCAUACGAGUUGUCGAGAAGAAACGUACCCGAGACAACAUUGGGAUCAGCAACUGCUUCUUCUCGUCCCAUAGCAAGAACUCUUCCUGUGUUGCCAGCAGUAGUCUUCUUGGGGCAGUUCCUUUUAAAGUGCCCGGCUUCACCACAAUUAUAACAGGCUUGACCAACGCCUGUUCCAGAGGAUUGAUUUGCUGAAUGAGUCGGAGCUUUGCAGUAUCGAACAGUGUGUCCCUUUUUACCACAAUUGGUACAAGAUAGUUCUCGACAGGGACCAGGGUUGUGGUGAUACUUGCAUUUUUCACAGAGAGGGAGGUUACCAACAUAUCGGCUAGUAGGAGUUGAGGCUGUGGAUCCCAUGACAGAAACUGCAGUAACAGGAGUAACAGUAGACAGGUACAGGUGCCAUGUUUCCAAAAGAUGGAGUUCAUUCAAGACUCGUCUUUUAUUUUGAUAUGUAUAUUUUUGGUGUCUAUAUAACUUGACAGAACACACAUGUAUGAAAUUAUAUUAUUAAUGCAAUGGAUGAUGUUGUAGCUUGUUUACUAUUAUUCAUUGUUGUGAUACUGUACAUGAUGUCCUCCGCCCCAGAACGUUUCCGCCACUCAUGGUUUUGGGGUGUGACAUAUUGGUAUUAGAGUAUUUUUAUAGUGAAUUGAGUAUAUCAACCCAUAAAAGAUAUACGAACUAUAAAUACAAUGGGAUAAAAGUACUCUGACCAAGAGUUUAUACUUUAAAUAUUAAAAUAUUUAAUUAAGUAUACGUGCCUACAUUCAUACUAAAAUUAGUGUCACUAAGACAUUACAAAAAUAUUACGAUUGUUGGGCAACACAAGUAGACUUAGAGACAUAUAGUCAAAACUGGGAAGAUAUAGCCUGAUCAACUAUAUUAUCCGACGGUUGACUAGCAUGUGCCUAAGUGUGGUCGUGAGGUUGCAACAAGUCUAAAAACUUACCCACAAUACCACAAUAAGAACAAUAGAACCUAAACUUAAAGUACUAUCAGAGUAUUUUGCAUUACUAUAAGUUACUUAUGUACUAGAUUUUUAUACCUCUCUUCUCGCGUAGAUUUAAUGGUUGGAUUCCACUUUCCCGGAGACCCGUACUAUCCCAACCACGGCAAUGCAGGAUGGCUGGAAGAAGAACCAGAAGAUGAUCUUCCAAUUCCUUUGGAUGAUCAUGAAGCUAAAGGCUUUUCUGAUGGUUCUGACUCAGAGCCAGAGGUCAACAACCUACCUCCAGCUGAUCAAAACCCAAACCCUCACCCAACAUUUCAAGAACCCACACCCUUGUGGGCAACCAACCUGAAUCGCUGGAGCGACGAGCAGGGUCAACCCUUACCUUACUUUGGGGACCAAAGCUUUUACAACCUCAGCGCAGGUGGCUCUGCUGAUCGAGCUCUGCCCGUCAUUGUCCGCAGAAUAGCUCGUAAUGUUGACCAGGGUCAAGCAGCCAUCAAUCGAGUCAUGGAAAUAGAUUCCAACUCUAGUGUCAACACUGUCCGCAUUCGCCAGCUAGAGUCUGCUCACAAAAGGGCUCUGGUUCACAAUGCAGCUCUUCGGAGGGAACUCACAAAAACCCGAGCUGAAGUCAGAGAACUUCGAGUGCAGCAAGCAAGAGCUGAUAGGCGCAUGAGGGACAUAGAACGUCUCCUGUCGGGAUCAAGAAAUCACUCUGGUAGUUCUCGUCGCCGAUAGAUUCUCAUCAACUUCUCUCUUUUGGAUAUAACCUAGUUAUGUAAAACUCUGGUCUAAUUCCUUAUCUUUGUAAAUCAUAGGCCUGUUAGGUCUUGGUUAGGUUGUAAUUCUGUCAAAAUUUUCCCAUUUUGGUUGAUGUAAGGCCUCCUUCUGUUGGCCGUUUUUCCCAAACUUGUUACAUCUGUAAUUCCAGUAAUAUUGACAGGUACCUAAUCUUAUGGGAAUUAUUAUCCAAAUUUGUUAAUCUAUUAGUUCUAGAUUUUCAUUCAAUCGUAUUGUUGGGCUAUGGAGAGUUAGUCCAUGAGUCAUUCUCAUCAAUUCUUCCAUUAAAUUCUUAUCAAUGUUUUCAUCUUCAUAAACUUAUAGAUCAAAGAUGCCGCCUCGCAGAAAUCCAAGGAGAAACCUUAAUAAUGAAACNAAUAACGAAACACCGACACCACCUCCUCAACCACCUACUCCUCAGUUCGACGCGACAGCCUUAAAUGUUGCUGUAGCUGCAACUGUGGCUACAGCCAUGGCUCAAUAUCAUUCAUUUGGUUCCACUGGAGGAGGAACCUUGUCCUGUCUACUCAUGGUGAAAUCCUGGUGCGCUUGAAAGAGUGCUCCUACAAGGACUUCACCAACUGCAACCCAUUGUCCUUCAAGGGGACUGGCGGAGUCAUUGCCCUCUCGCAAUGGUUCGAGAAAACCGAAUCGGUUUUCAAAAUCUGCUCUUGUCCCGAGGAGAGCAAGGAGAAGUUUGCUACUUGCACCUUCGAAACGAAAGCCCUAACAUGGUGGAACCGCCAUGUUAAGUCACUAUCUCUUAUAGUGGCUAAUGCUAUGGGCUGGGAAACUUUGAAAUACCUCAUGAUUGAGGAGUACUGCCCGAGGGGCGAGAUUCAAAAGCUAGAGGAAGAGCUAUGGAGCCUAACCAUGAAGGGCUCCAACGUACUCACCUACACCGCUAGAUUCUGCGAGCUGGUGGCCCUCUGUCCCAACAUGAUUCCUUCAGAGGGAAAGAAAAUCGAGAGAUACAUAUGGGGGUUGGCGCCACCAUACCAGGGAAAUGUUUUAGCAUCACACCCCACUACAUUUGAUAGUGCCAAACGAUUGGCACAACGGCUCAUAGACCAUGGGGUUCGUACCCCGGCCGCAACAACUACCCUGGCCAUCUCAUAACCUAUGAGAACUGUUGAUUCCAAGCGGAAGUUUUGGGAUGACAAGAAGAAGGCUAAGGCUGCCAAAAAGCAGCAGGUUGUGGCAGUACAUGCUGCGAUAGCACCUACUGCUGCUGCUCCGGUAAAGCAGUACGCUGGAAGUUUGCCUAAGUGCAACAAAUGCAACUUCCAUCACGUCGGAGCCUGCCGGGAGAUGCAGUGUCUGAACUGCAACGGGAAGGGGCACACUACCCAUUUCUUUAAAGCUCCGACAAAUCCAAUCAACCAAGCCCCCGGUGCUGGAGUGGGCCAAACUUGCUACGGAUGUGGCGAGGUAGGCCACUUCAAAAGAAACUGCCCGAAGGCAGGGUUUGCCGAUGGAGCGACAAGAGUUCUGGCCAUAGGCCAUGAGGGCGGUUGCCGACCCCACAUGGUCACUGGUACGUUCCUCCUUGAUAACUCUUAUGCAUGCAUUCUAUUUGAUAGUGGAGUGGAGAGGAGUUUCGUGAACCAAAAAUUUGCUCAUUUACUUAAGCAAAAACCAUGAGCACUUAAUGAACCGUUCACUGUAGAAAUGGCUAAUGGAAAGACAGAGAGCACUAGCAGUAUAUUCAUAGGGUGUACCCUAACUUUAGAUACCCAUUCAUUUUCGAUCGAUCUCAUGCCGGUCUCCAUUAAAAGUUUCGACGUCAUUAUCGGCAUGGAUUGGUUGAGUCUCCAUCGUGCCAAUAUCAUGUGUUAUGUAAAGAUUGUUCGCCUUAAUCUGCUGUCUGGCAAAACCCUAGUAGUUUAUGGCGACAAACCCGGCACGAACCUUCGUAUCAUCUCGAGCAUCCAAGCUCAGAAAUUCUUGUGAAAGGAAUGCCAUGCAUUCCUUGCUCAUGUGGUCGAUGUGAGCCAAGAAACGAAGGACAUUCAGAACAUUCCAAUAGUACGUGACUUACCUGACAUCUUUCCAGAAGAACUCCCAGGAUUACCUCCACAACGUCAAGUCGAGUUCCGAAUCGACUUAGUUCCAGGGGCUACCACCGUAGCCAAAUCGCCCUAUCGUCUAGCACCUGCAGAGAUACAAGAACUGUCCGGUCAACUUAACGAACUGCUCAGCAAGGGCUUUAUAAGACCAAGCUUCUCACCCUGGGGAGCUCCAGUCUUGUUCGUCAAGAAGAAGGACGGAUCGUUUCGUAUGUGCAUCGACUACAGGGAGCUCAACAAACUGACGGUCAAAAAUCGUUAUCCAUUUCCUCGUAUUGACGAUUUAUUUAACCAACUUCAAGGGGCGAACUUUUCAAAAAUCGACUUGAGAUCCGGAUAUCACCAACUACGAGUGCUAGGGGAGGAUGUUCGAAAGACAUCCUUCCGAUCUCGUUAUGGGCACUACGAAUUCGUAGUGAUGCCGUUCGGAUUAACAAACGCGCCCGCUGUAUUCAUGGACUUAAUGAAUAGGGUGUGUCGUCCUUACUUGGAUCAAUUCGUCAUCGUCUUCAUCGAUGACAUACUUAUCUACUCUCGUAGUAAGGAGGAGCAUAGUCAACAUCUGCGACAAGUCCUCGAAACAUUACGUUCGGAGAAGCUCUACGCGAAGUUCUCGAAAUGCAAAUUUUGGAUUCGACGAGUCGAAUUCAUAGGGCACGUGGUUAGCGAAGAGGGUAUACGCGUGGACCCUUCGAAAAUCAAGGCCAUUGAGAACUGGUCAGCACCGAAGACGCCUACAGAAAUUCGUCAAUUUCUAAGCCUCGAUGUCUACUAUCGCAGGUUCAUUCAGAACUUCUCCCGCAUUGGGAAACCUCUUACAACACUGACCUAGAAGGGCGUGGCCUUUGACUGGGAAGAGAAGUAGGAAAGAGCGUUUCAAACGCUCAAACGAGCCUUGUGCACCGCACCAGUACUAUCCCUUCCCAAAGAAAUAGAAGACUUCGUUGUCUAUUGUGAUGUGUCGAAUCAAGGACUCGGAUGUGUUCUGAUGCAGCGAGGUAAGGUCAUCGCCUAUGCCUCGAGACAGCUAAAGACACAUGAGGUCAAUUACACGACUCACGAUCUUGAACUGGGAGCAGUUGUGUUUGCUCUGAAGAUCUGGAGACAUUACUUGUAUGGAACGAAAACACUAUCUUUACAGAUCACUAAAGCUUACACCACAUAUUCGACCAGAAGGAGCUCAACAUGAGACAACGACGGUGGGUCAAGCUACUUAGUGAUUACGAAUGCAAAAUUCGUUAUCAUCCGGGUAAAGCCAACGUAGUAGCUGACGCCCUAAGUCGGAAGGAAUAUUCUGGUCGUAGAGUCAAAUCAUUGACUAUGACUAUCCAUUCACAUUUGUCCACACAAAUUAAGGCGGCUCAGCUCGACGCUUUGAAGCCUGAAAAUGUGGCGGGUGAAUCCCUGAGAGGGAUGGAUAAGAACUUGGAGGUUAAGGGUGGCGGAGCUUAUUAUUUCAUGGACCGGAUCUGGACCCUGAAACUCGGUGGUUUCGGAGACUUGGUCAUGAACAAGGCGCAUAACACUCGUUAUUCCGUGCACCCGAGAUCAGAUAAGAUGUAUCUGGAUCUCAAAAAGUUAUACUGGUGGGGUAACAUGAAAGCAGAGAUUGCUACCUUCGUGAGUAAAUGCCUUACUUACGCAAAGGUCAAGGUUGAAUACCAGAAACCCUCCGGUCUAUUACAACAGCUUGAGAUACCAGAAUGGAAGUGGGAGCGGAUAACUAUGGAUUUCAUAACCAAGUUGCUCAAGACAACGGGUGGACUUCAUACCAUAUGGGUCAUCGUCGAUAGAUUGACCAAGUCUGCACACUUCCUACCAAUCAAAGAAACAGACAAGAUGGAAAAACUUACAAGAACAUACAUUAGGGAGAUUGUACGACUGCACGAUGUUCCCUUAUACAUUAUCUCGGACAGAGAUUGUUGAUUCACUUCGAGGUUCUGGUAGUCGUUACAAAGUUCCUUAGGAACUAGGUUGGACAUGAGUACAACCUACCAUCCACAGACCGACGGGCAAAGUGAGAGAACUAUCCAAACCUUGGAAGAUAUGUUGCGAGCCUGUGUGAUCGACUUUGGGAAAGCAUGGGAUACUCAUUUACCCCUUGUCGAAUUUUCCUACAACAACAGUUAUCACACGAGCAUAAAGGCUGCUCCAUUCGAGGCCCUCUAUGGCCGAAAGUGCAGAUCCCCUCUGUGCUGGGCUGAGGUGGGUGAUACCUAGUUAGCUAAAAGACGAGUUCCUGACAGCACUCUCACAGGUCCGAAAAUCAUACGGGAAACGACGGAGAAGAUCGUUCAGAUCCGUGAACGAUUGAAAUCCUCCAGAGACUGACAAAAAAGCUACGCUGAUAAACGUAGGAAACCGUUGGAAUUCCAGGUGGGUGACCGUGUUCUAUAGAAGGUCUCACCCUGGAAGGGCUUGAUACACUUCGGAAAGCGUGGAAAGCUAAAUCCAAGGUACGUAGGGCCUUUCGAGAUUCUUGCAAGAAUCGGCCCUGUAGCUUACAAACUUAACUUACACCGCGAACUCAGUAACGUACAUUCUACCUUCCACGUAUCGAACUUGAAAAAAUGUCUGUAUGACGAAACUCUUGUUAUUCCACUCGACGAGAUCGAGAUCAACGAGAGCCUCAACUUCGUGGAGGAACCAGUAGAGAUCAUGGACCGAGAGGUCAAGCAAACGAAACAAAGUUGUAUCGCAAUAGUGAAGGCUCGCUGGAACGCCAAGCAAGGACCGGAAUUCACUUCGGAGCGUCAGGAUCAGAUGAAACUGAAAUAUACUCGUCUUUUUUACUUAGUUAUUUGUAACUACUUAUUUGCUUAAAUUCUAAUUUCGGGACGAAAUUCCUUCCAAGGAGGGGAUGAUGUGACAAACAAUUUCUAUUAUGUACAAACAUAUCAAGUCAAUAGAAGUCAGAACAGUUGCUGUUAAUUUUCAGACUUUUUAGAAUAAGUUUGAGUAUUUAAGGAUUCACACUUUAGAGAUAUCAGGAGAGAGGAUGCACUAGGGUUAUUGUGCAACACUGUUAUUCCAAAACUCUAAGAAAUUAGAGUUUAUUGCCUGAAUAAAAUAUUUUCUGCCAAAAACCCUAAAUUUAGGAGUAUAUAUAUGAGAACUUGUCAUUAUUUACACUUUUUCCAAAAACUCAAGAUCCAAACCCAUUUCUUUCUCAAGUAUCAUCCAAAAGAUUUUCAAGAUCUUCAAACUAGUAAGUGAUUCUAGUUUUCUUAUGUGGUUAUAUGGCUUAAUCUAGUGUUUUAACACUCUUCUAACCGUGAAAUCAUUCCAAAAGGUUGAUUCUUCCAUUUACACCAAGAACACCAAGAACACACACUGCAUGGAAAGCUAAAUCCAAGGUACGUAGGGCCUUUCGAGAUUCUUGCAAGAAUCGGCCCUGUAGCUUACAAACCUAACUUACACCGCGAACUCAGUAACGUACAUUCUACCUUCCACGUAUCGAACUUGAAAAAGUCUCUGUCUGACGAGACUCUUGUUAUUCCACUCGACGAGAUCGAGAUCAACGAGAGCCUCAACUUCGUGGAAGAACCAGUAGAGAUCAUGGACCUAGAGGUCAAGCAAACGAAACAAAGCUGUAUCCCGAUAGUGAAGGUUCGCUGGAACGCCAAGCAAGGACCGGAAUUCACUUCGGAGCAUCAGGAUCAGAUGAAACUGAAAUAUACUCGUCUUUUUUACUUAGUUAUUUGUAACUACUUAUUUGCUUAAAUUCUAAUUUCGGGACGAAAUUCCUUCCAAGGAGGGGAUGAUGUGACAAACCGAAAUUUCUAUUCUGUACAAACAUAUCAAGUCAAUAGAAGUCAGAACAGUUGCUGUUAAUUUUCAGACUUUUUAGAAUAAGUUUGAGUAUUUCAGGAUUCAUACUUUAGAGAUAUUAGGAGAGAGGAUGCACUAGGGUUAUUGUGCAACACUAUUAUUCCAAAACUCUAAGAAAUUAGAGUUUACUGCUUGAAUAAAAUAUUUUCUGCCAAAAACCCUAAAUUUAGGAGUAUAUAUAUGAGAACUUGUCAUUAUUUACACUUUUUCCAAAAACUCAAGAUCCAAACCCAUUUCUCUCUCAAGUAUCAUCCAAAAGAUUUUCAAGAUCUUCAAACUAGUAAGUGAUUCUAGUUUUCUUAAGUGAUUAUAUGGCUUAAUCUAGUGUUUUAACACUCUUCUAACCGUGAAAUCAUUCCAAAAGGUUGAUUCUUCCAUUUACACCGAGAACACCAAGAACACACAUUAGUGUUCUUGGACUUUUAGCUCAUAUCAAGCUUCCAUAUAGUAAGUACUUCUAUCCUAGAGUCUUAUAAAACUUGUUAUACAUCUUUACAUCAAGAAAAUGUCCCAAGAACAAGGUGUUCACGGUUCAAGAAGUUCUUGAACCGUAAACACCAAGUAAAGAUGCCAAAGUGUGCUUAGUCCCUUCCUAUGCCUUAGUAACUAACAUGGAUCCAUUCUUUGGUGAGCUAAGGACUUGAAAACCCCCCAAAAUACCAUGAACCUUAUGAGUUUAUGGUAGUAAACUCAAAGGAAAAUGGUUUAGGAACCAUAAACUCCAAAUAGGAGUGAAAUGGUACCCUAGUUCCUUCCAUAGACACAUAGUUCAAGUAGAAAAGCUUCUAGAGACUUUUUAAGGCUUCAAACAACAAAUGGUCAAAAGUGUAUGAGCUUAUGGCCAUAAACUCAAGGGUUUACGACCGUAAACUCUUUUGUUAGUGACCACAAAACCGUAAACUCCCUAAUGGAGUUUUCCUUGAACCCCAAACACACUAGCCUUUCCNAACACUUAGAUGCAAUCCUUGGGACUUAUAACACAUGUAUAAGGUGUUUAGCAUGUCCUAGGGUGUCUUAACUUUGUUUAUUAGUUGUUUAAAGACUAAUUGGAUACACGUAUGUGAUAUUAUAUGUUAACUAGGAUCAUAGAGUGUGUUCAAGACUUCAGUUGACACCUAGCAAUCCUACAUCUUCAAUUCAUCCGUACCACUCACUACAGGUGAGUUCAUACCACUUAAUCAAUGGUUUAAAACUUUUUAAAUGCUUUUAUGGGGGGAAUACAAGUUGAAUACUUAUAGUUAUUAUAUCAAUCACAUGUGAUUAAUAACUACCAAACCAGUAGUUUGCUUACUGUUCAAACUGUUUAUCGAACUGUUUUGCUUCAAACUGUUUUAAAAACUCUUUUACUUAUCAAAUACUUUUACUUAAACUCUUUUAUACUUAUUAUCAAAUGCAUGCCUACGUAUGUACAUAUAAGCAAUGUUUAAAGGGCUUAGGAAGGCCAGCUUGCAUUAUCUCCUUUUCCUCGUUGGGAUGUGGCUAUAGGGCAUCGGUUAUCCGUCCGAAGGUCGUCUAAUAUAUUAUGUAUACAUAUAUAAACAUAGAAGUUAUUUCAUCCAGUUCCAUACCUUUGGGUAGCAAGGGAUUCACAAACAUGAUCAUGCAUUACUAGUAAGCUACCAUAGGGGUAGCACAGGAAGAUUCUAAUACUAUUACUAGAACAAUGAAACAUACAAUGAGUCAGUUCAUUCAUGAGUCCAUACGAGUAGCACACAGAGUACAUUACUAUACAUGCUAGAUAGGGAUUCCAUGUUUUUGAGUUACUUUUGGAGCACUUUGUGGAGGAAAGUUGGACUUGGUUUAGGUGCAUAUGAGGAAAGAACGUUUUCCUAACAAAAGGAAGAACAAAAGUUGAUGCCAAGAGCUGAAGGUCCAUACAAAGUGGGGACACAUGUCAAUGAUAAUGCUUAUAAGGUGGAUCUGGGAGGAGACCAUGGAGUGCAUGCUACCUUUAAUGUGGGAGACCUUUCAACGUAUCUAGUUGAGGAUGGACUUGAUGAAUUGAGGUCAUUUCCUUUCAAAGGGGGAGGAGAAGAUCCAUGCAUGGAUAAUGAAAGCCCAAAAGGUGAUGGAUUAAUGAUUACUAGUUGGCUAGAAGGUGGUUUGUACUCAAUGGUUGGGUUGUGCAUGGUAACCUAUGUAUUGAAUUAGGGUCACAUGAAGGCUAGGGCAACAUUUUAAAGGCUUCAUAAGAGCUCAAAACCGUUACUUUUUGCUUCAUCAAGCCUUCUAGCCAUUUUUGAUACUCUUUGGUGGAUUUGGGUUACACUUUAAUGCUUCUUUUGGCUCCUUAACGGAACAUGGACGCUUUUUUCAUUCAUUAGUGUGUCAAACAUUUUUUUUGUGGUUUCAUGAGUUUCUUUAAUUUUCAUUAUUAGUUUUACUGAGUAGUUGGUUGGGUGGCUUGUAACCACCAACUUUGUAAUAAAGGCUUCAUAUAAGCCAAGUAUGCAUGGAAAAAAGAGAUAGAUAAAAUUUUAAUCAAAAAUGUAACAACCCGAAGUUGUUCAUCGCCGAAAACCCAUUCUACCUGUAUAACUCGUCGUAUAUCAAUUCGUUCCGAUGUCGUUUUUUGGGUUAAAUUAAUUAAACUUAUAUGUUUAAUUGAUGCUAAUGAGUGUCCAAACCUGUUAGGAACUCACGAAAUUAGUCCAAAAUGCUUAUUCCAAAAAUUUUAGAAACGUCCUCGCCGAGUUACGGAAACUUAACCGGGUGCGACCAAAAGCCCAGUUUAGUGCCGGUAUCGGGUAGAAUUUCAUCGUGUCCAAGUUUUGGGACCUAUUUAAACGUGUUCAAGCUUUCAUUUGAAGCUUUUGCUUCAUCUCUCUACUCUCUCUCUAACCUCUCUCCUAAAUCCAAGUUUAAGGGUCCAAAUCUCAAGUUUAAGGCUUCUAAUCACCAAGGUACCUUCCUUAACUCAUUGUGUAUCAUAUUUGACCUUCAAAUUCGAGAUUAAAGCAUGAAAUAGGACCUUGUAUAUGAGUUUACGGCCCUGGAAGGUGCCUAGGCCGUAAACACUAAUUUAAAAGGGUUUUAAGCCCUUAAACCCUUCCUAGACACAAACAAGACUUAGAUAUGACUUCUAGAAUAUUAGUAUUGGCCUUACGGAUUUUAUUUUCAUAUCUAUCUUUGAUCUAUUGAAAUUAUAUCUAGUACUAGAUGGUAUUCCAGUGGUUUUGAAUUUAUAUCUUAUCUAAUCUAUGGUUUUACUGGAUGGUAUUCCUAGUGGUUUUGAAUNNNNNNNNNNNNNNNNNNNNNNNNNNNNNNNNNNNNNNNNNNNNNNNNNNNNNNNNNNNNNNNNNNNNNNNNNNNNNNNNNNNNNNNNNNNNNNNNNNNNNNNNNNNNNNNNNNNNNNNNNNNNNNNNNNNNNNNNNNNNNNNNNNNNNNNNNNNNNNNNNNNNNNNNNNNNNNNNNNNNNNNNNNNNNNNNNNNNNNNNNNNNNNNNNNNNNNNNNNNNNNNNNNNNNNNNNNNNNNNNNNNNNNNNNNNNNNNNNNNNNNNNNNNNNNNNNNNNNNNNNNNNNNNNNNNNNNNNNNNNNNNNNNNNNNNNNNNNNNNNNNNNNNNNNNNNNNNNNNNNNNNNNNNNNNNNNNNNNNNNNNNNNNNNNNNNNNNNNNNNNNNNNNNNNNNNNNNNNNNNNNNNNNNNNNNNNNNNNNNNNNNNNNNNNNNNNNNNNNNNNNNNNNNNNNNNNNNNNNNNNNNNNNNNNNNNNNNNNNNNNNNNNNNNNNNNNNNNNNNNNNNNNNNNNNNNNNNNNNNNNNNNNNNNNNNNNNNNNNNNNNNNNNNNNNNNNNNNNNNNNNNNNNNNNNNNNNNNNNNNNNNNNNNNNNNNNNNNNNNNNNNNNNNNNNNNNNNNNNNNNNNNNNNNNNNNNNNNNNNNNNNNNNNNNNNNNNNNNNNNNNNNNNNNNNNNNNNNNNNNNNNNNNNNNNNNNNNNNNNNNNNNNNNAAGUAGAACAAAACAUAAGUAAAUGGGUGUUGUACACUACGGUUAAACCUGGGCAGUUAUGUAGUCGUGUCUAGGAUCAAUAUAGCCUGAUCAACUAUAUUCAUUCGAGACACGGCCAACAUGUGCCUGGGAGUGACUGUGGUGUUCAACAUGCCUAAAACUUACCCAAUCCCCAAACAACGAGCCAUCGUCGUAACAAAGCGUGAAAUACUAUGGGAGUAUUUCUAGAUCCAACUUGGUUGUAGAAAACCCUCAUUCAAGUGUUGCCUCUUGAUUAUUCUUUUAGCAAUAAUAUAUUUGUCUUGAUUAUUUAUUCCUACUUUUUCGCUUAAUAGAAUUCUAUGUCUGUCAUAAAGAGAUAUCCCUUGUUUCAUAUCUCUUGAUUUAAUUUAGAGGAUUUACUAUCCUCUUUUCCUAAUCAUUUUAGAUCGAAAUGUCUCCAAAGAAAGGACCCAGCUCAAAGAACAACAACCCUCCGUCACCACCUCCAUCUCAAUUUGACCCUGUGAUGUUUCAGAUAGCUGUCACUGCCGCAGUGACGGCCACAAUGACGUUAUUGUACCCUAGCGGGUUCGGUGGACCAGGAAGUAGCACCUACCCCCAAAACCAUGAAGAUGUUCAGGAGCAUCAGAAUGAGCGUAAUGAGAGUAAUAUGGUUAUCUGGAAAAAAGCGAAAGGGUCAAAGUUCACAAGGACCCUCCAAAAGGCAUGAAUUUGUGGCAGUUCAAGCUGCCACUACUUCUGUUGUGUCUACAGUUCAAGCGCCUACCACUAGGUAUGCGGGUAACCUCCCUUGGUGCAACAAGUGCAAAUAUCACCAUUAUACCCCUGGCCCAUGCCUGGAGAUGAUCUGCAAAAGAUGUGGCAAAAAAGGCCACACCGCUCGAAACUGCAAAACACCAGCCCAACUAGUCAAUCGAGCUUCCGGAUCAAGUACCGAACAGGCCUGCUUUAAGUGCGGUGAAAUCGGGCAUUUCAAGCGAAACUGCCCAAAAACAGCAACCACCAACCAUGCCAACAACGUUGGGAUAGCUCUGGCUAUAAAGCUGGAAGAGGCAACCGCUGAUUCCACCUCCGUCGCGGGUACGUUUCUUCUCGACAAUUCUUAUGCAUGCAUCCUUUUAGAACCUAGUGUCAAGGAAGUUUUAUUAGUCAUUAUUCUAGUAUCUUCAUAAACAUAGUCCUCGUCUAAUAACCGAAACAUUUACCGUUGAGAUGGUUAAGGUGAGAAUGAGUGCACUAACGAAUUAUUCCUAAACUGUACCCUUACCUUGAGUAAUCAUUCUUUCCUCGUUAACCUAAUGUCAGUUUCAAUAAAGAACUUUGAUGUUAUCAUUGGCAUGUAUCGGUUGAAUCCCAAUCAUGCUGAUACCCUUAGUAUUGAAAAGGCCAUCUGUCCCAAUUUCCUCUCUGGUCAAACCCUCAUGAUCUACGGCAAUAAAUUCAGUUCCAACCUUCAUAUCAUUUCGUGCAUCUAAAAAUCAAAAGGUUUUCCUGACAGGAAUGUCAUGUAUUCCCAGACUACGAAACCAACGAGAAACAGAACGUCAAAAACCUUGAAAGCAUCCCCGAAGUCUGCAAUUUUCUUGAUGUCUUUUCCGAAGAGCUCACAGGAAUUCCCUUCAGACAUCAAGUAGAGUUUUGCAUCGACCCAAUUCCCGGAGCAAACCCUAUAACCAAAUCCCCGCAUCGAUAGGCUCCAGCAGAAAUGCAGAAGCUACCCAGUCAGCUUCGAGUUCACGAGAGUGAUGUUUCCAAAACAGCAUUCAGAAUUCGAUAUAGUCACUACAAAGAUGUAGUGAUACCCUUCGGUCUAACCAUUUUCUUUGGCCAUGUAGUAAUCGAAGAAGGCAUGUUACAUUCUGAAAACUCGUAUCCCAAGGUGCAUAGAACUUUUCGAAAUCCUCAUUAGGAUCGAUCCUGUAGCAUACAAACUCCGACUACCCUCAGAACUUAGUAGUAUCCAUCCUGUCUUCCUCGUCUCAAAUCUUCAGAAGUGCCUGCCCAACGAAACCCUAGUAAUUCCGAAAUCAACGAAAGUCUGAACCUCCAUGGAAGAACAAAUUGAGAACAUAGAUCAAGAGGUUAAACGUAUGAAACAAGCCAUAUCCCGAUAAGUGAACGGUUCCCCGAAAUGCCAUGUGAGAAUCCGAAUUCACUUGGAAGCGUGAUGAUCCCAUAGGACAGAAGUAUCCGUAUUCUCUUUUCAAAUCUGCGAGUCGCAUCUAAAGUAUGAAUUUCGGGACGAAAUUCCCUCUAACGGGGGGAUAAUGUGAUAACCCGAAGUUCGUUCCGUCAUCAUAACCCGGUUCCAUUAGUAAAGCCGUUAUGUUCCAAAAUUUUCCGUUAACUUUGUUUUAAUUUAAUUUAUUUGCAACUUCUAUUUAAAUUUCAUAAGUUUCGGGAUACAUUUUAAUUCAUUAAAAUAUUUUCUAUUUUCAUUUAGAAAAUAUUUAGUUUCAUCAAAGUCAUAAUUACGGUAAAUUAAUUGGGUGCAACCAAAAGCCCCACUUAUCAGCAGUAUUGGGUAGAAUUCCACCAUGUCCUAAACCUUGAGCAUAUAUAAAGUUGAGAGAGCCUCAUUUGAAGCCUUUCCACUCUCUCUCUACUCUCUCUACUUUCUCUCUCUAGAAAUCGAAAUCAAGCCAAAAAUCAUCCAAAACAAGCUCCAAAUCAUCAAGGUAACUAUCCUAACUCCUAGUAUAACCCCUUUGGCCUUCAAAUUCGUGGAUUAUAUGAGGAAUAGAACCAUAAACAUGUGUUUACGGUCCUAGAAUCUCCUUAGGCCGUGAACACAUGUAACGUGGGGUUUUUGAGCCUUNGGGGGGGGGGGGGUUUGAGCCUUAAAACCCUUCUAAACCUCAUUUGGAGCCUAGAUAUAUGACCUAAGGACUUGCAUGCAUGGAUUUACAACACCUUAAACUCUUCAUUUAGGGCAUGAACAUGAUUUUACGGCCCAAGCACAUACUUGGACCGUAAACACCUAUUCUUGGGGAGUAAACUCAAUUUAAGGUGUUAGUUUGCCCCUAAACACCUCCAAUAAGCUUCCAUGAGAGUAUAGAACCCUAUAAUCCUUCAAGAAAUGCACCAAAACUUACACAAAUGGGACAAACUUGAGCUUACGGUCCAAGAGCAUUAUUAGACCGUAAACUCAUAUCCUUAGACCUUAAACUCAUCUCCUUAGACCUUAAACUCAUCCAAUGGGUGUUAAAGUGCCCUUAACACCUUGUAUGGUUUAGAAAUGGGUCUAGAGCUUAGUAUGCUUAACUUUCAACCACUAAAACUCAUGAAUCAUGGACAAACAUGAGUUUAAGGUAGUAAACUCGUGUUUAAGGUGGUAAACUCGUGUUUAAGGUAGUAAAUUCGUGUUUAAGGUAGUAAACUUCCGAAGAACAUCUUCAUAGACCUAAACUCUUAUCCAAGGUCAUUUAGAGUUCCAAUCACUUCCUAAGCCAUGGAAUCAACCCUAGAACCUUCCCGUGUGCAUUGUAUGACCAUUUGGCAUCCAAGAACCCACCACCCAUGAGUUUACGGCCGUAAACUCAUGGGGAUAUGGUCAAUGGACCGUGAACUCCUCAAGGAGUUUACUCUUGAAGAGUAAACUCCAUAUCUAGGUCCUACACAUCCAUAGAUGCCCCCGGGUGAGUCCGAACACUUGAAUUGAAGUUUUUCACGCCUCAAAGUGUAUAAUCAUAUCUAAUUAGUGAUUUAAAGUCUAAUUAGAUACAUUUGUAUCUCAUUUCAUAUUUCAUAGGAUCCUCGCGCGUUAUCAAGCCCGGAUCCGACACAUAGCAUCCUAGACGACACGUUCUUCGACUGGUGAGUUCAUACCCCUACCCUUUUUCCGUGUUUUCAAUGUUUUCAGGGGGGAAUACAAGCAAACUAUAAAUGUUUUCAAAACCUAAAACUGAUGUGUUUCUAUAAAUAUCUGGCUAACUUUUAGAUAUCUUUACCCCUUUAUGUAUUAAGCUGAGCAUAAAGGAUGUUUUAUCGAUUAUAACUACAUGGAUUUCAGUAAAGGAAACAAUCAAAUCAAUCAAAUUAUUAUGGGAAUAAUUUGGGAUCUUUAGUUCCUAUUUAACAAGCAAAGAUUUAUGUAAAGUUAUUAGAUAAACUAUGUCUGAUUCAGUUUAUCUCUAUUUAAUUUAGAAUAUAUUGCCAGAUAAUUUCAUUGUAUUUAACUGUUUUCACCGUAUAUUGUUUCUAUAUGAUUAGUAUGUUGAUAACGUCUGAGAACACCGUGAAUAAAUUAAAUACUAGCUUGUGAGAUUCCUCAAUACCCUUUGGGUUAUCAGUAAAUCCUCCCCAGAAGUUUAACCAGAGUCUCCUGGAGGGAGAGCGUGGAAUUUGUGAAUAUAUCUAUUCGGGACUGACAAUCCUACACCUAAACUGCUAGCUACAGUUAGGCGGGCACGCCUGGGGUGACAAAUUCUGGAUAUCAUCCGACGUCUGACGAACGUCAAGGAGGUCUCGGUGUUGCAUCAGCUUGGUUACCCGACUGACAAUACAUAUUAAUAUAAGUUUAUUCACGGAUUUUAUUUUCAUAUCUAUCUUUGAUCUAUUGAAAUUAUAUCUAGUACUAGAUGGUAUUCCCAGUGGUUUUGAAUCUAUAUCUUAUAUAUAUAUAUAUAUANGCGUACCCAAAGUUCUAUUAUUCACCUUCGUUUGCACAUCAAUUUGUGGAUGAUGGGACGUACUAAAAAGUAAAUUAGUAAGAACUUUUCUCUACAAAGUGUUCCAAAAGUAACUCAAAAGCAUGUAAUCCCUAUCAGAAACAAUAGUUUUAGGAAUAUUAUGCAAGCGAACCACCUCUUUAAAGUACAAAUCAGACAGAUUAGAUGCAUCAUUGGUUUUAUGAUAUGGCACAAAGUGAGCCAUUUUUGAAAACCUAUCCACUAGCACUAAAAUGGAAUCAUUUCCCCUUUCAGUUCUAGGCAAAGCAAUACUUCCUUAUUGGUAGGUCUAUAAUUAUAGAGUGUAUACUUACAAGGUUUUAUAUAUUAAAGAUCUUAUAGACUCAGAAUGUGUGGUUUCGCUUUACUUCCUUUUCCUUGUUUGGAUGUGGAUAUAGAGUAGUAUCAUAUAUUUGAAGGUCUAUUAAAUCCGAUACAUAUAUAAUUUGUAUGCACUAUGUAAUUCUAGAAGGACCCAAUAAGUAUCACUAUUUAAAAAUGUUUAAUUAACUUUUUAAGAUUCUUUAGACAUUUCCGUUCUCGUAUAAACCAUUUGGAUAGAUGUGGUCACUUCAGCAAUCAGCAGAGAAGUCAACAAGGACUCAGAAGAGAUUCAUUGGGAGGAUUUCCGAGUAGGAAACCGAUGAACACUAAAGAAACAAUAGAAAUCACCCUGUGCCUUUACCUUAUUAGGGACAUUGGUGAGAAGUUCGCCUGAACUUCCAAGAUUCAAACUUUCCAUUAUGAAGUAAUGGGGAUCAGUGUCUGAAUCGGAAGUAAGACGGCAUGGAAAUUCAAUAUACCUACGAAGGAGAAGGACACUGCAUUGGUUCCAGGAGGGAGCCCAGAGUAGCACAAAGAACUGAGGGAAGCCACGCAUGAAACGUGGGAAGUGUUUGUAUACCCAAUGUGUCACCUUAACAAAUUAAUAAAUUAAUACAACCUGGUGAGUUAGUGAUUACACUACUUACAUUGUGUGUUAGGCUUAUCGCCUUUUUCCGUAAUGGCAAAUAUCAUUAAAUCGGAUCACGAAGUCUCAUUUGAGAGUGAUUAUUUCAAAAAAUUCAUAAGUCAUUCCUAUGUAGUCUCCGUUCUAAAUUGCUUCCAAAUCUUUUCCUAGUUGGAGAGUGAUACUCACCAAUCUAAAGAUAACUUACUUCGAGCGACACCCGGUUCAUGACCUUUUUUAAAAACUUACUUCUACCCUUUUACCAGGACUGCAUCAUAGGGAUGUAGGUUGAAACUUUGAGAACCAUAUACUGAGACACGGAGAAAUUUAUAUGUGCAUAUAAAUAAUUAGAAUACAUCUAGAAGCAACCAUCGUCGCUCAAAAACUUGUUCCUCAUCGUGUAACAGCAUCAUGCCUCCGAAGAAACAAAACUAAUCCACCGGCAAAACACCAAUACUUCAGAUAGACUCAGAUACAUUUCAAGUUGCAGUUUCAACAGGGCAGCUGUCAUGACUCAUGUGAAUGCUAACAAUGCAAACGUUAGUAGUAACAUUAUCAGAAAUCCUGAUUGUAGUGAUAACAAAGUACUGCAGCAAGUGCCUGCUUGUAAAGACACACCGAACCUCAACCCUAAGAGUAACAAACGACAGUUUUGGGAUAAAAGGAAGUGCAAAUCAUCUCAAAUGAUGAACAAGAGACAACACCUGGUGGCAACCUCUACAGCCACGACAUCUACUGCUUCUACUACCAUUCCUACUGCUACCCCCAACAAGGCAGUAUGUCGGGAACCUACCCCUAUGCAAGAAGUGCAACUUCCAUCACCUAGGAGUCUGCCGAGUGUUGCACUGCAUUAACAACAACAAGAAGGGGCACACUACCCGUUUCUGCAAAAUUCCAAACAAGCACAUCACUUCAACCACCAAUGUUGGGAUCAGUCCAAUAUGUCACCUAUGUGGUGAAAUAGGACAUUUCAAGAGGGACUGUCCAACAAAAGGAAAUGAUAAAGGCGCAGGAGUAGUUUAACCUCGGAUCAUAAAGAAGUGUUGGAGAACCCUCUAGAAAUUUUGGUAUGCUCCCUAACUUUAACAACCAACUAUAAAUACUCCCUCGUUAAAACAAAAUUUGCAGCACAAUUAUAAACCUCAAAAACCCUGUCAGGUAAAGCUAUGAUGGCCUAGUAUAUACGUUAGGGUCAUUGAUAAUUAAGAUUUGUAGAACUCGAGUGAGUGAUGCAGUCUCAUUUCCUGUUCUUUGUUUGGUUGUGGAUUUAAGGCGGAGUCACUCAGUCAACAGUCUUUCCAAUCUUAAUUAUACAUGACAGGUGUAUACCAGGCGGCUAUAGAGAGGCCUUGUGGGAAUCAUUCCCCUAGAAGUACAUUACUCAAAAUCAUCGGGACUCUCAAAUUGUUAGCGCUCAUUAUUUUCGACUCUAAAAAUCAUGGUGGUAAUACCAUGCGACGAAACCGGGAGCACUGAAGUCUUAUGUGCUUGAUAUAGCACAUCUUCCUGAUAAUCAUUUCUUCCAUAUCGACUCGAUAUCUAUUAUGUCGAGAAAUUCUGACAUCGUCAUCUGUCAUGGUUUGGCACUCACUAUGUAAAAUGUCUGUGCUGAAAAGAACUUUCAUUCUAAUUAAUGUCAAAUAAAAUUAUUCCAGUUAAUAAUGGCAAACCUAUUACAAAUCAUCAUGUCGCCUCUCACAUCAAAACUUCAGAACUACCCGAGUGAGGGGUACCACGUCUUGUUAGGCUACCCAAUAGUCCAUAGAUUACGAAUUUGAAAUUCGUUAUCAUCCCGGUUAAGCCAAUCUAGUAGCUAACACCCUUAGUCGGGAGGAGUAACUCAGAUCAUAGAGUCAAAUCAUCACUAUGACCAUCCAUUCGCAUCUGUCCAUAUGAAUAAAGAUGGCUCAGCAGGAANNGAAACCUAGAAUUUUGUCAGGUGAAACUCGGAGAAGGAUGGAAAAGAACUUAGAAGUCACAGGUGCGAUCAUACCAACACUAAUGCACCGGAUACCAUCAGAAAUCUAUCAUUAAGCGUGCAUGGACAAUGGAGCCUUAUACCACAUAGAUUUGAUCUAGACACCAAAGUUCUGUGACGUCAGAGACAUGGUCAUUAAUGAAGCUCACGAUACUCAACACUCCGUUCAUCCAAAUUCAGACGAGAAGUGUCUAGACCUCAAAAAGUUGUAGUAGUGGCUUGGCAUGCGAGCAAAAGUAUUGUUGCCUUAUAGGUAAGGGUAUUACGCACAUCAAGGUUAAGGUCAGAAUACUAAAAGCCACAGAAUUACCACCACGGUCGAAGACACCUGAGUAGAAGAGGAUGCAUAUUGUGUUGUGCUUCAUAAUCCAGUUACCCAAGGCAUCAGGUUGACACAAUAGACAAGCUAGUGGAACAUGUUUCCGAGAGAUUAGUUAGACUGCUCGGUGUUUAAAUGUCUGUUAUCUCUGUUAGAGAUAGUAGAAUCACCUCCCGAAAUUGUCAAUCACUUCAGAAAAUCUCUGAGGGCUAGGCUAGUCAGGAGCAUAGCCUACCAUCAAGGAAACGACAGACGGAAGAAAAGAACGAUUCGACCAAUAGGGAUUAUGCUGAGAAUGCAUUUAACUGACUUUGCUGAAGUUUGGGAUACCCAAAUUGCCAAACUAGUCAAGUUCUUUACCACCCUGUCAUUUGAAGUUGCUCCAUUCGAAAACCCUCAUUGGUCGUAAGUGCAAAUCCUCUUUGUACUGGACUAAGGUAGGUACCACGCUACUAGUUAGAUGUCAAAUUCCAGACAACACCUUCGCUGAUCUAUAAACCCUUCAAGAAACUACCAAGUAGAAAAUGCAAAUCCGAAAACGACCUAGAACUUCUAGAACCAAUCAGAAAGGCUACGCCUUUAGUAAGAGAAAACCUUUGGAAACUCCAGGAUGGUGAUCACAUCAAGUGAUGGUCUCACCCUGGAAGGAAAUUAUGUUUUAGAUAAUGAGCAUGCUAAAUCCAAGGUACUUAGGACCAUUUGAGAUUCUCGAUAGAAUUGGUCCGACAGCUUACAGGUCCCGACUACUGAGGGAAUUCAAUAAAUUUCACUCUACCCUCCCAUGUCUAUAAAAUUGAAAAAGUGUUUAUCCGGCGAAACUUUUAUUAUCCCACUUGAUUAGGUCGAUGUAAGCUAAAGCCUUGUCUUGGUAAAGAAAUCUAUAAAAAUCCAAUUAAGUAAAAGGAACCCUUGGAAACCCUAUCCAGUGGAGUCCAACGAACGAAAAUGAAACCGUACCUCUUGGUGAAAGUCUACGAAAGCGUAUAACGAGGACUUGAUCCCCCUAGAGAUCAGGUGGAUCAGAUGGAACAUGAGUAUCCGUACCUUUCACCUCAUCCAUGUAUAUUCCUUAGAACUAAAUUUCGGGAUGAAAUUCCCUUUAACGGGGGGAUGAUGUGACAACCCGAAAUUUCUAUCUUGUACAACCAUUCAAUUCAAUCAAAGUCAGACUUUUUUCUGGUAUCUUUUAUCAUUGUUUAGGGUCUGUUUGAGUGUUCUAAGUCUAGUGUAUUCAAGGUUUGGGUUUAGGGAAGAGUUAGCUUAAGUUCAUAGCAAGGCAUUCAGGCCAAACACUCUUUCAAGAGGAGUGUACAGCCAUACACAUGGGUGUACCACCAUACACCCUUCAUGGCCGUGAACUCAUACCCUUAACAAUGAUUUCUUUCAGUUUUCUUCAUUUCCUCACAUUUCCAACGCAAGAACCCCGAUUCUCUCUCAGCUAUCAUCAACUUUUCACCCUGAUCUUCAAGAUUAUAAGUAUUCCUUCCAUUGAUUAGUUGAUACAUAUCUUUAACUAGUGAAGAUCCAUGUUUUCAUCCGUGAAACUUCCUAUUUUGGUUAGAUCUUCAAGUUUCACCAAGAACACCAAGAACACCUACUAGUUCUUUGGUCGUGAACUCCUUAGAAGCCUUCAAAAGUGUGAGUAUCUCUUCUAUAUUCUAUUAGAGCAUAAGAAACACUUGAUUCCUAGCCUAAAUCAUCAUCUAAUGCAUGAACAUCAAGGGUGUAUGGUCGUACACACCUCAUGUAGUCGUAAACCCUUAUUUAGUGCGUGAUUAGGCCUCAAACUCAUCUCAUGUCCCAACAUAGGAUCAUGAACACUUAUUGGAUGCUAGUUAGAGCCAUAAAAAAACUCUAGUCUUUCCGUGAGUGUAUGGUCGUACACCCCAUGACCAUACACUCAUGUGGCCGUACACCACUUAGACCGUAUACACCUUGGUUGUACACACUCUUGGGUGGCCGUAAACCCCUUUGAUACAAUCAAAUGUGAUUGUAACACAUCAAUAUAAGUGUUUAUUAGUCCCUAGGAUUGUUUCCCUUCAUGAUUAGUUGUUAUAUACACUAAUUAUAUAGAUAUAUGUGUCAUUAUAUGCUUAAUAGGAUCCGUUUGUGCUCAAGACUUCCCUUGGCAUACCCAUCAUUUCAUAUCACGUCCUCAAGCAAAUCAUCCUCCUAAGGUGAGUUCAUACCCCUACAAUCAAUCUUUUAACUGUUUUAAAUGCUUUUUAGGGGGGAUACAAGUUUAACACAAUUAUAAAUUGUGUUAGUAUAAACAUUUGUACACUGUUAAUAUUUCAAACUGUCAUAAACUACUUUUAAACAUUGAUGUUUCUUUUAAACUCUUUAAAACUCUCUUAUUUUCAAAACAAUAUUCAUGCAUAUAUUAGUGUAUAAACAUAGUUUAGUGGACUUAGGACUAGUGUUAAUAACCUUGACUCAUGUUCCUAGUUUGGUUGUGGGCAUAGGGUAGGAUUCACUAGUACGAGUGUCGAUUAAAAUACGUUUACAUGCCAAAUGCAUACAUGAAUAUUAAAGCUUACUUUCAAGUUAUUCAAGUUAGAUACGAAACAAACAUACUAGUAAACGAUAAUAGGUAUAGUUUAGAGAACAUAUACAUAUACAAGUACAGAGAAUAGGGCUUAGAUAAUGAGUUUGCUCUUCAAGAGUAAACUCCUUAGGGAGUUUACGGCCCUAAGACCAUGUCCACAUGAUUUCACGGCCGUGAACUCAUGGAUGAUGGGUUUUAAGGUGCUCAAGGGUCAAAUAUCACAUGGGAAAUGUUGCUAGGAUUUAAUCUAAGGCAUAGGAAUGGAUUUAACCACCAAAGAGACCAUCAAAGGGAGUUUACGGCCGUGAACUAGGAGUUUACGGUCGUAAGCUCCUAAUUACCCUUUCUUUUCAUGAUUUGGUGGCCCUAGAUUAAUCAUAUGUGAUUUGAACUUAUUUUAGAAGCCAUAGAAUGGAUUUAGGGCAUCAUUUGGCUAAGGUAUAGGAGUUUAUGGCCCAGAAACCUAUCCUUGGGGGGUUUACGUCCGUAAGCUCCUAUAGGAGUGGUUUUAAUCAAGUUUAAGGCCCCUAAAUCGAUUGUGGUUGUUUCUAGACUUUAAUCCAAGGCUUAGGAGGUGUUUAAAUGGCAUUUUAACACCCUAAAAGGAGUUUACUGCCCAUGAUAUGGAGUUUACAGCUCAAGCAUGUUCUUGGGCAGUAAACUCAUGUUUACUCCUCAAAUGUUCCAAGUCCAAUCCUUUAAGUCCUUAGGUCAUUUCUAAGCUCCAUAAGUGGUUUGAGAGGGUUUUUAGGCUCCAAAACCCAUUUUAUAUGUGUUCACAGCCCAUGAAUGUUCUAGGGCCGUAAACACAUGUUUAUGGUCCUAAAUCAUACUUUGAACACGGAUUUGGAAGCUGAAAAGGUUGUACUACGAGUUAGGAUGGUUACCUUGAUGAUUUAGGGCUUGAAUUCAAUGAUUUUGGACCAUGAAUUGAGUUGUAGAGAGAGUGUAGUGAGAAAGGGUGCAAAAGCUUCAAAUGGAAGCUUUUUGAACUUUAUAUAUGGUUCAAGUUUUGGACACGUUGGAAUUCUACCCGAUACUGACGUUAUACGAUGCUUUUGGUCGCAUCCGAUUAAGUUGCCGUAACCUGAUAUGGUUGAAACUAAAAAUUUUCCAAUUAUUAAAUUGGGGCGUUAUCAUGAGUUUCUAAUGUGUUUGGACACUCAUUAAGUCAUAAUAAACGACUCAAUUUAAUGACUUAAUUUAAUAAUGUCACACCCCGAAAACCGAAGGCGGAAACACUCCCGGGGUUGACUCCACGUUAAGUAUCAAAUCCAAUGCACAUAGUAAGUAAAGUAGAACAACCAUUACAUUACAUAAUAAAGUUUUACAGUUGUUUCAAAAGUAAAGUUUGUACAGUUGUGAUACAUAGUAUAUAUAGACAAAAUGAAACGGAUCUUCAUGUACUCCAUCUUCUGAUCAAAAGAAAUCUCCGGGUACCUGUUCUAACGCUGACCUGAGAACACAAGCGGUUUGAAAAAUCAGCAUAAAGCUGGUGAGUUCAUAAGAAAUUUUGUUUUGUGAAAAUGUUUAUGUUUCCUUUCUGUUUCUGAAAAUGCAUCAGUGUAUUCCCAGGAAAGUCCCAUACUUUCCUGAAUAGUUAGUUAUUGUAAAAGAUGUAAUGAUAUACAAAUAGUUACACUUUUCUGGUUAUGUGAAUGUUACCCAGGAAUGCCCCAUUCUUUCCUGUAUGUUGGUUUUCAAUGUAAAAGAUGUAUUAUAUCAAACCUGGUUAUGUACAAAGUUUUCCCCAGGAAGGUCUCAUACCUUUCUGAAUGUUGGUUAUUGUUUGUAAAAGAUGUAAAAGAUGUAAAUAUUGUAAACUGAAUCCUGGUUAUCUGUAAAAUGUAGUAUAUGGUUCAUUAUUACUGUAAGUAAAUCUCUGUUAUCCUAAUUGCGAGUUCCAUAACCAUACUAAGGACUGAACCUGUGGCAAUAAGUAGUCCACAACCUUGUGGCAAUAAGUAGUCCACAAUUCUUAUGACUUUCGUCACCCUUGAACCAUUUCGGUUCGGCUGUAGCUAGCAGCCAGGUGUGGGGUAGUCAGCCCCGUAUAGAUCUAUACACUCAAGUCACGCUCUCUAAAUCCCAGAGAUUCUGGUUACGGGUGUUGUCCUCCACUCGCGUAUCUCUGUGGAGUGUUCGCCGAGGACGUGUCUCCAAUCAUACGGAAUAACAAAUUUACUAAUAAUAAUAGUAUAAUCCUCCAUUCGCGUAUCUCUAUGGAAUGUUACCGAGGACAAGACAGUGUAUGAAAUAUAUUAUUCAUGUGUUGUAAAGUCAUGCUUUUAACUGAUAAAAUGUGGAAACCAUUCGUGAAAUAUAUAAAACAUAACAGUUUAUAGAUCCCAUUUCACAAAUAAAUGUUUAAGUAAGCUGUAUAUUCUAACGGUUAUCGGUUACGUGUAUCAGUAUUAAAAGCAUAAGAAAUGUGAAACACACACAAGAAAAUAAUUUUUGAGUAUAGGAAAACCCUUGUACUUUGCUUGUGUUCCCCCCCUAAAAACAGUGAAAAACAGUGAAAAAGGUAGGGGUAUGAACUCACCGGACUCGGAAACGUGUCGGUUUUGAAUGCUAGACGUUGGUUCGAGGUUUGAUUACUCGCGAUGACCCUAUGUAAAAUGAAAUAAUGUCCAUAUAUAUACAAUUAGGGAUACAUUCACUAAUCAUAUGGAACAUUAUACUCCAAUGAGGUCAAACACCUCGAAAUGAGCGUUUGGAGUGACCCGGGUGGCGUUUAAGGACGUGUAAAGGCACUAGGGACAUGGGACUUGAGUUUACUCUCCAUAAGUAAACAUUUAAAUGAGUUUACACCCACAAAACACACCCACACAUGAGUUUACGGCCGUAAACUCAUGUUGGUGUGGUUUUGAUGAUCUAAGUGACUUAAAUGGCUUACAUGGACAUGGGAAAUGCUAGAAUGAUUUAUCUAAAAUGACUUGGAACACUUGGAAUGAAUUUACAACAUUUAAACAUGAGUUUAUGGCCAUACUCUUAGAGUUUACUGCCGUAAACUCACCCAUGGCCAAGAAGGGUUAGUUUAUGCUACAAAGGACAAUCACAUGUGAUUCUAGGAUUUAUACCAAGACCUAGUAUGAGUUUUAUGGGACAUUUGAGGGGUAUUAUGGAGUUUACGGCCCAUGAGACCCUCUUCAUGGCCGUAAACUCUAAUAUAGGGUGAUAUAAUGUGUUUCAAUGUCUAAAACUUGCAUAGAAGGGCUUCUAAAAUUCAUCUAAAGGCUUUAGGGGUGUUUAGUUUGCAUUCUAACACCAAAAAUUUUGGAGUUUACGGCCCAAGAACAAUGCCUUGGCCGUAAACUCUUAGAAAACCCACAAAUGUUGUGUUUUUGUCCCUUAAACUAUUUUUGGUUGGUCCCUUGAUUUAUUCCAAGGCUUUUGGUGGUGUUGGAUGGCUUUCUAACACCUUAGAAAUGAAAUUAUGUCAUGUUUUAGGGAGUUUACGGCCCAAGCAAUCCCCUUGGCCGUAAACUCAAAUAAGUCCCUCAAAAGUUAUGAUUCAAGUGUCCAAAUGCUAUAUCCAAGGUCCUAUAAUUCAUACCUAAGCCAUAGAAGUGAUUUGGAAGGGUUUAAAGGCAUAAAAACCCUAGAUUAUUGAGUUUACGGCCCAAGAAUGCUCCUUGGCCGUAAACUCCUUCAAACUUCACAAAGUUCAUGUUUUAAUUGUUUAAAGUCCAUAUCUUAAAGUCCCUUAGCCAUAUCUAAUGUCCAAUUGAGUUUAGGAAGGAGUUUAAGAGCUUAAAACCCCAUAAAAUGGAGUUUACGGCCCAAGCUUGCUCCUUGGCCGUAAACUCUUGUUCUUGACCCUAAAACUCAAUUAAUUCAUCAAUUUGAAGGCUAAAGAUGAUGAAUAACAUGUUAGAGAGGUUACCUUAAAGAUUUGAAGCCUUAAACUUGUGAUUUGGACCUUAAUUCUAGCUUGGAGGAGAGAGGUUGUAAGAGUUUAGUGUGAAUUUGGCCAAAGGCUUCAAAUGGAGUCUUAAACAUGUUUAUAUAAUGUUCGAGAAAUGGACACGAUAGAAUUCUACCCGAUACCGACGUUAAUUGAGGUUUUUGGUCGUACCCGAUUGAGUUACCGUAACCCGACAUAGUAAUUUCUAGAAAUAUUCCGAUCACUAAAGUUGGGUGUUUAAAAUGAUUUCUAAUGUAUUAAGACACCCAUUAAGUCAUUUUAGGUCAAUAUAAACUAUUGACUUAAUGAAAUGGAGAAAUUGGAAACGAAAUUGAAAAUGGCGUCGGGUUGAUCGGAUUUGAAUCACAAGUUGUGGUACAAGAAGUGACAUGAAAUUUUGGGUUGUUACAAAUAAUGAAACGGAAACAAUUUGAAAACGACGAAUUUAUUAACGGAACGGAUUACAAUGACGGAAAGAAUUUCGGGUUGUCACACAUAUAUUAGUGUAUAAACAUACUUUAGUGGACUUAGGACUAGUGUUAGUAACCUUGACUCCUGUUCUUUGUUUGGUUUUGGGCUUAGGGUAGGAUUCACUAGUUCGAGUGUCGAUUAAAAUACAUUUACAUGCCAAAUGAUACAUGAAUAUUAAAGCUUACUUUCAAGUUAUUCAAGNAUGAAACAAAAUACUAGUAAACUAUAAUAGGUAUAGUUUAGAGAGCAUAUACAUAUACAAGUACAGAGAAGAGAACAUAUACAUAUACAUAUACAUGUACAGAGAAGAGAACAUAUACAUAUUCAUAUACAAGUACAGAGAAGAGAACAUAUACAUAUACAUAUACAAGAACAUAAGAGGACAAACUUACGAUAACAUAUACAUAAUAACUAGCAUGUGAGAAACUACUUCAUGAUAUAGCAAUUAAAUUUUUGUAUCAUGUUUUGUAACCAGAGUCUCCUGGAGGGAGAGCGGGUAUUAUGUGUAAAGAUCUUUACGGGACAGACACUCCAACACCUCGACUGUUAGCUACAGUCACUGCCAACAAGGCCAAGGGGUGACAAAUGUCACAUCGUUUCGUCGCCAGAAGGUCGUCGUGUUUACAACAGUCAAUCAGCAUGGUUACAACCAUAUCUCAUUUCACCUUAAUUUAACUAAUUGGGUUAUAAGGAAAUUAGUGCUUCAGCAGUUAUUUUAAACAACUAUGCAGCACACUUCAUUCUUCCAAUACAUUCAGGUCGUGAUAUACUCACAUAGGAAUGCAUACUAUUUUUCGUUUAAGAAAAGUUUUACAAACAUGGAAAACCAAAUUUAUACUAUUAUAUGUACAAACACACAUUUUGCUUCACUAUCGAAGAGAAACAAACAUAACAAACCAGUUGAGUCUUGGUAGGAGACUACUUUCCAUUUUAGUAGAAAAUAUAAGAUUUUCUAGGUUGUAAACAAACAUUUACAUCAAAACAUUUUCAAUCGUUUUCAAUAAAGAUAAGCAACCUUCAUUAAAUACUUAUGAACUCACCAGCAUUAUAUGUUGAUCCUCUCUUUCAAAAUAACUUGUAUUUUCAGGAAUCCGGUAGACAGGUACACUCCCGUAGCUUUUGCGAAGACAGCCUAGUACCGAUAUGCAUUCUUUGUUUUAUUACUAUAUCUACUUUUGAUGUUGAGCACUUGAUGUUUGAACUAUGAAAAAACUUAUACAUUAUUAACGCAAUGGUUGUUGUACUUUGCUUACUAUACUACAUGUGUUGUGAUACUUGACAUGACGUCCUACACCCCCGAAUGUUUCCGCCAAUUCGGUUUGGGGGUGUGACAGUUACCAAGCACAACCCAACCAUUGAGCCGAAACCACCUUCUAUCCUAGUAAUCACUAAUCCAUCACCUUUAAGGCUUUCAUGAUGCAUGCAUCGAUCAUCCCCUCCCAUUUUCAAUGGAUAUGACCUCAAUUAAUCAAGGCCAUCAAUAACAGGAUACGAUGAAAGGUUUCCCACGUUAAAGGUAGCAUGCACUCCAUGGUCUCCUCCCAAAUCAACCUUCUAAGCAUUAUCAUUGACAUGUGACACCACAUUGUAAGGACCUUAAGCUCUUGGCAUCAACUUUUGUUGGUCCUUUUGUUAGGAAAAUGUUAUUUCCUCAUAUACACCUAAACGAAGUCACCAUCUUGAAAGACACGUGGUUUCCUANGGAAUUCUGUUGUACACCUCAUUCACGGCUUCAAUCUUCACAUGAACUUGUUGGUGUAGUUUCGUCAUGGCCUUCAACUUGUCAUUAGCAUCCUAGUGAACCAAUUCAUCCUUUGGCAAUGGAAUCAAAUCCAAAGUCAUGUUAGGAUUCACACCAUACACCACUUCAAAAGGAGAGUGACCUGUAGCAUAAGUAGGAGAACGAUUAUAGGCAAAUUAACCAUGUGCAAAUUUGAUGUCCAAAUGUUUUUGAGUUUUGCUAACCAACCCCUCAACAACGUACCCAAAGUUCUAUUAGUGACCUUUGUUUGCUCAUCAGUUUGUAGAUGAUGGGAUGUACUAAAAAGUAACUUAGUACCAACUUUCCUCCACAAAGUGUUCCAAAAGUAACUCAAAAACAUGGAAUCCCUAUUACAAACAAUAGUUUGAAGGAAUAAUAUGCAAGAAAACCACCUCUUUAAAGUACAAAUCAGACACAUAAGACGCAUCAUUGGUUUUACGACAUGGCACAGAGUGAGCAAUUUUUGAAUACCUAUCCACCACCACUGUAAUGGAAUCCUCCCCCUUUAAGUUCUAGGCAAAGCGAUAAUGAAUUCCAUUGACACAUCUUCCUAUGGACGAAUAGGAGCCGACAAAGGAGUGUAAACACCAUGAAUGAAAGUUUUUUUCAUCAUCUGACUUGUAACACAUUUGCCCACUAUGUUGGUUACAUCCCCAAAAUCUUAGGCCAAAAGAAGUGUUUUUAAAGCACUUCCAAAGUUUUGGUAAUGGAAAAAUCUAACAACCCGAUAUUUCAGGCCAUUGUAAUGACUGAAAGUCAAAUAUUGUAAUCUCUUUUCGAAGUAAUAAAGAUAGCGUCAAAAAUGAAAUGUUCAAAAAUCUCAAUUUGAAUGUACUAAGUGGUAGACAUCGUAACAAGGUUUUCAAAAAUAUAAGGAACACUAAAAUCCGAGUUAUAACGAACAAGUUAUGACCAAUCGAAGAUCCGCAACAAAACCAGCAAAAUACUGUUAAGCACAAAACGAGAAAUUUUAAAUAAAAUACUUUUUAGCCUUAGGUAUCCAAAUGAAAGUCAUAGAUAUCAUUAAACCGCAAACUUACAUAAAAUGAACGUCCAAAUCUGACUUCGUAUGUGGAAGUCAUGAUCUUUCUACGUUUCACAUAUAGCAGUAGACAGCUAAAAACUCGAAAUGGAGAUCGAGCGAUUUUUAUCCAACUUAACCUAAACGAGAAUCGAAGAUCUCGACAAUGGUGAUACAACGGUAAAAAGACAGACGGAAACGGACAUCGGAUGAAGAAGUUAUGGAUUUUAAACGGACUUUUCCAGUCCCAUCAUGUUAAAGAUAAAAUAAUAAAAAUAAAUUCAAAAGUAGCCGACGAAGUCUAAAUGAGAGUUGUAGAGUAUUUUCUCACCCACACGUGGAUAUAAAGAACAUUGAAACCGGAGCUCGUAUGCAAAAGUUACGGAUUUUACAAGAUCGGGGCACAAGAUCCGAGAGUGGUCUAAGAAGGAACGCAGGAAGGAACGCCAUGCGUUCUUCGACCAGAGCCAUCCCAUCGUCCAUAAGGUCCGAUAUACAUAAGCAAUGACCUCACAGGGGAACGCCCGGCGUUCGUAGUGCCUCCCAGCACUAUAAAAGGGAGGCUAGGGUACCGGGUUUGGUUGCUUUCCUCUCAUCUCUUUCACCGUAAAACACCUCUCGAGUCCCUCUAAGCUACCAAUAAGCCCUGGUAUCACCGCUAGCACACGACACAAGUCCCGACGCCCCCAAGAUCUCCGAGAAAUCGACUUUCUCCAAUCGAAGUAAGGCUCGAGUUUAGUCUCGCCUUCUUAAACCACCACUUCUACCAAGUGAGUUCAUACCCCUAUCACUAUGCUUUCACAUACUUUUUAAACGCUUUUAGGGGGGGGGAUACAAGUAAACACAUUUUUUGAACUCGUAUGAAAAUAUCAAUCUUUUGCUAUACUUUACAUGCAGUUAUUAUAACUAUCAAAUGCAGUUGUUAACAUGCAAAAUACUUUACAACACAACUAUACCCUCUUGGGAUACAAUAUGUUUUAUUUAUAAGUAUACAUAACAUAUCAUGACAAGGGUAACCUUUUUCAACUAUAACAUUACGUGUAUUUAAGAAAACACAACUCUUUAUUAUGCCUUUGUUAACACUGUAGAAAGGGUAAUCGUUUUGGAUAUAAACAUACACACUUUUGAAUACGUGACUUAAUUGUUAUCUUGAAUUGUAAAAAGAUUUUUCAUCAUUUUACUCGUGAACUUGUUGUUAGCAAUCAUGUGAAGCAAAUGGAUUUCUUUAGUAUCAAACGAAAGUCCACUUCUAUAACCAGAGUCUCCUGGAGGGAGAGCGUGUAUUUGUGUAUAGAUCUAUACGGAGUUGAUGACUCCGCACCCUGAUUGUUAGCUACAGUCCCCGGGGUGACAAAUUUCAACAUUGGUACUACCGUCUAGUAUGGUUAUAAGAGACUCGCACGCGGAUAACAAUGAUUCAUGUACGUAGUAAUACGCUUCUCGGACAAAGCCAUGGAAUAGUAUCUUUAUGAUUGUUUUUAUAUAAGUUGUUUGUAUUAAGUAAUCAUAGUAGGAUAUUAUUGUCACAUUCAUGAUCUGAUUUAAACACAUCUUUAGUGGAUUUUAUUAUUUUAAUAAUAAACUUAUACAUCUUCAUUUUAAGCAUGACAUAUUUGCUUACAAGUUACAGUCUUGGACAUUUAAGACUAGUUUUCACUUUCAGGAAAAUAUAGUAUUUUCCCGGUACAAUGCAUUUUACUCUUUACAACAAUGAUUCAUAACACAUUUUAUAAAGAAAAUGUCGGAUUUUCUGGAAAACAUACACAAACUUUCAAAUGGCAUAUAUUUACUCAAAUCUCUACUUAUGAACUCACCAACUUAAUUAUUGACACUUUUUUUGAAAUAACUUGUAUUCUUAGAGAAUCGCUAAACCAAGUUAGCAAGUACUUUUAGGGAUUAAUGCUCGGGCGUUAAUAACAUAUUUUGGAACACCUUAUUGUAUUUGGCUUUCAAACAUGUAACACAUACAAUCAUGUAAACUUUUCAAAUAUAUAUAUAUAUAAUGGUGGUGUGUACUUUCUUUNUAUAUAUAUAUUAUGUUGGUGUGUACUUUCUUUAUUAUUCAAUUGUUAUGGUACUGCACAUGAAGUCCUCCGCCCUUGAAUGUUUCCGCCGUUCAGGUUUGGGGGUGUGACAGAUUGGUAUCAGAGCAUUGUUUAUAAUGAACUAAGUAUUUCAAAACGAUUUUUGAUAUACAACUAUAAACAAAACUGGGCAAAACACUCUGACUAAGAGUUAUACUUUUUAAAAUGAAUCUUUUACAAAAGUAAGCAUGCAUACAUUACAUAUCAGGAUCUAUAUCAUAAUGAAAGCAAUAUAGAAGUAUUAUAGAUGAGUUGUGCACUACAGGUAUGCCUUGGAACAUGUAAUUGGGACUGUGAUGAAUAUAGCCUGAUCAACUAUAUUUGUCCGAGAGCCGACUAACAUAUGUCAGGGAAUAGCUGCGGUGGACAACAAGUCUAAAACUUACCAAACACAUAAAUUUUAGAAUCAAACAUAACAUUUAAAAUACUAUAAAAGUAUUUUGUCAAUACAAUAGUUUAACCCUGAUACUUAAUUUACAUGCUUUAGCUUUUAGACAACUCUUAUAUCCCUAUUCUCGUACAGAAACAAAUGGCCGGAUUUCACUUUCCAGGAGACCCCUACUACCCGAACGAAGGUAACGGAGGAUGGAUUGAGGAUGAUCCAGAAGAAGAUCCAUAGGAAAUGGUGGAUGAAGAAGCAGAAGAUGAGGAGGAACCAAUCGAGGAAGAGGAAGAGUCCGAGGGAACGGAUACAGAACUAGUGGUGUACAACCCACCAGCCGUCCGACCUGCUGCUGUCAGGAGAGGUUAUCAAGGACCAACUCCCAUUUGGGGAAACCCCAUUCACCAUUAGAGCCAACAACAGGGAGUACACCCUCCAUACAGAAUGUGCCGAGACUUUUACAACGUUAGCAAUGGAGGUUCAGCUGACAGGGCACUCCCUAUUAUUGUGGACAAGAUAGCUAACCAAAAGCUACCAGUCAAGGGUCUCGGCGAUCCGGAUUCGAGAAGUCAAUGCAACGGCACAGAGUAACACUGUCGAUAUUCGUCGUCUGGACGGACUGCAUGACAACACCCAAAACCACACCAGGGCACUCCAGAGCCAAAUGAACGCAUCCCCUGCUAAAAUAAGGGACAUGAGGGAGCAACAAGACAUCCUUGAAAGGCGACUAAUCGUAGCCAAACACUCAGAUGCGGAGUCUAAUACUAAGCACAAUACGUGCCGCACAUAGUACUUGCACGACUCCUAAAUUUUGUUAUAGAAUAGGAUCUCGGCUAAAUGUCUUACUUUCUUUAACUUCUGUAUUGGAGACCUUUAGAACGGUCAAAUUUUCCUAACUCCAUGAUGUAACCCGAUAUAUACAUAUAAUGAAGUAUUUACUUUGCAUGUUAAUUCUUUGGACACCACUCAAAUUCAUAAGCUUAUAUAUUAUUAUAUAAACUAUUAUUAUGGAUCAAACUCAAAUCACUGUUUUGGUUGAAUCUAAUACAUGAAAUGUUCCAAAUAGCUAACUCAUUAACACUCGAUUUUCAAUCAUCAAAGACUUAUUGUCUUUUAUUAUUAUUUCUUUGGCAGCACAAUGCCUCCUUGCAGAUCUGCUCGCCACGUAAACAACGCAGCACUGCCACCACCGCCACCACCUCCGCAAUAAGAUUUCGUCAUGGUGCAGGCUGCUAUCACCGUAUCAGUAGCGGCUGCACUAUCACAGAUAAACUCUAACGGCGCUAGCAGGACCGGAAGUAGUACGAACCACCUAAAACAAGGCACUGGUCAGGGUCACAUCAGGGAAUGCACCUACAAAGAAUUCUCAAACGCAAAACCAAAAAGUUUAACAGGUUUGGAGGAGUCAUUGCACUUAUGCAAUGGUUCAAAAAGACCGAGACGGUCUUCAAGAUAUGUUCAUGCCAGGAAGCAAGUAAAGUCAAGUUCGCUGCUUGCACUUUUGCUGAUCGGGCCCUCACCUGGUGGAAGGGCCAUGUUAAGUCCUUAUCUCUCCCAAUAGUUGCCAACGCCAUGAGCUGGGAGUACUUAAAAGCUCUAAUGCUCGAAUACUGCCCGAUGGGCGAAAUCCAAAAGCUAGAGCAGGAAUUUUGGGAACCUGAGAAUGACUGGGUCUGAUCUAGCUGCUUACACGGCUAAAUUCAGUGAUUUGUUAGACUUAUGCCCAUGCAUGGUUAACCCGGAGUCGAAGAAAGUGGAGAGAUACAUAUGGGGAUUGGCACCCCAUAUCUAAGGACAUGUCUUGGCUUCCAAUCCAAUCACGUUUGACAGCGCGAAGCGCUUGGCUCAACGGUUGAUCGAUCAUGGUGUCAAACAGGGUACCAUUGCAGCUGUUUAUGAACCGCCAAAGGAGGUAGAGGACCAAAGGAGAUCAUGGAACAAGAGAGGGGGCAAAACAUACAAGAAAACCCCAAAAGACAAUAGUUAGUAACAACCCAUGCCGUUACUGUCCCUACCAUCCCAACAACAACAAAGUCGUACAACGACAACCAAUGGAUGAAUUCAAUGCAAUGCACUAGGUGCAAUAGGAGGGGACACAUUGUCCAUUUCUAUAAAGAACCGGCCCAACCGGCCGGUCCAACCACGAAUGUUGGAGUAGGUCGUACCUGUUACGAGUGUGGGGCUGCGGGGGCUACAGGGCACUUCCAAAGGGACUGCCCGAAGGUGAACAAUAGGAACGCUGGUGGAAGGGGCAGAGUAUUCGCAAUGGGCCAGGAGGAAGCCGUUGCAGAUCCCACUGUUGUUACGGGUACGUUUCUCCUCAAUAACUCGUAUGCAUGAAUUAGUUUUGAUAGUGGACUGGAAAGGAGUUUCGUGAGCCAUAGUUUUAAAAACCUACUUAAACAAGCAUCCCAACCAUUAAGCGAAACAUUUAUAGUAGAAAUGGCUAAAGGAAAGACAAAAGGCGCUAAAGAAAUAUACAUAAAUUGUACCCUAGCACUAAACAACAAUUAUUUCCCAAUCAACCUCAUGCCAGUCUCAAUAAAGAGUUGCAACGUUAUCAUAGGCAUGGAUUGGCUAAGUUCUCAUCGUACGGAAAUUUUAUGUUACGAAAAGGCCGUUCGCCUUAAUUUGCCAGAUGGAGAAACCCUUGUCAUUUAUGGCGAUAAACCUAGUACCACUCUCCGUAUUAUCUCCUGCGUCAAAGCUCGAAAGUAUAUGUGCAAGGAAUGUCAUGCGUUCUUGGCACACGUUCUAGAUGUGAAAAGGGGAGUUGAAGACAUCAAGAGCAUGCCUGAUGUCUGUGAUUUUCCCGAUGUCUUUCCCGAAGAUCUUCUAGGAGUACCAACCUACAAGAGAAGUUGAAUUCAGAAUCAACUUGAUUCCUGAAGCUACCCCUGUAGCCAAGGCACCGUAUCGUUUAGCCCCGGUUGAGAUGCAGGAAUUGUCCAGCCAGCUGAAUGAACUACUAAGUAGAGGGUUCAUUAGACCAAGAUUCUCACCUUGGGGAGCACCCGUGCUAUUCGUAAAGAAGAAAGACGGAUUGUUCAGAAUGUGCAUCGACUAUCGAGAACUCAACAAACUCACCAUUAAGAACUGGUAUCCCCUACCACGAAUAGACAAUUUUUUUGAUCAACUCCAAGGAGCAAACUACUUUUCCAAGAUCGAUCUGAGAUCAGGAUAUCACCAGCUGCGAGUCAUGGAGAGUGAUGUUCCUAAGAUGGCUUUCCGAACAAGAUACGGUCACUACGAAUUCGUAGUGAUGCCGUUCGGACUAACCAAUGCGCCUGCCGUGUUCAUGGACUUAAUGAAUCGGGUAUGUCGUUCGUUCCUGGACAAAUUUGUGAUAGUAUUCAUAGAUGACAUACUCAUCUAUUCAAUAAGUAAAGAAGAACAUGGUUAGCACCUGAGACAAGUCUUAGAGACACUACGAGCAGAGAAGUUGUACGCAAAGUUCUCAAAGUGCGAGUUUUAGAUUAGGAAGGUAGACUUCCUAGGUCACGUGGUUAGCGAAGAGGGAAUCCAUGUGGACCCUUCCAAGAUCAAGGCUAUCAAGAAUUGGUCUGCGCCAACAACGCCAACUGAAAUUCGACAAUUUCUAGGCCUUGCUGGCUAUUACCGUAGGUUCAUACAAAACUUCUCCAACAUGGCAAAACCCCUUACCACUCUGACUCAGAAGGCUGUAACUUUCAACUGGGGAGAAAAGCAAGAUGCUGCAUUUCAAACACUGAAGCAGGCCCUAUGCACCGCACCCAUUUUGUCUCUUCCAGAGGGGACAAAGGACUUUGUUGUAUACUACGAUGCAUCCAAGCUUCGACUGGGUUGUGUGCUAAUGCAGCGAGGAAAGGUUAUUGCAUACGCCUCGCGACAGCUGAAAACACAUGAGGUCAACUACACCAUGACUUAGAGCUUGUUUGCUUUGAAAAUUUGGAGGCACUACCUAUAUGGUACAAAGUCCACCAUCUUCACAGACCACAAGAGCCUUCAACACAUAUUCGGCCAGAAUGAGCUAAAUAUGAGACAACGACGUUGGGUUGAGCUACUUAAUGACUACGAAUGUGAGAUUCGUUAUCAUCCUGGAAAUGCCAAUGUAGUGGCGGAUGCUCUUAGUCGAAAGGAGUACUCUGGUCGAAGAGUGAAGGCGUUAACCAUGACAAUCCAUUCACACCUGUCAACACAAAUCAAGGAAGCCCAACUAGAAACCUUGAAAUCCGAAAACAUGACGGGUGAAGCACUUAGAGGGAUGGACCAGAAUUUUGAAAUCAAGAGUGACAAAGUUCGUUACCUCAUGAACCGAAUCUAGACACCGAAGUUUGGUGGGUUCAGAGUGAUGGUUAUGAAUGAGGCACAUACACCGUAUAGAUUUCCCUGUUUGGUACACAUAACUUUUCCUAUCUUUAUUUUUAGCAUUCCUUCUCUAUAGCCUGUGUCUAUUUUCUAUCAAUUCCUAUUCUCUAUCUGGUCUAAUCGGCUAAGUCUUCUAUCUCUUUCGAUGUAGUCGAUGUCGGACUAGGAAAGCCAGUAAGGUCAAGUGUAUUGAAGUUCUACCAAUUCACUUACUAAGGAGCGUAACGAGCAAAAUCUAAGGAGCUAUAGUGUUGUUUCAGUUUCAGCCUUAGAUUCUUUCUUUUUAGCAUUCCUUAUUAAUCCUUUUUUAGGGAGAUGUUGAGACUUUCAGGCUAGUAACAAAGUACCUUUCUAGGUGUAAGGAUGCAGGUAAGAGAAUCAAUCUUAGCUGCUGUACAUGUAGUAGCAGCAUCCAGUCUAGCCUUGGUCUAAUUCCUACUUAAAGGAGGGGUCUUAUUCACUGUAUGCGCAUUCCCUGUAUUCUAUGUCCGACUAUUCCACCUGAACCAUAUUAGUCAAGGGAGUAGGGCAGUCUUAGUGAAAUUACCCUGGGGAAGAUCUUAUUAGCUCCUAUUGAUUCUAGGUUAUAUGCCGACAGUUCUAUUGACAGCGUAGGAUUUGACGNGGGAGCAGAUUACCAUGGAUUUCAUAACCAAACUACCCAAGACGCAGGGUGGUCAUGAUACCAAUUGCGUGAUCGUCGACAGGUUAACAAAGUCUGCCAACUUCUUGCUGACUAGAGAGACCAAUAAGAUGGAGAAAUCAACAAGAACUUACCUCCGGGAAAUCGUGCGACUUCAUGGAGUGCCGAUAUCUAUUAUCUCGGAUAGAGACAACAAAUUUACUUCAAGGUUUUGGCAAUCGCUGCAGAAAGCAUUGGGAACUAGGCUAGAUAUGAGUACAGCCUAUCACCCACAAACUGACGGACAGAGUGAGAGAAUGAUUCAAACCCUAGAAGACAUGUUGCGAGCAUGUGUAAUCAACUUUGGUAAAGCGUGGGGCACCCACUUACAAUUAGUUGAGUUCUCUUAUAACAACAGUUAUCACACUAGCAUCAAGACUACUCCAUUUGAAGCCCUUUUACGGCCGCAAGUGCAGAUCACCUCUGUGCUAGGCGGAAGUGGGUGGCAUGCAGUUGGCAAGAGGUCUAGUCCCUGAUAGCACUCUCACUGGUCCGGAAAUCAUUAGGCAGACGACUAAGAAGAUCGUUCAAAUUCGGGAACGACUGAAAGCCUCAAGAGAUAGACAAAAGAGUUAUGCCAACAAAAGACGAAAACCCUUGCAAUUCCGUGUUGGUGACCGAGUUCUGCUAAAGGUCUCACCCUGGAAGGGCGUGAUACGCUGUGGGAAGUGUGGAAAACUAAACCCAAGGUACAUUGGACCCUUCGAAAUUAGUGCAAGGAUUGGUCCAGUAGCUUAUAUACUUGCUACCAAUCAAACUUAACAACGUACAUCCUGUGUUUCACGUGUUCAACCUGAAAGGUGUCUAUCUGACGAAAAUAUGGUAAUUCCACUCGAGAAAAUCGAAUUGAAUGAAAAUCUUAACUUUAUGCAAGGACCCGUCGAGAUCAUGGAUAGGGAAAUCAAAAAAACAAAGCAAAGUCGCAUACCUAUAGUGAAGGUUAGCUGGAAUACUAAACAGGGACCUGAAUUCACUUGGGAGCGAGAAGACCAGAUGCAACAAAAGUCCCGCAUCUUUUCCCUAAUCCAUAAACACUUACUUUGUAAUUAAUUUCGGGACGAAAUUCCCUCUAAUGUGGGAUGAUGUAACAACCCAAUAUUUCAGGUCAAUGUAAUGACUGAAAGUCAAAUACCGUAAUCUCUUUUCGAAGUAAUAAAAAUAGCGUCAAAAAUGAAAUGUUCAAAAAUCUCAAUUUGAAUGUACUAAGUGGUAGACAUGGUAACAAGGUUUCCAAAAAUAUAAAGAACACUAAAAUCCGAGUUAUAACGAAGAUGUUAUGACCAAUCGAAGAUCCGCGACAAAACCGGUAAAACACUGUUAUGCAUAAAACACGAAAUUUCAAAUAAAAUACUUUUUAGCCUUAGGUAUCUAAAUGGAAGUCGUAGAUAUCAUUAAACCGUAAGCAUACAUUAAAAGAACGUCUAAAUUUGACUUCGUAUAAGGAAGUUAUGAUCAUUCUAAGUUUCACAUAUAACAGUAGACAACUAAAAACUUGAAAUGGAGAUCGAGCGAUUGUUAGCCAACAUAACCUAAACGAGAAUCAAAGAUCUCGAAAAUGGUGAUACAACAGUAAAAAGACAGACGGAAACGGACAUCGGAUGAAGAAGUUAUGGAUUUUAAACGGACUUUUCCAGUCCCAGCCUGUUAAAGAUAAAAUAAUAAAAAUAAAUUCAAAAUUAGCAGAUGAAGUCUAAACAAGAGGUGUAGAGUAUUUUCUCACCUACGCGUGGAUAUAAAGAACGUUGAAAUCGGAGCUCGUAUGCGAAAGUUACGGAUUUUACAAGAUCGGGGCUCAAGAUUCGAGGCUGGUCCAAGAGGGAAUGCCCUGCAUUCCCUAAAGGAACGCGGUGCGUUCUUCGACCAGAGCCAUCCCAUCAUCUAUCAGGUCUGAGAUACGUAAGCAAUGACCUCAUAGGGGAACGCCCUGCAUUCCCUAAAGGAACACCCUGCGUUCGUAGUGCUUCCCAACACUAAAAAUGGGAGGCUACGGUACCGGGUUUGGUUGCUUUCCUCUUAUCUCUUUAUACAAUCGAAGUACUGCCCGAGUUUAGUCUCGCCUUCUUCAAACCACCACUUCUACCAAGUGAGUUCAUACCCCUAUCACUAUCAUUUCACAUACUUUUUAAACGCUUUUAAGGGGAGGAACACAAGUAAACACAUUGUUUGAACUCGUAUGGAAAUAUCAAUCUUUUGCUAUACUUUACAUGCGGUUAUUAUAACUAUCAAAUGCAGUUGUUAACAUUCAAAAUACUUCACAACACAACUAUACCCUUUUGGGAUACAAUAUGCUUUAUUUAUAAUUAUACAUAACAUAUCAUGACAAGGGUAACCUUUUUCAACUAUAACAUUACGUGUAUUUAAGAGAACACAACUCUUUAUUAUGCCUUUGUUAACACUGUAGAAAGGGUAAUCGUUUUGGAUAUAAACAUACACACUUUUGAAUAUGUGACUUAAUUGUUAUCUUGAAUUGUCAAAAGAUUUUUCAUCGUAUUACUCAUGAACUUGUUGUUAGCAAUCAUGUGAGGCAAAUGGCUUUUUUUAGUAUCAAACAAAAGUCCACUUCUAUAACGAGAGUCUCCUGGAGGAAGAGCAUGUAUUUAUGUAUAGCUCUAUGCAGAGUUGACGACUCCUCACCCUGACUGUUAGCUAUAGUCCCCGGGGUGACAAAUGUCAACAUUGGUACUACCAUGUAGUUUGGUUAUGAGAGACUCGCACACGGAAACAAUGACUCAUGUACGUAGUAAUACGCUUCUCAAACAAAGCCAUGGGAAUAGUAUCUUUAUGAUUGUGUUUAUAUAAGUUGUUUGUAUUAAGUAAUCAUAGUAGUAUAUUAUUGUCACGUUCAGGAUCUGAUUUAAACACAUCUUUAGUGGAUUUUAUUAACUUUAUAAUAAAACUAUACAUCUUCAUUUUAAGCAUGGCAUAUUUACUUACAAGUUACAGUCUUGGACAUUUAAGACUGCUUUUCAAUUUUCGGAAAAUAUCGGAUUUUCCUGGUAUAAUGCAUUUCACUCUUUACAACAACGAUUCAUAACACGUUUUAUAAAGAAAAUAUAAGAUUUUCUGGAAAACAUACACGAACUUUCGAAUGACAUAUAUUUACUCAAAUCUCUACUUAUGAACUCACCAACUUAGUUGUUGAUACUUUUUCUUUAAAAUAACUUGUAUUCCUAGGGAAUAGCUAGACCAGGUUAGCAUCUACUUUUGGGGAUUAACGCUCGGGGAUUAGUAAUAUUUUUUGGGAAACCAUAUUGUAUUUGGCUUUCAAACAUGUAACACAUACAAUCACGUAAACGUUUAAAAUAUAUAUAUAUAUUAUGGUGGUGUGUACUUUCUUUACUAUUCAAUUGUUAUGGUACUGCACAUUACGUCCUUCGCCCCGAACGUUUUUGUCGUUCAGGUUUCGGGGUGUGACAAAAAAUGACCCGCCAAACGACCACCAUGAGCUUCACGAAUCAGCAGCUCUCGUAUUGCCUGUUUAGGGACACAAAGGUAUGGGAAGAAAUGGAGAGAUUAGUAAUAAAUCAAGAUCUACUAAGUUUUAUACCGGUGAAAACAAUCCAAGACAUAUCUGAUUGAAUGUGUAUCAAGUCAAGAACACAUCCCGACUAUGACAAGUAGUGAACUAUAAUUAUAAUUCGAAGUGAACAAAGGUUCUUUUUAUUAAAUUUCAUCUAUCUGUUUUUUCCAUGCAUAAACUUCGCUUAUAUGAAGCCUUUAUUACAAAGUUGGUGGUUAGAAGCCACCCAACCAACUACUCAGUAAAAUUAAUAAUGAAUAUUAAAGAAACUCAUGAAACCACACAAAAAAAACGUCUGACACACAAAUGAAUGAGAAAAAAACGUCCAUGCUCCAUUAAGGAGCCAUAAGAAGCAUUAAAGUGUAACCCUAAUCCGCCAAAGAGUAUCAGAAAUGGCUAGGAGGCUUUGUGAAGCACAAAGUAACGGUUUUGAGAACUUAUGAAGCCUUUAAACUAUUGCCCUAGCCUUCAUGCGACCCUAAUUCAAUUCGUAAGUUACCAUGCACAACCCAACCAUUGAGCCCAAACUACCUUCUAGCUUACUAGUAAUCACUAAUCCAUCACUUUUUGGGCUUUCAUGAUCCAUGCAUGGAUCAUCAUCUCCCCCUAUGAAAGGAAAUGACCUCAAUUCAUCAAGGCCAUCGUCAACAAGAUACGGUGAAAGGUCUCCCAUAUUAAAAGAAGCAUGCACUCCAUGGUCUCCUCCCAAAUCCACCUUAUAAGCAUUAUCAUUGACAUGUGACACCACUUUUUAACGACCUUCAGCUCUUGGCAUCAACUUUUGUUCGUCCUUUUGUUAGGAACACAUUAUUUCCUCGUAUGCACCUAAACCAAGUCACCAUCUUGAAAGACACGUGGUUUCCUAUGCAUGUUGGAAUUUUGUAUGUACACCUCAUUCACGGCUUCAAUCUUCACACGAACUUGUUGGUGAAGUUUCAUCAUGGCCUUCAACUUGUCAUUAGCAUCCUUGUGAACCAAUUCAUCAUUUGGCAAUGGAGUCAAAUCUAAAGGCAUGUAAGGAUUCACACGAUACACCACUUCUAAUGGAGAGUGACCUAUUGCAUAAAUAGGAGAACGAUUACAGGCAAACUCAGCAUGUGCAAGUUUGAUGUCCAAAUGUUUUUGUGUUUUUCUAACCAACCCCCUAAAUAACGUACCCAAGGUUCUAUUAGUCACCUUCGUUUGCCCAUCAGUUUGUGGAUGAUGGGAUGUACUGAAAAGUAACUUAAUACCAACUUUCCUCCACAAAGUGUUCCAAGAGUAACUCAAAAACUUAGAAUCCCUAUCAGAAACAAUAUGCAAGCGAACCACCUUUUUAAAGUACAAAUCAGACACAUUAGAUGCAUCAUUGGUUUUAUGACAUGGCACAGAGUGACCAAUUUUUGAAGACCUAUCCACCACCACUAUAAUGGAAUCCUUCCCCUUUUGAGUUCUAGGCAAAGCCAUAAGGAAUUCCUUUGACACAACUUUCCAAGGACGACUAGGAACCGGUAAAGGAGUGUAAACAUCAUGCUUGAAAGUUUUUACGUCAUCUGAGAUGUUUGUUACAUACACAACAUAUUAGGCCAAAAGAAGUCUUCUUAAAGCACCUCCAAAGUUUUGGUAAUGGAAAAAUGACCCGCCAAACGACCACCAUGAGCUUCACGAAUCAGCAGCUCUCGUAUUGCAUGUUUAGGGACACAAAGGUGAUUGGCUUUUUAUGCCUUUAUGGGAUUGAUUAAGUAAGUAGGGUUGUGUUUAGGUAAUUUAAGCUAGAAUAACAACCACAAAUGAUACGUGUAUGGGAAGAAAUGGAUAGAUUAAUAACAAAUCAAGACCUACUAAGUUUUAUACCGGUGAACACAAUCCAAGACAUAUUAGAUUGAAUGCGUAUCAAUCAAGAACACGUCUCGACUAUGACAAAUAGUGAGCUAUAACUAUAAUUCAAAGUGAAACAAGGUUCUUUUGAUUAAAAUUGCAUCUAUCUGUUUUUUCCAUGCAUAAACUUCGCUUAUAUGAAGCCUUUAUUACAAAGUUGGUGGUUACAAGCCUCCCAACCAACUACUCAGUAAAAUUAAUAAUGAAAAUUAAAGAAACUCAUGAAACCACACGAAAAACGUCUGACACACUAAUGAAUGAAAAAAACGUCCAUGCUCCAUAAGAAGCAAUAAAGUGUAACCCUAAUCCACCAAAGAGUAUCAGAAAUGGCUAGGAGGCUUUAUGAAGCACAAAGUAACGGUUUUGUGCACUUAUGAAGCCAUAAAAGUAUUGCCCUAGCCUUCAUGCGACCCUAAUUCAAUUCGUAGGUUACCAUGCACAACCCAACCGUUGAGCCCAAACCACCUUCUCGGCUACUAGUAGUCACUAAUCCAUCACCUUUUGGGCUUUCAUGAUCCAUGCAUGGAUCGUCCCCUCCCUCUUUGAAAGGAAAUGACCUCAAUUCAUCAAGGCCAUCCUCAACAAGAUACGGUGAAAGUUCUCCAACAUUAAAGGUAGCACACACUGGUUUCCUCCCAAAUCCACCUUAUAAGCAUUAUCAUUGACAUGUGACACCACUUUUUAAAGACCUUCUGCUCUUGGCCUCAACUUUUGUUCGGAAAACGUUAUUUCCUCAUAUGCACCUAAAUCAAGUCACCAUCUUGAAAGACAUGUGGUUUCCUAUACAUGUUGGAAUUUUUUUGUACACCUCAUUCACGGCUUCAAUCUUCACACGAACUUGUUGGUGAAGUUUCAUCAUGGCCUUCAACUUGUCCUUAGCAUCCUUGUGAGCCAAUUCAUCCUUUGGCAAUGGACUCAAAUCCAAAGGCAUGUAAGGAUUCACACCAUACACCACUUAUAAAGGAGAGUGACCUAUAGCAUAAGUAGGAGAACGAUUACAGGCAAACUGAGCAUGUGCAAGUUUGAUGUCCAAAUGUUUUUGAGUUUUGCUAACCAACCCCUUAAACAAUGUACCCAAAGUUUCAUUAGUUACCUUCGUUUGCCCAUCAGUUUGUGGAUGAUGGGAUGUAUUGAAAAGUAACUUAGUACCAACUUUCCUCUACAAAGUGUUCCAAAAGUAACUUAAAACCAUGGAAUCUGUAUCAUAAACAAUAGGUUUAGGAUUAAUAUGCAAGCGAACCACCUUUUUAUAGUACAAAUCAGACACAUUAGAUGCAUCAUUGGUUUUAUGACAUGGCACAAAGUGAGCCAUCUUUUAAAACUUAUCCACCACCACUAUAAUGGAAUCCUUCCCCCUUUUAAAGGAUGAAUAGGAACUGGCAAAGGUGUGCUUGAGGGUUUUUUUCGUCAUCCGACAUGUAACACACUUGCCUACUAUGUUUGUUACAUCCCCAAUAUCGUUAGGAAAAAUGACCCGCCAAACCACCACCAUGAGCUUCAUGAAUAACAAACUCCCGUAUUGCAUAUUUAGGGACACAAAGGUGAUUGCCUUUUGAUGCCUUUAUGGGCUUGAUAAAGUGAGUAGGGUUGUGUUUAGGUAGAUUAAGCUUGAAUAACAACCACAAAUGAUACGUGUAUGGAAAGAAAUAGAUAAAUUAGUUACAAAUCAAGACCUACUAAGUUGUAUACCGGUGAAAACUAUCCAAGACAUAAUAUUUGAUUGAAUGCGUAUCAAGUCAAGAACAUGUCUCGACUAUGACAAGUAGUGAACUAUAACUAUAAUUCAAAUUGAACAAAGUUUAUUUUGAUUAAAAUUUCAUCUAUCUCUUUUUUCCAUGCGUACUUGGAUUAUAUGAAGCCUUUGUUAAGAACUUGGAGGUUACAAGCCACCCAACCAACUACUCAGCAAAACUAAUAAUGAAAAUUAAAGAAACUCAUGAAACCACAAAAAAAAAACAUAUGACACACUAAUGAAUGAAAAAACCGUCCAUGCUCCAUUAAGGAGCCACAAGAAGCAUUAAAGUGUAACCCUAAUCCACGAAAGAGUAUCAAAAAUAGGAAGCUUGAUGAAGCAAAAACUAACGGUUUUGAGCACUUAUGAAGCCUUUAAAAUGUUGCCCUAGCCUUCAUGCGACCCUAAUUCAAUUUGUAGGUUACCAUGCACAACCCAACCUUUGAGCCCAAACCACCUUCUAGCCUACUAGUAAAUACUAAUCCAUCACCUUUUGGGCUUUCAUGAUCCAUGCAUGGAUCAUCCCCUCCCCCUUUGAAAGGAAAUGACCUCAAUUGAUCAAGGCCAUACUCAACAAGAUACUAUGAAAGGUCUCCCACAUUAAAGGUACUAUGCACUCCAUGGCAUCCUCCCAAAUCCACGUGAUAAGCAUUAUCAUUGACAUGCGACACCACUUUGUAACGACCUUCAGCUCUUGGCAUCAACUUUUGUUCUUCCUUUUGUUAGGAAAACGUUCUUUCCUCAUAUGCACCUAAAUCAAGUCACCAUCUUGAAAGACACAUGGUUUCGUAUGCAUGUUGGAAGUUUGUUUGUACACCUCAUUCACGACUUCAAUCUUCACACGAAUUUGAUGGUUUAGUUUCUUCAUGGCCUUCAAAUUAUCAUUAGCAUCUUUGUGAACCAAUUCAUCCUUUGGCAAUGGAAUCAAAUCCAAUGUCAUGUAAGGAUCCACACCAUACACCACAUCAAAAGGAGAGUUACCUGUAGCAUAAAUAAGAGAAUGAUUACAGGCAAACUCAGCAUGUGCAACUUUGAUGUUCAAAUGUUUUGAGUUUGGCUAACCAGCCCCCUCAACAACUUACCCAAAGUUCUAUUAGUCACCUUCAUUUGCCCAUUAGUUUGUGGUUGGUGGGAUGUACUAAAAAGUAACUUAUUACUAAUUUUCCUCAACAAAGUGUUCCAAAACUAACGCAAAAACAUGGAAUCCUUAUCAUAAAAUAUUGUUUUAAGGAAUAAUGUGCAAGCGAACCAUCAUUGGUUUAAAGUACAAAUCAGGCACAUUAGAUGCAUCAUUGGUUUUAUGACAAGGCACAGAGUGAGCGAUUUUUGAAAACCUAUCCACCACCACUAUAAUGGAAUCCUUCCCCCUUUGAGUUCUAGGCAAAGCCAUAAUGAAUUCCAUUGAUACGUCUUCCCAAGAAUGAAUAGGAACCGACAAAGAAGUAUUAACACUAUGCUUGAAAGUUUUUUCGUCAUCCGAGAUGUAACACACUUGCCCACUAUGUUGGUUACAUGCCCAACUUCUUAGGCUAAAAGAAGUAUUUUUAAAUCACCACCAAAUUUUGGUAACGGAAAAAUGACCCGCCAAAUGACCACCAUGACCUUCACGAAUUAGCAACUAACGUAUUGCAUGUUUAGGGACACAAAGGCGAUUGCCUUUUGAUGCCUUUAUGGGCUUCAUUAAGUGAGUAGGGUUGUGUUUAGGUAAAUUAAGCUAGAAUAACAAUCACAAAUGAUACGUGUAUGGGAAGAAAUGGAUAGAUUAGUAACAAAUCAAGACCUACUAAGUUAUAUACCGGUGAAAACUAUCCAAGACAUAAUAUUUGAUUGAAUGUGUAUCAAUUCAAGAACAAGUGUCGACUAUGAGAAGUAGUGAACUACAACUAUAAUUUAAAGGGAACAAAAGUUCUUUUGAUUAAAAUUAUAUCUAUUUUUCAUGCAUACUUGGCUUAUAUGAAGCCUUUAUUAGGAAGUUGGUGGUUACAAGCCACCCAACCCACUACUCGGUAAAACUACUAAUGAAAAUUAAAGAAACUCAUGAAACCACACAAAAAAACGUCUGACACACUAAUGAAUGAAAAAACCGUCCAUGCUCCAUUAAGGAGCCACAAGAAGCAUUAAAGUGUAACCCUAGUCCACGAAAGAGUACCAAAAAUGGCUAUGCGGCUUGAUCAAGCAAAAAGUAACGGUUUUGAGCACUUAUGAAGUUUUUAAAAUGUUGCCCUAGCAUUCAUGCGGCCCUAAUUCAAUUCGUAGUUUACCAUGCAUAACCCAACCAUUGAGCCCAAACCACCACUCAGCCUACUAGUAAUCACUAAUCCAUCACCUUUCGGGCUUUCAUGAUCCAUGAAUGGAUCAUCCCCUCCCCCUUUGAAAGGAAAUGACCUCAAUUCAUCAAGGCCAUCCUCAACAAGAUACGGUGAAAGGUCUCCCACAUUAAAGCUAGCAUGCACUCCAUGUUGUCUUCCCAAAUCCACCUUAUAAGCAUUAUCAUUGACAUGUGACACGACUUUGUAAGGACCUUCAGCGCUUGGCAUCGACUUUUGUUCUUCCUUUUGUAAGGAAAACGUUCUUUCCUCAUAUGCACCUAAACCAAGACACCAUCUUGAAAGACUCGUUGUUUCUUAUGCAUGUUGGAAUUUUGUUUGUACACCUCAUUCACGGCUUCAAUCUUCACACGAACUUGUUGGUCUUUCAUCAUGGCCUUUCAACUUUUCAUUAGCAUCCUUGUGAACCAAUUCAUCCUUUGCCAAUGGAAUCAAAUCCAAAGACAUGUAAGGAUUCAUACCAUACACCACUUAUAAAGGAGAGUGACCUGUAGGAGAACGAUUACAGGCAAACUCAACAUGUGCAAGCGAGAUGUCUAAAUGUUUUUGAGUUUUCCUAACUAACCCCCUAAAAAACGUACCCAAAUUUCUAUUAGUCACCUUCGUUUGCCCAUCAGUUUGUGGAUGAUGGGACGUACUAAAAAGUAACUUAGUACCAACUUUCCUCCACAAAGUGUUCCAAUAGUAACUCAAAAACAUUGAAUCCCUAUCAAAAACAAUAGUUUUAGGAAUACUAUGCAACCGAACCACCUCUUUAAAGUGCAAAUCAGACACAUUAGAUGCAUCAUUGGUUUUAUGACAUGGCACAAAAUGAGCCAUUUUUGAAAAUCUAUCCACCACCACUAUAAUGGAAUCCUUCCCCCCUUUGAGUUCUAGGCAAAGCCAACUGAAUUCCAUUGACACAUCUUCCCAAGGACGAAUCGGAACCGGCAAAGGAGUGUAAACACCAUGCUUGAUAGGUUUUUUCGUCAUCCGACAUUUAACACACUUACCCACUAUGUUGGUUACAUACCCAACAUCUUAGGCCAAAAUAAGUGUUUUUAAAGCACCUCCAAAGUUUUGGUAAUAGAAAAAUGACCCGCCAAACGACCACCAUGAGCUUCACAAAUCAGCAGCUCUCAUAUUACAUGUUUAGGGACACAAAGGUGAUUGCCUUUUGAUGCCUUUAUGGGUUUGAUUAAGUGAGUGGGGCUGGUUUUAGGUAAAUUAAGCUAGAAUAACAAUCACAAAUGAUACAUGUAUGGGAAGAAAUGGAUAGAUUAGUAACAAAUCAAGACCAACUAAGUUUUAUACCGGUGAAAACAAUCCAAGAAAUAUUUGAUUGAAUACGUAUCAAGUCAAGAACACGUCUCGACUAUGACAAGUAGUGAACUAUAACUAUAAUUCAAAGUGAACAAAGGUUCUUUCGAUUAAAAUUUCAUAUAUCUCUUUUUUCCAUGCAUAAACUUGGCUUAUAUUUUAUUACAAAGUUUGUGGUUACAAGCCACCCAACCAACUAAUCAGUAAAACUAAUAAUGAAAAUUAAAGAAACUCAUAAAAGCACACAAAAUAAAAACAUCUGACACACUAGUGAAUGAAAAAAGCGCCCAUGCUCCAUUAAGGAGCCACAAGAAGCAUUAAAGUGUAACCCUAAUCCACCAAAGAGUAUCAAAAAUGGCUAGGAGGCUUGAUAAAGCAAAAAGUAAUGGUUUUGAGCACUUAUGAAGCCUUUAAAAUGUUUCCCUAGCCUUUAUGUGACCCUAAUUCAAUUCUUGGGUUACCAUGCACAACCUAACUGUUGAGCCCAAAACACCUUCUAGCCUACUAGUAAUCACUAAUCCAUCACCUUUUGGGCUUUUAUGAUCCAUGCAUGGAUCAUCCCCUCCUCCUUUGAAAGGAAAUGACCUUAAUUCAUCAAUGCCAUGCUCAACAAGAUACGGUGAAAGGUCUCACACAUUAAAGUGUCACGACCAGGAAAUUCUAUGCUUUUGUAAACAUUAACAAGGACAAAAUUCUAACCAAAACUUGAAAGCAUGCAUGAUGUUUAUUCAACGACAACAAAAUUCCAUCAAAAACUCUAUACAAACACUUCAAAUCGUCAAUGAAAGAUUGGAAACCCUAAAAAUCCUGGUUUAAGUUCAUUAUGGACUAGGAUUUCCUUAUUGGGCCUAAUGGACCAUUAAGCUUCCAAUUUGACAAUUUUGGGCUUAGGACCCUUAAAUGGGCUCGAAUUGGACCCACCUUCAUGAGAUUUAACAUUUUGGACCUUUUUUGGCCUAAAAUGGAAUAAACUACUCUAAUAAGCCUUAUUGGGCCAUAACUAACCUAAUUAGCCUUAAUGGGCCAUAAAACCCAUUCUUUUAUGCUAAUAGGGUUGUGAAACAUUUAAUGAGCCAAAUGGGCCGAAUAAUAAUAUUGGGCUUAUGAAUUCAAUCAAAGCAAAAAUUUUGGGCCCAACUUCACUCUCUUCAUGUCUCUAUGCUCAUUCCCAACAUCACUCACUUCAUGCUUUCUCUCCCCUAUCUUCUUCUUCUUCUUCUUCUCAGGCGAGGAUCACAAACACACACUCACACUUCAUUUGAAGUUCCCUCAAACACUCUCAAGAAAACAAAUUCUCCUUUCUUCAUCAAAUUUUCUAGAAUCAUACGUGCUUCAAGAAGGUUCUCAUCCAAAAAUCACUCAAAGAUACAUACUAUUGGUAAGAUCUCACAAAAUCUAAGCAACCUACUUUCUUUUAAAUACUUAUUCACUUCUCUCACUCCUUGUUUUCGUGAUUAUACUUCCUAGAACUUCUCUAAGUUCGAAAAUCCCCUCAAGGAGUUUGCUAGAGCCAAAAUCACACCACCUUCUUCCACAUCUUCUUCAAAACCGAGAACAACAAGCUAAGGUAAGUUCAUACCCCCUUGUUUUCGGUUUUUAUUUGCAUGUUAUAUGUGAUUUCUUUGGUUUGUGUUGUGAAAAUGUGAUAAUAUUUGUUAUAUCUCGAGAUCUAUGGCUAAAGUGUGAAGGAUUCAUAAACAAAUACAUAUUAAACAACAUACUUCAAAGAUCUAAGAGUCUUUAUGUUUAACAAGUGAAAAACAAAGUCAAAGAUUAUUUAUAAGUGUCAUUUUUGCAAAAAUAACAAAGAUGUGGAUAAGAGAUGACAUUUUUGAUUUUAUAAGGAUGAAAUUGUAUUUAUUUAUAUAAAAUAUGAUUUUUAUGGAAAGAAUACUUCUCAAGGGGUCAAAAACAUAAAUUUGAGUUAUUGGGCUUACAUUUGGGCCUCGCGGGUUUUUGGGCCCAAAGUUACGAAAACUGAAGAGUUUUGGGCGGUUGAAGUUGUAAAUUUAUCAAAAUAUGAGUCCAAAACAUAAAUAAACUAUUUUUGGGGCUGAAAAUGACUUUAAUGCGAAAAUUUGACUAAAAAUGCAAAGUUUUGGAUUUUGAGGUCAAAAUUGUAAAACUCGCGGAAUUCGGGCCAAAAGUGAUAAAUUUUUGGGCUGAAAUAGUAAAACAAGUUAUGUUUGGGCUGAAAAUGCAAAGAAAAAUGAGUUAAGGACCAAAAAUGUCAAUUUUUAUCAAAAAGGACUAAAAUGUCAUUUUUAUUAAGAAAGGGUUGAAAAUGGGCUGAAAUGGUCAAAUAAAGAUUUUGGGGUCAAAUAUGUUAAUAUUAAAUGAAUUGGGCCAAAGAUAUUAAAUUUGUAACAUAUAUAUAUAUAUAUAUAUAUAUAUAUAUAUANNNNNNNNNNNNNNNNNNNNNNNNNNNNNNNNNNNNNNNNNNNNNNNNNNNNNNNNNNNNNNNNNNNNNNNNNNNNNNNNNNNNNNNNNNNNNNNNNNNNNNNNNNNNNNNNNNNNNNNNNNNNNNNNNNNNNNNNNNNNNNNNNNNNNNNNNNNNNNNNNNNNNNNNNNNNNNNNNNNNNNNNNNNNNNNNNNNNNNNNNNNNNNNNNNNNNNNNNNNNNNNNNNNNNNNNNNNNNNNNNNNNNNNNNNNNNNNNNNNNNNNNNNNNNNNNNNNNNNNNNNNNNNNNNNNNNNNNNNNNNNNNNNNNNNNNNNNNNNNNNNNNNNNNNNNNNNNNNNNNNNNNNNNNNNNNNNNNNNNNNNNNNNNNNNNNNNNNNNNNNNNNNNNNNNNNNNNNNNNNNNNNNNNNNNNNNNNNNNNNNNNNNNNNNNNNNNNNNNNNNNNNNNNNNNNNNNNNNNNNNNNNNNNNNNNNNNNNNNNNNNNNNNNNNNNNNNNNNNNNNNNNNNNNNNNNNNNNNNNNNNNNNNNNNNNNNNNNNNNNNNNNNNNNNNNNNNNNNNNNNNNNNNNNNNNNNNNNNNNNNNNNNNNNNNNNNNNNNNNNNNNNNNNNNNNNNNNNNNNNNNNNNNNNNNNNNNNNNNNNNNNNNNNNNNNNNNNNNNNNNNNNNNNNNNNNNNNNNNNNNNNNNNNNNNNNNNNNNNNNNNNNNNNNNNNNNNNNNNNNNNNNNNNNNNNNNNNNNNNNNNNNNNNNNNNNNNNNNNNNNNNNNNNNNNNNNNNNNNNNNNNNNNNNNNNNNNNNNNNNNNNNNNNNNNNNNNNNNNNNNNNNNNNNNNNNNNNNNNNNNNNNNNNNNNNNNNNNNNNNNNNNNNNNNNNNNNNNNNNNNNNNNNNNNNNNNNNNNNNNNNNNNNNNNNNNNNCUUUACACACACACACACACACAUAUAUAUAUAUAUAUAUAUAUAUAUAUAUAUAUAUAAUGGAUCAUGACAUUAUGUUGUAAACAAAUUUUACAGAAAAUAUCGGAUUUUUUGGAUUAUACAAACAUUAUGAAACCUUUUCAAAACAAUCAUGCUUAUGAACUCACCAAUAUUAUAUAUGUUGAAAAUUUUCAAAAUAACAUGUAUUCUCAGGUAAUUGGCUGAAGAAUUUCAAGUGUUGUUUGGAAAUUGUAUUUUUUGUGAAAUGUCUACUUAUGAACAAUUGAUAUUUUAGUGAUGUAAUAUUUAACAAUGUACUUGAUGUAAAUAGUGACAGUUGUAUGAUGAUAAUGUUGGUGAUGAUUGUGUUUUGUUUCAUAUAUAUAUUCAUUGUGAUAAUACAAUUGUUAGUCACACGAGCCCUCGGACGAUUCCGUCGUCUGGUUUGAGGGUGUGACAGGUUGGUAAAAGUACGUCGUGAUUAAAUUUGGACGGGAAAGAAAUCACGAUUAUGAAUAUUUAUUGAGGUUUUCAGACAUUACCAAUAAAGAGCAGGUUUCUUUGAUGCUUCCUCAUUCCUUGAGGUUAGACUCCUCCUGUUCCUCAUUGUUCUUCUCUGUUGGGCAGUCUCUUUUGAAAUGCCCCAUAUCGCCACAUGCACUGCACAUUUGAACUAUGCUAGCAUCGGUAGUGGAAGUGAUGUAUUGAGUCGGGGUCUUCGCUAAGCGAGCUUCCUUGCCAUCCUUAGCCCUUGGACAAUUUCUUUUGAAAUGCCCUUCACUACCACAGAGGUAACAGGUUGAACUAGCCCCAACAUUGGUAUUCAGAGUGACGAACUUGACUAGGGUCCUACAUCUAUUGGAGGUGUGCCCCUUCCUGUUGCAUCUGGUGCAAUGUAGCACUCGAUAGACUCCAUGAUGAUGGUAGUUGCAUUUGCUGCAGUGCGGGAGGUUUCCGAAGUAGGGUGUGGUUGGUGUUGGAACAGUAGGGCUGACUAGGGUAUUGACUACCCCAAUUCGUUGCCUUUCAGUAGGUCCUUGGGUUGAACAAGUUCCUUUGAACUUUCGUUUUAAGAGGUUAGGUUUGGGAUCAAUGGUGUCCUUUCCAGUAGGCACUUGUUGUUGAGGUUGGUUAACACCAUGGUUUGGCCUGCCAUUAACACUUCUACUCGCAUUUGUGUUGUUAGCAUUAAGAACAACUAGGGCGGCUACUACAGCUGCUGUGACAGUAGCUUGGAAUGUAGGUGAGUCCAUCUGGAGGAUUGGGGCCUUACCAGUGGGUUGGUUCUGCUUCUUCGGAGGCAUGAUCUGCUAUGUGCCAAGAAAAGAGUUUGUGAACAACAAUGGUUGCCUCUGGAUGUAUCCUAAACGUUUAUCUAUGCACUAAGAUUUCUCGUUUUUUUAUUCGAUCUACAUCCCCAUGACGUCGGCUCUAGACGAUAUGGAGAUUUAGCUAUAAGGAUUGUUCCGGGGAUCGAGUCGAUGCAGGAUUCAACUAGACACUCAGAAGAAAUCCCUUGAAUGUCUUUAGGGAAGACAUCAGGAAAGUUGCAGACUUCAGAGAUGCUCUCGAGGCCUUUAACUUUUUGCGUCUCAUCGACAACAUAAGCCAGGAAUGCAUGGCAUCCCUUUUUCGUAGAUACUUCUAGACUCUUGCGCAUGAAAUGAUACGAAGGUUUGAACAAAUUCUAUCACUAUGACCGGUGAGGACUUCGUCAGCGGGAAAGAUUGAAACGAAUCGCCCUUUCGAAGCAAAGGACAUCAGCACGAUUUAAGCUCAACUAUCUGAUGCCGAUUAUGACGUCGUAGCGUGUUAUGGAGACUGAUAUGAAAUCGAUGGGGAAAAGGAAUGAUCGUCUUAAGGUAAGAGUACUUCCUAUGACACAUGCUUCUAAGACGAAAUGGUAGCAUGGCUUUGAUAAAGUUGCUUAAUUUUCAUGCUAUCGUUCUAAGAUAUACUUUUGACAAAGAUCUUCUUUAACUGAAAUAUGGUUGUUGCCAUCAUAACUGAAACGGAGAUUACCCAUAUUUCGGAACCCUUGACCUAAAAGUAGGUCUAAGUUAUUCUAACAGGGAAAGAAUCUUGGCAACAUGAAGGACAGGGAUGUUUACAGAGAAGAGCUACUUAGAAGUUAGAACAUAGAUAUGAAGGUUUAUCUUAGAUCAAAAAGGAAGGAUGAGUAGAGUAUUAUCCUAUCAGCGAUGGACACUCCUCGAACGGAUCCUUAAGUUAGCCAGCUGGUGCUCCAUGUCAAGCAGCUGGCUCUCGUAUACUGUCCGGCGUGCUCGUAGCUCUAUGAGCUUAGCUCAAUUGGUAGCUAACUCUCGAUGUAGGGCUUCAUUGUUCCUUGCAGCUCUCGCAUGAGCAAUCUCGAAGCAACGGAUGCGGUCCGUGGUGGUGUUCGAAUCAGCUUCGAGCUCCAUAGUUCACUAAAGGGUUGCCAUACAUUGCUCCACAUUACGAGCCACUCAAUGUAUUAGGAUUGGAAGGGCCCUAUCUGUGGGGCCUCCUUCAUUCAGAUUGUAGAAGUUGCGGUUUUCAUCAUAUGGGUGGGGUUGGUCUUGCUCAUAGCUCCACCUAUUCAAACUCCCGACCCACAUAGGCGUUGGACCUUGGAGUUCAACUCGAGGAUUAGGAUUUGGUAUUGGAGUCACUUGAGGUAUGCUUUCAAAUUCGGGUUCCGAGUCAGUCUCUUUGGGAAAUGGUUAGGCAAGGUCAUUUUCCAAAGGAAUUUCAUGGUUUCCUUCCGGUUUUGGCUCGACCCAUCCAUCAUUUCCUUGGUUGGGAAAGUAUGGGUUGCUAGGGAGGUGGAAUCCAGCCAUGCUAUCUACGCGAGGUGAUGGUAAAGGGAUAGGCAUCGAAUCUAAUAGUACUUCCAAUGAUGGAUUCUUGGGUAAGUUUGUAGUUUGGUCGGUAUAGCAUCCAAAAAUACUCCUAUAGUAUUUUAACCCUUAUGUUUAGUUCUAGAACUCUCCUGGUACCUAGGUAAGUUUUAGACUUGCUGCGACACCAUAGUCACUCCCAAGCACAUGUUGGUCAUGUCUCAAAUGAAUAUAGUUGAUCAGUCUAUAUUGACCCUAGACAUGAUUACAUAACUGCCCAGGUUUAACCGCGAUGUCCAACAUCCAAAUACUUUUGUUUUAUUCUACUUACGACAUGGAUUCUGAUACUCGGGUAUACUUAUAUAAAAAUACUUGUAUUUUUGAAAGUAUACUUUUAGUUUAGAGCACUUAGGCCCCUUAAUAUUUAUAGUUGUAUACCAUGUAAGGUCCGGUAUANAACCAAUGGCUCUGAUACCAAUCUGUCCCCCCCCCAAACCGGAAUGGCGGAAACGUUCGGGGGUGGCUGACGUCAUGCGUAGUAUCACAACAAUUGUAUCAUAGCAAGCAUAGUAAACACAACCAGACAUUGAAUACAUAUGUGAAAAUGUUUACAUUGUUUAAUACAUAGUUUUAUUUAUAGCUAAAGUAAAAUAGACAGACGCGACUCUAACUUUUCGUCUUCUCCGAACUCUUGGAAGUACCUGUUUACUAAUUCCCUGAAAAUACAAGCAGUUUUGAAAGUAUAUCAGCAUAAAGCUGGUGAGUUCAUAAGCAUUUAGUUUUAGUGAUAAAAUGUUCUUUGAAUCCAUUUGAAAAGUGUUCUUCAAGAAAAUCCUCUAUUUUCUUAUGAAAAGCGGUCUUGAAGGAGUGUCUAUUAGUAGAAAAUAAACCAUCAGUUUCAGAAAACAUGUUAUCCAUCCUAGAGGUAGAGAUGCCAGUUUAGAAGUCCUUGAUUUCUAACAGCAUAUAUAAAAGUAGUUUUAUUACUUAAAAUAAAACAAAUGAAGAAGAGAGUCCGUAAACAAAGUUAGUUUUACUUAUUUGCGAGUCGUAUAACGAUACUUGAUAUGAUCGAGAGACCUUUAUAACGUUCUUCAGGAGUUAAGCUAAAUGACAUUUGUUCAGCAUAGGCGUGCCCGCCUAACUGUAGCUAGCAGUUCUGGUGUGAGAUUGUUAGUCCCAAAUAGAGCUAUUCACAAAUCUCACACUUUCCCUCCAGCAGACUCUGGUUAUACUAAAAGGAUUUAUCACUAUACACCUAAGGGUACAGUAUUGAAGUAGCGCCUCACAAUUCUGUAUAAUCUAGUUUACUAGCGAGAAAUCAGCAUAAAACAGUAACUAUCCUUGAAUAAAUGUACUUUAUAUUUAUGAGAAAAAGAUAUAACAUAAACUAAAUCUACCAUAGUUUAUACAUAUUCUUUUAUGAAAUCUAAAUAAGUAGAGAUGCCUAGACCAAACUAUACCCGUUAUAGUUUAUUAGAGUUGAUAUAGAGCUGCUUUGUAAAAACCUUUCUAAAAGCUAUGAAGUUAGAUUUCCAAAAUAGUAGUUUCCCUUAUGCUCAACAUAUUACAAAAAGAGAUAAAAUAUCCGAAUAUGUUAUUAAACGUGAAAUCAUUGGAUUGCAUUAAUAAUUUUAAAACUUAAUAAAAUACCUUGAAUUUGGCUUAUAUUCCGCCCUGAAAACAUUAAAAACACGGAAAAUGUAGGGGUAUGAACUCACUUCGACUGAUUUGAAUGAAGGGUCGGCACGAAAAGUUGGGUGUUCAAGUGAAGCCUUGAAUACGAUUUGAUCCUAAUUAACAUGCAUUGAUACAUAAAGGAGUCAAAUGAAGGUAUUUCACCACUAAAUGUGAUGGAGAACCACUCUAGGAACUUGGGACUACUUGCACAAGUGCUAGGACCUUAAAGGAUUGCGUUAGGUGAGUGUAUGGCCACCUCUAAAGUGUGUGCGGCCAGGCUAUGUGUGUGGUUGCACACAGGAGUGUGCGGCCAGGGUGUGUGUGUGGUUACACACAGGAGUGUGCGGCUAGAGUGUGCGGCCAGGGUGUGUGUGCGGCUGCACACGGGAGUGUGUGGCCGUACACUCUUCGUUUAAGCUCCAAACGUCAAUUUUCAAGUGCUUCAAGGCUCAAACCAAGUCCAACUAAGAGAUAGAGGGCCAAAAAUCUCACUUUGGAGGGUUUUGAGGUCUGUACGGCCACCUUAUGAAGGUGUGCGGCCAUACACCUUCAAGUGAUGAAGAACAUGAAGAGUUUUAGGCUUAGAUUUAGGUGUUUUACCUGUAUAACAAGCUAAAUGAUAGAAUUCCUCAUGUUUUUAGGCCCUUAGAGUGUUCUUGGAUGAAGUUUUAAGAGAGAGAAAGUAGAGUGCAGCCAAUUGAAAGGAAUGAGUGAAGGGGUCACCCUAUAUAAAUAGGGAUGAGUGUGCGGCUGGAGGAUGGGUGUGCGGCCAUACACUCGGGUGUACGGCCACACACUCAUGUGUGCAGCCAUACACUUGGGUGUGCGGCUACACACUCAUCUGUGCAGCCAUACACUUGGGUGUGCGGCCACACAUUCAUGUGUGCAGCCAUACACUCGGGUGUGCGGCCACACACUCGUGUGUGCAGCCAUACACUUGGGUGUGCGGCCACACACUCAUGUGUGUGGCCACACACUCCUUUUGAUGGAGUGUUUGGCCUAUUUGCAACCCUAAAUCUUAAACCAACCAAUCCCUAAUUCAAACUUUGGUUGUACUUAAGGCUUUAAAUGCUUAAAUGUGCCCAUAAUCAGUGCUAGGAGUUAACAGAAAUGAGUUUAACUUAGAUUAACUGACUAGAUGUACCGGGUAGAAGUUUUCGGGUUGUCACAGUCCUUUCAAGCUAGUGUCACAUGUCAAUGAUAAUGCUUAUAAGAUGGAUUUGGGAGGAGACCAUGGUGUGUGUGCUACCUUUAAUGUGGGAGACCAUUGACCUUAUCUUGUUGAGGAUGGCCAUGAUGAAUUGAGGUCAUUUCCUUUAAAAGGGGAAGGGGAUGAUCCAUGCAUGGAUCAUGAAAGCCCAAGGUGAUAGAUUAGUGAUUACUAGUAGGCUAGAAGGUGGUUUGGGCUCAAUGGUUGGGUUGUGCGUCGUAACCUAUGAAUUUAAUUAUGGUCGCAUAUAGGCUAGGGCAACGUUUUAAAGACUUCAUAAGUGCUCAAAACCGUUACUUUUUGCUUCAUAAAGCCUCCUAGGCAUUUUUGAUAUUCUUUGGUGGAUUAGAGUUACACUUUAAUGCUUCUUAUAGCUCCUUAAUGUAGCAUGGUCGUUUUUUUCAUUCAUUAGUGUGUCAGAUGUUUUUUUGUGUGGUUUCCUGAGUUUCUUUAAUUUUCAUUAUUAGUUUUACUGAGUAGUUGGUUGGGUGGCUUGUGACCACCAACUUUGUAAUAAAGGCUUCAUAUAAGCCAAGUUUAUGCAUGGAAAAAGGAGAUAGAUGAAAUAUUAAUCAAAAGAACCUUUGUUCUUGACUUGAUACGCAUUCAAUCAAAUAUGUCUUUUAUUGUUUUUACUAGUAUACAACUUAGUAGGUCUUGAUUUGUUUCUAAUCUAUCCAUUUCUUGCCAUACACGUAUCAUUUGUGGUUGUUAUUCUAGCUUAAUUUACCUAAACACAACCCUACUCACUUAAUCAAGCCCAUAAAGGCAUCAAAAGGCAAUCACCUUUGUGUCCCUAAACAUGCAAUACGGGAGUUGCUGAUUCGUGGAGCAUGGUGGUGGUUUAGCGGGUCAUGUUUCCAUUACCAAAACUUUAGAGGUGCUUUAAGAACAUUUCUUUUGGCCAAAGACGUUGGGAUGUAACCAACAUAGUGAGCAAGUGUGUUACAUGUCAGAUAACAAAAAAAACUUUCAAGCAUGGUGUUUGCCAGUUCCUAUUCGUCGUUGGAAAGAUGUGUCAAUGGAAUUUGUUAUGGCUUUGCAUACAACUCAAAGGGGGGAGGAUUCCAUUAUAGGGGUUUGAAAACCAAGUGUUACAAGUGUGAUACAUAUAUAUAUAUAUAUAUAUAUANNNNNNNNNNNNNNNNNNNNNNNNNNNNNNNNNNNNNNNNNNNNNNNNNNNNNNNNNNNNNNNNNNNNNNNNNNNNNNNNNNNNNNNNNNNNNNNNNNNNCUAUGAAGGAUGUAUCAAAAGAAUCGAGUCGAAGGAAACCUAAGUGUGAGCAGCCAAGGAAUAUGGGGGAGUUAAAGGUAAAUGAAUUGCCUAAAUUCGUUGGAGGAUUCAAUCCAGAAAAAUAUUUGGAUUGGGAGAAGGAGAUGGAAAGAGUUUUUCAGUUCAAAUGUGUGGAAGAUGAAUGGAGUUGCAAAUAUGCCAUUCUAAGGUUGAGAGGAGAAGCUGAAUUGUGGUAUGAAAAGUUGAAGGCAAAAAGAACCCGUGAAGGAAAGGGAAAGCUUUCUUCUUGGGAAUCUCUGAAACGAAAACUCUGAGAGAGGUAUGCGCCAAUGACCUUGGAGACUGUUAAUUUCAAAAGAAGGGUGGAGAUAUUCACAAAGGCAGUUAUGAUCAAAGAGGAAGAAGAAGAGUACAAAGCAUUGGCUGUUGACACGAUUUUGGUACUUGAAACAUCACAAACCAUUCAUGACAAGGCUGAUGUUGCCGAUGUCAAAGAGGAAGAAGUCAAGGUAGAAGAGGUUAAUUUAUUUGUUGAAGAUGAAAUUGUUGAAGUAACUAUUGAAGAAAACAAUUUCAUGAUUAGAGAUGAUAAUACUAAAGAAAUGGAUGAAUUCACUGAAGAAGUUGAACAAGGAGAUAACUCCAAGAUUGAAAUUGUUGAAAGUGUGGAUGCAAUCAUGGAAGAAAAUAAUUUUUUUGAUGCGAACAAAUUUUUUGAGAAGGAGGUGAUUUUGGUUGAACCAAGAAAGGAAUUCCAAGAGUCCAUGAUGUCUACAACAGUGUAUCCCAUAAAUAACGAACAAGUCCAGAAGCAUUGAACUAUAUUGAUGGGUGAAAUAAAUGUGGAGCAGGUUAAAUGUGAAGAUGCUCGUCUUGCAGAAUUGAGGUCAAUUCCUUUUGAAGUAGGAGGGGAUGAUAUGAAUUUGGACUGCAAUUCGCAAUCUUCAAGUUCCAACCCAAUUUGUAUCGUAAUGGGCUCACCCUUGACAUAAGUAUGGAUGAUGUGAGCUAUAAUAAUGAUAAAUUGGUACUCGCCACAUGGCAAUGUAGCAUGGCAUGUGUUGUGGCAAAAUUUGUGUGCAUGGUAUCAUAGGAAGCUAAUAUGGACGUGGAUUAAUGCAUGGGAGUUACAAUAGAGAUAGAUGGUUAAGUGUGACAUGUAGCAUAAGUAGGAGAACGAUUACAGGAAAACUCAGCAUGUACAAGUUUGAUGUCCAAAUGUUUUUCAGUUUAUCUAACCAACCCCCUCAACAACAUAAAUUAGUACUAGAAAGUAACUUAGUACCAACUUUCCUCCACAAAGUGUUGCAAAAGGAAUUCAGAAACAUGGAAUCCCUAUCCGAAACAAUAGUUUUAGGAAUAAUAUGCAAGCGAGCCACCUCUUUAAAGUACAAAUCACACACGUCAGAUGCAUCAUUGGCUUUAUGACGUGGCACAAAGUGAGCAACUUUUGAAAACCUAUCCACCACCACUAUAAUGGAAUCCUCCCCCCUUUGAGUUCUAUGUCCUUUUUCCAUGCAUAAACUUGGCUUAUAUGAAACCUUUACAAAGUUGGUGGUUACAAGCCACCCAACCAACUACUCAGUAAAACUAAAAACGAAAAUUAAAGAUACUCAUGAAACCGCACAAAAAAAACGUCUGACAGACUAAUGAAUGAAAAAAAACGUCCAUGCUCCAUUAAGGAGCCAUGAGAAGCAUUAAAAUGUAUCCCAAAAACACCAAAGAGUAUAAAAAAUGGCUAGGAGGCUUUAUGAAACAAAAAGUAACAGUUUUGAGCACUUAUGAAGCCUUUAAAAUGUUGCCCUAGCUUUCAUGCGACCAUAAUUUAAUUCGUACGUUACCACGCACAACCCAACCAUUGAGCCCAAACCACUAUCUAGCCUACUAGUAGUCACUAAUCCAUCACCUUGGGCUUUCAUGAUCCAUGCAUGGAUCCCCCCCCCCCCCCCUUUGAAAGGAAAUGACCACAAUUCAUCAAGGCCAUCCUCUACAAGAUAAGGUUAAAGGUCUCCCACAUUAAAGGUAGCACGCACUCCAUGCUCUCCUCCCAAAUCCACCUUAUAAUCAUUAUCAUUGACAUGUGACACCACUUUUUAAGGACCAUCUGCUCUUGGCAUCAACUUUUGUUCUUCCUUUUGUUAGGAAAACAUUCUUUCGUCAUUUGCACCUACACCAAGUCACCAUCUUGAAAGACAUGUGGUUUCCUAUGCAUGUUGGAAUUCUGUUUGUACAACUCUUUCACGGCUUCAAUCUUCACACGAACUUGUUGGUGUAGUUUCAUCAUGGCCUUUAACUUGUCAUUAGCAUCCUUUUGAACCAAUUCAUCCAUUGGCAAUGGAAUUACAUCCAAAGGAAUAUAAGGAUUCACACCAUACACCACUUCGAAAGGAGAGUGACAUGUAACAUAAGUAGCAGAACGAUUACAGCAAAACUUAGCAUGUACAAGUUUGAUGUCCAAAUGUUUUUGAGUUUUGCUAACCAACCACCUCAACAAAAUACCCAAAGUUCAUUUGUCACCUUCGUUUGCCCAUAAGUUUGUUGAUGAUGUGAUGUACUAAAAAGUAACUUAGUACCAGCUUUCAUCCACAAAGUGUUCCGAAAGUAACUCAAAAACAUAGAUUCCCUCUCAGAGACAAUAGUUUUAGCUAUAAUAUGCAAGCGAACCACCUCUUUAAAGUAUAAAUCAGACACAUUAGAUGCAUCAUUGGUUUUAUGACAUGGCUCAAAGAGAGCAAUUUUUGAAAAACUAUCCACCGCCACAAUAAUGGAAUCCUUUCCCCUUUGAGUUCUAGGUAAAGCCAUAAUGAAUUCCUUUGACACGUCUUCCUAAAGACGAAUAUGAACCAGCAACGGAGUGCAACACCAUGCUUGAAAGUUUUUUCGUCAUCUAACAAGUAACACACUUUCCCACUAUGUAGUUACAUCCCAAUAUCUUAGGCCAAUAGAAAUAUUCUUAAUGCUCCUCCAAAGUUUUGGUAAUGGAAAACUGACCCGCUAAACCACCACCAUGAGUUUCACGAAUCAGCAACUCUCGUAUUGCGUAUUCAGGGACAUAAAGGUGAUUGCCUUUUGAUGCCUUUAUGAGCUUGAUUAGGUGAGUAGGGUUGUUUUUAAGCUAGAAUAACAACCACAAAUGAUACGUGUAUGGGAAGAAAUGGAUAGAUUAGUAAAAAAAUCAAGACAUGCUAAGUUGUAUACUAGUGAAAACAUUCCAAGACAUAUUUGAUUGAAUGCGUAUCAAGUCAAGAACACGUCUUGACUAUGACAAAUAGUGAGCUAUACCGAACAAAGGUUCUUUUGAUUAAAAUUUCAUCUAUCUAAUUUUUCCAUGCAUAAACUUGGCAUAUAUGAAGCCUUUAUUACAAAGUUGGUGGUUACAAGCAAGUAUAAGAAGUCCAUCUGUUUGAUAGUUAGGGUAUGAACUCACCUGAUUGUGAGUGAUCUGGCAAAAAGACAGAUAUUGGAUGCUAAGUGUCAAGCGAAAUUUCAAACACGAACAGAUCCUAAUAAACAUAUAAUAACACACACACACACACAUAUAUAUAUAUAUAUAUAUAUAUACGUAUGUAUAUAAUUAGUAUAUAAGCAACUAAUCAUGCAAGGAAACCACCUUAGGGACUAGGAGACACUUAUAUUGAAGUGUUAUAGUCACAUAAGAUUUCAUUAAAGGAGUUUACAGCCACCCAAAGAAGUUUACGGCCGUAAACUCCAAUACUUAGAGUUUUCUGACUUGUAUGCUACACACAAAACUCUAGAAGAUACUUCCGAUCCAUGAGAUAUAUGUCUCCGCCAUCCUUGACUUCUAAGUUUUUAUCAAUCCCUCUCAGGGAUUCACCCGCCACAUUUCAGGUUUCAAGGCUUCUAGUUGAGCCCCCUUGAUUUGUGUGGACAUAUGUAAAUGGAUAGUCAUUCUCAAUGAUUUGACUCUACAACCAGAGUAUUCUUUCCGACUUAGGGCGUCAACUACUACAUUGGCAUUGCUGGGAUGAUAACGAAUUUCGCAUUCGUAGUCAUUGAGUAGCUCGACCUACCGUUGUUGUCGCAUAUUAAGCUCUUGCUGGUUGAAUAUAUGUUGCAAGCUUUUAUGGUCUGUAAAGAUAGUGCUUUUCGUACCAUACAGGUAGUGUCUCCAGAUCUUUAGAGCAAACACCACUGCUCCUAACUCAAGAUCAUGUGUGGUGUAGUUGAUUUAAUGUGUCUCUAGAUUUCUUGAGGCAUAGGAGAUGACCUUACCUCGUUGCAUAAGAACACAGUCGAGUCCUUGGUUGGAUGCGUCGCAAUAAACCAUGAAGUCUUCUAUCCCUUUUAGGAGGGAUAGUAUCGGUGCACUGCAUUAAGGCUCGCUUCAGUGUUUGGAACACUUUUUCUUGUUUCACUUCCCAGUCAAAGGACACGCCCUUCUGAGUCAAUGUUGUAAGUGGUUUAACGAUGAUAGAGAAGUUUUGAAUAAACCUGCGAUAGUAGCUAGCGAGACCUAGAAAUUGACGAAUUUUUGUAGGUGUCCUGGGAGUUGACUAGUUCUCAAUGGCCUUAAUUUUGGAAGGGUCCACAUUAAUUCCUUCUUCGCUAACCACAUGACCCAAGAAUUCGACUCUUCAGAUCCAAAAUUCUGUGACAACCCAAGAUUUCUAUUAUGUACAACCCUUCACUUAAAUAGAUCUGCUAAUUUUCAAGCUUUUUGGAAUAAGUUUGAGUAUUUUAGGAUUAGCACUUUGAGAGAAAUUAGGAGAGAGGAUGCCCUAGGGUUUAUUAUGCAUCAAUAAAGUUUCAAAAACUCCAAGAGUUUGGAGUUUACAGACCAAGUCACCAUCUAGAAAGACACGUGGUUUCCUAUGCAUGUUGGAUUUUUGUUUGUACAACUCUUUCACGGCUUCAAUCUUCACACAAACUUGUUCGUGUAUUUUCAUCAUGGCCUUCAACUUGUCAUUAGCAUCCUUGUGAACCAAUUCAUCCUUUGGCAAUGGAAUUAAAUCAAAAGUCAUAUAAGGAUUUACACCAUACACCACUUCAAAAGGAGAGUGACAUGUAGCAUAAGUAGGAGAAAGAUUACAGGCAAACUCAACAUGUACAAGUCUGAUAUCCAAAUGUUUUUGAGUUUUGCUAACCAACCCCCUCAAACAACGUACCCAAAGUUCUAUUUGUCACCUUCGUUUUCCUAUCAGUUUGUGGAUGAUGGGAUGUAAUAAAAAGUAAGUUAGUACUAGCUUUCAUCCACAAAGUGUUCCGAAAGUAACUCAAAAUCAUAGAUUCCCUCUUAGAGACAAUAUUUUUUGGAAUAAUAUGCAAGGGUAACAUCCCAAAUUUCGGGUCCAAAAAUUUCAUUUUUAUUUAUCGGAUUGUAAAUACAUUCAUAAGAAAACUGUGUAACAAUAUAUCAUUUUGUGAAUCAAUGUAUCAGAUUUGAAAACCCAGAACAUAUAAUAGUAACAUGUCAGAGUACAAUCCCAGAAUAUCUCUAGUGCGGAAGAUGAAUACUUGUGUAUAUGAUGUGCCGCUACCAGGCCAGCUCUUUCCCCUUCGCUAAGGAGGUACCUGAGACCAAAACUGUAAACUGUAAGCACGGAGCUUAGUGAGAUCCCCCACAAUACCACAUACCAUGCACAUAUAAUGAACAACUAGGAGAUGCGCGCCUCGCCCACACUCAUGGAGAUACGAGCCACGCCCACACUUUGCUAGCAAGGAGAUACGAGCCUCGCCCACAUUCCGUUGUCUCUUAGAUACGGGCCUCGCCCACACUCAGCUACUAAACCAUAGCAUACAUGUAUCAUACAGACCACAAGUAUAAGCAAUUCUAUCAAAAAAGCCUAUAUCAUAAUCAAACUCAACUAUGAGAUGCGAGCUCUGCCCACACUCCAAUACUAACGUAUCACCUAUACGGGCCGACUUUGGUACCUUAGACCCGUUUCUACUGGAAGGAAACUCACCUCGUAAGACUGACCGCUGGAAAGCUGCUCGGGAAGUCUCUGACUAUUGCUACUCCGGAAAUCUUUCGGCUAUCAUCUCCACAAAACACUCAGUUAGAAUCUGAUAUCUACUCUUAGGGUAAAAUGACUAUUUUACCCCUACCCCGGAGCAAGUCAAAUUCAAAGUCAACUUCCUGUUGACCCGACUCGCCGAGUUGGGCUGUCAACUCGUCGAGUCCCUGUCUCUUCAACCGUCCUCAUCCACGUCCCUACUCGUCGAGUUUAGCAUCGACUCGAUGAGUUCUACUUCUAUCACAACCUCGGAUGAACCUUCAUCGCCAAGCGGUAUGAACACUCGUCGAGUCCAUCAUCAUCCUAUGAAUACGUCCUGACCUCGACUCGCCGAGUUGUAUGAACAACUUGUCGAGUUCAUCUUCAAGGGUUGGGAGAUUGCCUUGGACUCAGCGAGUCUAUUCUAGCACUCGCCGAGUCCUAUGAACUCCAGGUCUAAAACUAAGUCCAAUGNNNNNNNNNNNNNNNNNNNNNNNNNNNNNNNNNNNNNNNNNNNNNNNNNNNNNNNNNNNNNNNNNNNNNNNNNNNNNNNNNNNNNNNNNNNNNNNNNNNNCCAGAACGUUUCCGCCGUUCCGGUUUUGGGGUGUGACAUUUUGGCAUCAACUUUUGUUUGGAAAACGUUCUUGGAUAUGCACCUAAACCAAGUCACCAUCUUGAAAGACACGAGGUUUCCUAUACAUGUUGGAAUUCUGUUUGUAUACGUCAUUCACGGCUUCAAUCUUCACACGAGCUUGUUGGUGUUGUUUCGUCACGGCCUUCAACUUGUCAUUAGCAUCCUUGUGAACCNUUUGGAAAUGGAAUAAUAUACAAAGGCUCGUAUGGAUUCACACCAUACACCACUUACAAAGGCUUGUAAGGACCUUCAGCUCUUGGCAUCAACUCUUGUUCUUCCUUUUGUUAGGAAAAUGUUCUUUCCUCAUAUGCACCUAAACCAAGUCACCAUCUUGAAAGACAUGUGGUUUCUUAUGCAUGUUGGAAUUCUAUUUGUACACGUCAUUCAUGGCUUCAAUCUUCACAAGAACUUGUUGGUGUAGUUUCAUCAUGGCCUUUAACUUGUCAUUAGCAUCCCUGUGAACCAAUUUAUCAUUUGGAAUAGAAUCAAAUAUAAAGGCUUGUAAGGAUUCACACCAUACAUCACUUAUAAAGGACAGUGACCUGUAGCAUAAGUAGGAGAACGAUUACAAGCAAACUCAACAUGUGCAAGUUUGAUACCCAAAGUUCUAUUAGUCACCUUCGUUUGCCCAUCAGUUUGUGGAUGAUGGGACGUACUAAAAAGUAACUUAGUACCAACUUUCCUCCACAAAGUGUUCCAAAUGUAACUCAAAAACAAGGAAUCCCUAUCAGAAACAAUAGUUUUACGAAUAAUAUGCAAGCGAACCACUUCUUUAAAGUACAAAUCAGAGACAUUAGAUGAAUCAUUGGUUUUAUGACAUGGCAUAAAGUGAGCCAUUUUUGAAAACCUAUCCACCACCACUAUAAUGGAUUCCUUCCCCCUUUGAGUUCUAGGCAAAGCCAUACUGAAUUCUAUUGACACAUCUUGCCAAGGAUGAAUAGGAAACGACAAAGGAGUGUAAACACCAUGCUUGAAAGUUUUUUUUGUCAUCCGAUAUGUAACACACUUGCCCACUAUGUUGGUUACAUCCCUAACAUCUUUAGGCCAUAAGAAAUGUUCUUAAAGCACCUUCAAAGUUUUGGUAAUGGAAAAAUGACCCGCCAAACCACCACCAUGAGCUUCACGAAUCAGCAACUCCCGUAUUGCAUGUUUAGGGACACAAAGGUGAUUGCCUUUUGAUGCCUUUAUGGGCUAGAUUAAGUGAGUGGGGCUGUGUUUAGGUAAAUGAAGCUAGAAUAAAAACCACAAAUGACAGGUGUAUGGGAAGAAAUGGAUAAACUAGUAACAAAUCAAGACCUACUAAGUUGUAUACCCGUGAAAACUAUCCAAGACAUAAUAUUUGUUUGAAUGCAUAUCAAGUCAAGAACAGGUCUCGACUAUGACAAGUAGUGAACUAUAACUAUAAUUCAAAGUGAACAAAGGUUCUUUUGAUUAAAAUUUCAUCUAUCUCUUUUUUCCAUGCAUAAUUGGCUUAUAUGAAGCCUUUAUUACAAAGUUGUUGGUUACAAACCACCCAACCAACUACUCAGUAAAACUAAUAAUGGAAAUUAAAGAAACUCAUGAAACCACACAAAAAAACGUCUGACACACCAAUGAAUGAAAAAAGCGUUCGUGCUCCAUUAAGGAGCAAAAAGAAGCAUUAAAAUGUAACCCAAAUCCACCGAAGAGUAUCAACAAUGGCUAAAAGGCUUGAUGAAGCCAAAAGUAAUGGUUUUGAGAACUUAUUAAGCCUUUAAAAUGUUGCCCUAGCCUUCAUGCGACCCUAAUUCAAUACAGAGGUUACCAUGCACAACCCAACCAUUGAGUACAAACCACCUUCUAGCCUACUAGUAAUCACUAAUCCAUCACCUUUUUCGGCUUUUCAUGAGCCAUGCAUGGAUCCACCCCUCCCUCUUUGAAAGGAAAUGACCUUAAUUCAUCAAGGCCAUCCUCAACAAGAUACAUGAAAGGUCUCCCACAUUAAAGGUAGCAUGCACUCCAUGGUCUCGUCCCAGAUACACCUUAUAAGCAUUAUCAUUGACAUGUGUCACCACUUUGUAAGGACCUUCAGCUCUUGGCAUCAACUUUUGUUCUUCCUUUUGUUAGGAAAAUAUUCUUUCCUCAUAUGCACCUAAACCAAGUCACCAUCUUGUAAGACACGUGGUUUCAUAUGCAUGUUGGAAUUCUGUUUGUACAUGUCAUUCACAGCUUCCAUCUUCACACAAACUUGUUGGUGUAGUUACAUCAUGGCCUUCAAAUUGUCAUUUGCAUCCUUGUGAACCAAUUCAUCAUUUGGAAAUGGAAUCAAAUACAAAGGCUUGUAAGGAUUCACACCAUACACCACUUACGAAGGCUUAUAAGGACCUUUAGCUCUUGGCAUCAACUUGUUCUUCCUUUUGUUUGGAAAACGUUCUUUCCUCAUAUGCACCUAAACCAAGUCACCAACUUGAAAGACACGUGGUUUCCUAUACAUGUUAGAAUUUUGUGUGUACAUGUCAUUCACGGAUUCAAUCUUCACACGAGCUUGUUGGUAUAGUUUCGUCAUGGCCUUCUACUUGUCAUUAGCAUCCUUGUGAACCAAUUCAUCAUUUGGAAAUGGAAUCAAAUACAAAGGCUUGUAAGGAUUCACACCAUAAACCACUUACAAAGGCUUGUAAGGACCUUCAGCUCUUGGCAUCAACUUUUGUUCUUCCUUUUGUUAGGAAAACGUUCUUUCCUCAUAUGCACCUAAACCAAGUCACCAUCUUGUAAGACACGUAGUUUCCAAUGCAUGUUGGAAUUCCGUUUGUACACGUCAUUCACGGAAUCAAUCUUCACACAAACUUGUUGGUGUAGUUUCAUCAUUGCCUUCAACUUGUCAUUAGCAUCCUUGUGAACCAAUUCAUCGUUUGGAAACGGAAUAAAAUACAAAGGAUUUUAAGGAUUCACACCAUACACCACAUACAAAGGCUUGUAAGCACCUUCAGCUCUUGGCAUUAACUUUAGUUCUUCCUUUUUUAAGUAAACGUUCUUUCCUCAUAUGCACCUAAACCAAGUCACCAUCUUGAAAGACACAUGGUUUCCUAUGCAUGUUGGAAUUCUGUUUGUACACGUCAUUCACGGCUUCAAUCUUCACACGAGCUUGUUGGUGUAGUUUCGUCAUGGCCUUCAACUUGUCAUUAGCAUCCUUGUGAACCAAUUCAUCGUUUGGAAAUGGAAUAAUAUACAAAGGCUCGUAUGGAUUCACACCAUACACCACUUACAAAGGCUUGUAAGGACCUUCAGCUCUUGGCAUCAACUCUUGUUCUUCCUUUUGUUAGGAAAAUGUUCUUUCCUCAUAUGCACCUAAACCAAGUCACCAUCUUGAAAGACAUGUGGUUUCUUAUGCAUGUUGGAAUUCUAUUUGUACACGUCAUUCAUGGCUUCAAUCUUCACAAGAACUUGUUGGUGUAGUUUCAUCAUGGCCUUUAACUUGUCAUUAGCAUCCCUGUGAACCAAUUUAUCAUUUGGAAUAGAAUCAAAUAUAAAGGCUUGUAAGGAUUCACACCAUACAUCACUUAUAAAGGACAGUGACCUGUAGCAUAAGUAGGAGAACGAUUACAGGCAAACUCAGCAUGUGCAAGUUUGAUGUCCAACUGUUUUUGAGUUUUGCUAACCAACCCCCUCAACAACAUACCCAAAGUUCUAUUAGUCACCUUUGUUUGCCCAUCAAUUUGUGGAUGAUGGGACGUACUAAAAAGUAACUUAGUACCAACUUUCCUCCACAAAGUGUUCCAAAUGUAACUCAAAAACAAGGAAUCCCUAUCAGAAACAAUAGUUUUACGAAUAAUAUGCAAGCGAACCACUUCUUUAAAGUACAAAUCAGACACAUUAGAUGAAUCAUUGGUUUUAUGACAUGGCAUAAAGUGAGCCAUUUUUGAAAACCUAUCCACCACCACUAUAAUGGAUUCCUUCCCCCUUUGAGUUAUAGGAAAAGACAUACUGAAUUCCAUUGACACCUUUUGCCAAGGACGAAUAGGAACCGACAAAGGAGUGUAAACUCCAUGCUUGAAAGUUCUUUUCGUCAUCCGACAUGUAACCCACUUGCCCACUAUGUUGGUUACAUCCCUAACAUCUUUAGGCCAGAAGAAAUAUUCUUAAAGCAUGUUCAAAGGUUUGAUAAUGGAAAAAUGACCCGCCAAACCACAACCAUGAGCUUCACGAAUCAGCAACUCCCGUAUUGCAUGUUUAGGGACACAAAGGUCAUUGCCUUUUGAUGCCUUUAUGGGCUUGAUUAAGUGAAUGGGGUUGUUUUAGGUAAUUUAAGCUAGAAUAACAACCACAAAUGAUAGGUGUAUGGGAAGAAAUGGAUAGAUUAAUAACAAAUCAAGACCUACUAAGUUUUAUACCGGUGAACACAAUCCAAGACAUAUUAGAUUGAAUGCGUAUCAAUCAAGAACACGUCUCGACUAUGACAAAUAGUGAGCUAUAACUAUAAUUCAAAGUGAAACAAGGUUCUUUUGAUUAAAAUUGCAUCUAUCUGUUUUUUCCAUGCAUAAACUUCGCUUAUAUGAAGCCUUUAUUACAAAGUUGGUGGUUACAAGCCUCCCAACCAACUACUCAGUAAAAUUAAUAAUGAAAAUUAAAGAAACUCAUGAAACCACACGAAAAAACGUCUGACACACUAAUGAAUGAAAAAAGUGUCCAUGCUCCAUUAAGGAGCAAAAAAAGCAUUAAAGUGUAAUCCAAAUCCACCAAAGAGUAUCAACAAUGGCUAGAAGGCUUGAUGAAGGAAAAAGUAAAAGUUUUGNCACUGAUUAAGCCUUUAAAAUGUUGCCCUAGCCUUCAUGCGACCCUAAUUUAAUACGUAGGUUACCAUGCACAACCCAACCAUUGAGUACAAACCACCUUCUAGCCUACUAGUAAUCACUAAUCCAUCACCUUUUUCGGCUUUUCAUGAGCCAUGCAUGGAUCCUCCCCUCCCUCUUUGAAAGGAAAUGACCUUAAUUCAUCAAGGCCAUCCUCAACAAGAUACGGUGAAAGGUCUCCCACAUUAAAGGUAGCAUGCACUCCAUGGUCUCGUCCCAGAUCAACCUUAUAAGUAUUAUCAUUGACAUGUGUCACCACUUUGUAAGGACCUUCAGCUCUUGGCAUCAACUUUUGUUCUUCCUUUUGUUAGCAAAACGUUCUUUCCUCAUAUGCGCCUAAACCACGUCACCAUCUUGUAAGACACGUGGUUUCCUAUGCAUGUUGGAAUUAUGUUUGUACACGUCAUACACAGCUUCAAUCUUCACACAAACUUGUUGGUGUAGUUACAUCAUGGCCUUCAAAUUGUCAUUUGCAUCCUUGUGAACCAAUUCACCAUUUGGAAAUGGAAUGAAAUACAAAGGCUUGUAAGGAUUCACACCAUACACCACUUACGUAGGCUUAUAAGGACCUUCAGCUUUUGGCAUCAACUUUUGUUUGGAAAACGUUCUUUCCUCAUAUGCACCAACACCAAAUCACCAUCUUGAAAGACACGAGGUUUCCUAUACAUGUUGGAAUUCUGUUUGUACACGUCAAUCACGGCUUCAAUCUUCACACUAGCUUGUUGGUGUAGUUUCGUCAUGGCCUUCAACUUGUCAUUAGCAUCCUUGUGAACCAAUUCAUCGUUUGGAAAUGGAAUAAUAUACAAAGGCUCGUAAGGAUUCACACCAUACACCACUUACAAAGGCUUGUAAGGACCUUCAGCUCUUGGCAUCAACUCUUGUUCAAAGUGAACAAAGGUUAGUUUGAUUAAAAUUUCAUCUAUCUCUUUUUUCCAUGCAUAAUUGGCUUAUAUGAAGCCUUUAUAACAAAGUUGGUGGUUACUAGCCACCCAACCAACUACUCAGUAAAACUAAUAAUGGAAAUUAAAGAAACUCAUGAAACCACACAAAAAAACGUCUGACACACUGAUGAAUGAAAAAAGUGUCCAUGCUCCAUUAAGGAGCAAAAAGAAGCAUUAAAGUGUAAUCCAAAUCCACCAAAGAGUAUCAACAAUGGCUAGAAGGCUUGACGAAGCAAAAAGUAACAGUUUUGAGCACUUAUUAAGCCUUUAAAAUGUUGCCCUAGCCUUCAUGCGACCCUAAUUUAAUACGUAGGUUACCAUGCACAACCCAACCAUUGAGUACAAACCACCUUCUGGCCUACUAGUAAUCACUAAUCCAUCACAUUUUUCGGCUUUUCAUGAGCCAUGCAUGGAUCCUCCCCUCCCUCUUUGAAAGGAAAUGACCUUAAUUCAUCAAGGCCAUCCUCAACANGUCUGGGGGUGACUGUGGUGUUCAACAUGCCUAAAACUUACCCAAUCCCCAAACAACGAGCCAUCGUCGUAACAAAGCGUGAAAUACUAUGGGAGUAUUUCUAGAUCCAACUUGGUUGUAGAAAACCCUCAUUCAAGUGUUGCCUCUUGAUUAUUCUUUUAGUAAUAAUAUAUCUGUCUUGAUUAUUUAUUCCUACUUUAUUGCUUAAUAGAAUUCUAUGUCUGUCAUAAAGAGAUAUCCCUUGUUUCAUAUCUCCUGAUUUAAUUCAGAGGAUUUACUAUCCUCUUUUCCUAAUCAUUUUAGAUCGAAAUGUCUCCAAAGAAAGGACCCAGCUCAAAGAACAACAACCCUCCGUCACCACCUCCUUCUCAAUUCGACCCUGUGAUGUUCCAGUUAGCUGUUUCUGCCGCAGUGACGGCNCCAUAGUGACAUAUUUGUUCUCUAACAGGUUCAGUGGACCAGGAAGUAACACCAACCCCUAAAACCAUGAAAAUGUUCAGGAGCAUCAGAAUGAGCGUAAUGAGAGUAAUAAGGUUAUCUGGAAAAAGUGAAAGGGUCAGAGUUCACAAAGACCCUCCAAGAGGCAUGAAACUAUGGCAAUUCAAGCUGCCACUACUCCUGUUGCUGUGUCUACAGUUCAAGCGCUUACCACUAGGUAUGCGGGUAACCUCCCUUGGUGCAACAAGUGCAAAUAUCACCAUUAUACCCCUGGCCCAUGCCUCGAGAUAAUCUGCAAAAGAUGUGGCAAAAAAGGCCACACCGCUCGAAACUGCAAAAGACCAGCCCAACUAGUCAAUCGAGCUUCCGGAUCAAGUACCGAACAGGCCUACUUUAAGUGCGGUGAAAUCGGGCAUUUCAAGCGAAACUGCCCAAAAACAGCAACCACCAACCACGCCAACAACGUUGGGAUAGCUCUGGCUAUAAAGUCGGAAGAGGCAACCGCUGAUUCCACCUCCGUCGCGGGUACGUUUCUUCUCGACAAUUCUUAUGCCUGCAUCCUUUUAGAACCUAGUGUCACGGAAGUUUUAUUAGUCAUUAUUCUAGUAUCUUCGUAAACAUAGUCCUCGUCUAAUAACCGAAACAUUUACCGUCGAGAUGGUUAAGGUGAGAAUGAGUGCACUAACGAAUUAUUCCUAAACUGUACCCUUACCUUGCGUAAUCAUUCUUUCCUCGUUAACCUAAUGUCAGUUUCAAUAAAGAACUUUGAUGUUAUCAUUGGCAUGUAUCGGUUGAAUCCCAAUCAUGCUGAUACCCUUAGUAUUGAAAAGGCCAUCUGUCCCGAUUUCCUCUCUGGUCAAACCCUCAUGAUCUACAACAAUAAAUUCAGUUCCAACCUUCAUAUCAUUUCGUGCAUCUAAAAAUCAAAAGGUUUUCCCGAAAGGAAUGUCAUGUAUUCCCAGACUAUGAAACCAACGAGAAACAGAACGUCAAAAACCUUGAAAGCAUCCCCAAAGUCUGCAAUUUUCUUGAUGUCUUUUCCGAAGAGCUCACAGGAAUUCCCUUCAGACAUCAAGUAGAGUUUUGCAUCGACCCAAUUCCCGGAGCAAACCCUAUAUAACCAAAUCCCAGCAUCGAUAGGCUCCAGCAGAAAUGCAGAAGUUACCCAGUUAGCUUCGAGUUCACGAGAGUGAUGUUUCCAAAACAGCAUUCAGAAUUCGAUAUAGUCACUACAAAGAUGUAGUGAUACCCUUCGGUCUAACCAUUUUCUUUGGCCAUGUAGUAAUCGAAGAAAGCAUGUUACAUUCUGAAAACUCGUAUCCCAAGGUGCAUAGAACUUUUCGAAAUCCUCAUUAGGAUCGAUCCUGUAGCAUACAAACUCCGACUACCCUCAGAACUUAGUAGUAUCCAUCCUGUCUUCCUCGUCUCAAAUCUUCAGAAGUGCCUGCCCAACGAAACCCUAGUAAUUCCGAAAUCAACGAAAGUCUGAACCUCCAUGGAAGAACAAAUUGAGAACAUAGAUCAAGAGGUUAAACGUAUGAAACAAGACAUAUCCCGAUAAGUGAACGGUACCCCGAAAUGCCAUGUGAGAAUCCGAAUUCACUUGGAAGCGUGAUGAUCCCAUAGGACAGAAGUAUCCGUAUUCUCUUUUCAAAUCUGCGAGUCGCAUCUAAAGUAUGAAUUUCGGGACGAAAUUCCCUCUAACGGGGGGAUAAUGUGACAACUCGAAGUUCGUUCCGUCAUCAUAACCCGGUUCCAUUAGUAAAGUCGUCAUGUUCCAAAAUUUUCCGUUAACUUUGUUUUAAUUUAAUUUAUUUGCAACUUCUAUUUAAAGUUCAUAAGUUUUGGGAUACAUUUUAAUUCAUUAAAAUAUUUUCUAUUUUCAUUUAGAAAAUAUUUAGUUUCAUCUAAGUCAUAAUUACGGUAAAUUAAUCGGGUGCAACCAAAAGCCCCACUUAUCAGUAGUAUCGGGUAGAAUUCCACCAUAUCCUAAACCUUGAACAUAUAUAAAGUUGAGAGAGCCUCAUUUGAAGCCUUUCCACUCUCUCUACUCUCUCUCUACUUUCUCUCUCUAGAAAUCGAAAUCAAGCCAAAAAUCAUCCAAAACAAGCUCCAAAUCAUCAAGGUAACUAUCCUAACUCCUAGUAUAACCCCUUUGUCCUUCAAAUUCGUGGAUUAUAUGAGGAAUAGAACCAUAAACAUGUGUUUACGGUCCUGGAACCUCCUUAGGCCGUGAACACAUGUAUUAAGGGGUUUUGAGCCUUAAAACCCUUCCAAACCUCAUUUGGAGCUUAGAUAUGACUAAGGGACUUAUUUGCAUGGACUUAGAACACCUUGAACUCNNNNNNNNNNNNNNNNNNNNUUGAGCCUUAAAACCCUCCCAAACCUCAUUUGGAGCCUAGAUAUGACCUAAGGACUUGCAUACAUGGAUUUAGAACACCUUAAACUCUUCAUUUAGGGCAUGAACAUGAGUUUACGGCCCAAGCACAUACUUGGACCGUAAACACCUAUUCUUGGGGAGUAAACUCAAUUUAAGGUGUUAGUUUGCCCCUAAACACCUCCAACAAGCUUCCAUGAGAGUAUAGAACCCAAUAAUCCUUCAAGAAAUGCACCAAAACUUACACAAAUGGGACAAACUUGAGCUUACGGUCCAAGAACAUUAUUAGACCGUAAACUCAUCUCCUUAGACCUUAAACUCAUCCAAUGGGUGUUAAAGUGCCCUUAACACCUUGUAUGGUUUAGAAAUGGGUCUAGAUCUUAGUAUGCUUAACUUUCAACCACUAAAACUCAUGAAUCAUGGACAAACAUGAGUUUAAGGUAGUAAACUCGUGUUUAAGGUAGUAAACUUCCGAAGAACAUCUUCAUAGACCGUAAACUCUUAUCCAAGGUCAUUUAGAGUCCCAAUCACUUCCUAAGCCAUGGAAUCAACCCUAGAACCUUUCCGUGUGCAUUGUAUGACCAUUUGGCAUCCAAGAACCCACCACCCAUGAGUUUACGGCCGUAAACUCAUGGGGAUAUGGUCAAUGGACCGUGAACUCCUCAAGGAGUUUACUCUUCAAGAGUAAACUCCAUAUCUAGGUCCUACACAUCCAUAGAUGCCCCCGGGUGACUCCGAACACUUGAAUUGAAGUUUUUCACGCCUCAAAGUGUAUAAUCAUAUCUAAUUAGUGAUUUAAAGUCUAAUUAGAUACAUUUGUAUCUCAUUUCAUAUUUCAUAGGAUCCUCGCGCGUUAUCAAGCCCUGAUCCGACACAUAGCAUCCUAGACAACACGUUCUUCGACUGGUGAGUUCAUACCCCUACCCUUUUUCCGUGUUUUCAAUGUUUUCAGGGUGAAUACAAGCAAACUAUAAAUGUUUUCAAAACCUAAAACUGAUGUGUUUCUAUAAAUAUUUGGCUAACUUUUAGAUAUCUUUACCCGUUUAUGUAUUAAGCUGAGCAUAAAGGAUGUUUUAUCGAUUAUAACUACAUGGAUUUCAGUAAAGGAAACAAUCAAAUCAAUCAAAUUAUUAUGGGAAUAAUUUGGGAUCUUUAGUUCCUAUUUAACAAGCAAAGAUUUAUGUAAAGUUAUUAGAUAAACUAUGUCUGAUUCAGUUUAUCUCUAUUUAAUUUAGAAUAUAUUGCCAGAUAAUUCCAUUGUGUUUAACUGUUUUCACUGUAUAUUGUUUCUAUAUGAUUAGUAUGUUGAUAACGUCUGAGAACACCGUGAAUAAAUUAAAUACUAGCUUGUGAGAUUCGUCAAUACCCUUUGGGUUAUCAGUAAAUCCUCCCCAGAAGUGUAACCAGAGUCUCCUGGAGGGAGAGCGUGGAAUUUGUGAAUAGAUCUAUUCGGGACUGACAAUCCUACACCUAAACUGCUAGCUACAGUUAGGCGGGCACGCCUGGGGUGACAAAUUCUGGAUAUCAUCCGACGUCUGACGAACGUCAAGGAGGUCUCGGUGUCGCAUCAGCAUGGUUACCCGACUGACAAUACNNNNNNNNNNNNNNNNNNNNNNNNNNNNNNNNNNNNNNNNNNNNNNNNNNNNNNNNNNNNNNNNNNNNNNNNNNNNNNNNNNNNNNNNNNNNNNNNNNNNNNNNNNNNNNNNNNNNNNNNNNNNNNNNNNNNNNNNNNNNNNNNNNNNNNNNNNNNNNNNNNNNNNNNNNNNNNNNNNNNNNNNNNNNNNNNNNNNNNNNNNNNNNNNNNNNNNNNNNNNNNNNNNNNNNNNNNNNNNNNNNNNNNNNNNNNNNNNNNNNNNNNNUACUAAAAAGUAAAUUAGUAAGAACUUUUCUCUACAAAGUGUUCCAAAAGUAACUCAAAAGCAUGUAAUCCCUAUCAGAAACAAUAGUUUUAGGAAUAUUAUGCAAGCGAACCACCUCUUUAAAGUACAAAUCAGACAGAUUAGAUGCAUCAUUGGUUUUAUGAUAUGGCACAAAGUGAGCCAUUUUUGAAAACCUAUCCACCAGCACUAAAAUGGAAUCAUUUCCCCUUUCAGUUCUAGGCAAAACAAUACUUCCUCAUUGGUAGGUCUAUAAUUACAGAGUGUAUACUUACAAGGUUUUAUAUAUUAAAGAUCUUAUAGACUCAGAAUGUGUGGUUUCGCUUUACUUCCUUUUCCUUGUUUGGAUGUGGAUAUAGAGUAGUAUCAUAUAUUUGAAGGUCUAUUAAAUCCGAUACAUAUAUAAUUUGUAUGCACUAUGUAAUUCUAGAAGGACCCAAUAAGGAUCACUAUUUAAAAAUGUUUAAUUAACUUUUUAAGACUCUUUAGACAUUUCCGUUCUCGUAUAAACCAUUUGGAUAGAUGUGGUCACUUCAGCAAUCAGCAGAGAAGUCAACAAGGACUCAGAAGAGAUUCAUUGGGAGGAUUUCCGAGUAGGAAACCGAUGAACACUAAAGAAACAAUAGAAAUCACCCUGUGCCUUUACCUUAUUAGGGACAUUGGUGAGAAGUUCGCCUGAACUUCCAAGAUUCAAACUUUCCCUUAUGAAGUAAUGGGGAUCAGUGUCGGAAUCGGAAGUAAGACGGCAUGGAAAUUCAAUAUACUUACGAAGGAGAAGGACACUGCAUAGGUUCCAGGAGGGAUCCCAGAGUAGCACAAAGAACUGAGGGAAGCCACGCAUGAAACGUGGGAAGUGUUUGUAUACCCAAUGUGUCACCUUAACAAAUUAAUAAAUUAAUACAACCUGGUGAGUUAGUGAUUACACUACUUACAUUGUGUGUUAGGCUUAUCGCCUUUUUCCGUAAUGGAAAAUAUCAUUAAAUCGGAUCACGAAAUCUCAUUUGAGAGUGAUUAUUUCUAAAAAUUCAUAAGUCUUUCCUAUGUAGUCUCCGUUCUAAAUUGCUUCCAAAUCUUUUCCUAGUUGGAGAGUGAUACUCACCAAUCUAAAGAUAACUUAGUUCGAGCGACACCUGGUUCAUGACCUUUUUUAAAAACUUACUUCUACCCUUUUACCAGGACUGCAUCAUAGGGAUGUAGGUUGAAACUUUGAGAACCAUAUACUGAGACACGGAGAAAUUUAUAUGUGCAUAUAAAUAAUUAGAAUACAUCUAGAAGCAACCAUCAUCGCUCAAAAACUUGUUCCUCAUCGUGUAACAGCAUCAUACCUCCGAAGAAACAUAACCAACCCACCGGCAAAACACCAAUACUUCAGAUAGACUCAGAUAACAAAGUACUGCAACAAGUGCCUGCUUGUAAAGACACACCGAACCUCAACCCUAAGAGUAACAAACGACAGUUCUGGGAUAAAAGGAAGUGCAAAUCAUCUCAAAUGAUGAACAAGAGACAACACCUGGUGGCAACCUCUGCAGCCACGACAUCUACUGCUUCUACUACCAUUCCUAUUGCUACCCCAAACAAGGCAGUAUGUCGGGAACCUACCCCUAUGCAAGAAGUGCAACUUCCAUCACCUAGGAGUCUGCCGAGUGUUGCACUGCAUGAAUUGCAACAAGAAGGGGCACACUACCCGUUUCUGCAGAAUUCCAAACAAGCACAUCACUUCAACCACCAAUGUUGGGAUCAGUCCAAUAUGUCACCUAUGUGGUGAAAUAGGACAUUUCAAGAGGGACUGUCCAACAAAAGGAAAUGAUAAAGGCGCAGGAGUAGUUUAACCUCGGAUCAUAAAGAAGUGUCGGAGAACCCUCUAGAAAUUUUGGUAUGCUCCCUAACUUUAACAACCAACUAUAAAUACUCCCUCGUUAAAACAAAAUUUGCAGCACAAUUAUAAACCUCAAAAACCCUGUCAGGUAAAGCUAUGAUGGCCUAGUUUAUACGUUAGGGUCAUUGAUAAUUAAGAUUUGUAGAACUCGAGUGAGUGAUGCAGUCUCAUUUCCUGUUCUUAGUUUGGUUGUGGAUUUAGGGCGGAGUCACUCAGUCAACGGUCUUUCCAAUCUUAAUUAUACAUGACAGGUGUAUACAAGGCGGCUAUAGAGAGGCCUUGUGGGAAUCAUUCCCCUAGAAGUACAUUACUCAAAAUCAUCAGGGCUCUCAAAUUGUUAGCGCUCGUUAUUUUCGAUUCUAAAAAUCACGGUGGUAAUACCAUGCGACGAAACCGGGAGCACUGAAUUCUUAUGUGCUUGAUAUAACACAUCUUCCUGAUAAUCAUUUCUUCCAUAUCGACUCGAUAUCUAUUAUAUCGAGAAAUUUUGACAUCAUCAUCUGUCAUGGUUUGGCACUCACUAUGUAAAAUGUCUGUGCUGAAAAGAACUUUCAUUCUAAUUAAUGUCAAAUAAAAUUCUUCCAGUUAAUAAUGGCAAACCUAUUACAACUCAUUAUGUCGCCUCUCACAUCAAAACUUCAGAAGUACCCGAGUGAGGGGUACCACGUCUUGUUAGGCUACCCAAUAGUCCAUGGAUUACGAAUUUGAAAUUCGUUAUCAUCCCGGUUAAGCCAAUCUAGUAGCUAACACCCUUAGUCGGGAGGAGUAACUCAGAUCAUAGAGUCAAACCAUCACUAUGACCAUCCAUUCGCAUCUGUCCAUAUGAAUAAAGAUGGCUCAGCAGGAAGCCUAGAAACCUAGAAUUUUGUCAGGUGAAACUCGGAGAAGGAUGGAAAAGAACUUAGAAGUCACAGGUGCGAUCAUACCAACACUAGUGCACCGGAUACCAUCAGAACUCUGUCAUUAAGCGUGCAUGGACAACGGAGCCUUAUACCACAUAGAUUUGAUCUAGACACCAAAGUUUUGUGACGUCAGAGACAUGGUCAUUAAUGAAGCUCACGAUACUCAACACUCCGUUCAUCCAGAUUCAGACGAGAAGUGUCUAGACCUCAAAAAGUUGUAGUAGUGGCUUGGCAUGAGAGCAAAAGUAUUGUUGCCUUAUAGGUAAGGGUAUUACGCACAUCAAGGUUAAGGUCAGAAUACUAAAACCCACAGAAUUACCACCACGGUCGAAGACACCUGAGUAGAAGAGGCUGCAGAUUGUGUUGUGCUUCAUAAUCCAGUUACCCAAGGCAUCAGGUUGACACAAUAGACAAGCUAGUGGAACAUGUUUUCGAAAGAUUAGUUAGACUGCUCGGUGUUCAAAUGUCUGUUAUCUCUGUUAGAGAUAGUAGAAUCACCUCCCGAAAUUGUCAGUCACUUCAGAAAAUCUCUGCGGGCUAGGCUAGUCAGGAGCAUAGCCUACCAUCAAGGAAACGACAAACGGAAGAAAAGAACGAUUCGACCAAUAGGGAUUAUGCUGAGAAUGCAUUUAACUGACUUUGCUAAAGUUUGGGAUACCCAAAUUGCCAAACUAGUCAAGUUCUUUACCACCCCGUCAUUUGAAGUUGCUCCAUUCGAAAACCCUCAUUGGUCGUAAGUGCAAAUCCCCUCUGUACUGGACUAAGGUAGGUACCACGCUACUAGUUAGAUGUCAAAUUCCAGACAACACCUUCGCUGAUCUAUAAACCCUUCAAGAAACUACCAAGUAGAAAGUGCAAAUCCGAAAACGACCUAGAACUUCUAGAACCAAUCAGAAAGGCUACGUCUUCAGUAAGAGAAAACCUUUGGAAACUCCAGGAUGGUGAUCACAUCAAGUGAUGGUCUCACCCUGGAAGGAAAUUAUGUUUUAGAUAAUGAGCAUGCUAAAUCCAAGGUACUUAGGACCAUUUGAGAUUCUCGAUAGAAUUGGUCCGACAGCUUACAGGUCCCGACUACUGAGGGAAUUCAAUAAAUUUCACUCUACCCUCCCAUGUCUAUAAAAUUGAAAAAGUGUUUAUCCGGCGAAACUUUUAUUAUCCCACUUGAUUAGGUCGAUGUAAGCUAAAGCCUUGUCUUGGUAAAGAAAUCUAUAAAAAUCCAGUUCAGUAAAAGGAGCCCUUGGAAACCCUAUCCAGUGGAGUCCAACGAACGAAAAUGAAACCGUACCCCUUGGUGAAAGUCUACGAAAGCGUAUAACGAGGACUUGAUCCCCCUAGAGAUCAAGUGGAUCAGAUGGAACAUGAGUAUCCGUACCUUUCACCUCAUCCAUGUAUAUUCCUUAGAACUAAAUUUCGGGAUGAAAUUCCCUUUAACGAGGGGAUGAUGUGAUAACCCGAAAUUUCUAUCUUGUACAACCAUUCAAUUCAAUCAAAGUCAGACUUUUUUCUGCUAUCUUUUAUCAUUGUUUAGGGUCUGUUUGAGUGUUCUAAGUCUAGUGCAUUCAAGGUUUGGGUUUAGGGAAGAGUUAGCUUAAGUUCAUAGCAAAGCAUUCAGGNUUCAAGAGGAGUGUACAGCCAUACACAUGGGUGUACCACCAUACACCCUUCAUGGCCGUGAACUCAUACCCUUAACAAUGAUUUCUUUCAGUUUUCUUCAUUUCCUCACAUUCCCAACGCAAGAACCCGAUUCUCUCUCAGCUAUCAUCAACUUUUCACCCUGAUCUUCAAAAUUAUAAGUAUUCCUUCCAUUGAUUAGUUGAUACAUGUCUUUAACUAGUGAAGAUCCAUGUUUUCAUCCGUGAAACUUCCUAUUUUGGUUAGAUCUUCAAGUUUCACCAAGAACACCUACUAGUUCUUGGGUCGUGAACUCCUUAGAAGCCUUCAAAAGUGUGAGUAUCUCUUCUAUAUUCUAUUAGAGCAUAAGAAACACUUGAUUCCUAGCCUAAAUCAUCAUCUAAUGCAUGAACAUCAAGGGUGUACGGUCGUACACACCUCAUGUAGUCGUAAACCCUUAUUUAGUGCGUGAUUAGGCCUCAAACUCAUCUCAUGUCCCAACAUAGGAUCAUGAACACUUAGUGGAUGCUAGUUAGAGCUAUAAAAAAACUCUAGUCUUUCCAUGAGUGUAUGGUCGUACACCCCAUGACCAUACACUCAUGUGGCCGUACACCACUUAGACCGUAUACACCUUGGCUGUACACACUCUUGGGUGGCCGUAAACCCCUUUGAUACAAUCAAAUGUGAUUGUAACACAUCAAUAUAAGUGUUUAUUAGUCCCUAGGAUUGUUUCCCUUCAUGAUUAGUUGUUAUAUACACUAAUUACAUAGAUAUAUGUGUCAUUAUAUGCUUAAUAGGAUCCGUUUGUGCUCAAGACUUCCCUUGGCAUACCCAUCAUUUCAUAUCACGUCCUCAAGCAAAUCAUCCUCCUAAGGUGAGUUCAUACCCCUACAAUCAAUCUUUUAACUGUUUUAAAUGCUUUUUAGGGGGGAUACAAGUUUAACACAAUUAUAAAUUAUGUUAGUAUGAACAUUUGUACACUGUUAAUAUUUCAAACUGUCAUAAACUACUUUUAAACAUUGACGUUUCUUUUAAACUCUUUAAAGCUCUCUUAUUUUCAAAACAAUAUUCAUGCAUAUAUUAGUGUAUAAACAUAGUUUAGUGGACUUAGGACUAGUGUUAAUAACCUUGACUCCUGUUCCUAGUUUGGUUGUGGGCAUAGGGUAGGAUUCACUAGUACGAGUGUCGAUUAAAAUAUGUUUACAUGCCAAAUGCAUACAUGAAUAUUAAAGCUUACUUUCAAGUUAUUCAAGUUAGAUACGAAACAAACAUACUAGUAAACGAUAAUAGGUAUAGUUUAGAGAACAUAUACAUAUACAAGUACAGAGAAUAGGGCUUAGAUAAUGAGUUUGCUCUUCAAGAGUAAACUCCUUAGGGAGUUUACGGCCCUAAGACCAUGUCCACAUGAUUUCACGGCCGUGAACUCAUGGAUGAUGGGUUUUAAGGUGCUCAAGGGUCAAAUAUCACAUGGGAAAUGUUGCUAGGAUUUAAUCUAAGGCAUAGGAAUGGAUUUAACCACCAAAGAGACCAUCAAAGGGAGUUUACGGACGUGAACUAGGAGUUUACGGUCGUAAGCUCCUAAUUACCGUUUCUUUUCAUGAUUUGGUGGCCCUAGAUUAAUCAUAUGUGAUUUGAACUUAUUUUAGAAGCCAUAGAAUGGAUUUAGGGCAUCAUUUGGCUAAGGUAUAGGAGUUUAUGGCCCAGAAACCUAUCCUUGGGGGGUUUACGUCCGUAAGCUCCUAUAGGAGUGGUUUUAAUCAAGUUUAAGGCCCCUAAAUCGAUUGUGGUUGUUUCUAGACUUUAAUCCAAGGCUUAGGAGGUGUUUAAAUGACAUUUUAACACCCUAAAAGGAGUUUACUGCCCAUGAUAUGGAGUUUACAGCUCAAGCAUGUUCUUGGGAAGUAAACUCAUGUUUACUCCCCAAAUGUUGAGUUCAAGGUGUUCCAAGUCCAUUCCUUUAAGUCCUUAGGUCAUUUCUAAGCUCCAUAAGUGGUUUGAGAGGGUUUUUAGGCUCCAAAACUCAUUUUAUAUGUGUUCACGGCCCAUGAAUGUUCCAGGGCCGUAAACACAUGUUUAUGGUCCUAAAUCAUACUUUAAACACAGAUUUGGAAGCUGAAAAGAUUGUACUACGAGUUAGGAUGGUUACCUUGAUGAUUUAGGGCUUAAAUUCAAUGAUUUUGGACCAUGAAUUGAGUUGUAGAGAGAGUGUAGUGAGAAAGGGUGCAAAAGCUUCAAAUGGAAGCUUUUUGAAUUUUAUAUAUGGUUCAAGUUUUGGACACGGUGGAAUUCUACCCGAUACUGACGUUAUACGAUGCUUUUGGUCGCAUCCGAUUAAGUUGCCGUAACCUGAUAUGGUUGAGACUAAAAAUUUUCCAAUUAUUAAAUUGGGGCGUUAUCAUGAGUUUCUAAUGUGUUUGGACACUCAUUAAGUCAUAAUAAACGACUCAAUUUAAUGACUUAAUUUAAUAAUGAAACGGAAACAAUUUGAAAACGACGAAUUUAUUAACGGAACGGGUUACAAUGACGGAAAGAAUUUCAGGUUGUCACACAUAUAUUAGUGUCUAAACAUACUUUAGUGGACUUAGGACUAGUGUUAGUAACCUUGACUCCUGUUCAUUGUUUGGUUUUGGGCUUAGGGUAGGAUUCACUAGUUCGAGUGUCGAUUAAAAUACAUUUACAUGCCAAAUGAUACAUGAAUAUUAAAGCUUACUUUCAAGUUAUUCAAGUCAGAUAUGAAACAAACAUACUAGUAAACUAUAAUAGGUAUAGUUUAGAGAGCAUAUACAUAUACAAGUACAGAGAAGAGAACAUAUACAUAUACAUAUACAAGUACAGGGAAGAGAACAUAUACAUAUACAUAGACAUGUACAGAGAAGAGAACAUAUACAUAUUCAUAUACAAGUACAGAGAAGAGAACAUAUACAUAUUCAUAUACAAGUACAGAGAAGAGAACAUAUACAUAUACAUAUACAAGAACAUAAGAGGACAAACUUACAAUAACAUAUACAUAAUAACUAGCAUGUGAGAAACUAAUUCAUGAUAUAGCAAUUCAAUUGUUGUAUCAUGUUUUGUAACCAGAGUCUCCUGGAGGGAGAGCGGGUAUUGUGUGUAAAGAUCUUUACGGGACAGACACUCCAACACCUCGACUGUUAGCUACAGUCACUGCCAACAAGGCCAAGGGGUGACAAAUGUCACAUCGUUUCGUCGCCAGAAGGUCGUCGUGUUUACAACAGUCAAUCAACAUUGUUACAACCAUAUCUUAUUUCACCUUAAUUUAACUAAUUGGGUUAUAAGGAAAUUAGUGCUUCAGCAGUUAUUUUAAACAACUAUGCAGCACACUUCAUUCUUCCAAUACAUUCAGGUCGUGAUAUACUCACAUAGGAAUGCAUACUAUUUUUCGUUUAAGAAAAGUUUUACAAACAUGGAAAACCACAUUUAUACUAUUAUAUGUACAAACACACAUUUUACUUCAUUAUUGAAGAGAAACAAACAUAACAAACCAGUUGAGUCUUGGUAGGAGACUACUUUCCAUUUUAGUAGAAAAUAUAAGAUUUUCUAGGUUGUAAACAAACAUUUACAUCAAAACAUUUCAAUCGUUUUCAAUAAAGAUAAGCAACCUUCAUUAAAUACUUAUGAACUCACCAACAUUAUAUGUUGAUCCUCUCUUUCAAAAUAACUUGUAUUCUCAGAAAUCCGGUAGACAGGUACACUCCCGGAGCUUUUGCGAAGACAGCCUAGUACCGAUAUGCAUUCUUUGUUUUAUUAGUAUAUCUACUUUUGAUGUUGAGCACUUGAUGUUUGAACUAUGUAAAAACUUAUACAUUAUUAAUGCAAUGGUUGUUGUACUUUGCUUACUAUACUACAUGUGUUGUGAUACUUGACAUGAUGUCCUACACCCCCGAAUGUUUCCGCCAAUUCGGUUUGGGGGUGUGACAGUUACCAAGCACAACCCAACCAUUGAGCCGAAACCACCUUCUAUCCUACUAGUAAUCACUAAUCCAUCACCUUUUAGGCUUUCAUAAUGCAUGCAUGGAUCAUCCCCUCCCAUUUUCAAAGGAUAUGACCUCAAUUAAUCAAGGCCAUCCUCAACAGGAUACGAUGAAAGGUUUCCCACAUUAAAGGUAGCAUGCACUCCAUGGUCUCCUCCCAAAUCAACCUUCUAAGCAUUAAUUGACAUGUGACACCACUUUGUAAGGACCUUAAGCUCUUGGCAUCAACUUUUGUUGGUCCUUUUGUUAGGAAAAUGUUAUUUCCUCAUAUACACCUAAACGAAGUCACCAUCUUGAAAGACACAUGGUUUCCUAUGCAUGUUGGAAUUAUGUUUGUACACCUCAUUCACGGCUUCAAUCUUCACAUGAACUUGUUGGUGUAGUUUCGUCAUGGCCUUCAACUUGUCAUUAGCAUCCUAGUGAACCAGUUCAUCCUUUGGCAAUGGAAUCAAAUCCAAAGUCAUGUUAGGAUUCACACCAUACACCACUUCAAAAGGAGAGUGACCUGUAGCAUAAGUAGGAGAACGAUUAUAGGCAAACUAACCAUGAGCAAAUUUGAUGUCCAAAUGUUUUUGAGUUUUGCUAACGAACCCCUCAACAACGUACCCAAAGUUCUAUUAGUGACCUUUGUUUGCUCAUCAGUUUGUGGAUGAUGGGAUGUACUAAAAAGUAACUGAGUACCAACUUUCCUCCACAAAGUGUUCCAAAAGUAACUCAAAAACAUGGAAUCCCUAUUACAAACAAUAGUUUGAAGGAAUAAUAUGCAAGCAAACCACCUCUUUAAAGUACAAAUCAGACACAUAAGACGCAUCAUUGGUUUUACGACAUGGCACAGAGUGAGCAAUUUUUGAAAACCUAUCCACCACCACUUAAUGGAAUCCUCCCCCCUUUAAGUUCUAGGCAAAGCGAUAAUGAAUUCCAUUGACACAUCUUCCUAUGGACGAAUAGGAGCCGACAAAGGAGUGUAAACACCAUGAAUGAAAGUUUUUUUCAUCUUCUGACUUGUAAUACAUUUGCCCACUAUGUUGGUUACAUCCCCAAAAUCUUAGGCCAAAAGAAGUGUUUCUAAAGCACUUCCAAAGUUUUGGUAAUGGAAAAAUCUAACAACCCGAUAUUUCAGGCCAUUGUAAUGACUGAAAGUCAAAUAUUAUAAUCUCUUUUCGAAGUAAUAAAGAUAGCAUCAAAAAUGAAAUGUUCUAAAAUCUCAAUUUGAAUGUACUAAGUGGUAGACAUCGUAACAAGGUUUCCAAAAAUAUAAGGAACACUAAAAUCCGAGUUAUAACGAACAAGUUAUGACCAAUCGAAGAUCCGCAACAAAACCACUAAAAUACUGUUAAGCACAAAACGAUAAAUUUUAAAUAAAAUACUUUUUAGCUUUAGGUAUCCAAAUGAAAGUCAUAGAUAUCAUUAAACCGCAAACUUACAUAAAAUGAACGUCCAAAUCUGACUUCGUAUGAGGAAGUUGUGAUCUUUCUAAGUUUCACAUAUAGCAGUAGACAGCUAAAAACUCGAAAUGGAGAUCGAGCAAUUUUUAUCCAACUUAACCUAAACGAGAAUCGAAGAUCUCGACAAUGGUGAUACAACGGUAAAAAUACAGACGGAAACGGACAUCGUAUGAAGAAGUUAUGGAUUUUAAACGGACUUUUCCAGUCCCAUCAUGUUAAAGGUAAAAUAAUAAAAAUAAAUUCAAAAGUAGCCGACGAAGUCUAAAUGAGAGUUGUAGGGUAUUUUCUCACCUACACGUGGAUAUAAAGAACAUUGAAACCGGAGCUCGUAUGCAAAAGUUACGGAUUUUACAAGAUCGGGGCACAAGAUCCGAGAGUGGUCCAAGAAGGAACGCAGGAAGGAACGCCCUGAGUUCUUCGACCAGAGCCAUCCCAUCAUCCAUAAGGUCCGAUAUACAUAAGCAAUGACCUCACAGGGGAACACCCUGCGUUCGUCGUGCCUCCCAGCACUAUAAAAGGGAGGCUAGGGUACCGGGUUUGGUUGCUUUCCUCUCAUCUCUUUCACCGUAAAACACCUCUCGAGUCCCUCUAAGCUACCUAUAAGCCCUGGUAUCACCGCUAGCACACGACACAAGUCCCGACGCCCCCAAGAUCUCCGAGAAAUCGACUUUCUCCAAUCGAAGUAAGGCUCGAGUUUAGUCUCUCCUUCUUAAACCACCACUUCUACCAAGUGAGUUCAUACCCCUAUCACUAUCCUUUCACAUACUUUUUAAACGCUUUUAAGGGGGUGGGGGGAUACAAGUAAACACAUUUUUUGAACUCGUAUGGAAAUAUCAAUCUUUUGCUAUACUUUACAUGUAGUUAUUAUAACUAUCAAAUGCAGUUGUUAACAUGCAAAAUACUUCACAACACAACUAUACCCUCUUGGGAUACAAUAUGCUUUAUUUAUAAGUAUACAUAACAUAUCAUGACAAGGGUAACCUUUUUCAACUAUAACAUUACGUGUAUUUAAGAAAACACAACUCUUUAUUGUGCCUUUGUUAACACUGUAGAAAGGGUAAUCAUUUUGGAUAUAAACAUACACACUUUUGAAUACGUGACUUAAUUGUUAUCUUGAAUUGUAAAAAGAUUUUUCAUCAUUUUACUCGUGAACUUGUUGUUAGCAAUCAUGUGAGGCAAAUGGCUUCCUUUAGUAUCAAAUGAAAGUCCACUUCUAUAACCAGAGUCUCCUAGAGGGAGAGCAUGUAUUUGUGUAUAGAUCUAUACGGAGUUGAUGACUCCGCACCCUGAUGGUUAGCUACAGUACCCGGGGUGACAAAUUUCAACAUUGGUACUACCGUCUAGUAUGGUUAUGAGAGACUCGCACGCGGAAAACAAAGAUUCAUGUACGUAGUAAUACGCUUCUCGAACAAAGCCAUGGAAUAGUAUCUUUAUGAUUGUUUUUAUAUAAGUUGUUUGUAUUAAGUAAUCAUAGUAGGAUAUUAUUGUCACAUUCAGGAUCUGAUUUAAACACAUCUUCAGUGGAUUUUAUUAUUUUAAUAAUAAACCUAUACAUCUUCAUUUUAAGCAUGGCAUAUUUGCUUACAAGUUACAGUCUUGGACAUUUAAGACUGGUUUUCACUUUCAGGAAAAUAUAGUAUUUUCCCGAUACAAUGCAUUUUGCUCUUUACAACAAUGAUUCAUAACAUGUUUUAUAAAGAAAAUGUCAGAUUUUCUGGAAAACAUACACGAACUUUCAAAUGGCAUAUAUUUACUCAAAUCUCUACUUAUGAACUCACCAACUUAAUUGUUGACACUUUUUUUGAAAUAACUUGUAUUCUCAGAGAAUCGCUAAACCAAGUUAGCAAGUACUUUUAGGGAUUAACGCUCGGGCGUUAGUAACAUAUUUUGGAACACCAUAUUGUAUUUGACUUUCAAACAUCUAACACAUACAAUCAUGUAAACUUUUCAUAUAUAUAUAUACAUAUAUAUAUAUAUAUAUAUNUGGUACUGCACAUGAAGUCCUCUGCCCUUGAAUGUUUCUGCCGUUCAGGUUUGGGGGUGUGACAGAUUGGUAUCAGAGCAUUGUUUAUAAUGAACUAAGUAUUUCAAAACGAUUUUUGAUAUACAACUAUAAACACAACUGGGCAAAAACACUCUGACUAAGAGUUAUACUUUUUAAAAUGAAUCUUUUACAAAAGUAAGCAUGCAUACAUUACAUAUCAGGAUCUAUAUCAUAAUGAAAGCAAUAUAGAAGUAUUAUAGAUGAGUUGUGCACUACAGGUAUGCCUUGGAACAUGUAAUUGGGACUGACUGUGAUGAAUAUAGCCUGAUCAACUAUAUUUGUCCGAGAGCCGACUAACAUAUGUCAGGGAAUAGCUGCGGUGGACAACAAGUCUAAAACUUACCAAACACAUAAAUUUUAGAAUCAAACAUAACAUUUAAAAUACUAUAGAAGUAUUUUGUCAAUACAAUAGUUUAACCCUGAUACUUAAUUUACAUGCUUUAGCUUUUAGACAACUCUUAUAUCCCUAUUCUCAUACAGAAACAAACGACCGGAUUUCACUUUCCAGGAGACCCCUACUACCCGAACCAAGGUAACGGAGGAUGGAUUGAGGAUGAUCCAGAAGAAGAUCCAGAGGAAAUGGUGGACGAAGAAGAAGAUGAGGAGGAGGAACCAAUCGAGGAAGAGGAAGAGUCCGAGGGAACAAAUACAAAACUAGUGGUGUACAACCCACUAGCCGUCCGACCUGCUGCUGUCAGGAGAGGUUAUCAAGGACCAACUCCCAUUUAGGGAAACCCCAUUCACCACUAGAGCCAACUACAGGGAGUACGCCCUCCAUACGGAAUGUGCUGAGACUUUUACAACGUUAGCAAUGGAGGUUCAGCUGACAGGGCACUCCCUAUUAUUGUGGACAAGAUAGCUAACCAAAAGCUACCAGUCAAGGGUCUCAGCGAUCCGGAUUCGAGAAGUCAAUGCAACGGCACAGAGUAACACUGUCGAUAUUCGUCGUCUGGACGGACUGCAUGACAACACCCAAAACCACACCAGGGCACUCCAGAGCCAAAUGAACGCAACCCCUGCUGAAAUAAGGGACAUGAGGGAGCAACAAGACAUCCUUGAAAGGCAACUAAUCGGAGCCAAACACUCAGAUGCGGAGUCUAGUACUAAGCACAAUACGUGCCGCACAUAGUACUUGCACGACUCCUAAAUUUUGUUAUAGAAUAGGAUCUCGGCUAAAUGUCUUACUUUCUUUAACUUCUGUAUUGGAGACCUUUAGAAAGGUCAAAUUUUCCUAACUCCAUGAUGUAACCCGAUAUAUACAUAUAAUGAAGUAUUUACUUUGCGUGUUAAUUCUUUGGACACCACUCAAAUUCAUAAGCUUAUAUAUUAUUAUAUAAACUAUUAUUAUGGAUCAAACUCAAAUCACUGUUUUGGUUGAAUCUAAUACAUGAAAUGUUCCAAAUAGCUAACUCAUUAACACUCAAUUUUCAAUCAUCAAAGACUUAUUGUCUUUUAUUAUUAUUUCUUUGGCAGCACAAUGCCUCCUCGCAGAUCUGCUCGCCACAUAAACAACGCAGCACCGCCACCACCGCCACCACCUCCACAAUAUGAUUUAGUCAUGGUGCAGGCUGCUAUCACCGCAUCAGUAGUGGCUGCACUAUCACAGAUAAACUCUAACGGCGCUGGCAAGACCGGAAGUAGUACGAACCACCUAAAACAAGGCACUGGUCAGGGUCACAUCAGGGAAUGCACCUACAAAGAAUUCUCAAACGCAAAGCCAAAAAGUUUAGCAGGUUUGGAGGAUUCAUUGCACUUAUGCAAUGGUCCAAAAAGACCGAGACGGUCUUCGAGAUAUGUUCAUGCCAGGAAGCAAGUAAAGUCAAGUUCGCUGCUUUCAAUUUUGCUGAUCGGGCCCUCACCUGGUGGAAGGGCCAUGUUAAGUCCUUAUCUCUCCCAGUAGUUGCCAACGCCAUGAUCUGGGAGUACUUAAAAGCUCUAAUGCUCGAAUACUGCCCGAUGGGCGAAAUCCAAAAGCUAGAGCAGGAAUUUUGGAACCUGAGAAUGACUGGGUCUGAUCUAGCUGCUUACACGGCUAAAUUCAAUGAUUUGUCAGACUUAUGCCCAUGCAUGGUUAACCCGGAGUCGAAGAAAGUGGAGAGAUACAUAUGGGGAUUGGCACCCCAGAUCUAAGGACAUGUCUUGGCUUCCAAUCCAAUCACGUUUGACAGUGCGAAGCGCUUGGCUCAACGGUUGAUCGAUCAUGGUGUCAAACAGGGUACCAUUGCAGCUGUUUAUGAACCGCCAAAGGAGGUAGAGGACCAAAGGAGAUCAUAGAACAAGAGAGGGGGGCAAACCAUACAAGAAAACCCCAAAAGACAAUAGUUAGUAACAACCCAUGCCGUUACUGUCCCUACCAUCCCAAAAACAACAAAGUCGUACAAUGGCAACCAACCUAAGUGCAAUGGAUGCAACUUCCAUCACCACGGACCCUGCCGUGAAAUGCAAUGCACUAAGUGCAACAGGAGGGGACACAUUGUCCGUUUCUGCAAAGAACCGACCCAACCGGCCGCUCCAACCAUGAAUGUCGGAGUAGGCCGUACCUGUUACGAGUGUGGGGCUGCGGGGGCAACAGGGCACUUCCAAAGGGACCGCUCGAAGGUGAACAACAGGAACGCUGGUGGAAGAGGCAGAGUAUUCACAAUGGGCUAGGAGGAAGCCGUUGCAGAUCCCACUGUUGUUACGGGUACGUUUCUCCUCAAUAACUCGUAUGCAUGAAUUAUUUUUGAUAGUGGACUGGAAAGGAGUUUCAUGAGCCAUAGUUUUAAAAACCUACUUAAACAGGCACCCCAACCAUUAAGCGAAACAUUUAUAGUAGAAAUGGCUAAAGGAAAGACAAAAGGCGCUAAAGAAAUAUACAUAAACUGUGCCCUAGCACUAAACAACAAUUCUUUCCCAAUCAACCUCAUGCCAGUCUCAAUAAAAAGUUGCAACGUUAUCAUAGGCAUGGAUUGGCUAAGUUCUCAUCGUACGGAAAUUUUAUGUUACGAAAAGGUUAUUCGCCUUAAUCUGCCAGAUGGCGAAACCCUUGUCAUUUAUGGCGAUAAACCUAGUACCAUUCUCCGUAUUAUCUCCUGCGUCAAAGCUCGAAAGUAUAUGUGCAAGGAAUUUCAUGCGUUCUUGGCACACGUUUUAGAUGUGAAAAGGGGAGUUGAAGACAUCAAGAGCAUGCCUGAUGUCUGUGAUUUCUCGAUGUCUUUCCCGAAGAUCUUCUAGGAGUACCAACCUACAAGACAAGUUGAAUUCAGAAUCGACUUGAUUCCUGAAGCUACCCCUGUAGCCAAGGCACCGUAUCGUUUAGCCCUGGCUGAGAUGCAGGAAUUGUCCAGCCAGCUAAAAUUCGACAAUUUCUAGGCCUUGCUGGCUAUUACCGCAGGUUCAUACAAAACUUCUCCAGCAUGGCAAAACCCCUUACCACUCUGAAUCAGAAGGUUGUAACUUUCAACUGGGGAGAAAAGUAAGAUGCUGUAUUUCAAACGCUGAAGCAGGCCCUAUGCACCGCACCCAUUUUGUCUCUUCUAGAGGGGACAAAGGACUUUGUUGUAUACUACGAUGCAUCCAAGCUAGGACUGGGUUGUGUGCUAAUGCAACGAGGAAAGGUUAUUGCAUACGCCUCGCGACAGCUGAAAACACAUGAGGUCAACUACACCAUGACUUAGAGCUUGUUUGCUUUGAAAAUUUGGAGGCACUACCUAUAUGGUACAAAGUCCACCAUCUUCACAGACCACAAGAGCCUUCAACACAUAUUUGGUCAGAAUGAGCUAAAUAUGAGACAACAACGUUGGGUUGAGCUACUUAAUGACUACGAAUGUGAGAUUCGUUAUCAUCCUGGAAAUGCCAAUGUAGUGGCGGAUGCUCUUAGUCGAAAGGAGUACUAUGGUCGAAGAGUGAAGGCGUUAACCAUGACAAUCCAUUCACACAUGUCAACACAAAUCAAGGAAGCCCAACUAGAAACCUUGAAAUCCGAAAACAUGACGGGUGAAGCACUUAGAGGGAUGGACCAGAAUUUUGAAAUCAAGAGUGACGGAGUUCGUUACCUCAUGAACCGAAUCUAGACACCAAAGUUUGGUGGGUUCAGAGUGAUGGUUAUGAAUGAGGCACACACACCGUAUAGAUUUCCCUAUUUGGUACACAUAACUUUUCCUAUCUCUCUUUUUAGCAUUCCUUCUCUAUAGCCUGUGUCUAUUUUCUGUCAAUUCCUAUUCUCUAUCUGGUCUAAUCGGCUAAGUCUUCUAUCUCUUUCAAUGUAGUCGAUGUCGGUUUAGGAAAGCCAGUAAGGUCACGUGUAUUGAAGUUCUACCAAUUCACUUACUAAGGAGCGUAACUAGCAAAAUCUAUGGAGCUAUAGUGUUGUUUCAGUUUCAGCCUUAGAUUCUUUCUUUUUAGCAUUCCUUAUUAAUCCUUUUUUUGGGAGAUGUUGAGACGUUCAUGCUAGUAACAAAGUACCUUCCUAUACUCCGUACACCUAGGUUCAGAUAAGAUGUAUCUAGAUCUCAAACAACUCUAUUGGUGGCCAAACAUGAAAGCAAAGAUUGUUACCUACGUGGGCAAGUGCCUGACUUGUGCCAAAAUCAAAGUAGAACAUCAGAAGCCCUCAGGUCUACUCCACCAGCCCGAAAUACUCGAGUGGAAGUGGGAGCAGAUUACCAUGGAUUUCAUAACCAAACCACCCAAGACGCAGGGUGGUCACGAUACCAUUUGCGUGAUCGUCGACAGGUUAAAAAAGUCUGCCAACUUCUUGCCGACCAGAGAGACCGAUAAGAUGGAGAAAUUAACAAGAACUUACCUCCGGGAAAUCGUGCGACUUCAUGGAGUGCCGAUGUCUAUUAUCUCGGAUAAAGACAACAGAUUUACUUCAAGGUUUUGGCAAUCGCUGUAGAAAGCAUUGGGAACUAGGCUAGAUAUGAGUACAACCUAUCACCCACAAACUGACGGACAGAGUGAGAGAAUGAUUCAAACCCUAGAAGACAUGUUGCGAGCAUGUCUAAUCAACUUUGGUAAAGCGUGGGGCACCCACUUACAAUUAGUUGAGUUCUCUUAUAACAAUAGUUAUCACACUAGCAUCAAGACUACUCCAUUUGAAACCCUUUUACGGCCGCAUGUGCAGAUCACCUAUGUGCUAGGCGGAAGUGGGUGGCACGCAGUUGGCAAGAGGUCUGGUCCCUGAUAGCACUCUCACUGGUCUGGAAAUCAUUAGGCAGACGACUGAGAAGAUCAUUCAAAUUUGGGAACGACUGAAAGCCUCAAGAGAUAGACAAAAGAGUUAUGCCAACAAAAGACAAAAACCCUUGCAAUGCCAUGUUGGUGAUCGAGUUCUGCUAAAGGUCUCACCCUGGAAGGGCGUGAUACGCUUUAGGAAGUGUGGAAAACUAAACCCAAGGUACAUUGGACCCUUCGAAAUUAGUGCAAGGAUUGGUCCAGUAGCUUAUAUACUUGCUACCAAUCAAACUUAACAACGUACAUCCCGUGUUUCACGUGUUCAACCUGAAAGGUGUCUAUCUGACGAAAAUAUGGUAAUUCCACUCAAGAAAAUCGAAUUGAAUGAAAAUCUUAACUUUAUGCAAGGACCCGUCGAGAUCAUGGAUAGGGAAAUCAAAAAAACAAAGCAAAGUCGCAUACCUAUAGUGAAGGUUAGCUGGAAUGCUAAACAGGACCUGAAUUCACUUAGGAGCGAGAAGACCAGAUGCAACAAAAGUACCCGCAUCUUUUCCCUAGUCCAUAAACACUUACUUUGUAAUUAAUUUCGGGACAAAAUUCCCUCUAACGCGGGAUGAUGUAACAACCCAAUAUUUCAGGUCAAUGUAAUGACUGAAAGUCAAAUAAUGUAAUCUCUUUUCGAAGUAAUAAAAAUAGCGUCAAAAAUGAAAUGUUCAAAAAUCUCAAUUUGAAUGUACUAAGUGGUAGACAUGGUAACAAGGUUUCCAAAAAUAUAAAGAACACUAAAAUCCGAGUUNAGAUGUUAUGCCAAUCGAAGAUCCACGACAAAAUCGGUAAAACACUGUUAUGCAUAAAACGCGAAAUUUCAAAUAAAAUACUUUUUAGCCUUAGGUAUCUAAAUGAAAGUCGUAGAUAUCAUUAAAUCGUAAGCAUACAUUAAAAGAACGUCUAAAUCUGACUUCGUAUAAGGAAGUUAUGAUCAUUCUAAGUUUCACAUAUAACAGUAGACAACUAAAAACUCAAAAUGGAGAUCGAGCGAUUGUUAGCCAACAUAACCUAAACGAGAAUCAAAGAUCUCGAAAAUGGUGAUACAACAAUAAAAAGACAGACGGAAACGGACAUCGGAUGAAGAAGUUAUGGAUUUUAAACGGACUUUUCCAGUCCCAGCCUGUUAAAGAUAAAAUAAUAAAAAUAAAUUCAAAAUUAGCAGAUGAAGUCUAAACAAGAGGUGUAGAGUAUUUUCUCACCUACGCGUGGAUAUAAAGAACGUUGAAAUCGGAGCUCGUAUGCGAAAGUUAUAGAUUUUACAAGAUCGGGGCUCAAGAUUCGAGGUUGGUCCAAGAGGGAAUGCCCCGCGUUCCCUAAAGGAACGUGGUGCGUUCUUCGACCAGAGCCAUCCCAUCGUCCAUCAGGUCUGAGGUACGUAAGCAAUGACCUCAUAGGGGAACGCCCUGCAUUCCCUAAAGGAAAACCCUGCGUUCGUAGUGCUUCCCAACACUAUAAAUGGGAGGCUACAGUACCGGGUUUGGUUGCUUUCCUCUUAUCUCUUUAUCCAAUCGAAGUACUGCCUGAGUUUAGUCUCGCCUUCUUCAAACCACCACUUCUACCAAGUGAGUUCAUACCCCUAUCACUAUCCUUUCACAUACUUUUUAAACGCUUUUAAGGGGAGGAAUACAAGUAAACACAUUGUUUGAACUCGUAUGGAAAUAUCAAUCUUUUGCUAUACUUUACAUGCAGUUAUUAUAACUAUCAAAUGCAGUUGUUAACAUUCAAAAUACUUCACAACACAACUAUACCCUUUUGGGAUACAAUAUGCUUUAUUUAUAAGUAUGCAUAACAUAUCAUGACAAGGGUAACCUUUUUCAACUAUAACAUUAUGUGUAUUUAAGAGAACACAACUCUUUAUUAUGCCUUUGUUAACAAUGUAGAAAGGGUAAUCGUUUUGGAUAUAAACAUACACACUUUUGAAUAUGUGACUUAAUUGUUAUCUUGAAUUGUCAAAAGAUUUUUCAUCAUAUUACUCGUGAACUUGUUGUUAGCAAUCAUGUGAGGCAAAUGGCUUUUUUUAGUAUCAAACGAAAGUCCACUUCUAUAACCAGAGUCUCCUGGAGGAAGAGCAUGUAUUUAUGUACAGCUCUAUGCAGAGUUGACGACUCCUCACCCUAAUUGUUAGCUACAGUCCCCGGGGUGACAAAUGUCAACGUUGGUACUACCAUGUAGUUUGGUUAUGAGAGACUCGCACACGGAAACAAUGACUCAUGUACGUAGUAAUACGCUUCUCGAACAAAGCCAUGGGAAUAGUAUCUUUAUGAUUGUGUUUAUAUAAGUUGUUUGUAUUAAGUAAUCAUAGUAGUAUAUUAUUGUCACGUUCAGGAUCUGAUUUAAACACAUCUUUAGUGGAUUUUAUUAUUUUAAUAAUAAAACUAUACAUCUUCAUUUUAAGCAUUGCAUAUUUGCUUACAAGUUACAGUCUUGGACAUUUAAGAUUGCUUUUCAAUUUUCGGAAAAUAUUGGAUUUUCCUGGUAUAAUGCAUUUCACUCUUUACAACAAUGAUUCAUAACACAUUUUAUAAAGAAAAUAUCAGAUUUCCUAGAAAACAUACACGAACUUUCGAAUGGAAUAUAUUUACUCAAAUCUCUACUUAUGAACUCACCAACUUAAUUGUUGAUACUUUUUCUUUAAAAUAACUUGUAUUCCUAGGGAAUAGCUAAACCAGGUUAGCAUCUACUUUUGGGGAUUAACGCUCGGGCAUUAGUAACAUUUUUUGGGAAACCAUAUUGUAUUUGGCUUUCAAACAUGUAACACAUACAAUCAUGUAAACGUUUAAAAUAUAUAUUAUGGUGGUGUUUACUUUCUUUACUAUUCAAUUGUUAUGGUACUGCACAUUACGUCCUUCGCUCCCAAACGUUUUUGUCGUUCAGGUUUCAGGGUGUGACAAAAAAUGACCCGCCAAACGACCACCAUGAGCUUCACGAAUCAGCAGCUCUCGUAUUGCAUGUUUAGGGACACAAAGGUAUGGGAAGAAAUGGAUAGAUUAGUAACAAAUCAAGACCUACUAAGUUUUAUACCAGUGAAAACAAUCCAAGACAUAUCUGAUUGAAUGUGUAUCAAGUCAAGAACACGUCCCGACUUUGACAAGUAGUGAACUAUAAUUAUAAUUCGAAGUGAACAAAGGUUCUUUUUAUUAAAAUUUCAUCUAUAUGUUUUUUCCAUGCAUAAACUUCGCCUAUAUGAAGCCUUUAUUACAAAGUUGGUGGUUACAAGCCACCCAACCAACUACUCAGUAAAAUUAAUAAUGAAUACUAAAGAAACUCAUGAAACCACACAAAAAAAACGUCUGACACACAAAUGAAUGAAAAAAAAACGUCCAUGCUCCAUUAAGGAGCCAUAAGAAGAAUUAAAGUGUAACCCUAAUCCGCCAAAGAGUAUCAAAAAUGGCUAGAAGGCUUUGUGAAGCACAAAGUAACGGUUUUGAGAACUUAUGAAGCCUUUAAACUAUUGCCCUAGCCUUCAUGCGACCCUAAUUCAAUUUGUAAGUUACCAUGCACAACCCAACCAUUGAGCCCAAACCACCUUCUAGCUUACUAGUAAUCACUAAUCCAUCACUUUUUGGGCUUUCAUGAUCCAUGCAUGGAUCAUCAUCUCCCCCUAUGAAAGGAAAUGACCUCAAUUCAUCAAGGCCAUCGUCAACAAGAUACGGUGAAAGGUCUCCCACAUUAAAAGAAGCAUGCACUCCAUGGUCUCCUCCCAAAUCCACCUUAUAAGCAUUAUCAUUGACAUGUAACACCACUUUUUAACGACCUUCAGGUCUUGGCAUCAACUUUUGUUCGUCCUUUUGUUAGGAACACAUUAUUUCCUCGUAUGCACCUAAACCAAGUCACCAUCUUGAAAGACACGUGGUUUCCUAUGCAUGUUGGAAUUUUGUAUGUACACCUCAUUCACGGCUUCAAUCUUCACACGAACUUGUUGGUGAAGUUUCAUCAUGGCCUUCAACUUGUCAUUAGCAUCCUUGUAAACCAAUUCAUCAUUUGGCGAUGGAGUUAAAUCCAAAGGCAUGUAAGGAUUCACACGAUACACCACUUAUAAUGGAGAGUGACCUGUUGCAUAAAUAGGAGAACGAUUACAGGCAAACUCAGCAUGUGCAAGUUUGUUGUCCAAAUGUUUUUGUGUUUUUCUAACCAACCCCCUUAAUAACGUACCCAAGGUUCUAUUAGUCACCUUCGUUUGCCCAUCAGUUUGUGGAUGAUGGGAUGUACUGAAAAGUAACUUAGUACCAACUUUCCUCCACAAAGUGUUCCAAAAGUAACUCAAAAACUUAGAAUCCCUAUCAGAAACAAUAUGCAAGCGAACAACCUUUUUAAAGUACAAAUCAGACAUAUUAGAUGCAUCAUUGGUUUUAUGACAUGGCACAGAGUGACCAAUUUUUGAAGACCUAUCCACCACCACUAUAAUGGAAUCCUUCCCCUUUUGAGUUCUAGGCAAAGCCAUAAGGAAUUCCUUUGACAUAACUUUCCAAGGACGAAUAGGAAUCGGUAAAGGAGUGUAAACAUCAUGCUUGAAAGUUUUUACGUCAUCUGAGAUGUUUGUUACAUACACAACAUAUUAGGCCAAAAGAAGUGUUCUUAAAGCACCUCCAAAGUUUUGGUAAUGGAAAAGUGACCCGCCAAACGACCACCAUCAGCUUCACGAAUCAGCAGCUCCCGUAUUGCAUGUUUAGGGACACAAAGGUGAUUGGCUUUUUAUGCCUUUAUGGGAUUGAUUAAGCAAGUAGGGUUGUGUUUAGGUAAUUUAAGCUAGAAUAACAACCACAAAUGAUACGUGUAUGGGAAGAAAUGGAUAGAUUAAUAACAAAUCAAGACCUACUAAGUUUUAUACCGGUGAACACAAUCCAAGACAUAUUAGAUUGAAUGCGUAUCAAUCAAGAACACGUCCCGACUAUGACAAACAGUGAGCUAUAACUAUAACUCAAAGUGAAACAAGGUUCUUUUGAUUAAAAUUGCAUCUAUCUGUUUUUUCCAUGCAUAAACUUCGCUUAUAUGAAGCCUUUAUUACAAAGUUGGUGGUUACAUGCCUCCCAACCAACUACUCAAUAAAAUUAAUAAUGAAAAUUAAAGAAACUCAUGAAACCACACGAAAAACGUCUGACACACUAAUGAAUGAAAAAAACGUCCAUGCUCCAUAAGAAGCAAUAAAGUGUAACCCUAAUCCACCAAAGAGUAUCAGAAAUGGCUAAGAGGCUUUGUGAAGCACAAAGUAACGGUUUUGUGCACUUAUGAAGCCAUAAAAGUAUUGCCCUAGCCUUCAUGCGACCCUAAUUCAAUUCGUAGGUUACCAUGCACAACCCAACCGUUGAGCCCAAACCACCUUCUCGGCUACUAGUAGUCACUAAUCCAUCACCUUUUGGGGUUUCAUGAUCCAUGCAUGGAUCGUCCCCUCCCUCUUUGAAAGGAAAUAACCUCAAUUCAUCAAGGCCAUCCUCAACAAGAUACGGUGAAAGUUCUCCAACAUUAAAGGUAGCAUACACUGGUUUCCUCCCAAAUCCACCUUAUAAGCAUUAUCAUUGACAUGUGACACCACUUUUUAAAGACCUUCUGCUCUUGGCCUCAACUUUUGUUCUUCAUUUUGUUCGUAAAACGUUAUUUCCUCAUAUGCACCUAAAUCUAGUCACCAUCUUGAAAGACAUGUGGUUUCCUUUACAUGUCGGAAUUUUUUUGUACACCUCAUUCAAGGCUUCAUUCUUCACACGAACUUGUUGGUGAAGUUUCAUCAUGGCCUUCAACUUGUCCUUAGCAUCCUUGUGAGCCAAUUCAUCCUUUGGCAAUGGAGUCAAAUCCAAAGGCAUGAAAGGAUUCACACCAUACACCACUUAUAAAGGAGAGUGACCUAUAGCAUAAGUAGGAGAACGAUUACAGGCAAACUGAGCAUGUGCAAGUUUGAUGUCCAAAUGUUUUUGAGUUUUGCUAACCAACCCCUUAAAAAAUGUACCCAAAGUUUCAUUAGUUACCUUCGUUUGCCCAUCAAUUUGUGGACGAUGGGAUGUACUGAAAAGUAACUUAGUACCAACUUUCCUCUACAAAGUGUUCCAAAAGUAACUUAAAACCAUGGAAUAUGUAUCAUAAACAAUAGGUUUAGGAUUAAUAUGCAAGCAAACCACCUUUUUAUAGUACAAAUCAGACACAUUAGAUGCAUCAUUGGUUUUAUGACAUGGCACAAAGUGAGCCAUCUUUUAAAACUUAUCCACCACCACUAUUGAUCCAUGCAUGGAUCAUGAAAGCCCAAAAUGUGAUGGAUUAAAGAUUACUAGUGGGCUAGAAGGUGGUUUGGGCUCAAUGGUUGGGUUGUGCAUGGUAACCCACAAAUUGAAUUAGGAUUGCAUGAAGACUAGGGCAACAUUUUUAAGGCUUCAUAAGUGCUAAAAACGUUACUAUUUGCUUCAUAAAGCCUCCUAGCCGUUUUUGACACUCUUUGGUGGAUUAGGGUUACACUUUAAUGCUUAUGAUGACUCCUUAAUGCUUCUUAUGGCUCCUUAAUGAAGCAUAGCCGUUUUUUUUCAUUCACAAGUCUCAUGGACGUUUUUUUUGUGUUCUUCCAAGAGUUACCUUAAUUUCUAUUUACUAGUUUUAAUGAAUAAUUGGUUGGUUGGCUUGUAACCACCAAAUUUGUAAUAAAGGCUUCAUAUAAAGCCAAAUUAUGCAUGGAAAAAGUGUUACACGAAUUUUAAUCAAAGAACCAUUAUUUUCACUUAAAUUGUUGUUAUAAUUCUCAAAUUAUCUUGUUGGGACGUGUUCUUGACUUGAUACGAACUCAAUCAAUUGGUCUUGGAUUGUUUUCAUCGGUAUACAACUUAAUAGGUCUUGAGUUGUUACUAAUCUAUCUAUUUCUUUUCAUUCACAUAUCAUUUGUGGUUGCUAUUCUCUCUUAAUUUACCUAAACACUACCCCACUCACUAAAUCAAGCCUAUACAUGCAUCAUAAGUGGUAUCAAAGCGCAGAAUGGAUUUUGAUGAUCCGGAGUUCCUACAAAAUCUUCGUGAAGCUUUAAGAAACAUCCAAGAAGGUGGAAAUCAAAGGCAACCCCGCCGUGGUGAACAUAGGGUUGUGGAAGAAUUCAAGGUGUCUGAAUUGCCUGAAUUUGUUGGUGGAACUGAUCCUGAACGCUACUUGGAGUGGGAAAGGAAGAUUGAAAGAAUGUUCGAGUUCAAAGAAGUGGAUGACGAAAAAAGCUGCAAGUAUGCCAUUCUCAAGCUAAGUGGUGGUGCUUCAUUGUGGUUUGAAGGGCUUAAGGCCAAGAGAACCCGUGAAGGCAAAGAAAAAAUUUGUUCUUGGCUUUCUCUAAAACGAAAGCUAAGAAAGAGAUAUGUUCCUUCUACUCAUAGAAUUGCCACUUACAAGAAGAUUGCUGAUUUGAGGCAAGGAAAAAUGAGUGUUGGAGAAUACAUUGAUGAAUUUGAGAAGUUGUCCUUGAUGGGGGAUAUUGAAGAAAUUGAAGAACAAAAAAUGACUCGUUUUCUAAAAGGGUUGAACUACAACAUUGCCAAUGUUGUGGAGUUAUAUCCUUAUGCUGAUUUUGGAACUCUUUGUGGUUUGUGUUUGAAGUUGGAGGGGCAGGCCAAAGCACGUUAUGGUGGGAGUUCAAGUUCAAGUCUCGAAAGUCCCAAGUCAAAGUCGUGGUCCAAGCCCGAGUCUAGCAAUAGACAAAAUUCUGUUUCUACUCCUUCUGGUUCUAGUAGUGUUCCCGUUGCUCCUAAACUUACUAGUGGUACCAAAGAAACUAGUUUGGCGAAAAUUAGAUGUUUCAAGUGUCAAGGUUUUGGUCAUUACCAAAAUGCUUGUCCAAACAAAAGGGUGGUGACUUUAAGGGAGGCCAUUGAAUGUCGUGAAGAGUUGGAGGAAGAAGAGAGGUUGGCGGGUAUUUUUUAUGAUACACAACAAGAAGAGGAAGAAGAGGAGGAGGUAGAGUAUGAAGCACCGGUGUAUGAUACAGUUUUGGUGCUUAGAACCCUUAAAACUCAAGGGGUUCAAACCGUGGCUGAUAUGGAUCAACGAGACCAAUUGUUUCACACCAAAUGUUUGGUUAGAAACAAGUGGUGUAGUUUGAUUAUUGAUGGUGGAAGUUGUACUAAUGUUGCUUCUAAUGAAAUGGUGAUCAAAUUGGGUUUGUCUACUACAAACCACCCAAAACCAUAUGUUCUUCAUUGGUUGGAUGAUGGAAGCAAAAUAAAGGUGACAAAACAGGUUAGAGUUGGUCUAACUAUGGGGUCUUAUGAAGAUGAAGUGUUGUGUGAUGUUAUUCCUAUGGAUGCAUGUCAUAUUUUGUUGGGGCGUCCUUGGCAAUUUGAUAGGGACGUGUUACAUAGAGGGAGGAGCAAUGAAUAUGAGUUGAAACACAAUAAUAAAAAAAUUGUGUUAAAACCCAUGUCCCCAACGGCCAUAAGGUCCAUGAAUUCUAAACAAGUAAAAAAACCUAAUCUUUCUAUGUUUGCUAGUGAAAGGGAGGUGGAGCAAGUUCUUGACAAAGGUGAUGUUAUCUACAUGCUUGUGGCCAAAGAGCAUGCAAAGGUGGAGAAGAUGGUGCAUGGAGAAAACGCUAUUGCUGAUUUGCUUUUGGAGUUUCAAGAUGUGUUUCCAAGCGAAUUACCACCGGGUUUGCCUCCAAUCCGUGGUAUCGAACACCAAAUUGACCUUAUUCCGGGUGCUCCUUUGCCCAAUAAAGCCGCCUAUAGAUGUAAUCCGGAGGUGACAAAAGAGUUGCAAAAACAAAUUGAUGAACUCAUGAAAAUGGGUUAUGUUCGUGAAAGCCUAAGUCCUUGUGCUGUUCCAGUUUUGUUGGUUCCAAAAAAAGAUGGUUCUUGGAGGAUGUGUGUUGAUAGUAGGGCCGUUAAUAACAUCACCAUAAAAUACCGAUUUCCUAUUCCUAGAAUUGAUGAUUUGUUGGACGAGUUGCAUGGUUCUAUUGUGUUCUCAAAAAUUGAUUUGAGAAGUGGUUACCAUCAAAUUCGUAUGCGUGAAGGGGAUGAAUGGAAAACAGCCUUUAAAACUAAACAUGGCUUGUAUGAAUGGACCGUGAUGCCUUUCGGUCUAACUAAUGCACCUAGCACUUUCAUGCGACUAAUGAAUGAAGUGCUAAAAUCUUUUUUGGGCAGGUUUGUGGUUGUGUACCUUGAUGAUAUCUUGGUAUAUAGCAAGAGCUUGGAGGAUCAUUUGGUGCACUUAAAACAGGUUUUCGAGACGCUUAGAGCUCAAAAACUCUAUGGGAAGCAAGAAAAAUGUUCGUUUUUGGUGGAAGAAGUGGCAUUUUUGGGUUUUGUGGUGUCAAGAAAUGGCGUGUCCGUGGACCCAUCCAAGACUGAAGCAAUCAAGUCAUGGCCUAUUCCUACUAAUAUUUCUGAAGUUAGAUCAUUUCAUGGUCUUGCUUCUUUCUAUAGAAGAUUUGUUCGUGAUUUUAGCACCAUUGCAAGUCCCAUAACAGGUUGUUUGAAGAAAGGAGUCUUUGCAUGGGGAGAAGAAGCUCAAAAGGCAUUUGAGAAACUCAAGGCAUUGUUGUGUGAUGCUCCUAUUUUGGCUCUUCCUGAUUUUUCUCAACCAUUUGAAGUGGAGUGUGAUGCAAGUGGAGUUGGUAUUGGGGCUGUUUUGAUCCAAUCCAAACGUCCUAUUGCUUAUUUUUCUGAAAAGUUGGGUGGUGCUCGUUUGAAUUAUUGCACUUAUGAUAAGGAGUUUUAUGCUAUUGUCCGUGCUUUAGAUCAUUGGAGUCAUUAUUUGCGUGCAAAUCAUUUUAUUUUGCAUUCUGAUCAUGAAUCCUUAAAGUACAUCAAUGGGCAACAAAAGUUGAGCACAAGACAUGCAAAGUGGGUGGAGUUCUUGCAAUCCUUUCAUUUCUCAUGCAAAUACAAGGAUGGUAGAAGCAAUGUGGUGGCUGAUGCACUCUCGAGGCGUUACUCGUUGUUGGUGACUUUGGAUGUUCGUUUCUUGGGAUUUGAAACUCUAAAGGACCAUUAUCAAUCUGAUAUGGACUUUGGAGAUAUGUUUUUGAAAUGUGCAGGUGGUCCUAAUGGUGAAUUUGUGAUUCAAGAUGGCUUUCUAUUCAAAGGCAAUCGCCUUUGUGUCCCAAAACAUGCAAUACGGGAGUUGUUGAUUCGUGAAGCUCAUGGCGGUGGUUUGGCUGGUCAUUUUGGCAUUACCAAAACUUUGCAGGUGCUUAAAGAACAUUUCUUUUGGCCGAAGAUGUUGGGGGAUGUAACCAACAUAGUGGGCAAGUGUGUUACAUGUCAUAUGGCAAAAACAACUUUCAAGCAUGGUGUUUACACUCCUUUGCCGGUUCCUAUUCGUCCUUGGGAAGAUGUGUCCAUGGAUUUCAUUAUGGCUUUGCCUAGAACUCAAAGGGGGAAGGAUUCCAUUAUGGUGGUGGUGGAUAGGUUUUCAAAAAUGGCUCACUUUGUGCCAUGUCAUAAAACAAAUGAUGCCUCUAACGUGGCUGAUUUGUACUUUAAAGAGGUGGUUCGUUUGCAUGGUAUUCCUAAAACAAUUGUUUCUGAUAGGGAUUCCAAGUUUCUAAGUUACUUUUGGAACACUUUGUGGAGGAAAGUCGGUACUAAGUUACUUUUUAGUACAUCCCAUCAUCCACAAACGGAUGGGCAAACGGAGGUGACUAAUAGAACUUUGGGUGCUUUGUUGAGAGGGUUGGUUAGCAAAACUCAAAAAGAUUGGGACAUCAAACUUGCACAUGUUGAAUUUGCCUAUAAUCGUUCUCCUACUUAUGCUACAAGUCACUCUCCUUUUGAGGUGGUGUAUGGUGUGAAUCCUUACAUGCCUUUGGAUUUGAUUCCAUUGCCAAAGGAUGAAUUGGUUCACAAGGAUGCUAAUGACAAGUUGAAGGCUAUGAUAAAACUACACCAACAAGUUCAUGAGAAGAUUGAAGUCGUGAAUGAGUUGUACAAACAGAAGUCCAACAAGCAUAGGAAACCAUGUGUCUUUCAAGAUGGUGACUUGGUGUGGGUGUAUAUGAGGAAAGAACGUUUUCCUAACAAAAGGAAAAACAAGUUGAUGCCAAGAGCUGAAGGUCCUUACAGAGUGGUGUCACGUGUCAAUGAUAAUGCUUAUAAGGUAGAUUUGGGAGGAGACCAUGGAGUGCAUGCUACCUUUAAUGUGGGAGAUCUUUCACCUUAUCUUGAUGAUGAUGGACUUGAUGAAUUGAGGUCAAUUCCUUUCAAAGGGGGAGGGGAUGAUCCAUGCAUGGAUCAUGAAAGCCCAAAAUGUGAUGGAUUAGUGAUUACUAGUGGGCUAGAAGGUGGUUUGGGCUCAAUGGUUGGGUUGUGCAUGGUAACCCACAAAUUGAAUUAGGGUUGCAUGAAGACUAGGGCAACAUUUUUAAGGCUUCAUAAGUGCUAAAAACGUUACUAUUUGCUUCAUAAAGCCUCCUAGCCGUUUUUGACACUCUUUGGUGGAUUAGGGUUACACUUUAAUGCUUAUGAUGACUCCUUAAUGCUUCUUAUGGCUCCUUAAUGAAGCAUAGCCGUUUUUUUUUUUCACAAGUCUCAUGGACGUUUUUUUUUGUGUUCUUCCAAGAGUUACCUUAAUUUCUAUUUACUAGUUUUAAUGAAUAAUUGGUUGGUUGGCUUGUAACCACCAAAUUUGUAAUAAAGGCUUCAUAUAAAGCCAAAUUAUGCAUGGAAAAAGUGUUACACGAAUUUUAAUCAAAGAACCAUUAUUUUCACUUUGAAUUAUUGUUAUAAUUCUCAAAUAAUCUUGUUGGGACGUGUUCCUGACUUGAUACGAACUCAAUCAAUAGGUCUUGGAUUGUUUUCAUCGGUAUACAACUUAAUAGGUCUUGAGUUGUUACUAAUCUAUCUAUUUCUUUUCAUUCACAUAUCAUUUGUGGUUGCUAUUCUCUGGAAUCCUUCCCCCUUUUAAAGGAUGAAUUGGAACCGGCAAAGGUGUGGUUGAGGGUUUUUUUCGUCAUCCAACAUGUAACAUACUUGCCUACUAUGUUGGUUACAUCCCCAAUAUCGUUAGGCCAGAAAAAAUGUUCUUUAAACACCUCCAAAGAUUUGGUUAUGGAAAAAUGACCCGCCAAACCACCAACAUGAGCUUCAUUAAUAACAAACUCCCGUAUUGCAUAUUUAGGGACACAAAGGUGAUUGCCUUUUGAUGCCUUUAUGGGCUUGAGUAAGUGAGUAGGGUUGUGCUUAGGUAGGUUAAGCUUGAAUAAAACCACAAAUGAUACGUGUAUGGGAAGAAAUAGAUAAAUUAGUUACAAAUCAAGACCUACUAAGUUGUAUACCGGUGAAAACUAUCCAAGACAUAAUAUUUGAUUGAAUGCGUAUCAAGUCAAGAACAUGUCUCGACUAUGACAAGUAGUGAACUAUAACUAUAAUUCAAAUUGAACAAAGUUUAUUUUGAUUAAAAUUUCAUCUCCAUGCGUACUUGGAUUAUAUGAAGCAUUUGUUAAGAACUUGGAGGUUACAAGCCACCCAACCAACUACUCAGCAAAACUAAUAAUGAAAAUUAAAGAAACUCAUGAAAACACAAAAAAAAACAUAUGACACAAUAAUGAAUGAAAAAACCGUCCAUGCUCCAUUAAGGAGCCACAACAAGCAUUAAAGUGUAACCCUAAUCCAUGAAAGAGUAUCAAAAAUUGCUAGGAAGCUUGAUGAAGCAAACACUAACGGUUUUGAGCACUUAUGAAGCCUUUAAAAUGUUGCCCUAGCCUUCAUGCGACCCUAAUUCAAUUCGUAGGUUACCAUGCACAACCCAACCUUUGAGCCCAAACCACCUUCUAGCCUAUUAGUAAUCACUAAUCCAUUACCUUUUGGGCUUUCAUGAUCCAUGCAUGGAUCAUCCCCUCCCCCUUUGAAUGGAAAUGACCUCAAUUGAUCAAGGCCAUACUCAACAAGAUACUAUGAAAGGUCUCCCACAUUAAAGGUAGCAUGUACUCCAUGGCAUCCUCCCAAAUCCACGUGAUAAGCAUUAUCAUUGACAUGCGACACCACUUUGUAACGACCUUCAGCUCUUGGCGUCAACUUUUGUUCUUCUUUUUGUUAGGAAAAUGUUCUUUCCUCAUAUGCACCUAAAUCAAGUCACCAUCUUGAAAGACACAUGGUUUCGUAUGUAUGUUGGAAUUUUGUUUGUACACCUCAUUCACGGCUUCAAUCUUCACACGAAUUUGAUGGUUUAGUUUCUUCAUGGCCUUCAAAUUAUCAUUAGCAUCUUUGUGAACCAAUUCAUCCUGUGGCAAUGGAAUCAAAUCCAAUGUCAUGUAAGGAUCCAAACCAUACACCACAUCAAAAGGAGAGUUACCUGUAGCAUAAAUAAGAGAACGAUUACAGGCAAACUCAGCAUGUGCAACUUUGAUGUUCAAAUGUUUUGAGUUUGGCUAACCAACCCCCUCAACAACUUACCCAAAGUUCUAUUAGUCACCUUCGUUUGCCCAUUAGUUUGUGGUUGGUGGGAUGUACUAAAAAGUAACUUAGUACUAAUUUUCCUCAACAAAGUGUUCCAAAAGUAACUCAAAAACGUGGAAUCCUUAUCAAAAAAUAUUAUUUUAAGGAAUAAUGUGCAAGCGAACCAUCAUUGGUUUAAAGUACAAAUCAGGCACAUUAGAUGCAUCAUUGGUUUUAUGACAAGGCACAGAGUGAGCGAUUUUUGAAAACCUAUCCACCACCACUAUAAUGGAAUCCUUCCCCCUUUGAGUUCUAGGCAAAGCCAUAAUGAAUUCCAUUGAUACGUCUUCCCAAGAAUGAAUAGGAACCGACAAAGAAGUAUUAACACUAUGCUUGAAAGUUUUUUCGUCAUCCGAGAUGUAACACACUUGCCCACUAUGUUGGUUACAUGCCCAACUUCUUAGGCUAAAAGAAGUAUUUUUAAAUCACCACCAAAUUUUGGUAACGGAAAAAUGACCCGCCAAAUGACCACCAUGACCUUCAUGAAUUAGCAACUAACGUAUUGCAUGUUUAGGGACACAAAGGCGAUUGCCUUUUGAUGCCUUUAUGGGCUUCAUUAAGUGAGUAGGGUUGUGUUUAGGUAAAUUAAGCUAGAAUAACAAUCACAAAUGAUACGUGUAUGGGAAGAAAUGGAUAGAUUAGUAACAAAUCAAGACCUACUAAGUUAUAUACCGGUGAAAACUAUCCAAGACAUAAUAUUUGAUUGAAUGCGUAUCAAUUCAAGAACACGUGUCGACUAUGAGAAGUAGUGAACUACAACUAUAAUUUAAAGUGAACAAAGGUUCUUUUGAUUAAAAUUAUAUCUAUUUUUUUCAUGCAUACUUGGCUUAUAUGAAGCCUUUAUUAGGAAGUUGGUGGUUACAAGCCACCCAACCCACUACUCGGUAAAACUACUAAUGAAAAUUAAAGAAACUCAUGAAACCACACAAAAAAACGUCUGACACACUAAUGAAUGAAAAAACCGUCCAUGCUCCAUUAAGGAGCCACAAGAAGCAUUAAAGUGUAACCCUAGUCCACGAAAGAGUACCAAAAAUGGCUAUGCGGCUUGAUCAAGCAAAAAGUAACGGUUUUGAGCACUUAUGAAGUUUUUAAAAUGUUGCCCUAGCAUUCAUGCGGCCCUAAUUCAAUUCGUAGUUUACCAUGCAUAACCCAACCAUUGAGCCCAAACCACCACUCAGCCUACUAGUAAUCACUAAUCCAUCACCUUUCGGGCUUUCAUGAUCCAUGAAUGGAUCAUCCCCUCCCCCUUUGAAAGGAAAUGACCUCAAUUCAUCAAGGCCAUCCUCAACAAGAUACGGUGAAAGGUCUCCCACAUUAAAGCUAGCAUGCACUCCAUGUUGUCUUCCCAAAUCCACCUUAUAAGCAUUAUCAUUGACAUGUGACACGACUUUGUAAGGACCUUCAGCGCUUGGCAUCGACUUUUGUUCUUCCUUUUGUAAGGAAAACGUUCUUUCCUCAUAUGCACCUAAACCAAGACACCAUCUUGAAAGACUCGUUGUUUCUUAUGCAUGUUGGAAUUUUGUUUGUACACCUCAUUCACGGCUUCAAUCUUCACACGAACUUGUUGGUCUUUCAUCAUGGCCUUUCAACUUUUCAUUAGCAUCCUUGUGAACCAAUUCAUCCUUUGCCAAUGGAAUCAAAUCCAAAGACAUGUAAGGAUUCAUACCAUACACCACUUAUAAAGGAGAGUGACCUGUAGCAUAAGUAGGAGAACGAUUAUAGGCAAACUCAACAUGUGCAAGUGAGAUGUCCAAAUGUUUUUGAGUUUUCCUAACUACCCCCCUCAAAAACGUACCCAAAUUUCUAUUAGUCACCUUCGUUUGCCCAUCAGUUUGUGGAUGAUGGGACGUACUAAAAAGUAACUUAGUACCAACUUUCCUCCACAAAGUGUUCCAAUAGUAACUCAAAAACAUUGAAUCCCUAUCAAAAACAAUAGUUUUAGGAAUACUAUGCAAUCGAACCACCUCUUUAAAGUGCAAAUAGACACAUUAGAUGCAUCAUUGGUUUUAUGACAUGGCACAAAAUGAGCCAUUUUUGAAAACCUAUCCACCACCACUAUAAUGGAAUCCUUCCCCCCUUUGAGUUCUAGGCAAAGCCAACUGAAUUCCAUUGACACAUCUUCCCAAGGACGAAUCGGAACCAGCAAAGGAGUGUAAACACCAUGCUUGAUAGUUUUUUCGUCAUCCGACAUGUAACACACUUACCCACUAUGUUGGUUACAUACCCAACAUCUUAGGCCAAAAUAAGUGUUUUUAAAGCACCUCCAAAGUUUUGGUAAUAGAAAAAUGACUCGCCAAACGACCACAUGAGCUUCACGAAUCAGCAGCUCUCGUAUUACAUGUUUAGGGACAUAAAGGUGAUUGCUUUUUGAUGCCUUUAUGGGUUUGAUUAAGUGAGUGGGGAUAGUUUUAGGUAAAUUAAGCUAGAAUAACAAUCACAAAUGAUACAUGUAUGGGAAGAAAUUGAUAGAUUAGUAACAAAUCAAGAACAACUAAGUUUUAUACCGGUGAAAAAAAUCCAAGAAAUAUUUGAUUGAAUACGUAUCAAGUCAAGAACACGUCUCGACUAUGACAAGUAGUAAACUAUAACUAUAAUUCAAAGUGAACAAAGGUUCUUUCGAUUAAAAUUUCAUAUAUCUCUUUUUUCCAUGCAUAAACUUGGCUUAUAUUUUAUUACAAAGUUUGUGGUUACAAGCCACCCAACCAACUACUCGGUAAAACUAAUAAUGAAAAUUAAAGAAACUCAUAAAAGCACACAAAAUAAAAACAUCUGACACACUAGUGAAUGAAAAAAGCGCCCAUGCUCCAUUAAGGAGCCACAAGAAGCAUUAAAGUGUAACCCUAAUCCACCAAAGAGUAUCAAAAAUGGCUAGGAGGCUUGAUGAAGCAAAAAGUAAUGGUUUUGAGCACUUAUGAAGCCUUUAAAAUGUUUCCCUAGCCUUUAUGUGACCCUAAUUCAAUUCUUGGGUUACCAUGCACAACCUAACUGUUGAGCCCAAAACACCUUCUAGCCUACUAGUAAUCACUAAUCCAUCACCUUUUGAGCUUUUAUGAUCCAUGCAUGGAUCAUCCCCUCCUCCUUUGAAAGGAAAUGACCUUAAUUCAUCAAUGCCAUGCUCAACAAGAUACAGUGAAAGGUCUCACACAUUAAAGUGUCACGACCAGGAAAUUCUAUGCUUUUGUAAACAUUAACAAGGACAAAAUUCUAACCAAAACUUGAAAGCAUGCAUGAAGUUUAUUCAAUGACAACAAAAUUCCAUCAAAAACUCUAUACAAACACUUCAAAUCGUCAAUGAAAGAUUGGAAACCCUAAAAAUCCUGGUUUAAGUUCACUAUGGACUAGGAUUUCCUUAUUGGGCCUAAUGGACCAUUAAGCUUCCAAUUUGACAAUUUUGGGCUUAGGACCCUUAAAUGGGCUCUAAUUGGACCCACCUUCAUGAGAUUUAACAUUUUGGACCUUUUUUGGCCUAAAAUGGAAUAAACUACUCUAAUAAGCCUUAUUGGAGUUUGCUAGAGCCGAAAUCACACCACCUUCUUCCACAUCUUCUUCAAAACCGAGAACAACAAGCUAAGGUAAGUUCAUACCCUCUUGUUUUCGGUUUUUAUUUGCAUGUUAUAUGUGAUUUCUUUGGUUUGUGUUGUGAAAAUGUGAUAAUAUUUGUUAUAUCUCGAGAUCUAUGGCUAAAGUGUGAAGGAUUCAUAAACAAAUACAUAUUAAACAACAUACUUCAAAGAUCUAAGAGUCUUUAUGUUUAAGAAGUGAAAAACAAAGUCAAAGAUUAUUUAUAAGUGUCAUUUUUGCAAAAAUAACAAAGAUGUGGAUAAGAGAUGACAUUUUUUAUUUUAUAAGGAUGAAAUGGUAUUUAUUUAUAUAAAAUAUGAUUUUUAUGGAAAGAAUACUUCUCAAGGGGUCAAAAACAUAAAUUUGAGUUAUUGGGCUUACAUUUGGGCCUUACGGGGUUUUGGGCCCAAAAUUACGAAAAAUGAAGAGUUUUGGGCGGUUGAAGUUGUAAAUUUAUCAAAAUAUGAGUCCAAAACAUAAAUAAACUAUUUAUGGGGCUGAAAAUGACUUUAAUGCGAAAAUUUGACUAAAAAUGCAAAGUUUUGGAUUUUGAGGUCAAAAUUGUAAAACUCGCGGAAUUUGGGCCAAAAGUGAUAAAUUUUUGGGCUGAAAUAGUAAAACAAAUUAUGUUUGGGCCGAAAAUGCAAAGAAAAAUGAGUUAAGGACCAAAAAUGUCAAUUUUCAUCAAAAAGGACUAAAAUGUCAUUUUUAUUAAGAAAGGGUUGAAAAUGGGCUGAAAUGGUCAAAUAAAGAUUUUGGGGUCAAAUAUGUUAAUAUUAAAUGAAUUGGGCCAAAGAUAUUAAAUUUGUAACAUAUAUAUAUAUAUAUAUAUAUAUAUAUAUAUANNNNNNNNNNNNNNNNNNNNNNNNNNNNNNNNNNNNNNNNNNNNNNNNNNNNNNNNNNNNNNNNNNNAUAUAUAUAUAUAUAUAUAUAUAUAACCAACGUGUCGUUAUAAAUCAAACAUCAAGUGUUCCAACCUCAAAUACUUUGUAUAAAACAAACCCGACACUACAAAUAUAUCGAUAAACAGAGAAAUAAUACAAUGGUUGGGCCUAAUGUUACUCAUUGUGUCCAUUGGGCCUUCGUGACCCAAUUUCACGAUUAUUAGGCCCAAUAUACUCAACACAUAUUUAUUGGGCUUCCGGUGACCCAAUUACAUGUCUAAUGUGUCUUCAUUAGCCUUUACAUGCUAUUGGGUUUUAGUGGCCCAUUUGCAUUGCUGAUAUGGCCUGAAUUAUUCAUCAUAUGCUUGAUGGGCUAUAACGUAUCCGUCGCAUACUCGACAACCUAUGAAUAACUUACAUGGUUAGUUGGCCACAGUUGUCCUAUUUCGUGUUCGUUAGGUUUUAUUCAUAAACAUGAAAUCAUUAAGCGGUUUGGAAAUUAAAAAUACACUUAACGAUAUCCAUAUUCAUAUUCAUGAGGUAAUAAUUGGGAUUUAGUGAGAAUUCUCGGUUGACACCAAUGAGUGUUCGGCCGUAGCCUUUAGUUAUAAUCAGAGUCUCCUAGAGGGAGAGCGAGAGUUUGUGUAUAGAUUGAUCUAUACGAGGGUGACUCCCCCACACCAAAGUUGUUCGCUACAGUUAGACUCGGCCAGUCUAGGGUGACAAAAUCUUAAUCAAAACCAGGAUUUGGAAAAAUACCAAGACAGGCGAACUAGUCAUUAUUAUGUAUGGUUAUAACGACUCAAGCAAAGAUCCAUUACAAUUUAUACAUUCAUGGGAAAUCAAAUUUAUACAUCACGAAUAUACAAAGCAAUGCAUGCGAAAUACAACUUUGUUAUAGAUCGGAAAAUAUCAUCACUCAUUUUUUUAUAUUCAUCAAAUACGAAACAAGGAAGACUUUUUGGAUUCAUUCAGUUAUACACGUUUUGAAAUCACACAUACAUAUAUAUAAUGGAUCAUGACAUUAUGUUGUAAACAAAUUUUACAGAAAAUAUCGGAUUUUCUGGAUUAUACAAACAUUAUGAAACCUUUUCAAAACAAUCAUGCUUAUGAACUCACCAACAUUAUAUAUGUUGACAAUUUUCAAAAUAACAUGUAUUCUCAGGUAAUUGGCUGAAGAAUUUCAAGUGUUGUUUGGAAAUUGUAUUUUUUAUGAAAUGUCUACUUAUGAACAAUUGAUAUUUUAGUGAUGUAAUAUUUAACAAUGUACUUGAUGUAAACAGUGACAGUUGUAUGAUGAUAAUGUUGGUGAUGAUUGUGUUUUGUUUCAUAUAUAUUCAUUGUGAUAAUACAAUUGUUAGUCACACGAGCCCUCAGACGAUUCCGUCGUCUGGUUCGAGGGUGUGACAGGUUGGUAAUGAAUGUAGCAUAAUAAAAAUAAACAUAAUAAAAUUUCAAAUAAAACCUUGGGAAAAAUCAUGACAUUUCGGUUAAACCAGGACUAUUCAUGGUUGUAUUUAGAAUGAAUGUAGCCUGAUCAACUACAUUUCUUCGAAAUACAAUUAUCACAUGCUCUGGAGCGAUCACGAUGGUCAGUAAACCUAAGGCAUACCUUUUAAAUACCCAAGAGGAGAAUAUCAAACCAAAUAUAAGAACAACUAAAAUACUUUAGGAAUAAUAAUGAUUCAUUUAUAUACCCUCAUGUAGACAGUAUGGUUGGCUUCCAUCUUCCAGGAGACCCGUAUUUCCCUAAUCAGGGGAAUAAUGGAUGGCUUGAGGAGGAACCUGAAGAGGAAUCUGAGGAGGAACUUGAAGAAGGACAAGAGAAUGAGAUCGAAGACGGACCUGCGGAGCCUGUGGAUGACUCUGGAGAUGGAGAACCUAGCGACAAUAGCGACGAUGACUCGGACGCAGAGUCUAUAGUCAUCAACCCACCAUUUCCAAUUAGGGUGCCAGUACAUCGGAUGGGCCCUAAUGGCCCUACACCCCCAUGAGGAGUUGACAUUUGGAGAUGGAGUAGGCAGCAAGGUCAGCGACCCCCGUAUGAUAUGGCAAGGGAAUUUUAUGACCUGAGGGAUGGAGGACCCACAAACCGAGCACUUCCUGUUGUGGUAAGACGAUUAAUGUUACACCCCCAAACCAGAACAGCGGAAUCGUUCGAGGGCGGAUGACUUCAUGUAGUAUCGAAACAGUUGAAUACAUAGUAAAGAAAGUAACACAACCAUCAUAUAUAUAAUUUGAAAGUUUACAUUGUGGAAAGUGCUUGUUUCAAAAGAAAUUACAAUAUGAUGUCAAAAUGAAAUUAAACUAACGUUGCAGCGUCCCUUCUUCAAAAGCAGUAGUUUACCUUUAUUACUAAAUCCCUGAGAAAUACAAGUAGUUUUGAAAAUGUAGGUCAGCAUUUAAGAUGGUGAGUUCAUAAGUAUUUAGUAACAAUGUUUGUAUGAAAUAGAAUGAAUAUGGUUUGUACAUGUUUAAAUUUUCCUAGAAAAUCCCAUAUUUUCUACUAUAGAAGAUGGUAGUUUAAUUGUUCCAAAACUAUGAUGCAAUAGUGUUUUUCAUGCCUAAAAUAGUAGCUUAUGUAUAAAUCGUUAAAGCAUUCGAAAAACCCCGUAAAUCAAUGUGUUUUUAAUACUCCAUGUGAGUCUUAUAACCAUGCUAUUUGACCAGGAUGCCUAUAACAACGUUCUUCAGGCGUUGGAAAUUAUGACAUUUGUCACCCCAGGCCUACCGGCCUAACUGUAGCUAACAGCUUAGGUGCGGGAUUGUCAAUCCCGUAUAGAUCUAUACACAAGUAUCAUGCUCCCCCUACAAGGGAUUGUGGUAUAUAAUACAGGACUUAAAAUGCAUACUCGAAAGUACGUGAAAUGUCUCACAAAACAUAGUAUAAAACAGAUUUACGUAUGAAAAUGUCCAUUUGUUCUUGUAUAUGAAAGUAUUUCCUUGAUAUAGUAUUCGUUAGUAUAUAAAUGUUCAUGAUUUUCUCGUAAACUAUACCUAUUAUAGUUUCUCAAAAUGUGUGUUUCGUUGGUAUAGUAAACCCUAGUGUAAUGCUCGCUUGUUAUGAAAAGUAUAACAUUUAAAGUGACAUAAAUGAUCACAUAUACUUAAAGUAUAAAUAAAGUGUUUGAUUCGUAUAUACAUAUAUAAACAUGUUUGAUUACCAAAAGACAAGAUGUUAUCGAGAAUAUAUAUUGCAUACGAAAGUUCCUAUGUAGUAGUUAUGAAUCACAUAUGAUUCACUUGAUAAAAAGAGUAUAUAGUGAAACUUUAUGUUACACACGAUAAUAACCGUGUGUUUACUUGUAUUCCCCCUUAAAAGUGUAAAAAAAAAAGCAUUCAUAAAACAUUUGAAAGUGUAGUUUAUAGGGGUAUGAACUCACUUGGUUGAUUGAAGAUAGUGAGAUGAAAAUUGAGUAGAACUUUGGCUUGUGAAAGUCGAUUUUCUCGGGAAUUUCGGGAAUGCAAAACCUUCCUUCGGGACUUAUACGCGAAUAAUGGGGCUUCGAGAGGGUCUCGGGGGCUCAGAAGCAGAGUUUCAACACAAGAGAAGAGAGAAUUGAGCACUAGAACUCGAAACCAUGGGUUUCUAUUUAUAGGCUGAGUUUUGGGGUCUCACGUCAUGAGUUUUGGGUGUCUCAUGUCGUGAGGCUUAGUCAGAAUGAUCCUCUUCGACGAUUUGACGUGGCUGACACUAUGGCACCCAUCAGUCACGAGCUCACGUCGUGAGUUUUGGUCCCCUCACGUCGUGAGGCUGAGUCAGUCUCGGAUUUUGUGUCCCGAACUUGUAAAAUCUGUAACUUUUGUGUACGAGCUUCAAUUUCAAUAUUCUUUAUAUGCACGCGUAGGUGUGAAAUGGUUGUACAAAUCUCAUUUAGACUUCAUCGGCUAAUUUUGACUUUAUUUUUAUUAUAUCAUUUUUAACGGGCCGGGACACGAAAAGUCCGUUAAAAAUCCAUAACUUCUUCAUCCGAUGUCCGUUUUUGUUAGACUUUUCACCGUUGCGCUACUAUUGUUGGGACCUUUGAUUCUCAUUUAGGUUGUUUCAGCCAAAAGCCUCUCGAUCUCUAUUGCGAGUUUUUAGUUGUCUACUGCUAUAUCCGGAUUUUGGAAAAAUCAUAACUUCCUCAUACGAAGUCAGAUUUGGACAUUCUUUUUAGGUAACUUUACGAUUUAAUGAUAUCUACAACAUUCAUUUAGAUACUUAAGGCUAAAAACUAUUGUAUUGAAACUUUGUGUUUUUCGUUUAAUCGGUGUUGCCGGUUUUGUCGGAAAUCUUAGAAUGGUCAUAACUUCUUUGUUAUAACUCGGAUUUUAGAGUUUUUAGUAUUUCUGUAAACCUUGACACAAUAUCUAACAUAGUAAGUAACCCAAUAGAGACUUUUGUACAUUUUAUUUUCAAAGUUAAUUUCAUUAUUUCAAAAGUGGUUACAAUACUUGACUUUUUAGGUCAUUUCAUUGAUUCGAAAUUUCGGGUUGUCACAGCAUCCCCCCGUUAGAGGGAAUUUCGUCCAAAAAUUUAAUGAAAGAAAAGCACUUGUGGAUUAGGGAAAAAGAUGUGGGUACUUGUGUUUCAUCUGAUCUUAGCGUUCCCAAGUGUAUUCAGGUCCUCGUUUUGCAUUCCACCGGACCUUCACGAUGGGUAUGCGACUUCGCUUUGUUCUUUUAAUUUCCUUAUCCAUGAUUUCAGUUAGUUCUUCUAUAAAGUGGAGACUUUCAUUGAUUUCGAUUUCAUCUAGAGGGACGACGAGGGUCUCAUCUGUCAAACAUUUCUUCAAGUUCGACACAUGAAAGGUAGGAUGUAUGUUAUCGAGUUCCUGCGGUAGACGAAGUUUGUAGGCUACCGGGCCGAUCCUUGCAAGGAUCUCGAAUGGUCCGAUAUACCUUGGGUUUAGUUUUCCACGUUUUUCGAAACGUAUUAACCCUUUCUAGGGCGAGACCUUUAAUAGCACUCGGUCCUCGACCUGAAAUUCCAAGGGUUUCCGUCUUUUGUCCGCAUAACUCUUUUGCCGGUCUCUUAAAGCCUUUAGUCGUUCCCGAAUUUGUACAAUCUUCUCAGUUGUUUCUCUUAUGAUUUCCGGGCCAGUGAGAGUGUUGUCGGGUACUUGUCCCUUGGCUAGUUACGUGUCUCCUACUUCAGUCCAGCGCAAUGGUGAUCUGCACUUUCGUCCGUAGAGGGCUUCAAAUGGAGCAACUUUAAUGCUAGGGUGAUAGCUAUUGUUGUAUGAAAAUUCGACUAGUGGUAAAUGGGUAUCCCAUGCUUUACCAAAAUCGAUUACACAAGCUCUUAGCAUAUCUUCCAAGGUUUGUAUGGUCCUCUCACUUUGACCGUCGGUUUUUGGAUGGUAAGCAGUACUCAUGCCGAGCCUCGUUCCUAGGGAUUUUUGUAACGAUUUCCAGAAUCGCGAGGUGAACCUACUAUCUCUGUCGGAGAUAAUGGAUAUUGGUACACCGUGCAGUCGUACAAUCUCUCGGAUGUAAGUUCGAGUUAGCUGCUCCAUCUUAUCGGUUUCCUUAAUGGGUAGGAAGUGUGUGGAUUUUGUUAACCUAUUGACAAUUACCCAGAUGGUGUCUAACCCACCUGUUGUCUUGGGUAAUUUGGUUAUGAAAUCCAUGGUUAUCCUUUCCCACUUCCACUCGGGUAUUUCGGGUUGUUGUAGUAAUCCUCAUGGCUUUUGGUAUUCUACCUUGACUUUAGCGCAAGUCAGACACUUGCCCACAUAGGUAGCGAUAUCUGCUUUCAUGUUCGGCCACCAAUACAGUUUCUUGAGGUCUAGAUACAUCUUGUGCGAACCUGGAUGCACGGAGUAUCGAGUCUUAUGAGCCUCGUUCAUGACUACGUCUCUGAAUCCACCAAACUUCGGUGUCCAGAUCCGAUUCAUGAAGUAAUGAACUCCAUCACCCUUGACUUCAAGAUUCUUGUCCAUUCCUCUUAGGGCUUCACCUGCCACGUUCUCUGUUUUCAAGGCUUCCCUCUGAGCUUCCUUGAUUUGUGUGGACAGAUGUGAAUGGAUCGUCAUGGUUAAGGAUUUCACUCGACGACCUGAGUAUUCUUUUCGACUAAGAGCAUCGGCUACUACAUUUACUUUUCCUGGGUGAUAGUGAAUCUCGCAUUCGUAGUCAUUAAGUAGAUCAAUCCAUUGUCUCUGCCUCAUGUUGAGUUCUUUUUGGUUGAGAAUGUGCUGAAGGCUCUUAUGAUCGGUGAAGAUCGUGCAUUUCAUGCCAUAAAGAUAGUGUCUACAGAUCUUUAGCGCGAAAACGACUGCUCCUAGUUCAAGACCGUGGGUAGUGUAGUUGACUUCGUGCGUCUUGAGUUGUCUUGAGGCAUAAGUGAUGACCUUAGCUCGUUGCAUUAGUAUGCAUCCAAGACCUUGAUUAGAUGCAUCACAGUAGACCACAAAGUCUUCUGUUCCUUCUAGCAAGUAGCGUUGCAUAGUGCUUGCUUCAGUGUUUGGAAUGCAGCGUCUUGUCUUUCUUCCCAAUUGAAAGCAAAACCCUUUUGGGUCAGGGUGGUAAGUGGUUUCGCAAUCUUCGAGAAGUUCUGUAUAAACCUCCGGUAGUAGCCAGCAAGGCCCAAGAAUUGUCGAAUUUCCAUUGGGGUUCUUGGAGCUUACUAGUUUUCGAUUGCUUUGAUUUUGGAAGGGUCCACGUGUAUUCCGUUUUUGCUAACCACAUGACCUAGGAAAUCUACCUUCCGAAUCCAAAAUUCGCACUUGGAGAAUUUUGUGUAUAGCUUCUCUUUUCUUAGUGUUUCCAAGACUUGUCGGAGGUGUUGACAGUGAUCCUCUUUAGUCUUCGAAUACAUGAGUAUGUCAUCUAUGAAUAUGAUCACAAACUUGUAUAGAAACGAACGACACACCCGGUUCAUUAAGUCCAUGAACACCGCUGGUGCGUUUGUUAAUCCAAAGGGCAUUACUACAAACUGGUAGUGACCAUAACGAGUUCGAAAAGCUAUUUUGGGAACAUCUCUUUCCAAGACUUGUAGUUGGUGGUACCCGGAUCUUAAGUCGAUCUUUGAGAAAUAACUUGCUCCUUGGAGUUGGUCGAAUAAGUCGUCAAUGCGUGGUAAGGGAUAUCGGUUCUUGAUAGUGAGCUUGUUGAGUUCCCGGUAAUCGACGCACAUGCGGAAAGAUCCAUCCUUCUUCUUUACAAAUAAGACUGGUGCUCUCCAAGGUGAGAAGUUCGGCCUGAUGAAUCCUUUGUUGAGUAGUUCGUUUAGUUGGCUGGAUAACUCCUGUAUCUCUGCCGGUGCUAGACGGUAUGGCGACUUAGCUACUGUUGUAGCUCCGGGAAUUAAGUCGAUUCUGAACUCGACUUGACGUUCCGGUAGAACUCCGGGAAGAUCUUCAGGGAAAACAUCGGGAAAAUCGCAGACUUCUGGAAGAUCUUCAGGGAAAACAUGGGCUAAGAAGGCAUGGUACUCCUUACGUAGGUAUUUCUGGGCUUUGACGCAAGAGAUGAUUUGUAAAUUGGUACCGGGUUUGUCACCAUAAAUGACAAGAGUUACGCCGUUUGGCAGAUUUAGGCGAACGACCCUUUUGUGACAAAGUAUAUCAGCAUGGUGUAGGCUUAACCAAUCCAUACCGAUGAUGAUAUCAAAUCUCUUUAUAGUGAUCGACAUUAGAUCAAUUUGAAAUGAAUGCUCGUUUAGAGUUAGUGUGCAGCCUAUGUACAUAUUGUUCGUGCUUUCUGUUCUACCGUUUUCCAUUUCUGCUAUAAAUAUCUUAUUGAGUGUUUUAGGGUUCUGUUUUAGUACGUGCUUGAAUUUAUGACUCACGAAACUCCUCUCCGCACCACAAUCAAAGAGUAUGCAUGCAUAAACGUUAUUGAGGAGAAACGUACCCGUAACCACCAUGGGAUCAGCUAUCGCUUCGUGUUGCCCUAUUGCCAACACUUGUCCCAUGCUGCCAGCAUUCCUUGCCUUAAGGCAGUCUCUCUUGUAGUGUUUGGCCUCACCACAACCAUAACAAGUCUGGCCUCACCGACCCCAGGGACUUGGGUGAUUGGUCGUGCCGAUGCCUUACAGAAACGAGCAAUGUGCCCCUUCUUGUUGUAGUGCAUCUCCCGGCAAUUUCCGUUGUGAUGGAAAUUGCAUUUGCUGCACUUUGGUAGGUUCCCAGCAUAUGGAUUUGCUGGUGUAGUGGUAAUUUGAGCAGCAGUGGGGGCAGUAGCGGCAUGGACUGCCACAAUCUGUUGUUUCUUGGAAGGUUCCUGUNUCCUUUUGUUAGAACUUCUUGUUGUUGUUGUUGUUGGUGGUGGUGGUGGUAUUGUCGUUGUUGUUGUUACUUCCUCUAGGUUGCUCCGGUGCGGUAGUUGCGAAGUCUUGGCAUACCCCAUGGUCUACGAGAGCUUGUGCCAACUAUUUGGAACUAUCGAAAGUGAUUGGUUUGGAAGCUAGAACACUUCCUUGAAUCUGGGGUGACAGUCCCCAGAUGUAUCUUUCGAUCUUCUUGCUCUCUAGAGCAACUAUCCCUGUGCAAAGGAUUGCCAAAUCACUGAACCUAUUGGUAUAGGUCGUGAUGUCUGAGCCUACCAUGGUAAGGCCCCAAAGUUCAUGUUCGAGCUUUUGUAAUUCUCCCCGUGGACAGUACUCUUGUAGUAAUAUUUGUUUUAGAUUCUCCCAGCCUAUAGAGUUAGCCACUACUAGCGUUAGUGACUUGACAUGGCCAUUCCACCAUGUCAGAGCUCUCUCAGAGAAAGUACAGGCAGCGAACUUUACUUUGUUCCCUUCCGGACAAGAACAAAUCUCAAAAACUGCUUCAGUUUUCUCUAUCCAUUGUGAUAGAGCCAUUAUUCCUCCGGCCCCAUUAAAAGUAAUGGGUUUGCUAUUCAUGAAAUCCUUGUAUGUACAAUCCCCUAAACGACCUGGACGUUGGCCAUUCGUAAAACUAUUUACUCCCCCACCAGAACCAUUGUUACUCAUUUGGGCCAUUGCAGCUGUUACUGCAGCUGUUACAGCGGCUAUCAAUGCGGCAUUUUCCGUCGUGGGAGGAGGUGGUGGUGGAGGUGGUGCAUUGUUGACACGGCGUGUAUAUCUACGGGGCAGCAUAGUGCUGAUAAGGAAAUUGAAUGAAGAACAUAAGUUUUUAGUGUGUUAAUAAAUUUGUCAUUUUUAUCAAUUUAUAAAUUUGACUGACCAACCCAUGGUUUUGAGUUUGACUCAUAAUAAAAGUUUGCAUAGCGUUAGAUAAACUUAUGAAUCUGAGUGGUAGUCAAAGAAUUUACACACAACGGAAUUUCUUCAUAUAUAUUAAACACAUCCCGAGUUACAUUUUGAGUUAGGAAAUUUCAACCCUUCUAAGGAUCUUUGAUACAGAAGUUAAAGAAAAGUAAGACUUUUAGCCGAUGGUCCUAUUCUAUAUCAAAAUUUUGGGAUUCGGCAAGCACUACGUGCGACGUAGGUUGCUUUGCUUUGCUUCCAUAAGACGCCACUCGAAGGCGGCUUGUUGUUCCCUCAUCUCAGAGAGGGCUGCAAUCAUUUGUGCUUGGAACGUGUCGGUUUGGAGUUGGGCAUUAUCCUGUGCUCUGUCCAGUCGACGGAUGUCGGAAGUGUGAACAUGUACUUCCACGUUGACUUCACGAAUCCAGCUAGCUUGAACCCCGGAUUGAUAGGACUGGUUGGCUAGCUUGACCACCAUGACUGGGAGUGCUCGAUUGGCUGAACUGUUACACCCCAAAACCAUGAACGGCGGAAACGUUCUGGGGCGGAGGACGUCAUGUACAUUAUCACAACAAUGAAAAGUAGUAAACAAGCAACAACAUCAUCCAUUGCAUUAAUAAUAUAAUUUUAUUACAAGUGUGUUCUGUCAAAUUAUAAUAGACACUAAAGUAUAAACAAAAUGAAAGAUGAGUCUUGAACGAGCUCCAUCUUCUCUAAACCUUGCAUCGGUACCUGUCUAUCGUUGACCUGAGGAUACAAGUUAUUUUGAAAGCGAGUAUCAGCUUUAAAGCUGGUGAGAUCAUAAGUAUUAAUGUGUCUUAAUUUGUAUAUCUUAAAAUGAAAGACUUGAAAUUGUUUUGAAAGAAAGCUCGUAUAAGUAUGAAAAUGUUUGUAGACCAACUGUAAAUGUUUGAAAAACCCUAAAAAUCCCUAUGAUUCCUACUAGUAUAAAAGACAGUCUUCUACCAAGACCUAACUGUUCUAAUGUAGUCUUCUACCAAGACUUAACUGUUCUAAAGUAGUCUUUUACCAAGACCCAACUGUGCUACUAUUAUUAUUAUUAUAAGAAUUUUUAUCCUUGGUACUAGGAUACUUAAAUAAUUCACCUCAUCGGUUAUGUGAAUGAGUCACAAGAUAGAAGUAAUAAUAUAAAUAACCUAAGUAUUAUCCUUUUGUACUAGGAUAACUAAGAGUGUCAACUGAAGACAUCCUUAUAUGUACAUUUACCUCUGUUGCUAACAGCUGGGUGUAGGAAUAGUUAGUCCCUUAAAGUAUACCUGUAAUUGUAUCAACCGUUGACAUCCGUGGAUGUGCUUUUACCUCUGUAGCUAACAGAGAUUCUAGGAAUGGUUAAUCCCGCAAAGUAUCCUUUGGUACNAUCUCGUCGAUCAUGUGAUUGUAUCACAAGGUAAAGAUAAGAAUGAGGAUUAUAUGACAUAAUCUAUACAUAUAAAAUGUGAUAAUAACUCAUCAUAUAUUAUCUAUGUAAACGUACUCAUGUAAAUGUAAUCAUGUAAAUGUACUCAUGUAAAUGUAAUCAUGUAAAUGUAAUCAUGUAAAUGUACUCAUGUAAAUGUAUAGUAAUGUACUGUAAUUGUCACACCCCAAAACCAAGAACGACGGAAACGUUCUGGGGCGAAGGACAUCAUGUACAGUAUCACAACAAUGAAAAGUAGUAAACAAGCAACAACAUCAUCGAUUGCAUUAAUAAUAUAAUUUUAAUACAAGUGUUCUGUCAAAUUAUAAUAAACACUAAAGUAUAAACAGAAUGAAAGAUGAGUCUUGAACGGGCUCCAUCUUCUCUAAACCUUGCAUCGGUACCUGUCUACUGUUGACCUAAGGAUACAAGUUAUUUUGAAAGAGAGUAUCAGCUUUAAACCUGGUGAGAUCAUAAGUAUUAAUGUGUCUUAAUUUGUAUGUAAGUAUUUGUUUGACAUGUAAUGAAAGACUUGAAAAUGUUUUGAAAGAAAGUUCGUGUAAGUAUGAAAAUGUUUGUAAAACAACUGUAAACGUUUGAAAAACCCUAGAAAUCCCUAUGAUUCCUACUAUUAUAAAAGGGGGUCUUAUACCAAGACCUAACUGUUCUAAAUGUAGUAUUCUACCAAGACUUAACUGUUCUCAAUGUAGUCUUCUACCAAGACUUAACUGUUCUAAAUGUAGUCUUCUACCAAGACUUAACUGUGCUACUAUUAUUAUUAUUAUAAGAAAUUGUAUCCUUUGGUACUAGGAUACUCAAAUAUAAUUCACCUCAUCGAUUAUGUGAAUGGGUCACAAGAUAAAGGUAAUAAUAUAAAUAACCUAAGUAUUGCCCUUUGGUACUAGGGUAACUAACAGUGUUAACUGAAAACAUCGGUAGAUGUACAUUUACCUUUGUUGCUAACAGCUAGGUAUAGGAAUAGUUAGUCCCUUAAAGUAUACCUGUAAUAGUAUCAACCGUUGACAUUUGUGGAUGUGCUUUUACCUCUGUAGCUAACAGAGAUUCUAGGAAUGGUUAAUCCCACAACAUAUCCUUUGGUACUAGGAUAUUAAAUCCAAUCUAUCUCGCUGAUUGUGUGAUUGAAUCACAAAGUGAAGAUAAGAAUGAGGAUUAUAUAACAGAAUCUAUACAUAUAAAAUGUACUAAUAAUUCAUCAUAUGUUAUCUAUGUAAACGUACUCAUGUAAGUGUACUCAUGUAAGUGUACUCAUGUAGAUGUAUGUAUAUAACUGUACUCAUGUAAAUGUAAUCAUAUAAUUAUAUCUAUGUAAUAUUAUAGUAAUGUACUGUAUGUACUAGUUGUGACGUGUGUUCUCUCUCUAUCUAGCAAGUAUUGACUCAUGAAUGAACUGACUCAUUGUAUGAUAUCGUGUUCUAGUAAUAGCUCUAGUAUCUUCCUAAACUACCCAUAUGGUAGCUUACUAGUAAUGUAACUGGCACGUAUGAACAUGGAAGUAUACCCUUGCUACCUAAGGGUAUUGAAUGAACUUGGAAAACCUUUAUGACUAUAUAUGUACAUACGAUAUAUAACUAAUAUUUAAACAGCCUUUGGACAGAUACCCGAUGUCCCACCAGACCACAUCUCAAGCGCGAAUAGGAAAUAUGGUGGAUAGCCUUCCUAAGUCUUUUAAACAUUUCUUAUAUAACUAUACAUAUAUAGGCACGCAAUUAAUAAUAUAAAAGCAUAAAAUAAGUUUUGUAAAACCUUUGAACAUAAUUAUUAUCUAAGAAAAGAUCGACUUGAUAUCAAUCUAUAAAACGAUUUGAAGGCAUGGGUUUGAUAAAACAGUUUAAGUAUAAAGAAACAUUUGUUUGAAACACAAUUGUAAAUGAGUUUGAAAUGAAACAUACAGAGUAAAAUGUACAAUUUAAUAAGGAAUUUUAAACAUAUAAAAUGUUUAUGAAAAUCAUUUGAAGAAAAUUGUUUGGUAAAACGGCUAAUGAGUAGUAAAUCAUUUGAAUGCUGCUUAUUAAUCACAUGUGAUUGAUAUAAUAAGUAGCAUGAUUCUACUUGUAUCCCCCCAUAAAGCAUUUAAAAACAUUUAAAACAUUGAUUAAGGGGUAUGAACUCACCUGUUGCGAGUGGAUCGGAAGGAAGUGUCGGAUAAGUGCUUGGUGUCAAGUGAAGACUUAGACACGCACAAAGAUCCUAAUUACAUAUGAGGACAUAUGUAUAUAAACAAUUAGUCUUUAAACAACUAAUAAACAAGUCAAGACACUCUAGGACAUGACAAACACUUUGUAUAAGUGUUAUAAGUGCUAAGGAGUGCAUAUAAGUGUUGUAGGGAAAGGCUAGUGUGUUUGGGGUUCAAGGAACACUCCUAAAAUGAGUUUACUCCCUAAAGACCAACACCCCUUGAGUUUACGGUCGUAAACUCUUGAGUUUAUGGUCGUAAACUCCUAACCUUUUGACCAUUUGUUGUUUUGAAGUCUUCUAAGCUAUUCCAAGCAUUCCUACUUCAUGAUUUAGCCUUAGGAAGUGUUGUGUGGCAUCAAAACACUCCUAAAUGGAGUUUACGGUCUAAGGACCAUUUCUCCAUGAGUUUACUACCUUAAACUCAUGAGUUUACUACCUUAAACUCAUGAGUUUACUACCUUAAACUCAUAAGUUUGGUAUUUGGGGGUUUUCAAGUCCUUAGCUCAAACAUGGCAAUAGUCUAGGUUAGAUUUAGACAUAAGGAACAACCAUGGGACUUUUAUAUGACAUUUAAACACCUUUUGGGGUGUUUACGGUUUUGGGAGAUCCCCAAACCGUAAACACAUAAAAAUGUAAGGUUUUGGUGCUUUUUGUGUGAUAAACUCAUCAAGGAUGAAUCUAGACAAGUCCCUAAGGCAUGGUGAAGCAUCUAGGCACCCUAAGGCACCACUUUGCACUUAAUCUUGGUGUUUACAGUUUUGGGACCUCCCAAAACCGUGAACACCUUUAUCUUGGUGUUCUUGGGACUUUUCUUUGAUGCUAAUAUGUAAUAUAAGCUUAAUAAGACUCAAGGAUGGAAGUACUUACUAUAAGGAAGCUUGAAUUGAGCUAAAAGUCCAAGAACACUUAGUGUGUGUUCUUGGUGUUUUUAGAAAACUAAUCAAAACACAAAAAUGGAUGGAUUAAAGGAUGUACAAUCACUAGAUUAAGUGAUAUACUAACUUGAAAGGGCUAGAAACACUUACUAGAUUGAAGAUAUUGAACAAAACUUGGAUGAUACUUGAGAGGGUUUUUGAGUUUACUCUUUUAGGGUGAAGAAAUGAAAAGUGACUAAUUUGAGGAGUAAACUCAUGCUUAUGCAUGAGUUCACGGUUUUUGGAUGAUUUUUCGACCCAAACAUAAAAGUUUGGUCGUGAACUUCUAAGACACGAGGUGUUUGCGGUUUUUAAAUUUCAAAACCUGAGACAACACUUUCUUUCACCCGUUUGUUUAAAGAGUAAUAUUAAAAUAAUAAAACGAACUUUAAAUUUGCUAAAAAUAAGUAAUAAUGUAAUUGACCUAUAAAUCGAAGUGAUUGACUUUUAGGGUUUGACCGAAUGAAAAUUUCGGGUUGUCACAGUAAUGUUUUGUGUGUGCUAGCUGUAACGUGUGUUCUCUCUCUAUCUAGCAAGUAUUGACUCAUGAAUGAACUGACUCAUUGUAUGGUAGCUUACUAGUAAUGUAACUGGUACGUAUGGACAUGGACGUAUACCCUUGCUACCCAAGGGCAUUAAAUGAACUGGAAGAAUCUUUAUGACUAUAUAUGUACACAUGAAAUAUAACUAGUAUUUAAACGACCUUCGGACGGGUACCCGAUAUCCCACCAGAUCACAUCUCAAGCGCGAAAAGGAAAUAGGGCGGCCAGGCCUUCCUAAGCCUUUUAAACAUUGCUUAUAUAACUAUACAUACGUAGACAUGCAAUUGAUAAUAUAAAAGCAUAAAAUAAGUUUUGUAAAACCUUUGAACACAAUUAUUAUCUAAGAAAAGAUCGACUUGAUGUCAAUCUAUAACACGGGUUGAAAGCAUGGGUUUGAUAAAACAGUUUAAGUAUAAAGAAACAUUUGUUUGAAACACAAUUGUAAAUGAGUUUGAAAUGAAACAUACAAAGUAAAAUGAACAGUUUAAUAAGGAGUUUUAAACAUAUAAAAUGUUUAUGAAAAUGUAACAACCCGAAGUUGUCCAUCGCCGAAACCCAUUUCGUCCGUAAAACCCAUCUUUAGCAAUUCGUUCCGUUUCGUUUUGGGGGUAAGUUAUUUAAAUUCAUAAGUUUAUUUUAAUCUCAUGAGUGUUCAAAUCCCUUAGAAACUCAUGAAAAUGGCCCAAAAUCAUUAAUUAAAAAUUGCUAAAUUCAACCCCACCGGAUUACGAUAACUUAAUUGGGUGCGACCAAAAUCCCCGUUUAAUGUCGGUAUCGGGUAGAAUUCCUCAGUGUCCAAAUAUUGGAGCCUAUUUAAAGAGGAUCAAGCUUCCAUUUGAAGCUUUUGCUCUCUCUCACUACUCUCUCUCUAACCUCUCUCCUCAAAUCAAAACUAAGGGUCCAAAAUCACAAAUUAAGGCUUCAAAUCAACAAGGUAACUUCCCUAACUCCUUGUAUAUCAUCCUUAGACUUCAAAUUCGUGAUUUUUCUAUGAUUUAGGACCAUGUUUAUGUGUUUACGGCCCUGGAACAUGCUUGGGCCGUAAACACACAUAAAGGGGUCUUUUAUGCCUUAAAACCCUUCCAAAACACCAUUAAGGCUUAGAUAUGGCUUAUAGAACUAUGGAAUUGGACUUAGAACACCUUGAACAUCAAUUUAGAGGAGUAACACAUGAGUUUACUGCCCAAGAACAUGCUUGGGCCGUAAACUCAUUAACAUGGAGAGUAAACUCCUUCUAAGGUGUUAAAUUGACACUUAUACACCUCCUAAGCCUUGAACAAAAAUCUAGAAACAACCACAAACGAGUUAGAAGCCAAAAACAUGAGGAAAACAACCGGAUAAGGAGUUCACGGCCAUAAGAUGGAGGCUUGGGCCGUAAACUCCUAGAAGUAUGUCAAAUGGUGCCCAAAUUUUACUCCUUGGAUUGUAAAAUAGCUUGAAAUCACAUGUGAUUAAUUAAGGACCACCAAAACACAUUUUGGUUAUGUAUUCAAGAGCUUACGGCCGUAAACAUAGAGUUUACUGCCGUAAACUCCUCAAAUGGUCCCUGAUUUGUCCAAAUCACUUUUCCAUGCCUUGAAACUAACCCUAGAUUUUCCCUCAAGUGAUAUGAAGCCAUUUAGCAACCAAAAGCACCCCACUAUGAGUUUACGGCCGUAAACUCAUGGGGAAUGGGACACUAGGGCCGAAAACUCUAGUAUGAGUUUACUCUUGAAGAGUAAACUCCAUAUCCAAGCCUUAUGUGUCCUCAAAUGUCACCCGGGUCCCUCCAAACACAUAUAAUGAAGUGUUUUUGCAUCUAGAAGUGUUUGUCCUUAACAAAUAAAUUAUUCAAGUCUUAAUUAGACACAAAUGUGUAUCUUUUCAUAAUACAUAGGAAUCUUGUGCGUUUGCAAACCCAAAACUGACGUUUAGGAUCCAAACCGAAGCAUUCCUCAACUGGUGAGUUCAUACCCUACCCUUUUUCCGUGUUUUUCAAAUGUUUUUCAAAUGUUUUCAGGGGGGAAUACAAGCAAAAGUACAAGGGAAAUCUUUUACUUAAACUUAUUUUUAGUUCAAAUGUUUCAUUUUAUGUAUGCUUCUAAUAUCGAAAAUCAUGUUAACUAAUGGUUUGAAUUGCAGGGUUUAAAAACCGUUAGACUAAAUAACAAAUUUCCUUAAAAAGUGUUAUAAACUAUAUUACAUUUUGCAAAAGAAAUCAUACUAAUCAUAAACUAAGAUUAAUACUAAUAAAAUACGAAUGUAACCAAUAGGAUAGAACUAAUACGAAUACUAAUGCGAAUACUAAUACGAAUACGAAUACGAAUAUAACUAAUAGGAUAGUACGAAUACAAAUAUGACCAAUAGGAUAGUACGAAUACGAAUAUGAAUAUAACUAAUAGGAUAGUACGAAUACGAAUAUAACCAAUAGGAUAGUACGAAUAUGAAUACGAAUACAAAUACGAAUAUAAUCAAUAGGAUAGUACGAAUACGAAUACGAAUAGGUAUACGAAUACGAAUACUAAUACGAAUACGGAUACGACUGCGAAUAGAAAUAGGACUACGAAUACGAAAUAACGCCUUUGGAUGACGCCAAGACUUCGAAUAUACAGUUUGUGUACGCCUUGAGUGUCACCAGAGUUUUGAAAAUAAUUCGAAAGUACGCCUCUGGACAUCGACUGAGUUUCGAAUACAUACGCCUUAGGACGUCGACAGAGUUUCGAAAAUACGUCUAGUGUACUCUUUUGGAAAUCACCAGAACAUCGAAAAUACUAUUAAUGUACGUUUCUAAGUGAAUCCAAAUAUUCGAAAUACAACUAAGUAUAGUAGAUAAUCAACAUUCGAAUGUAGGAUAACUAAGAUAUCAGAUUACUUAACUAAUACUAUAAGUGUGAUAGUUACUAAUACUUCGAAAUCUAAACUAAGAACUAACGACAAGACAUAGGAAAAUAUGGGAUUUUCCUGGGAUAACGUAACAACUUUUAAACGAAUUAAGUAACGAAUGGACAACUAAACACUUAGGAAAAUAUGGGAUUUUCCUGGGAUAACAUAACAACUUGUAGACGAAUUGGUAACAAAAGAUAACUAAACUGUUUUCAUAAGAAAAUAUGAGAUUUUCUAGGAUAACAACUUUUUCAGAAAACAAAGGAAACUCAUUCUUUUCAAAACUAAACCGCUUAUGAACUCACCAGCUUUAUGCUGAUUUUCAAACUGCUUGUAUUCUCAGGUCAGCAUUAGACAGGUACACUGCCAUCUUUUGGAGAAGACGGAGCGUUAAAAGACUCGUCUUUGUUUUUGUUCAUAUGAUAUAUGUAUAUAACACUUGUAUAACUUUUCUUUCAAACAGAUGUAAACAAUUUUAUGUACAUCGGAUUUGAUACUCAACAUGGAGUCCGCCCUGAAAAUGUUUCCGCCUUUGGUUUUCGGGGUGUGACAGAAAAUCAUUUGAAGGAAACUGUUUGGUAAAACGGCUAUUGAGUAGUAAAUCAUUUGAAUGCUGCUUAUUAAUCACAUGUGAUUGAUACAAUAACUAGCAUGAUUCUACUUGUAUCCCCCCCAUAAAACAUUUAAAAACACUUAAAACAUUGAUUAAGGGGUAUGAACUCACCUGUAGUGAGUGGUACUGAUGAACUGAAGAGGUAGGACUGUUAGGUGUCAAGUGAAGUCUUGAACACACUCUAUGAUCCUAGUUAACAUAUAAUAUCACAUAUAUGUAUCAAAUUAGUCUAUAAACAACUAAUAAACAAGUCAAGACACCCUAGGACAUGCUAAACACCUUUAUCAAGUGUUAUUAGCCUCAAGGAUUGCAUCUAAGUUGUUGUAGGUCAAGGCUAGGGGUUUUAGGGUUCCAAAGGACCCCAUUCUUGAGUUUACUCCCCAAGAACUAACACACAAGGAGUUUACGGUCGUAAANUUCUACUUAAUGACAUGGUCUUUGGAAGAGCUUAGGGCAUCCUUGAACUCCUUUUGAGGAGUUCACGGCCCUGAGACCAUUUCCCUUAGAGAUUACGGCCGUAAUCUCUCAUGGGGAUGGGUCUUUGGUGAUUCCAAGUCCCUAAAUUAACUAGGAAGUAAUCUAAGCUAGUGUCCAAGGCUCUUGAAGAUUGUAAAGCACCUUUUGGCCCUUGAGUUUGGAGUUCACGGUCCAAGAACUUCUUGGGCCGUGAACACCUUACUCUUGGUGUUUUUGUGUGAUUUCUAGUCCUAUACACACUAAGAUACAAGCCUAAUAUACUUUCAUUGCAUAAGGAAAGGACUAGGCACCAUUUUUGCCCUCUUAAAGAAGGGUUCACGGUCCAAGAUGUUCUUGGGUCGUGAACUCUUAAAUCUUGGGGUUUUGUUAUGAUUUCCAGGUUAAUAAGCACCUAAUAAGCCAUAUAAUACAACUAGAGAGAGGUACUCACGUUUUGGGAUGAAAGCCCGAUGAUCCUUGAGAGAGAAUUCGACUUUUCUCCAGUUGGAAAUGUAACUAAUGAAUAAAUAUGGCUCAGAAUCCUAUAUAUAGUCUUGGGAUUUUUGGCAGAAAAUAUUUUAUUCACGCAAUGAACUCUAAUAUCAUGGAGUUUUGGAAUAACAGAGUUGCACAAUACUCUAGUGCAUCCACUCUCCUGAUAUAUCCUUAAGAGUAAAUCCUGAAAUACUCCAAACUUUUCCAAAAGUCUGAAAAUUUACUGCAACUGUUCUCACUUCUAUUGACUAGAUAUGGUUUGUACAGAAUGGAAAUUUCGGGUUGUCACAUGAACCUCCACCGCGGACAUCGUAGAAGUCUCGACACAUGCCGUAGGGAGGACGCACUCCUUGCUGUUGACUCCAAUGGUGGAGGUGACUUCCCCAAAUGGGAGUGGGUCCCUGAAAGUUUCUCCUAACAGCAGGAGGUUGAGCGGCUGGUGGGUUGAUNCAGCAGGAGGUGAGCGGCUGGUGGGUUGAUUACCUCUGGUUCUAAGUCUGUCCUAGAGUCAUCCCCUUCAUCCAACUCGAUAGGUUCUUUAUCCUCUUCGGGAUCUUCUUGGACCCAUCCCCUGUUACUUUGGUUGAGAUAGUAGGGGUCUCCGUGUGGAAUGAAUCCAGCCAUUUGACUAUACGAGAAUAGGGUUAUAGGAAUUGAACAAAACUUGAAUCAUGUAAAACUAAGCAUGUCGAUUAAACUAUUGCAUGUACCAAAUACUCCUAUAGUAUUUAAAUUUAUAUGUUUGAUACUAGUGUUUAUUUUUGGUAAGUUUUGACUUGUUGCUGACUACGACCAUUCCUUGACAUAUGUUAGUCUAAUCUCGGAUAAAUAUAGUUGACAGGCUAUAUUCGUCCCAGAUCUGAUUACAUAUUUCGAGGUCUAAUCGUAGUGUCCAACUUGUCUUAAUACUUCUUGUAUAGUUCUAACCAUGAAAAUAUAUUUUUGCAUGCAUGUAUUUGUACUUUUACGACCCAAAAUAAUCUAGAUUAAAUGAAACAAGGCUUUAGGUGUAAAAACGUUUUGUCAGAGAGUUUUAGUCCCUUAUGCAUUUAUAGUUUGUAUAUCUUAUGUGGUUCGAUAUACUUAGUUCACUAUAAACAAUGCUCUGAUACCAAUCUGUCACACCCCCAAACCAGAACGGCGGAAUCGUUCGAGGGCGGAUGACUUCAUGUAGUAUCGAAAUAGUUGAAUACAUAGUAAAGAAAGUAACACAACCAUCAUAUAUAUAAUUUGAAAGUUUACAUUGUAGAAAGUACUUGUUUCAAAAGAAAUUACAAUAUGAUGUCAAAAUGAAAUUAAACUAACGCUGCAGCGUCCAUUCUUCAAAAGCAGUAGUUUACCUGUAUUACUGAAUCCCUAAGAAAUACAAGUAGUUUUGAAAGUGUAGGUCAACAUUUAAGCUGGUGAGUUCAUAAGUAUUUAGUAAAAUUGUUUGUAUGAAAUAGAAUGAAAUUGGUUUGUACAUGUUUAAAUUUUCCUAGAAAAUCCCAUAUUUUCUACUAUAGAAGAUGGUAGUUUAAUUGUUCCAAAACUAUGACGUAAUAGUGCUUUUUAUGCCUAAAAUAGUAGGUUUAUAUAUAAAUUGUUAAGGCAUUUGAAAAACCCCAUAAAUCAAAGUGUUUUUAAUACUCCAUGUGAGUCUUAUAACCAUGCUAUUUGACCAGGAUGCCUAUAACAACGUUCUUCAGGCGUUGGAAAGUUAUGACAUUUGUCACCCCAGGCCUGCCAGCCUAGCUGUAGCUAACAGCUUAGGUGCGGGAUUGUCAAUCCCAAAUAGAUCUAUACACAAGUAUCACAGUCCCCCUACAAGGGAUUAUGGUAUAUAAUACAGGACUUAAAAUACAUACUCGAAAGUACGUGAAAUGUCUCACAAAACAUAGUAUAAAACAGAUUUACGUAUGAAAAUGUCCAUUUGUUCUUGUAUAUGAAAGUAUUUCCUUGAUAUAGUAUUCGUUAGUAUGUAAAUGUUCAUGAUUUUCUCAUAAACUAUACCUAUUAUAGUUUCUCAAAAUGUGUGUUUCGUUUGUAUAGUAAACCCUAGUGUAAUGCUCACUUGUUAUGAAAAGUAUAACAUUUAAAGUGACAUAAAUGAUCACAUAUACUUAAAGUAUAAAUAAAGUGUUUGAUUCGUAUAUACAUAUAUAAACAUGUUUUAUUUCCAAAAGACAAGAUGUUAUCCAGAAUAUAUAUUGCAUACGAAAGUUCCUAUGUAGUAGUUAUGAAUCACAUAUGAUUCACUUGAUAAAAAGAGUAUAUAGUGAAACUUUAUGUUACACACGAUAAUAAGCGUGUGUUUACUUGUAUUCCCCCCUUAAAAGCGUAAAAAAAAGCAUUGAUAAAACAUUUGAAAGUGUAGUUUAUAGGGGUAUGAACUCACUUGGUUGAUUGAAGAUAGUGAGAUGAAAAUUGAGCAGAACUUCGGCUUGUGAAAGUCGAUUUUCUCAGGAUUCUCCGGAAUCUCGGGAAUGCAAAACCUUCCUUCGGGACUUGUACGCGAAUACCGGGGCUUCGGGGGGGGGGGGGGGGGGGGGGGGGGCGCUGANGGCUUCGGGAGGGUCUCGGGGGCUUAGAAGCAGAGUUUCAGCACAAGAGAAGAGAGAAUUGAGCACUAGAACUCGAAACCAUGGGUUUCUAUUUAUAGGCUGAGUUUUGGGGUCUCACGUCGUGAGUUUUGGGUGUCUCACGUCGUGAGGCUUAGUCAGAAUGAUCAUCUUCGACGAUUUGAUGUGGCUGACACUCUGGCACCCAUCAAUCACGAGCUCACGUCGUGAUUUUUGGUCCCCUCACGUCGUGAGGCUGAGUUAGUCUCGCAUUUUGUGUCUCGAACUUGUAAAAUCCGUAACUUUUGCGUAUGAGCUCCAAUUUCAGCGUUCUUUAUAUGCACGCGUAGGUGUGAAAAGGCUCUACAAAUCUCAUUUAGACUUCAUCGGCUAAUUUUGACUUUAUUUUUAUUAUGUCAUUUUUAACGGGCCGGGACACGAAAAGUCCGUUAAAAAUCCAUAACUUCUUCAUCCGAUGUCCGUUUUCGUUAGACUUUUCACAGUUGCGCUACUAUUGUUGGGACCUUCGAUUCUCAUUUAGGUUGUUUCGGCCAAAAGCCUCUCGAUCUCUAUUGCGAGUUUUUAGCUGUCUACUAUUAUAUCCGGAUUUUGGAAAAAUCAUAACUUCCUCAUACGAAGUUAGAUUUGGACGUUCUUUUUAUGUACCUUGACGGUUUAAUGAUAUCUACAACAUUCAUUUAGAUACUUAAGGCUAAAAACUAUUGUAUUGAAACUUUGUGUUUUUCGUUUAAUCAGUGUUGCCUGUUUUGUCGGAAAUCUUAGAAUGGUCAUAACUUCUUCGUUAUAACUCGGAUUUUAGUGUUUUUAGUAUUUCUGUAAACCUUGACACAAUAUCUAACAUAAUAGGUAACCCAAUAGAGACUUUUGUACAUUUUAUUUUCAAAGUUAAUUUCAUUAUUUCAAAAGUGGUUAUAAUACUUGACUUUUUAGGUUAUUACAUAAAGUCGAAAUAUCGGGUUGUCACAAUUAAGGGACACCGAAAACUUAGCUCAGAACAAUACUGGCCAUAUGCACCAGAUGCGAGAGAGAGUUGCAAGGGCCGAACAGGAAACGCAGGAGGUCAUAAGGGAAUUUCACAUGAGACAGGAGAUAUAGGAGGCUCGACUUCGAGACACUGAGCGACAGGUGGCCCAACUACAGAGAGCAUCCACAUCUACAUCACCACCCCCUGGCACAUCUCGUCACGACUAGGACCAACACUAUCCUUCACCAGUAUUGCUAUGUUAUUUUCUUAUGUGUACGAUGUUAUGUACUCCCGACUCUAUGUUUAAGUGAUUACACAACUCAUAGAGUCGUUAUGUUGUCGGAUUUUAUACUCUCAUGUACUGUAUGCUCUUUUGGGCAAAAUUUUCAUGAAUGAAAAAUCGGAUUACUAGUGGAAAUACUAUGUGUUUUAUUGUGAUGCUAUUACCUGCUAUGUGAUUUAUUCCCUUAAUUCAUAAUGAACUAUAAAGUUGAAUACAUGCACAAAUAAAACCACCAGGGUAGUAGUACCAUAAACAUACGAUAUGCCCUCAUCAUCUUUCUGUGCUAUUACAGAAGAUGCCUCGAAGAAAUCCGCCUAGGAACAAUGAUACAACACCACUGCCACCACCACCACUGACUCCAGAUAUGAACUCAGUUGCAAUUGCAGCAGCUUUGACUCACAUUCAUAACGGAAACAACGGUGGAGGCAAUGGAAACGGAACUGGAAGUUCAAAUCAAGGAAUGAAUCAAGGGCCGACUAAGUCUUGUACUUAUAAGGACUUCAUCAAUGCUAAACCACGAACCUUUAGUGGGUCGGGAGGAGUGAUAGCCUUAAAAAGAUGGAUAAAGAAGGUGGAAUCUGUGUUCGAAAUAAGUGGAUGCUUAGAAGAAAACUAAGUGAAAUUUGUUGCGUGUACGUUUGUGGACCAAGCCCUUUCAUGGUGGAAUGGUCACGUUGAGGCUAUGACACUCCCGGUGGCUAAUGUUAUGCCUUGGGAAGAACUGAAGGAUAUGCUAAGGGCGGAAUAUUGCCUGAGAGGGGAACUUCAAAAGAUGGAGCAGGAACUGUGGAAUCUCACGGUUCGAAACUCUGACAUAGACACCUACAUCUCAAGGUUCAACAAAUUAUCACUCUUGUGCCCAAGGAUGAUCAACUCGGAAGGGAUGAAGAUUGAGAGGUUUUUUGGGGGAUUAACCUCCCAUAUUCAAGGGAAUGUGAUUGCGGCUAAUCCAGAAACUUUUGAUAGCGCCAAGAGAUUGACAAAGAAAUUAUAUGACCAUGAGAAGAAGAAGAGUGACAAGUCUAACGAAAACAAGAAGGAAGAUGAUAACAAAAAGGGGAAGAACAACAAUGAAAGGGACAACAAGGCGGGGAGUCAUCGAAGAAAUAACAGACAGUAACAGCUCAUGCAGUAACCACUCAAGUUCCCUCCACACCACAUGCUCUAGCCUCAGCUACACCAAGUAUCCCUAGACAGUACUCCAGAAAUCUCCCAAGGUGCAGCAAGUGUAAUCUCCAUCACAACGGCGAAUGUAGGGAGAUGCAGUGCACUAGUUGCAGCCGAAAAGGUCAUACAACAAGAUAUUGUAGGACCUAUCCUCCCCAGAACCAACAAGGGAACAACUAUAACAACAACUGCAACAACAAUAACAACAACAACAACAACAACAACCGCAACAACAGCAACAACAACGUUCGGGCCAGCCACACUGCCCCAACGUUAAUAAUCAAGGAAGUGGAGGAUCGGGAAGGGUGUUGACCCUGGGGCAAGGAGAAGCGGUUCAGGAUCCCACUGUUGUCACUGGUACGUUCCUACUUAACAACACAUAUGCAUGUAUCUUGUUUGAUAGCGGAGCAGAGCCCAGUUUUGUGAGUAAUAUGUUCAAAAACUUGUUAAAACAACAACCCUAGAAGCUCAAUGAAGCAUUCACGGUGGAAAUGGCUAAUGGGAAAACAGAAUCAACCAAAGAUAUCUAUAUAGAAUUCUUAUUAACCUUAAACAAUCAUACAUUUCCAAUAAAUUUGAUGCCAGUAAACAUUAGGAGUUUUGAUGUGAUAAUUGGCAUGGAUUGGUUGAACCCCCACCAUGUUGACAUUAUGUGCCACGGGAAGGUCGUUCACCUUCACCUCCCCAAUCACAAAACCCUAAUUAUUUAUGGAGAUAAACCUGGCAUCAAUCUCCAUCUCAUCUCGUGCAUCAAGGCACAGAAGUGUCUACACAAGAGGAACUAUGCAUUUUCUGGCUCACAUUGUAGACAAGUCCAAAAAAAAAUAAACAUUCGAGAUAUCCCAUUGGCGUGUGACUAUCCGGAUGUAUUUCCCGAGGAUCUUCCAGGGAUACCCCCGGAAAGGCAGGUCGAAUUUCGAAUUGACCUUGUACCCGAAGCCACUCCAAUAGCCAAAUCACCUUAUAGGUUAGCUCCCACUGAGAUGUAAGAGCUAUCGAGUCAAUUGAGUGAGCUUCUAGAUAAAGGAUUCAUCAGACCCAAUUUUUCUUCUUGGGGAGCUCCAGUUCUUUUCGUCAAAAAGAAAGAUGGAUCCUUUAGAAUGUGUAUUAACUAUAGGGAGUUAAACAAACUCACUAUAAAAAAAUCGUUACCCUCUUCCACGAAUCGAUGAUCUAUUUGAUCAACUUCAAGGAGCUAGUUAUUUUUCAAAAAUAGAUCUGAGAUCCGGUUAUCAUUAACUCAAAGUCCGAGAGGAGGAUAUUUCAAAGACAACUUUCCGAACCCGAUAUGGACAUUACAAGUUUGUCGUGAUGCCCUUCGGUCUGACGAAUGCCCCUGCAGCAUUUAUAGACCUCAUGAACCGAGUCUGUCGACCAUUCCUUGAUCAUUUUGUAAUUGUCUUCAUUGAUGAUAUUCUCGUGUACUCCCGAAGUGAAAAAAAACAUAGUUAACACCUCCGACAAAUCUUGGAAACCCAGCGAACUGAAAAGUUGUACGCAAAACUCUCUAAAUGCAAGUUUUGGCUCCGCAAUGUAAACUUUCUGCGUCACAUUGUCAGUAAGGAGGGGAUCCAUGUAGAUCCUUCUAAGGUUAAAGCCAUUGAAGGAUGGGCAAUCCUAAUGACACCGAUACAGAUUCGCCAGUUCUUAGGUCUGGCAGGCUAUUACCGAAGGUUCAUUCAGAACUCCUCUAGGAUAGCCAAACCCCUCACCCACCUUAACUUAAAAAGGUGUACAUUUCAAUUGGACAGAGAAGCAUCAGCCUGCCUUCCAAACCUUGAAACAAGCUCUCUGUAGUGCACCCGUACUAUCGUUACCAGAGGGAACUAAGGACUUUGUAGUUUGCUGCGAUGCUUCGAAUCAGGGUUUAGGAUGUGUACUCAUGCAGCGUGGGAAGGUGAUAGCUUAUGCAUCCCGACAACUAAAGACACAUGAGGUGAAUUAUACCACCCAUGAUCUCGAAUUGGGAGUUGUGGUCUUUGCUUUGAAGAUUUGGAGGCACUACCUUUAUGGUACCAAGGGCACCAUUUUCACUGACCACAAAAGCCUCCAACAUAUUUUGAAUCAAAAAGAGUUAAACAUGAGGCAGUGAAGAUGUGUUGAGAUGCUAAACGAUUAUGAGUGUAAAAUCAAGUACCACAUAGGCAAGGAUAACGUGGUAGAUGAUGCCCUGAGCCGAAAAGAAUACUCGAAUCGUUGUGUGAAAACUCUCUCAAUAACCAUUCAAUUCCAUCUAUCAUCACAGAUUAAAGAAGCUUAGUUGGAUGCGAUGAAAUCAGAAAACAUAGUGGUCCCUAAACUUGGGGUAUUCAGAGAGGUAGUCAUGGAUGAGGCCCAUAAGACACGAUACUUCAUUCAUCCGGGUUUAGAUAAAAUGUACCUGGAUAUCAAGCAAAAUUAUUGGUGGCCUAAUAUGAAGGCAAAAAUAGCCACUUAUGUAGGAAAGUGUCUCACCUGUGCUAAGGUGAAAGUGGAAUACCAAAAACCCUCGGGACUAUUUCAACAGCUAAUGAUACCCGAGUGGAAGUGGGAAAGGAUUACCAUGGACUUUGAGACCAAAUUACCCAAGACAACUGAAGGGUUAGAUGCCAUAUGGGUAAUAGUCAAUAGGUUGACAAAAUCUGCCCAUUUCCUGCCGAUAAAGGAAUCAUACAAGAUGGAACGAUUUACUAGAAUCUGCGUCAAGGAAAUUGUGAGACUCCAUGGAGUGCCAAUAUUUAUCAUCUCAGAUCGAGAUAGUAGAUUCACUUCACGCUUUUGGCAAUCACUUCAAAAGGCUAUGGGAACACAACUCGACAUGAGCACUGCUUACCACCCCAUACGGAUAGUCAAAGUGAGCGAACCAUUCAAACGCUCGAGGAUAUGCUCCGAGCAUGUGUGAUAGACUUUGGUAGGUCGUGGGAUACCCACUUGCCUUUAAUUGAGUUUUCAUACAACAACAGCUAUCACAUGAGCAUCAAAGUUGCUCCUUUUGAAGCGUUAUACGGUCGCAAAUGCAGGUCACCCUUAUGCUAGGCUGAAGUGGAUGACACUCAGCUAGCAAGAGGGCAGGGACCAAACAGUGUUUUAACGGGACCAAAAAUCAUACGUGAAACGACAGAGAAGACAGUCGGAGACCGACAGAAGAGCUAUGCUGAUAAACGGCGAAAACCCUUGGAGUUUCAAGUUGGAGAUCGGGUGUUAUUGAAGGUCUCUCCCUGGAAAGGGGUGAUUCGUUUUGGGGAACGGGGGAAACUAAAUCCACUCCGUGUUCCAUGUUUCCAAUUUGAAAAAGUACUUAUCCGAUGAAACUCUUGUCAUCCCAUUGGAAGAAAUCGAAAUCCAUGAGAAUCUCCUGUUCAUCGAGGAACCAGUUAAAAUCAUGGACAUGGAAGUGAAGCGUACUAAGUAAAGUCGCAUUCUGAUUGUGAAGGUUCGAUGGAACGCAAAGCAUGGACCGGAAUUCACAUAGGAACGCGAAGACCAGAUGAAGCAAAAGUACCCUCACUUAUUCUUGCAUUCUCAAAUCUAGUUUCAAAAAGAAUUUCGGGACGAAAUUCCCUCUAACGGGGGGAUGAUGUCACAACCAGAAAAUUCUUUGCUUUUGUAAACAUUAACAAGGACAAAAUUGUAACCAAAACUUGAAAGCAUGCAUGAUGUUUAUUUAAAAACAACAAAAUUCCAUUAAAAACUCUAUACAAACACUUCAAAUGGUCAACGAAAGAUUGGAAGCCCUAAAAAUCCCAGUUUAUGUCCAAUAUGGACUAGGAUUUCCUUAAUGGUCCAAAUGGACCAAUAAGCUUCCAAUUUGAUUAUUUUGGGAUUAGGACCCUUAAAUGGGCUCUAAUUAGUCCCACCUUCAUGAGAUUUAACAUUUUGGACCUUUUUUGGCCUAAAAUGGAAUAAACUACUCUAAUAAGCCUUAUUGGGCCAUAACUAACCUAAUUAGCCUUAAUAGGCCAUAAAACCCAUUCUUUUAUGCUAAUAGGCCCGUGAACCAUUUAAUGAGCCUAAUGGGCCAAAUAAUAAUAUUGGGCUUAUGAAAAUUUAAUGCACCCGGCUGGGACUGUAGCUAACAGUCGGGGUGUGGGAUGGUCUGUCCCGUAUAGAAAUAUACACACGAUGCCUGCUCUCUCUCCAAGAGACUCUGGUUAAAAAACGUGUCACAACAAAUGUAUUGUUGUGACUGUAUCUCACAUUAAUGUUAUCUUGUUGUAAUAGUAUGUUCCUCCCUGUUCUAGUUAUAUUAAGUUCUGAACCCCUAAACUAUACCUAUUAUAGUUUACUAGUAUGUUUUUAACUGUCCCUAAUUUAUAGAAAAGACUCGAGUAUCUACUAAGUUAUGAUUGUACUUUAAAAAAAGAGUUUUAUAAACAACAGAGUAACAUAACUUUAAAAAGAGUUUUUGAAAUGAUUUGAUCACUUAUAAAGCAUAAGAAAUCCUUUGAAAUGAUGGUUAUCACAGAUAAACAUGAACACAAUAUCAUUAUGUUCAACUUGUAUCCCCCCCUUAAAAGCAUUUAAAACAUUUAAAAGAUUGAUUAUAGGGGUAUGAACUCACCUUAUGUGGGUGAUUCAAUUGAAGAUUUGUAUAAGGAUGAGAAGUUCCACGAAUGACUUCCAGAGAUACAAACGAGUCCUAAAUCACAUAUAAUGGCAUAUAUAGGCACGUAAUUAGUGUUUAAAACAACCUGCAAGGAAACAACCCUAGGGACUAGGAAAAACUUGGAAUGAAGUGUUACAAUCACAUGUGAUUGUCUAAAGGGAGUUUACGGCCAAAGGAAGGUGUGUUCACGGCCACACUUGAGUUUACGGCCAAAGGAGAUAAGUUUACGGCCACACCAAGUGUUUACUGCCGUAAACACUCCAAAAUGAUGCAUUUUGGAUCUUUAUUAUUACUUGUAGGGUGUUUGUCUCAUGAGACAAGAGUUUCUAAUGAAUAACAAUAUGAUAGAAGAAAUACUCCCAUUUUGGAUGAAUUUAGGGUGUUCACGGCCCAAGAGGUGUUCUUGGUGAAAAGAUGAAGAUUUGAAGAUCUUGAAGGAAAAGUGAUGAAUUCAAGGAUGUGAUUCAUAGGAUUCAUAUGAACAAGAAGAUUAACUAGCAAAAUGGAGGAAUUCUUACGUUUUUGAAGAGAAUUAAUGGAUUCCCUUGAUGAUACUUGAGAGAGAAUUAGUUUCACUGACUUGAAGAUGUGAGAAAUGAAGAACAAAUGAAUGAAAUCUAUACUUAUCAUGGGAGUUGAUGGCUAGGAGGGUGUUUACGGCCAUGAAUAGAGUUUACGACCGUCAACCCCAUGUGGUUGGCUUUCUGGUUCGGGUGCAGCCUUCUGAUCUCGAGCUAAUACUUUAACACUCAAUCCUUAAGUGUACUAGGUUUAGAACUCAUUAGAAUGACCCUUAACAAGGCUAAAAGGCAAUAGAAUUUAAUCUAACUUUUGGUUGAUUGAAUUGACUUUACAAGAUAAAGAAUUUCGGGUUGUCACAUCAUCCCCUCGUUAGAUGGAAUUUCGUCCCGAAAUUAGCUUUCUUAGCAACUCCAGGGGUCACACUUCUCUAAAUAGCAGAACACUCACUCGUAGACAUGACAAUUUUGCCCUUACGCUCAUGACACGAUUCAUACCUGGUCCAUUUAUCAUCACCUCGUGUAUACAAGUCGUACAUAAUUGAGAUUAGUAAGACGGUCAGAUGUGCGACUCUGCCCCAGGUCCACAACCAAACAAGGAACAAGAGAUAGGGUGGAAACACACAUACUAAAUCUAUGUAAUCAAAAUUAUAUACCACCCUCGUGUAUACACUUAAUAGUGAUAAGUAGGUUUGUAUAGCCUCUAUGCUCGAACUUGAUUUGCUGAACGAGUGGUUGUGACAACCCAAGUUGUUCCGUUACAUUUCCCCGUUACCGUUAACGGAAUAUUCCAGUUUAUAAAAGUUCCGUUAAUUAGAGGUUGUCAAUUAAAUAAACAUUUCAUUGUUUAUAUUUAAUAUGCCGUUAAGUCGUGAUAAAAGGGAAUAAAAACGCAUAACACACAUAUCCAUUUAUUUGGAAAAGUUAGUUUUUAUUAUUACGACAACUAAAUCGGGUGCGACCAAAAGCCCCGUAUAACGGCAGUAUUGGGUAGAAUUCCACUGAGCCCCGACUCGGAACCCUAUAUAAAGGUGAGUGGAGUCCAUUGGAGACUUUUUACACUCUCUCUCUAUACUCUCUCUCUCUAGACUCGUUUUCGACCCAAAUCCGCAACCAAACGCUUCCAAAUCGUAAGUCCACUUACCCUAGAAUAUUCUAAACAUAUUGGCUUGUGUUUAUACCUCAAAAAUCGUCCCAGUAGGCAUGGAAUAAGGAGUUUACGGCCCAAGAACACUCUAGGGCCGUAAACCCCUAAUAUGGUGCCAAACAUGCCUUAAAACUCAUCCUUAAGCUUAGAAACUAUUAGGGGAUUUAGCCUAGGAGUGUUUAAACCCCAAAACAACAAGAUUUGUGGCAUAAAAGAGGGUUUACGGCCCAAGCACAUGCUUAGGCCGCAAACACCCUCUAAACUUGUUAAAUCAAGUUCCAAACACCUUGACUGCUAGCUACAGUACACGGCUCACCAAGCCAAGGGGUGACAAAUGUCACAUUAUAUAGACGCUUGAAGGGCGUCUGGUACUCUAGUGUCGGUUAGUAUGGUUACGAGUAUCCCGGGUUACCUUAUAAUUCAUGGCCUUAAGGUAAUAGUAUUCACCGGCAAUUUACACUGUAUGCUGGCAACUCAUUUUCAGAGUCACACUGUUUUGACCUUGCAAGACGUAUCUUUCAUUUGAUACUGUCUGGGGUCUGUCUCCUCUGUUUUGACCUUACAAGACGUAUCUCUCGUUUGAUGCUGUCUGGGGUCUGUAUCCACUGUAUUCAUAGAAUCCACUGUAUUCACUGUGUUCACUGUUUUUGACCUUGCUAGACGUAUCUUUCAUUUGAUACUGUCUGCGGUUUGUAUUCACUGUUUUGGACCUUACUAGUUGUACCUUUCAUUUGGUACCUUCUGGGGUCUGUGUCUCUAUUUGUUAGACUGAACCAGGUGUGUCGUUUGUUUGAUACUCUCCUGGAGUCUAUGAUUCCUUUGCCUUAGUCAGCAGUCCUCAUUGCUGAGGCAUAUGUUAUUUCCCUGUUGUCUCUUGCUGUCUUUAAUAAUCAAAUUUAGUAUUUUGAUAAUGAUAGCAAUUAAGGGAAAACCACUUAUUACCACAUAACACUGACCAGUCUUGGUACUCGCUUUUCAAAUAACUUGUAUUCUCAGGUUAGCAUUAGACAGGUACAUCCCCGGAGCUGUUGAUGAAGAUAGCUUAGUACCACGCUACAUUUAUUCUAUUACUUGUAUCACUUUGAUGUAUUAAUGUAACUAUGUAAAACUAUUACUAUUAAUGCAAUGUUUUGUUGUACUUUGAUUACUAUAAUGCAUGUGUUGUGAUACUUGACAUGACGUCAUCCACCCCAGAACGUUUCCGCCGUUCCGGUUUUGGGGUGUGACAGAUUGGUAUCAGAGCAUUGUUUAUAGUGAGCUAAGUAUAUCAAUUCAUAAAAGAUAUACAACCUAUAAACACAAAGGGAUAAAACACUCUGACCAAGAAUUAUACUUUAAAAUAUAACCAUAUUUUACCAAAGUAUAAUAACAUCCAGAAUCUAAACACUCGAACAAAAGUAUCACAAGAAGAACAAUAAUAAAAGUCUUCGGAUGUUGAGCACUACAGUCAAACCUGGGCAGUUAUGUAAUCGUAAGCUGGGAUAAAUGUAACCUGAUCAACUACAUUUAUCCGAGAUGCGAUGAACAUGUGCUUGGGAGUGAUAGUGGUGUACAACAGGUCUGAAACUUACCAACUAGGAAUGCUAGAGCCAAACAUAAAGUUAAAAUACUAUAGGAGUAUUUUAGAACACUAAAAGAUCCACACUAAUCCCAGAAUGAUAUUCAGAAGAUAAGAAUCAAACAAGAAUUAAAAUACCAUAGGGGUAUUUUAGAAUCCAUAAACAACCUUGCGUGAAUAACUAAAAAGAUCCUUAUUGAUAUACCUACAACUACAGAGGGUGUACUCCCAAGGUUAUAUAUAAUAAGGAUCCCAUAGGCUAAGAAUGUGUGGUUUCGCUCUAUUUCCUUUUCCUCGUUGGGAUGUGGUUCUAGAGUAGUAUCACAUAUUCGAAGGCCUAUCGGAUCUAAGCUAUAUAUGAUUUGUAUACCCUGUGUAAUCGUAGCAGGACUCGAUAUGGAUCAUACAGUGAAAUGUUAAUAAUCUCUUAGGAUUCUUUAGACAUUUCCAUUCUCGCACGAACCCUGUAGAAAACCCUACCCACUUCAGUGCUUGACAGAAGAGUUGAUUCCGACCCCGAGGAGGUUCAUUGAGAAGAUUUCCUGUUCGGAAAUAAAUGAACUGGGUCGAGACUAUUGAAUGCUCCAAGUGCCCAUAUUCUUUUAGGGACAGUGGUGAGAGAUUCGCCUAAACUUCCGAGAUUCCAGUCAUCCAUCAUGAAGCGGUGACACCCAGAGUUGGAAUCAGAAGGAAGGCAGGGUAGAAAUUCAAUGUCUUCACAAGAAAAGAACCCUAGGUAACUACCCGAAGGAAACCAACGCCGAUUCCAGCCAAAGAUAUGAGGCAGACAGAGGGAGCCAGUACACAGAACCCGAGAAUUGUCUUUUCCUCGUGUUCGUCACACUAAUAAACCCGUAAAAUAAUACAAUUUAGUGAGUUAGUGUUUACACUACUCACGCUAUGUGUUAGGUAAAUCGUCGAUUCCCGUUGCCAGAUACACGAUUAGGGCGGAUCCCUGCAUCUCUAUUGAGAGAAUUUUAGCUAUUUGUCCUUGUGAGCCUCUCUUCCCGCAGUUUCAUUCCGAACCGUUCUCAAAUCUCUCCAAGCCGGAGAGUGAAACCUUUCCCAGUAUAAAGGUAACUUAGUAGGAACGACUCGCAUCUUAUGGCCUUUUUGUGAUACUCAUACACCCACUUCGAUUACCAGGACUACAUCAUAGGGAUGUAGGUCGACACUCAAACGACCAGUACCCGAGGCACGGGAAAAUUUAUGCCUAAUACGUUCAGGACAGAAAUGUCCAGGGUUAACCAUCAUCUCUCAUUACCUUGUAUUCCUUUCCGUGUAGGAAAACCAUGCCACCGAAGAAGCGUAACCAAUCCACAAGCAAGAAACCUGCUCUCUUAUUCGAUGAAGCUACGUUCCAAGCUGCAGUCUCAGCAGCCGUAGCAGCUGUCAUGGCUCACCUGAAUGCUAACACCGCCAAUGUUAGCAAGGGCCCUGUCGGGAAUUCCAAUCCUGGCAAUGGACAGCAGCAAUCAACACUUCCAUACUCAGCCACCGAAGAGCCUCCACUGAACCCACUAAAGAGAAAACUCAAGAUAGAGGAGGGAAGUACCUCGGCUCAAGGACCUUCCGAUGGGCAACAAGCUGAGGCAGUCUAUACCCCUGUCAAUCCUUCCCUCCCGACUCCACGAAGACCAUACCUAGGAGACCUUCCCCACUGUAGCAAGUGCAGCUACCAUCAUCAUGGUGUCUAUCGGGAGCUCUAUUGUGCUAGGUGCCACAUGUUGGGGCAUACUGCUCGCGUCUACAGAACCCCGGUUGAGUUCAUUACAUCAACCACCAAUGUGGUGACCCGUACAGUUUGCCACCUAUGUGGUAAAAUUGGACACUUCAAGAAGGAGUGCCCAACCGAAGGGAAAGACAAAGACACAGAAGGAGCCUGACACUACUGCUUAGGGAGAAGCGGCAAGGAACUCGUUAGAUUUUGGUACGUCUCUCGAUAUCGGAUAACUAAACUAAGAACAAUAAAAGACUAAUUCAAAUGUAAAUUCUUCCCAGUAAGGCGAAAGUCGCAGCACUGUUAUAAAAUUUAAAAAUUCAUCAGGUAAAACUAUAACGGCUAAACAUAUACGUUACGACCAUGUAUAUUUAAGAUGGACAGACCUAGAGUGAGCGAAUACCGCCUCAUUUCCUGUUCCUCGUUUGGUUGUGGAUUUAGGGCGGGGUCGCUCAGUCAACAGUCCUCCCCACCUUAAAUAUACAUGACUAGUAUAUGUGAGGCGAUUAUAGAAAUGCCUCGUGAGAAUCCAUUCAAGAAAAGAUACUCUAAUCGGGAGCACCUAGAACUCUCUAUAGUCCGCAUCGACUCUAAUCGGUCCAAGUAUCCGCAGUAGUGAUACAUAGGACGAAACCCUGAGACGCUUAGAACUUGUGUGCCUAUUCGGCACAUGACUCUAUCGAUCUUCACUUUAUAUCCUGUCGAGGUGUGCCAACUUCGACGACUCUAUUGAUCAUGGUUUGACUUCGUGCAACCAUGUGUACAUUAUUAGUGUUGUGAGCUUUCUCCAUGGCCAUAUCGGCAAAUAAAGGUUCCUCCGAACCCGAACCUAACACAAAUAAUCACAUCUAAUGCAAUUCGUCAAUCAUACCUCUUAUCUCAAACCUUCCGAAGUACCCACGUGAGGGUACCCCGCGCCGUCGACCGACCCCUCGUAGUCAAAUGAGCACCGAAGUGAAAGGCACUGCAGAUACCUCAGAAAACGGCAACCAUCCGAGGCAUACUCCGUAGAGUCCCCUGGGAGACCCUUCUCACCUCGCACAUCAGGUUCGUGAACCCAGAGAAUAGAACUCAUGAGGCUGGCCACUAUGACCAGGUAUACUGUUGGCAUCCAUCAAGUAUUGACGGUUAAGCCAAGCAUGAGUUCUACCAUGAACCUCUUCGCAAAACACUUUCACCCCAUUCGAUAACAUAGGAGCAGAAAUCAAGAGAACUACUGUGGAUUGAGCUAGUAAAGUUCCGAGUGAAGAGACCCUAUACCCACUAGAUUUGACUUAGACCGAGAAAAACUCAGAACCUUCGGGAGAGUAGUUGCGGUAGGUGCUCGCACCUACUCCUGCACCUUGUCCACCCAGUUAUAGACCAGUGGUGCUUAUCAUUCUCCACCCUCUCGCAAGGAGGAAAUCGUCGUCGCCCUAUAGACGAUGAAUUAUAUUUUCCGAAGUAAACACUAGGAUAUCGAGAACCACAGGGCAACCUUCGCAGCCAAGAAUACUUGGUCAAGUGCGAAGGUAGUUGAGUUAAAUCUCAUGACCCGGAUCCCGAGAAGAUUAUAGACUCGACACCAGACUUGGUGUUAGUCGAGGGAUUACGUCGGAAAACGCACUUUCCACGCUAGAAUAAACCACAGUCUUAGAGAUUCAUUGGACUAUUAGGUGUUCCACGAAUACUAUCUCACGCAGAGAUAGUAGAACCACCUCCCGAGAUAGUCCAACACUCGUCUGGUGAAACCUUAUAUUCCCGACCUCCAGGGUUUCCGCAUCUCAACUUCGUUAGUGUAGAUUCCUUUUAAACAAGCUUGAGAUAGACACUCUACAGUAAACCGAUAACCAUAAUCACACAACCCACUCGACGAUUUAGAAAGUCUCUAUCAGCCAGUUGACAGAAAACACGAAACCAAAGACCACUCGAGAUUCCUAAGAACCAACCUGAAGGGCUACACNCAUUGCAGAAUACUCCAGAAGACAACAACUAUCCGAAGCGUACUUCAUAGUUUCCCCAAAAAGACCCUUCACACCUCGCACGUCAGGUUCGUAAGCAUAGAGAUUAGGACUCAUGAGACUGACCACUAUAACUAGGUAUAUGCGUAAAGGUGGCAUAUAAUUGAGAUCAAAAAGAUUUAAGGUGUCUUUUUCCUCCCUAUUCCCUGUUCCUCAUUGGGUUGUGGGUUUGGGGUGGAGUCGCAUAGCUGAACAUCCUGCCGACCUCAAUUGUAUACUGCCUGCAUACACCCGGUAUUUGUGGUUAGACAAAGCAUGAGCUCUACCACGAACCUCUUCGCAAGACACUUUCACCCUAUUCCAUAACAUAGGAGUCGGAGUCAAUAUAAUCACUACGGGAGUCAAGAUAAUCACUGUGGGUUAAGCUAGUAAAGUUCCGAGUGAUGAGACCCUAUACUCACUAGAAUUGACCUAGACCGAGAAAAUUCAAAACCUUCGGAAGAGUAGUUGUAGUAGAUGUUCGCACUACUCAGGCACCUCGUCCACCCAGUUAUAGACAAGUGGUGCUUAUCAUCCUCCACCCUCUCGCAAGGAGGAAAUCGUCGUCGCUCGGUAGGCGAAGAAUCACACUUUCCGAAGUAAACACUAGAAUACCGAGAACCAUAGGAUAACCUUCGCAGCCAAGAAUACAUGAUCAAAGAGCGAAAGUAGUUACGUUAAGCCUCAUGACCCUGAUCCCGAAGAGGUUAUAGACUUGACACCAGUCCUGGUGUUAGUCGAAGAGUUAUGCAGGAGCAUACACUUUCCACGCUAGAAUAAACCACAGUCUUAGAGAUUCAUUGGACUAUUAGGUGUUCCACGAAUACUAUCUCACGCAGAGAUAGUAGAACCACCUCCCGAGAUAGUCCAACACUCGUCUGGUGAAACCUUAUAUUCCCGACCUCCAGGGUUUCCGCAUCUCAACUUCGUUAGUGUAGAUUCCUUUUAAACAAGCUUGAGAUAGACACUCUACAGUAAACCGAUAACCAUAAUCACACAACCCACUCGACGAUUUAGAAAGUCUCUAUCAGCCAGUUGACAGAAAACACGAAACCAAAGACCACUCGAGAUUCCUAAGAACCAACCUGAAGGGCUACACGCACAGUACGAGUGAGAACGUUAGGAACUUCGGAAUGGCGAUCACGCCAAUGAUGAUCUUGCCAUAGAAGUACACUAUGUUCUGAGUACUGAAAAGCUCUACCACUCCGAGAGCUUAGGACCAUAUGAGAAUUCUCAAGGAGAUUUGGUCCAACCUUCGUCAGACCACUACUACCUUCGGAUAUACCAUAAGAUUCACACCCGAUCGAUCCACUUCUUAGAGUUGAUAUGUGAUUUCCCGACAUCACUCUUCGUGCCUCACUCAUCUUGAUAGAAUCCAUUAAGAACCCUAACCUUGUAGAUACAUCAGUUGGAACCCACUAGCUACACGAGACGGAAUCCGCAUCCUGUACGUGAAGGUCUGUCGGAAUGACAAACACAGACUAGAGUUCACUUGGGAAUGCGAGGACAACCGUAUAGGAAGUACUCUUUUACCUCUACUUGGCCAUUCAUACCUACUUCCUUUCCUAGACGUGAAUUUCGAGACGAAAUUCCCUCUAACGGGGGGAUGAUGUGACAACCCAAGUUGUUCCGUUACAUUUCCCCGUUACCGUUAACGGAAUAUUCCAGUUUAUAAAAGUUCCGUUAAUUAGAGGUCGUCAAUUAAAUAAACAUUUCAUUGUUUAUAUUUAAUAUGCCGUUAAGUCGUGAUAAAAGGGAAUAAAAACGCAUAACACACAUCUCCAUUCAUUUGGAAAAGUUAGUUUUUAUUAUUACGACCACUAAAUCGGGUGCGACCAAAAGCCCCGUAUAACGGCAGUAUUGGGUAGAAUUCCACUGAGCCCCGACUCGGAACCUUAUAUAAAGGUGAGUGGAGUCCAUUGGAGACUUUUUACACUCUCUCUCUAUACUCUCUCUCUCUCUAGACUCGUUUUCGACCCAAAUCCGCAACCAAACGCUUCCAAAUCGUAAGUCCACUUACCCUAGCAUAUUCUAAACAUAUUGGCUUGUGUUUAUACCUCAAAAAUUGUCCCAGUAGGCAUGGAAUAAGGAGUUUACGGCCCAUGAACAAUCUAGGGCCGUAAACCCCUAAUAUGGUGCCAAACAUGCCUUAAAACUCAUCCUUAAGCUUAGAAACUAUUAGGGGAUUUAGCCUAGGAGUGUUUAAACCCCAAAACAACAAGAUUUGUGGCAUAAAAGAGGGUUCACGGCCCAAGCACAUGCUUAGGCCGAAAACACCCUCUAAACUUGUUAAAUGAAGUUCCAAACACUCCCAAACCACCCAUAGGCUUAAGGCACAAAAUAAGGACAUGCUAUUUAGGGUUUGGAACAUUUAAACUCAAGGAAAUAUGGGAUGACUUGGAGUUUACGGCCCAAGCAAGUACCUAGGCCAUAAACUCCCCAAAAGACACCCAAAUGAUAGUUUUAAUCCCCCAAAAUGGCACCACACUCCAUUAUAAAUUGCUCGGAAGGUAUUAGGGGCUUAAAACUUCACAAAACUCAAAGAAUGAGAGUUUAAGGCCGUAAACUCCCUUAGGAGUGUCCCUAGGCCGUAAACUCCCAAAUGAAGCCCUUAGAAGCCUUAAACUCACUCAUGCCUUUUUGGAAAAGUGCUUAGAAAAAUCCCAUGAACAAGUAGAAGCCUUAAAACACACUAGAUACCCUCACCAUGAGUUUACAGCCGUAAACUCAUGGUGAGAUGUCCCUGGGCUGUAAACACAACUUUGGGAGUUUACUCUUGGAUAAUAAACUCCAUUCCUUAGCCAUACACGCCUUUAGACGCUGCCCGGGACACCCAAACGCUUAACCAAGGUGUUUUCUGCUCCUUUGAGUGCGUAUAUUUGUUUAAUUAGUAUUAAUAUACUAAUUGUAUGUGAACAUAUGUUAUCAUAUGUUAAAUAGGUCAUUGUGUGUGUUCAAGUCCUUGCGUGACACCGAACGCCCAAACGGCACCUUCGUCGGACCUACUUACACCAGGUGAGUUCAUACCCCUGAAUGAACCUUUCAAAUGUUUUUACAUGUUUUAUAGGGGGGGGAAUACAAGUUAAACAUGUCAGUUAUCAUAUCAAUCACAUGUGAUUGAUAACCCGCAUGCACAAGAUUUUACCACUGUCCACUGUUUUACCAAGUAGGACACUAUAAAUGGCUUUCAAAAAGGGUUUUCACUUGUUCAAGUUCUUACUUUUAUUGUUUUAUCAAAGUUCCAUUUUCAAAAUGAUUUAUGAAAGAUUCCCAAAGAUUUCUAAAGGUUUUCACACUUAUUUUACCAAAGAAUACAAAUGCGAAUUUCCUGAGUAUAAAGGUUUUUCUAAGGUUUUCAUGUAUACUUUUACUUAUUAGUUACUGCUGCUUCACUUAUGCUUAUUUUUAAACUCCUACUCGAUAACGCUUUCACUUUGUGAUGCGUUUAUACUUGGUAUUGUCUCUAUUUCGCUUAUACUUGUAGUCGCUUAUACUUGAUAGACGCUCUUACUUCACUUAUUGUCGUUUCCACUUCGUGAUACACUUACACUUGGUACACUUAUACUUCACGAUUCGAUUAUCCCACUCUGUACGCUUAUACUUCACGACUCGUAUGUUCCACUGUACACUUAUACUUCACUGUAUGAUACCACUUGAUACACACUCAAGCGUAGUUAGAUGUAUGUUUGUGCUUGUAUAGAUGCAUAUAAAUAAUGAUUGAAGGACUUAGGAAGGCUUGUCCGCCCUAUUUCCUUUUCUUCGUUGAGAUGUGGUCUGGUGGGAUCGGAUGUCCAUCCGAAGGUCGUUUGAUUCAUUAGUUAUAUAUUAUGUACACAAGCAUAGACAUACGGGUUUUCUUCAGUCAAUUCAGUUAAGAGUCUCUACCUCUAGGUCAGCACUUACAUUAGAAACCCACUACCCACUGUUUGGAAGUCAUUACCCACUAUUUGGGAUGCAUCUUCGGGACACGGCCUUCUCCGUCGUCUAGUUGGUAACCAGAGUCUCCUGUAGGGAGAGCGGACAUUGUGUGUAUAGAUCUAUACGGGAUUGACACCCCCGCACCCUGACUGCUAGCUACAGUCCACGGCUCACCAAGCCAAGGGGUGACAAAUGUCACANUAUGCUGGUAAUUCAUUUUCAGAGUCACACUGUUUUGACCUUACAAGACGUAUCUUUCAUUUGAUACUGUCUGGGGUCUGUCUCCUCUGUUUUGACCUUACAAGACGUAUCUCUCAUUUGAUGCUGUCUAGGGUCUGUAUCCACUGUAUUCACAGAAUCCACUAUAUUCACUAUGUUCACUGUUUUUGACCUUGCUAGACGUAUCUUUCAUUUGAUACUGUCUACGGUUUGUAUUCACUGUUUUGGACCUUACCAGUUGUACCUUUCAUUUGGUACCUUCUGGGGUCUGUGUCUCUAUUUGUUAGACUGAACCAGGCGUGUCGUUCGUUCGAUACUCUCCUGGAGUCUAUGAUUCCUUUGCCUUAGUCAGUAGUCCUCACUGCUGAGGCAUAUGUUAUUUCCCUGUUGUCUCUUGCUUUCUUUAAUAAUCAAAUUCAGUAUUUUGAUAAUGAUAGCAAUUAAGGGNAACACUGACCAGUCUUGGUAGAAUGCUGCUUUGAUUAAAGAAAAUAUAGGAUUUUCUGGAAAGAACUCUAAAACACUUUAAACACUUAAACUACUACUUUAUAAAGUUAUUUGGAUAAAUGUCACUAAAUACUUAUGAAAUCACCAGCAUUUGUAAAAAUGCUGAUACUCGCUUUUCAAAUAACUUGUAUUCUCAGGUUAGCAUUAGACAGGUACAUCCCCGGAGCUGUUGAUGAAGAUAGCUUAGUACCAUGCUGUAUUUAUUCUAUUACUUGUAUUACUUUGAUGUAUUAAUGUAACCAUGUAAAACUAUUACUAUUAAUGCAAUGUUUUGUUGUACUUUGAUUACUAUAAUAUAUGGUGUUUAGGUUACGGAGGGCAAGGUACUCCUCACAUGACUACUUAGGGGUGUAGAAGACAAGAGACUACACUAUGGACUAAGCCGGGUUGUCGUUACGAAUGACGAGGGUUUCGUGAAAUUGAUGGUCAAGGCAAUGGAAUUUCGAAACAUAUGAACUUAAUAUGGUGAGGACCACACCAAUCCAUGACGAAUGAUGACAACAGACUCUUUACAGGAACAAAAGUUAGGCCGAUUUGAAAGAAACGUUGGUAAUACGAUGGUGUAUUUCGAGUGUGCUCGACAAUGUACUAUGUGUAGACUUUCUAGUGCUUUUUGUUUUCUCCUUGAUAUUACCAUUUCCACAAUCGUACCGUGAUGAGCGAGCACUAACAGUGAAAGUGCUUUGAUAACUAGUGUCGAUACUCUAUAUUAUGAUCCUCCUCGGUACCUUUAUGAUCGCCUGGUAAGAUGAAUAAGACGGUCGACUGAGUGACUUUGCUCCAAAUCCACAACCAAACAAGGAACAAGAAGUAAGGCGGAAUCACACACCCUAAGUCUUCAAAAUCUUAGCUAUGCACAACCCUGAUGUACAUACUAAGCCAUCAUAGCUCCCCAAUACGGAUCUUUAGUUCUCUUACGAAUGAUGUUACUUGUUCAGUUGAGUGAGUUAUUAUAAUUACUUUUAAAUGUUUCCCCUAAGUUCUUCGUUAUCAAGCAGUCCCUCUUAUAGUGCCCUGUCUCACCACAGCCAUAACAAACCUGGUUUACUUAUACUCUGGGGACUUAGGAGAUCGGUUGUGCCGGUGCCCUAUAGAACUGGGCAGUGUGCCCCUUCUUGUGGCAAUUCAGGCAUUGCAUUUCCCGACAUACUCCGGUGUUGUGGUAGUUACACCCAUCACAAUUCGGGAGAGUUCCAACAUAUUGACUGGCAGGUGCUGGAGUAGCAGGUUUUGUGGUGGCAUAUAUAGUAACCAUUUGUUGCUCUUGCAGGGUUUCCUGUGUUGUUCGCUCUUUCCUCUUGUUCCCCAAAUUCCGUUUAUAGUCCCCUCCCUUUGAUGGCUCGGGGAAUGGGGACCACCACUCCAUGGCGGACUCCAUGGUCAAUGAGUCGUUGGGCCAGGCGUUUGGCGCUAUCAAAUGUAGUUGGGCUGGAGGACAGUACAUCCCCUUGAAUCAGGCUAGAUAAACCCCAAAGGUACCUUUCUAUCUUCUUACUCUCCGGGGUAACCAUCUCCGGGCAUAGUGCUGCCAGGUCGCUAAACCUGUCAGUGUAGAUCACUAUGUCUGAGCCGAUCAUGGUAUGCUCUCAUAGCUCUUGUUCCAGCUUUUGAACUUCGCCCCUGGGGCAGUAUUCUUCCAACAUCAUCUCUUUUAGGUUGUCCCAACCUAUAGAGUUAGCCACUGAUAGGGUCAGUGACUUAACAUGGUUAUUCCACCAUGUUAGGGCUCUGUCGGAGAAGGUGCAGGCAGCAAACUUAACUUUGCUCCCUUCUGGGUAUAGAUAGAUAGCAACGACCGAAUCUGUUUUCUCAAACCAUCACAUCAGAGCAUUGACUCCUCCAUUUCCAUUAAAGGAUUUGGGUUUUUUGUUCAUUAAGUCUUUGUACGAACACUCCCGUGGGUAUCCGUGGGUAACUCCGGGGUUGGUUAAGUGGGUACCGCUACCAGUUCCGUUGGUACCACUUUCGCUGAUGUGAGUUAGAGCAGCUGUUAUUGCGGCUGCUAUCGCUGCUUGGAGAGCAGCAGGAUUGAACUGUGGUGGUGGGUUCUUUGUUGCCUUAUUGACUCCGCACCCUACAGGUUGUGACAACUCGAAAUUUCCAUUUGUACGAACCUCAUCUAUUCAAUAGAAGCUAGUUCAGUUUCAAUGAUUUUCAAGCUUUUCCGAACAAGUUUGUGUACUUUAGGGUUUAUGUUUUAGGUGAUAUCAGGAGAGUGGAUGCUCCUGGUUUUGUGAAAUUUGGGCAUUUCAAGUUUCAUAUUGUUACAGUCCAAAAUCAGGAAUUAAAAUAUUUUCUGCCAAAAUAUUCCAGGACUAUAAAUAGUUUUCUAAAUUAAAUUAAUUCAUUAUUCACAAUUCCAAAUAGAGAAAAGCCAUAUUCUCUCUGACGGAUCUUCGGGUUUUCAUCCCAUAUUGUGAGUCUACUUUACUAAAUGUGUUUCAAUACUUGUUAGAUGCUUAUUAACAUCAAUAACAUGCUUAGAUUACAAGAUCCGGGAGUUUACCGCCCAAGAACGUUCUUGGGGAGUAAACUCCAAAAUGGAACUUUAAUGCUUUCUAGACCCAUCCCCAUGUUAGGCAACUUAUCAAGGACUUAGUGUAUGAUCUUUGUAGGCUAGAAAUCAUCCAAGAAACACAAGUCAUUGGAGUUUACGGCCAAGGAACUUCCUUGGGCCGUAAACCCCUUUUCAAGGGCUUAAUGUGCCCUAAACUUCCCCUUAUGCUUAAAGACUUUAACCCUCAAAGGCUUAUGCUUAUUUAAGACAUCUAAACCCUUCAAAAUCAUAAAUUUGUAGGAGUUUACGGCCAAGAACCCCUCUUGGGCCGUAAACCCCUUUUUGUAGGGUAAAAAUCAUUCCAAGCACACCUUAGGCCUUAAGACAAUUUACCUUGAAUACUUGGGACUAGAAUGGAGAGUAGAACACAUAAUAAUCACUCCUUGAAAGGAGUUUACGGCCAAGGAACAUAUCUUGGGCCGUAAACUCCAAGUGAAGGCACAAAAGUGUGCCUCUUGUCCCCAUUAGCCUUAGAUAAAUUCAUGGAAGCCAUCCUUGAUGUUUAAGAGCCUCAAAACAAUUAAAAGCCAUCACCCCAUAGGAGUUUACGGCCGUAAACUCUAGGGUGAAUGGACUUUAGGCCGUAAACUCCCAUAUGGAGUGUUCUAGAGCCUUAAACUACUUCAUGUGUUAUUCCAACAAAGCUAGGAGUGUUCUAGGAUCAAGAUAGCACCACAAAACACCCAAAACCACCAUUUGAGGAGUUCACGGCCAUAAACCCAUGAGUUUACGGCCGUAAACUCCAAGGUGUGGGGUUUGUUGGAUGGUGAACUCCUAUACAAGGCCAUUUGAUGUUUCAAACCCUUUUGCCUUGUCCCGUAGCAACUUAGAUGCAACCAUUUGAACCUUAAACACUCAUAAAAGUGUUUAAAUGUUUUCUAAGUGUCUUAACUUAUUUAUUUAAGUUAUUAUUUGUCUAAUUAGUUAUAUAUAUGCUUAUUAUAUGAUAACUAGGCUCGUGCGUGUAAACAAGUCUCCGUUUGCCACCUAGCACGGUAUCCGACACUGCAAUUCAAACGACUCACCACAAGUGAGUUCAUACCCCUUGAAUCAACCUUUGAAAUGAUUUUAAAUGUUUUAAAAACUUUAUGGGGGGGAAUACAAGUCAAAUACUUAUAGUUAUUGCUUCAAUCACAUGUGAUUGCAUUUAAUCACAUGUGAUUAAUAACUAGGAAAACAACGAUUUUUACCACUGUUCAAACUGUUUAUCAAACUGCUUUACUUUGAAAUGUUUUACAAACUGUUUUACUAUCCAAACUUACUUAUAGACUGUGAUUCAAACAAAUGCUUCUUAUACUUAAACUGUUUUAUCAACUUAUGCCUUCAAAUUGUUUUAUAGAUCGACAUCAAGUCGAUCUUCUCUUGAAAUUAUAUUUAUGCUUCAAAUGUUUUAUGAAAACUUAUUUAUGCUUUUAUAUAUUCAAUUGCAUGCCCAUAUAUGUAUAGAUAUAUAAAUAAUGUUUAAAGGGCUUAGGAAGGCCAUCCGCCCUAUUUCCUUUUCCUCGAUUUGGAUGUGGUCUGGUGGGAUUUCGGGUGACCAUCCGAAGGUCGUUUCCAUAUUACUUAUAUAUCAUAUAUACAUGUAUAGACAUAAAAGUACUUCCAUAUUCAUACUCAUCAGUACAUCAUUAGCUGGUUACCAUCGGGGUAACGCAGGAUCAUACAUAUACAGAUAUACUAGAAACAAUACAUAUACAGAUAUACUAGAAACAAUACAUAUACAGAUAUACUAGAAACAAUACAUAUACAGAUAUACUAGAAACAAUACAUAUACAGAUAUACUAGAAACAAUACAUAUACAGAUAUACUAGAAACAAUACAUAUACAGAUAUACUAGAAACAAUACAUAUACAGAUAUACGAGAAACAAUACAUAUACAGAUAUACGAGAAACAAUACAUAUACAGAUAUACGAGAAACAAUACAUAUACAGAUAUACGAGAAACAAUACAUAUACAUAAAUACGUAAUAAUUGUGAUCCACUGUAUCGGGCAUGCCUUAAAUGUCAUGGCCCGAGUUGUAGCCAGAAUUCUCUUGGAGGGAGAGCGUGAGUUUGCGUAUAGAUCUAUACUGGAUUGACUAUCCUACACCUUGCUGCUAGCUACAGCCGGACCUGCAGGUCUGCGGGUGCCAAACGUCAUUUCUUUUUUUACGACCAUUCAUUAUGUCGUUGUUACCAGUCGAUAGCAUGGUGCAAUUUAUCACAUUAUGCCUUAAUAUAAAUCCGGUUUAAGGUAGUAGUAUUUAGUACAGCAGUAGUCUUAUUAUACAAAGCUAAAGUACUACAAUGAUUUACCCAUUACAUAUUUUAGUGAUAAUCUCACUUAAGCAUUAAUGUACAAACUAUAUUUUUAACAAAUGAUAGUUAUACUUGGGUAAUUACACACUUUUACAACAGACAAGUUUACAAAACAGUUUAACCUUGGUAGAAGGUUACUUUUAUAGAAAAUAUAGGAUUUUCUGAGAGAUUCAAACUUUUACAAACACUUUCAAACAUUUACUUACAUUUUCACAAACUUAUACAUUGAGACAGGUUCAAACGUUUUUUUUUUACAAGAAACAUUGACACUAAAAUACUUAUGAACUCACCAGCUUAAUGCUGAUAAACUCUUUCAAAAUAACUUGUAUUCUCAGGUCAUCAGUAGACAGGUACCGAGGCCAGCUUUUGAGAAGAUGGAGUGCAUUCAAGACUCAUCUCAUAUUAUUUUGUGUUACAUUAUUUUUGGUGUCUAUAACUGUACAGAACACACUUGUAUUAAAAUUAUAUAUUUAAUGCAAUGGAUGAUGUUGUUUGCUUAUUUACAUUUACUGUGUUGUGAUACUAUACAUGACGUCCUCCGCCCCAGAACGUUUCCGCCGUUCUUGGUUUUGGGGUGUGACACAGGUCUACCACGAGGCAUCUUUUGCUAAAAAGAAUGCAAAGAUGAGACGGAAAUAAGUCUAUAGUAGUGGUUAUAAGUCGAAAGCUGAAUGAUAAAGUUAUCCUAGUUCUGAGUGUAUUUGGUUCUGACUUUCAUAGGUUUCUGGAGACAAUUCAUUAGGGGAGUCUAUAUAAAAUAAACUUUAUGAAUCAGAAGUGGCUAUCCUCGAAUGAAUUUAUGUGAAUUGAAUAACUGAUACUGGCCGCAUGAAAAGAAAUAAUCCUAACACAUAGUGUCGGUAGUGAAAUCACUAACUCACUAAUUCAAUUAAGGUUAUUAAAUAUUAGCGCGACGUAUAAGACGUUUUAGUUUCUUCGGUUGAUCCUUUAUUGUAAAACUUCUUUUUGAAUCUCUUUGACUCCUCUGCUGACUGCUAUGAUGGAGUGGUUACAUCUAUAAGCGUUUGUCGUACGAGAAUGGAAGUGUCUAAAGAAUCUAUGAGAUUAAGUGUAACUUUAUGGGGUGAUCCUUACCGGGUCCUCCUAUAAUUGCGUAAUAUAUACAAAGUGUAUAUAAUUUAAGAUUAAAUAGACCUUCGAAUAAGUGAUCGUACUCCAAAACCACAACCAAACAAGGAACAGGAAGUGAAGCAUAGAUCACAAAUUCUAAGCCUAUAAAAUCUCAAUCAUAUAAAACCUUGGAGGUAUACACUCCGGAAUCAUAGACCUACCAGAAGGGUCUUUUAAGUUCUCAAAUAAGUUAUUUAUAGUGCCUAAAAUACUUCUAUAGUAUUUAAUGUAAUGAACUUGGUAUGUUUUUAAACUUGUUGUUGUCUUAUAGUAUCAUAAAAUACUCCCAAAGUAUUUUAACUUUAUGUUCAGAUUUAGAAAUCCCUUGAAUAGAAUUAGGUAAGUUUUAAGACUGUUGCAACACCACGUCACUCCCAAACACAUGACAGUCACAUCUCAAAUAAAUAUAGUUGAUCAGGCUAUAUUGAUCCCACAUAUGAUUACAUAACUAUCCAAGUUUGACCACAGUGUUUAACCUUUAAAUACUUUUGUUCUUCUUGUGAUACUUGUUCUAGUAUGUAUAUAUGUAUAAGCAUGUACGUAUAACUUCAUAAAGUAUUGUUAUAUUUAUAAAAUAUACUUUUAAUCAGAGCACUUCGGCUCCAUUGCAUUUAUAUUUGUAUAUCUUUUAUAGGUUGAUACACUUAGUUCACUAUAAACAAUGCUUUGAUACCAAUCUGUCACACCCGCAAACCGGAACGGCGGAAACGUUCGGGGGUGAAGGACAUCAUGUUUAGUAUCACAAUACAUGCAUCAUAGUUAUCAAAGUAACAAGCAACCAUUGCAUUAAUAUGAAAGCGUUUACAAAGUAUAUGAUUCACAAAAGUUAGACUCCAAAAGUAAAUAGCAAAACAAGACAUGAAGCUACUAUACUCCAUCUUCUGAAUCCCAGUGCACGUACCUGUCUACUAGUUUCCUGAGAAUACAAGUUAUUUUGAAAGAGUAGAUCAACCUUGAAGCUGGUGAGUUCAUAAAUAUUUUAGUUAUGAAAAGUAAACUGUAAGUUCUUUUUAGAAAGUUCGCCUGUUCCUCUAGAAAAUCCUAUAUCUUUUGAUGUGAUGAAUGAUAAGUAAAAAUGACUCUACAAUUCCUUGUAUGAGUACUAAACAUAUACAAGUUAUAUAAAAUCCAGCAUAAACAGAUAAUCGAUUAUGUGAAUCUGCCCUAAGCCCAUAACCAAACAAGGAACAGGAAAUGAAGCGGAAAGCACACGUCCUACUGUUUGUCGGAUCCUAAUAGUAUAUAUCCCUAUGUAUCCACUAACGAAUCAUAAAGUUAGCAUUAUAGGCCCCCUUCUAACUGAAUGAACCAAGAGCUGGCUGUUCUGUUUGUUUGUCUUUUGUAAUAAUUUCUGUUUUCCCAAGUUUAAGACUAUCUUUACUAGAAAAAUAGUUUGCAUUACCUUUUAUGUGAGAAUAUCACUAUAUGAAUGAAAUGGCAAAAAUGAAAGUAUUCAGUAAUAUUAUAUAAAAUAAAGACUGCAGCACUAAACUAAUUAGUUAAAUUAAGGUAAAAUGUGAUGACGUUGUAACCAUGUUGAUUGAUGGAUGUGAACACAAUGACCUUCUGGUGUCGAAACGAUGUGACAUUUUGUCACCCCUUGGCCUUACAGGCUGGGACUGUAGCCAACAGUCAGGAUGUGGGAUGGUCUGUCCCGUAUAGAUCUAUACACAGGAUGCUCGCUCUCCCUCCAAGAGACACUGGUUACAAAACAUGUCACAAAAAAUGUAUUGUUGUGCCAUGAAGUAGUAUCUCACAUUAAUGUUAUCUUGUUGUUGUUAUAGUAUGUUCCUCCAUGUUCUAGUUAUAGUAUGUUCUGAACGCCUAAACUAUACCUAUUAUGGUUUACUAGUAUGUUUGUUUUGAGCUGUCCCUGAUUUGUAGAAAAGACUCGGGUAUCUACUACGUUAUGAUGGUACUUUAAAAAUAGAGUUUUAUAAACAACAGAGUAACAUAACUUUAAAAAGAUUUUUUGAAAUGAUUUGAUCACUUAUAAAGCAUAAGAAAUCCUUUGAAAUGAUGGUUAUCACAGAUAAACAUGAACACAAUAUCAUCGUGUUCAACUUGUAUCCCCCCUCCCCCCCACUUAAAAGAAUUUAAAACAUUUAAAAGAUUAAUUAUAGGGGAAUGAACUCACCAUAUAUUGGUGAUUCAAUUGAAGAUUCAUCUAAGGAUGAGAAGUUCCACAAAUGACUUCCCGAGACACAAACGAGUCCUAAAUGACAUAUAAUGGUAUAGGCACGUAAUUAGUGUUUAAAACAACUAACAUGCAAGGAAACAACCCUAGGAACUAGGAAAAACUUGGAAUGAAGUGUUACAAUCACAUGUGAUUGUCUAAAGGGAGUUUACGGCCGAAGGAAGGUGUGUUCACGGCCACACUUGAGUUUACAGCAAAGGGAGAUAAGUUUACGGCCACACCAAGUGUUUACAACUGUAGAUCUUUAUUCUUGCUUGUAGGCUGUUUGUCUCAUGAUGAUACAAGAGUUUCCAAUGAAUAACAAGAUGAUAGAAGAAAUACUCACACUUUGGAUGAAUUUAGGGUGUUCACGGCCCAAGAGGUAUUCUGGGUGAAAAGAUGAAGAUUUGAAGAUCUUGAAGGAAAAGUGAUGAAUUCAAGGAUGUGAUUCAUAGGAUUCAUAUGAAAAAGAAGAUUAACUAGCAAAAUGGAGGAAUUCUUACGUUUUUGAAGAGAAUUGAUGGAUUCCUUUGAUGAUACUUGAGAGAGAAUGAGUUUCCUUGACAUGAAGAUGUGAGAAAUGAAAAACAAAUGAAGGAAAUCUAUACUUAUCAUGGGAGUUCACGACUAGGAGGGUGUUUACGACCAUGAAUAGAGUUUACGGCCGUAAACCCCAUGUGGUUGGCUUUCUGGUUCGAGUGCAACCUUCUGAUCUCGAGCUAAUACUUUAACACUCAAUCCUUAAAUGUACUAGGCUUAGAACUCAUUAGAAUGACCCUUAAAUAGGCUAAAAGGCAAAAGAAUUUAGUCUGACUUUUGGUUGAUUGAAUUGACUUUACAAGAUAAAAAUUUUCGGGUUGUCACAACCAAAGAGCAUGACAAAUGUUCAGGAGGCUUGAUGAAGCAAAACGUAACCUUUUUGAGCACUUAUUAAGCCUUUAAAAUGUUUCCCUAGCCUUCAUGCGACCCUAAUUAAAUUCGUAGGUUACCAUGCACAACCUAACCAUUGACCCCAAACCACCUUCUAGCCUACUAGUAAUCACUAAUCCAUCACCUUUUGGGCUUUCAUGAUCCAUGCACGGAUCAUCCCCUCCCCCUUUGAAAGGAAAUGACCUCAAUGCAUCAAGGCCAUCCUUAACAAGAUACGUUGAAAGGUCUCCCACAUUAAAGGUAGCAUGCAAUCCAUGGCCUCCUCCCAAAUCCACCUUAUAAGAAUUAUCAUUGACAUGUGACACCACUUUGUAAGGAACUUCAGCUCUUAGUGUCGACCUUUGUUCUUCCUUUUGCUAGGAAAACGUUCUUUCCUCACAUGCACCUAAACCAAGUCACCACUUGAAAGACACGUGGUUUCCUAUGCAUGUUGGAAUUCUGUCUGUACACCUCAUUCACAGAUUCAAUCUUCACACGAACUUGUUGUUGUAGUUUCAUCAUGGCCUUCAACUUGUCAUUAGCAUCCUUGUGAACCAGUUCAUCAUUUGGCAAUGGAAUCAAAUCCAAAGGCAUGUAAGGAUUCACACCAUAGACCACUUAUAAAGGAGAGUGACCUGUAGCAUAAGUAGGAGAACGAUUAGAGGCAAACUCAACAUGUGCAAGUUUGAUGUCCAAAUGUUUUUAAGUUUUGCUAACCAACCCCGUCAAUAACGUACCCAAAGUUCUAUUAGUCACCUUUGUUUCCCAUUAGUUUGUGGAUGAUGGGAUGCACAAAAAGUAACUUGGUACCAACUUUUCUCCACAAAGUGUUCCAAAAGUAAUUCAAAAACAUGGAAUCCCUAUCAGAAACAACAGUUUUAGGAAUAAGAUGCAAGCGAACCAUCUCUUUAAAGUACAAAUAAGACACAUUAGAUACAUCAUUGGUUUUAUGACGUGGCACAAAGUGAACCAUUUUGGAAAACCUAUCCACCACCACUAUACUAGAAUCCUUCCCCCUUUGAGUUCUAGGCAAAUCCAUACUGAAUUCCAUUGACACAUCUCCUAAGGACAAAUAGGAACCGACAAAGGAGUGUAAACACCAUGCUUUAAAGUUUUUUUCGUCAUCCGACAUGUAACACACUUGCCCACUAUGUUGGUUACAUCCCCAACAUCUUUAGGCCAGAAGAAAUGUUCUUAAAGCACCUCCAAAGUUUUGGUAAUGGAAAAAUGACCCGCCAAACCACCACCAUUAGCAUCACGAAUCAGCACCUCCCGUAUUACAUGUUUAGGGACACAAAGGUGAUUGCGUUUUGAUGCCUUUAUAGGCUUGAUUAAGUGAGUAGGGUUGUGUGUAGGUAAAUUAAGCUAGAAUAACAACCACAAAUGAUACGUGUAUGGGAAGAAAUGGAUAGAUUAGUUACAAAUCAAGACCAACUAAGUUGUAUACCGGUGAAAACAAUCCAAGACAUAUUUGAUUGAAUGCGUAUCAACUCAAGAACAUGUAUUGACUAUGACAAGUAGUGAACUAUAACUAUAAUUCAAAGUGAACAAAGGUUCUUUUGAUUUAAAUUUCAUUUAUCUCGUUUUUUUAUGCAUAAACUUGGUUUAUAUGAAGCCUUUAAUACAAAGUUGGUGGUUACAAGCCACCCAACCAACUACUGAGUAAAAUUAAUAAUGAAAUUAAAGAAACUCAUGAAACCACACAAAAAAACGUUUCAGACACCAAUGAAUGAAAAAAUGUCAAUGCUCCAUUAAAGAGCCAUAAAAAGAAUUAAAGUGUAACCUUAAUCCGCCAAAGAGUAUCAGAAAUGCCUAGGAGGCUUUAUGAAGCAUAAAGUAACGGUUUUGAGAACUUAUGAGGUCUUUAAAAUGUUGCCCUAGCCUUCAUGCGACCCUAAUUCAAUUCGUAGGUUACCAUGCACAACCCAACCAUUGAGCCCAAACUACCUUCUAGCUUACUUGUAAUCACUAAUCCAUCACCUUUUGGGCUUUCAUGAUCCAUGCAUGGAUCAUCCCCUCCCCCUUUUAGAGGAAAUGACCUCAGUUCAUCAAGGCCAUCCUCAACAAGAUACGGUGAAAGGUCUCCUACAUUAACGGUAGCAUGCACUCCAUAGUCUCCUCCCUAGUCCACCUUAUAAGCAUUAUCAUUGACAUGUGACACCAGUUUGUAAGGACCUUUAGCUCUUUGCGUCAACUUUUGUUCUUCCUUUUGUUAGGAAAACGUUCUUUCCUCAUAUGCACCUAAACCUAGUCACCAUCUUGAAUGACACGUGGUUUCCUAUGCAUGUUAAAAUACUAUUUGUACACCUCAUUCAUGGCUUCAAUCUUCACACGAACUUGUUGGUGUAGUUUCUUCAUGGCCUUCAACUUGUCAUUAGCAUCCCUAUGAACCAAUUCAUCAUUUGGCAAUGGAAUCAUUUCCAAAGGCAUGUAAGGAUUCACACCAUACACCACUUAUAAAGGAGAGUGACCUUUAGCAUAAGUGGAUUACAGGCCAACUCAGCAUGUGCAAGUUUGAUUUGUACCUUUGUUUGCCCUUCAGUUUGUGGAUGAUGGGAUGUACUAAAAAGUAACUUAGUACCAACUUUCCUCCACAAGGUUUUCCAAAAUUAACUCAAAAACAUGGAAUCCAUAUCAGAAACAAUAGUUUUAGGAAUAACGUGCAAGCGAACCACCUCUUGAAAGUACAAAUCAGCCACAUUAGAUGCAUCUUUGGUUUUAUUACAUGGCACAAAGUGAGACAUUUUUAAAAACUUAUCCACCACCACCAUAACGGAAUCCUUACCCCUUUGAGUUCUAAGCAAAGCCAUAAUGAAAUACAUUGACACAUCUUCCCAAGAACGAAUAGUAACCAGCAAAGGAGUGUAAACACCAUGAUUGAAAGGUUUUUUUUCGUCUUGUGACAUGUAACACACUUGCCCACUAUGUUGGUUACAUCCACAACAUCUCAGGCCAAAAGAAAUGUUCUUUAAGCACCUCCAAAGUUUUGGUAAUGGAAAAAUGGCCAGCCAAAUCACCACCAUGUGCUUCACGAAUCAGUAAUUCCUGUAUUGCAUGAUUUGGUACACAAAGGUGAUUUCCUUUUGAUGCCUUUAUGGGCUUUAUUUAGUGAGUAGGGAUGUGUUUAGGUAAAUUAAGCUAGAAUAACAACCACAAAUGAUACGUGUAUGGGAAGAAAGUGACAGAUUCGUAACAAAUCAAGACCUAUUAAGUUGUAUACCAGUUAAAGCAAUCCAAUACAUAUUUGACUGAAUUCGUAUCAAGACAAGAACACGUCUCGACUAUGACAAGUAGUGAACUAUAACAAUAAUUCGAAGUGAACAAAGGUUCUUUUGAUUAAAAUUUCAUGUAUCUCUUUUUUCCAUGCAUAAACUUGGCUUAUAUGAAGCCUUUAUUAAAAAGUUGGUGGUUACAAGCCAACCAACCUACUAUUGAGUAAAACUAAUAAUGAAAAUUAAAGAAACUCAUGAAACGAGACAAAAAAACAUCUGACAAACUAAUGAAUGAAAAAAAAACAUACAUGCAAUAUUAAGGACCCAUAAGAAGCAUUAAAGUGUAACUAUAAUCCACCAAAGAGUAUCAAAACUCACUAGGAGGCUUUAUGAAUAAAAAAGUAAUUGUUUUGAGCAAUUAUGAAGCCAUUAAAAUGUUGUCGUAGCCUUCAUGCGACCCUAAUUCAAUUCGUGGGUUUCCAUGCACAACCCAGCCAUUGAGCCCAAACCACCUUCUAGCCUACUAGUAAUCUAAUCCGUCACCUUUUGGGCUUUCAUGGUCCAUGCAUGGAUCAUCCCCUCCCCCUAUGAAAGGAAAUGACCACACUUCAUCAAGGUCAUCAUCAACAAGAUCUACUAAGUUUUAUACUGGUGAAAACAAUCUAAGACAUAUUUGAUUGAAUGCGUAUCAAGAUCAAGAACACGUCUCGACUAUGACAAGUAGUGAACUAUAACAAUAAUUCAAAGUGACCAAAGUUUCUUUUGAUUAAAAUUUCAUCUAUCUCUUUUUUCCGUGCAUAAACUUGGCUUAUAUGAAGCCUUUAUUACAAAGUUGGUGGUUACAAGCCACCCAACCAACCACUCAGUAAAACUAAUAAUGAAAAUUAAAGAAACUCAUGAAACGACACAAAAAAGCAUCUGACACACUAAUGAAUGAAAAAAACAUGCAUGCUCCAUUAAGGAGCCACAAGAAGCAUUAAAGUAUAACCCUAAUCCACCAAAGAGUAUCAAAAAUGGCUAGGAGGCUUUAUGUAGCAAGAGGUAAUGGUUUUGAGCACUUGUGAAGCCUUUAAAAUGUUGUCCUAGCGUUCAUGCGACCCUAAUUCAAUUCGUAGGUUACCAUGCACAACCCAACCAUUGAGCCCAAACACCUUGUAGGCUACUUGUAAUCACUUAUCCAUCACUUUUUGGGCUUUCAUGAUCCAUGCAUGGAUCUUCCCUCCCCCUUUGAAAGGAAAUGACCUCAAUUCAUCAAGGCAAUCCUCAAUAAUAUAAGGUCAAUGGUCUCCCACAAUAAAGGUAGCAUGCACUCCAUGGUCUCCUCCCAAAUCCACCUUAUAAGCAUUAUCAUUGACACGUGACACCACUUUGUAAGGACCUUCAGCUCUUUGCAUCAACUUUUUUUCUUCCUUUUGUUAGGAAACAUUCUUUCCUCAUAUGAACCUAAACCAAGUCACCAUCUUGAAAGACACGUGGUUUUCUAUGCAUGUUGGAAUGCUGUUUGUACACCUCAUUCACGACUUCAAUGUUCACACGAACUUGUUGGUUUAGUUUUAACAUGGCCUUCAACUUGUCAUUAGCAUCCUUGUGAACCAAUUCAUCCUUUGGUAAUGGAAUCACACCCAAAGGCAUAUAAUGAUUCACACUAUACACCACUUCAAAAGGAGAGUGAUCUGUAGCAUAAGUAGGAGAACGAUUACAGAGACACUCAACAUGUGCAAGUUUGAUGUCUUAAUGUUUUUUAGUUUUGCUAACCAACCCCCUCAACAUCGUACCCAAAGUUGUAUUAGUCACCUUAGUUUGCCCAUCAGUUUGUGGAUGUUGGGAUGUACUAAAAAGUAACUUAGUACCAAAUCUCCUCCACAAAGUGUUCCAAAAGUAACUCAAAAACAUGGAAUCCCUAUUAAAAACAAUAUUUUUAGGAAUAAUAUGCAAGCAAACCACCCUUUUAAAGUACCAAUCAGACACAUUAGAUGCAUCAUUGGUUUUAUGACAUGACACAAAGUGAUGCGUGUAUGGGGACUAUUUUCGAAUGGAAGGGAGAGAGAGGGGUAGAACACGAGAUUGUGAGGGUAGAGUAGAGGAUAGGGUUAGUUCUUACCUCAAGACCAAUUGAAGCGAGAUCUAGGUUGAAUGUCAAGACCUAUUGACACACAACAAAAGCACAUUAAGAGACCUAUCUUAUGUGAGUAAGAGAGCAAAGUGCAAAAAGCUUCAAAGUCAUUUUUAUUCAUGGAAAAUCGGCCCUAUAUAUAGUUGAUAGGAACCAUGAGUUACAAUAGUGAAAAGGCUCAUCAUUAAGAGCUUUUAUAUAACUAGCUCAUUAACUACUAGCCAAUAACUACUAGUAACUCCCAAGAACUCUUCAAUUUCCGUCCAUGCUACACACAAGAUUAGGAAAUGGUUCAAAUAUCUUCCAUGAUCACCAACAAGUCCAAAAAAAUGUGGUCAUAACUUCCAUAUAGCCAAAACAAAUCGGCCCACCCCAUUUCAAACCCAAAUCCACGAAAUCAAGCACAUUCUGAAGCCCAAAUUAGUAAAGCCUGCCUCCUUGGCAAGUAAUCCAUUUUUAAUUGGACUAUCUAGGUCCAAACAUAUAUCAUCUCCUCCCCCUUUGAAAAGAAUUGACCUCAAUUCUGCAAGACCAUCAUCAUCAAGAUAAGGGGAGAGAUCUCUGACGUUAAAAAGUGCGUGAACUCCGUAUUCUCCCGGGAGUUCCACCACUUCCACACAUGUAUCAUUCCCUCCUUCUUCAAAAGGAAUUGUCCUCAAUUCAACAAGGACUUCAUGGUGUUUUUCUUCGAUAUGAACCUUCCAUCUGUGGAACACAAACCAACUUCGUUUAUGAACCAGAUUAGGACCACGUAAAUACUUGGGAUUUGGAUCUUCACAUUGAUUAAUCCCUUCUUCUUUGCUCUUAGAAAAAUGGUUUGUAAACAGAUGGAUACCAUCCUUCUUCUUUCUUUCACCACAAACUUCACACCAUCAGUCUUCGCGUUUUUAAACAAUGAAUGAAGAAUUAAUAAAAAUAUGUUUUGUUUGUGGACAACAUAAAAAAUUGGCAUAUGAAUUGACACGCGAUGCCUCUUUUUGUGACUGAUUGCUACCACCAUGAACAUAUUUUUUUUGGAAAUCAUCAUAUCGUCUUUUGGAGGGUACAAAAUUCGGCCAUCAUCCAAAAAUAAUUGGUCUCGCUGCUUUUGAGUCACACAUUAAAAGUCACCAUCUAUAAUUGCACAAAACUUGUUAUCAAAUGUAAUAUGCAUGUCUUUUUUCUGUUUUUUUUAUCAAUGAAUAAAGACAAAAUAGAAACACCAUUGGUAAGAUCAUAAUCUGCAAAAUCCAACCUCUCACCACACUUCCUCCUCUCAUCAAGACCUUCUUGAUCAAUGAAGCUUCCAAUUUGGAUUUCUUUAAGACCUUUAGAAAAGGAACUAUCUUCAAAAAAUAUAUGAGAACUUGAAUUUUUAUGGCACAUAUACUCAUUGGUUCUCGUGGUUGUGAGCUCUAGGAAUGAAAUUUGUUGUUAAACAAAAAUCACCAUUUCUUCAACAAUUUUAUCCCUAUCAACAAAAUUGAUUUCUUCCAAAAUUGCUUCAACAGUUUCGUCUCUGACCACAAAAUUAAUUGCUUUUUCAAUUCCUUCAAUAAAUUCCUCUUCAACCAAGAAAUUUAUUCUUUCACAAAAUUCCCCUUCCCCAUCGGUGUCGUAGAUGGGACCAUGAUCUUCUUCCUCCUCUUCUUCAAAUCUCUCUUCCUAUAGUUCUUUUUCUUCAUAUAACUUGCACAACAUUUUCGGAAAACAAUUUCUGAACUGGAACUGAAAUCGAACAAAUUUAGCAGGAUUUUUUUGAACAAGAACUCAACAACACCCAAUCGAACUGGGCUCUGAUACCACUUAUGAUGCAUGUAUGGGGACUAUUUUUGGAUGGAAGGGAGAGAGAGGGAUAGAACACGAGAUUUGGAAGGUAGAGAAGAGGAUAUGGUUAGUUCUCACCUCAAGACCUAGUGAAGCAAGAAGUAGGUUGAAUGCCAAGACCUAUUGACACAAAAAAAGCACAUUUAGAGACCUAUCUUAUGUGAAUAAGAGAGCAAAGUGCAACAAUCUUCAAAGUCAUUUUUAUUCAUGGAAAAUCGGCCCUAUAUAUAGUUGAUAGGUACCAUGAGUUACAAAAGUGAAAAGGCUCAUCAAUAAGAGCUUUUAUUUAACUAGUUCAUUAACUAUUAGCAAAUAACUACUAGUAACUCCCAAGAACACUUCAAUUUUCGUCCACGCUACACACAAGAUUAGGAAAUGGUUCAAAUUGCUUCCAUGAUCACCCACAAGUCCAAAAAAAACAUGGUCACAACUUCCAUGUAGCCAAAACAAAUCGGCCCACCCCAUUUCAAGCCCAAAUCCACGAAAUCAAGCACACUCCAAAGACCAAAUUAGUAAAGCCCACCUCCAUGGCAAGUAAUCCAUUUAUAAUUAGACUAUCUAGGUCCAAAUAUAUAUCACAAAGUGAGCCAUUUUUGAAAACUUAUCCACCACCACUAUAAUGGAAUCCUUCCCCCUUUGAGUUCUAGGCAAAGCCAUAAUGCAUUCCAUUGUGUCACACUCCAAAACCAAGAACGGCGGAAACGUUCUGGGGCGGAGGACGUCAUGUUUAAUAUCAACAACAAUGUAAAGUAGUAAACAAGCAACAACAUCAUCCAUUGCAUUAAUAAAAUAAUUAUUAUACAAUUGUAUUCUGUCAAAUUUUGAUAAACACUAAAGCAUAAAUCAAAAUGAAAGAUAAGUCUUGAAUAAGCUUCAUCUUCCUUUCUCCUUGCAUCGGUACCUGUCUAUGAUGACCUGAGGAUACAAGUAAUUUUGAAAGCGAGUAUCAGCUAUAUAGCUGGUGAGAUCAUAAGUAUUAAUGUGUCUUAAUUUGUGAAAACUUAUAAUUUCUAAGACUUGACAUUUCUUUGAAAGAAAGCUAGUUUAAGUAUGAAAAUGUUUGUAACUCAACUUGAAAAUGUUUGAAAAUCCCUAGAAAUCCCUAUGAUUUCUAUUAGUAACAAAAAGGAGUCUUCUACCAAGACUUAACUGUUCUGUGUGUAGUCUUCUACCAAGACCUAACUGUUCUGAAUGUAGUCUUCUACCAAGACCUAACUGUUCUGAAUGUAGUCUUCUACCAAGACCUGACUGUUCUGAAUGUAGUCUUCUACCAAGACCUGACUGUUCUGAAUGUAGUCUUCUACCAAGACCUGACUGUUCUGAAUGUAGUCUUCUACCAAGACCUGACUGUUCUGAAUGUAGUCUUCUACCAAGACCUGACUGUUCUGAAUGUAGUCUUCUACCAAGACCUAACUGUUCUGAAUGUAGUCUUCUACCAAGACCUAACUGUUCUGAAUGUAGUCUUCUACCAAGACCUAACUGUUCUGAAUGUAGUCUUCUACCAAGACCUAACUGUUCUGAAUGUAGUCUUCUACCAAGACCUAACUGUUCUGAAUNGGGAGUUUACGGCCCAAAGACCCUUCUCCCUUGGAGUUUACGGCCGUAAACUCCCUUGGGAGGGUUCUUAUUGUCCUUUCAAGUCUCUAACAUUUCUAGGAACAAGUCUAGGCUUCAAUACUUGGAUCAAGGGAGGUUUAUGGCAUUAAAUGGAACCAUUUGAUGGAGUUUACGGCCAUAGAACUCUUUGGGCCGUAAACUCCCUCACACAUGAGGUUCUAAGAAUUUUAACUAGCCCAAAACUCAUCUAGGUACUUGCCCUAAAAGUCUCUUGGCCUAAGGAAGUGUCUAGGGUGUCCUUUGACCCCUUUAAAGGAGUUUACGGCCCAAGAAAUACUCUUGGCCGUAAACUCUUCAACACUUGAGCUUUUCAUGAUUUUUCUAGGUCCUAAACACAUUAAGGUACUAGCCAAAAAUGAAGACUAAGCCUUAGGAAGAGUUUGAAGUGGUUUUGGCACUUAAUCUUGGAGUUUACGGCCUAAGGAGCAUCUUGGCCGUAAACUCCCUUCCAAAGUUGGUUUCUAAUUGUUUUGUGGGUCUAAAUCAUGAGUUUAAGGCUUCUAGGUUCUUGUUCUAAGGCUAAAGGAACACUAGGCACUCAUUUGUGCCCUUUACUUGGAGUUUACGGCCCAAGAGGUUGUUCCUUGGCCGUAAACUCCUCAAACUACUUGCUUUUGAUUUGUUUCUAGCCUCUAAUGAUCAUACACUAAGUCCUUAGUUAGAUGCCUAACACGGAAAUGGGACUAGGUGGCCUUUAGGCUUGAUUUUGGAGUUUACUCCCCAAGAACGUUCUUGGGCGGUAAACUCCCGGAUCUUGUGUUUUGGACAUGUAAACAAUGUUAUAAAGCAUAUAACAAGUAUUAAAACACAUUUAGGGAAGUAGACUCACAAUCUGGGAUGAAAACCCGAAGAUCCGUGAGAGAGUAUUUGGCUUUUCUCUAAAUGGAAAUCAAAUAAUGAACCAAUUUGGUUCAGAAUUCUAUUUAUAGUCCAGAGAUUUUUGGCAGAAAAUAUUUCUAUUCUCGGAAUGGAUUCUAAUGACCUAGAGUAAUGGAAUUACAGUGUUGCACAAAAUCCUAGUGCACCCACUCUCCUAAUAACUCCUUAGGUGUAAAACCCUAAAACUGCCAAACUUAUUCCAAAAGUUUGAAUUUUCACUGAAACUGCUCUACUUCCAUUGGAUUGAUGUGGUUUGAUUUGAAUGGAAAAUUUCGGGUUGUCACAGUUAAGGGGUAUGAACUCACCUGCAGUAUGUGACUGGAAUUGAACGGGCUGUUAUCGUACGGAAGGAUCAGACAAGUGCUUGGUGUCAAGUGAAGACUUAGACACACACAAUGAUCCUAAUUACAUAUGAAACAUAUGUAUAUAAAUAAUUAGUGAUUAUAACACUAAUUAUACAAGUAAUAACAUUUAAGCGCGAGGACAACACUUUUGGUCAAGUGCUAGGAGGCUAAUGGGUUGCAACAAAGAAGUGCAAUGCCCCUAAUGAAAGUUUAAGGUCAAAAGACCAUAUUCAUUAGAGUUUACGGCCCAGGGGAGUAAGCUCCUGGCCGUAAACUCUCAAACAAGUCAUGAAAUGGAGUUUAAAAGUACUACAACCUUAGAGGGGAAUUGUUUCAAGGCUAUACAAGUGUUUGGGCACCACAUUGACUCCUUUGGGGAGUUUACGGCCCAAAGACCCUUCUCCCUUGGAGUUUACGGCCGUAAACUCCCUUGGGAGGGUUCUUAUUGUCCUUUCAAGUCUCUAACAUUUCUAGGAACAAGUCUAGGCUUCAAUACUUGGAUCAAGGGAGGUUUAUGGCAUUAAAUGGAACCAUUUGAUGGAGUUUACGGCCAUAGAACUCUUUGGGCCGUAAACUCCCUCACACAUGAGGUUCUAAGAAUUUUAACUAGCCCAAAACUCAUCUAGGUACUUGCCCUAAAAGUCUCUUGGCCUAAGGAAGUGUCUAGGGUGUCCUUUGACCCCUUUAAAGGAGUUUACGGCCCAAGAAAUACUCUUGGCCGUAAACUCUUCAACACUUGAGCUUUUCAUGAUUUUUCUAGGUCCUAAACACAUUAAGGUACUAGCCAAAAAUGAAGACUAAGCCUUAGGAAGAGUUUGAAGUGGUUUUGGCACUUAAUCUUGGAGUUUACGGCCUAAGGAGCAUCUUGGCCGUAAACUCCCUUCCAAAGUUGGUUUCUAAUUGUUUUGUGGGUCUAAAUCAUGAGUUUAAGGCUUCUAGGUUCUUGUUCUAAGGCUAAAGGAACACUAGGCACUCAUUUGUGCCCUUUACUUGGAGUUUACGGCCCAAGAGGUUGUUCCUUGGCCGUAAACUCCUCAAACUACUUGCUUUUGAUUUGUUUCUAGCCUCUAAUGAUCAUACACUAAGUCCUUAGUUAGAUGCCUAACACGGAAAUGGGACUAGGUGGCCUUUAGGCUUGAUUUUGGAGUUUACUCCCCAAGAACGUUCUUGGGCGGUAAACUCCCGGAUCUUGUGUUUUGGACAUGUAAACAAUGUUAUAAAGCAUAUAACAAGUAUUAAAACACAUUUAGGGAAGUAGACUCACAAUCUGGGAUGAAAACCCGAAGAUCCGUGAGAGAGUAUUUGGCUUUUCUCUAAAUGGAAAUCAAAUAAUGAACCAAUUUGGUUCAGAAUUCUAUUUAUAGUCCAGAGAUUUUUGGCAGAAAAUAUUUCUAUUCUCGGAAUGGAUUCUAAUGACCUAGAGUAAUGGAAUUACAGUGUUGCACAAAAUCCUAGUGCAACCACUCUCCUAAUAACUCCUUAGGGGUAAAACCCUAAAACUGCCAAACUUAUUCCAAAAGUUUGAAUUCUCACUGAAACUGCUCUACUUCUAUUGGAUUGAUGUGGUUUGAUUUGAAUGGAAAAUUUCGGGUUGUCACAUCAUCCCCCUGUUAAAGGGAAUUUCGUCCCGAAAUUAGAAUUUAGGCAAGGAAGUAUGCACGAAUGAUCGAGACGUGAGAAGGAAACUUCCUAAUCGAUUGGUUCUAGCGCACUUAAGUGAAAUCAGGCUCUCGGUUGGUAUCCUAACGAACCUUCACUAAUUGGCAACGGCGUUGCUUCGUCCACUUGACCUCUCGGUCGAGGGUCACUACGGUUAUGAUACGAAGGCAAAGAUCUCGACGAAUGGACUUAUAAGAGUCCUGACGGAAAGGUAUGGUUUCACGAUCGAGAUGCGAAAAGUAGAAAGUAUGCUACUGAGUUCGCGGAGUAGGUCUAGUUUGAGCGAGGCACAGGACAGAUUCUGAUAAGAAUCUCAGAGGUCCUGUCAAAUAUGGAUUUAGCUUUUCACGCUUUACGAAGCGUAUUAAGCCAUUCUCAGAGUGAGUUAUCCUAAAGAACUUGGUCACUCACUCGGAAUCUCGGAGGUUCCUUUUCCUGUGUAACUACCCAGUCAAAGGCCACCCCUCGCUGGGUCAAUGUCGUACUAGUAUCUGAAGCUUGCGAGGAGUUCUGAAUGAACUAAGGCGGUAGGUCGGUAAGACCUAACAUUUGGCGAAAGCUGGUGUCGAUGAAUACUCAAUGUUUUGGCAAACUGAAAGAGUACUCAAAAUUUCUCACAUUACUAACAGUGUGUCCUAGAAAUUUGAUUCUUCAAUUUCAAAACUCAAGCCUAUUUAACUUCGCUAAAAGUUCCUCUGUGGGAAAUGUUUUCAUGGGUUUUCUUCUUACUACGAGGGUAGAUAAGUAAGUCAUUUCAUGGAGAAAUGACGAAUCGAUCCAAGUAAGAAAGACGUAACCCUAAACAUUUAUCUCAUGAAAACCAUGGGCGUACCGGUCCCAUCCGAAGGGUAUCACUACGGACUCGAGGCGUCCGCAUCGAAUUCGGAAGAUAGUCUUCCAGACAUCCUUCCCUAACACAUCGAACGGGUGAUAUUCGGAUCUUAGGUCCAUUUCUGGAAGUAGUUCUUUCCUUACGUGUGCUCAACCAUUUUGUCUAUGUGAGGCAGAGAUCAUGAUUUCUUAUGAAAAUCUUGACGGAGUCUUUGAUAUCCGAGGCACAUAUGAUGCGAUCCAUCGAUCUCUGGAAGAAUCUGACCGGGGUUCUCGAGGGCGAGAAACCUAGUCUUCUAAUUCUAUUUCUGUGUGGUUUGCUUAGUUGUCUACACUGAUCUGGCAUCUCCGUGGGUGUUUAAACUAUAGGUGAUCUGCUUUCGGGAGUCGUACUGGGUUCUAAGUUUAUUUACAUGACGAUAUGAUUACUCGUAUACUUAGGCAGUUUCUCCGUCCUGAAGUCCAUUUUAGAAUUCACACAGGGCUUCACGAUCACAAUUUCGUGUAUACGAGUCGUAUAUAAUUAAGAUUGAAAAGGUAGUCGAAUAACUGAUUCUUCCUUACCCUCAUAUCCCAAGGAGAAAAAGAGUUAAGGCGGAAUCAUCAAUUCUAAACCUGUAGAACCUUGAUUAUAUAACACUCUUAUGUAUACCUUCCUCAGUGAUAGAUCAUCCGCAUGAAUCCCUGUAUUGAACUUGACGCACUGCACGAGUGGUACCUCGGGGAUUUCUUCGGAAAGAAAUUAACUAAGAGGUACUCCGGAAAUGAGUACUUCGGCGUUCUGAUAUGACGGCUUCGCUGGAAAAGUGAUCUAGAAGAUAGGGACGUACGUAUGAAGUUGUUUUCGCGUUGAUUAAAUGGAAUCUGAUUGUAUGAUAAUGUCGGGAUCAUACAGAAACUUUAAAGACAUUAGAAUUAAACAUAAGACGUUUACAGACAAACACAACCGUGCAACCAUGAACAAGAGUUACAGUACUUUAGAUUUACCACAAGACUAUUGCUGCGAAUAAGAUAUACUACAAAAGAUAAGUAUACGCAGCACGAGAAUUCCUAUACAGACAGGAUCUCGCAAACGGUAAGACUCUAGUUGCACUGGUCCUAGAUAGUUUAUAAGUCUGUUACAACGAAACGCCUUAAAUACAUUAACGUGGUUCCUGAGCAGGCUCUCCUGCAGCUGUGAUCCUGAGAAUCUUCCCGUCUGCGCCAGAAUUCUGCGUUAUCGGGCAAUCCUUCUGNGAGUUUACGGCCCAAGAGGUUGUUCCUUGGCCGUAAACUCCUCAAACUACUUGCUUUUGAUUUGUUUCUAGCCUCUAAUGAUCAUACACUAAGUCCUUAGUUAGAUGCCUAACACGGAAAUGGGACUAGGUGGCCUUUAGGCUUGAUUUUGGAGUUUACUCCCCAAGAACGUUCUUGGGCGGUAAACUCCCGGAUCUUGUGUUUUGGACAUGUAAACAAUGUUAUAAAGCAUAUAACAAGUAUUAAAACACAUUUAGGGAAGUAGACUCACAAUCUGGGAUGAAAACCCGAAGAUCCGUGAGAGAGUAUUUGGCUUUUCUCUAAAUGGAAAUCAAAUAAUGAACCAAUUUGGUUCAGAAUUCUAUUUAUAGUCCAGAGAUUUUUGGCAGAAAAUAUUUCUAUUCUCGGAAUGGAUUCUAAUGACCUAGAGUAAUGGAAUUACAGUGUUGCACAAAAUCCUAGUGCACCCACUCUCCUAAUAACUCCUUAGGUGUAAAACCCUAAAACUGCCAAACUUAUUCCAAAAGUUUGAAUUUUCACUGAAACUGCUCUACUUCCAUUGGAUUGAUGUGGUUUGAUUUGAAUGGAAAAUUUCGGGUUGUCACAGUUAAGGGGUAUGAACUCACCUGCAGUAUGUGACUGGAAUUGAACGGGCUGUUAUCGUACGGAAGGAUCAGACAAGUGCUUGGUGUCAAGUGAAGACUUAGACACACACAAUGAUCCUAAUUACAUAUGAAACAUAUGUAUAUAAAUAAUUAGUGAUUAUAACACUAAUUAUACAAGUAAUAACAUUUAAGCGCGAGGACAACACUUUUGGUCAAGUGCUAGGAGGCUAAUGGGUUGCAACAAAGAAGUGCAAUGCCCCUAAUGAAAGUUUAAGGUCAAAAGACCAUAUUCAUUAGAGUUUACGGCCCAGGGGAGUAAGCUCCUGGCCGUAAACUCUCAAACAAGUCAUGAAAUGGAGUUUAAAAGUACUACAACCUUAGAGGGGAAUUGUUUCAAGGCUAUACAAGUGUUUGGGCACCACAUUGACUCCUUUGGGGAGUUUACGGCCCAAAGACCCUUCUCCCUUGGAGUUUACGGCCGUAAACUCCCUUGGGAGGGUUCUUAUUGUCCUUUCAAGUCUCUAACAUUUCUAGGAACAAGUCUAGGCUUCAAUACUUGGAUCAAGGGAGGUUUAUGGCAUUAAAUGGAACCAUUUGAUGGAGUUUACGGCCAUAGAACUCUUUGGGCCGUAAACUCCCUCACACAUGAGGUUCUAAGAAUUUUAACUAGCCCAAAACUCAUCUAGGUACUUGCCCUAAAAGUCUCUUGGCCUAAGGAAGUGUCUAGGGUGUCCUUUGACCCCUUUAAAGGAGUUUACGGCCCAAGAAAUACUCUUGGCCGUAAACUCUUCAACACUUGAGCUUUUCAUGAUUUUUCUAGGUCCUAAACACAUUAAGGUACUAGCCAAAAAUGAAGACUAAGCCUUAGGAAGAGUUUGAAGUGGUUUUGGCACUUAAUCUUGGAGUUUACGGCCUAAGGAGCAUCUUGGCCGUAAACUCCCUUCCAAAGUUGGUUUCUAAUUGUUUUGUGGGUCUAAAUCAUGAGUUUAAGGCUUCUAGGUUCUUGUUCUAAGGCUAAAGGAACACUAGGCACUCAUUUGUGCCCUUUACUUGGAGUUUACGGCCCAAGAGGUUGUUCCUUGGCCGUAAACUCCUCAAACUACUUGCUUUUGAUUUGUUUCUAGCCUCUAAUGAUCAUACACUAAGUCCUUAGUUAGAUGCCUAACACGGAAAUGGGACUAGGUGGCCUUUAGGCUUGAUUUUGGAGUUUACUCCCCAAGAACGUUCUUGGGCGGUAAACUCCCGGAUCUUGUGUUUUGGACAUGUAAACAAUGUUAUAAAGCAUAUAACAAGUAUUAAAACACAUUUAGGGAAGUAGACUCACAAUCUGGGAUGAAAACCCGAAGAUCCGUGAGAGAGUAUUUGGCUUUUCUCUAAAUGGAAAUCAAAUAAUGAACCAAUUUGGUUCAGAAUUCUAUUUAUAGUCCAGAGAUUUUUGGCAGAAAAUAUUUCUAUUCUCGGAAUGGAUUCUAAUGACCUAGAGUAAUGGAAUUACAGUGUUGCACAAAAUCCUAGUGCACCCACUCUCCUAAUAACUCCUUAGGUGUAAAACCCUAAAACUGCCAAACUUAUUCCAAAAGUUUGAAUUUUCACUGAAACUGCUCUACUUCCAUUGGAUUGAUGUGGUUUGAUUUGAAUGGAAAAUUUCGGGUUGUCACAGUUAAGGGGUAUGAACUCACCUGCAGUAUGUGACUGGAAUUGAACGGGCUGUUAUCGUACGGAAGGAUCAGACAAGUGCUUGGUGUCAAGUGAAGACUUAGACACACACAAUGAUCCUAAUUACAUAUGAAACAUAUGUAUAUAAAUAAUUAGUGAUUAUAACACUAAUUAUACAAGUAAUAACAUUUAAGCGCGAGGACAACACUUUUGGUCAAGUGCUAGGAGGCUAAUGGGUUGCAACAAAGAAGUGCAAUGCCCCUAAUGAAAGUUUAAGGUCAAAAGACCAUAUUCAUUAGAGUUUACGGCCCAGGGGAGUAAGCUCCUGGCCGUAAACUCUCAAACAAGUCAUGAAAUGGAGUUUAAAAGUACUACAACCUUAGAGGGGAAUUGUUUCAAGGCUAUACAAGUGUUUGGGCACCACAUUGACUCCUUUGGGGAGUUUACGGCCCAAAGACCCUUCUCCCUUGGAGUUUACGGCCGUAAACUCCCUUGGGAGGGUUCUUAUUGUCCUUUCAAGUCUCUAACAUUUCUAGGAACAAGUCUAGGCUUCAAUACUUGGAUCAAGGGAGGUUUAUGGCAUUAAAUGGAACCAUUUGAUGGAGUUUACGGCCAUAGAACUCUUUGGGCCGUAAACUCCCUCACACAUGAGGUUCUAAGAAUUUUAACUAGCCCAAAACUCAUCUAGGUACUUGCCCUAAAAGUCUCUUGGCCUAAGGAAGUGUCUAGGGUGUCCUUUGACCCCUUUAAAGGAGUUUACGGCCCAAGAAAUACUCUUGGCCGUAAACUCUUCAACACUUGAGCUUUUCAUGAUUUUUCUAGGUCCUAAACACAUUAAGGUACUAGCCAAAAAUGAAGACUAAGCCUUAGGAAGAGUUUGAAGUGGUUUUGGCACUUAAUCUUGGAGUUUACGGCCUAAGGAGCAUCUUGGCCGUAAACUCCCUUCCAAAGUUGGUUUCUAAUUGUUUUGUGGGUCUAAAUCAUGAGUUUAAGGCUUCUAGGUUCUUGUUCUAAGGCUAAAGGAACACUAGGCACUCAUUUGUGCCCUUUACUUGGAGUUUACGGCCCAAGAGGUUGUUCCUUGGCCGUAAACUCCUCAAACUACUUGCUUUUGAUUUGUUUCUAGCCUCUAAUGAUCAUACACUAAGUCCUUAGUUAGAUGCCUAACACGGAAAUGGGACUAGGUGGCCUUUAGGCUUGAUUUUGGAGUUUACUCCCCAAGAACGUUCUUGGGCGGUAAACUCCCGGAUCUUGUGUUUUGGACAUGUAAACAAUGUUAUAAAGCAUAUAACAAGUAUUAAAACACAUUUAGGGAAGUAGACUCACAAUCUGGGAUGAAAACCCGAAGAUCCGUGAGAGAGUAUUUGGCUUUUCUCUAAAUGGAAAUCAAAUAAUGAACCAAUUUGGUUCAGAAUUCUAUUUAUAGUCCAGAGAUUUUUGGCAGAAAAUAUUUCUAUUCUCGGAAUGGAUUCUAAUGACCUAGAGUAAUGGAAUUACAGUGUUGCACAAAAUCCUAGUGCACCCACUCUCCUAAUAACUCCUUAGGUGUAAAACCCUAAAACUGCCAAACUUAUUCCAAAAGUUUGAAUUUUCACUGAAACUGCUCUACUUCCAUUGGAUUGAUGUGGUUUGAUUUGAAUGGAAAAUUUCGGGUUGUCACAGUUAAGGGGUAUGAACUCACCUGCAGUAUGUGACUGGAAUUGAACGGGCUGUUAUCGUACGGAAGGAUCAGACAAGUGCUUGGUGUCAAGUGAAGACUUAGACACACACAAUGAUCCUAAUUACAUAUGAAACAUAUGUAUAUAAAUAAUUAGUGAUUAUAACACUAAUUAUACAAGUAAUAACAUUUAAGCGCGAGGACAACACUUUUGGUCAAGUGCUAGGAGGCUAAUGGGUUGCAACAAAGAAGUGCAAUGCCCCUAAUGAAAGUUUAAGGUCAAAAGACCAUAUUCAUUAGAGUUUACGGCCCAGGGGAGUAAGCUCCUGGCCGUAAACUCUCAAACAAGUCAUGAAAUGGAGUUUAAAAGUACUACAACCUUAGAGGGGAAUUGUUUCAAGGCUAUACAAGUGUUUGGGCACCACAUUGACUCCUUUGGGGAGUUUACGGCCCAAAGACCCUUCUCCCUUGGAGUUUACGGCCGUAAACUCCCUUGGGAGGGUUCUUAUUGUCCUUUCAAGUCUCUAACAUUUCUAGGAACAAGUCUAGGCUUCAAUACUUGGAUCAAGGGAGGUUUAUGGCAUUAAAUGGAACCAUUUGAUGGAGUUUACGGCCAUAGAACUCUUUGGGCCGUAAACUCCCUCACACAUGAGGUUCUAAGAAUUUUAACUAGCCCAAAACUCAUCUAGGUACUUGCCCUAAAAGUCUCUUGGCCUAAGGAAGUGUCUAGGGUGUCCUUUGACCCCUUUAAAGGAGUUUACGGCCCAAGAAAUACUCUUGGCCGUAAACUCUUCAACACUUGAGCUUUUCAUGAUUUUUCUAGGUCCUAAACACAUUAAGGUACUAGCCAAAAAUGAAGACUAAGCCUUAGGAAGAGUUUGAAGUGGUUUUGGCACUUAAUCUUGGAGUUUACGGCCUAAGGAGCAUCUUGGCCGUAAACUCCCUUCCAAAGUUGGUUUCUAAUUGUUUUGUGGGUCUAAAUCAUGAGUUUAAGGCUUCUAGGUUCUUGUUCUAAGGCUAAAGGAACACUAGGCACUCAUUUGUGCCCUUUACUUGGAGUUUACGGCCCAAGAGGUUGUUCCUUGGCCGUAAACUCCUCAAACUACUUGCUUUUGAUUUGUUUCUAGCCUCUAAUGAUCAUACACUAAGUCCUUAGUUAGAUGCCUAACACGGAAAUGGGACUAGGUGGCCUUUAGGCUUGAUUUUGGAGUUUACUCCCCAAGAACGUUCUUGGGCGGUAAACUCCCGGAUCUUGUGUUUUGGACAUGUAAACAAUGUUAUAAAGCAUAUAACAAGUAUUAAAACACAUUUAGGGAAGUAGACUCACAAUCUGGGAUGAAAACCCGAAGAUCCGUGAGAGAGUAUUUGGCUUUUCUCUAAAUGGAAAUCAAAUAAUGAACCAAUUUGGUUCAGAAUUCUAUUUAUAGUCCAGAGAUUUUUGGCAGAAAAUAUUUCUAUUCUCGGAAUGGAUUCUAAUGACCUAGAGUAAUGGAAUUACAGUGUUGCACAAAAUCCUAGUGCACCCACUCUCCUAAUAACUCCUUAGGUGUAAAACCCUAAAACUGCCAAACUUAUUCCAAAAGUUUGAAUUUUCACUGAAACUGCUCUACUUCCAUUGGAUUGAUGUGGUUUGAUUUGAAUGGAAAAUUUCGGGUUGUCACAGUUAAGGGGUAUGAACUCACCUGCAGUAUGUGACUGGAAUUGAACGGGCUGUUAUCGUACGGAAGGAUCAGACAAGUGCUUGGUGUCAAGUGAAGACUUAGACACACACAAUGAUCCUAAUUACAUAUGAAACAUAUGUAUAUAAAUAAUUAGUGAUUAUAACACUAAUUAUACAAGUAAUAACAUUUAAGCGCGAGGACAACACUUUUGGUCAAGUGCUAGGAGGCUAAUGGGUUGCAACAAAGAAGUGCAAUGCCCCUAAUGAAAGUUUAAGGUCAAAAGACCAUAUUCAUUAGAGUUUACGGCCCAGGGGAGUAAGCUCCUGGCCGUAAACUCUCAAACAAGUCAUGAAAUGGAGUUUAAAAGUACUACAACCUUAGAGGGGAAUUGUUUCAAGGCUAUACAAGUGUUUGGGCACCACAUUGACUCCUUUGGGGAGUUUACGGCCCAAAGACCCUUCUCCCUUGGAGUUUACGGCCGUAAACUCCCUUGGGAGGGUUCUUAUUGUCCUUUCAAGUCUCUAACAUUUCUAGGAACAAGUCUAGGCUUCAAUACUUGGAUCAAGGGAGGUUUAUGGCAUUAAAUGGAACCAUUUGAUGGAGUUUACGGCCAUAGAACUCUUUGGGCCGUAAACUCCCUCACACAUGAGGUUCUAAGAAUUUUAACUAGCCCAAAACUCAUCUAGGUACUUGCCCUAAAAGUCUCUUGGCCUAAGGAAGUGUCUAGGGUGUCCUUUGACCCCUUUAAAGGAGUUUACGGCCCAAGAAAUACUCUUGGCCGUAAACUCUUCAACACUUGAGCUUUUCAUGAUUUUUCUAGGUCCUAAACACAUUAAGGUACUAGCCAAAAAUGAAGACUAAGCCUUAGGAAGAGUUUGAAGUGGUUUUGGCCCUAAAUCUUGGAGUUUACGGCCUAAGGAGCAUCUUGGCCGUAAACUCCCUUCCAAAGUGUGUUUCUAAAUGUUUUGUUGGUCUAAAACACUUGCUUAAGGCUUCUAGGUACUUGUUCUAAGGCUAAAGGAUCACUAGGCACUCAUUUGUGCCCUUUACUUGGAGUUUACGGCCCAAGAGGUGGUUCCUUGGCCGUAAACUCCUCAAACUACUUGCUUUUGAUUUGCUUCUAGCCUCUAAUGAUCAUACACUAAGUCCUUAGUUAGAUGCCUAACACGGAAAUGGGACUAGGUGGCCUUUAGGCUUGAUUUUGGAGUUUACUCCCCAAGAACGUUCUUGGGCGGUAAACUCCUGGAUCUAGUGUUUUGGACUUGUAAACAAUGUUAUAAAGCAUAUAACAAGUAUUAAAACACAUUUAGGGAAGUAGACUCACAAUCUGGGAUGAAAACCCGAAGAUCCGUGAGAGAGUAUUUGGCUUUUCUCUAAAUGGAAAUCAAAUAAUGAACCAAUUUGGUUCAGAAUUCUCGGAGUGGAUUCUAAUGACCUAGAGUAAUGGAAUUACAGUGUUGCACAAAAUCCUAGUGCAACCACUCUCCUAAUAACUCCUUAGGUGUAAAACCCUAAAACUGCCAAACUUAUUCCAAAAGUUUGAAUUUUCACUGUAACUGCUCUACUACUAUUGGAUUGAAAUGGUUUGAUUUAGAACAGGAAUUUCGGGUUGUCACACAUUGACACAUCUUCCCAAGGACGAAUAAGAACUGGCAAAGGAGUGUAAAUACCAUGCUUGAAAGUUUUUUCGUCAUGUGACAUGUAACACACUUGCCCACUAUGUUAGUUACAUCCCCAACAUCUUGGGCCAAAAUAAAUUUUCUUAAAGCACCUCCAAAGUUUUGGUAAUGGAAAAAUGACCAGCCAAACCACCACCAUGAGCUUCACGAAUCAACAACUCCCGUAUUGCAUAUUUAGGGACACAAAGGUGAUUGCCUUUUGAUGUCUUUAUGGGCUUGAUUAAGUGAGUAGGGUUGUGUUUAGGUAAAUUAAUCUAGAAUAACAACCACAAAUGAUAGGCAUAUGGGAAGAAAUGGAUAGAGUAGUAACAAAUCAAGACGUACUAAAUUUUAUACCGGUGAAAACAAUCCAAGACAUAUUUGAUUGAAUGCGUAUCACGUCAAGAUCACGUCUGGACUAUGACAAGUAGUGAACUAUAACUAUAAUUCAAAGUGAAUAAAGGUUCUUUUGAUUAAAAUUAUAUCUACUUUUUUUCAUGCAUACUUGGCUUAUAUUAAGCCUUUAUUAGAAAGUUGGUGGUUACAAGCCACCCAACCAACUACUCAAUGAAACUAACAAUGAAAACUAAAAAAGAAACUCAUGAAACCACACAAAAAAACCUCUGACACUCUAAUGAAUGUAAAAAACGUCCAUGCUCCAUUAAGGAGCCACAAGAAGCAUUAAAGUGUAACCUUAAUCAGCCAAAGAGUACCAAAAUGGCUAGGAGGCUUUAUGAAGCAAAAAGUAACGGUUUUGAGCACUUAUGAAGCCUUUAAAAUGUUGCUAUAGCCUUCAUGCGACGCUAAUAACCACCUUCUAGCCUACUAGUAAUCCUUAAUCCAUCACCUUUUGGGCUUUCAUGAUCCAUGCAUGGAUCAUCCCCUCCCCCUUUGAAAAGAUAUGAUCUCAAUUCAUUAAGGCCAUCCUCGACAACAUACGGUGAAAGGUCUCGCACAUUAAAGGAAGCAUGCACUCCAUGUUCUCUUCCUAAAUCCACCUUAUAAGCAUUAUCAUUGACAUGUGACACUACUUUGUAAGGACCUUCAGCUCUUGGCAUCAACUUUUGUUCCUCCUUUUGUUAGGAAACAUUCUUUCCUCAUAUGAACCAAAACCAAGUCACCAUCUUGAAAGACACGUGGUUUCCUAUGCAUGUUGGAAUUUUGUUUGUAUACGUCAUUCACGGUUUCAAUCUUCACACAAACUUGUUGGUGUAGUUUUAUCAUGGCCUUCAACUUUAUCACACCCCAAAACCGGAACGGCGGAAACGUUCUGGGGUGGAUGACGUCAUGUCAAGUAUCACAACACAUACAUUAUAGUAAUCAAAGUACAACAACCAUUGCAUUAAUAGUAAUAGUUUUACAUGGUUUACAUUACAAUACACCAAAGUAAUACAAGUAAUAGAAUAAGUAUAGCUUGGUACUAAGCUAUCUUCAUCAACAGCUCCGGGAUUGUACCUGUCUAGUGCUGACCUGAGAAUACAAGUUAUUUGAAAAGCGAGUAUCAACAGUUUUACAAAUGCUGGUGAGUUCAUAAGUAUUUAGUGUCAUUUUAUCCAAAUAACUUUAAUAAAAGUGGUAGUUUUAGAGUGUCCAUUACAUUAGUGUCUUUUCCAGAAAAUCCUAUAUUUUCUUUAAUAAAAGCAGUCUUCUACCAAGACUGGACGGAGUUAUGUGGUAAAAAGUAGUUUUCCCUUAAUCGCUAUCAUUAUCAAAAUACAGAAUUUGAUUAUUAAAGAAAGCAAGAGAAAUCAGGGAAAUAACAUAUGCCUCAGCAGUGAAGACUGCUGACUAAGGCAAANNNNNNNNNNNNNNNNNNNNNNNNNNNNNNNNNNNNNNNNNNNNNNNNNNNNNNNNNNNNNNNNNNNNNNNNNNNNNNNNNNNNNNNNNNNNNNNNNNNNNNNNNNNNNNNNNNNNNNNNNNNNNNNNNNNNNNNNNNNNNNNNNNNNNNNNNNNNNNNNNNNNNNNNNNNNNNNNNNNNNNNNNNNNNNNNNNNNNNNNNNNNNNNNNNNNNNNNNNNNNNNNNNNNNNNNNNNNNNNNNNNNNNNNNNNNNNNNNNNNNNNNNNNNNNNNNNNNNNNNNNNNNNNNNNNNNNNNNNNNNNNNNNNNNNNNNNNNNNNNNNNNNNNNNNNNNNNNNNNNNNNNNNNNNNNNNNNNNNNNNNNNNNNNNNNNNNUGACAUUUGUCACCCCUUGGCUUGGUAGGCCGUGGACUGUAGCUAGCAGUCAGGGUGCGGGGGUGUCAAUCCCGUAUAGAUCUAUACACACAAUGUCCGCUCUCCCUACAGGAGACUCUGGUUACCAACUAGACGACGGAGAAGGCCGUGUCCCGAAGAUGCAUCCCAAAUAUUAGGUAGUGGGUUUCCAAUAUAAGUGUUGAACUAGUGGUAGAGACUCAUAACUGAACUGACUGGUGCAAACCUAUAUGUCUAUGCUUGUAUACAUAAUAUAUAAUUAAUGAAUCAGACGACCUUCGGACGGACAUCCGAUCCCACCAGACCACAUCUCAACGAAGAAAAGCAAAUAGGGCGAACAAGCCUUCCUAAGUCCUUCAACCAUUAUUUAUAUGCAUCUAUACAAGCAUAGGCAUACAUCCAACUACGUUUGAGUGUGUAACAAGUGGAAAUAUAUCGAAGUAUAACCAAAUCGUGAUGUAUAACCGAAUCGUAUGUAAUAACCGAAUCGUGAAGUAUAAGUGUACAGUGUGGAAUAACCGAAUUGUGAAGUAUAAGCGUACAGUGUGGAAUAACCGAAUUGUAAAGUAUAAGUGUACAGUGUGGAAUAACCGAAUCGUGAAGUAUAAGUGUUACCAAAUAUAAGUGUAUCACGAAGUAGAAGCGACAACAAGUGAAGUAGGAGCGUAUCGAGUAUAAGUGAAGUAGAAGCGAUAUCAAGUAUAAGUGAAGUAGAAGCGUAUCACUAAGUAAGAAUGUAAACAAGUAUAAGCAUUUAACUAAGUAGAAGUAUCCACUAAGUAAAAGUAUAACAAGGCAGUGGUAUAUAACGAGUGGGGUAUCAAAACAUGGAAGAAAACUUUAUACUUAAGAAAAUCACGACUGGGUAUUCCUUUGUAAAAUAAAUUUUAAAACCUUUAGAAUUUCUUUGGAAACCUUUCAUAAAUCAGUUAUAAAUGAAACUUUGAUAAAACAAUAUAAGUAAGAGAUUUAAAUAAGUGGAAACAUUUUAGAAAACCAUUUACAGUAUCAAACUCGGUAAAACAGUUAACAGUGUGGUAAAUCCUUGUGCAUGCGGGUUAUCAAUCACAUGUGAUUGAUAUGAUAACUGGCAUGUUUAACUUGUAUUCCCCCCUAUAAAACGUGUAAAAACGUUUAAAAGGUUUAUUCAGGGGUAUGAACUCACCUGGUGUAAGUAGAUCCGACGAAGGUGUCGGUUGGGUGCUUGGUGUCAAGUAAAGACUUGGGCACACUUAGUGAACUAUUUAACAUAUGAUAACAUAUGUUCACAUACAAUUAGUACAUUUAAUACUAAUUAAACAAGUAUACGCACUCUAAGGAGCGAAAAACACUUUGGUUAAGUGUUUGGGGUGUCCCGGGUAACAUUUAAGGGCUUGAAUGGCUUAGGAAUGGAGGUUACUCUCCAAGAGUAAACUCUCCAUAUAGUGUUUACGGCCCUGGGACAACUCCCCAUGAGUUUAGAGUCGUAAACUCAUGGUGAGGGGUUCUAGGAUGUUUAAAGGCUUUAUCUCGAUCGUGGAAUUUUGCUAGGUCCAAAUCCAAAAGGUAUGAACGGGUUUAAGGUGUUUAAAGGGACCAUAUGGGAGUUUACGGCCCAUGAACCACCCUUAUGGGAGUUCACGGCCGUGAACUCCUACCCUCUUGAUUUUAUGGAAGUUUAAGGCUCUUAUUCCAAUCCUAUUAAUUAUUCAAGGCUAUAUGGGUGUUUGGGGCUCCAAGAGUGCACUCCCUUGGAGUUUAUGGUCCAAAUGACCAUUCCUUGGGAUUUUACGGCCGUAAGCUCUUGGCUUGGCCGUGAACUCUCAUGCACCCCUUUAAACUUUGAUUUUUAAGCCCUUGUUUCAACCUUAGCAUUUUCUAGUGAAGGUAUAAGGCCGUUUUUGGGACAUUUACUAUCAUUUGGCAUGGUUUGGGGGUGUUUAUGGCCUAAGAAUGUGCUUGGGCCGUAAACUCCUUUUUACCCCUUAUUUCUUAGUGUUUAAUUGUUCCAAACCCGAAAUAGCUAGUCCCUAUUUUAUGUCUUAAGCCUAAGGGUGGUUUGGGAGUGUUUGGAACUUGAUUUUACAAGUUUAGAGGGUGUUUACGGCCUAAGCAUGUGCUUGGGCCGUAAACCCUCUUUUAAGUCCCAAAAUUGAUUGUUUUAUGGUUCAAACAUCCCUAGGCUAAAUCCCCAAUUGGUUUCUAAGCUUCAAGGGACAAAUUUGGGUCAUUUUGGCCUCUUUUUAGGGGUUUACGGCCUAAGGAGAUCUUAGGCUGUAAACACCUUUUAAACAGCUUAAAUGGUCAAUUUUUGUGCUAUAAUGACAUGCAAUAGGUUGUAAAACAAGCUAGGGUACAAGAACUUACGAUUUGGAGGCGGAAACUUGCGGUUUUUGGGACGAAAUCGGGUUUUAUGAGAGAGAGUAUAGAGAGAGGGUGAAAAAGGUUGAAAUGGAGUUUACUCUCCCUUAUAUAGGGGUUUGAGUUGAAGCUCAGUGGAAAUCUACCAGAUACUGUCGUUAUACGGGGCUUUUGGUCGCACCCGAUUUAGUGGUCGUAAUAAUAAAAACCAACUUUUUCCAAUUAAAUGGAAAUGUAUAUUACGUGUUUUUAUUUAUCUUAUCACGACAUUAAUGACAUAAAAUAUAAAUAAAUAAAAUGUUUAUUUAUUUGGUGACCCCUAAUUAACGGAACUAUUAUAAAAUGGAAUAUUCCGUUAACGGUAACAGGGUAAUGUAACGGAAUGAACUUUGGAUUGUCACAUCAUCCCCCCGUUAGACGGAAUUUCGUCCCGAAAUUCAGGUCUAGGCAAGGUAGUAGGUAUGAAUGACCAUGUAGAGGCAGGAGGGUACUUCCUAUUUUGUUUGUCCUCGCCUUCCCAGGUGACUCUGGUCUGUGUUUGUCAUUCCAAAAAAAACCUUCACCUACGGGAUGUGGAUUCCGUCUCAUGCAGUUAGCGAGUUCCGACUGGUGUAUCUACGAGGUUAAGGUUCUCAAUGGUUUCUAUCAAGAUGAGUGGGAUACGAAGAGUGACCUCGGGCAACACUGAUCAAGUCUAAGGAGUAGAUCGAUCUAGGAUGAAGUUUGUGGAAUAUCCGAAUGUAGUAGUGGUCUGACGAGGGUUGGACCAAAUUUCCAUGAGGAUUCUUAGAUGGUCCUAAGCUCUCGGAAGGGUAGAGCUUUUCAGUACUUAGAACAUAGUGUACUUCUAUGGCAAGAUCAUCACUGGAGUGAUCGCCAUUCCGAAGUUCCUAACAUUCUCACUCAUACUGGUAGUGUAGUCCUUCAGGUUGGUUCUUAGGAAGCUCGGGUUGUCUUUGGUUUCAUGUUUCCUGUCAAUUGGCUUUUAGAGACUUUCUAUGUCAUCAGAUGGGUUGCGUGUCUACGAUAUCUUUUUGUUAUAGGGUGUUUAUCUCAAGCUCGUGCGAAAUGAACCUGCACUUCUGAUGCUUGAGAUAUUUCUAACGGAAACCCUUAGGGUCGAGGAGACAGUAUUUCACUAGACGAGUGUUGGACUACCUCGGGAGGUGGUUCUACUAUUUCUGCGUGAGAUAGUAUUCGUGGAACACCUAAUAGUCCAAUGAAUCUCUAAGACUUUGGUUUAUUUUAGUGCGGAAAGCACAUGCUCCUGCAUAACCCCUCGACUAACACCAAGAUUGGUGUCAAGUCUAUAAUCUCUUCGGGAUCUGGGUCAUAAGGCUUAACGCAACUACUUUCGCACUUUGAUCAAGUAUUCUUGGCUGCGGAGGUUAGCCUGUGGUAAUCGGUAUCCUAGUGUUCCCUUCGGAGAAUGUUGUCUAUCGUCUACAGGGCGACGACGGUUUUCUCCAUGCGAGAGGGUGGAGGGUCCUAGGCACUACUAGUCUGUAACGAGGUGGACGAAGUGCCUGAGUAGUGCGAGCAUCUACUGCAACUACUUUUCCAAAGUUUCUGAGUGUUUCCCGGUCUAGGUCAAAUCUAGUGAGUAUAGGGUUCCAUUACUCGGAACUUUAAUCCCUUUACUAACUGAGGGUGUUAGCUACUAUGUGGGCUUAACCGGUAUGACAAAAAAUUUCGGAUUUGUGGUCAUUAUAGAAGCUCAACUCGCAGUGGUUAUCUUGACUCCAGUCCCUAUUUUAUGAAAUAGGAUGAAGAGCUUUACUAUGAGGUUCGUGGUAGAGCUCAUACUUGGCUUAACCACUAAUAGGUGUAUGCAGGCCGUAUAUAAUUGAGGUCGGUAGGAUGUUCAAUUGUGCGACUCCACCCCAGCCCCACAACCCAACGAGGAACAGGGAGUAGGGAGGAAGCACACAUCUUAAAUCUUCUUGAUCUCAACUAUAUACCACCUUUAUGCAUUUACCUGGUUAUAGUGGUCAGUCCCAUGAGUUCUAUCCUCUGGGUUCACGAACCUGAUGUGCGAGGUGCGAAGGGUCUUUCUGGGGAAUCCACGAAGUAUGCUUCCGAUGGUUAUUGUCUUCUGGACUAUCUUGUAGAGUCUUUCGCUUUGGAUUCCAUAUGACUAAGAGAGGUCGGUCAACAGCGCGCGGUACCCUUCUCCGGGUACUUCGGAAAGUUUGAGGUAAGAGGGACGACUGAUAGAUCGCAUUAGGUUUGAUUGUUUGUAUUAUUAUGGUUCGGAAGAACCUUUAUUUGCCAAAAUGGCUACAAAGAAAGUUCUUUUUACACAGCACUAGGGAUGUACACAUGGUUGCACUACGUCAAACCAUGAUCAAUAGAGUCGUCGAAAUUUGCAUACUUCGACAUGACAUAAAAUGAAGAUCGAUAGAGUCAUGCGCCGAACAGGCACACAAGUUCUAGGCGUCUCGGGUUUCGUCCUGUGUAUCACUUCCGCGGAUACAUGGACCGAUAGAGUCGACGCGGAACUAUAGAGAGUUCUAAGUGUUUCUGAGUGGACUACCUUUUCAUGAAUGGAUUCUCACGAGACAUUUCUAUAAUCGCCUAACAUAUACUAGUCAUGUAUAGUUAAGGUGGGUAGGACUGUUGACUGAGCGACUCCGCCCUAAAUCCACAACCAAACGAGGAACAUGAAAUGAGGCGGCAUUCACUCACUCUAGGUCUAUCCAUCUUAACUAUACAAGGCCGUAACGCAUACGUUUAGCCAUUAUAGUUUUACCUAAUGAAUUUUAAAUUUUAUAACAGUGCUGCGACUUUCGCCUUAACGGGGAAGUAUUUACAUUUGAAUUAGCCUUUUGAUGUUUUGCGUUAGUUAUCUGAGAUCGAGAGACGUACCAAAAUCCACCGGGUUCCUUGAUGCUUCUCCUUAAGCAGUAGAGGCUCCUCCUGUGUCCUUGUUGUCUCCUUCAGUUGGGCAAUCUCUUUUGAAGUGUCCAAUCUCACCACAUAGUCGGCAAACUGGAUUGGCCAUCACAUUGGUGAUUGAUGCAAUACGCUCCACCGGAGUUCUGCAUACGCGAGCAGUAUGCCCCUUCAUGUUGCACCUAGCACAUAAGAGUUCCUGGCCGACACCAUGAUGAUGGUAGCUGCAAUUGCUGCAGUGGGGGAGGUUUCCUAGGUAUAGUCUUCUUGAAGUCAGGAGGGAAGGAUUGACAGGGGUAUUGACUGCCUUAGUUCGUUGCCCUUCGGAAGGUCCUUGAGCCGAGGUACCUCCCUCCUCGAUCUUGAGUUUUCACUUUAGUGGAUUCGGUUGAGGUUCUUGGGCGGCUGGGUACGUAGGGGUUGGUUGCUACUGUCCAUUGACAGGAUCAGAAUUCCCGAUAGGGCCCUUGCUAACAUUGGCGUUGUUAGCAUUCAGGUGAGCCAUGACAGCUGCUACGGCUGCCGNNNNNNNNNNNNNNNNNNNNNNNNNNNNNNNNNNNNNNNNNNNNNNNNNNNNNNNNNNNNNNNNNNNNNNNNNNNNNNNNNNNNNNNNNNNNNNNNNNNNNNNNNNNNNNNNNNNNNNNNNNNNNNNNNNNNNNNNNNNNNNNNNNNNNNNNNNNNNNNNNNNNNNNNNNNNNNNNNNNNNNNNNNNNNNNNNNNNNNNNNNNNNNNNNNNNNNNNNNNNNNNNNNNNNNNNNNNNNNNNNNNNNNNNNNNNNNNNNNNNNNNNNNNNNNNNNNNNNNNNNNNNNNNNNNNNNNNNNNNNNNNNNNNNNNNNNNNNNNNNNNNNNNNNNNNNNNNNNNNNNNNNNNNNNNNNNNNNNNNNNNNNNNNNNNNNNNNNNNNNNNNNNNNNNNNNNNNNNNNNNNNNNNNNNNNNNNNNNNNNNNNNNNNNNNNNNNNNNNNNNNNNNNNNNNNNNNNNNNNNNNNNNNNNNNNNNNNNNNNNNNNNNNNNNNNNNNNNNNNNNNNNNNNNNNNNNNNNNNNNNNNNNNNNNNNNNNNNNNNNNNNNNNNNNNNNNNNNNNNNNNNNNNNNNNNNNNNNNNNNNNNNNNNNNNNNNNNNNNNNNNNNNNNNNNNNNNNNNNNNNNNNNNNNNNNNNNNNNNNNNNNNNNNNNNNNNNNNNNNNNNNNNNNNNNNNNNNNNNNNNNNNNNNNNNNNNNNNNNNNNNNNNNNNNNNNNNNNNNNNNNNNNNNNNNNNNNNNNNNNNNNNNNNNNNNNNNNNNNNNNNNNNNNNNNNNNNNNNNNNNNNNNNNNNNNNNNNNNNNNNNNNNNNNNNNNNNNNNNNNNNNNNNNNNNNNNNNNNNNNNNNNNNNNNNNNNNNNNNNNNNNNNNNNNNNNNNNNNNNNNNNNNNNNNNNNNNNNNNNNNNNNNNNNNNNNNNNNNNNNNNNNNNNNNNNNNNNNNNNNNNNNNNNNNNNNNNNNNNNNNNNNNNNNNNNNNNNNNNNNNNNNNNNNNNNNNNNNNNNNNNNNNNNNNNNNNNNNNNNNNNNNNNNNNNNNNNNNNNNNNNNNNNNNNNNNNNNNNNNNNNNNNNNNNNNNNNNNNNNNNNNNNNNNNNNNNNNNNNNNNNNNNNNNNNNNNNNNNNNNNNNNNNNNNNNNNNNNNNNNNNNNNNNNNNNNNNNNNNNNNNNNNNNNNNNNNNNNNNNNNNNNNNNNNNNNNNNNNNNNNNNNNNNNNNNNNNNNNNNNNNNNNNNNNNNNNNNNNNNNNNNNNNNNNNNNNNNNNNNNNNNNNNNNNNNNNNNNNNNNNNNNNNNNNNNNNNNNNNNNNNNNNNNNNNNNNNNNNNNNNNNNNNNNNNNNNNNNNNNNNNNNNNNNNNNNNNNNNNNNNNNNNNNNNNNNNNNNNNNNNNNNNNNNNNNNNNNNNNNNNNNNNNNNNNNNNNNNNNNNNNNNNNNNNNNNNNNNNNNNNNNNNNNNNNNNNNNNNNNNNNNNNNNNNNNNNNNNNNNNNNNNNNNNNNNNNNNNNNNNNNNNNNNNNNNNNNNNNNNNNNNNNNNNNNNNNNNNNNNNNNNNNNNNNNNNNNNNNNNNNNNNNNNNNNNNNNNNNNNNNNNNNNNNNNNNNNNNNNNNNNNNNNNNNNNNNNNNNNNNNNNNNNNNNNNNNNNNNNNNNNNNNNNNNNNNNNNNNNNNNNNNNNNNNNNNNNNNNNNNNNNNNNNNNNNNNNNNNNNNNNNNNNNNNNNNNNNNNNNNNNNNNNNNNNNNNNNNNNNNNNNNNNNNNNNNNNNNNNNNNNNNNNNNNNNNNNNNNNNNNNNNNNNNNNNNNNNNNNNNNNNNNNNNNNNNNNNNNNNNNNNNNNNNNNNNNNNNNNNNNNNNNNNNNNNNNNNNNNNNNNNNNNNNNNNNNNNNNNNNNNNNNNNNNNNNNNNNNNNNNNNNNNNNNNNNNNNNNNNNNNNNNNNNNNNNNNNNNNNNNNNNNNNNNNNNNNNNNNNNNNNNNNNNNNNNNNNNNNNNNNNNNNNNNNNNNNNNNNNNNNNNNNNNNNNNNNNNNNNNNNNNNNNNNNNNNNNNNNNNNNNNNNNNNNNNNNNNNNNNNNNNNNNNNNNNNNNNNNNNNNNNNNNNNNNNNNNNNNNNNNNNNNNNNNNNNNNNNNNNNNNNNNNNNNNNNNNNNNNNNNNNNNNNNNNNNNNNNNNNNNNNNNNNNNNNNNNNNNNNNNNNNNNNNNNNNNNNNNNNNNNNNNNNNNNNNNNNNNNNNNNNNNNNNNNNNNNNNNNNNNNNNNNNNNNNNNNNNNNNNNNNNNNNNNNNNNNNNNNNNNNNNNNNNNNNNNNNNNNNNNNNNNNNNNNNNNNNNNNNNNNNNNNNNNNNNNNNNNNNNNNNNNNNNNNNNNNNNNNNNNNNNNNNNNNNNNNNNNNNNNNNNNNNNNNNNNNNNNNNNNNNNNNNNNNNNNNNNNNNNNNNNNNNNNNNNNNNNNNNNNNNNNNNNNNNNNNNNNNNNNNNNNNNNNNNNNNNNNNNNNNNNNNNNNNNNNNNNNNNNNNNNNNNNNNNNNNNNNNNNNNNNNNNNNNNNNNNNNNNNNNNNNNNNNNNNNNNNNNNNNNNNNNNNNNNNNNNNNNNNNNNNNNNNNNNNNNNNNNNNNNNNNNNNNNNNNNNNNNNNNNNNNNNNNNNNNNNNNNNNNNNNNNNNNNNNNNNNNNNNNNNNNNNNNNNNNNNNNNNNNNNNNNNNNNNNNNNNNNNNNNNNNNNNNNNNNNNNNNNNNNNNNNNNNNNNNNNNNNNNNNNNNNNNNNNNNNNNNNNNNNNNNNNNNNNNNNNNNNNNNNNNNNNNNNNNNNNNNNNNNNNNNNNNNNNNNNNNNNNNNNNNNNNNNNNNNNNNNNNNNNNNNNNNNNNNNNNNNNNNNNNNNNNNNNNNNNNNNNNNNNNNNNNNNNNNNNNNNNNNNNNNNNNNNNNNNNNNNNNNNGAGACUCUGGUUACCAACUAGACGACGGAGAAGGCCGUGUCCCGAAGAUGCAUCCCAAAUAGUGGGUAGAGGGUUUCCAAUGUAAGUGCUGAACUGGUGGUAGAGACUCUUAACUGAACUGACUAAUGUAAACCUAUAUGUCUAUGCUUGUUUACAUAAUAUAUAACUAAUGAAUCAAACGACCUUCGGAUGGACAUCCGAUCCCACCAGACCACAUCUCAACGAAGAAAAGGAAAUAGGGCGAACAAGCCUUCCUAAGUCCUUCAACCAUUAUUUAUAUGCAUCUAUACAAGCAUAGGCAUACAUCCAACUACGUUUGAGUGUGUAACAAGUGGAAAUUUCUCGAAGUAUAACCAAAUCGUGAUGUAUAACCGAAUCGUAUGUAAUAACCAAAUCGUGAAGUAUAAGUGUACAGUGUGGAAUAACCGAAUUGUGAAGUAUAAGCCUACAAUGUGGAAUAACCGAAUUGUGAAGUAUAAGUGUACAGUGUGGAAUAACCGAAUUGUGAAGUAUAAACGUACAGUGUGGAAUAACCGAAUCGUGAAGUAUAAGUGUCACCAAAUAUAAGUGUAUCACGAAGUAGAAGCGACCACAAGUGAAGUAGGAGCGUAUCGAGUAUAAGUGAAGUAGAAGCGAUAUCAAGUAUAAGUGAAGUAGAAGCGUAUCACUCAGUAAGAGUGUAAACAAGUAUAAUCAUUUAACUAAGUAGAAGUAUCCACUAAGUAAAAGUAUAACAAGGCAGUGGUAUAUAACGAGUGGGGUCUCAAAACAUGGAAGAAAACUUUAUACUUAAGAAAAUCACGACUGGGUAUUCCUUUGUAAAAUAAGUUUGAAAACCUUUAAAAUUUCUUUGGAAACCUUUCAUAAAUCAGUUUUAAAUGAAACUUUGAUAAAACAAUAUAAGUAAGAGAUUUGAACAAGUGGAAACAUUUUAGAAAACCAUUUACAGUAUCAAACUCGGUAAAACAGUUAACAGUGUGGUAAGUCCUUGUGCAUGCGGGUUAUCAAUCACAUGUGAUUGAUAUGAUAACUGCCAUGUUUAACUUGCAUUUCCCCCCCCCCCCNCAUGUAAAAACGUUUAAAAGGUUCAUUCAGGGGUAUGAACUCACCUGGUGUAAGUGGAUCCGACGAAGGUGCCGGUUGGGUGCUCGGUGUCAAGUAAAGACUUGGACACACUUAGUGACCUAUUUAACAUAUGGUAACAUAUGUUUACAUACAAUUUGUACAUUUAUUACUAAUUAAACAAGUAUACGCACUCUAUGGAGCGGAAAACACUUUGGUUAAGUGUUUGGGGUGUCCCGAGUAACAUUUAAGGGCUUGAAUGGCUUAGGAAUGGAGUUUACGGCCCUGGGACAACACCCCAAGAGUUUAUGGCCGUAAACUCAUGGUGAGGGGUUCUAGGAUGUUUAAAGGCUUUAUCUCGAUCGUGUAAUUUUGCUAGGUCCAAAUCGAAAAGGUAUGAACGGGUUUAAGGUGUUUAAAGGGACCAUAUGGGAGUUUACGGCCCAUGAACCACCCUUAUGGGAGUUCACGGCCGUGAACUCCUACCCUCUUGAUUUUAUGGAAGUUUAAGGCUCUUAUUCCAAUCCUAGUAAUUAUUCAAGGCUAUAGGGGUGUUUGGGGUUCCAAGAGUGCACUCCCUUGGAGUUUCUGAUCCAAAUGACCACUCCUUGGGAGUUUACGGCCGUAAGCUCUUGGCUUGGCCGUGAACUCUCAUGCACCCCUUUAAACUUUGAUCUUUAAGCCCUUGUUUCAACCCUAGCAUUUUCUAGUGAAGGUAUAAGGCCGUUUUUGGGACAUUUACUAUCAUUUUGCAUGGUUUGGGGGUGUUUACGGCCUAAGCAUGUGCUUGGGCUGUACACUCCUUUUUACCCCUCAUUUCUUAGUGUUUAAUUGUUCCAAACCCGAAAUAGCAAGUCCCUAUUUUAUGUCUAAAGCCUAAGGGUGGGUUGGGAGUGUUUGGAACUUGAUUUCACAAGUUUAGAGGGUGUUUACGGCCUAAGCAUGUGCUUGGUCCAUAAACCCUCGUUUAAGUCCCAAAAUUGAUUGUUUUAUGGUUCAAACAUCCCUAGGCUAAAUCCCCAAUUGGUUUCUAAGCUUCAAGGGACAAAUUUGGGUCAUUUUGGCCUCUUUUUAGGGGUUUACGGCCUAAGGAGAUCUUAGGCCGUAAACACCUUUUAAACAGCUUAAAUGGUCAAUUUUUGUGCUAUAAUGACAUGCAAUAGGUUGUAAAACAAGCCAGGGUACAAGAACUUACGAUUUGGAGGCGGAAACUUGCGGUUUUUGGGACGAAAUCGGGUUUUAUGAGAGAGAGUAUAGAGAGAGGGUGAAAAAGGUUGAAAUGGAGUUUACUCUCCCUUAUAUAGGGGUUUGAGUUGAAGCUCAGUGGAAAUCUACCCGAUACUGCCGUUAGACGGGGCUUUUGGUCGCACCCGAUUUAGUGGUCGUAAUAAUAAAAACCAACUUUUUCCAAUUAAAUGGAAAUGUAUAUUACGUGUUUUUAUUUAUCUUAUCACGACGUUAACGACAUAAAAUAUAAAUAAAUAAAACGUUUAUUUAUUUGGCGACCCCUAAUUAACGGAACUAUUAUAAAAUGGAAUAUUCUGUUAACGGUAACAGGGUAAUGUAACGGAAUGAACUUUGGGUUGUCACAUCAUCCCCCCGUUAGACGGAAUUUCGUCCCGAAAUUCAGGUCUAGGCAAGGUAGUAGGUAUGAAUGACCAUGUAGAGGCAGGAGGGUACUUCCUAUUUUGUUUGUCCUCGCCUUCCCAGGUGACUCUGGUCUGUGUUUGUCAUUCCAAAAAAAACCUUCACCUACGGGAUGUGGAUUCCGUCUCAUGCAGUUAGCGAGUUCCGACUGGUGUAUCUACGAGGUUAAGGUUCUCAAUGGUUUCUAUCAAGAUGAGUGGGAUACGAAGAGUGACCUCGGGCAACACUAAUCAAGUCUAAGGAGUAGAUCGAUCUAGGAUGAAGCUUGUGGAAUAUCCGAAUGUAGUAGUGGGCUGACGAGGGUUGGACCAAAUUUCCAUGAGGAUUCUCAGAUGGUCCUAAGCUCUCGGAAGGGUAGAGCUUUUCAGUACUUAGAACAUAGUGUACUUCUAGGGCAAGAUCAUCACUGGAGUGAUCGCCAUUCCGAAGUUCCUAACAUUCUCACUCAUACUGGUAGUGUAGUCCUUCAAGUUGGUUCUUAGGAAGCUCGGGUUGUCUUUGGUUUCAUGUUUCCUGUCAAUUGGCUUUUAGAGACUUUCUAUGUCAUCAGAUGGGUUGCGUGUCUACGGUAUCUUUUUGUUAUAGGGUGUCUAUCUCAAGCUCGUGCGAAAUGAACCUGCACUUCUGAUGCUUGAGAUAUUUCUAACGGAAACCCUUAGGGUCGAGGAGACAGGGUUUCACUAGAUGAGUGUUGGACUACCUUGGGAGGUGGUUCUACUAUUUCUGCGUGAGAUAGUAUUCGUGGAACACCUAAUAGUCCAAUGAAUCUCUAAGACUUGGGUUUAUUUUAGUGCGGAAAGCACAUGCUCCUGCAUAACCCCUCGACUAACACCAAAACUGGUGUCAAGUCUAUAAUCUCUUCGGGAUCUGGGUCAUGAGGCUUAACGCAACUACUUUCGCACUUUGAUCAAGUAUUCUUGGCUUCGGAGGUUAUCAUGUGGUAAUCGGUAUCCUAGUGUUCCCUUCGGAGAAUGUUUUCUAUCGUCUAAAGGGCGAUGAUGGCACUACUAGUCUUUAACGAGGUGGACGAAGUGCCUGAGUAGUGCGAGCAUCUACUGCAACUACUUUUCCGAAGUUUCUGAGUGUUUCCCGGUCUAGGUCAAAUCUAGUGAGUAUAGGGUUCCAUUACUCGGAACUUUAAUCCCUUUACUAACUGAGGGUGUUAGCUACUAUGUGGGCUUAACCGAUAUGACAACAAAUUUCGGAUUUGUGGUCAUUAUAGUAGCUCAACUCGCAGUGGUUAUCUUGACUCCAGUCCCUAUUUUAUGAAAUUGGAUGAAGAGCUUUACUAUGAGGUUCGUGGUAGAGCUCAUACUUGGCUUAACCACUAAUACUUGGUGUAUGCAGGCCGUAUAUAAUUGAGGUCGGUAGGAUGUUCAAUUGUGCGACUCCACCCCAGACACACAACCCAACGAGGAACAGGGAGUAGGGAGGAAGCACACAUCUUAAAUCUUCUUGAUCUCAACAAUAUACCACCUUUAUGCAUUUACCUGGUUAUAGUGGUCAGUCCCAUGAGUUCUAUCCUCUGGGUUCACGAACCUGAUGUGCGAGGUGCGAAGGGUCUUUCUGGGGAAUCAACGAAGUAUGCUUCGGAUGGUUAUUGUCUUCUGGAGUAUCUUGCAGAGUCUUUUGCUUCGGAUUCCAUAUGACUAAGAGAGGCCAGUCAACAGCGUGCGGUACCCUUCUCCGGGUACUUCGGAAAGUUUGAGGUAAGAGGGACGAUUGACGGAUCGCAUUAGGUUUGAUUGUUAGUAUUAUGUUUAGGUUCGGAAGGUAUUUGCCGAAAUGGCUACGGAGAAAGUUCUUUUUACAUAGCACUAGGGAUGUACACAUGGUUGCACUAUGCCAAACCAUGAUCAAUAGAGUCGUCGAAAUUUGCAUACUUCGACUUGACAUAAAAUGAAGAUCAAUAGAGUCAUGCGCCGAACAGGCACACAAGUUCUAGGCGUCUCGGGUUUCAUCCUGUGUAUCACUUCCGCGGAUACUUGGACUUAUAGAGUCGACGCAGAACUAUAGAGAGUACUAAGUGUUUCUGAGUGGAGUACCUUUUCAUGAAUGGAUUCUCACAAGGCAUUUCUAUAAUCGCCUAACAUAUACUAGUCAUGUAUAGUUAAGGUGGGGAGGACUGUUGACUGAGCGACUCCGCCCUAAAUCGACAACCAAACGAGGAAUAAGAAAUGAGGCGACAUUCACUCACUCUAGGUCUAUCCAUCUUAACUAUACAUGGCUGUAACGCAUACGUUUAGCCAUUAUAGUUUUACCUAAUGAAUUUUAAAUUUUAUAACAAUGCUGCGACUUUCGCCUUAAUGGGGAAGUAUUUACAUUUGAAUUAGCCUUUUGAUGUUUUGCGUUAGUUAUCUUAGAUCGAGAGACGUACCAAAAUCUACCGGGUUCCUUGAUGCUUCUCCUUAAGCCGUAGAGUUAGGCUCCUCCUGUGUCCUUGUUGUUUCCUUCAGUUGGGCAAUCUCUUUUGAAGUGUCCAAUCUCACCACAUAGUCGGCAAACUGGAUUGGCCGUCACAUUGGUGAUUGAUGCAAUACGCUCCACCGAAGUUCUACAUACGCGAGCAGUAUGCCCCUUCAUGUUGCACCUAGCACAUAUGAGUUCCUGGCAGACACCAUGAUGAUGGUAGCUGCACUUGCUGUAGUGGGGGAGGUUUCCUAGGUAUGGUCUUCUUGAAGUCAGGAGGGAAUGAUUGACAGGGGUAUUGACUGCCUCAGUUCGUUGCCCUUCGGAAGGUCCUUGAGCCGAGGUACCUCCCUCCUCGAUCUUGAGUUUUCUCUUUAGUGGAUUCAGUUGAGGUUCUUGGGUGGCUGGGUAUGUAGGGGUUGGUUGCUGCUGUCCAUUGACAGGAUCAGAAUUCCUGAUAGGGCCCUUGCUAACAUUGGCGUUGUUACCAUUCAGGUGAGCCAUGACAGCUGCUACGGCUGCUGAGACUGCAGCUUGGAACGUAGCUUCAUCGAAUAAGAGAGUAGGUUUCUUGCUUGUAGACUGGUUGCGUUUCUUUGGAGGCAUGGUUUUUCCUACAUGGAAAGGAAUACAAGAUAAUGAGAGACGAUGGCUAACCCUGGACAUAUCUGUCCUGACUGUAUUAGGCAUAAAUUUUUCCCGUGCCUCGGGUACUGGUUGUCUGAGUGUCGACCUACAUCCCUAUGAUGUAGUCCUGGUAAUCAAGGUAGGAGUAUGAGUAUCGGAAAAGGCCAUAAGAUGCGAGUCGUUCCUACUACGUUACCUUUAUACUGGGAAGGUUUCACUCUCCGGCCUGGAAAGAUUUGAGAACAGUUCGGAACGAACACCGCGGGGAGAGAGGCUUAUGAAGACUUAUGGCUAAAUACUCUCAAUAGAGGUGCGGGGAUCCGAUCUAAUCGUGUGACUGGCAACGGGAAACGACGAUUUUCCUAACACAUAGCGUGAGUAGUGUAACCACUAACUCACUAAAUUGUAUUAUUUUAAGGGUGUAUUAGCGUGACGAACACGAGGAAAAGACACUUCUCGGGUUCCAUGUACUGGCUCCCUCUGUCUGCCUCGUAUCUUUGACUGGAAUCGGCGUUGGUUUCCUUCGGGUAGUUACCUAGGGUUCUCUUCUCGUAUGGACAUAUUGAAUUUCUACUCCGCCUUCCUUCUGAUUCCGACUCUGGGUGUCAUCACUUCAUGAUGGAUGACUGGGAAUCUCCGAAGUUUAGGCGAAUUUCUCACCGAUGUCCCUAAAAAGAUAUAGGCACUUGGUGAAUUCAAUAGUCUCGACCCAGUUCAUUUAUUUCCGAACAGGAAAUCUUCUCAAUGAACCUCUUCUGGGUCUGAAUCAACUCUUCUGUCAAGCACUGAAGUGGAUAGGGUUUUCUACAGGGUUCGUGCGAGAAUGGAAAUGUCUAAAGAAUCCUAAGAGAUUAUUAACAUUUCACUGGAUGAUCCAUAUCGAGUCCUGCUACGAUUACACAGGGUAUACAAAUCAUAUAUAGCUUAGAUCCGAUAGGCCUUCGAAUAUGUGAUACUACUCUAUAUCCACAUCCCAACGAGGAAAAGGAAGUAGAGCGAAACCACACAUUCUUAGCCUAUGGGAUCCUUAUUAUAUAUAACCUUGGGAGUAUACCCUCUGUAGUUGUAGGUAUAUCAAUAAGGAUCUUUUUAGUUCUUCACACAAGGUUAGUUAUGGAUCCUAAAAUACCCCUAUGGUAUUUUAAUUCUUGUUUGAUUCUUAUCUUCUGAUUAUGAUUCUGGGAUUAGUGUGAAUCUUUUAGUGUUCCAAAAUACUCCUAUAGUAUUUUAACUUUAUGUUUGGCUCUAGCAUUCCUAGUUGGUAAGUUUCAGACCUGUUGCACACCACUAUCACUCCCAAGCACAUGUUCAUCGCAUCUCGAAUAAAUGUAGUUGAUCAGGUUACAUUUAUUCCAGCUUACGAUUACAUAACUGCCCAGGUUUGACGGUAAUGCUCAACAUCCGAAGACUUUUAUUCUUGUUCUUCUUGUGAUACUUGUGUUCGAGUGUUUAGAUUCUGGAUGUUCUUAUACUUUGGUAAAAUAUGGUUAUAUUUUAAAGUAUAAUUCUUGGUCAGAGUGUUUUAUCCCUUUGUAUUUAUAGGCUGUAUAUCUUUUAUGAAUUGAUAUACUUAGCUCACUAUAAACAAUGCUCUGAUACCAAUCUGUCACACCCCAAAACCGGAACGGCGGAAACGUUCUGGGGUGGAUGACGUCAUGUCAAGUAUCACAACACAUGCAUUAUAGUAAUCAAAGUACAACAACCAUUGCAUUAAUAGUAAUAGUUUUACAUGGUUUACAUUACAAUACACCAAAGUAAUACAAGUAAUAGAAUAAGUAUAGCUUGGAACUAAGCUAUCUUCAUCAACAGCUCCGGGAUUGUACCUGUCUAAUGCUGACCUCUAAGCUAUCUUCAUCAACAACUCCGGGAUUGUACCUGUCUAAUGCUGACCUGAGUAUACAAGUUAUUUGAAAAGCGAGUAUCAGCAUUUUUACAAAUGCUGGUGAGUUCAUAAGUAUUUAGUGUCAUUUUAUCCAAAUAACUUUAACAAAAGUGGUAGUUUUAGAGUGUCCAUUACAUUAGUGUCUUUUCUAGAAAAUCCUAUAUUUUCUUUAGUAAAAGCAGUCUUCUACCAAGACUGGACGGAGUUAUGUGGUAAAAAGUAGUUUUCCCUUAAUCGCUAUCACUAUCAAAAUACAGAAUUUGAUUAUUAAAGAAAGCAGGAGAAAUCAGGGAAAAUAACAUAUGCCUCAACAGUGAAGACUGCUGACUAAGGCAAAAGGAAUCAUAGACUCCAGGAGAGUAUCGAACGAACGACACGCCUGGCUCAGUCUAACAAAGGGAGACACAGACCCCAGACGGUACCAAAUGAAAGGUACAGCUGGCAAGGUCAAAACAGAGAAUACAGACCCCAGACAGUAUCAAAUGAAAGAUACAACUAGCAAGGUCUAAAAACAGAGAAUACAGACCCCAGACAGUAUCAAAUGAAAGAUACAGCUAGCAAGGUCUAAAAACAGAGAAUACAGACCCCAGACAGUAUCAAAUGAAAGAUACAACUAGCAAGGUCUAAAAACAGAGAAUACAGACCCCAGACAGUAUCAAAUGAAAGAUACAGCUAGCAAGGUCUAAAAACAGUGUGACUCUGAGAGUGGGUUUCCAGCAUACAGUGUAAAUUGCUGGUGAAAUACCGUUACCUUAAGGCCAUGAAUUAUAAGGUAACCUGGGAUACUCGUAACCAUACUAACCGACACUAGAGUACCUGACGCCCUGCAAGCGUCUAUAGAAUAUGACAUUUGUCACCCCUUGGCUUGGUAGGCCGUGGACUGUAGCUAGCAGUCAGGGUGCGGGGGUGUCAAUCCCGUAUAGAUCUAUACACACAAUGUCCGCUCUCCCUACAGGAGACUCUGGUUACCAACUAGACGACGGAGAAGGCCGUGUCCCGAAGAUGCAUCCCAAAUAGUGGGUAGUGGGUUUCCAAUAUAAGUGUUGAACUAGAGGUAGAGACUCAUAACUGAACUGACUAGAGUAAACCUAUAUGUCUAUGCUCGUAUACAUAAUAUAUAACUAAUGAAUCAAACGACCUUCGGACGGACAUCCGAUCCCACCAGACCACAUCUCAACGAAGAAAAGGAAAUAGGGCGAACAAGCCUUCCUAAGUCCUUCAACCAUUAUUUAUAUGCAUCUAUACAAGCAUAGGCAUACAUCCAACUACGUUUGAGUGUGUAACAAGUGGAAAUUUCUCGAAGUAUAACCAAAUCGUGAUGUAUAACCGAAUCGUAUGUAAUAACCAAAUCGUGAAGUAUAAGUGUACAGUGUGGAAUAACCGAAUUGUGAAGUAUAAGCGUACAGUGUGGAAUAACCGAAUUGUGAAGUAUAAGUGUACAGUGUGGAAUAACCGAAUCGUGAAGUAUAAGUGUUACCAAAUAUAAGUGUAUCACGAAGUAGAAGCGACAACAAGUGAAGUAGGAGCGUAUCGAGUAUAAGUGAAGUAGAAGCGAUAUCAAGUAUAAGUGAAGUAGAAGCGUAUCACUAAGUAAGAGUGUAAACAAGUAUAAGCAUUUAACUAAGUAGAAGUAUCCACUAAGUAAAAGUAUAACAAGGCAGUGGUAUAUAACGAGUGGGGUAUCAAAACAUGGAAGAAAACUUUAUACUUAAGAAAAUCACGACUGGGUAUUCCUUUGUAAAAUAAGUUUGAAAACCUUUAGAAUUUCUUUGGAAACCUUUCAUAAAUCAGUUUUAAAUGAAACUUUGAUAAAACAAUAUAAGUAAGAGAUUUGAACAAGUGGAAACAUUUUAGAAAACCAUUUACAGUAUCAAACUCGGUAAAACAGUUAACAGUGUGGUAAAUCCUUGUGCAUGCGGGUUAUCAAUCACAUGUGAUUGAUAUGAUAACUGGCAUGUUUAACUUGUAUUCUUCCCCUAUAAAACAUGUAAAAACGUUUAAAAUGUUCAUUUAGGGGUAUGAACUCACCUGGUGUAAGUGGAUCCGACGAAGGUGCCGGUUGGGUGCUCGGUGUCAAGUAAAGACUUGGACACACUUAGUGACCUAUUUAACAUAUGAUAACAUAUGUUCACAUACAAUUAGUACAUUUAAUACUAAUUAAACAAGUAUACGCACUCUAAGGAGCGGAAAACACUUUGGUUAAGUGUUUGGGGUGUCCCGGGUAACAUUUAAGGGCUUGAAUGGCUUAGGAAUGGAGUUUACUCUCCAAGAGUAAACUCUCCAUAUAGUGUUUACGGCCCUGGGACAACUCCCCAUGAGUUUACGGUCUUAAACUCAUGGUGAGGGGUUCUAGGAUGUUUAAAGGCUUUAUCUCGAUCGUGGAAUUUUGCUAGGUCCAAAUCCAAAAGGUAUGAACGGGUUUAAGGUGUUUGAAGGGACCAUAUGGGAGUUUACGGCCCAUGAACCACCCCUAUGGGAGUUCACGGCCGUGAACUCCUACCCUCUUGAUUUUAUGGAAGUUUAAGGCUCUUAUUCCAAUCCUAGUAAUUAUUCAAGGCUAUAGGGGUGUUUGGGGUUCCAAGAGUGCACUCCCUUGGAGUUUCUGAUCCAAAUGACCACUCCUUGGGAGUUUACGGCCGUAAGCUCUUGGCUUGGCCGUGAACUCUCAUGUACCCCUUUAAACUUUGAUUUUUAUGCCCUUGUUUCAACCCUAGCAUUUUCUAGUGAAGGUAUAAGGCCACUUAGGGGACAUUUACUAUCAUUUGGCAUGGUUUGGGGGUGUUUACGGCCUAAGCAUGUGCUUGGACCGUCAACUCCUUUUUACCCCUCAUUUCUUAGUGUUUAAUUGUUCAAAACCCGAAAUAGCAAGUCCCUAUUUUAUGUCUUANCCUAUUUUAUUCUUAAGCCUAAGGGUGGUUUGGCAGUGUUUGGAACUUGAUUUUACAAGUUUAGAGGGUGUUUACGGCCUAAGCAUGUGUUGGGCCGUAAACCCUCUUUUAAUUCCCAAAAUUGAUUGUUUUAUGGUUCAAACAUCCCUAGGCAAAAUCCCCAAUUGGUUUCUAGGCUUCAAGGGAUAAAUUUGGGUCAUUUUUGCCUCUUUUUAGGGGUUUACGGCCUAAGGAGGCUCUUAGGCCGUAAACUCCUUUUCGAAAGCUUAAAUGGUCUAUUUUUGUGCUAUAAUGACAUGCAAUAGGUUGUAAAACAAGCUAGGGUACAAGAACUUACGAUUUGGAGGCGGAAACUUGCGGUUUUUGGGACGAAAUCGGGUUUUAUGAGAGAGAGUAUAGAGAGAGGGUGAAAAAGGUUGAAAUGGAGUUUACUCCCCCUUAUAUAGGGGCUUGAGUUGAAGCACAGUGGAAAUCUACCCGAUACUGCCGUUAGACGGGGCUUUUGGUCGCACCCGAUUUAGUGGUCGUAAUAAUAAAAACCAACUUUUUCCAAUUAAAUGGAAAUGUAUAUUACGUGUUUUUAUUUAUCUUAUCACGACGUUAACAACAUAAAAUAUAAAUAAAUAAAACGUUUAUUUAUUUGGCGACCCCUAAUUAACGGAACUUUUAUAAAAUGGAAUAUUCCGUUAACGGUAACGGGGUAAUGUAACGGAAUGAACUUUGGGUUGUCACAAACUUGUCAUUAACAUCCUUGUGAACUAAUUCAUCGUUUGGCAAUGGAAUAAAAUCAAAACGCAUGUAAGGAUUCACACCAUACACCACUUCAAAAGGAGAGUGACAUGUUGCAUAAGUAGGAGAAUGAUUAAAGGGACACUCAGCAUGUGCAAGUUUGAUGUCCAAUGUUUUUGGGUUUUGCUAACCAACUCCCUCAACAACAUACACAAAGUUCUAUUAGUCACAUUCGUUUUCCCAUCCGUUUGUGGAUGAUAGGAUGUAUUAAAAAGUAACUUAGUACCUACUUUCCUCCACAAGGUGUUCCAAAAGUAACUCAAAAACGUGGAAUCCCUAUCAGAACAAUAGUUUUAGGAAUAAUAUGCAAGCGAACCACGUCUGUAAACUACUAAUAAAAAACAUUAGAUGCAUCAUUGGUUUUAUGACACGACAUAGAGUGAGAAAGUUUUGAAAACCUAUCCACCACCAUUAAAAUGGAAUGCUUCCCCCUUUGAGUUCUAGGCAAAGCCAUAAUGAAUUCCAUUGGCACAUCUUCCCAAGGUCGAAUAGGAACCGGCGAAGGAUGUUUAAACACACUUGCCCACUAUGUUGGUUACAUCCCCAAGAUCUUUAGGCCAGAAGAAAUGUUCUUGAAUCACCUCAAAAGUUUUGUUAAUGGAAAAAUGACUCGCCAAACCAACACCAUGAGCUUCACGAAUCAGCAAGUCCCAUAUUGAAUGUUUAGGGACAAAAAGGUGAUUGCCUUUGGAUGCCUUUAUGGGCUUGAUUAAGUGAGUAGGGUUGUGUUUAGGUAAAUUAAGCUAGAAUAACAACCACAAAUGGUAGGUGUAUGGGAAGAAAUGAAUAGAUUAAUAAGAAAUCAAGACGUACUAAGUUGUAUGCCGGGGAAAACUAUCCAAGAAUAAUAUUUGAUUGGAUGCGUAUCAAGUCAAGAACACGUCUCGACUAUGACAAGUAGUGAACUAUAACUAUGAUUCAAAGUGAACAAAGGUUCUUUUGAUUAAAAUUAUAUCUAUUUUUUCGUGCAUACUUGUCUUAUAUUAAGCAUUUAUUAGAAAGUUGGUGGUUACAAGCCACCCAACCAACUACUCAGUGAAACUAAUAAUGAAAAUUAAAAAAAAAACUCUUGAAACCACACAGAAAAACCCCUUACACUCUAAUGAAUGUAAGACAAGUCCAUGAUUAAGGAGCUACAAGAAGCAUUAAAGUGUAACCCUAAUCCACCAAAGAAUAUCAAAAUGGCUAAGAGGCUUUAAAAAGCAAAAAUUAACGGUUUUGAGCACUUAUGAAGCCUUUAAAAUGUUGCUUUAGCCUUCAUGCGACCCUAAUUCAAUUCGUAGGUUACCAUGCACAACCCAACCAUUUAGCCCAAACCACCUUCUAGCCUACUAGUAAUCCUUAAUCCAUCACCUUUUGGGCUGUCAUGAUCCAUGCAUGGAUCAUCCCCUCCCCCUUUUAAAAGAUAUGACCUCAAUUCAUUUAGGCCAUCCUCAACAAGAUACGGUAAAAGGUCUCCCACAUUAAAGGAAGCAUGCACUCCAUGGUCUCUUUCCUAAUCCACCUUAUAAGCAUUAUCAUUGACACGUGACACCACUUUGUAAGGACCUUCAGCUCUUGGCAUCAACUUUUGUUCUUCCUUUUGUUAGGAAACGUUCUUUCCUCAUAUGAACCUAAACCAAGUCACCAUCUUGAAAGACACAUGGUUUCCUAUGCAUGUUGGAAUCCUGUUUGUACAUGUCAUUCACGGUUUCAAUCUUCACACAAACUUGUUGGUGUAGUUUUAUAAUGGCCUUCAACUUGUCAUUAACAUCCUUGUGAACCAAAUCAUCUUUUGGCAAUGGAAUCAAAUCCAAAGGCAUGUAAGGGGUCAAACCAUACACAACUUCAAAGGGAGAGUGACCUGUAGCAUAAGUAGGAUGAUAGUAUCUUCACACCCCCUCAACAUAGUACCCAAAGUUCUAUUAGACACCUUCGUUUGCCCAUCAAUUUGUGGAUGAUAGUAUGUACUAAAAAGUAACUUAGUACCUACUUUUCUCCACAAAGUGUUCCAAAAGUAACUCAAAAACAUGGAAUCCCUAUCAGAACAAUAGUUUUAGGAAUAAUAUGCAAACGAACCACCUCUGUUAAGUACAAAUGAAAAACAUUAGAUGCAUCAUUGGCUUUAUGACAAAACAUAGAGUGAGAAAGUUUUGAAAACCUAUCCACGACCACUAUCAUGGAAUCCUUCCCCCUUUGAAUUCUAGGCUAAGCCAUAAUGAAUUCCAAUGACAUAUCUUCCCAAGGCCAAACAAGAACUGGCAAAGGACGUUUAAACACCAUGCUUGAAAGUUUUUUUCGUCAUCCGACAUGUAACACACUUGCCCACUAUGUUGGUUACAUCCCAAACAUAUUUAGGCCAGAAGAAAUGUUCUUGAAGCACCUCCAAAGUCUCGUUAAUUGAAAAAUGACCCGCGCAAACCACCACCAUGAGCUUCACGAAUCAGCAAGUCCCGUAUUGCACGUUUAGGGACACAAAGGUGAUUGCCUUUUGAUGCCUUUAUGGCUUGAUUAAGUGAGUAGGGUUGUGUUUAGGUAAAUUAAGCUAGAAUAACAACCACAAAUGAUAGGUGUACGAGAAGAAAUGACCAUAUUAAUAAGAAAUCAAGACAUACUAAGUUGUAUACCAGUGAAAAUUAACCAAGAAUAAUAUUUGAUUGAAUGCAUAUCAAGUCAAGAACACGUCUCGAAUAUGACAAGUAGUAAACUAUAACUAUAAUUCAAAGUGAACAAAGGUUCUUUUGAUUAAAAUUAUAUCUAUUUUAUUUAAUGCACACUCUGCUUAUAUUAAGCCUUUAUUAGAAAGUUGGUGGUUACAAUCCACCCAACCAACUACUCAGUGAAACUAAUAAUGAAAAUUAAAGAAACUCAUGAAACCACACAAAAAAACCUCUGACACACUAAUGAAUGUAAAAAACGUCCAUACUCAGUUAAGCAGCCACAAGAAGCAUUAAAGUGUAACCCUAAUCCACCAAAGAGUAUCAAAAUGGCUAGGAGGCUUUAUGAAGCAAAAAAGUAACGAUUUUGAGUACUUAUGAAGCGUUUAAAAUGUUGCUUUAGCCUUCAUGCGACCCUAAUUCAAUUCGUAGGUUACGAUGCACAACCCAACCAUUGAUCCCAAACCACCUUCUAGCCUACUAGUAAUCCUUAAUCCAUCACCUUUUGGCUUUCAUUAUCCAUGCAUGGAUCAUGCCCACCCCUUUGAAAAGACAUGAUCUCAGUUCAUUAAGGCCAUCCUUAGUAAGAUACGGUGAAAGGUCUCCCACAUUAAAAGAAGCAUACACUCCAUGGUCACCUCCUAAAUCCACCUUAUAAGCAUUAUCAUUGACACGUGACACCACUUUGUAAGGACCUUCAGCUCUUAGCAUCAACUUUUGUUCUUCCUUUUGUUAGGAAAUGUUCUUUCCUCAAAUGAACCCAAACCAAGAUACCAUCUUGAAAGACACGUGGUUUCCUAUGCAUGGUGGAAUUCUAUUUGUACACGUCAUUCAUGGUUUUAAUCUACACAUGAACUUGGUUGUGUAGUUUUAUCAUGGCCUUCAACUUGUCAUUAACAUCCUUUUGAACCAAUUCAUCCCUUGGCAAUGGUAUCAAAUCCAAAGGCAUAUAAGGAUUCACACCAUACACCACUUCAAAACAGAGUGACCUGUAGCAUAGGUAGGAGAACGAUUACAGGGAUACUCAGCAUGUGCAAGUUUUAUGUCCAAUGUUUUUGAGUUUUGCUUACCAACCCCCUCAACAACGUACCCAAAGUUCUAUUAGUCACCUUCGUUUGCCCAUCAGCUUGUGGAUGAUACGAUGUACUAAAAAGUAACUUAGUACCUACUUUCCUCCAUAAAGUGUUCCAAAAUUAACUCAAAAACGUGGAAUCCCUAUCAGACAAUAGUUUUAUAAAUAAUAUGCAAGCGAACCACCUCUGUAAAGUACAAAUCAAACACAUUAGAUGCAUCACUGGUUUUAUGACACGACAUAGAGUGAGAAAGUUAUGAAAACCUAUCCACCACCACUAUAAUGGAAUCCUUCCCCCUUUAAGUUCUAGUCAAAGCCAUAAUGAAUUCCAUCAACACAACUUCUGAAGGUCGAAUUGGAACCGGCAAAGGAUGUUUAAACACCGUGCUUGAAAGUUUUUUUCGUCAUUCGACAUGUAUCACACUUGCCCACUAUGUUGGUUACAUCCCCUACAUCUUUAGGCUAGAAGAAAUGUUCUUGAAGCAGCUACGAAGUCUUGUUAAUGGAAAAAUGACCCGCCAAACCACCACCAUGAGCUACACAAAUCAGCAAGUCCCGUAUUGCAUGUUUAGGGACACAAAGGUGAUUGCCUUUUGAUACCUUUAUGGGAUUGAUUAGGUGAGUAUGGUUUUUUUAGGUAAAUUAAGCUAGAAUAACAAACACAAAUGAUAGGUGUAUGGGAAUAAUAGAUUAAUAAGAAAUCAAAACGUACUAAGUUGUAUACCGGUGAAAACUAUCCAAGAAUAAUAUCUGAUUGAAUGCGUAUAAAGUCAAGAACACGUCUUGACUUCGACAAGUAGUGAACCACAACUAUAAUUCAAAGUGAACAAAGGCUCUGUUGAUUAAAAUGAUGUCUUUUUUUUCAUGCAUAGUUGGCUUAUAUUAAGCCUUUAUUAGAAAGUUGGUGGUUACAAGCCACCCAACUACUCAGUGAAACUAAUAAUGAAAAUUAAAAAAAACUCAUGAAUCCAAACAAAAAAACCUCUAACAUACUAAUGAAUGUAAAAAAACGUCCAUGCUCCAUUAAGGAGCCACAAGAAACAUUAAAGUGUAACCAUAAUCCACCAAAGAGUAUCAAAAUGGCUAGGAGGCUUUAUGAAGCAAAAAGUAAUGGUUUUGAGCACUUAUGAAGCCUUUAAAAUAUUGCUUUAGCCUUCAUGCGACCCUAAUUCAAUUUGUAGGUGACCAUGCAUAACCCAACCAUUUAGCCCAAACCACCUUCUAGCCUACUAGUAAUCCUUAAUCCAUCACCUUUUGGGUUGUCAUGAUCCAUGCAUGGAUCAUCCCCUCCCCCUUUUAAAAUAUAGGACCUCAACAUAUUUAAGGCUAUCCUCGACAAGAUACGGUAAAAGGUCUCCCACAUUAAAGGAAACAUGCACUCCACGGUCUCUUCCCAAAUCCACCUUAUAAGCAUUAUCAUUGACACAUGACACCACUUUGUAAGCUCCUUCAGCUCUUGGCAUCAACUUUUGUUCUUCCUUUUGUUAUGAAACGUUCUUUCCUCAUAUGAACCUAAACCAAGUCAGCAUCUUGAAAGACACGUGGUUUCCUAUGCAUGUUGGAAUUCUGUCUGUACAUGUCAUUCACAGUUUCAAUCUUCACACGAACUUGUUGGUGUAGUUUUAUCAUGGCGUUCAACUUGUCAUUAACAUCCGUAUGAACCAAUUCAUCCUUUGGCAAUGGAAUCAAAUCCAAUGGCAUGUAAGGAUUCACACCAUACACCACUUCAAAAGGAGAGUGACCUGUAAGAUAAGUAGGAGAACGAUUAGAGAGAUACUCAGCAUGUGCAAGUUUGAUAUCCAGUGUUUUUGAGUUUUGCUAACCAACCCCCUCAAUAACGUAACCAAAGUUCUACUAGUCACCUUCGUUUGCCCAUCAGUUUGUGGAUGAUAGGAUGUAAUAAAAAGUAACUUAGUACAUACUUUCCUCCACAAAGUUUUCCAAAAGUAACUCAAAAAUGUGGAAUCCCUAGUCAGAACAAUAGUUUUAGGAAUAAUAUGCAAGCGAACCACCUCUGUAAAGUACAAAUCUAACACAUUAGAUGCAUCAUUGGUUUAUGACACGACAUAGAGUGAGAAAGUUUUGAAAACCUAUCGACCAACACUAUAAUGGAAUCAUUCCCCCUUUGAGUUCUAGGUAAAGCCAUAAUGAAUUCCGUUGACACGUCUUCCCAAGGCCGAAUAGGAACCGGCAAAGGAUGUUUAAACACCAUGCUUGAAAGUUUUUUUCGUCAUCCGACAUGUAACACACUUGUCCACUAUGUUGGUUACAUCCCCAACAUCUUUAGGCUAGAAGAAAUGUUCUUGAAGCACCUCCAAAGUCUUAUUAAUGGAAAAUGACACGCCAAACCACCACCAUGAGCUUCACGAAUCAGCAAGUCCCGUAUUGCAUGUUUAGGGACACAAAGGCGAUUCCCUUUUGAUACCUUUAUGGGCUUGAUUAAGUGAGUAGGGUUUUGUUGAGGUAAAUUAAGCUAGAAUAACAACAAAAAAUGAUAGGUGUAUAGGAAUAAAUGAAUAGAUUAAUAAGUAAUCAUGACGUACUAAGUUGUAUACCAGUGAAAACUAUCCAAGAAUAAUAUUUCAUUGAAUGCGUAUCAAGUCAAGAACACGUCUCGACUAUGACAAGUAGUGAACUAUAACUAUAAUUCAUAGUGAACAAAGGUUCUAUUGAUUAAAAUUAUAUCUAGUUUUUUUCAUGCGUACUUGGCUUAUAUUAAGCCUUUAUUAGAAAGUUAGUGGUUACAAGCCACCCAACCAACUACUCAGUGAAACUAAUAAUGAAAAUUAAAAAAAAAUGCAUGAAACCACAUAAAAAAACCUCUGACACACUAAUGAAUGUAAAAACGUCCACGCUCCAUUAAGGAGCCACAAGAAGCAUUAAAGUGUAACCCUAAACCACCAAAGAGUAUCAAAAUGGCUAGGAACAUCUAUGAAGCAUAAAGUACCGGUUUUGAUCACUUAUGAAGCCUUUAAAAUGUUGCUUUAGACUUCAUGCGAUCCUAAUUCAAUUCAUACGUUACCAUGCACAACCCAACCAUUGAGCCCAAACCACCUUCUAGCCUAUUAUUAAUCUUUAAUCCAUCACCUUUUGGGCUUUCAUGAUCCAUGCAUGGAUCAUCCCCUCCCCCUUUUAAAAUAUAGGACCUCAAUAUAUUUAAGGCUAUCCUCGACAAGAUACGGUGAAAGGUCUCCCACAUUAAAGGAAACAUGCACUCCACGGUCUCUUCCCAAAUCCACCUUAUAAGCAUUAUCAUUGACACAUGACACCACUUUGUAAGGUCCUUCAGCUCUUGGCAUCAACUUUUGUUCUUCCUUUUGUUAAGAAACGUUCUUUCCUCAUAUGAACCUAAACCAAGUCAGCAUCUUGAAAGACACGUGGUUUCCUAUGCAUGUUGGAAUUCUGUCUGUACAUGUCAUUCACAGUUUCAAUCUUCACACGAACUUGUUGGUGUAGUUUUAUCAUGGCGUUCAACUUGUCAUUAACAUCCGUAUGAACCAAUUCAUCCUUUGGCAAUGGAAUCAAAUCCAAUGGCAUGUAAGGAUUCACACCAUACACCACUUCAAAAGGAGAGUGACCUGUAAGAUAAGUAGGAGAACGAUUAGAGAGAUACUCAGCAUGUGCAAGUUUGAUAUCCAGUGUUUUUGAGUUUUGCUAACCAACCCCCUCAAUAACGUAACCAAAGUUCUACUAGUCACCUUCGUUUGCCCAUCAGUUUGUGGAUGAUAGGAUGUAAUAAAAAGUAACUUAGUACAUACUUUCCUCCACAAAGUUUUCCAAAAGUAACUCAAAAAUGUGGAAUCCCUAGUCAGAACAAUAGUUUUAGGAAUAAUAUGCAAGCGAACCACCUCUGUAAAGUACAAAUCUAACACAUUAGAUGCAUCAUUGGUUUAUGACACGACAUAGAGUGAGAAAGUUUUGAAAACCUAUCGACCAACACUAUAAUGGAAUCAUUCCCCCUUUGAGUUCUAGGUAAAGCCAUAAUGAAUUCCGUUGACACGUCUUCCCAAGGCCGAAUAGGAACCGGCAAAGGAUGUUUAAACACCAUGCUUGAAAGUUUUAUUCGUUAUCCGACAUGUAACACACUUGUCCACUAUGUUGGUUACAUCCCCAACAUCUUUAGGCUAGAAGAAAUGUUCUUGAAGCACCUCCAAAGUCUUAUUAAUGGAAAAUGACACGCCAAACCACCACCAUGAGCUUCACGAAUCAGCAAGUCCCGUAUUGCAUGUUUAGGGACACAAAGGCGAUUCCCUUUUGAUACCUUUAUGGGCUUGAUUAAGUGAGUAGGGUUUUGUUGAGGUAAAUUAAGCUAGAAUAACAACAAAAAAUGAUAGGUGUAUAGGAAUAAAUGAAUAGAUUAAUAAGUAAUCAUGACGUACUAAGUUGUAUACCAGUGAAAACUAUCCAAGAAUAAUAUUUCAUUGAAUGCGUAUCAAGUCAAGAACACGUCUCGACUAUGACAAGUAGUGAACUAUAACUAUAAUUCAUAGUGAACAAAGGUUCUAUUGAUUAAAAUUAUAUCUAGUUUUUUUCAUGCGUACUUGGCUUAUAUUAAGCCUUUAUUAGAAAGUUAGUGGUUACAAGCCACCCAACCAACUACUCAGUGAAACUAAUAAUGAAAAUUAAAAAAAAAUGCAUGAAACCACAUAAAAAAACCUCUGACACACUAAUGAAUGUAAAAACGUCCACGCUCCAUUAAGGAGCCACAAGAAGCAUUAAAGUGUAACCCUAAACCACCAAAGAGUAUCAAAAUGGCUAGGAACAUCUAUGAAGCAUAAAGUACCGGUUUUGAUCACUUAUGAAGCCUUUAAAAUGUUGCUUUAGACUUCAUGCGAUCCUAAUUCAAUUCAUACGUUACCAUGCACAACCCAACCAUUGAGCCCAAACCACCUUCUAGCCUAUUAUUAAUCUUUAAUCCAUCACCUUUUGGGCUUUCAUGAUCCAUGCAUGGAUCAUCCCCUCCCCCUUUGAAAAGAUAUGACCUUAAUUCAUUAAGGCCAUCCUCAACAAGAUACGGUGAAAGGUCUCCCAUAUUAAAGGAAGCAUGCACUCCAUGGUCUCCUCCUAAAUCCACCUAAUAAGCAUUAUGAUUGACAAGUGACACGACUUUGUAAGGACCUUCACCUCUUGGCAUCAACUUUUGUUCUCCCUUUUGUUAGGAAACAUUCUUUCUUCAUAUGAACCUAAAUCAAGUCACCAUCUUGAAAGACACGUGGUUUCCUAUGCAUGUUGGAAUUCUAUUUGUACACGUCAUUCACGUUUCAGUCCUCACACGAACUUGUUGGUGUAGUUUUAUCAUGGCUUUCAACUUGUCAUUAACAUCCUUGUGAACCAAUUCAUCCUUUGGCAAUGGAAUCAAAUCCAAAGGCAUGUAAGGAUUCACACCAUACACCACUUCAAAAGGAGAGUGAACUGUAGUACAAGUAGGAGAACGAUUAUAGGGAUACUCAGCAUGUGCAAGUUUGAUAUUGAUUCGUGCUUUAAUUAGGAUGACCUAACCCUUACAUUUUCUAGAGUUCCAUGAUUGGGUGGCAAGAAGGGCUUCAUGAAAAUGAUCAUAACUAGCUUAAUUGAGUUGAAGAAUCUUAAUAAUCGGCUUAUUAAUUGUUGCCAUAAUGGAACUUUAAUAUUUCAAUAAUCGGUCAUUAAUUAGUUUAAUGAUGAGACUUUAAUAGUUAUUUAAUUGCUUUAGACUUUUGAUAUUUCCAAGAGUUAUGUUAUUAGCACUAUAAAUAGAGUUCAUACUUGUACUUGAAAACCCUUUAUCUUUUAUAGAAAAAUCAAAAUUUUGUUCGUCCCUUUCUUGAAUUAUUGCUUAUAAUUCAAAUUUGUAUCAUUGUUUGGGACGUGAUCUCAUUCGUGAUUUUUGAAUUCAAUUCAAUAGGUCUUGGAUUGUUUUCACCGAUUUUCAAGUUAUAGGUCUAACUUGAUCAUCAUACUAUCCAUUGUUACUUGUUUGUGUUAUUCACUUGCAAAACCGUUCCAAAUAUAACCAAAAACAGCCCCAUUUGCAUUGUUUCUUCUCUACUUGUUAUCAUUUCGCUGCAAUCAGAAACACUCCAAAACAAAACCUCCCAUACACGUACCAUAAGUGGUAUUAGAGCCCAGUUCUGAUUGGGUGUUAUUGACUUCUUGUUUAGUAAAAAAGAGGUUCCUGUCGAGUGUUGCUGAUUUGUUAUUGUUAAGUUCUUGGGAAAAUCUGUUGUUGCUGUUACUGAAGAAAAAAUAAAGUUAUGCCAAGUGUUAUCACGAAUUCAGUUAUAAUGAAUUGCGAUGAUCUGAAUUUUCUUCGUGUUCUUCGUGAAGCUAUGCAGUAUGUAUCCAAAGAAUCAAGUCGAAGGAAACCUAGGCGUGAGCAGCCAAGGAAUGUGGGGGAGUUGAAGAUAAAUGAACUGCCUAAAUUCGUUGGAGGAUUCAAUCCAGAAAAAUAUUUGGAUUGGGAGAAGGUGAUGGAAAGAGUUUUUCAGUUCAAAUGUGUGGACGAUGAAUGGAGUUGCAAAUAUGCCAUUCUAAGGUUGAGAGGAGAAGCUAAAUUGUGGUAUGAAAAGUUGAAGGAAAAAAGAACCCGUGAAGGAAAGGGAAAGCUUUCUUCUUGGGAUCUCUGAAACGAAAACUCCGAGAGAGGUAUGCGCCAAUGACCUUGGAGACUGUUAAUUUCAAAAGAAGGGUAGAGAUAUUUACAAAGGCAUUUAUGAUCAAAGAGGAAGAAGAAGAGUACAAAGCAUUGGUUGUUGACACGGUUUUGGUACUUGAAACAUCACAAACCAUUGAUGACAAGGCUGAUGUUGCCGAUGUCAAGGUGGAAGAAGUCAAGGUGGAAGAGGUUAAUUUAUUUGUUGAAGAUGAAAUUGUUGAAGUAACUAUUGAAGAAAACAAUUUCAUGAUUAGAGAUGAUAAUAGUAAAGAAAUGGAUGAAUUCACUGAAGAAGUUGAAGAAGGAGAUAACUCCAAGAUUGAAAUUGUUGAAAGUGUGGAUGCAAUCGUGGAAGAAAAUAAUUUUGUUAAUGUGAACAAAUUUUUGAGAAGGAGGUGAUUUUGGUUGAACCAAGAAAGGAAUUCCAAGAGUCCAUGACGUCUACAAUAGUGUAUCCCAUAAAUGACGAACAAGUCCAGAAGCAUUCAACUAUAUUGACGGGUGAAAUCAAUGUGGAGCAAGUUAAAUGCGAAGAUGUGAUUGUGGUGCAAGCGGAUGCGAAAGUGAUGGAGGUUUCACAUCAACAAGACCCACAUGUUGGUUUACCCAUAGUGUGUUAGGAUGUGAUUCCAACAAAUCGACCACCAGAGGAGACGAAAGGGUGAUGUUUGUGUGAACCCUUAUGCUAUUGUUUUUUUUUUUGUCUUUCACUAUUACUUUUGAUAAAAAGUUUUGCGUGAUUGGAUAUGGUGACGUUUUGUUCGUGAUUCAAAGAGUUCAAGGCCAAUUAUUAUUGGAUGAUGAUAGAAUGUUGUACCCUCCAGAAGACCAUAUGAGGGAGGUUUCACAAGGAAAUAUUCUUGGUGGUUGCGAUCAGACACGAAAAGUUGCUUCGCAUGGCAAAUCAAAAUUUUUGUGUUGGCUACAGACAACUGAUGUUGUUAUUGGUUCACCAUUUGUCAUUCAAGAACAUCAGAAGAUAUGGAGUGAAUUUGGUGAUGAAAGAACGGAGAAGGAUGGUGUCCAUUCUGUUACAACCAUCUUUCAAAGAGAAAAAAGGUGUGAAUCAACAUGAAGAAUCAUGUCCCAAGUAUUCACAUGGGAAAGGGUUCAUAAUGUUUGGAUUCUUAUUUUUGUGGUGUACCUUAAGUUGGGAAGCCUCAAUGUUGGGACAUGUGAUUCAUCAAUCCACAAAUGCAAACCAUGAUUCGUUCUUUCAAAGGACUGCUGUUAACCAUUUCUAUUUUCACAAAGUUAAUUUUCAGGGUCCUUAUCUUGUUCAUGACAAGUUGCGAAAAUGGUUUUUGUUCCACAAAUGGGGAGCGUGGUUGGGAAUAAAUUCAACAAGUUCUUCAAGAUAUUCAAAGAAGAAUGUUUGUAGAUGGAGGCGAGACAAAUUGGUGAAGGAGGAAAGCCAACAUUGUUCUCGUUCAUUACAAGGAUAAACAUCAUUUCAAACACAAGGAAGUGAUUAUCGUUGCAAUUGGUCACAUCGUUAUGAUUGGAAAAGUUACAUCAUUGCAAUUGAAAUAGUUGCAUCGUUGGAACGAAAGGAAGUUAUCAUUACGAUCAGUCUGUUAUGGUGUUGUUGGUAAUGAAUAAGAAACAUGUGAUAGUUACUCCUAUGUUGAUAUGGCCAAAUCUUUUCUAUCUUUUCAAGUUCAUGAUUAUAUACCAAAUCUUGGUGUAUCACAAUAGCAGGGAACAAUAUUUGGUGAAGUUUAAGUAGUUGUUUGAAGCCCCUAGAUCUCAAAUAUUAUAUGAGAAGCAGGAGAAGAGUUUAGUCCUUGUUGUUUCAAAAGGGGAAGGGAAUUCGAAAGGCAAGGUUCACAAAGCAAGGACGUUAAUCAGAAACAAACAAGCCUUUAGUACUCUUAUGAAAACUGAGAACUACUAUGCUGAUGGUGGUAAUUUCAAUGAUCUUGGACAAUGUGCUAAAGGUGCCAAAGAAGAUUUUGUGAUGCAUAAUUGUUUUUUCUUCAAUGGGAAACAAAAUUUUGUUCUAAGGUGUUAGAUUCAUGAAUGGUUAGUACGAGAAGCAUGUGGUGAUGGUUUAACAUGUCAUUUUGGGAUGAUCAAGACUUUGGAAGUGUUCAAAGGGCAUUUCCUUUGGCCCAAAAUGUUGUAGUUGCAUAGAGUUUUCAAGACGAAUGUUUCAGACCAUGAAUCUAAGUUUUUGAGUUACUUCUGGAAUACCAUACUGAGGAAGAUCGGUUUCUUUUCAUCAUAUCUUGAAGAUGCUCGUCUUGCAGAAUUGUGUUCAAUUCCUUUUGAAGUGGGAAGGGAUGAUAUGAAUUUGGAUUGCAAUUCCCAAUCUUCAAGUUCUAACCCAAUUUGGAUCGUAAUGGGCUCAUCUCUUGAUAUAAGUAUGGAUGAUGUGAGCUAUAAUAAUGAUAAAUUGGUACUCGCCACAUGGCAAUGUAACAUGGCAUGUGUUGUGGCAAAAUUUGUGUGCAUGGUAACAUGGGAAGCUGGUAUGGACGUGGAUUAAUGCAUGAGAGUUACAAUGGAGAUGGUUAAGUGUGAUGGAGUUAUGGAGUGGGAGUUACAAAUAAAUCAUUAAUGUGACAGAGUUAUGGAGUGGGAGUUACAAAUAAAUUAUUAGUAGUCAUUAGUGGAGUGGGAGUUACAAAUGAAUCAUUAGCGGUCAUUAUUGGUGUGUUUAUUUCAGCUUUUAAUAAGCCUUUAGUUGGCGUAGUUAUUACAGUGUCUUUUGAGUUUUUAACCGUUAUCUCGUAAGGCUAUAUAUAGUCAUUUCCUUUCAUUUGUAAGGAGAGAACUAUGUUUUUGAAUAUAUUAAAAAUUGAACUGUUGUUCAUUCUGAGUUGUUGUGACAAUUCAAAGUUUGAUCCUUAUUAGGACGCACCUCUUAAUAUUGAUCUUGAACUCAAGUUAAUUGGUCUUAACUUGUUUUCACAGAAUUUCAAGCUAUAUGUCUAGUUUGAUAUUCAAAUGUAUCCCUUUUUCUUUAUUCUGUUCUUGGCAAACCCAUUGUUGUUUAUCCCGCUGCAUUUUCAAACCCAUUUGAUAUUAUUUAUGGUGUCAAUCCCAAUAUUAGAAUUAGUUGAUGUGUUAGAAGUCUAGAUUCGUGUUAGUUGUGCUUGGAGUGGUCCAUACACGUAUCAUAAGUGGUAUCAGAGCCUAGUUCCGAUUGGGUGUCGUUAAGCAAGACAAAUUCCUGGUUCAACAUGUCUCCAACGAAUGAGAAUCUUGAAUUUGUUGGACUAGAAGCAUAUCUCUCGAGUUUUUCUGAAUCUGGCUCACUAUUUUGGGACGUGGUGGAUAAGGAUAACAAUGGUCGUUUUUGUGACACUGAUUCCUUUUACGACAUGGAACCUGUCUAUGACACUGAAGAUGAAGGCGAGUUCGUUGAAGAAGAAGUUUAUGUUGAAAAUAAUAUUUCUUUUUCAAAAUUCUUAGUUGAGGAAAUUGGUCAUGAUAAUAUCUACGAAGAGUUUUCUGGUUUUUAACCAUGAUCUACUUUCAAUGGAUACUCAAGAAAUCAAAAUCAAGGAAUCUAACGAGUCUACCAAAAACAUAUGUGAUCAAGACUAUUUCCCCGCUUGGUACGUUUUUGUUCGUUUUAAACUUUGGAAAUCGUUUUCCCUUUGGAAACCGUGGGCAAGAGGAAUUAAAGAUGAAGACUUGAGAAUAAAGACGAAGACUCGAGGACAAGUCUUUUUUUAAGAGGGGGAGAAUGAUGCGUGAUUUAACAAGGAUGACCCAACCCUUACGUUUUCUAGAGUUUCAUGAUUGGGUGGCAAGAAGGGCUUAAUGAAAAUGAUCAUAACUAGCUUAAAUGAGUUGAAGAAUCUUCAUAAUCGGCUUAUUAGUUGCUGCCAUAAUGGAUCUUUAAUAUAUCAAUAAUGGGUCAUUAAUGAGUUUAAUAAUGAGACUUUAAUAGUUAUUUAAUUGCUAAGACUUUUGAUAUUUCCGAGAGUUAUGUCAUUUGCACUACAAAUAGAGUUCAUACUUGUACUUGAAAACCAGUUAUCUUUUGUAGAAAAAUAAGAACUUUGUUCAUCCCUUUCUUGAAUUAUUGCUUAUAAUUCAGAUUUGUAUCAUUGUUUGGGACGUGAUCUCAUUCGUGAUUUUUGAAUACAAUUCAAUAGGUCUUGGAUUGUUUUCACCAAUUUUCAAGUUAUAGGUCUAACUUGAUCAUCAUACUAUCCAUUGUUACUUGUUCGUGUUAUUCCCUUGCAAAACCGUUCCAAAUAUAACAAAAAACAGCCCCAUUUGCAUUGUUUCUUCUCUAUUUGUUAUCAUUUCGCUGCAAUCAGAAACACUCCAAAACAAAACCUCCCAUACACGUACCAGAUAUCUAAUGUUUUUGAGUUUUGCUAGCCAACCCCCUUAACAACGUACCCAAAGUUCUAUUAGUCACAUUCGUUUGCUCAUCAGUUUGUGGAUGAUAGGAUGUACUAAAAAGUAAAUUACUACUUACUUUCCUCCAUAAAAUGUUCCAAAAGUAACUCAAAAACAUGGAAUCCCUAUCAGAACAACAGUUUUAGGAAUAAUAUGCAAGCAAACCACCUCUGUAAAGUACAAAUCAAACACAUUAGAUGCAUCAUUGGUUUUAUGACACGACAUAGAGUGAGAAAGUUUUGAAAACCUAUCCACCACCACUAUAAUGGAAUCCUUCGCCCUUUCAGUUCUAGGCAAAGCCAUAAUGAAUUCAAUCGACACAUCUUCCCAAGGCCGAAUAGGAACCGGCAAAGGAUGUUUAAACACCAUGUUUGAAAGUUUUUUUCAUCAUCCGACAUGUAACACACAUGCGCACUAUGUUGGUUACAUCCCCAACAUCUUUAGGCCAGAAGAAAUGUUCGUGAAGCACCUCCAAAGUCUUGUUAAUGGAAAAAUGACCCGCCAAACCACCACCAUGAGCUUCACGAAUCAGCAAGUCCCAUAUUGAAUGUUUAGGGACACAAAGAUGAUUGCCUUUUGAUACCUUUAUGGGCUUGAUUAAGCGAGUAGGGUUUUGUUUAGGUAAAUUAAGCUAGAAUAACAACCACAAAUGGUAGGUGUAUGGGAAUAAAUGAAUAGAUUAAUAAGUAAUCAUGACUUACUAAGUUGAAUACCGGUGAAAACUAUCCAAGAAUAAUAUUUGAUUGAAUGCGUAUAAAGUCAAGAACACCUCUCGACUAUGAGAAGUAGUGAACUAUAACUAUAAUUCAAAGUGAACAAAGGUUCUAUUGAUUAAAAUUAUAUCUUUUUUUUCAUGUGUACUUGGCUUAUAUUAAGCCUUUAUUAGAAAGUUAGUGGUUACAAACCACACAACCAACUACUCAGUGAAACUAAUAAUGAAAAUUAAAAAAAAAAACUCAUAAAACCACACAAAAAAAACCUCUGACACACUAAUGAAUGUAAAAUACGUCCACGCUCCAUUAAGGAGCCACAAGAAGCAUUAAAGUGUAACCCAACUCCACCAAAGAGUAUCAAAAUGGCUAGGAGGAUUUAUGAAGCAAAAGUACCGGUUUUGAGCACUUAUGAAAUCGUUAAAAUGUAGCUUUAGCCUUCAUCCGACCCUAAUUAAAUUCGUAGGUUACAAUGCACAACCCAACCAUUGAGCCCAAACCACCUUCUAGCUUACUAGUAAUCCUUAAUCCAUCACCUUUUGGGCUUUCAUGAUCCAAGCAUGGAUCAUGCCCUCCCCUUUGAAAAGACAUGAUCUCAGUUCAUUAAGGCCAUCCUUAGCAAGAUACGGUGAAAGGUCUCCCACAUUAAAGGGAGCAUGCACUCCAUGGUCUCCUCCCAAAUCCACCUUAUAAGCAUUAUCAUUGACACGUGACACCACUUUGUAAAGACCUUCAGCUCUUAGCAUCAACUAUUUUUCUUCCUUUUUUUAGGAAACGUUCUUUCCUCAAAUGAACCCAAACCAAGACACCAUCAUGAAAGACACGUGGUUUCCUAUGCAUGUUGGAAUUCUGUUUGUACAUGUCAUUCAUGGUUUCCAUUUACACAUGAACUUGGUUGUGUAGUUUUAUCAUGGCCUUCAACUUGUCAUUAACAUCCUUGUGAACCAAUUCAUCCUUUGGCAAUGGUAUCAAAUACAAAGGCAUGUAAGGAUUCACACCAUACACCAAUUCAAAAGCAGAGUGACCUUCAAAAGCAGAGUGACCUUUGGCAAUGGUAUCAAAUACAAAGGCAUGUAAGGAUUCACACCUUCGUUUUCCCAUCAGUUUGUGGAUGAUAAGGAUGAACUAAAAAGUAACUUAGUACCUACUUUCCUCCACAAAGUGUUCCAAAAGUAACUCAAAACAUGGAAUCCCUAUCAGAACAAUAGCUUUAGGAAUAAUAUGCAAGCGAACCACCUCUAUAAAGUACAAAUCUAACACAUUAGAUGCAUCAUUGGUUUUAUGACACCUUAUAAAGUGAGAAAGAUUUGAAAACCUAUCCACUACCACUAUAAUGGAAUCCUUCCACCUUUGAGUUCUAGGCAAAGCCAUCAUGAAUUCCAUUGACACAUCUUCCCAAGGCCGAAUAGGAACUCGAAAAGGAUGUUUAAACACCAUGCUUGAAAGCGAACCACCUCUGUAAUAUGCAAGCGAACCACCUCUGUAAAGUACAAAUCAAACACAUUAGAUGCAUCAUUGGUUUUAUGACACAACAUAGAGUGAGAAAGUUUUAGGCAAAGCCAUAAUGAAUUCCAUUGACACAUCUUCCCAAGGCCGAAUAGGAACGGGCAAAGGAUGUCUUAACACCAUGCUUGAAAGUUUUUUCGUCAUCCGACAUGUAACACACUUGCCCACUAUGUUGAUUACAUCCCCAACAUCUUUAGGCCAGAAGAAAUGUUCUUGAAGCACCUCCAAAGUCUUGUUAAUGGAAAAAUGACCCGCCAAACCACCACCAUGAGCUUCACAAAUUAGCAAGUCCCGUAUUGCAUGUUUAGGGACACAAAGGUGAUUGCCUUUUGAUACCUUUAUGGGCUUGAUUAAGUGAGUAGGGUUUUCUUUAGGUAAAUUAAGCUAGCAUAACAACCACAAAUGAUAGGUGUAUGGGAAUAAAUGAAUAGAUUAAUAAGUAAUCAUGACUUACUAAGUUGUAUACCGGUGAAAACUAUCCAAGAAUAAUAUUAGAUUGAAUGCAUAUCAAGUCAAGAACACGCCUCGACUAUGACAAGUAGUGAACUAUAACUAUAAUUCAAAGAGAACAAAGGCUCUAUUGAUUAAAAUUAUAUCAAUUUUUUUUCAUGCGUACUUGGCUUAUAUUAAGCCUUUAUUAGAAAGUUAGUGGUUACAAACCACCCAACCAACGACUCAGUGAAACUAAUAAUGAAAAUUAAAAAAACUCAUGAUACCACACAAAAAAACCUCUUCCACACUAAUGAAUGUAAAAAAACGUCCACGCUCCAUUAAGGAGCCACCAGAAGCAUUAAAGUUUAACCCGAAUCCACUAAAGAGUAUCAAAAUGGCUAGGAGCAUUUAUGAAGCAAAAAGUACCGGUUUUGAGCACUUAUGAAGCCUUUAAAAUGUUGCUUUAGCCUUCAUGCGACCCGAAUUCAAUUCAUAGGUUACCAUGCACAACCCAACCACUGAGCCCAAACCACCUUCUAGCUUACUAGUAAUGUUUAAUCCAUCACCUUUUGGUCUUUCAUGAUCCAUACAUGGAUCAUCCCCUCCCCCUUUGAAAAGAUAUGACCUCAAUUCAUUAAGGCCAUCCUCAGAAAGAUACGAUGAAAGGUCUCCCACAUUAAAGGAAGCAUGAACUCCAUGGCCACCUUCUAAAUAUACCUUAUAAGUAUUAUCAUUGACACGUGACACCAGUUUGUAAGGACCUUCAACUCUUGGCAUCAACUUUUGUUGUCCCUUUUGUUAGGAAACAUUUUUCCUCAUAUGAACCUAAAGCAAGUCAGCAUCUUGAAAGACACGUGGUUUCCUAUGCAUGUUGGAAUUCUAUUUGUACACGUCAUUCACGGUUUCAAUCUUCACACAUAGUUGUUGGUGUAGUUUUAUCAUGGCUUUCAACUUGUCAUUAACAUCCUUGUGAACCAAUUCAUCCUUUGGCAAUGGAUUCAAAUCCAAAGCCAUGUAAGGAUUCACAUCAUACACCACUUCAAAAGGAGAGUGACAUGUAGCACAAGUAGGAGAACCAUUACAGGGAUACUCAGCAUGUGCAAGUCUGAUAUCUAAUGUUUUUGAGUUUUGCUAACCAACCCCCUCAACAACGUACCCAAAGUUCUAUUAGUCACCUACGUUUUCCCAUCAGUUUGUGGAUGAUAGAAUGUACUAAAAAGUAACUUAGUACCUACUUUCCUUCACAAAGUGUUCCAAAACUAACCCAAAAACAUGGAAUCCCAAUCAGAACAAUAGCUUUAGGAAUAAUAUGCAAGCGAACCACCUCUGUAAAGUACAAAUCUAACACAUUAGAUGCAUUAUUGGUUUUGUGACACGAGAUCGAGGGAGAAAGUUUUGAAAACAUAUCCACUACCACUAUAAUGGAAUCCUUCCCCCUUUGAGUUCUAGGCAAAGCCAUAACGAAUUCCAUUGACACAUCUUCCUAAGGCCGAAUAGGAACCGGCAAAGGAUGUUUAAACACCAUGCUUCAAAGUUUUUUUUCGUCAUCCGACAUCUAACACACUUGCCCACUAUGUUCGUUACAUCCCCAACAUCUUUAGGCCAGAAGAAAUGUUCUUGAAACACCUCCAAAGUCUUGUUAAUGGAAAAAUGACUCGCCAAACCACCACCAUGAGCUUCACGAAUCAGCAAGUCCCUUAUUGAAAAUGUUUCGGGACACAAAGGUGAUUGCCUUUUGAUACCUUUAUGAGCUUGAUUAAGUGAGUAGGGUUUUGUUUAGGUAAAUUAACCUAGAAUAACAACCACAAAUGAUAGAUGUAUGAGAAUAAAUGAAUAGAUUAAUAAGUAAUCAUGACGUACUAAGUACUAUACUGGUGAAAACUAUCCAUGAAUAAUAUUUGAUUGAAUGCGUAUCAAGUCAAGAACACGUAUCGACUGUGACAAGUAGUGAACUAUAACUAUAAUUCAAAGUGAACAAAGGUUCUAUUGAUUAAAAUUAUAUCUAUUUUUUUUCAUGCGUACUUGGCUUAUAUUAAGCCUUUAUUAGAAAGUUAGUGGUUACAAACCACCCAACCAACGAAUCAGUGAAACUAAUAAUGAACAUUAAAAAAACUCAUGAAACCACAGAAAAAAACCUCUGCCACACUAAUGAAUGUAAAAACGUCCAUGCUCCAUUAAGGAGCCACAAGAAGCAUUAAAGUGUAAUACUAAUCCACCAAAGAGUAUCAAAAUGGCUAGGAGCAUUUAUGAAGCAAAAAGUACCGGUUUUGAGCACUUAUGAAGCCUUUAAAACGUUGCUUUAGACUUCAUGUGACCCUAAUUCAAUUCAUAGGUUACCAUGCACAAGCCAACCAUUGAGCCCAAACCACCUUCUAGCCUACUAGUAAUCCUUAAUCCACCACCUUUGGGGCUUUCAUGAUCCUUGCAUGGAUCAUCCCCUCCCCCUUUGAAAAGUUGUGACCUUAAUUCAUUAAGGCCAUAGUCAACAAGAUACGGUGAAAGGUCUCCCACAUUAAAGGAAGCAUGCACUCCAUGGUCUCCUCCCUAAUCCACCUUAUAAGCAUUAUCAUCGACACGUGACACCUCUUUGUAAAGACCUUCAGCUCCUGGUAUCAAAUUCUGUUAUCCCUUUUGUUAGGAAACGUUCUUUCCUCAUAUGAACCUAAACCAAGUCACCAGCUUGAAAGACACGUGGUUUCCAAUGCAUGUUGGAAUUCUGUUUGUACACGUCAUUCACGUUUUCAAUCUUCACACGAACUUGUUGGUGUAGUUUUAUCAUGGCUUUCAACUUUUCAUUAACAUCCUUGUGAGCCAAUUCAUCCUUUGGCAAUGGAAUCAAAUCCAAAGGCAUGUAAGGAUUCACACCAUACACCACUUCAAGAGGAGAGUGACCUGUAGCACAAGUAGGAGAACCAUUACAGGGAUACUCAGCAUGUGCAAGUUUGAUAUCUAAUGUUUUUGAGUUUUGCUAACCAACCCCCUCAACAACGUACCCAAAGUUCUAUUAGUCACCUUCGUUUUCCCAUCAGUUUGUGGAUGAUAGGAUGUACUAAAAAGUAACUUAGUACCUACUUUCCUCCACAAAGUGUUCCAAAAGUAACUCAAAAACAUGGAAUCCCAAUCAGAACAAUAGCUUUAGGAAUAAUAUGCAAGCGAACCACUUCUAUAAAGUACAAAUCUAACACAUUAGAUGCAUCAUUGGUAUUAUGACACCUUAUAAAGUGAGAAAGUUUCGAAAACAUAUCCACUACCACUAUAAUGGAAUCCUUCCCCAUUUGAGUUCUAGGCAAAGCCAUAAUGAAUUCCAUUGACACAUCUUCCUAAGGCCGAAUAGGAACCGGCAAAGGAUGUUUAAACACCAUGCUUGAAAUUUUUUUUCGUUAUCCGACAUGUAACACACUUGCCCACUAUGUUCGUUACAUCCCCAACAUCUUUAGGCCAGAAGAAAUGUUCUUGAAACACCUCCAAAGUCUUGUUAAUGGAAAAAUGACCCGCCAAACCACCACCAUGAGCUUCACGAAUCAGCAAGUCCCUUAUUGAAUAUGUUUAGGGACACAAAGGUGAUUGCCUUUUGAUACCUUUAUGGGCUUGAUUAAGUGAGUAGGGUUUUCUUUAGGUAAAUUAACCUAGAAUAACAACCACAAAUGAUAGAUGUAUGGGAAUAAAUGAAUAGAUUAAUAAGUAAUCGUGACGUACUAAGUACUAUACCGGUGAAAACUAUCCAUGAAUAAUAUUUGAUUGAAUGCGUAUCAAGUCAAGAACACGUAUCGACUAUGACAAGUAGUGAACUAUAACUAUAAUUAAAAGUGAACAAAGGUUCUAUUGAUUAAAAUUAUAUCUAUUUUUUUUUCAUGCGUACUUGGCUUAUAUUAAGCCUUUAUUAGAAAGUUAGUGGUUACAAACCACCCAACCAACGAAUCAGUGAAACUAAUAAUGAAAAUUAAAAAAAACUCAUGAAACCAUAGAAAAAAACCUUUGCCACACUAAUGAAUGUAAAAAUGUCCAUGCUCCAUUAAGGAGCCACAAGAAGCAUUAAAGUGUAAUCCUAAUCCACCAAAGAGUAUCAAAAUGGCUAGGAGCAUUUAUGAAGCAAAAAGUACCGAUUUUGAGCACUUAUGAAGCCUUUAAAAUGUUGCUUUAGACUUCAUGCGACCCUAAUUCAAUUUAUAGGUUACCAUGCACAACCCAACCAUUGAGCCCAAACCACCUUCUAGCCUACUAGUAAUCCUUAAUCCACCACCUUUGGGGCUUUCAUGAUCCUUGCGUGGAUCAUCCGCUCCCCCUUUGAAAAGUUGUGACCUUAAUUCAUGAAGGCCAUCCUCAACAAGAUACGGUGAAAUGUCUCCCACAUUAAAGGAAGCAUGCACUCCAUGGUCACCUCCCUAAUCCACCUUAUAAGCAUUAUCAUCGACACGUGACACCUCUUUGUAAAGACCUUCAGCUCUUGGUAUCAAAUUUUGUUAUCCCUUUUGUUACGAAACGUUCUUUCCUCAUAUGAACCUAAACCAAGUCACCAUCUUGAAAGACACGUGGUUUCCUAUGCAUGUUGGAAUUCUGUUUGUACACGUCAUUCACGUUUUCAAUCUUCACACGAACUUGUUGGUGUAGUUUUAUCAUGGCUUUCAACUUUUCAUUAACAUCCUUGUGAACCAAUUCAUCAUUUGGCAAUGGAAUCAAAUCCAAAGGCAUGUAAGGAUUCACACCAUACACCACUUCAAGAGGAGAGUGACCUGUAGCACAAGUAGAAGAACCAUUACAGGGAUACUCACCAUGCGCAAGUUUGAUAUCUAAUGUUUUUGAGUUUUGCUAACCAACCCCCUCAACAACGUACCCAAAGUUCUAUUAGUCACCUUCGUUUUCCCAUCAGUUUGUGGAUGAUAGGAUGUACUAAAAAGUAACUUAGUACCUACUUGCCUCCAUAAAGUGUUCCAAAAGUAACUCAAAAACAUGGAAUCCCUAUCAAAACAUUAGUUUAGGAAUAAUAUGGAAGCGAACCACCUCUAUAAUGUACAAAUCAAACACAUUAGAUGCAUCAUCGGUUUUAUGACACGACAUAGAGUGAGAAAGUUUUGAAAACCUAUCCACCACCACUAUAAUGGAAUCCUUCCCCAUUUGAGUUCUAGGCAAAGCCAUAAUGAAUUCCAUUGACACAUCUUCCCAAGGCCAAAUAGGAACCGACAAAGGUUGUUAAAACACCAUGCUUGAAAGUUUUUUUCGUCAUCCGACAUGUAACACACUUGCCCACUAUGUUGGUUACAUCCCCAACAUCUUUAGGCCAGAAGAAAUGUUCUUGAAGAACCUCCAAAGUGUUGUUAAUGGAAAAAUAACACGCCAAACCACCACCAUGAGCUUCACGAAUCAGCAAGUCCCGUAUUGCAUUUUAGGGACACAAAGGUGAUUGCCUUUUGAUACCUUUAUGGGCUUGAUUAAGUGAGUAGAGUUUUUUUUAGGUAAAUUAAGAUAGAAUAACAACCACAAAUGAUAUGCAUAUGGGAAUAAAUGAAUAGAUUAAUAAGUAAUCAUGACGUACUAAGUUGUAUACCGGUGAAAACUAUCCAAGAAUAAUAUUUGAUUAAAUGCGUAUCAAGUCAAGAAGACGUCUCGACUAUGACAAGUAGUGAACUAUAACUAUAACUCAAAGUGUACAAAGGCUCUAUUGAUUAAAAUUAUAUCUAUUUUUUUUCAUGCGUACUUGGCUUAUAUUAAGCCUUUAUUAGAACGUUAGUGGUUACAAGCCACCCAACCAACUACUCAGUGAAACUAAUAAUGAAAAUUAAAAAAACUCAUGAAACCACACAAAAAAACCUCUGACACACUAAUGAAUGUAAAAAACGUCCAAGCUCCAUUAAGGAGCCACAAGAAGCAUUAAAGUGUGUCCGAACUCCACCAAAGAGUAUCAAAAUGGCUAGGAGGAUUUAUGAAGCAAAAGUACCGGUUUUGAGCACUUAUGAAGUCGUUAAAAUGUUGCUUUAGCCUUCAUGCGACCCUAAUUAAAUUCGUAGGUUACCAUGCACAACCCAACCAUUGAGCCCAAACCACCUUCUAGCUUACUAGUAAUCCUUAAUCCAUCACCUUUUGGGCUUUCAUGAUCCAUGCAUGGAUCAUCCCCUCCCCCUUUGAAAAGAUCUAACCUCAAUUCAUUAAGGCCAUCCUCAAUUCACACGAACUUGUUGGUGUAGUUUUAUCAUGGCUUUCAACUUUUCAUUAACAUCCUUGUGAACCAAUUCAUCCUUUGGCAAUGGAAUCAAAUCCAAAGGCAUGUAAGAAUUCACACCAUACACCACUUCAAAAGGAGAGUGACCUGUAGCACAAGUAGGAGAACCAUUACAGGGAUACUCAGCAUGUGCAAGUUUGAUAACUAAUGUUUUUGAGUUUUGCUAACCAACCCCCUCAACAACGUACCCAAAGUUCUAUUAGUCAUCUUCGUUUUCCCAUCAGUUUGUGGAUGAUAUGAUGUACUAAAAAGUAACUUAGUACCUACUUUCCUCCACAAAGUGUUCCAAAAGUAACUCAAAAACAUGGAAUCCCAAUCAGAACAAUAGCUUUAGGAAUAAUAUGCGAGAGAACCACCUCUAUAAAGUACAAAUCUAACACAUUAGAUGCAUCAUUGGUUUUAUGACACCUUAUAAAGUGAGAAAGAUUUGAAAACCUAUCCACUACCACUAUAAUGGAAUCCUUCCACCUUUGAGUUCUAGGCAAAGCCAUAAUGAAUUCCAUUGACACAUCUUCCCAAGGCCGAAUAGGAACUCGAAAAGGAUGCUUAAACACCAUGCUUGAAAUUUUUUUCGUCAUCCGACAUGUAACACACUUGCCCACUAUGUUGGUUACAUCUCCAACAUCUUUAGGCCAAAAAAAUGUUCUUGAAGCACCUACAAAGUCUUGUUAAUGGAAAAAUAACCCGCCAAACCACCACCAUGUGCUUCACGAAUCAGCAAGUCCCUUAUUGAAUGUUUAGGGACACAAAGGUGAUUGCCUUUUGAUACCUUUAUUGGCUUGAUUAACUGAGUAUGGUUUUGUUUAGGUAAAUUAAGCUAGAAUAACAACCACAAAUGAUAGGUGUAUGGGAAUAAAUGAAUAGAUUAAUAAGUAAUCAUGACGUACUAAGUUGUAUACCGGUGAAAACUAUCCAUGAAUAAUAUUUGAUUGAAUGAGUAUCAACUCAAGAACACGUAUCGACUAUGACAAGUAGUGAACCAUAACUAUAAUUCAAAGUGAACAAAGGUUCUAUUGAUUAAAAUUAUAUCUAUUUUUUUUCAUGCGUACUUGGCUUAUAUUAAGCCUUUAUUAGAAAGUUAGUGGUUACAAGCCACCCAACCAACUACUCAGUGAAACUAAUAAUGAAAAUCAAAAAAACUCAUGAAACCACACAAAAAAACGUCUGACACACUAAUGAAUGUAAAAAACGUCCACGCUCAAUUAAAGAGCCACAAGAAGCAUUAAAGUGUCACUCUAAUUCACCAAAUAGUAUCAAAAUGGCUAGGAGGCUUUAGGAAGCAAAAAGUACCGGUUUUAAUCACUUAUGAAGCCAUUCAAAUGUUGCUUUAGCCUUCAUGCGACCUUAAUUAAAUUCAUAGGAUACCACGCACAACCCAACCAUUGAGCCCAAACCACCUGCUAGCUUACUAGUAAUCCUUAAUCCGUCACCUUUUGGGCUUUCAUGAUCCAUGCAUGGAUCCCUCCUGCUUUGAAAAGAUAUGACCUCAAUUCAUUAAGUCCAUUUUCAACAAGAUACGGUGAAAGGUCUCCCACAUUAAAGGAAGCAUGCACUCCAUGGUCUCCUCCCAAAUCCACCUUAUAAGCAUUAUCAUUGACACGUGCCACCACUUUGUAAGGACCUUCUGCUCUUGGCAUCAACUUUUGUUCUCCCUUUUUUUAGGAAACGUUCUUUCCUCGUAUGAACUUAAACCAAGUCACCAUCUUGAAAGACACGUGGUUUCCUAUGCAUGUUGGAAUUUUGUUUAUACACGUCAUUCAUGGUUUCAAUCUUCACACGAACUUGUUGGUGUAGUUUUGUCAUGGCUUUCAACUUGUCAUUAACACACUUGUUAACGAAUUCAUCCUUCGGCAAUGGAAUCAAAUCCAAAGCCAUGUAAGGAUUCAAACCAUACACUACUUCAAAAGGGGAGUGACCUGUAACACAAGUAGGAGAACCAUUACAGGGAUACUAAGCAUGUGCAAGUUUGAUAUCUAAUGUUUUUGAGUUUUGCUAACCAACCCCCUCAACAACAUACCCAAAUUUCUAUUAGUCACCUUCGUUUUCCCAUCAGUUUGUGGAUGAUAGGAUGUACUAAAAAGUAACUUAGUGCCUACUUUCCUCCACAAAGCGUUCUAAAAGUAUCUCAAAAAUAUGGAAUCCCAAUCAGAACAAUAGCCUUAGGAAUAAUAUGCAAGCGAACUACCUCUGUAAAGUACAAAUCAAACACAUUAGAUGCAUCAUUGGUUUUGUGACACGAGAUCGAGGGAGAAAGUUUUGAAAACCUAUCCACCACCACUAUAAUGGAAUCCUCCCCUGUAACAACCCGAAGUUGUCCAUCACCAAAAUCCGUUCCGCGCGUAAAAAUCCGCCUUUAUUGAUUCGUCCCGUUUUCGUUUUUGGGCUAAGAUAUAUAAACUAUAAGUUUAUUUUAAUCUCGUAAGUGUUCAAAUCCAUUUAAAACUCAUGAAAAUGGCCCAAAAUCAUUAACUUGAAAUUUCUAAAUUCUAUCCCGUCGAAUUACGGAAACUUAAUCGGGUGCGACCAAAAGCCCCGUUUAAUGCCGGUAUCGGGUAGAAUUCCUCUGUGUCUAAGUUUUGGGACCUAUUUAAACAUGUUUAAACAUUCAUUUGAAGCUUUUGCUUCCUCUCUCUACUCCCUCUCUAACCUCUCUCCUAAAUCCAAGUUUAAGGGUCCAAAUCUCAAAUUUAAGGCUUCUAAUCACCAAGGUACCUUCCCUAACUUGUUAUGCAACCCCUCUAGCCUUCAAAUUCGAGUUCAAAUCAUGGAAUAAGACCACAUUCAUGAGUUUACGGCCCUAGAACAGUCCUAAGCCGUGAACUCACAUAAAAUGGGUUUUGGAGCCCAAAAACCCUUCCAAUCGACCUUUGGAGCUUAGAUAUGGCUUAAUGGCUUAAUGGACCGGACUUAGAACACCUUGAACUUAAUUUUUGGAGAGUAAACAUGAGUUUACUGCCCAAGAUCAUGCUUGGGCCGUAAACUCCAUAUCAUGGAGAGUAAACACAUAUUAAAGGGGGUUUUAAGCCCUUAAACCCUUCCAAAACACCAAUAAGGCUUAGAUACGACUUGUAGAAUUAUGGAAUUGGCCUUGGAACACCUUGAACAUCAAUUUAGAGGAGUAAACUUGAGUUUACUGCCCAAGAACAUGCUUGGGCCGUAAACUCAUUGUUCAUGGAGAGUAAACUCCUCUAAAUGUGUUAAAAUGCCACUUUAACACACCUAAAGCCUUGGGAUAAAUUCUAGAAGUGUUUACAAACAAGUAUUGGACCUUAAAACAUAUAAAAUCACCCUUUCAUAAUAUUUCAUGGGCAUGAAGGUGUUCAUGGGCUGUAAACUCCUAAAAGCAUGCCAAAAGUCCCCCAAAAAUUGAUACAAGGCUUAGGAAAAAUCAUUAGAAUCACAUGUGAUUGUCUAAGGACCAAAACUUUAAGAACUGGAUGUGAGGGGGGAGUUUACGGCCGUAAACUCCAUGUUUACAACCGUAAACUCCAAUAAAUGGUCCCUAUGUUAGUUUCAAUCUAUUCCAAAGUCUAAAAUCCAAGUCUAGCAAUAUUUCCCAAGUGUUUUGAAGCCAUUUUGCACCCAAAAUCAACCUCCAUGAUUUCACGGCCGUGAACUCAUAUGGAUGAGGUGUUUAGGGUAGUAAACUCCUUUAGGAGUUUACUCUUCAAGAGUAAACUCCAUUCCCUAGUCAUACAAGUCGUUAAACGCCACCUGGGUCCUUCCAAACACUCAAAAUGGGGUGUUUCCGCAACUAGAAGUGUAUGUCCUUCGCAAAUAAAUUAAUCAAGUCCUAAUUAAAUACAAAUAUGUAUCAUUUCAUAAUCCAUAGGAAUCUUGUGUGUUCGCGAACCCAGAACUGACGUUUAGGAUCCAAUCUGACGCGUUUCUCAACCGGUGAGUUCAUACCCCUACCCUUUUUCAUGUGUUUUUCAAAUGGUUUUCAACGUUUUCAGGGGGAAUACAAGCAAAAGUACAAGGAAUCUUGUACUUAAACGUAUUUUCAGUUCAAAUGUUUUAUUUCAUGUAUGAUUCUAAUAAUGAAAAUUGUGAUAACUAAUGGUUCGAAUUGCAGGUUAAACAGUUAGACUAAAGCCAAAUUUCUUUAAAAAGUGUUUUGAUCUAUAUUACUUUCUGUAAAAGAAAUCAUACUAAUCAUAACUAAGAUUAAUACUAAACGAAUGCGAAUACAAAUUCAAUAGGAUAUUACAAAUACGAAUACGAAUACGAACUAGAAUACAAAUACGAACUAGAAUACGAAUACGAAUAAGAAUGUAACCAAUAGUAUAGUACGAAUAUGAAUACGAAUAUAACUAUUAGGUUAGUACGAAUACGAAUGCGAAUACGAAUAUAACUAAUAGGAUAGAACGAAUACGAAUACGAAUCUAACCAAUAGCAUAGUACGAAUUCGAAUGCGAAUACGAAUACGAAUAUAACUAAUAGGAUAGAACGAAUACGAAUACGAAUCUAACCAAUAGCAUAGUACGAAUACGAAUGCGAGUACGAAUGCGAAUACAAAUAUAACUAAUAGGAUAGAACGAAUACGAAUACGAAUACGAAUGUAACCAAUAGUAUAGUACGAAUACGAGUACGAAUACGAAUACGAAUAUAACUAUUAGGUUAGUACGAAUAUGAAUGCGAAUACGAAUAUAACUAAUAGGAUAGAACGAAUACGAAUACGAAUACGAAUAUAACCAAUAGUAUAGUACGAAUAUGAGUACGAAUACGAAUACGAAUAUAACUAUUAGGUUAGUACGAAUACGAAUGCGAAUACGAAUACAAAUAUAACUAUUAGGUUAAUACGAACUCGAAUACGAAUGCGAAUAGAAAUAGGACUACGAAUGCGAAAUAACGCCUUUGGAUGACACCAAGACUUCGAAUAUACACUUAAUGUACACCUUGAAUGUCACCAGAGUUUCGAAUUUAAUACGAAAGUACGCCUCUGGACCUCUACUAAGUUUCGAAUACAUCCAUCUUAGAAUGUCGCCAGAGAUACGAAAAUACAACUAAUGUACUCUUUUGGAAAUCAUCAGAAUAAUCGAAAAUACUGUAAUGUACGUUUCUAGUGAAUCCAAAUAUUUGAAAAUACAACUAAGUUAGUAGAUGAUAGACAUUCGAAUGUAGAAUAACUAAGAGUUUAGAAUACUUAACUAAUACUACGAGUAUGAUAAUCAUUAGUACUUCGAAAUUAAACUUAAGAACCAACCUCAACACAUAGGAAAAUAUGGGAUUUUCCUGAAGUAACAUAACAACUAGUAACGAAAUUAGAAACGAAUAAAGUAACAAACGAAUAACUGAACUAUUAGGAAAAUAUGGGAUUUUCCUAGAAUGACAUAACAAACCGUUUUCGAAAUUGUAACGAAAGAUAACUAAUCUUUUUUCAUAAGAAAAUAUGGGAUUUUCUUGAACAACAACUUUUUCAGAAAGCAAAGGAACUCGUUCUUUUCAAAAACUAAUCCGUUAUCAACUCCACCACCUUAUGCUGAUUNGUAUGAUAUAUGUAUAACACUUGUAUAACUUUUCUUUCAAACAAAUGUAAACAAUAUUAUGUAAUGUAAUGUUUUGUGUUUACUGUUUUACUAUGUGUAUUGGAUUUGAUACUCAACGUGGACUCAACCUCGGAAAUGUUUCCGCCUUUGGUUUUCGGGGUGUGACAUCCCCCCUUUGAGAGAGGCAAAGCCAUAAUGAAUUCCAUUGACACAUCUUCCCAAGGCCGAAUAGGAACCGGCAAAGGAUGUUUUAACACCAUGCUUGAAAGUUUUUUCGUCAUCCAACAUGUAACACACUUGCCCACUAUGUUGGUUACAUCCCCAACAUCUUUAGGCAAAAAGAAAUGUUCUUGAAGCACCUCCAAAGUCUUGUUAAUGGAAAAAUAACCCGCCAAACCACCACCAUGAGCUUCACGAAUCAGCAAGUCCCUUAUUGCAUGUUUAGGGACACAAAGGUGAUUGCCUUUUGAUACCUUUAUGGGCUUGAUUAAGUGAGUAGGGUUUUGUUUAGGUAAAUUAAGCUAGAAUAACAACCACAAAUGAUAGGUGUAUAGGAAUAAAUGAAUAGAUUAAUAAGUAAUCAUGACGUACUAAGUUGUAUACCGGUGAAAACUAUCCAAGAAUAAUAUUAGAUUGAAUGCAUAUCAAGUCAAGAACACGUCUCGACUAUGAUAAGUAGUGAACUAUAACUAUAAUUCAAAGUGAACAAAGGUUCUAUUGAUUAAAAUUAUAUCUAUUUUUUUUCAUGCGUACUUGGCUUAUAUUAAGCCUUUAUUAGAAAGUUAGUGGUUACAAACCACCCAACCAAUGACUCAGUGAAACUAAUAAUGAAAAUUAAAAAAACUCAUGAAACCACAGAAAAAAACCUUUGCCACACUAAUGAAUGUAAAAAACGUCCAGGCUCCAUUAAGGAGCCACAAGAAGCAUUAAAGUGUAACCCAACUCCACCAAAGAGUAUCAAAAUGGCUAGGAGGAUUUAUGUAGCAAAAGUACCGGUUUUGAGCACUUAUGAAGUCGUUAAAAUGUUGCUUUAGCCUUCAUGUGACCCUAAUUCAAUUCAUAGGUUACCAUGCACAACCCAACCAUUGAGCCCAAACCACCUUCUAGCCUACUAGUAAUCCUUAAUCCAUCACCUUUAGGGCUUUCAUGAUCCUUGCAUGGAUCAUCCCUUCCCCCUUUGAAAAGAUAUGACCUUAAUUCAAUAAGGCCAUCCUCAACAAGAUACGGUGAAAGGUCUCCCACAUUAAAGGAAGCAUGCACUCCAUGGUCUCCUCCCUAAUCCACCUUAUAAACAUUAUCAUCGACACGUGACACCACUUUGUAAAGACCUUCAGCUCUUGGUAUCAAAUUUUGUUAUCCCUUUUGUUAGGAAACGUUCUUUCUUCAUAUGAACCUAAACCAAGUCACCAUCUUGAAAGACACGUGGUUUCCUCUGCAUGUUGGAAUUCGGUUUGUACACGUCAUUCACGGUUUCAAUCUUCACACGAACUUGUUGGUGUAGUUUUAUCAUGGCUUUCAGCUUUUCAUUAACAUCCUUGUGAACCAAUUCAUCCUUUGGCAAUGGAAUCAAAUCCAAAGGCAUGUAAGGAUUCACACCAUACACCACUUCAAAAGGAGAGUGACAUGUAGCACAAGUAGGAGAACAAUUACAGGGAUACUCAGCAUGUGCAAGUUUGAUAUCUAAUGUUUUUGAGUUUUGCUAACUAACCCCUCAACAACGUACCCAAAGUUCUAUUAGUCACCUUCGUUUUCCCAUCAGUUUGUGGAUGAUAGGAUGUACUAAAAAGUAACUUAGUACCUACUUUCCUCCACAAAGUGUUCUAAAAGUAACUCAAAAACAUGGAAUCCCUAUCAAAACAAUAGCUUUAGGAAUAAUAUGCAAGCGAAGCACCUCUAUAAUGUACAAAUCAAACACAUUAGAUGCAUAUAUCAUCGGUUUUAAGACACGACAUAGAGUGAGAAAGUUUUGAAAACCUAUCCACCACCACUAUAAUGGAAUCCUUCCCCCCUUUGAGUUCUAGGCAAAGCCAUAAUGAAUUCCAUUGACACAUCUUCCCAAGGCCAAAUAGGAACCGGCAAAGGAUGUUUAAACACCAUGCUUGAAAGUUUUUUUCGUCAUCCGACAUGUAACACACUUGCGCACUAUGUUGGUUACAUCCCCAACAUCUUUAGGCCAGAAGAAAUGUUCUUGAAGCACCUCCAAAGUCUUGCUAAUGGAAAAAUAACCCCCCAAACCACCACCAUGAGCUUCACGAAUCAGCAAGUCCCGUACUGCAUGUUUAAAAGGAGACAAAGUUGAUUGCCUUUUGAUACCUUUAUGGGCUUGAUUAAGUGAGUAGGGUUUUGUUUAGGUAAAUUAAGCUAGAAUAACAACCACAAAUGAUAUGUGUAUGGGAAUAAAUGAAUAGAUUAAUAAGUAAUCAUGACGUACUAAGUUGUAUACCGGUGAAAACUAUCCAAGAAUAAUAUUUUAUUGAAUGCGUAUCAAGUCAAGAACAUGUCUCGACUAUGACAAGUAGUGAACUAUAACUAUAAUUCAAAGUGAAUAAAGGUUCUAUUGAUUAAAAUUAUAUCUAUUUUUUUCAUGCGUACUUGGCUUACCUUUAUUAGAACGUUAGUGGUUACAAGCCACCCAACCAACUACUCAGUGAAACUAAUAAUAAAAAUUAAAAAAACUCAUGAAACCACAUAAAAAAACCUCUGACACAUUAAUGAAUGUAAAAAACGUCCAGGCUUCAUUAAGGAGCCACAAGAAGCAUUAAAGUGUAACCCAACUCCACCAAAGAGAAGUCAUUUGCAAAAAAAUUUCUCUUUCUAACUUUUUCUCUCUAGGAUUCUCUCUCUCGCUUUUCCAGUUUUUGCGUGUGGCUUGGUGGCGAUUUUGGCUGACCGGAGCUCGAUCUGGUGCCGGAAUCACCUUCUUCUUGCUAUGAUUCUGUUGAGUAUCCUUCACCUAUGAUCUGUGUAGGUGAAGAUUCAAUGUUUGGAAAAAUUGGAAGUAUGUUCGGCAUGAAUUCAACUGAUCCUCCUAAUCCAGAUAAUCAAAAAGUGUAUGAAGACGAAUUGGAUGCUGAUGUUGGAGCUAGACGAAGAGGUAGAAGAGCUGUGCACAAGGAAAUUUCUCCCUAUUCUGGGGAUAAGCCCUCUCGAUUGAAAGAAAAAAUUGAAUCUAAGGCUAAGCGAAUUCAGGAAGAGAAGAAGUAUUUGAGUUUGAAAUCCCAAAUUGAAAGUUCGAAGGUUGUCUUAAGAGCUGGAGUGCGUGAAGUUAUUAAAGUUGGAUAUGGCAAGGAGAAUGUCGAUCCUGAUUUCAUUAAAUCGGAACUAGAUGCGUUUGAGAAAGUAAUUGCUAAUGGGAAGAAACUGGAACAACAAAUUGCGACAAACUCUAAGAGGAUAUCUAAAUCGAAGAGUGUAUCGGUGGAGGAAAAAGGGUUUGUGAUGCUUCCAAUUACAUCGGAUAUGCUUGAGGGUUUCAAUUCCUCAAAGGAUAAGGUGAAUGCUUCUCUUUCUUAUUCCCCGUCUCAUGAUAGUGAAUCGUUUCCUGCCAAGGGUAUUUUGGGUAAGAGUCCAGAUGUCAAUCAUUCCUCUCCUGUCAUUGGAUCUGAUUCUGUUAAGUAGGUGGAAUAAUCUACUAAUUUUAGUGAUGAGAUGAUGAAGGAAGCUUUGAACGAAGAUGAGAAAACGAGUGAAGAACCUGAUGCUGCUUUGAGGAAUAGUCAGGGUACUAGUUUUCUGGAUCUAAAAUGGGAUACAAAGCCAAUGAAUGUGGAUAAUUUCUCAAACUCAAGAGUUUCUUUUGCAGCCAAAUUGGUUAGUGAAUAUAACAAGAAGACAUAUGCUAGAAUGGUUGAAUCUACAAGUACUGUGGUUGAUUUAAACAUUAAAGUAAUUCCUAAAGUUGAUGGGAAACCAAUUGGCAAAGUUGAAUUGCCCUAUGCAGAUCUUCUGCUUGGAGGAGCUCCCUAUCAUGCUACUCUGUAUGGAUUUUUGUGGGUAAGAAACUUGCGUUCCCAACUGUGAAUCAUUUCUGUUUCAAAAUGUGGAAGAUAUUUGGAUUGAAGGAUAUUAUGGUCAAUGAUGAAGGCUUCUUCUUUUUUAAGUUUGAUUCUAAAGAAGGUAUGAUGAAUGUGAUUGAAGGGGGACCUUGGCUUAUUAACAAUGUUCCAUUGUUUAUCCAAAGAUGGAGACCUGGACUUGUUUUGUGCAAACCACAGAUCAACUCUGUUCCUGUAUGGGUUAAAGUUUUUAAUGUUCCUUUGCAAUAUUGGAAUAGCAAGGGAGUAACAUUGAUUGCUAAUGAAAUUGGGAAACCGAUGGCUAUGGACAAGAUUACGCAAAAGAUGUGUAAUGAGCACUGGGGAAAGGCCUGCAUUUAUGAGAUUUCUCAUUGAAAUGUCAGUUGAAGAGGAGUGGCUGAAGGAGAUAAGUGUUGUGUCAAUCGAUUUUGGAACAGGGGAAAAUGCUGAAUCUAAAUGCAGGAUUGAAUAUGCUUGGAGACCAGAUAUUUGUACUCAUUGCAAAGUGUAUGGUCAUAGAAAUAGCAACUGUGGUAUUGUAAAUAGUCAAGAAAAGAAUGCAAAAGAAGAUGGAAAGGUUGUUAUAGAAGAGGGAAAUAAGGAUGAUAAAGUUGAUGAUGAUGGGUUUAUUCUGGUCACCAAAAAGAAUAACUAAGGGAAGCAAAUUAGUAACAAUGUUGUUCUUCAAGAAAAUGGGAAAAUUGAUUUGAUUAAAUCUUUGGAAAAAAGCUCUGUUCCAAUGGAGGGAAUUGUUAGUAAUAAUAAGGAAGGAAAAAGUGAGGAAAACGAAGACAAUAAAGGGAAGCAAAAAGAUAAGCAGGCAGAAGUUAAAGAAGUAAGUCAAAAAGAUUCAGAAGACAACAAAGGAAAAGAAGGGAAAAACAGUGCAGAGAGCUAUUCUAAGUUUGCUGUGGGUAAACUCAAAAAAGAUGGGAAGGUUGCAGGGGCAUUUCAGUCUUUUGAUGGAAAAAGUGGGAAAUCGAAUGGAACUGGAGUUUUUAUUCCAAAGGAGAAAUUGGGGAAUAAAGUCAAGAAUGUUAUAGAUAAUUUCAAUGCCAAGAAAGAAGAAAUGCAGGGGAAAAAGGAGGAAUCAAAGAAAAAAGUUUAUGUUCCAAAGAAGUCGGUUAAUGUCAAAAUUAGCUCUAAUUUUGAUCAUUUGGGUUCUACUUCAGGAAAAGAAGAUCGGGAUGAGAUAAUUUCAAAAAAUCCUUUUGAUGUUCUAACGGAUGAAUUGGGGUUAAAGGAUAUGUCACAUUUAGAUGAGAUUGAUCCGGAGAUUAUCACUGGUGGUGCCCAGAAGUUAAGCACCGAAACCUCAGUUGUUGAUCAAUGAUGUUGGGUAUAGGUUGCUGGAAUGUGAGGGGCUCUAAUCUUAGGCCUAAACAAGAAGAAAUUAAAAAGGUGAUUAAUAGUAAUAAGUUGUCUUUGAUUGCUAUUCUUGAGUCUCAAGUGCGAUUCAAUAAGCUUCAAAUGACUUGUAAUAAAGUUUUUGGGAAUUGGAUGUGGAUUUCUAAUCAAGAAGUGAGCCCCAAAGGUACUCGUGUUAUCAUUGGGUGGGAUCCGGAUGAAUUAGUGGUCAUGCCGUUGGAUGCUAGUAGUCAGGCUAUGCAUUGUCAGAUUCUCUUCAUAAAAGAAAAUAAGAGGAUUUUUUGUUCUUUUAUCUAUGCUUGUAAUUAUUACAUAGAUAGAAGAAAACUUUGGGAAUCGUUGGAAAAACAUAAAUGUUCGAUUGAUAAUUCUCCUUGGUUGAUUGUUGGGGAUUUUAAUGUUACUAGGGAACUUAUUGAUUCUACGGCUGGUAACUCUAAGAUCUCUAGGGGCAUGGUGGAAUUUAAUGAAUUUCUUAAUCGAAUUGAAGUUCAAGACAUCAACAACAAUGGUCUGCAUUAUACUUGGAACCAAAGGCCUAGAGGGGUCCAUGGAGUUUUGAAAAAAUUGGAACGUGUGAUGGGAAAUUUCAAGUUUGUGGAUGAUCAUCCUAAUGUUUUUGCCAAUUUCCAGCCAUAUAGAAAUUUUGAUCAUAGCCCUAUGAUCAUCAAAUUUCCUUUGAAAAAGAAAUUUAGAGUUCGUCCAUUUAAGUUUGUCAACUCCCUUACUUUGUUGGAUGAAUUUCUGCCUAUUGUUGCUAAUGUGUGGAGAACUGAUAUUGAAGGUUAUGGUAUGUUUAGGCUGUGCCAAAAGCUUAAACUGUUGAAAAAACCUCUUCGUAAACUUUUGGUUACUCAAGGGAAUUAUGCAGAAAAAAUUGGUAAGUGCAAGGAGGAACUCUAUAGGAUUCAGGUUGAAUUAGAUAAUGACCCUUUUAAUGAAGAUUUGAGAAUUGAAAAGGGUCAUUAUCUCCAAUCUUUCUUGAAUGCUAGUCAGGAAGAGGAAUGUUUUUUAAAACAAAGAGCGAAGGUUCAGUGGCUUAAGGAGGGCGACUCCAAUACUGCUUAUUUUCACAAAGUAGUUAAAGGAAAAAUAAACAGAAAUAGAGUUGAAGCUAUUCUUGAUGGGAAUGAUAUAUGGAAGGAAGGAGAUUUGGCGUUUAAAGUAAUUGUUGAUUAUUUCAGCAACUUUCUUGGUGUAGAAAGAGAUGUUGAACCCAUUAUUUCCCCUGAUACCAUUUUCUCUAAAAAGCUUGAUGCUCAGCAUGCUAUUGAUAUGGUUAGAGAAGUGACAUGUGAGGAAAUUAAGACUGGCCUUUUUGAUAUUGAUGAUGACAAAGCUCCGGGUCCUGAUGGGUAUUCUGCGAAAUUUUUUAAGAAGGCCUGGAUGAUUGUGGGGGAUGAUUUUUGCACAGUUGUGAAAGAAUUUUUCCAGUCAAAGAAGAUCCUUAAGGAGAUUAAUGCUACAGUCAUAGCGUUAGUUCCUAAAGUGCAGACUCCAGGGAAAGUUGGAGAUUAUAGACCAAUUUCCUGUUGUAAUGUGGUGUAUAAAUGCAUUAGCAAGGUUAUUGUCAAUCGUAUCCGGGAUUAUCUUGGGUUACUGAUUUCGGAUAAUCAAUCGGCUUUUAUUUCGGGGAGAUCUAUUAUGGAUAAUGUCCUGCUUUCUCAAGAACUUGUAAGGGGAUAUCAUAUUGACAGGGGUUUUGCUCGUUGUGCCAUGAAAAUUGACAUCCAAAAAGCAUAUGAUACUGUUAAUUGGAAAUAUCUCCAAUUUGUUUUGAAAGAAUUUGGAUUUCAUAAUUCUAUGAUUUCUUGGAUCAUGAAUUGUGUGUCUACUUCAUCAUUCAUGAUCAAUAUUAAUGGAAGCUUUCAUGGAUUCUUCCAAGGAAAGAGAGGGCUUCGUCAAGGAUGUCCGUUAUCUCCUUAUUUGUUUACUCUUGUCAUGGAUGUUUUUAAUCUUAUGCUAAAAAGGUGUAUUCGGGAAGAUAACGGGUUUAAAUUUCAUUAGAGAUGUAAAAAACAGGAGAUUACUCAUUUGUGUUUUGCUGAUGAUCUGAUGAUUUUCUGUCAUGGUAAUAUUGGAUCUAUAAAAGUCAUCAAGAAGGCGCUAGUUGAGUUUGCUAGUUCUGCGGGGAUGUCACCAAAUCUUUCUAAAAGCCACAUUUUUUUGGUAAUGUGAAGGAACCUUUUAAAAGGAAAAUUUUGAGAAUUCUUCCUUUUGUUGAAGGUAAACUUCCUUUGAAGUAUUUAGGGGUGCCUUUGGUCUCUACUAAGUUAUUUAUUAGAGAUUCCAAAGGUCUUGUGGAUAAAGUGAAGAAGAGGGUUAAUAAUUGGGAGAAUAAGUCGCUUUCUUAUGCUGGAAGGCUUCAAUUGAUAAGUUCUGUGCUUGCUUCUCCUCCUGUUUAUUGGGCUUCUGUUAUGUUACUUCCUAAAGGCAUCACUAAGGAGAUUGAAAAAAGUAUGAGGAAUUUUCUUUGGAAUAAUGAUCAAAACAAGAAAGGAGCUGCUAAGGUUUCAUGGAAUGAGAUAUGUAAACCUAAGAUUUAUGGGGGGCUUGGGUUAAAAAAUUUAAAUGAUUGGAAUAUUGCGCUUAUCUCGAGCAGAAUUUGGAAAAUCUUAAGUGGUCAUAACUCUAUAUGGGUUAAAUGGGUUAAUUCUUAUCUUCUUGAGGGAAGGAGUUUUUGGGAUGUGGGUCCUAAAGACAAAUUGAGCUGGAGUUGGAGGCAUUUGCUGAAGAUUAGAUCAUGCAUUAGGGAUUCUUUUUAUGUUCAGAUUGGAAAUGGCAAGAAUACUUCCAUGUGGUUUGAUAACUGGCAUCAGCUCGGUCCUUUGAGUUAUGUUCUUUCACAUAGAGAAAUUGCUUGUGAUGGAUUUAAUAUUCGGGACAAAGUUAGUGAUGUGAUAGUCAACAAUGAUUGGAGAUGGCCUAUGGAUUGGUUAAGAUUGAUUCCUCAGCUUGGAGAAUUUCCCAUCCCUAAAUUAUCCAGGGAUAAGAAGGAUGUUGUGCUAUGGAUGAAUUGGAAAAGGGAUGUUGUUCCAUUUCUGUUAAUCAAGUCUCAUAUUCUCUUAUUUGUCAUGAAUCAAAAGUUGUUUGGUUUGAUUUGGUCUGGUUCCAGAAUAGAAUUCCAAGUCACUGUUUCAUCCUCUGGCUUGCUAUUCUUGAAAGGUUAAGAACACAGGAUAGAAUGAAUAAAUGGAAAUAGUCUAAUGAUUUAAGUUGUGCUUUCUGCAACAAACAAAUGGAUUCUCACUCUCAUCUGUUUUUUUAUUGUAAUUUUCCUAAGGAAGUGUGGGAGAUUAUGAAAGUUAAAGUCAAGUUAAAACAUAAACCAGGGCAUCUAGUUCAGAUCAUUCAGGAGCUUCAAUUUUCGUUAAAGAAGAAGAGCAUUGAUAAUUUCAUCAGGAAAAUUGCUUUAGCUGCUUCUAUAUAUCACAUUUGGAAUGAAAGAAACAAGAGAUUGUUUGGGAAGAAAAGAAACUUUGUGGAUGGAGUGGUUAAGAAUAUUAUGGAGGACAUUAGACUUAAGAUUUUUAGCCUUAAUCAGGGUUAUCUUGGUCUUAAUGAAGAGAUAUAGGGAAUGGAUUGUCCCUGUUAAAAGUUUGUAUCGUGAUCAUGUAAGUCAAUCUUGAUUUUCUGUUGGAUUGGAAUACCAUCUGUCAGGGUUGCUGGCAAAGGAGAAUAAUUUCUUGUAUUUUUUCGAUCUCUGCUUUUGAGUUGAAGAACAUGAAUACGAGAUUUUUAUGGAAAAUAAAGGAUAAGAGACUAAUAGAAGUUAAUAAAAUUGGUUGUAUUGAGUUUGAUUUUUGGAUAAAGGGGAGUGCGGAUAAGUAUGAUCGAAAUAUAAAGAUUUGGACCAAAGGGUAUUUUGGUCAAUUUAAGGAUAUAAAAGAUUUGAUUGAGAUUUCUGAUUUUGAAGGGGCUGAUUGGUUAAUUUUAUUCAAUGGUAUCAGUGAUUUAAAAAGAUUUUGGGUGUCGAAUAAUAGAAAUUGCUGGAGUCGCCUAUGGGUGCCGAUGUCCUCUGAUUUUUUAUUUUUUUUUGUACCUGGAAUAUUUAGCAUUCAGCGAUGGUGGGUUUUGAAUUUUGAUUGGUUAGAGAUGCAUGGAGUGAGACAAUUUGUUCAAUUUUUGGUUAUGAUGGGUUGGUCAUUUGAAAAGCAAUUGAAAAUUGAAGAUGGGAAUGGGUGGUGUGAUUGGCAGCGGUUUCUUUUUACAAUUGAGAUGGAUAAUAAGCAGGGGCAAUUUGGGCAUUUAUCUAUUUUUGAAGACUUCUGGCACUGUUUUGAUCAUAAUGGGGAUUGGUUGGUCUCACAUAGUGCUUGGAAUAAUCUUGUUGAAAGUUAUUUUUCUUUUCAUCUUAGUAUGAGGAGACAGGGGCAAAUUGGUCAAAAUUAUAUGAAGGGUGCCAAUCUUACUCCUUUUGUGAUUAUUCAUUGGAAUUUGGAGGUUUUUAAUAAAAAAAGAACAGAGAUCAUCUUAAAGUUAUUGGCUUGAGGUGUAAAUGGAGUACGGUCCUUGUUAUGGUUAAGGGGCAAAUUCGGAAUUAUUGGCUAUGGAUGAAUUCUUUUGAUUAUGAAGGAGUUCAUUUCCAAUAUUUUUAUAAAGGAAUUGACGGACAUGGGAUUUUUACCAUUUUUUCCCUUAAAAAUGGAUUGCAACUCGGUUUAAUCCCGAGUAUCAUUUGGUUUAUGCCUUAUGAUGUGGUUCUUUUUCAUCAAUAUAUGGAAUUUAUUCUCAUUUAUUGUGAAUUUCCGCCUUGGAAACAAGGUGUGUAUUUUCAAGGAUUUGACGGAUAUGGGAUUUUUAUUACUUUUUCCCUUAAAAGUAAAGUGCAUCUCGGUUUGAUCCCGAGUCUCAUUUGGCUUAGACCUUAUGAUGUGGAUUUAUUUCAUUUACAUUUGGGUUUAUUAUCCAAUUGUUAUGAUUCUCCGCCUUGGAAACAAGGUGUGUAUAAGCUUGGAAUUGACGGAAUUGGGACUUUUCUCACUUUUUCCCUUAAAAGUGAAUUGCAUCUCGGUUUGAUCCCGAGUUUCAUUUGGUUAAGAACUUAUGAAGUGGAUUUUUAUCAUUUUCAUUUGGGUUUUCCCAAUUGUUAUGAUAUAUAAAAGGAAUUGACGGAUUUGGGAUUUUUCCCACUUUUUCCCUUAAAAGUGAUCCUCCGCCUUGGAAACAAGGUGUGUAUAUCAAAGGAAUUGACAGAAUCGGGAUUUUUAUCACUUUUUCCCUUAAAAGUGAACUUCCAUCUUGGAAACAAGAUGAGUUUAUUCAAGGAAUUGACGGUCUCGGGAUUUUUCUCACUUUUUCCCUUAAAAGUGAAUUCCCGCCUUGGAAACAAGGUGUGUAUAUCAAAGGAAUUGACAGAAUCGGGAUUUUUAUCACUUUUUCCCUUAAAAGUGAACUUCCAUCUUGGAAACAAGAUGAGUUUAUUCAAGGAAUUGACGGUCUCGGGAUUUUUCUCACUUUUUCCCUUAAAAGUGAUUAUCCGCCUUGGAAACAAGGUAAGUAUAUUCAAGGAAUUGACGGAUUCGGGAUUUUUGUCACUUUUUCCCUUAAAAGUGAACACACGCCUUGGAAACAAGGUGUUUACAUUCAUGGAAUUGACAGAUAUAUUCUUUAUAGCUUUAUUGAAGAUGGGGAUUUUUUGAAGAUUUUUUUGAGGCUUUUUGGAAUUGAUGAUAAUUGGAAGGCUUUAUUAAAGAUGUUUUUGGAGACUUUUGAUGUGCAUAAAAGAGGUUUUGAUGGCAAAUGCUCUAAAAGAUUAGUUUUUUUGGUUAGGAUUGGAUGGACAUUGGAUAUGGAUUUAUUUUUUGGAGGUUAUAGGAAAGAGGAUUGUAAGAAUUGGAAGAUUGUGAAUAGAGAUAAUAGAGAGGGUGAUAGUUUGGCUAUUUUUAGCAUUAUACUUUCGAUGUGCAUAAAAGAAAAUAAAGAUAAAAGGGUGGACAAAAGAAAGAAGAUUGCUACUGUGGAUAUCAUUGGGAAUUGGAAUGUGGAUACUAUAUGCAUUUUUUUUGUGGAACUCUUGGGAUAUUUUUGUUCAUGGGACUUGUGUUAUUUUUGACAUAAGGAUGUGGAGCAUACAUAGAGAUUGCAUUUUCUUUGGUUACAUUGUCGCUAGGGUUAGCCUUUGGUUUUGGUAUUUGCGUGAUAUUUGGAUUUUGGUCAUUUUUUGGGUUUGUCUAAAAAUGACAUAACUCUUGUAUUUCUCUUUUUGAAUUUAUAAAAUCUUUGUCGAGGCUUCAUCCUCUUUCCAAAAAAAAAACUCCACCAAAGAGUAUCAAAAUGGCUAGGAGGAUUUAUGAAGCAAAAGUACCAGUUUUGAGCACUUAUGAAGUCGUUAAAAUGUUGCUUUAGCCUUCAUGUGACCCUAAUUAAAUUCGUAGGUUACCAUGCACAACCCAACCAUUGAGCCUAAACCACCUUCUAGCUUACUAGUAAUCCUUAAUCCAUCACCUUUUGGGCUUUCAUGAUCCAUGCAUGGAUCAUCCCCNNNNNNNNNNNNNUCGUGACCCCCCCCCCUCCCCCUUUGAAAAGAUAUGACCUCAAUUCAUUAAGGCCAUCCAGAAAAAGAUACGGUGAAAGGUCUCCCACAUAAAAGGAAGCAUGCACUCCAUGGUCUCCUCCCAAAUCCACAUGAUAAGCAUUAUCAUUGACAUGUGACACCACUUUGUAAGCACCUAAAGCGCUUGGCAUCAACUUUUGUUCUCCCUUUUGUUAGGAAACAUCUUUCCUCAUAUGAACCUAAACCAAGUAACCAUCUUGAAAGACAUGUGGAUUCCUAUCCAUGUUGGAAUUCUAUUUGUACACGUCAUUCACGGUUUCAAUCUUCACAUGUACUUGUUGGUGGAGAUUUAUCAUGGCUUUCAACUUGUCAUUAACAUCCUUGUGAACCAAUUCAUCCUUUGGCAAUGGAAUCAAAUCCAAAGCCAUGUAAGGAUUCACAUCAUACACCACUUCAAAAGGAGAGUGACCUGUAGCACAAGUAGGAGAACCAUUACAGGGAUACUCAGCAUGUGCAAGUUUGAUAUUUAAUGUUUUUGAGUUUUGCUAACCAACCCCCUCAACAACGUACCCAAAGUUCUAUUAGUCACCUUCGUUUUUCCAUCAGUUUGUGGAUGAUAGGAUGUACUAAAAAGUAACUUAGUACCUGAUUUCCUCCACAAAGUGUUCCAAAAGUAACUCAAAAACAUGGAAUCCCAAUAAGAACAAUAGCUUUAGGAAUAAUAUGCAAGCGAACCACCUCUAUAAAGUACAAAUCUACCACAUUAGAUGCAUCAUUGGUUUUAUGACACCUUAUAAAGUGAGAAAGAUUUGAAAACCUAUCCACUACCACUAUAAUGCAAUCCUUCCCCCUUUGAGUUCUAGGCAAAGCCAUAAUGAAUUCCAUUGACACAUCUUCCCAAGGUCGAAUAGGAACCGGCAAAGGAUGUUUAAACACCAUGCUUGAAAUUUUUUUUCGUCAUCCGACAUGUAACACACUUGCCCACUAUGUUGGUUACAUCCCCAACAUCUUUAGGCCAGAAGAAAUGUUCUUGAAGAACCUCCAAAGUCUUGUUAAGGGAAAAAUGACCCGCCAAAUCACCACCAUGAGCUUCACGAAUCAGCAAGUCCCUUAUUGAAUGUUUAGGGACACAAAGGUGAUUGCCUUUUGAUACCUUUAUGGGCUUGAUUAACUGAGUAUGGUUUUGUUUAGGUAAAUUAAGAUAGAAUAACAACCACAAAUGAUAGGUGUAUGGGAAUAAAUGAAUAGAUUAAUAAGUAAUCAUGACGUACUAAGUUGUAUACCGGUGAAAACUAUCCAUGCAUAAUAUUUGAUUGAAUGAGUAUCAAGUCAAGAACACGUAUCGACUAUGACAAGUAGUGAACCACAACUAUAAUUCAAAGUGAACAAAGGUUCUAUUGAUUAAAAUUAUAUCUAUUUUUUUUCAUGCGUACUUGGCUUAUAUUAAGCCUUUAUUAGAAAGUUAGUGGUUACAAGCCACCCAACCAACUACUCAGUGAAACUAAUAAUGAAAAUCAAAAAAACUCAUGAAACCACACAAAAAAACCUUUGGCACACUAAUGAAUGUAAAAAACGUCCACGCUCAAUUAAAGAGCCACAAGAAGCAUUAAAUUGUCACCCUAAUCCACCAAAGAGUAUCAAAAUGGCUAGGAGGCUUUAUGAAGCAAAAAGUACCGGUUUUGAGCACUUAUGAAGCCAUUAAAAUGUUGCUUUAUCCUUCAUGCGACCCUAAUUAAAUUCAUAGGAUACCACGAACAACCCAACCAUUGAGCCCAAACCACCUUCUAGCUUACUAGUAAUCCUUAAUCCAUCACCUUUUGGGCUUUCAUGAUCCAUGCAUGGAUCAUCCCCUCCCGCUUUGAAAAGAUAUGACCUCAAUUCAUUUAGGCCAUCCUCAACAAGAUACAGUGAAAGGUCUCCCACAUUAAAGGAAGCAUGCACUCCAUGGUCUCCUCCCAAAUCCACCUUAUAAGCAUUAUCAUUGACACGUGACACCACUUUGUAAGGACCUUCUGCUCUUGGCAUCAACUUUUGUUCUCCCGUUUUUUAGGAAACGUUCUUUCCUCAUAUGAACUUAAACCAAGUCACCAUCUUGAAAGACACGUGGUUUCCUAUGCAUGUUGGAAUUUUGUUUGUACACGUCAUUCACGGUUUCAAUCUUCACACGAACUUGUUGGUGUAGUUUUAUCAUGGCGUUCAACUUGUCAUUAACACACUUGUGAACCAAUUCAUCCUUUGGCAAUGGAAUCAAAUCCAAGGCCUUGUAAGGAUUCACACCAUACACCACUUCAAAAGGAGAUUGACCUGUAGCACAAGUAGGAGAACCAUUACAGGGAUACUCAGCAUGUGCAAGUUUGAUAUCUAAUGUUUUUGAGCAUGUGCAAGUUUGAUACUCAGCAUGUCACCUUCGUCUUCCCAUCAAUUUGUGGAUGAUAGGAUGUACUAAAAAGUAACUUAGUGCCUGCUUUCCUCCACAAAGCGUUCCAAAAUUAACUCAAAAAUAUGGAAUCCCUAUCAGAACAGUAUCUUUAGGAAUAAUAUGUAAGCGAACCACCUCUAUAAAGUACAAAUCAAACACAUUAGAUGCAUCAUUGGUUUUGUGACACGACAUCGAGUGAGAAAGUUUUGAAAACCUAUCCACCACCACUAUAAUGGAAUCCUCCCCCCUUUGAGAGAGGCAAAGCCAUAAUGAAUUCCAUUGACAGAUCUUCCCAAGGCCGAAUAGGAACCGGCAAAGGAUGUUUUAACACCAUGCUUGAAAGUUUUUUCGUCAUCCGACAUGUAGCACACUUGCCCACUAUGUCGGUUACAUCCCCAUCAUCUUUAGGCAAAAAGAAAAGUUCUUGAAGCACCUCCAAAGUCUUGUUAAUGGAAAAAUAACCCGCCAAACCACCACCAUGAGCUUCACUAAUCAGCAAGUCCCUUAUUGCAUGUAUAGGGACACAAAGGUGAUUGCCUUUUAAUACCAUUAUGGGCUUGAUUAAGUGAGUAGGAUUUUGUUUAGGUAAAUUAAGCUAGAAUAACAACCACAAAUGAUAGGUGUAUGGGAAUAAAUGAAUAGAUUAAUAAGUAAUCAUAACGUACUAAGUUGUAUACCAAUGAAAACUAUUCAAGAAUAAUAUUAGAUUGAAUGAAUAUCAAGUCAAGAACACGUCUCGACUAUGACAAGUAGUGAACUAUAACUAUAAUUCAAAGUGAACAAAGGUUCUAUUGAUUAAAAUUAUAUCUAUUUUUUUUCAUGCGUACUUGGCUUAUAUUAAGCCUAAAUUAGAAAGUUAGUGGUUACAAACCACCCAACCAAUGACUCAGUGAAACUAAUAAUGAAAAUUAAAAAAACUCAUGAAACCACACCAAAAGAAACCUCUUCCACACUAAUGAAUGUAAAAAACGUCCAUGCUCCAUUAAGGAGCCACAAGAAGAAUUAAAGUGUAACCCUAGUCCACAAAAGAGUAUCAAAAUGGCUAGGAACAUUUAUGAAGCAUAAAGUACCAGUUUUGAUCACUUAUGAAGCCUUUAAAAUGUUGCUUUAGACUUCAUGCGAUCCUAAUUCAAUUCAUACGUUACCAUGCACAACCCAAUCAUUGAGCCCAAAUCACCUUCUAGCCUACUAGUAAUCCUUAAUCCAUCACCUUUGGGGCUUUCAUGAUCCUUGCAUGGUACAUCCUCUCCCCCUUUGAAAAGAUGUGACAUUAAUUCAUUAAGGCCACCCUCAACAAGAUACGGUGAAAGGUCUCCCACAUUAAAGGAAGCAUGCACUCCAUGGUCUCCUCCCUAAUCCACCUUAUAAGCAUUAUCAUUGACACGUGACAUCACUUUGUAAAGACCUUCAGCUCUUGGUAUCAAAUUUUGUUCUCCCUUUUUUUAGGAAACAUCUUUCCUCAUAUGAACCUAAACCAAGUCACCAUCUUGAAAGACACGUGGUUUCCUAUGCAUGUUGGACUUCUAUUUGUACACGUCAUUCACGGUUUCAAUCUUCACACGUACUUGUUGGUGUAGUUUUAUCAUGGCUUUCAACUUGUCAUUAACAUCCUUGUGAACCAAUUCAUCCUUUAGCAAUGGAAUAAUAUCCAAAGCCAUGUAAGGAUUCACAUCAUACACCAAUUCAAAAGGAGAGUGACUUGUAGCACAAGUAGGAGAACCAUUACAGGGAUACUCAACAUGUGCAAGUUUGAUAUCUAAUGUUUUUGAGUUUUGCUAACCAACCCCCUCAACAACGUACCCAAAGUUCUAUUAGUCACCUUCGUUUUCCCAUCAGUUUGUGUAUGAUAGGAUGUACUAAAAAGAAACUUAGUACCUAUUUUCCUCCACAAAGUGUUCCAAAAGUAACUCAAAAACAUGGAAUCCCAAUCAGAACAAUAGCUUUAGGAAUAAUAUGCAUGCGAACCACCUCUGUAAGUACAAAUCUAACACAUUAGAUGCAUCAUUGGUUUUAUGACACGUUAUAAAGUGAGAAAGUUUCGAAAACCUAUCCACUACCACUAUAAUGGAAUCCUUCCCCCUUUGAGUUCUAGGCAAAGCCAUAAUGAAUUCCAUUGACACAUCUUCCCAAGGCCGAAUAGGAACCGUCAAAGGAUGUUCAAACACCUAGCUAGAAAUUUUUUUUCGUCAUCCGACAUGUAACACACUUUCCCACUAUGUUGGUUACAUCCCCAACAUCUUUAGGCCAGAAGAAAUGUUCUUGAAGCACCUCCAAAGUCUUGUUAAUGGAAAAAUGACCCGCCAAACCACCACCAUGAGCUUCACGAAUCAGCAAGUCCCUUAUUGAAUGUUUAGGGACACAAAGGUUAUUGCCUUUUGAUACCUUUAUGGGCUUGAUUAACUGAGUAGGGUUUUGUUUAGGUAAAUUAAGCUAGAAUAACAACCACAAAUGAUAGGUGUAUGGGAAUAAAUGAAUAGAUUAAUAAGUAAUCAUGACGUACUAAGUUGUAUACCAGUGAAAACUAUCCAUGAAUAAUAUUUGAUUGAAUAAGUAUCAAGUCAAGAACACGUAUCGACUAUGACAAGUAGUGAGCCAUAACUAUAAUUCAAAGUGAACAAAGGUUCUAUUGAUUAAAAUUAUAUCUAUUUUUUUCAUGCGUACUUGGCUUAUAUUAAGCCUUUAUUAGAAAGUUAGUGGUUACAAGCCACCCAACUAACUACUCAGUGAAACUAAUAAUGAAAAUAAAAAAAACUCAUGAAACCACACAAAAAACCUCUUACACACUAAUGAAUGUAAAAAACGUCCACGCUCAAUUAAAAAGCCACAAGAAGCAUUAAAGUGUCACCUUAAUCCACAAAAGAGUAUCAAAAUGGCUAGGAGGCUUUAUGAAGCAAAAAGUACCGGUUUUGAGCACUUAUGAAGCCAUUAAAAUGUUGCUUUAGCCUUCAUGUGACCCUAAUUAAAUUCGUAGGAUAUCACACACAACCCAACCAUUGAGCCCAAACCACCUUCUAGCUUACUAGUAAUCCUUAAUCCAUCGCCUUUUAGGCUUUCAUAAUCCAUUCAUGGAUCAUCCCCUCCCGCUUUGAAAAGAUAUGACCUCAAUUCAUUAAGGCCAUCCUGAACAAGAUACGGUGAAAGGUCUCCCACAUUAAAGGAAGCAUGCACUCCAUGGUCUCCUCCAAAAUCCAUCUUAUAAGCAUUAUCAUUGACACGUGACACCACUUUGUAAGGACCUUCUGCUCUUGGCAUCAACUUUUGUUCUCCCUUUUUUAGGAAAAGUUCUUUCCUCAUAUGAACUUAAACCAAGUCACCAUCUUGAAAGACAUGUGGUUUCCUAUGCAUGUUGGAAUUCUGUUUGUACAUGUCAUUCACGGUUUCAAUCUUCACACGAACUUGUUGGUGUAGUUUUAUCAUGGCUUUCAACUUUUCAUUAACAUCCUUGUGAACCAAUUCAUCUUUUGGCAAUGGAAUCAAAUCCAAAGGCAUGUAAGGAUUUACAUCAUACACCACUUCAAAAGGAUAGUGACCUGUAGCACAAGUAGGAGAACCAUUACAGGGAUACUCAGCAUGUGCAAGUUUGAUAUCUGAUGUUUUUGAGUUUUGCUAACCAACCCCCUUAACAACGUACCCAAAGUUCUAGUAGUCACCUUCAUUUUCCCAUCAGUUUGUGGAUGAUAGGAUGUACUAAAAAGUAACUUAGUACCUACUUUCCUCCACAAAGUGUUCCAAAAGUAACUCAAAAACAUGGAAUCCUAAUCAGUAGCUUUAGGAAUAAUAUGCAAGCGAACCACCUUUGUAAAGUACAAAUCAAACAUAUGAGAUGCAUCGUUGGUUUUAUGACACGACAUAGAGUGAGAAAGUUUUGAAAAUCUAUCCACCACCACCACUAUAAUGGAAUCCUUCCACCUUUGAGUUCUAGGCAAAGCCAUAAUGAAUUCCAUUGACACAUCUUCCCAAGGCCGAAUAGGAACCAGCAAAGGAUGUUUAAACACCAUGCUUGAAAGUUUUUUUCGUCAUCCGACAUGUAACACACUUGCCCACUAUGUUGGUUAGAUCCCCAACAUCUUUAGGCCAGAAGAAAUGUUCUUGACGCACCUCCAAAGUCUUGUUAAUAUAAAAGUAACCCGCCAAACCACUACCAUGUGUAACAUCCAAAAUUUCGAAACAAUUAAAACUUUUCAAAAUCACCCAUUUUAUUAACAUUGUUACAAAAAGGUUUUCAAUACAUUAUUUAACAGAGUAAUUUCCCAGGUUCAUAUCAUAAAUCACCAAUACGAGGAACGGUACGAUCACGCCUUUGCCUUGCUACAGACUCUUGAGAACCUGAAACAUAAAACCACAACUGUAAGCCCGAAAGCUUAGUGAGAUACCCCCAGAAUACCAACCACAUAUACGCCUUUCCAGGCCCUGACCUUCCGGUCCUCAACACAACAUAAUCGCCUUCCGGCCCGUAAUAUAUUGCCUUCCGGCCCAUAACAUAUUGCCUUCCGGCUCAUAAGCAUACAAUGCAUACAUAACGUAACAAAUAAUCAUAUAGCAGUUCAUAGACAACAAUCGAUCAACAGAUCACAUACCAUAGCAUUACUCUAAACAAGAUACCGGUCUAGCCGGUCACUAGCACAACAUUACCCUAUGAAUCAGUCAACAUACUUAAUGCAUAAAUACGCCUUUCCAGGCCAUGACCUUCCGGUCCACAUAGCAAUGCCUUCCGGCCCAUAACAUGUAAUGACAACUACCCGGAUUUCCAUCCGAUAAAAGGGUCGGCCUUGGUGCCAUAAACCCUAGCGAUAUAGUGAGGAUAACUCACCUCGAAACUGCCGACUGAACAGAUAGCUCAAGCUGCUCCGAUCACUGAUACGAUCUCCACCUCUGGACAGUCACCAAUGCACUGAACUCAAACAAUAACAACAAUUACCAAAAUACCCCUGGAACCACUGGUCAAUCCUUGGUCAAAGACAAGGUCAAAGUCAACCCCUGACUGACCCUACUCGCCGAGUCAACCCUAUGACUCGCCGAGUCCCCAUACUCAGAACUUCACUCAACCCGCGAUCUAACUCGCCGAGUCACCCCAAGACUCGCCGAGUUCAACGACUCUGAGUCCACUCGCCCUUGACUCACCGAUUCCUUAAGAUUCCCUUUCUACACGUCGAGUAUCCCCUUUUUACUCGACGAGUUCCUCCUGGAAGAAUCGCGGGGCCACCCCGACUCAACUCGCCGAGUCUGAAGAACAACUCGACGAGUCCCAGUUAAUCUUCAAGCUACUCGCCGAGUCUGAAGAACAACUCGGCGAGUCCAUGUCAUGCAGACGAGCAACUGCUUCCUGAAUUACGUAUGGUCCCGAGAUAUACAAUCAUGGGACUUUCUGGACUUCUAAACAUCUUAUUACUGGGGUAUAAACGUCUGGGUAAUAACAUAAUAACCCAUCUAAUCACUAAGUGGGUUUCAUAAACCCUAGAUUCGUAUACACAUCAAAAUAACAGAAAUGGUCCGAGUAUUACCUGAAAACGCACUCUCUGUGUCCCCCAAACCUCAGGACUCGAUCCUCCUUGAUAUUCCUUUGGCCAAAUUCUUCUUCUUCUUGCCUAACAAGUUCCUCCAAGUUCCAAUAGCUUUCUCUCCUGCUCUAGACGUCCACAACGAUUAGGGUUCUUCUCAAUCGACCAAAAGACGGACAAUGACGGCCUAAGAGGCGUUAUAUACGAUCCAAAACCGAACGGUUAGGGUUUCUGCUGAACAGCGUCGACUCGCCGAGUCCAUAUCUGGACUCGUCGAGUCCAGUCGCGAACCCGCGACCAAGUCUGCGAUCCUACUCGGCGAGUCUAGGCUCCAACUCGCCGAGUCCCCUCUUAAAUCACCCCCAAAAACAUAAUUNAGAUGCCCACAGCCGCUUAGGGUUCUUCUCAAUCGACUAAAAGACGAACAAUGACGGCAUAUAGUGCGUUAUAUACGACCCAAACCUGAACGGUUAGGGUUUUCGCUAAACAGCGUAGACUCGCCGAGUCCAUAUCUGGACUCGUCGAGUCCAGUCGCGAACCCGCGACCAAGUCUGCGAUCCUACUCGGCGAUUCUAGGCUCCAACUCACCGAGUCCCCUCUUAAAACACCCCCAAAAACAUAAUUAUAUCAAUAUUUGAAAUUUCGGGCUGUUACAACUCUCCCCCACUAGAACUAGACUUCGCCCUCGAAGUCUCACUCUGAAAAUAGCCCCGAAUGCUGCUCCCACAUAUCACGUUCCAGAUCACAGUUCAUUUCCGAUCCCCUCCGGUGCUGCCACUGAAGUAGCCCAGAGGUAUCUCCUUAUUCCUCAGAAGCUCGAUCUUCCGUUCUCUGAUAACCACUGGCUUCACGACAUAAUUCAGGCUCGCAUCCACCUGAAUGUCUUCUAAUGGAACCACUGCCGACUCAUCGACUAUAUACUUCCUCAAUUGCGACACAUGAAAAAUAUCGUGGAUUUGUCUCAAAUCCGUGGGCAACUCCAAAUGGUAGGCCACCCGGCCUACCCCCGCAAUCACGUGAAAAGAUCCAAUAUACCGGGGCCCCAUCCUGCCCCUCUUCCUGAAUCGAAUUACUCCUCUCCAAGGAGAGGCCUUCAGGAGCACGAAGUCGCCAACCUGAAACUCAAGCUUGGACUGGCGUCUGACUGCAUAACUUUCCUGUCGGCUCUGGGCGGUCAAUGACCUCUGUCUAAUCUGCUGAAUCUGCUCUGUCGACUGAAGCACGAUCUCUGUACUGCACAUCACUCUCUGCAACCGAAAAUUACUCGAGAUGCAACUCUGUGCUAAAUCUCAACGAUCACUCGACUCAUAAGGGUUAAGAAACCCUGAACCACCGGAUCCCCGAUCCAAAGCCCACCUUGUCCAUUUCGGACCGACUGAGAGAUCCAUUCUCACUCUCAGAGCAACUCUCACAAGUUCUCCUCUUGCCAUCACAUACACAUACUGAACUCGUCCCAACACCCGCAGGUUGAAAGACCCGAUACACUGAUGAUAUCCUCGAACAUCUCCCAAGAUGAACCACUACAUCCACCCUACACUCUGAUCAGAAUCACACUGGGAAUUCAAGAUUCUCUCUCCCCCUGCACCCCUUCUGAGUCUCGACAGUCAUCCCAACCCGGAUGGGUUCCUACUUCACUGCCGCGAACACGAUGCUCAAAACCAUACUCGAAAUACUCUAACCAUAACUCUGCUCUGCAGCUUUCACUUUCGUGAACUUGCACCCCCUUCGGAGUUACACACCUUCCUCUUUUCCUUUUUCCAAGGAACCCUCUUGGCCAUAAUGUCACUCCAACCGGUGCCACGGUGCUCGCCCCAAGCGACACCACCCUUUUUGCGUAACCGCUAUCCACAUACUCUGGUUCUCAUUGCAGGGGCUCUCAAUCCCAUGCACUCUCUCCACUCAUCAAAAUCACUGCCUCAGCUAAACAAGAUCACUAACCCGGGGCCAGACCUUCCAAUGCAAUCACACUGCAACAUACACAAUCCGCAAUCUCAAACUGAUCCAGCAAUACCAACAGAGUCUCCAGCAUGACUGGACCGACUCUCAUAACACAUACUAGCCACUCGAGGCUAUAUCUCUGUGGGUCCGUACACCCAAACUCUGCGAACCCUCAGGUUCUAACUCUGGGAACCUUCCGGUUCCAGCUCUAGAAACAUGCACAACAUAAUCCCGUGGGAUUAAUGCAGUACAACCCAUCACGUACCUCAAACAUACCAAUACUCUGAUCGCAUAACCCCGGUUACUUACUCAAGCUUGAUCCCGGCCUUCUCUCAGGCCUCCACAAUCAAAUGCCCUAGGUCUGUAUCCCGCCCCGCAUACCCGACACUCGCUCUCGUCGGCCUAUACUCUGCGCUGACAAACACUGCUGAAUCCCAACAGCUAAGCACCCUCACAUACUCAUCGAUCUCCCGGAGAAUUCUCCAAUUCUCCCCCACUAAAGCACUGACUAACUGCCACCGAUCGUCAUUAACGACCUUUCAGAACAAUCCUGCACAAAGAGAACAUUUACACACUGACUGCUUCCCACAAGCAUAAGCAACCCUCAGCAAAACACAUCUCCUCCCUGAUCAAUCCACUCAAAAGAAUCCGGUCUUUCAAUUAUCCACUCUACGACUGCAGAUGCUACCCGACAUUCAACCCAGUGCCGCAUCUCCACUAACAACCCUCACGAACGAUAACCAACGGAAUUCCCAACAAUAACCCGUAACCAAACCCACAACCUGCCAAAGGAUGAAUACCGCAUCGAAAACCGCACAAGGCUACCGGCACCAAAACACCAAACUAUAACCAUACCAAACCAUCAGGGAACAACGAAUGCCAAAGCGAAAACCUGAAACACCAAUCCAUAACCAUGCCAAACCCGCGAAACAACGAAUACCGCAUCGAAAUCCACACAAGAUACCAGCACAAACAAUACGCCACAAUCAACGCAAGACAAUCAAGACAUCAAGAAAGCAUCAUACCCGCAGCUGCCUCCGGCACUGCUCCGUCUCCCUCUGCCGCAAGCCGAUAAGCACGACCCUGAGCCCUUGGGGCUCCGCUCCAUCCUGUCCUCCUCCUGAACUCCUCAAGGUGGCCGGUGCUAGAGCCUGCACCGGUCCUGCAGAAAGCUGUGGACAGUUGACCCUCAAAUGUCCAACCUGCCGACACUGAUAACAAAUCCUCAAAUCCCGAAUUGGCACUGACUGCCGACAAUCCCGUGCACCGUGCCCCUCCUUUCCGCACUUGCGGCAUGCACCACCGGACCAGCAAGCUCCGGUGUAACCCCUCCCACACUUCCCACAAGUGUGGCCGCUCCGAUCCCCCAUUCUAACAUCUACGGUCCUGGACCGUUUCGGCGCCGACUGCGACUGCAUCGGGGCCUGCCUCAGCUCACGCAACUGCAACUCAACCUCUAACUCACGCCGCAUGGCGGCCUCCUGCAACUCCAACAAGGUCUCGCACCUCUGCGCAGACACGAACUGUCUGAUAUCCCCCUUGAGCAUACUCAGAUAUCGGGACAUCUGAGCCUGCUCCGAAGCGAACUCAGGGCAAAACAUCGCCCUCUCAAUAAACAUCCUGGUGAUCUCAGUCACCGACUCCAAAUCCUGCUUCAGCUCAAAGAACUCCCGAGCCAAUCUCUCCUUUUCAUCCCGCGGAACAUAGCGAGUACUGAACAUCUCUCUGAAUUGAUCCCAUGAAACCGCAGCCCUCUGCGCAUCGGAAAAUGACCUCGUAGUCAAUCUCCACCAAUCCUUCGCUCCUAGCCUCAACAGGUUCAGAGCACACCUCACCCUCUGAUCAGCAGGGCAUAAACUCGUGGAGAAAUACCCCUCCACGUCUGAUAACCAUCUCAUAGCAACAAUCGGGUCCUGAACUCCAUCGAAUGUGGGAGGCUUCGUAUAAUAGAAGUCCCGAUACUGAAAACCCCGACUAGCUCCUCUCUUUGCCGUUGCUACAGCCGCUGUAACUGCCGCGGCAGCCGUCUCUGCGAGAGCCGCAUAUCGCUCAUCAAACUACUCAACCAUGGCGGUCCUGAUCGACCCAAACCAUUCUGGCAACUCAGCCCGUAACAAUGCAGCAACCUCAUCACGCAGGAUCUCGCGAAUCCUCGCAUCCCGCUCGCUCGUGCUCGUCCGAUCGAUAACCUCCGACGGCACCGAUCCACCCGGAACUCGCUCUCCAGCUCCCGAUCCUGAUCCGGAUCCACUAUCAUCAUGCCUCGAAAUCUCCAUACUGAAGACACCCUACCAAUCUCAGACACUUCCCAAAAUCCUGGGAUCCAACUCUCGCAACCCUACCCUAGAGACCAUGGUUUCCCUGAUACGCGUAUGGGUCCUGUGCUUUCAGUAGUACGGGCCCAUACUACCUUCCACACCUACCCAUAUUUGUAUGAAGUACUACCACAAUACCCUAGGGAACAUGCAUAACAACUAUCAACCCUCACCACUAGAGGAACACUGAGAACAUCCCAUAAGGGACCCUAGGCUACAGGCAUCACAUAUCAGGCAACAUUAUCAUGAAUUCCUGAAGAUCCCUAGCCUAACUCUAGCAUGCUGUUCUAUCAAGCUCAAAUAAACAAAUAUCAUGUAUGGUAUCUUGGGGUUACUUACUGGCUCCGGCUGAUCGUACCUCCGCGUCCUCCUUUUACUUAAUUUGAAAACCAUUUUAAUUUCUCAUUUUAAUUUCUCUUUUUAAAAUCCUCCUCGAUUUGAGACUGGAGUCACACGAAUGUUUCCCCAAUUCACUCAAACCAAGGCUCUGAUACCAACUUGUAACAUCCAAAAUUUCAAAACAAUUAAAACUUUUCAAAAUCACCCAUUUUAUUAACGUUGUUACAAAAAGGUUUUCAAUACAUUAUUAAACAGAGUAAUUUCCCAGGUUCAUAUCAUAAAACACCAACGCGAGGAACGGUACGAUCACGCCUUUGCCUUGCCACAGACUCUUGAGAACCUGAAACAUAAAACCACAACUGUAAGCCCGAAAGCUUAGUGAGAUACCCCCAGAAUACCAACCACAUAUACGCCUUUCCAGGCCCUGACCUUCCGGUCCAUGUGUCUCAGGGGACUUCCGUCCCUGCUGGGUAAACCUUCCGGUCCUACCCACGCCGACCUUCCGGUCCAUCACACAACAUAUUGCCUUCCGGCCCAUAACAUAUCGCCUUCCGGCCCAUAACAUAUUGCCUUCCGGCCCAUAAGCAUAAAAUGCAUAUAUAACAUAACAAAUAAUCAUAUAGCAGUUCAUAGACAACAAUCGAUCAACAGAUCACAUAUCAUAGCAUUACUCUAACAAGAUACCGGUCUAGCCGGUCACUAUCAUAACAUUACCCUAUGAAUCAGUCAACAUACUAAAUGCAUACAUACGCCUUUCCAGGCCAUGACCUUCCGGUCCACAUAGUAAUGCCUUCCGGCCUGUAACAUAUAAUGACAACUACCCGGAUUUCCAUCCGAUAAAAAGGGUCGGCCUUGGUGCCAUAAACCCUAGCGAUAUAGUGAGGAUAACUCACCUCGAAACUGCCGACUGAACAGAUAGCUCAAGCUGCUCCGAUCACUGAUACGAUCUCCACCUCUGGACAGUCACCAAUGCACUGAACUCAAACAAUAAACAACAAUUACCAAAAUACCCCUGGAACCACUGGUCAAUCCUUGGUCAAAGACAAGGUCAAAGUCAACCCCUGACUGACCCUACUCGCCGAGUCAACCCUAUGACUCGCCGAGUCCCCAUACUCAGAACUUCACUUAACCCGCGACCUAACUCGCCGAGUCACCCCAAGACUCGCCGAGUUCAACGACUCUGAGUCCACUCGCCCUUGACUCACCGAUUCCUUAAGAUUCCCUUUCUACACGUCGAGUAUCCCCUUUUUACUCGACGAGUUCCUCCUGGAAGAAUCGCGGGGCCACCCCGACUCAACUCGCCGAGUCUGAAGAACAACUCGACGAGUCCCAGUAAAUCUUCAAGCUACUCGCCGAGUCUGUUCAUCGGACUCGGCGAGUCCAUACCAUGCAGUCGAUCAAACUGCUUCCUGAGAUAAAUAUGGUUCCGAAAUACACAAGCAUGGGACCUUCUGGACCUCUAAAGGUCCUAAUACAGGGUUAUAUUCGUUUGGGUAACAAGGUAAUAAUCCAUCUAAUCACCAAAUGGGUUCCAUAAACCCUAGAUCCAUGCACACAUCAAUAUAACAGAAAUGAUCCGAAUAUUACCUGAAUAACGCACUCUCUGUGUCCCCAAACCUCAGAACUCGAAUCCCUUGCAGUUCCUUUAGCCAAGACUCUUCUUCUCCUUGCACCACAAUUUCUUCAAGUCACCAAUGGCCUUCAAUCUUGCUCUAGACGCCCACAGCCGCUUAGGGUUCUUCUCAAUCGACUAAAAGACUAACAAUGACGACAUAUAGUGCGUUAUAUACGACCCAAACCUGAACGGUUAGGGUUUUCGCUAAACAGCGUAGACUCGCCGAGUCCAUAUCUGGACUCGUCGAGUCCAGUCGCGAACCCGCGACCAAGUCUGCGAUCCUACUCGGCGAGUCUAGGCUCCAACUCGCCGAGUCCCCUCUUAAAACACCCCCAAAAACAUAAUUAUAUAAAUAUUUGAAAUUCCGGGCUGUUACACCAUGAGCUUCACGAAUCAGCAAGUCCCGUAUUGUAUGUUUAGGGACACAAAGAUGAUUGACUUUUGAUACCUUUAUCGGCUUGAUUAAUUGAGUAGGGUUUUGUUUAGGUAAAUUAAGCUAGAAUAACAACCACAAAUGAUAGGUGUAUGGGAAUAAAUGAAUAUAUUAAUAAGUAAUCAUGGCGUACUAAGUUGUAUACCGGUGAAAACUAUCCAAGAAUAAUAUUUCAUUGGAUGCGUAUCAAGUCAAGAACACGUCUCGACUAUGACAAGUAGUGAACUAUAACUAUAACUCAAAGUGAACAAAGGUUCUAUUGAUUAAAAUUAUAUCUAUUUUUCCUUUCAUGCGUACUUGGCUUUAUAUUAAGCCUUUAUUAGAACGUUAGUGGUUACAAGCCACCCAACCAACUACUCAGUGAAACUAAUAAUGAAAAUUAAAAAAACUCAUGAAACCACACAAAAAAACCUCUGACACACUAAUGAAUGUAAAAAAUGUCCAGGAUCCAUUAAGGAGCCACAAGAAGCAUUAAAGUGUAACCCUAAUCCACCAAAGAGUAUCAAAACGGCUAGGAGGAUUUAUGAAGCAAAAGUACCGAUUUUGAGCACUUAUGAAGUCGUUAAAAUGUUGAUUUAGCCUUCAUGCGACCCUAAUUCAUUUCGUAGGUUACCAUGCACAACCCAACCAUUGAGCCCAAACCACCUUCUAGCUUACUAGUAAUCCUUGAUCCAUCACCUUUUGGGCUUGCAUGAUCCAUGCAUGGAUCAUCCCCUCCCCCUUUGAAAAGAUAUGACCUAAAUUCAUUAAGGUCAUCCUCAAAAAGAUACGAUGAAAGGUCUCCCACAUUAAAGGAAGUAUGAACUCCUUGGUCUCAUCCCAAAUCCACCUUAUAAGCAUUAUCAUUGACACGUGACACCACUUUGUAAGCACCUUUAGCUCUUGGCAUCAACUUUUGUUCCCCCUUUUGUUAGGAAACAUCUUUCCUCAUAUGAACCUAAACUGAGUCACCAUCUUGAAAGACACGUGGUUUUCUAUGCAUGUUGGAAUUCUAUUUGUGCACGUCAUUCACGGUUUCAAUCUUCACAUGUACUUGUUGGUGUAGUUUUAUCAUGGAUUUCAACUUUUCAUUAACAUCCUUGUGAACCAAUUCAUCCUUUGGCAAUGGAAUCAAAUCCAAAGCCAUGUAAGGAUUCACAUCAUACACCACUUCAAAAGGAGAGUGACCUGUAGCACAAGUAGGAGAACCAUUACAGGGAUACUCAACAUGUGCAAGUUUGAUAUCUGAUGUUUUUGAGUUUUGCUAACCAACCCCCUUAACAACGUACCCAAUGUUUUAUUAGUCACCUUCGUUUUCCCAUCAGUUUGUGGAUGAUAAGAUGUACUAAAAAGUAACUUAGUACUUACUUUCCUCUACAAAGUGUUCCAAAAGUAACUCAAAAACAUGGAAUCCCAAUCAGAACAAUAGCUUUAGGAAUAAUAUGCAAGCGAACCACCUCUAUAAAGUACAAAUCUAACACAUUAGAUGCAUCAUUGGUUUUAUGACACAUUAUAAAGUGAGAAAGUUUUGAAAACCUAUCCACCACCACUAUAAUGGAAUCCUUCCCCCUUUGAGGUCUAGGAAAAGCCAUAAUGAAUUCCAUUGACACAUCUUCCUAAGGCCGAAUAGGAACCGGCAAAGGAUGUUUAAGCACCAUGCUUGAAAUUUUUUUCGUCAUCCGACAUGUAACACACUUGCCCACUAUGUUGGUUAGAUCCCCAACAUCUUUAGGCCAGAAGAAAUGUUCUUGAAGCACCUCCAAAGUCUUGUUAAUAUAAAAGUAACCCGCCAAACCACCACCAUGAGCUUCACGAAUCAGCAAGUCCCGUAUUGCAUGUUUACGGACACAAAGAUGAUUGACUUUUGAUACCUUUAUCGGCUUGAUUAAUUGAGUAGGGAAUAAAUGAAUAUAUUAAUAAUUAAUCAUGAUGUACUAAGUUGUAUACCGGUAAAAACUAUCCAAGAAUAAUAUUUGAUUGAAUGCAUAUCAAGUCAAGAACACGUCUCGACUAUGACAAGUAGUAAACUAUAACUAUAAUUCAAAGUGAACAAAGGUUCUAUUGAUUAAAAUUAUAUCUAUUUUUUUUCAUGCGUACUUGGCUUAUAUUAAGCAUUUAUUAGAAAGUUAGUGGUUACAAACCACCCAACCAACGACUCAGUGAAACUAAUAAUGAAAAUUAAACAAACUUAUGAAACCACAAAAAAAAAAACCUCUGCCACACUAAUGAAUGUAAAAAACGUCCAUGCUCCAUUAAGGAGCCACAAGAAGCAUUAAUGUGUAACCAUAAUCCACCAAAGAGUAUCAAAAUUGCUAGGAGCAUUUAUGAAGCAAAAAGUACCGGUUUUGAGCACUUAUGAAGCCUUUAAAAUGUUGCUUUAGACUACAUGCGACCCUAAUUCAAUUCAUAGGUUACCAUGCACAACCCAACAAUUGAGCCCAACCCACCAUGAGCCUACUAGUAAUCCUUAAUCCAUCACCUUUGGGGCUUUCAUGAUCCUUGCAUGGAUCAUCCCCUCCCCCUUUGAAAAGAUAUGACCUUAAUUCAUUAAGGCCAUCCUCAACAAGAUACGGUGAAAGGUCUCCCACAUUAAAGGAAGCAUGCACUCCAUGGUCUCCUCCCUAAUCCACCUUAUAAGCAUUAUCAUUGACACAUGACACCACUUUGUAAAGUCCUUCAGCUCUUGGUAUCAAAUUUUGUUAUCCCUUUUGUUAGGAAACGUUCUUUCCUCAUAUGAACCUAAACCAAGUCACCAUCUUGAAAGACACGUGGUUUCCUAUGCAUGUUGGAAUUCUGUUUGUACACGUCAUUCACGGUUUCAAUCUUCACACUUGUUGGUGUAGUUUCAUCAUGGCUUUCAACUUGUCUUUAACAUCCUUGUGAACCAAUUCAUCCUUUGGCAAUGGAAUCAAAUCCAAAGCCAUGUAAGGAUUCACAUCAUACACCACUUCAACUUGUCUUUAACAUCCCUCAAUCUUUUUACUCUCUGGGGUAACCAUUCCCGGACAGAGUAACGCCAGAUCAUCGAAUCUUGAAGUAUAAGAGGCUAUUUCGGAACCCUUCAUCUUAAGGUUCCAGAGUUCGUGUUCUAGCUUCUGAAUUUCGCCCCGAGGGCAAUACUCUGCGAGUAGAAGCUCCUUCAUAGCUUCCCAACCCAUAGCAUUUGCUACAGGUAGUGUUAAGGAUUUGACUCGGCCGUUCCACCAAGUCAGGGCUUUGUUAAGGAAGGUACAGGCGGCGAACUUUACUUUAUCAGACUCCGAACAGGCGCAUAUUUCAAAGAUUGAUUCGAUUUUCUCGAACCAUCGGGUGAGGGAAAUGACACCUCCAGUGCCAUCAAAGGAUGUGGGCUUCGCGUUCAUGAAUUCUUUAUAGGAACCCCCUUUUUGGUGUCCCUGGCUAUCUUCUGGGUUUUGGGGCUGGGGACCACCUCCUGAAUUACCGGGGUUCAUUUGCGACAUGGCUGCUACCAUUGCAGCAGUCAGAACUGUCUGAAGCGAUGCAAGAUUAAAUUGAGGAGGAGGUGGUGGCGGAGGAGGAUUGUUGUUGUUCUUUGAGCCGGGUCUCUUUCUUAGAGGCAUCUUGAUCUAAAAAGAUCAGGAAAGAGAGGAUAAUAAGUCCUCUGAAUUGAAUCAAGAGAUAUGGAACAGGGGAUAUCUCAUCAAGACAUAUAUAGCAUCAUAUUAAGCGAUAAAGCAGGAAAGAGUUAUCGAGACAGAACAUUUUAUUGCUAGAGGAAUGAUCAAGGAACAACGCGUAUACGAGGACUUUCUACAAAGGAUUGACUCGAGAAAUACUCCCAUAGUAUUUCAUGAUUCACUGCAACGACGACUUGUUGUUUGGGGUAUUGGGUAAGUUUUAGGUAUGCUGCGUACCAUAGUCACUCCCAAGCACAUGUUUGGCCGUGUCUCGAAUGAAUAUAGUUGGCCAGGCUAUAUUGACACCAGACACGACUACAUAACUGCCCAGGUUUAACCACAGCGUACAACACCCAUUUACUUAUGUUUUGUUCUACUUGUAGUUACGGAUCUCGACGGCUCGGUAUACUUAUAUACUAUUGAAAAUACUUAUAUUCUAAAGAAUACGUUUAGUUCAGAGCACUUAGACCCCUUAAUGUUUAUAGUUUUAUACCAUGUAAGGUUUGGUAUACUCCGUUCACUAUAAACAAGGGCUCUGAUACCAAUCUGUCACACCCCGAAAACCAAAGGCGGAAACAUUUCCGGGGUUGACUCCACGUUGAGUAUCAAAUCCAAUGCACAUAGUAAUCAAAGUAAACAACCAUUACAUUACAUAUAUUUGAAAGUUUACAUUUGGUUCAAAAGUAAAUUGUACAAGUGUUAUACAUAUAUCAUAUGAACAAAAGUAGAGACGAGUCUUCUGAGCACUCCGUCUUCACCAAAAGAUAUCGUCGGGUACCUGUCUAACGUGGACCUGAGAAUACAAGCGGUUUGAAAAUCAGCAUAAAGCUGGUGAGUUCAUAAGAUGUUUGUUUUCUGAAAAAUGUACCGGUUUCCUUUAGUUUUCCGAAAAGGUUUGUUAUCCAAGAAAAUCCCAUAUUUUCUUAUGUAAAACAGUUUAGUUAUCUUUCAUUACAGUUCAAUUACGCGUUAUAUGUUACCCCAGGAAAAUCCCAUAUUUUCCUAAAUACAAGACCGAUUUAAUAUUACAUAGUAUAGUUUAAUACACAAAACUAUAUAAUGAGAAUCUUGGUAUUACUAUCCCGAAUUAGAUAUAAAAUACUUUAACAUACGUGAACUGUAGAUGGAAAAUAGUUUGAAAACCUUGAGACUUACAUCCCGUACUACAUAUAGACUUAAUACCAUGGGACUAUCAUCCCGGACUAGAUACAAGAUAGUUUGAUAUACUUGAAAAUAUAGACUAAAAACCAUGGGACUACCAUCUUGGACUACAUACAAGAUAGUUUGUUAAAACCAUGGGAUUACUAUCCCGAACUAGAUAUAGAUUCUAAUCCUAGGAAUAACAUCCUGCAAUAGAUAUGAACCCUAUAGACCAAAAACCAUGGGAUUACCAUCCGGUACUAGAUAUGAGAUCUAAAGAUAAAAGAUUGAUUUAAAAUCAAAUCCAAAACUAAAGUCGUGAAUAAACUUAUAUUAAUACGUAUUAUGAGUCGGGUAACCAUGCUGAUACGACAACGAGACCUCCUUGACGCUUGUCAGACGUCGGACGAUAUCCAGAAUUUGUCACCCCAGGCGUGCCCGCCUAACUGUAGCUAGCAGUUAAGGUGUGGGAUUGUCAGUCCCGAAUAGAUCUAUUCACAAAUUCCUCGCUCUCCCUCCAGGAGACUCUGGUUACACUUCCGGGGAGGAUUUACUGAUCAUCCAUAAAGGGUAGUGACGAACUCACAAGCUAGUACUAAACUAUUCACAGGGUUCUCAUACGAUAUCAAACAUAUAUAAAAGAUUAUGAAACAUAAUACAAUGAAUACAGAUACAUACAAUGAAACUAUCUGGCAAUACAUUCAAAUGAUGCGGAGAUAAACUGAAUCAGACAUAGUUUAUCUAAUAACUUUAUACACAUAUCAGUACAUGAUAAAACGAAAACUAAAGAACCUCAAAUUAUUCCCAUAAUAAUUUGAUUAGUUUGGUUAUUUCCUUAACUAAAAUUCAUUUAGUUGUAGUUGAUAAAUCAUCCCUUAUGCUCAGCAUAAUACAUAAGGGGUAAAAGUAUUUAUAAGUUUGCCAGAUAUUAUUUGAAAUACAUCAAAGUUAUGUUUUGAAAACAUUUAUAAUUUGCUUGUAUUCCCCCCUGAAACCAUUGAAAAACAGUGAAAAAGGGUAGGGGUAUGAACUCACCGGAUGAGAAAUGUGACGAUUUCGGAUGCUAAACGUGGGUUCGGGGCUUGCAAACGCACGAGGUUCCUAAGUAUAAUGAAAAGAUACACAUAUGUAUCUAAUUAGGACUUAGAUUAUUUAAUUGUUAGGGACAAACACUUUUAGUCGCGGAAACACCCCAUUACAAGUGUUUGGAGGGACCCGGGUGGCGUUUAAAGUCACAUAAGGCUUGGAUAUGGAGUUUACUCUUCAAGAGUAAACUCAUACAAGAGUUUUCGUCCUAUAACACCCAUUCCCCAUGAGUUUACGGUCGUAAACUCAUGGUGGGGUGGUUUAUUGUGCAAAAUGGCUUGAAACUAUUAAGAGGGAAUUUUCUAAGGUUUGAUUUAAGGCUUGGAAUUGAUUAAAUUCAUCAAAUAACACUACUUAAGGGAGUUUACGGCCUUAGCAUGGAGCUUACGGCCGUAAACUCCUAUACCCCCUUGAAUGAGUGAUUUAAUGUCCCAAAACUAAUCACAUGUGAUUCCAAUAAUUUUUCCUAGCCUUGUAUUGAUUUUUAAGGGACUUUUGGCCUAGAUUUUGGAGUUUACGGCCCAUGAACACCCUCAUGGCCGUGAACUCCUUAGAUGGGGAAAAUAAUAUGUUUUAAGGUCCAAUACUUGUUUGUAAACACUUCUAGAAUUUAUCCUAAGGCUUUAGGUGUGUUAAAGUGGCAUUUUAACACUUUACAUUGAGUUUACUCCCCAUGUCAUGGAGUUUACGGCCCAAGCUAUGCCUUGGCCGUAAACUCUCAUUUGUCCCUCGAAUUUUAUGUUUAAAGUGUUCCAAGGCUAAAACCAAAAUUCUAGAAGUCAUAUCUAUGUCUUGUUGGGAUCUAAGAAGGGUUUUAGGGCUUAAAAACCCCCUAACUAUGUGUUUACGGCCUAAGCUCCUUCCUGGGCCGUAAACACAUAUACAAGGCCUUAAUUCAUGUUUUAAUCCCGAAUUUGAAGGUCAAAUAUGCUAUACAAUGAGUUUAGGAAGGUACCUUAGAGAUUUGAAGCCUUAAAAUUGAGUUUUGGACCCUUGAACUUAGAUUUAGGAGAGAGGUUAGAGAGAGAGUAGAGAGAGGAAGCAAAAGCUUCAAAUGAAAGGUUUAACACGUUUAUAUAGGUCGCAAAACUUGGACANGGACACGGAGGAAUUCUACCCGAUACCGACACUAAACGGGGCUUUUGGUCGCACCCGAUUAAGUUUCCGUAACUCGGCAGGAACGUUUCUAAAAUUUUUGAAGUAACUAUUUUGGGCUAAUUUCAUAAGUUCCUAAGGGGUUUGGACACUCAAUAGCAUCAAAUAAACAUAUAUGUUUAAUUAAUUUAACCCAAAAACGAAAUUGGAACGAAUUGAUAUUCGGCGAGUUUUACGGGUAGAACGGGGUUUUCGGCUAUGAACAACUUCGGGUUGUUACAUUGGGAAGCCAUUAAAAUGUUGCUUUAGCAUUCAUGCGACCCUAAUUAAAUUUGUAGGAUACCAUGCACAACCCAACCAUUGAGCCCAAACCACCUUCUAGCUUACUAGUAAUCCUUAAUCCAUCACCUUUUGGGCUUUCAUGAUCCAUGCAUGGAUCAUCCCCUCCCGCUUUGAAAAGAUAUGACCUCAAUUCAUUAAGGCCAUCCUCAACAAGAUACAGUGAAAGGUCUCCCACAUUAAAGGAAGCAUGCACUCCAUGGUCUCCUCCCAAAUCCACCUUAUAAGCAUUAUCAUUGACACAUGACACCACUUUGUAAGGACCUUCUGCACUUGGCAUCAAAUUUUGUUCUCCCUUUUUUUAGGAAACGUUCUUUCCUCAUAUGAACUUAAACUAAGUCACCAUCUUGAAAGACACGUGGUUUCCUAUGCAUGUUGGAAUUUUGUUUGUACACGUCAUUCACGGUUUCAAUCUUCACACGAACUUGUUGGUGUAGUUUUAUCAUGGCUUUCGACUUGUCAUUAACACACUUGUGAACCAAUUCAUCCUUUGGCAAUGGAAUCAAAUCCAAAGCCAUGUAAGGAUUCACACCAUACACCACUUCAAAAGGAGAGUGACCUAUAACACAAGUAGGAGAACCAUUACAUGGAUACUCAGCAUGUGCAAGUUUGAUAUCUAAUGUUUUUGAGUUUUGCUAACCAACCCCCUCAACAACGUACCCAAAGUUCUAUUAGUCACCUUCAUUUUCCCAUCAGUUUGUGGAUGAUAGGAUGUACUAAAAAGUAACUUAGUACCUACUUUCCUCCACAAAGUGUUCCAAAAGUAACUCAAAAACAUGGAAUCCCUAUCAGAACAAUAGUUUUAGGAAUAAUAUGCAAGCGAACCACCUCUGUAAUGUACAAAUCAAACACAUUAGAUGCAUCAUUGGUUUUAUGACACGACAUAGAGUGAGAAAGUUUUGAAAACCUAUCCACCACCACUAUAAUGGAAUCCUUCCCCCUUUGAGUUCUUGGCAAAGCCAUAAUGAAUUCCAUUGACACAUCUUCCCAAGGCCAAAUAGGAACCGACAAAGGAUGUUUAAACACCAUGCUUGAAAGUUUUUUUCAUCAUCCGACAUGUAAGACACUUGCCCACUAUGUUGGUUACAUCCCCAACAUCUUUAGGCCAGAAGAAAUGUUCUUGAAGCACCUCCAAAGUCUUGUUAAUGGAAAAAUGACCCGCCAAACCACCANCCAAACCAACUACUCAGUGAAACUAUGUAACAACCCGAAGUUUGUAUCAUCAAUUGUAAUCCUUUUCGUAACCCUUUUCGUUAAUCUAUUUGUCAUUUCCAAAUUCGUUUCCGAUUUCGUUUUUAAAUUAAGUCAUUUAAUUGAGAUUGCUAUUAUGACUUAAUGGGUGUCCCGACACAUUUAGAACUCAUUUUAACACCCCAUAUUAGUAAUCGGGAUAUUUUUAGAAUCGACCAUAUCGGGUUACGACAACUUGAUCGGGGGCGACCAAAAGCCCCGUAUAAUGUCGGUAUCGGGUAGAAUUCCACCGUGUCCAAAUCCUAGACACUAUUUAAAGGAGAUUAAGGUUCCAUUUGAAGCUUUUGCUCUCUCUCUCACUACUCUCUCUCUAACCUCUCCCCUCAACCAAGAUUCAAGGUGUAAAAACAUAGAAUUAUGGCUCCAAAUCUUUGAGGUAACUUCCUUAACUUGAGGUUCAACCUCUUAGGCCUUCAAAUUCGUGUUUAAACUUUGAUUUUGGACCUCAAACAUGAGUUUACGGCCAAGGAACAUGCUUGGGCCGUAAACACAUAAUAAGAGGGUUUUUAUGCCUUUAAACCCCUCCAAACUAACUUUGGGACUUAGAUACGACUAUAUGGCUUACAAAUUCGGACUUAGAACACCCUAAACAUGAAUUUUGAGGAGCAAACUUGAGUUUACUGGCCAAGAACAUGCUUGGGCCGUAAAAUCCUCAUUGAUGGAGAGUAAACUCAUUUUCAAGUGUUAAAAAGCCAUGUAAACACACCAUUAGCCUUGGAAUAAAUCCAAGAACCAACCAAAAUUAGUUUGGGGACCUUAAACAUGAUAAACACCCUCCAAUUGAGUGUUUACGGCCAUGACUCCCCAAGAACAAGUUCCAUGGCCGUAAACUCCUUUACAUAUGUCAAAUGGUGCCCAAAAUUCAUCCCAAGGCUUGGAGAAAUAGUUUGAAUCACAUGUGAUUGUCCUAGCUACAUCAAAUAAAUCAAGGAUUGAGCAUGGGGGAUUUUACGGCCGUAAACUCCAAUAAAUGGUACUUAAGUGAGUUCAAUCCAUCCCAAGGCCCUAGAUUUAAUCCUAGCUAAUUUUCCCAAGUGUUAUCAAGCCAUUUAGCACCAUAAAACCCCCAACCAUGAGUUCACGGCCAUGAACUCAUGUGUGUGUGGUGUAUAGGGCCGUAAACUCCAUAAGGAGGUUACUGUUGAAGAGUAAACUCAUUUCCUAACUCCCACACGUCCGUAGAUGUCACCCGGGUCACUCCAAACACUUCUUUUGAAGUGUUUUCGCUCAUUGGAGUGUAUUAUCCUAUCUAAUUAGUGUUUUAAAAUCUAAUUAGAUACAUUUGUAUACCAUUUCAUAUUACAUAGGAACCUCGCGUGUUAACAAGCCCCGAACCAACGCUUAGCAUUCCAAUCGUCGCGUUUUCUCGUCUGGUGAGUUCAUACCCCUACCCUUUUUCACUGUUUUUCACUAUUUUCAGGGGGGAAUACAAGCAAAGUACAAGGGAUACUUGUACUCAAAACUUGUUUUUCAUGUGUGUGUUUCAUAGCUCAUAUGCUUUUAACACUAAUUGUUAUAACAGAUAACCGUUCGAACAUGCAGAACACGUAAACAUAUUAUUUGUGAAAUGGGUUAUAAACUGUUAUGUGUUAUAAUUUCGCAAAUGUUUUUCCACAUUAUAUCAGUUAAAAGCAUGACAUCUGAACUUUGAAUAUAAAAUUUAGUACACUGUUUUUUGUCCUCGGUAACACUUCACAAAGAUACGCAAGUGGAGGAUUAUUGUAUUAUUACUAGUAAAUUUGUUAAUCCUAUAUAAUUGGAGACACGUCCUCAGUGAACACUCCACAGAGAUACGCGAGUGGAGGACCGCAUCUGUAACCAGAAUCUCUUAGAUAGGGAGCGUGACUUGAGUGUAUAGAUCUAUACGGGGCUGACUACCCCACACCUGGCUGCUAGCUACAGUCGAACCGGAAUGGUUCAAGGGUGAUGAAAGUCAUAAGGUGAUGUGGACUACUUAUUGCCAUAUCUAGUCUAUUGUAUGGUUAUGGAACUCGCAAUUAGGGUAACAGAGAUUUACUUAAUAGUAAUAAUGAAUAAAGUAUAUUUACUAUGUAUAUAUUAGUUUUAUGUAUGUGUUAAAACUAAUACAUUUCACAAGGAUAACCAAGUUUUUAGUAUAUAUCUUUCACAUUUGGUAACCAACAUUCAGGAAAAUAUAGGAUUUUCCUGGGGAAAACAUUUGUACAUAACCAGAACAGUGUAACAAACCAAAUAACCUAACUUUACAUUUCACAAGGAUAAACAUGUGUUCAGUGUACAUCUUUACAUUACAUUUGGGAUUUAAUAACCAACUUUUAAGAAAAUAUGGGAUUUUCUUGGUGUGUAACAUUUUCAGAAACAGAAAGGAACCAGUACAUUUUCACAAAACAAAACCGCUUAUGAACUCACUAGCGUUAUGUUGAUUUUCAAACUGCUUGUUUUCUCAGGUUCACAUUAGACAGGUACCCGAUGAUUCCUUUUGGCAAAGACGGAGUGCGUUGAAGACUCGUCUCAUUUUGUUCAUAUAUACUAUGUAUCACAACUGUAUAACUUUACUUUUGAAACAAAUGUAAACUUUUCUAUAUGUAAUGUAAUGGUUGUUUACUUUACUUACUAUGUGCAUUGGAUUUGAUACUCAACGUGGAGUCAACCCCGGAAAUGUUUCCGCCUUCGAUUUUCGGGGUGUGACAAACUAAUAAUGAAAAUUAAAAAAACUCAUGAAACCNACGCAUUAAAGUAACCCUAAUCCACCAAAGAGUAUCAAAAUGGCUAGGAACAUUUAUGAAGCAAAAAGUACCGGUUUUGAGCACUUAUGAGAAGNNNNNNNNNNNNNNNNNNNNNNNNNNNNNNNNNNNNNNNNNNNNNNNNNNNNNNNNNNNNNNNNNNNNNNNNNNNNNNNNNNNNNNNNNNNNNNNNNNNNNNNNNNNNNNNNNNNNUGUUGGAUUAGUGUCUAAGUCCAUAACUAUAAUUGGUAUGUACUUGACCCGACUCGGCAUGGUCCAUUUGGGUUGCAUGGCAUCGGAACAUUUGGAUAGACCGUUUGUGAGAAGAGGACAUUUGUGACAUAUUAAUAUAUUAUAAGUUCUAAUAUAUUAAUAUGAAAUCAUGUUAUUUAAUUAGUAUGAAUCAACAAUUAAUUUGGACUUAAUUUAGUGAUCAAAAGAGACUAAUUAAAUAUAUGGGGAUUGAUUGUGAAAAAUAGUUAAUUCUUAUAUAUGUGGGCUUAUGAUCCAAGAUUCCUUAUGUUGGGUUUAACCCAUGUGGUGACCCAUGGAUACUCCAUGGAGGUUAAAACCCAUGGAGCAUAAGGAAUGGGUAAAGUCAUGAGUUACAUGGUGUAACACUAAUAGCCACACUAUAUAAAGACCCCUUUAGCUCAAGAAAUUGGCACUAGUGAUACUUAUAUAAGGGCUAGCCAAUUUGAGCAUGAAGUGUCUUCUUUUCAUGUUUAUUCCAAGUGUUGAUGAUGUUGUGUGAACCAUUUGAGGUGUCACACUUGGGGCACUAGGCUCUCGAGCUUCAUGGAGUUAAGCUACAUCAACAAGGUAUGUAUUUCUAUCUACUUUAUUAUUCAAGUAUCAAAAGAUUGUAUGCUAGUUAGGGUAAUACCUUGGAAUAUUCAUAUUUGCAUGUAUAAUAGAGAAAACAUAGAUCCAAGGUAUUUAGGGUUGCAUGUACACUUAGGAGUGUUAGAAUGCUCAAAACCCAACAAUCCCCUCCUCCUUUGAAAAGAUAUGACCUUAAUUCAUUAAGGCCAUCCUCAACAAGAUACGGUGAAAGGUCUCCCACAUUAAAGGAAGCAUGCACUCCAUGGUCUCCUCCCUAAUCCACCUUAGAAGCAUUAUCAUUGACACGUGACACCACUUUGUAAGGACCUUCAGCUCUUGGCAUCAACUUUUGUUCUCCCUUUUGUUAGGAAACGUUCUUUCCUCAUAUGAACCUAAACCAAGUCACCAUCUUGAAAGACACGUGGUUUCCAAUGCAUGUUGGAAUUUUGUUUGUACACGUCAUUCACGGUUUCAAUCUUCACACGAACUUGUUGGUGUAGUUUUAUCAUGGCUUUCAACUUGUCAUUAACACACUUGUGAACCAAUUCAUCCUUUGGCAAUGGAAUCAAAUCCAAAGGCAUGUAAGGAUUCACACCAUACACCACUUCAAAAUGAGAGUGACCUAUAGCACAAGUUGGAGAACCAUUACAGGGAUACUCAGCAUGUGCAAGUUUGAUAUCUAAUGUUUUUGAGUUUUGCUAACCAACCCCCUCAACAACGUACCCAAAGUUCUAUUAGUCACAUUCGUUUGCCCAUCAGUUUGUGGAUGAUAGGAUGUACUAAAAAGUAAGUUAGUACCUAAUUUCCUCCACAUAGUGUUCCAAAAGUAACUCAAAAACGUGGAAUCCCUAUCAGAACAAUAGUCUUAGGAAUAAUAUGCAAGCGAACCACCUCUGUAAAGUACAAAUCAAACACAUUAGAUGCAUCAUUGGUUUUAUGACACGACAUAGAGUGAGAAAGUUUUAAAAACCUAUCCACUACCACUAUAAAGGAAUCCUUCCCCCUUUGAGUUCUAGGCAGAGCCAUAAUGAAUUCCAUUGACACAUCUUCCUAAGGUCGAAUAGGAACCGACAAAGGAUGUUUAAACACCAUGCUUGAAAGUUUUUUUCGUCAUACGACAUGUAACACACUUGUCCACUAUGUUGGUUACAUUCCCAACGUCUCUAGGCCAGAAGAAGUGUUCUUGAAGCACCUCCAAAGUCUUGUUAAUGGAAAAAUGACACGCCAAACCACCACCAUGAGCUUCACGAAUUAGCAAGUCCUGUAUUGCCUGUUUACGCACACAAAGGUGAUUGCCUUUUGAUGCCUUUAUGGGCUUGAUUAAGUGAGUAGGGUUGUGUUUAGGUAAAUUAAGCUAGAAUAAAAACCACAAAUGAUAGGUGUAUGGGAAUAAAUGAGCAGAUUAAUAAGUAAUCAUGACGUACUAAGUUGUAUACCGGUGAAAACUAUCCUUGAAUAAUAUUUGAUGGAAUGCGUAUCAAGUCAAGACCACGUAUUAACUAUGACAAGUAGUGAACUAUAACUAUAAUUCAAAGUGAACAAAGGUAUGACCUCAAUUCAUUAAGGCCAUCCUCAACAAGAUACAGUGAAAGGUCUCCCACAUUAAAGGAAGCAUGCACUCCAUGGUCUCCUCCCAAAUCCACCUUCUAAGCAUUAUCAUUGACACAUGACACCACUUUAUAAGGACCUUCUGCACUUGGCAUCAACUUUUGUUCUCCCUUUUUUUAGGAAACGUUCUUUCCUCAUAUGAACAUAAACUAAGUCACCAUCUUGAAAGACACGUGGUUUCCUAUGCAUGGUGGAAUUUUGUUUGUACACGUCAUUCACGGUUUCAAUCUUCACACGAACUUGUUGGUGUAGUUUUAUCAUGGCUUUCGACUUGUCAUUAACACACUUGUGAACCAAUUCAUCCUUUGGCAAUGGUAUCAAAUCCAAAGCCAUGUAAGGACUCACACCAUACACCACUUCAAAAGGAGAGUGACCUAUAGCACAAGUAGGAGAACCAUUACAUGGAUACUCAGCAUGUGCAAGUUUGAUAUCUAAUGUUUUUGAGUUUUGCUAACCAACCCCCUCAACAACGUACCCAAAGUUCUAUUAGUCACCUUCAUUUUCCCAUCAGUUUGUGGAUGAUAGGAUGUACUAAAAAGUAACUUAGUACCUACUUUCCUCCACAAAGUGUUCCAAAAGUAACUCAAAAACAUGGAAUCCCUAUCAGAACAAUAGUUUUAGGAAUAAUAUGCAAGCGAACCACCUCUGUAAUGUACAAAUCAAACACAUUAGAUGCAUCAUUGGUUUUAUGACACGACAUAGAGUGAGAAAGUUUUGAAAACCUAUCCACCACCACUAUAAUGGAAUCCUUCCCCCUUUGAGUUCUUGGCAAAGCCAUAAUGAAUUCCAUUGACACAUCUUCCCAAGGCCAAAUAGGAACCGGCAAAGGAUGUUUAAACACCAUGCUUGAAAGUUUUUUUCAUCAUCCGACAUGUAAGACACUUGCCCACUAUGUUGGUUACAUCCCCAACAUCUUUAGGCCAGAAGAAAUGUUCUUGAAGCACCUCCAAAGUCUUGUUAAUGGAAAAAUGACCCGCCAAACCACCACCAUGAGCUUCACGAAUCAGCAAGUCCCGUAUUGCAUGUUUAGGGACACAAAGGUGAUUGCCUUUCUUUAUGGGCUUGAUUAAGUGAGUAGGGUUUUGUUUAGGUAAAUUNGCGACCAAAAGCCCCGUAUAACGUCGGUAUCGAGUAGAAUUCCACCGUGUCCAAAUCCUAGACACUAUUUAAAGGAGAUUAAGGUUCCAUUUGAAGCUUUUGCUCUCUCUCUCACUACUCUCUCUCUAACCUCUCUCCUCAACCAAGAUUCAAGGUCCAAAAACAUAGAAUUAAGGCUCCAAAUCUUUGAGGUAACUUCCUUAACUUGAGGUUCAACCUCUUAGGCCUUCAAAUUCGUGUUUAAACUUUGAUUUUGGACCUCAAACAUGUUUUUAAGGCCAAGGAGCAUGCUUGGGCCGUAAACACAUAAUAAGAGGGUUUUUAUGCCUUUAAACCCCUCCAAACUAACUUUGGGACUUAGAUACGACUAUAUGGCUUACAAAUUCGGACUUAGAACACCCUAAACAUGAAUUUUGAGGAGCAAACUUGAGUUUACUGCCCAAGAACAUGCUUGGGCCGUAAAAUCCUCAUUCAUGGAGAGUAAACUCAUUUUCAAGUGUUAAAAAGCCAUGUAAACACACCAUUAGCCUUGGAAUAAAUCCUAGAACCAACCAAUAUUAGUUUGAGGACCUUAAACACGAUAAACACCCUCCAAUUGAGUGUUUACGGCCAUGACUCCCCAAGAACAAGUUCCAUGGCCAUAAACUCCUUUACAUAUGUCAAAUGGUGCCCAAAUUUCAUCCCAAGGCUUGGAGAAAUAGUUUAAAUCACAUGUGAUUGUCCUAGCAUCAUCAAAUAAAUCAAGGAUUAAGAAUGGGGGAUUUUACGGCCGUAAACUCCAUGUUUACUGCCGUAAACUCCAAUAAAUGGUACUUAAGUGAGUUCAAUCCAUCCCAAGGCCCUAGAUUUAAUCCUAGCUAAUUUUCCCAAGUGUUAUCAAGCCAUUUAGCACCAUAAACCCCCCAACCAUGAGUUCACGGCCGUGAACUCAUAUGGGUGGUGUAUAGGGCCGUAAACUCCAUAAGGAGUUUACUGUUGAAGAGUAAACUCAUUUCCUAACUCCCACACGUCCGUAGAUGUCACCCGGGUCACUCCAAACACUUCUUUUGAAGUGUUUUCGCUCAUUGGAGUGUAUUAUCCUAUCUAAUUAGUGUUUUAAAAUCUAAUUAGAUACAUUUGUAUACCAUUUCAUAUUACAUAGGAACCUCGCGUGUUAACAAGCCCCGAACCAACGCUUAGCAUUCCAAUCGUCGCGUUUUCUCGUAUGGUGAGUUCAUACCCCUACCCUUUUUCACUGUUUUUCACUAUUUUCAGGGGGGAAUACAAGCAAAGUACAAGGGAUACUUGUACUCAAAACUUGUUUUUCAUGUGUGUGUUUCAUAGCUCAUAUGCUUUUAACACUAAUUGUUAUAACAGAUAACCGUUCGAACAUGCAGAACACGUAAACAUAUUAUUUGUGAAAUGGGUUAUAAACUGUUAUGUUUUAUAAUUUCGCAAAUGUUUUUCCACAUUAUAUCUAAAAGCAUGACAUCUGAACUUUGAAUAUAUAAAAUUUAGUACACUGUUUUUUGUCCUCGGUAACACUUCACAGAGAUACGCAAGUGGAGGAUUAUUGUAUUAUUACUAGUAAAUUUGUUAAUCCUAUAUAAUUGGAGACACGUCCUCGGUGAACACUCCACAAAGAUACGCGAGUGGAGGACCGCAUCUGUAACCAAAAUCUCUUAGAUAGGGAGCGUGACUUGAGCGUAUAGAUCUAUACGGGGCUGACUACCCCACACCUGGCUGCUAGCUACAGCCGAACCAGAAUGGUUCAAGGGUGAUGAAAGUCAUAAGGUGAUGUGGACUACUUAUUGCCAUAUCUAGUCUAUUGUAUGGUUAUGGAACUCGCAAUUAGGAUAACAGAGAUUUACUUAAUAGUAAUAAUGAAUAAAGUAUAUUUACUUUGUAUAUAUUAGUUUUAUAUAUGUGUUAAAACUAAUACAUUUCACAAGGAUAACCAUGUUUUUAGUAUAUAUCUUUCACAUUUGGUAACCAACAUUUUGGAAAAUAUGGGAUUUUCCUGGGGAAAAUAUUUUGUACAUAACCAGAACAGUGUAACAAACCAAAUAACCUAACUUUACAUUUCACAAGGGUAAACAUGUGUUCAGUGUACAUCUUUACAUUACAUUUUGGGAUUUAAUAACCAGCUUUUAAGAAAAUAUGGGAUUUUCUUGGUGUGUAACAUUUUCAGAAACAGAAAGGAACCAGUACAUUUUCACAAAACAAAACCGCUUAUGAACUCACCAGCGUUAUGCUGAUUUUCAAACUGCUUGUAUUCUCAGGUCCACAUUAGACAGGUACCCGAUGAUUCCUUUUGGCGAAGACGGAGUGCGUUGAACACUCGUCUCAUUUUGUUCAUAUAUACUAUGUAUCACAACUUUAUAAAUUUACUUUUGAAACAAAUGUAAACUUUUCUAUAUGUAAUGUAAUGGUUGUUUACUUUACUUACUAUGUGCAUUGGAUUUGAUACUCAACGUGGAGUCAACCCCGGAAAUGUUUCCGCCUUCGGUUUUCGGGGUGUGACAAACUAAUAAUGAAAAUUAAAAAAACUCAUGAAACCACAAAAAAAAUGAAUGUAAAAAACGUCCACGCUCCAUUAAGGAGCCACAAGACGCAUUAAAGAGUAACCCUAAUCCACCAAAGAGUAUCAAAAUGGCUAGGAACAUUUAUGAAGCAAAAAGUACCGGUUUUGAGCACUUAUGAAGCCUUUCAAAUGUUGCCUUAGCCUUCAUGCGACCCUAAUUCAAUUCAUAGGUUAACAUGCACAACCCAACCAUUGAGCCUAAACCACCUUCUAGCCUACUAGUAAUCCUUAAUACAUCAUCUUUUGGGCUUUCAUGAUCCAUGCAUGGAUCAUCCCUGUUGGAUUAGUGUCUAAGUCCAUAACUAUAAUUGGUAUGUACUUGACCCGACUCGGCAUGGUCCAUUUGGGUUGCAUGGUAUCGGAACAUUUGGAUAGACCGUUUGUGAGAAGAGGACAUUUGUGACAUAUUAAUAUAUUAUAAGUUCUAAUAUAUUAAUAUGAAAUCAUGUUAUUUAAUUAGUAUUAAUCAACAAUUAAUUUGGACUUAAUUUAGUGAAAAAUCGUUAAUUCUUAUAUAUGUGGGCUUAUGAUCCAAGAUUCCUUAUGUUGGGUUUAACCCAUGUGGUGACCCAUGGAUACUCCAUGGAGGUUAAAACCCAUGGAGCAUAAGGAAUGGGUAAAGUCAUGAGUUACAUGGUGUAACCCUAAUAGCCACACUAUAUAAAGACCCCUUUAGCUCAAGAAAUUGGCACUAGUGAUACUUAUAUGAGGGCUAGCCAAUUUGAGCAUGAAGUGUCUUCUUUUCAUGGUUAUUCCAAGUGUUGAUGAUGUUGUGUGAACCAUUUGAGGUGUCACACUUGGGGCACUAGGCUCUCGAGNGAGCGUGAGAUGCGGGAGUAGCAUCCAGAGCUUUUUUCAGAGUGAGACUUCGAGGGCGAAGUCUAGUCCUAGUGGGGGAGAGUUGUAACAGCCCGGAAUUCCAGGUAUUGUUAUAUUUAUGAUUUUGGGUGUUUUAAGAGGGGACUCGGCGAGUUUCCAGCCCAGACUCGCCGAGUAGGGUCGCGGAUCUGGUCGCGGGUUCGCGACUGGACUCGACGAGUCUGGAUAUGGACUCGGCAAGUCUACGCUGUUUAGCGAAAACCCUAACCGUUCAGGAUUGGGACAUAUAUAAGGGGCCUUAUGGUCGUUAUUGUUCACCCUAGUCCUGUGAGUGAAACGCUAAUACGAUUGAGAGCAUCUGGAGCAAGAUAGAAGGCCAUUAUUGACCUUGGAAGUGUUGUUUUGCAAAAAGGAGGAGGCUUGGUUAAGGGAACAACAGGAGAAGCCAUAUUCUGAGAGUUGGGGACACAGAGCAACGUUAUUCAGGUAAUAUUUUGAGUUGAUCCCUUCUAUGUUGAUGUGUAUAUGGAUUUAGGGUUUAUUGAACCCUUUUGUGGCUAGAUUGAGUGUCUCCUUAGUCCCCCAAGCGAUUGGAACCUUUUAUUGGGACCUUUGGAAGUCCAGAGUGUCCCAUGCCUGAGCAUUUCGGGAAUCAAUGGAGGUUUUGGAUUGGAAUCCUUAUGCCUUAGGUCAAAACGUGAAUUAUGAGUCAUGGGGUGUAUUAUGAGCACCGAAAUAAGGACUUUACGUGAUGAACCAGUCUAGGAAGGCCAGACCUAUGAAUUGCCGGAGCAGAUCUGACCUUAGAAAGCAGUUUGAGCGGUUGCAUGGCAUGGACUCGCCGAGUCCGAUGAACAGACUCGGCGAGUAGCUUGAAGAUUGCCUUAGAAUGGUCCUGUCCGGGUUAUGGGUUGGAUCGGUGAGUCAGGGCGAGUUAGAGAGGGUUAACAGGUGGUCUGAGUCGAACUGGGACUCGCCGAGUUGUUCUUCAGACUCGGCGAGUUGAGUCGGGGUGGCCCCGCGAUUCUUCCAGGAGGAACUCGUCGAGUCAAGGAGGAUACUCGACGAGUAGAAAGGGAAUCUUGUAGAAUUGGUGAGGACGUCUAGACUCGCCGAGUCGUUCUAGCACUCGCCAAGUCCGGUCAAGUUGACCGUUGACCGUUGACCAGGGUUGACCUAUGUUUGACUCCUUAGGGAUAUUCAAACUUAGAAGAUAAAAGUAUUAAUAAGAGAUGUAUGAUGUUAUAGGGAGAUUGUAGCUCGGCGGAUCGAGUACGAGUGACUUCGGGAUUUACUAGCUUUUGACAUUCACGAGGUGAGUCUUCUCACUAUACUGUACCCGGAAGGGUUUGACUGUGUGACCGGAAGGUCGGAUAUGAUAUGUGAUAUAUGUGCUAUAUGUGAUAAGUUAAUUGUUAUACGUGCUAUGUAUGUUAUGUGGGCCGGAAGGCAUUAUGUUAUGGGCCGGAAGGCGUGUAUUGUGGACCGUAAGGUUGGCGUGGGUAGGACCGGAAGGUUUACCCAGCAGGGACGGAAGUCCCCUGAGACACAUGGACCGGAAGGUCAGGGCCUGGAAAGGCGUAUGUGCGUAAGUUGUAUUUUGGGGAACUCACUAAGCAUUUAUGCUUACAGUUGUUGUGUAUGUGUUUCAGGUACUAGCGAGAACCGUGGGAAGGCGCCGGCGUGAUCUGUACACACUGAAAGAUGUUUUGUGAUCUUGGGAUGCUUAUGAUUUGUAUUUUGAUAUGACACUUGGAAUAUUUAUGCCCUGUUUUGAAUGAAAAUACUUUAUUUUGAAAUGAAAAUUUUGUUUUAAAAUUUACGUUGUUACAAUAUUCAUAUUUGCAUGUAUAAUAGAGAAAACAUAGAUCAAAGGUAUUUAGGGUUGCAUGUACACUUAGGAGUGUUAGAAUGCUCAAAACCCAACAAUCCCCUCCCCCUUUGAAAAGAUAUGACCUCAAUUCAUUAAGGCCAUCCUCAACAAGAUACGGUGAAAGGUCUCCCACAUUAAAGGAAGCGUGCACUCCAUGGUCUCCUCCCUAAUCCACCUUAUAAGCAUUAUCAUUGACACGUGACACCACUUUGUAAGGACCUUCAGCUCUUGACAUCAACUUUUGUUCUCCCUUUUGUUAGGAAACGUUCUUUCCUCAUAUGAACCUAUACCAAGUCACCAUCUUGAAAGACACGUGGUUUCAUAUGCAUGUUGGAAUUUUGUUUGUACACGUCAUUCACGGUUUCAAUCUUCACACGAACUUGUUGGUGUAGUUUUAUCAUGGCUUUCAACUUGUCAUUAACACACUUGUGAACCAAUUCAUCCUUUGGCAAUGGAAUCAAAUCCAAAGGCAUGUAAGGAUUCANUUCACACCAUACUUCAAAAGGAGAGUGACCUAUAGCACAAGUAGGAGAACCAUUACAGGGAUACUCAGCAUGUGCAUGUUUGAUAUCUAAUGUUUUUGAGUUUUGCUAACCAACGCCCUCAACAACGUACCCAAAGUUCUAUUAGUCACAUUCGUUUGCCCAUCAGUUUGUGGAUGAUAGGAUGUACUAAAAAGUAACUUAGUACCUAAUUUCCUCCAAAUCGUGUUCCAAAAGUAACUCAAAAACGUGGAAUCCCUAUCAGAACAAUAGUCUUAGGAAUAAUAUGCAAGCGAACCACCUCUGUAAAGUACAAAUCAAACACAUUAGAUGCAUCAUUGGUUUUAUGACACGACAUAGAGUGAGAAAGUUUUAAAAACCUAUCCACUACCACUAUAAAGGAAUCCUUCCCCCUUUGAGUUCUAGGCAGAGCCAUAAUGAAUUCCAUUGACACAUCUUCCCAAGGUCGAAUAGGAACCGACAAAGGAUGUUUAAACACCAUGCUUGAAAGUUUUUUUCGUCAUACGGCAUGUAACACACUUGUCCACUAUGUUGGUUACAUUCCCAACGUCUCUAGGCCAGAAGAAAUGUUCUUGAAGCACCUCCAAAGUCUUGUUAAUGGAAAAAUGACCCGCCAAACCACCACCAUGAGCUUCACGAAUUAGCAAGUCCCGUAUUGCCUGUUUACGCACACAAAGAUGAUUGCCUUUUGAUGCCUUUAUGGGCUUGAUUAAGUGAGUAGGGUUGUGUUUAGGUAAAUUAAGCUAGAAUAAAAACCACAAAUGAUAGGUGUAUGGGAAUAAAUGAGCAGAUUAAUAAGUAAUCAUGACGUACUAAGUUGUAUACCGGUGAAAACUAUCCUUGAAUAAUAUUUGAUGGAAUGCGUAUCAAGUCAAGACCACGUAUCAACUAUGACAAGUAGUGAACUAUAACUAUAAUUCAAAGUGAACAAAGGUAUGACCUCAAUUCAUUAAGGCCAUCCUCAACAAGAUACAGUGAAAGGUCUCCCACAUUAAAGGAAGCAUGCACUCCAUGGUCUCCUCCCAAAUCCACCUUAUAAGCAUUAUCAUUGACACAUGACACCACUUUGUAAGGACCUUCUGCACUUGGCAUCAACUUUUGUUCUCCCUUUUUUUAGGAAACGUUCUUUCCUCAUAUGAACUUAAACUAAGUCACCAUCUUGAAAGACACGUGGUUUCCUAUGCAUGUUGGAAUUUUGUUUGUACACGUCAUUCACGGUUUCAAUCUUCACACGAACUUGUUGGUGUAGUUUUAUCAUGGCUUUCGACUUGUCAUUAACACACUUGUGAACCAAUUCAUCCUUUGGCAAUGGAAUCAAAUCCAAAGCCAUGUAAGGAUUCACAACAUACACCACUUCAAAAGGAGAGUGACCUAUAGCACAAUUAGGAGAACCAUUACAGGGAUACUCAGCAUGUGCAAGUUUGAUAUCUAAUGUUUUUGAGUUUUGCUAACCAACCCCCUCAACAACGUACCCAAAGUUCUAUUAGUCACCUUCGUUUUCCCAUCAGUUUGUGGAUGAUAGGAUGUACUAAAAAGUAACUUAGUACCUACUUUCCUCCACAAAGUGUUCCAAAAGUAACUCAAAAACAUGGAAUCCCUAUCAGAACAAUAGUUUUAGGAAUAAUAUGCAAGCGAACCACCUCUGUAAUGUACAAAUCAAACACAUUAGAUGCAUCAUUGGUUUUAUGACACGACAUAGAGUGAGAAAGUUUUGAAAACCUAUCCACCACCACUAUAAUGGAAUCCUUCCCCCUUUGAGUUCUUGGCAAAGCCAUAAUGAAUUCCAUUGACACAUCUUCCCAAGGCCAAAUAGGAACCGGCAAAGGAUGUUUAAACACCAUGCUUGAAAGUUUUUUUCAUCAUCCGACAUGUAAGACACUUGCCCACUAUGUUGGUUACAUCCCCAACAUCUUUAGGCCAGAAGAAAUGUUCUUGAAGCACCUCCAAAGUCUUGUUAAUGGAAAAAUGACCCGCCAAACCACCAGCAUGAGCUUCACGAAUCAGCAAGUCCCGUAUUGCAUGUUUAGGGACACAAAGGUGAUUGCCUUUCUUUAUGGGCUUGAUUAAGUGAGUAGGGUUUUGUUUAGGUAAAUUAAGCUAGAAUAACAACCACAAAUGAUAGGUUCUUUUGAUUAAAAUUUCGUCUAUCUCUUUUUUCGAUGCAUACUUGGCUUAUAUGAAGCCUUUAUCACAUAGUUGGUGAUUACAAGCCACGCAACCAUCUGCUCAAUAAAACUAAUAAUGAAAAUUAUAGAAACUCAUGAAACCACACAUAAAAAAACGUCUGACACACUAAUGAAUGAAAAAAAAACGUCCAUGCUCUAUUAAGGAGCCACAAGUAGCAUUAAAGUGUAACAGUAAUCCACCAAAGAGUAUUAGCUAGGAGGAUUUAUGAAGCAAAAACUAACGGUUUUGAGCACCUAGGAAGCCUUUAAAAUGUUUCCCUAGCCUCAUGCGACCGUAAUUCAAUUCGUAGGUUACCAUGCACAACCCAACCAUUGAGCCCAAACCACCUUUUAGCCUACUAGUAAUCCUUAAUUAGUUGCCUUGGGCUUUGGUGAUCCAUGAAUGGAUCAUCCCCUCCCCCUUUUAAAGGAAAUAACCUCAAUUCAUAAUGACAUCCUCAACAAGAUAAGGUGAAAGGUCUCCCACAUUAAAGGUAGAACACACUCCAUGGUCUCCUCCCAAAUCCACCUUAUAAGCGUUAUCAUUGACAUGUGGCACCACUUUCUAAGCACCUUCUACUCUUGGCAUCAACUUUUGUUCUUCCUUUUGUUAGGAAAACGUUAUUUCCUCAUAUAUACCUACAUCAAGUCACCAUCUUGAAAGACACGUGGUUUCCUAUGCAUGUUGGAAUUCUGUUUGUACACCUCAUUCACGGCUGCAAUCUUCACACGAACUUGUUGGUGUAGUUUCAUCAUGCCAUUCAAAUUGUCAUUAGCAUCCUUUUGAACCAAUUCAUCCUUUGGUAAUGCAAUCAAAUCCAAAGGCAUGUAAGGAUUCACACCAUACACCACUUUAAAAGGAGAGUGACAUGUAGCAUAAGUAGGAGAACGAUUACAGGCAAACUCAGCAUAUGUAUGGUUGAUGUCCAAAUGUUUUCGAGUUUUGCUAACCAACCCCCUCAACAACAUACCCAAAGUUUGCUCAUCAGUUUGUGGAAUCCCUAUCAUAAUCAAUAGUAUUAGGAAUAAUAUGCAAGCUAACCACCUCUUUAAAAUAUAAAUCAGACACAUUAGAUGCAUCAUUGGUUUUAUGACAUGGCAUAAAGUGAGCCAUUUUUGAAAACCUAUCCACCACCAUAAUAAAGGAAUCCUUCCCCCAACAUCUUAGGCCAAAAGAAAUGUUCUAAAAGAACCUCCAAAGUUUUGGUAAUGGAAAUAUGACCCGCCAAACCACCACCCUGAGCUUCACGAAUCAGCAACUCCCAUAUUGCAUGUUUAGGGACACAAAGUUAUUUGCCUUUUGAUGCCUUUAUGGGCUUGAUUAAGAGAGUAAGGUUGUGUUUAGGUAAAUUCAGCUAGAAUAACAACCACAAAUGAUACGUGUAUGGGAAGAAAUGGAUAGAUUAGUAACAAAUCAAGACCUACUAAGUUGUAUACUAGUGAAAACAAUCCAAGACAUAUUUGAUUGAAUGCAUAUCAACUCAAGAAUACGUCUCGACUAUGACAAGUAGAGAACUAUAACUAUAAUUCAAAGUUAACAAAGGUUCUUUUGAUUAAAAUUUCAUCUAUCUGUUUUUUCCAUGCAUAAACUUGGCUUAUAUGAAGCCUUUAUUACAAAGUUGGUGGUUUCAAGCCACCCAAACAACCACUCAGUAAAACUAAUAACGAAAAUUAAAGAAACUCAUGAAACCAAACAAAAAAACGUCUGAUACACUAAUGAAUGAAGAAAAAGACCAUGCUAAGGAGACAUCAGAAGCAUUAAAGUGUAACCCUAAUCCGCCAAAGAGUAUCAAAAAUGGCUAGGAGGCUUUAUGAAGUAAAAAUUAACGUUAUUGAGCACAAAUGAAGCCUUUAAAAUGUUGUCCUAGCCUUCAUGCAACCCUAAUUCAUUUCGUAGGUUACCAUGUACAACCCAACCACCUUCUAGCCUACUAGUAAUCACUAAUACAUCACCUUGGGCUUUCAUGAUCCAUACAUGGAUCAUCCCCUCCCCCUUUGAAAGGAAAUGACCUCAAUUCAUCAAGGCCAUCCUCGACAAGAUAAGGUGAAAGGUCAACUACAUUAAUGGUAUCAUGCACUCCAUGGUCUCCUCCCAAGUCCACCUUUUAAGCAUUUUCAUUGACAUGUGACACCACUUUGUAAGCACCUUCUGCUCUUGGCAUCAACUUUUGUUCUUUGUUUGGUUUGGAAAACGUUCUUUCCUCAUAUGCACCUACACCAAGUCACCAUCUUGAAAGACAUGUGGUUUCUUAUGCAUGUCGGAAUUCUUUUUGUACACCUCAUUCACGGCUUCAAUCUUCACACGAACUUGUUAGUGUAGUUUCAUCAUGGCCUUCACUUGUCAUGAGCAUCCUUUUUUUUUUUGAAAGAGCCAAAGCUCAGCAAACUUUAUUAUAAAGAAUAAAAGAAUACAACAUCAACCAAAAACAAACAAUACAACCAUCAAUCUAAAGAACCAACCUAUCCAUAACCAACUACCAACCCAUUUCCUAAACUCAAGAAAUAACCACCCAAAACCCCAAAAAAACCUAAAAUCCUUAAAGUAAGCCCAAGGACUUAUUGAAUGAGGGAAAAAAGGUAACUUAACCCCCUUGCACCUCCAAAAGCUCCAAUAAUCAUAAUAAUCAUAGCAAGGGGUAAGGCCCUUAAAAAAAAAACCUCAGUCCAAAGACUAAACUUUAAGAUAAAACCAACUAAAACCAAAAUCCUCAACCAACAAUUCACAAAAAAUAACCAAACAUAUUUAAAACUACUAAACAAAAAAACAUUGCAAUCCCAAGUAGGCUCCAGGCGAUGAACAAUCCUGCUUCUUCUGUCCCAUUCCCAAUUCUUCAUCCUCCUCUUAAUAUUCAGCUUGACACUCUCUUCCUUCCUGUCACUUCGAUCCAUCUUCAUCCUAUGCAUUAACUUCCUGCAUAUAAUACAAAAACCAACCAACCAAAAACUAACACCAACACACUAGGAAUUCAUAAUAAGUUUCAUACUAGACAUGGCAUCAAUCACAUGUCUAGGAUUCUCAAUUUGAAUAAUCUCACAAAAGAUCAUAUCCAAACUGAAAAUCCCAAUGGUACAAGUCAAAUGAUUAGAGAGAGAACUCCCCAACCAUUGACAAAUUCCGUCAAUUCCUUUGUAUAACCAAAUAUUCCACAAUUGCCCCCAUCUAAUUCCAAUACUAAGAAAAAUCUCAAUAAAAUUUCUCCACUGCCAAUCCUAUCUAAAAAACUCAACCACCAUCGACUUCUCAAUCUUGAACCUUUCCAUCAUCGCUUAUUUUAUCCUUUCCAUAAAUGCCCCAAUCCUUAUAUAUUCUUUCAUUAACCAAUUUGUUAUUAUUUCUUAAUCCCAACAUCUUUAGCCUAAUUUCAUUUUCGAUACAAGCUAUCACUCCUUCAGCUGUAAUUCUCCUUUUAUUAAAAAUCCUAGCAUUCCUUUCCUUCCAAAUAUGGGCCACACAACUCGCAAGAAUACAUUUAUUAAUUAAAUUCUCACCUGAAUCCUUGUAAAACAGCUUGCAGCACUUCAGAAUCAGAUCAUUCCAUUCUCCCAUCACCAAUUUAAUUCUCAUCUUAUCACAAAAAUGUUUCCAAAUAAUUUGCGAGAAUUCACAAUUAAAAAACAGAUGAUUAUGUGAAUCAGGAAUAAGAUUACAAAAAGGACAAGGGAGAAUUCCUGAUGUUUCCCAAACUCUCACACGAUCCUGAGUUUUCAAUCUAUUCAAGAUUGUCAUCCAUAAAAUGAAGGAAUUUCUAGGAAUGCCCUUACCAUACCAAACGAUUUCCUUCCAAGGGACCUUAUUCCCAAAAUUAUUAAUAUCUCUCCACACUUGUUUGCAAGAAAAUUGUUUGCACAUACCCUCCUUAUCUCUCCAACCAGCAACAUCUCUCAUAUUCGGAUCAAUACAAAACAUAGGAGCAUCCUUUAGACCUGAAAAAUUAUCAACCCAAUUAACUGGCCAAAAAUAAGUAUCAUAAUCAAGCACAUCACUAACCAAAGAAAAGUCAUUAAAUCCAUUGCUAAACCAUUCUCUUCUUGGAAUGAUAGUGCUUAAAAUACCUAAAGGAUGCCACCAAUCAUGCCAUAAAGAAGUGCUCCUCCCAUUUCCCACACAAGCAACAAUAUGAGGUCUAACAAUUUUUCUAAUUUCCAAAAAUCUCUUCCAGGUCCAGCUCAUGCUUUUCUUUUGCAUUAUAUCCCAAAAAUUUCUCUUUCCAAUGUAAUAAGCUUUCACCCAUUGCACCCAUAAAGAAUUUUUGUUAUUAACAACAUUCCACAUAUGUUUUGCAAGUAAAGCAUCAUUCCAUUUCCUUAAAUUCUUAAUCCCCAAUCCUCCAUACUCUUUAGGUUUACAAAUAUCAGCCCAUUUGAUUUUAGCUUUCCCAUUAACUUUUUCACCAUUAGCCCAUAAGAAGCUUCUACACAUCUUUUCAAUCUCUUUUAUAGUAGCAAUGGGAAUUUUAAAAAUUGAAGCCCAAUACACAUGAAUAGAAGUCAAAACAGAAUUAAUGAGCUGCAACCUUCCAGCAAACGAUAAAGUUUUGCAUUUCCAGUUGAAAAUUCUCAUUCUAAUCUUUUCUAUCAGUUUCUUGCAAUCUCUAUCAAAAAGUUUAGUAACACACAUAGGAACACCCAAAUACUUAAAAGGGAAUUUCCCAACAUCAAAAGGAAGAAUACCGAAGAUAAUUCUUCUCAUAUUCGGCUUAACACAACUGAAAUAGAUCUGACUCUUUUCCAUGCUCACCUUCAGCCCAGAAACAUUUUUGAACUCAUCAAGAGCAUCCCUUAUAAUUCUAGUCGAAUUCCCAUUACCAUAAGAGAAGACCAGUAAAUCAUCAGCAAAGCAUAAGUGAGAAAUUUUGAGAAACUCACACUUAUUAUGAUAUUUAAAAUUCUGGCUUUCUUCAAUUUUCUUACCAAGAAUCAUAUUAAACACUUCCAUCACAAUUGUAAAUAAGUAAGGUGACAGUGGAUCACCCUGCCUAAGACCCCUCUUUCCUUCAAAAUACCCAUGGUCUUCACCAUUAAAAUUAAUCAUAAACCACGGGGAAGACACACAAGCCAUAAUCCACUGUAUCAUAAUCGGAUGAAAUCCAAACCCUUUAAGACUUCUAUUAAGAAACUCCCAAUCCACUGUAUCAUAAGCUUUUUGAAUAUCAAUUUUUAAGGUGCACUUAGGAACCCCCCCUCUUAUUAUUAUAUCCCACCAUCAACUCCUGUGCAAGAAGGAUAUUAUCCAAGAUCGAUCUUCCAGGAAUGAAAGCAGAUUGAUUCUUACUAACAAUUUUCCUCAAACAGUUUCUAAUUCUAUUCACUAUAACCUUACUAAUACACUUAUACAAAGUGUUACAGCAGGCUAUAGGUCUAAAAUCAGCAACCUUCCUCGGCAUAUCCACUUUAGGAACAAGAAUAAUUCUCGUAGAAUUUAUCCCUUUUAGCAGUUUCCCUGUCCAAAAAAAUUCUCUCACUGCUUUGAAAACCUCCGAUCUAACAAUAUUCCAAGCACUUUUGAAAAUUUUUGAUGAAUAUCCAUCAGGCCCAGGGGCACGAUUGUCAUCAAUUUCAAACAUCGUUGCUUUAAUUUCUUCAUCAGUCACCACUCUUAUCAUAUUAGAAGCAUCAUUUCUAUCCAAUCUAUUUUGAAAAAAUUCUUCAUUUAAUUCCGGCAUAACAAACCCGUCCUUACAUCCCAAGAAAUUUUUGAAAUAUGAAACAAACUUAUCCUUCAUAGCAAUCCCACUAACCCAUCUUCCGUCUUCAUCCAAAACCAUCAUAAUUCUAUUUUUAUUUCCCCUGCUCUUCACAAUACUAUGAAAAAACUUAGUAUUAUAAUCCCCUUCCUGAAUCCAUUUUAUUUUAGACCUCUGGAAUAAAAGCUGCUCUUCAUCAUUACAAGCCUCAUUAAAUUUGAACAAAAUAUCAGCAUGCUCAUUCCUGACCUUAUAAUCAUACGGAUUACAAUCAAUUUCCACUUGUUUACUUUCCAGAUUUUUCCUUAGCUCUUUAACCCGCUUCCCAUAUCCUCUGUAGUUAUUACAAAGAACCCUAUAGUGCUUUUUAAGGAUCUUCAAUAUUUGACAAACCUUGAACAUAUAAAACCCUUCAAUGUUUUCAUCCCAAACUUCCUUAACCAUUGGUAAAAAUUCUUCCUUCUCAGUAAUAAAAUUAGCAAAUCUGAAAGAAGGCCGCCAUCUCAUUUUGCUCAUUGGAAUAUUAAGAACAGCAGGACAAUGAUCUGAAAUUCUAUAAGGUUUAAACACAGCAUGAGCCAAAGGAUAAUCCGAAACAAAUUUCAAAUUUGACAUCACUCUAUCAAGUUUCUUCAACAGGCCCAUACUCCCAGCAGGAGUUUUAUUCCAUGUAAAUUGAAAUCCAAUCGAAUUCAGGUCCUCAACUUCUAAACAGUUAAUACAAUCAAUAAAGUCCUCCACACCUUUAGGAGUUUUAGAACAUCCUUCAGAAUAUUCCGAAGGUUUUAAGGCAACAUUAAAAUCUCCUAAUAAUCCCCAAGCAUCCUUUUUAACCACCAACUUAUGUUUCUUCAGAUUAUCCCAUAAAUCUCUUCUAUCAAGAUAAUUUGAAGCAGCAUAAAUAAAAGACAAAUACAUGCUAUAAUUAGAUUCACAGAAUCUAACAUAACAAUGUAUAACUUGUCUAGAUUGCGAAAUCACCAUCACAUCCACAAUUCGAGGAUUCCAUCCAACUAUAAUCCUAGUUCCAGCCUCACAACAGCUGUUAUUUGACACCCAUUCCCAUUGACCAAAGGUCUUGGCACAAACAUUUUUAAGAUUAGAAAUCCUAACAUGUGAUUCCACCACAGAGCAGAUACUGAGAUUAUAGCUUCUGAUUACAUCUAUAACCUCCUUCUGUUUAACCAUCUUAUUCAGACCUCUAACAUUCCAGCACCCUAUAGACAUCAUUGGUAACCAGCAUAAUUUUUGGCAUCAACCUCCUCUAAUGCUAGAGAGUUCCCUACAAUACUUUUACUAUUCCCCUGAUUCUUCAAGUUACCCUUCGCAUUAUUAACACCAAUCUCUAUAUUAUCCUUCUCAUUUAUCUUAGAUGAUAUCAUCAUAUUCUUCUUUUUCCCAGCACUAUCUUCUAAUGAUACUUCAUUAUCUCCAUUCUGCAAAUCUCCAUCUUUUUCCCCCUUAGCAUCUUCUUCCAUUCUAUCCAAAACUUCCUCAUCUGUCAUUCCCAGAACUUGAAAACUGUUUUUUUUGUUGACUGCUAUAAUGGGAUUACUUUUAUUACCACUCCUCAUCUUUUCUUCUUCUUUAUUGUUAACAUUCUUAACUGCAUACUCUUGCUUCUUAUUUUCCUUUAUCCCCUGAUUACCCUCCAUAUUCUGACUAUUCCCAUACUUCUCAUAUCUUCUAUUCUUUUCUAAAUUCCAAUGGCCAAUCCCCUUAUUAACCCAAUUCCCAUUCUACCAUCUUCUAUUAUCCCCUCUAUAUCCAUUAUUUCCUCUAAAUCUAUUCCCCCUGUUAUAAUUACUAUUCCUCCCAUUAGAUUUCUGAUUAUUCAAUUGAGAAUAGCCUUCCUUAGCUUUGCUUGUACCCUCUCCACUAUUAUUACCUGUCAUCUUCUUAUAAUUGACCUCCACAAAUCCAUCUUCCUUAACAAUUUCCUUUCCUUUAUUAUUCUUAAUUUUCUCUUCACCCCCAUUUUUUACCACUUUUCCUUCAUUCAAAGCCGCAAGACAAACUUUAUCCAUAUGUCCAAAUAUCUUACAAUGAUUACAUCUCGAUGGAAUCCAAGCAUAUUCCACAUCAAAACUUUGAAUAACAGCAGAAUUAGUUACAAAAUCCCACGUAGAUACCUCAAUUUUCCUCUUCCAUUCCUUAUCAACUGCCAUCUCAACAAGGAUCCUAGCAUAAGCAUUUCUUCCUUUGUGUUCCAAACACAUUUCCUCAGUAAAAGAAUCAAAAGCCAGCGGAAUGCCUAUUUUGCUAGCAAUUAUACACAAAUUAUCACCACUCCAUACUUCUAGAGGCAAAUCAAAAAUUUUGAUCCAUACCGGAAUUUUAUCAUGAUUAUUCUUUGUUAAAGUCAGACCUGGUCUCCAACGUUGUAGGAAUAGUGGCAUGUUAUUGAACAUCAGCCAUGGGCUUCCCUCCAGCACCUCUAACAUCCCUUGUUCAUCACUGAAUUUAAAAAAGAAGAACCCUUUGCUGUUCAUGAACACCUCUUCAAGGCCCAUAUUCUUCCAAAGUCUUCUAACCUCUUUCUGAAUCACUGGAAACGCCAACUUUUUGUCAAUCAUAUACCCAUAUAAAGUGGUAGUAUAUGGGAUACUAGCACUUUUUAAAUUUUCAAUCGGAAUGAUAACCGGCCCUUCAUCAUUACCAAUUUCUCCUGGUAUAUAUCUAACAUCAAUUUUACCCUUAUGUCUAUUUCCUUUUAACACACCAGCAUAAGAGUUCACUAAAUUCCCCUGAACAUCAUUCUCCACCAAUUUUCCAUUUUUAGCAUCUCCCAAAAUAGAAGGUUAAGUAUUAAUACUAUUAAUAACUGUGCCUGGAAACAACUUCCCAUUAUUAUCAUUGCUACUCUUAGUAAUAUCCUCCUCCUCCAUCAUUAUUUCCUCAUCUUCAUUGGUCUCCUCCUCACUUGAAUCAACUUCCCCCUCCUCUUCAUCUGUACUAUCAUCUUCUUUAUCAUCUUCCACCUUAUCCUCUAUCUUUCCCAAAUUUGAAUCAUCUAUAUCCAUAUUCUGAAUCAAUCCUUUAUCAACUUCCUUCCCACAUACCCUUCCUCCUUCAAUUUACUAAGAAAUUGAAAUCCAACUCCUGGAAUAAAUUCUUCUUUACUGCUAGCACUCUUCUCCCCAUCAGUUCUAGUCUUCAUAGCUUCAUUAUCAUCCAAUUUAGAAUUAUCAUUUUUUUAACAUCCAUCACCGAAAUGGUAGGAUUCACCCUAAUCAUUUCACUAAUAACAUUCUUCAAUUCUGAAUUAGGGCUCAUUACUUCAUUACUCACCUUCGAACCAUCCCAAUUUUUCAUCAAAUUAGCAGUAUUACCAGACGGAAUAGUAAUUACUUGGGAUCUAACCUUCUUAGUAUCACCAGACACCCCAUUCUUCAAUUCCUUCUCCUUACAAUCAGAUCCAGGAAUAGAAAUGUUAGAAUCAGACUCCCAAACUGAUACUGCUUCCGAAUCCUCUUCCGUUUCCUCCUUAGUACCAUCUUCAUUGUAGUAUUCCUCAGCAUCCAUUGGAGAUAAUUCAUCCUUCUUCUUCCUAGCUCUACACUUAAUUCUGAAAGCUUUCCCCUCCAUUUUCCAUUCAGCUUUGCUAAUUCCUGAUGAAAUAGCUCCAGUCGCACUAGGCUUACGACGAGCUUUGUAGAUCGUGGCUGAAGAUUGCUCAAUAACCCCAGGAGGAACAAGAUCAUUCACCUCCACUUCAGAUUUAGUAUAUCGAACAGCAGCACUUUUAUCCGGAGGUUUAACCUUCACUUCCUUCAAUCGAUCCGAUUUGGAUGACGCUCCCAUUAAGACAAUGGAAAUAAAAGAGAAAUUGCUUUACCGAAGGAAAGACAGACGUCGGAAAAGCAGCACCGAUGAAUCGAAACUAGAUCGCACCACCGUCAGAAAGAAUCAGGGGAAGAAAGAGAAAGCGAAAAAGUUUUUUGCAUUGUUUGAUUCUUUUUGUCAUGAGCAUCCUUGUGAACCAAUUCAUCCUUUCACAAUGGAAUCAAAUCCAAAGGCAUGUAAGGAUUCAAACCUUACACCACUUCAAAAGGGAGAGUGACCUGUAGCAUAAGUAGGAGAACGAUUAAAGGCAAACUUAGCAUGUGCAUGUUUGAUGUCCAGAUGUGCUUGAGUUUUUCUAACCAACCCCCUCAACAACGUUCCUAAAGUUCUAUUAGUCACCUUCGUUUGCCCAUCAGUUUGUGGAUGAUGGGAUGUACUAAAAAGUAACUUAGUACCAACUUUCCUUCACAAAGUGUUCCAAAAGUAACUAAAAAACAUGGAAUCCCUAACUGAAGAAAUUUUUAUAGGAAUUAUAUGCAAGCGAACCACCUCUUUAAAGUACAAAUAAGACACAUUAGAUGCAUCAUUGGUUUUAUGACAUGGCACAAAGUGUGCCAUUUUUGAUAACUUAUCCACCACCACUAUAAUGGAAUCCGUUUACAAUCCUCUCCCUUUGAUGGCUCGGGAAUGGGGACUUCUAUACCAUCGCGGACUCCAUGGUCGAUGAGCCGCUGAGCCAGACGUUUGGCACUAUCGAACGUGGUUGGGUUAGAAGACAACACAUAUCCUUGGAUCGGGCCAGUUAGACCCAAGAUGUAUCUUGCUAUCUUGUUGCUCUCUGGGGUAACCAUCCCGAAGCAUAGUGCCGCUAGGUCGUUGAACCUGUCAAUGUAGGCCACUAUGUCUGAGCCAACCAUCGUGAGCUCCCAUAGUUCUGUUCCAGCUUUUGAGCUUCGCCCGACGAGUAGUAUUCUUCCAGCAUUAACUCUUUUAGGUUCUCCCAACCUAUUGAUUUAGCCACUGAUAGGGUCAGUGACUUAACAUGGUUGUUCCACCAUGUCAGGGCUCUGUCAGAGAAGGUGCAGGAAGCAAACUUUACUUUGCUCCCUUCUGGGCACGAACAGAUUUCGAAGACCGGAUCUGUUUUCUCGAACCACCGCAUCAAAGCGAUGACUCCACCAUUUCCAUUAAAGGAAUUGGGUUUGCAGUUCAUGAAGUCCUUGUACGAACACUCCCUUGGGUGUCUGUGAGAAUCUUCAGGGUUGACUAAGUGGGUACCGCUACCAGAUCCGAAGGUACCACUUUCGCCGAAGUGAGCUAGAGCAGUUGCCACUACGGAGGAUAUCGCUGAUUGGAGAGUAGCAUGAUCGAAUUGUGGCGGAGGUAGUGGCGAUUGAGUGGGAGUUAUCGGAGUAGUGCAUCUGUUUGAUCUGCGAGGAUGCAUCUUUGCUAAAAGAAUACAAAGAUGAAAUAGAAUAAGUCUAUAGUAGUGGUUUAUAAACCAAAAGCUGAAAGGCAAGGUUAUCCUAGUUCUGAGUGUAUCUGGUCCUGACUUCCACAGGGUUCUGGAAACAAUUCAUAAAAGAUUCUAUACCAAAUAAACUCUAUGAAUUAGAAAUGGUUAUCCUCGAAUGAAUAUUUGUGAAUUGAAUAACUGUUACUAGUUGUAUGAUAGAAAAUAAUCCUAACACAUAAUGUAAGCAGUGUUUCCACUAACUCAUUAAGUUAACCAAGAUUAUUAUUUAUUAGUGUGAUGCAUAAGACGUUUUGGUUACUUCAGCUAAUAUUUCUUUGAAAACUUUUCAUGAACCUACUCCCGUUCCUCCUUGACUCUUCUGUUGACUGCUAUGAGGAAGUUGUUGCAUCUAUCUGGGUUUGUCGUGCGAGAAUGGAAGUGUCUAAAGAAUCUAUGAGAUUUAAUUGAAAUAUUAUGGGGUGAUCCUUACAGAGUUCUCCUAUAAUUGCACAAUAUAUACACGUUGUAUAUAAUUUAAGAUUAAAUAGACCUUCGAAUAAGUGAUCCUACUCUAAAACCACAACCAAACAAGGAACAAGUAGUGAAGCAUAGAUCACAAAUUCUAAGUCUAUAAAAUCUCAAUUAUAUAAAACCUUGGAAGUAUACACUCCAAAAUUAUAGAUUUAUCCGUAAGGGUCUUUUUAAGUUAUCACAUAAGUUAUUUAUAUAGUGCCUAAAAUACUCCUAUAGUAUUUUAAUGUAAUGAACUUGGUAUGUUUUAAACUUGUUAUCGUUUUAUACUAUCAUAAAAUACUCCCAUAGUAUCUUAUCCUUAUGUUCUGAUCUACAAUUCCCUUGAAUAUAGUUAGGUAAGAUUUAAGACUGUUGCAACACCACAUCACUCCCAAACACAUGUUGGUCACAUCUCGAAAGAAUAUAGUUGAUCAAGCUAUAUUGAUCCUAGUUGUGAUUACAUAAUUGUCCAGGUUUGACCGUAGUGUUCAACCUUUAAAUACUUAUGUUCUGUUCUUCUUGAGAUACUUGUUCUAGUAUGUAUAUAUGUAUAAGCAUGCAUGUAUACUUUUAUAAGGUAUUGUUAUAUAUUUAAAAUAUAUUAUUAUCCAGAGCACUUCGACCCCAUUGUAUUUAUAUUUAUAGUUCUAUAAACAAUGCUCUGAUACCAAUCUAUCAUACCCCAAAACCGGAACGGCGGAAACGUUCGGGGGUGGAGGACGUUAUGUUUAGUAUCACAAGACAUGCAUCAUAGUAAUCAAAGUAAUGAACAACCAUUUCAUUAGAAAGAAAGUGUUUACAAAGUAUGUUGUCAUAUAACAUAGACUACAAAGGAAAUAACAAAAUAAGACAUGAAGCUAUACUGCUCCAUCUUCUGAAUCCCAGUGCGCGUACCUGUCUACUGGUCUCCUAAGAAUACAAGUUAAUUUGAAAGCGUAGAUCAGAAUUUAAGCUGGUGAUUUCAUAAGAUUUUAGUGAUGUAAUAAGUUGUAAGAAAGUUGUAACUUCUAUUUAGAAAAGUUCGCCUGUACAAUCUUUUCUAUGAGUAAUAAAUGGAUACAAGUUAUAUAAAAACCCAGAGUAAACAAACAAUCGAUUGUGUGUAUCUGUCCUAAGACUACAACCAAACAAGGAACAGGAAGUAAGGCGGAAAACACACAUCCCAUUGUUUGUUAGAUCAUUGUUGUAUAUAACCCUGGCGUAUUCACUUGGUACUCAUCGAGUUAACUGUAAUAGUUCCUUUAUAUUUGCUGAAAAGAUUCUUUAACAAAAGCCUUAUUUCUUUUAGUAAAAAUGGUAACCACAGUGGUUCCUUCUAUAAUCACUUAGUUUAUACUAACUAUAUUAUAAUCUAAUAUCGAAUAAAUAGUUAAUUGUGUGAAUUUGCCCUAAGCCUACAACCAAACAAGGAACCGGAAGUAAGGCGGAAAGCACACAUCCAACAAUCUAUCGGGUAUUAAUUAUAUAUAACCCUGAUGUAUCAACUAAGGUAUUAUAGAGUUAACCACUUAAGGUCGUUUAAUUUUAUAUUGGUUUAAUCAAAUUGAAUAAACCCUUUACUGGUAAGUUUCUAGUUUUGUCUACCAAAUGUUCUGUUUGUAAAGUAUGUUUUGUACUAGAAAACGAUGUAUUGAAUUUGUAUACUAUGACCUGGCCCAUACCUGGUACUCCUUAUGAUUACUUGGUGGGUGCAUAUGAGGAAAGAACGUUUUCCUAACAAAAGGAAGAAAAAAGUUGAUGCCAAGAGUAGUAGGUCUUUACAAUGUGGUGUCACAUGUCAACGAUAAUGUGUAUAAGGUGGAUUAGGGAGGAGACCAUGGAGUGCGUGGUACCUUGAAUGUGGGAGACCUUUCACCUUAACAUGUUGAGGAUGGCCUUGAUGAAUUGAGGUCAUUUCCUUUCAAAGGGGGAGGGGAUGAUCCAUGCAUGGAUCAUGAAAGCCCAAUGUUAUGGAUUAGUGAUUUUUAGUAGGCUAGAAGGUGGUUUGGGAUCAAUGGUUGGGUUGUGCAUGUUAACCUACGAAUUGAAUUAGGGUCGCAUGAAGGCUAGGGCAACAUUUUAAAGGGUUCAUAAGUGCUCAAAACCAUUACUUAUUGCUUCAAAAAGCCUCCUAACCAUUUUUGAUACUCUUUGGUGGAUUAGGGUUACACUUUAAUGCAUCUUACGGCUCCUUAAUGGACAUGGACGCUUUUUCAUUCAUUAGUGUGUCAGACAUUUUUUGUGUGGUUUCAUGAGCUUCUUUAAUCUCCAUCAUUAGUUUUACUGAGUAGUUGGUUGGGUGGCUUGUAACCACCAACUUUUUAAUAUAAGCCAAGUUUAUGCAUGGAAAAAAGAGAUAGAUGAAAUUUUAAUCAAAUGAAUAUUUGUUCACUUUGAGUUAUAGUUAUAGCUCACAACUUGUCAUAUUCGAGACGUGUUCUUCACUUGAUACGCAUUCAAUCAAUAUUGUCUUCGAUUGUUUUCACUGGUAUACAACUUAGUAGGUUUGAUUUGCUACUAAUCUAUCUAUUUCUUCCCAUACACGUAUCAUUUGUGGUUGUUAUUCUAGCUUAAUUUACCUAAACACAACCCUACUCACUUAAUCAAGGCAAUAAACGCAUCAAAAGGCAAUCACCUUUGUGUCCUUAAACAUGCCAUACAGGAGUUGUUGCUUCGUAAAGUUCAUGGCGGUGGUUUGAAGGGUCAUUUUCCCAUUACCAAAUGUUUGGAGGUGCUUUAAGAACAUUUAUUUUGGCCUAAGAUGUUGGGAAUGUAACCAACAUAGUAGGCCAGUCUGUUACAUGUCAGAUGACGAAAAAAACCUUGAAGCAUGGUGUUUACACUCCUUUUGCCAAUUCCUAUUCGUCCUUGGGAAGAUGUGUCAAUGGAAUUCAUUAUGGCUUUGCCUAGAACUCAAAGGGGGAAAGAUUCCAUCAUAGUGGAGGUGGAUUGGUUUUUAAAAAAUUUCUCACUUUAUGCCAUCUCAUAAAACCAAUGAUGCAUCUAAUGUGUCUCAUUUGUACUUUAAAGUGGUGGUUCGCUUGCAUAUUGUUCCUAAAACUAUUGUUUCUAAUAGGGAUUCCAUGUUUUUGAGUUUCUUUUUUGUGGAGGAAAGUUGGUACUAAGUUACUUUUUAGUACAUGCCAUCAUCCACAAACUAAUGGGUAAACAAAGGUGACUAAUAGAAUUUUGGGUACGUUGUUGAGGGGGUUGGUUAGCAAAACUCAAAAAAAUUUGGACAUCAAACUUGCACAUGCUGAGUUUGCCUAUAAUCGUUCUCCUACUUAUGCUACAAGUCACUCUCCUUUAGAAGUGGUGUAUGGUCUGAAUCCUUACAUGCCUUUGGAUAUGAUUCCAUUACCAAAGGAUGAAUUUGUUCAUAAGGAUACUAAUGAGAAGUUGAAGUCCAUGAUGAAACUACACCAACAAGUUUGUGUGAAGAUUGAAGCCGUGAAUGAGGUGUACAAAUGGAAUUCCAACAUGCCUAGGAAACCUCUUGUCCUUCUAAAUGGUGACUUGGUGUAGGUGCAUCUGAGGAAAGAACGUUUUCCUAACAAUAGGAAGAACAAAAGUUGAUGCCAAGAGCUGACGGUCCUUACAAAGUGGUGUCACAUGUCAAUGAUAAUGCUUAUAAGGUGGAUUAGGGAGGAGACCAUGGAGUGCGUGCUACCUUGAAUGUGGGAAACCUUUUACCUUAUCUUGUUGAGGAUGGCCUUGAUGAAUUGAGGUUGUUUCCUUUCAAAUGGGGAGGGAUGAUCCAUGCAUGGAUCAUGAAAGCCCAAGGUGAUGGAUUCAUGAUUACUAGUAGGCUAGAAGGUGGUUUGGGAUCAAUGGUCGGGUUGUGCAUGUUAACCUACGAAUUGAAUUAGGGUCGCAUGAAGGCUAGGUCAACAUUUUAAAGGCUUCAUAAGUGCCCAAAACCGUUAUUUAUUGCUUCAAAAAUCCUCCUAGGCAUUUUUGAUACUCUUUGGUGGAUUAGGGUUACACUUUAAUGCUUCUUAUGGCUCCUUAAUGGAGCAUGGACGCUUUUUCAUCCAUUAGUGUGUCAGAUGUUUUUUGUGUGGUUUCAUGAGUUUCUUUAUUUUCCAUUAUUAGUUUUACUGAGUAGUUGGUUGGGUGGCUUAUAAACACCAACUUUUUAAUUUAGGACAAGUUAAUGCAUGGAAAAAAGAGAUAGAUGAAAUUUUAAUCAAAAGAACCUUUGUUAACUUUGAAUUAUAGUUAUAGUUCUCUACUUGUCAUAGUCGAGACGUGUUCUUGACUUGAUACACAUUCAAUCAAAUAUGUCUUCAAUUGUUUUCACUGGUAUACAACUUAGUAGGUCUUGAUUUGUUACUAAUCUAUCCAUUUUUUCCCAUACACGUAUCAUUUGUGGAUGUUAUUCUAGCUUAAUUUACCUAAACUGUCACACCCCAAAACUGGAAUGGCGGAAACGCUCUGGGGUUGAGGACGUCAUGUUCAGUAUCACAAGAUAUGCAUCAUAGUAAGCAAAGUAAUAAACAACCAUUUCAUUUGAAAGAAAGUGUUUACAAAGUAUGUGUUCACAAAACAUUGAGUACAUAAACAAAUAACAAAACAAGACUUGAAGCUAUAUUGCUCCAUCUUCUAAAUUCCCAGUACGUGUACCUGUCUACUAGUUACCUGAGAAUACAUGUUAUUUUGAAAGAGUUGAUCAGCAAUUAUGCUGGUGAGUUCAUAAGAUUUUAGUGAUGUAUGUAAGUUGUAGAAAGUUUAGUAAGAUGUAGUAAGUUGUAAGUUUUGUUUAGAAAAGUUCGUCUGUUCCUCCAGAAAAUCCUAUAUUUCCUGCUUUGAUGAAAGAUAAGUAAAAGCUUUCUAUGAGUACUAAAUGGAUACAAGUUAUACAAAACUCAGAGUAAAAAAACAAUCAAUUGUGUGUAUCUGCCCUAAGCCUACAACGAAACAAGGAAAAGGGAAUGAGGCAGAUGACACACAUCCCAUUGGUUGUUAAAUAUAACCCUGGUGCAUUCCCUUGGUACUCACGGGGUUAACUGUAAUAGUUCCUUUAUAUUUGAUUGAAAAUAUCCUUUAAGAAAACCCUUAUUUCUUAUAAUAAAAAUAGUAACCACAGUGGUUCCUUCUCUAAUCACUUAGUUUAUGCUAGCUAUAUAUAAUCUAAUAUUGAACAGAUAGUUAGUUGUAUGAAUCUGCCCAAAGCCCACAACCAAACAAGGAACAGGGAAUGAGGCGGAAGGCACACAUCCAACUACCUAUCGGAUAUUAAUUAUAUAUAACCUUUGAUGUAUAAAAUAAGGUAUUGUAGAGUUAUUUUUACUUAUCUUUCAUCAAAGUAUGAAAUAUUUGAUUUUCUAGAGGAAUAGCCGAACUUUCUAAACAAAACUUACAACUUACUACAUCUUACUAAACUUUCUACAACUUACAUACAUCAAUAAAAUCUUAUGAACUCACCAGCUUAAUUGUUGAUCAACUCUUUCAAAAAAACUUGUAUUCUCAGGUAACUUGUAGACAGGUACACAUACUGGGAAUUCAGAAGAUGGAGCAGUAUAGCUUCAAGUCUUGUUUUGUUAUUUGUUUAUGUAAUCUAUGUUUUGUGAACAUAUACUUUGUAAACACUUUCUUUCAAAUGAAAUGGUUGUUUAUUACCUCGCUUACUAUGAUGCAUGUCAUGUGAUACUGAACAUGACGUCCUCCACCCCAGAAUGUUUCCGCCGUUCCGGUUUUGGGGUGUGACGAUUGGUAUCAGAGCAUUGUUUAUAGUGAACUAAGUAUAUUAACCGAUAAAAUAUAUACAACUAUAAAUACAAUGGGGCUUAAGUGCUCUGGAUAACUAUAUAUUUUAAGAGUAUAACGAUAAGUUAUAAAAAUAUACCUAUUUGCUUAUACAUGUAUACUCUAGAACAAGUAUCACUAGGAGAACAAAACAGAAGUAUUUAAAGGUUAAACAUUGUGGUCAAACCUAGACAGUUAUGUAAUCAUAGCUAGGAUCAAUAUAGCCUGAUCAACUAUAUUCGUUCGAGAUGUGACCGAAAUGUGUUUAGGAGUGAUGUGGUGUUGCAACAGUCCUAAAACUUACCUAACGCUAAGAGAAUUCUAGAUCAAGUACAUAGAGUUAGAAUACUAUGACAACCCAAAAUUUUCCAUCCAGUUCAGUCUAACACUUCAUUGAAAGUCAAACUCAUUCCUGCUAUNNNNNNNNNNNNNNNNNNNNNNNNNNNNNNNNNNNNNNNNNNNNNNNNNNNNNNNNNNNNNNNNNNNNNNNNNNNNNNNNNNNNNNNNNNNNNNNNNNNNNNNNNNNNNNNNNNNNNNNNNNNNNNNNNNNNNNNNNNNNNNNNNNNNNNNNNNNNNNGUGGGCCGUACUCUUGCUUAUAUGAUGAAGAGGUGGUCAUUUGUUCAUUCCUCCCUUUCCUUUGGCUGAAAUCCUCUCAAGUAUCAUCCCGAUCGUCGUCCUCGAUCUACAAAUCUAGUAAGUCUAUUGUCUUAACUAGUUGAUAUCUUGCAUGAACUAGUAAUCUUACAUGAUUUCAUAUGUGAAAUCAUUCCAUUUUGUAGAUUUUCAAGUUUCACCAAGAACACCAAGAACACACUAGUGUUCUUGGCCAAAACCGACCAUUCGAGCUUGUAGAUCGUAAGUACUCUUGAUCCAACUUGUUGUAAACUAAGUUUAUCAUAUUUAGAGCUUAGAAAACAUAAGAAANGAAAACAUAAGGAAUCAUAGGAUUCAAGGAGUUUACGGCCAAGACAUCUUCUUGGGCCGUAAACCCCUUUUAAGGGUGUUUUGAUGCCCCUAUCACCUUAGUCAGCCUUGGAUAUUAGCAUAGAACCUUACACCAUUGAACUAGGGACUUCAAUACACGAUUUAGUACUUCAUACCAUGAGUUUACAGCCGUAAAAUCAUGGGGAAGUGGUCCCAGGGCCGUAAACACCAUACAAGGCCAUUCUUGGACCUUAAACCCACCCAACCUCUUGUUUAAGCCUUGGAACACUUAACCACUUAAGUCUUUAUAGCUUUAAGCCUCAUUUAGUGACACAAUUGAGAGUUUACGGCCAGGAGUAAACUCCCCUGGGCCGUAAAGUCCNCCCGUAAACUCCUUAAGGUAUGGUCGAUUGACCAUAAACUCCCGUAUAAGGCCUUGCACUCCUUUGUUGCAACUCGAUAGCCUCCUAACACUUUGACCAAAGUGUUUUCCUCACAGCAGGGUGUUUAUACAUGUUUAAUUAGUGUUAUAAUCACUAAUUAUACAUAUACAUAUUUCUUCAUGUGUUAUUACGAUCAUUGUGUGUGUCUAAGUCUUCACUUGGCACCAAGCACUUAUCCGGCACUUCCAUCCGAUCCGCUCACUGCAGGUGAGUUCAUACCCCUAAAUUAACCUUUUAAAUGUUUUGUAAAUGUUUAUAAAUGCUUUAUAGGGGGAAUACAAGUUGAAUCAUGUCUAGUUAUUAUAUCAAUCACAUAUGAUUAACAACUAGCAUGCAAAUGGAUUUACUAUAUGUUAACUGUUUUACCAAACAGAUUUCUUCAAAUGACUUUCUUAAACGUUUUUACAUGCUUAAAACUCUUUAUCAAACUGUCUUAUAUAUUGUAAGUUUCCUUUCAAACUCUUUUACAAAUGUGUUUCAAACAAAGGUUUUCCUUAUACUUAAACUGUUUUAUCAAACAAAAUACUUUCAAAUCGUUUCAUAAACUGACAUCAAGUCAUCGUUUCUUAGUAUUAAAUCUUUCAAAGGUUUUACAAAACUUCUUUUAUGCUUUUAUAUUGUAAAAUGCAUGCCUUAAUAUGUAUAGUUAUAUAAUUAAUGUUUAUAGGACUUAGGACGGUCAGCUCGCUUUAUUUCCUUUUUCUCGUUGGGAUGUGGCCUAGGGCAUCGGUUGCUCGUCCGAAUGUCGUCAAAAUAUUAAUUAUAUAUCAUGUAUACAUAUAUAGGUAUAAAGGUUCCAUUACUCAGUUCAGUACCUUUAGGUAGCAAGGGUAUACUUCCGGAUAUACUCGUACAUUACUAGUACUAUAAUAGGUAUAGUUAGGAGAUACUACUUAUAAUUCCAAGUACAAGGAAUCACACAAGAGUCAGUUCAUUCAUGAGUCUAUACUAUUACAUUACAUGUUACAUGAAUACGCUUACAUGAGUACGUUUACAUAGAUACGCUUACAUGAGUAUGGUUACAUAGAUACGCUUACAUGAGUAUGUUUACAUAGAUACGCUUACAUGAGUACGUUUACAUAGAUACGCUUACAUGGAUACGCUUACAUGAGUACGUUGACAUAGAUACGCUUACAUGAACACGUUUACAUUAAUACGUUUAAUAGAUACUAUUACAUAGAAUUUGUUACAGACGUUUCGGGAUUUACCAUUCAAACCCAAUACUAUUAGCUACAGUAGGGAAAAGGAGCAUCGACGGGUGUCCAAGGUUGUACUUUUUGACGAGUUUCCAUGUCGUGGAUAUCCUAGUACAAAAGGAUACAUUCUUUUAGUUAUUAUAUUAUUUUCCUUCCUUUACUUUGUGACACAUUCACAUGAACGACGAGAUAGGAUAUAUUCAAUAUAAAUAAACUAUUUUCCUUAUUACCUUUAUAUUGUGACUCAUACACAUAAACGACGAGGUAGGCUAUAGUUUUAUACUAAUAGUUUAAACAGGGAAAAACCGUCACAUUUACAUUGAUACUUACUUACAAAACAGUCGGGUCUUGGUAGAAGACUACUUGUAUACUAAUAGGAAAUAUGGAAUUUUCUAGGGUUUUCAAAUGUUUACGAUUACUUACAAACAUUUUCACACUUAUACAAACUUUUCUCUAAAUGUCCAAAGUCUUUACUUUACAGUUUUACAAAUCAAAGACACAUUAAUACUUAUGAAUUCACCAACUUUAUUGCUGAUACUCGCUUUCAAAAUAACUUAUAUUCUCAGGUCACAAAUAGACAUGUACGACGACCAGGUUUUGUGAAGACGGAGCAGUUAAGACUCGUCUUUUAUUUUAAAGAUUCAUUAUGUUGUCUUAUGAUAUAAAAGAACAUGCAUGUAAUCAAAAUUAUACUGUUAAUGCAAUAGAUGAUGUUGUUGCUUGUUUACUACUUUACAUUGUUGUGAUACAUUACAUGACGUCCUCCGCCCCAGAACGUUUCUGCCGUUGUCGGUUUUGGGGUGUGAUAGAUUGGUAUCAGGCAUGUUUAUAGUGAAUUAAGUAUAUCAACCCAUAAAAGAUAUACUAACUAUAAAUACAAUGGGAUUAAAAAUACUCUAACCAAGAGUUUAUACUUUUAAAUAAUAAAAUAUUUAACAAAGUAUACAUGCCUGCAUUCAUACUAAAAUUUGUGUCACAAUGACAAGAACAAAAGCAUUACGAUUGUUGAAUAUCACAGGUAAGCUCGGGGAUGUAUGGUCAGUCUUGGGAGUGGUAUAGCCUGAUCAACUAUGCUGGUCCAAGGAGUGAUUAGCACAUGCCCAAGAAUGGUUGUGAUGUGUCAACAAGUCUAAAAACUUACCAACACUACCACAAUGAGAACAUUAUAACAGAACCUAAGUUUAAGAUAUUAUAGGAGUAUUUUGUGUUACUAUAAUUACUUACUUAAGAACUAAAGAAAAAGAGGAUCUUCAUUACUAGGUCAAUAGUUGCUAAGUAGAUACAUUAAGGUUAUAUGUAACUAAGAUGAUAUAGACUCAAAAUCUGUGAAAUUUUGCUUUACCCCUGUUCCUCGUGAAUUUGGAGUUAAGGUCAGUUAUUCGAAGGCCUAUCCUGUUUGAUUACAUAUAAUCGGUAUGCACUUUACAAAUAGUGAUGUAACUAAUAAAGAUUUUCUUAUAAUUAUCUAGUUAGUUCGUCUAAUAACUAAUUCUUGACCCCAAUUCUCGCGUAGCUAACAUGACUGGACUCCAUCCCCACGGCAACCCGUACCUUCCUAACGAAGGCAAUGUUGAAUGGUUUGGAGAAGAACCCGAGAAUGAUCAUCCAAUCCCUUUGAAUUAUCACCAUGCUUAAGACAUUUCAGAUGAUGAUAACUCCGAACUCGAGGUUGAGAACCUACCCCAGGCAGCUCCCAUUCCAAAUCCUAACCCUCUUCCGGCUUUUCAUGGCCCGACGCCUCCUUGGGUAGAAUGCUUGGAAACAUGGAGCGAAGAUCAAGAUCAACCCAUGCCGUUUAAUGGAGACCAAAGCUUCUACAACGUAAACGAAGGGAGCUCAAUAGACAGAUUUCUACCAAUCUUGAUCCGUAGAGUUGCCCGAAACGAAAUUCAGGGCAGGACGGCUAUCCAACGUAUCGAAGAGGUUAAUGCCAAUGCAAGAAUGCAUACCGUUCGCACCAAUCGCCUUGAACACACAAGUGAGAGAUCUAAGAGAAACCAUGAGACCUUGUUGCAAACACUAGCUAAAACCCGAGCCGAAGUCAUAGAGCUCCGAGUACGCCAGAGGGUGUACGAAAGACACCUGCUUGAUACGGAAUGCCAACUAGCUGAACUAAGGGUUCACCAUAGGGGUGACCAUCGCCAGUAGGAGAUGCUUUACUUUCCUUCCUUGUUUUUAAAGAACCGUGUUCCUGUCUAUGUCCUAUGUGACAUUUUUUUGUGUAACUAACUUGUACUGUAAGUACUUUUAGUUAGGCCUUUAGGCUAUCAAGGACUUGUCUACACUAGAUGUGAUGUAAGACCUACUACAAGGUCAAUUUUCCCGAACUCGUUACUGUUGGAUAUAGUGUCUAAGUCCAUAACUAUAUUUGGUGUAACACCAAGAUUUUCAAAAAUAAAAUUUUUGUUUAAAUAAUCAAUUUAAUAUUAAAAACACUUGUUUAAAAAUCUUAUUCACAUUCAAAUUACAAACAUAGUUUCAUUUUCAUUAUAAUAGAAGACCAGGAUCCUCCAAAACACAACUCUUUCUUCGGUGUGUACAAUCGAACCGUUGCCAUNUGUAAAACCUAACGACAUAACAUAAACAACGUAAGCACGAAGCUUAGUGAGUUCCCCAAUAUACCUUACGCACAUACGCCCUCCGGCCCGGACCUCUCGGUCCACAUAACAUCGCCUUCCGGCCCGACCCUUCGGUCCAUAAUAUAUAUCGCCUUCCGGCCCAUAAGAUAAUUGCCUUCCGGCCCAUACACAUAUAUAACACAUAUAACAAAUAACUUACCACAUAUAGCACAUAUAUCAUAUAUCAUACCUGACCUUUCUGUCACAUAACAUAUUGCCUUCCGGCCCAUGUAAACAUACAUAGCACGCAUAGCAACUACCUUUCUGUUUAUAGCAUAUAUAACACAUAUCAUAUCUGACCUUCCGGUCACACAGUCAAACCCUUCCGGGUACAGUAUAGUGAGAAGACUCACCUNNNNNNNNNNNNNNNNNNNNNNNNNNNNNNNNNNNNNNNNNNNNNNNNNNNNNNNNNNNNNNNNNNNNNNNNNNNNNNNNNNNNNNNNNNNNNNNNNNNNNNNNNNNNNNNNNNNNNNNNNNNNNNNNNNNNNNNNNNNNNNNNNNNNNNNNNNNNNNNNNNNNNNNNNNNNNNNNNNNNNNNNNNNNNNNNNNNNNNNNNNNNNNNNNNNNNNNNNNNNNNNNNNNNNNNNNNNNNNNNNNNNNNNNNNNNNNNNNNNNNNNNNNNNNNNNNNNNNNNNNNNNNNNNNNNNNNNNNNNNNNNNNNNNNNNNNNNNNNNNNNNNNNNNNNNNNNNNNNNNNNNNNNNNNNNNNNNNNNNNNNNNNNNNNNNNNNNNNNNNNNNNNNNNNNNNNNNNNNNNNNNNNNNNNNNNNNNNNNNNNNNNNNNNNNNNNNNNNNNNNNNNNNNNNNNNNNNNNNNNNNNNNNNNNNNNNNNNNNNNNNNNNNNNNNNNNNNNNNNNNNNNNNNNNNNNNNNNNNNNNNNNNNNNNNNNNNNNNNNNNNNNNNNNNNNNNNNNNNNNNNNNNNNNNNNNNNNNNNNNNNNNNNNNNNNNNNNNNNNNNNNNNNNNNNNNNNNNNNNNNNNNNNNNNNNNNNNNNNNNNNNNNNNNNNNNNNNNNNNNNNNNNNNNNNNNNNNNNNNNNNNNNNNNNNNNNNNNNNNNNNNNNNNNNNNNNNNNNNNNNNNNNNNNNNNNNNNNNNNNNNNNNNNNNNNNNNNNNNNNNNNNNNNNNNNNNNNNNNNNNNNNNNNNNNNNNNNNNNNNNNNNNNNNNNNNNNNNNNNNNNNNNNNNNNNNNNNNNNNNNNNNNNNNNNNNNNNNNNNNNNNNNNNNNNNNNNNNNNNNNNNNNNNNNNNNNNNNNNNNNNNNNNNNNNNNNNNNNNNNNNNNNNNNNNNNNNNNNNNNNNNNNNNNNNNNNNNNNNNNNNNNNNNNNNNNNNNNNNNNNNNNNNNNNNNNNNNNNNNNNNNNNNNNNNNNNNNNNNNNNNNNNNNNNNNNNNNNNNNNNNNNNNNNNNNNNNNNNNNNNNNNNNNNNNNNNNNNNNNNNNNNNNNNNNNNNNNNNNNNNNNNNNNNNNNNNNNNNNNNNNNNNNNNNNNNNNNNNNNNNNNNNNNNNNNNNNNNNNNNNNNNNNNNNNNNNNNNNNNNNNNNNNNNNNNNNNNNNNNNNNNNNNNNNNNNNNNNNNNNNNNNNNNNNNNNNNNNNNNNNNNNNNNNNNNNNNNNNNNNNNNNNNNNNNNNNNNNNNNNNNNNNNNNNNNNNNNNNNNNNNNNNNNNNNNNNNNNNNNNNNNNNNNNNNNNNNNNNNNNNNNNNNNNNNNNNNNNNNNNNNNNNNNNNNNNNNNNNNNNNNNNNNNNNNNNNNNNNNNNNNNNNNNNNNNNNNNNNNNNNNNNNNNNNNNNNNNNNNNNNNNNNNNNNNNNNNNNNNNNNNNNNNNNNNNNNNNNNNNNNNNNNNNNNNNNNNNNNNNNNNNNNNNNNNNNNNNNNNNNNNNNNNNNNNNNNNNNNNNNNNNNNNNNNNNNNNNNNNNNNNNNNNNNNNNNNNNNNNNNNNNNNNNNNNNNNNNNNNNNNNNNNNNNNNNNNNNNNNNNNNNNNNNNNNNNNNNNNNNNNNNNNNNNNNNNNNNNNNNNNNNNNNNNNNNNNNNNNNNNNNNNNNNNNNNNNNNNNNNNNNNNNNNNNNNNNNNNNNNNNNNNNNNNNNNNNNNNNNNNNNNNNNNNNNNNNNNNNNNNNNNNNNNNNNNNNNNNNNNNNNNNNNNNNNNNNNNNNNNNNNNNNNNNNNNNNNNNNNNNNNNNNNNNNNNNNNNNNNNNNNNNNNNNNNNNNNNNNNNNNNNNNNNNNNNNNNNNNNNNNNNNNNNNNNNNNNNNNNNNNNNNNNNNNNNNNNNNNNNNNNNNNNNNNNNNNNNNNNNNNNNNNNNNNNNNNNNNNNNNNNNNNNNNNNNNNNNNNNNNNNNNNNNNNNNNNNNNNNNNNNNNNNNNNNNNNNNNNNNNNNNNNNNNNNNNNNNNNNNNNNNNNNNNNNNNNNNNNNNNNNNNNNNNNNNNNNNNNNNNNNNNNNNNNNNNNNNNNNNNNNNNNNNNNNNNNNNNNNNAAAAAAGGUGUAACCUUAAUUAAUUCCAUAAGUUAUAAAAUAAAGAAAAGUUAAUUCUUUUAUUAGUUUAAAGUCUUCCAUAACUUGUCCUCAAGUUAUGGAACUUGAAGAGUUUUUGGAUUAAAACUACUUUAAACACAUAAGUUAUGGAAUUAAUUAGUUUUGAAUAGUUUCAAAACUUGCCCUCAAGUUUUGGAAUUUGUAAAGUUUUCACUUAUGAAUACUUUAAUUCCAAGUUAGCCCUUAGAAUUUUAAAAGUUAAAAUUCAACCCUUAUACUUUAUAAUAUUAUAAGUUAAUAAUAUAUAUAUGUAUAAGAGUAAAGUCAGUCUUACCGCUAGUACGCCUCAUUCACGAAGCCGGUCUAUAAGGUGGGUAUAAGGUUGUUGCCUAUAAAAUGGCAACUUAAUGGGUGUCCACUCUCACCCACCGCUUGCUUGACUGGUGGAGGGUCGUUAGCCGAACGGGUUUGACAGGACUAGAAUUCUCCCUUCAUUAAAAGUAUUAAUGAUAAUACUAAGUAACUAAACUCUUAAUAAUACCCAAUCUUAGUAAUUUAGGAAAAAUGUGAAUAAGGUGCUAAUCCAUGAAAUUACACUUUACACUUUGUCUAAGUCGUUAGUGGAGCGUGUGUGGUUAACCGGCACACUAACUUGGACUUAACAAGGUAGGUAAAGGGUGACUUAAUAUUUAUCAUAGUAUCGAUGGAGCGUGUGUGGUUAACCGGCACAUCGAUUGAGGGGUAAACAUUAAGGGUACCAAGUGAUUUGCAUGGUUACUUCACACCUCGUUUUGUGAUCCUCGGCAUCCCAGUCACAAAACUUGGAGGACACACUCGCGAGAAACAUGCCUUUGAAAAGUUCAUUGAAUCUCAAAAGAAUCUAGGAAUUUCUAAGAACCAAAGUAAAUAGUUUUAAUAUUUCGUCUUUGGUGGAAAUUGGUGAAUCGUCAUUCACCUACCUUUCAAAUAUAUUAUUACUUAGAUUACGGCAUACCUCUUCUAAGUAUAAUAUAUUGUGAUUGGGUCCUAGCCUUAAUACUACAUUUGGGUGUUUUAUUAAGGACUAUCUCUAUAUCUAAACUAAUCCUUUCUUUCUUCUCUUUUAAGAUGUCUGCAAACACUGCUGCUUCUGGCUCUAAUCCUAAUGGUUCCUUUUCUCUUAUGAACUUGUGUGGGAAAGUCACUUUUGAUGGAUCCAACUUUAAUGAAUGGAUCAGAAACAUCAGAAUGAUUACCCGCUACGAGGACAAAGAAUAUGUCCUCGAUAAGGAGCUUAAGGAGAUUGAUGAGACAGUUGCUACUCCUCAAGAGAUCGCUGAGUUUAGGGCACAUGAAAGGGAUGCCACCAAGGUGGCAUGCAUCAUGAUGGCCACUAUGACCGCGGAUCUCCAAAAAUCCUAUGAAGAUUUCUACCCCUAUGAGAUGCACCAAGACUUGAUGGAAAGAUACCAUCAAAGUGCUCGUCAAGAGAGGUAUGAAAUCAUCUCCUCCAUGAUAACAACUCGCAUGAAGGACGGUGAACCCAUCACGGGCCACAUGCAGAAAAUGCAAAGAUUUGUGGACUGUUUGCUGAAGUUUAAUGUGAACUUCCCCAAGGAGCUUGCAAUAGAUAUCAUUUUGCACUUCUUACCUUCAUGUUAUGAUCAAUUCCGCAUGACAUGCCACAUGAACAAGGAAGAGGUCACACUCAGCAAACUUCAAGAACUCUUAAAGACCGCAGAAAGUGGUCAUAAGGGUAAGGCGGUUGUUACUCCUACUCCUACAAACUCCACCCCUGUCUUGGCAAUUGGGAAAGGACGAGGGAAGAAGAGAAAGAGUUCUUCGAAGGGUACCAAGGUUAGGACCCUUGAUGGAUCUUCUUCAAGUGGAACCAAGAAAGGUUUCAUCACUCCUUCAUCAAACCCUAAAGAGGCUGAAUGCUUCUAUUGUCAUGAACAGGCACAUUGGAAGCGGAACUGCCCAAAGUACCAGCAAGAUGUGAAGGAUGGGAAAGUUAAACCCAACCAUGCAGGUACUUACACUAUCNNNNNNNNNNNNNNNNNNNNNNNNNNNNNNNNNNNNNNNNNNNNNNNNNNNNNNNNNNNNNNNNNNNNNNNNNNNNNNNNNNNNNNNNNNNNNNNNNNNNNNNNNNNNNNNNNNNNNNNNNNNNNNNNNNNNNNNNNNNNNNNNNNNNNNNNNNNNNNNNNNNNNNNNNNNNNNNNNNNNNNNNNNNNNNNNNNNNNNNNNNNNNNNNNNNNNNNNNNNNNNNNNNNNNNNNNNNNNNNNNNNNNNNNNNNNNNNNNNNNNNNNNNNNNNNNNNNNNNNNNNNNNNNNNNNNNNNNNNNNNNNNNNNNNNUAAUAAUAACUUGGAUAAAGCAUCAUUAUGGCAUUGUCGUCUUGGACAUAUAAGCAAGAAACGCAUAGGCCAACUCCAAAAGGAUGGAGUCUUGGAGUCAUUUGACCUAAAGUCAGAUGAUAGUUGCGAAUCAUGCUUACUUGGAAAAAUGACAAAGUCACCCUUCACAGGUUCUUGUGAGAGGGGUGAAGGUUUGUUGGACCUUGUACACACGGAUGUGUGUGGACCAUUCAAACAUGCCACAAGGGAUGCUAAUCGUUAUUAUUUGACUUUUACUGAUGAUUACAGUAGAUAUGGAUAUGUCUACUUAAUCAAGCAUAAGUCAGAGACUUUCGAAAGGUUUAAAGAAUUUAAACAGGAAGUCGAGAAUCAAUUGGGCAGGAACAUUAAGAUGCUUCGAUCUGAUCGAGGUGGUGAGUAUCUUAGUUCAGAGUUCCUCGACUAUCUUAGGGAAUGUGGGAUUGUCUCACAAUUGACACCUCCCAGGACACCGCAGUUGAAUGGUGUAGCUGAGAGGCGUAAUCGAACCUUGUUGGAUAUGGUUCGUUCCAUGAUGAGUCGAGCUUCGCUACCAAUCUCAUUUUGGGGGUAUUCCUUAGAGACUGCCGCCCAUAUCCUUAAUCUAUUCCCUACAAAGAAAGUUGCCAAAACUCCUCACGAGAUGUGGACUGGUAAAGUACCUAAACUAGACCACAUCAAGAUUUGGGGUUGCGAGGCUUUUGUGAGGCGCGAGACUCAUGAUAAGCUAGAACCCCGAAGCGAGAGGUGUAUUUUCAUCGGCUACCCACAAAGAUCCUUCGGUUACCUCUUCUACAGACCUAGUGAUAAUGAUGGGUUUUCAAACACGCUUUUCAUAAGAAAAUAUAGGAUUUUCUUGAGGAACACUUUUCAAAAGGAUUCAAAGAACACUUUUCCACCAAAACUAAAUGCUUAUGAACUCACCAGCUUUAUGUUGAUAUUCUUUCAAAACUGCUUGUAUUCUAAGGGAAUUAGUAGACAGGUAUUUCCAGGAGUUUGGAGAAGUCGAAGCGUUAGAGUCCCACGUUUCUUUUUUACUUUCGAUAAGCACAAAACUAUGUAUUAAACAAUGUAAACCUUUUUCACAUAUGUAUUCAAUGUCUGGUUGUGUUUACUAUGCUUGCUAUGAUACAAUUGUUGUGAUACAACGCAUGAUGUCCUCCACCCCGGAGCGAUUCCGCCAUCAUGGUUUCGGGGUGUGACACAAAAGGACAAGUUCCUAACAGCACACUCACUGACCCGGAGAUCAUAAGGGAAACAACCGAGAAGAUCGUCCAAAUUCGAGAAAGAAUGAAGGCUUCGCAAGACCGACAAAAGAACUAUGCAGAUAAAAGACGUAAACCUUUGGAGUUCCAAGUUGGGGAUCGAGUAAUUCUGAAAGUAUCACCUUGGAAGGGAUUAAUACGUUUUGGAAAAUGUUGGAAGCUAAAUCCAAGGAAUAUCGGACCAUUCGAAAUCCUCGCCAGGAUUGGCUCGGUGGCAUACAAGCUAGGAUUACUCUAGGAACUCAACCACGUCCAUCCUACCUUUCACGUCCCAAACCUAAAGAAAUGCUUGUUCGAUGAGAUCAACGAGAGUCUCCACUUCGUAGAAGAGCCUGUAUAAAUCAUGGAUCGGGAAAUUAAAAUAACAAAACAAAGUCACAUACCCAUUGUGAAGGUCCAUUGGAAUGCCAAGCGAGCACCUGAAUAUACCUGGGAGCGCGAAGAUCAAAUGAAACAGAAAUACCUGCAUCUCUUCCCUAGUCCAUAAAUACUUAACGUAGAAUAAAUUUCGGAUCGAAAUUCCUUCUAACGAGGGGAUGAUUUGACAACCCGAUAUUCCAAGUCAAUGUAGUGUUCAAAAAGUCAAAUAUUAUAAUCUAUUUUGGAAUAAAAAAAAUAACGUCAAAAAUGAAAUGUUCAAAAGUCUCAAUUGGGAUACAUAAAAUGUUAGAUAUCGCGUCAAGGUUUUCAUAAAUAUAAAGAACACUAAAAUCCGAGUUAUAACGAAGUAGUUAUGACCGAUCAAAGAUUCGCAACUAAACUGGUAAAACAAUGUUGAUUGUAAAAAGUGAAAGUCCAAUAAAAGACUUUUUAGCCUUAAGUAUCUAAACGAAAGUCAUAAAUAAUAACAAACCGUGAGCAUACAUAAAAAGAACGUCCAAAUCUGACUUCGUAUGAGGAAGUUAUGAUUUUAUAAGUUUCAGAACAACAGUAGACAACUAAAAACUCGAAAUAAAGAUCGAACGAUUUUUAGCCUACACAACCUAAACAAAGAAUUGAAGAUCUCGAAAAUAGUAGUACAACAGUAAAAAGACAGACGAAAACGGACAUCGAAUGAAGAAGUUAUGAAUUUUUAACGGAUUUAUCCUGUCCUAGCCUAUUAAAAAUAUAUAAUUAAAAUUAAUAUCAAAAUUAGCGGACGAAGUCUAUAUGAAAGUCGUAGAGUACAUUCUCACCUACGCGUGCAUAUAAAGAACGUCAAAAAUGGAGCUCGUAUGCGAAAGUUAUGAAUUAUACAAGUUCGAGGUGCACAAACCGAGACGAUUUACGCCCAGCAUACCCUCGUACGCCCAGCGUACUCAGGUGCUAGGCUUCGGAUCGUCCACGUCGCCCCUUUCCAAUCUGAAGAACGGCGACCAAGGAUGCGUUCACACAUGACAUCCGGUACGCGCCGCAUAACUCCGCUGGUACGCCCCGCGUACGCGAGGGUUCCAACCCCUAUAAAAGGGACGCGAGAGUUACAGGUUCCAUUGCUCAUUUUCUCUCCUUCUCUCGUGUUUUUACCUCGUUUUGCGUGCAAGUAAUAUCCCGAAGUCCCAGUUUCAUAUCCAAGCCCCGACAAAGGUCCGAAGCUCUGAGAUUUCCAAAAAACUCACCACUUCCCGGUCGAAAUGCUGCUCCAGGAAAAAGCCCAUUUCCGUCAAAUCACCAAAUUUUCCAGGUGAGUUCAUACCCCUACAUUUUCGUUUUCUUUAGUUUUCAGGGGGGGGGGGGGAAUAAAAGUUAAAACACCAAAAUAUAUUUGAAACUUAACUUGACAGCGUACAACAGCAAAGUUGUGCCCUCUUUACAGGCUGUUUUACCCAACCUAGAUAUUUUUACAAAACUGUCGAGUACAUGUUUAAGAGUUAUCCAAGCCUUGUAACACGUUGAGCAAAGUGUGUACGGUUUACACUCAUUAUUUCAAAUGUCAUUUUAUGGAAAUACAAAGACUUGCAUAACAAGGUUUCAUUCAAACACACACAACACUUUUGAUAAACUAAAAUUGGUAUAGUUUGAACACUUUGUUUGACAAAGAAAUUGUAGCUCAAUCGACUUACAAAACAAAUAUUUCAUUGCACACUACAUGAACUUGUUAAUGAAUAAACUUGUGAGACAUUCUCCUUCAGGGUACUCCUAAGUACCACAGAAAAGUCCUGUAGUUAUAAUUAGAAUCUCCUGGAGGGAGAACGUGAUAGUUGUGUAUAGAUCUAUACUGGGUCUGGCAAACCCGCACCUAAGCUGCUUGCAACAGCUAAACCGGCAGGUCUGGGGUGACAAGUGUUAUAACAUUCCGAUGCCUGAAGAACGUCGCAUACGAGGUCUCAUAGUCUUUAGGAUGGUUAUAACAUCUCACAUGGUGUAUUAACAAAACAUAAAGUUCACGGGAAUUCUAAGAUUUUUCACAAAAGAGUUUUAUUCAAAUAUAAAACCACAUAUAAGUAUGCCGAUUUACUUACAUAUACUAAAUCUCGGUUCAGUUGAGACUACAACAAACCUUUUUGAAAAUAUUGGAUUUUCUGGUAACAAACUUAAGGGGUACUACAUUCAUUCUUCACUCAUAAAUUACUUAUGAACUCACCUGCUUUAUGCUGACACUCUCUUUUCAAAACAACUUGUAUUCUCAGGUAAUCAGUAAUAGAAGUAACCACAAGAUUUCUAAAGUCAAGACGCUCAGGCGUAGAUUCUCUUGCUAUAUUUUGAACAUCAUAUGUAAUUUAUUUGGAAACAUGUAUUUUGGAAACAAUGUAACCUUUUAAAUUAUAUCUAUGAUGGUUGUGUUUUACUUUCUUCACUAUGGUUAUGAUACUGAGCAUGACGUCCUCCACCCCCGAACAAUUCUGCCGUUCAGGUUUGGGGUGUGACAUAUAUCCAUUUCUUCCCAUACAACUAUCAUUUGUGGUUGUUAUUCUAGCUUAAUUUACCUAAACAUAACCCUACUCACUUAAUCAAGCCAAUAAAGGCAACUAAAGGCAAUCACCUUUGUGUCCCUAAACACGCAAUACUAGAGUUGCUGAUUCGUGAAGCUCAUGGUGGUGGUUUGGCGGGUCAUUUUUCCAUUACCAAAACUUUAGAGGUGCUUUAAGAAUAUUUCUUAUGGCCUAAAGUUGUUAGGGAUGUAACCAACAUAGUGGGCAAGCGUGUUACAUGUCGGAUGACGAAAAAAACUUUCAAGUAUGAUGUUUACACUCCUUUGCCGGUUCCUAUUCGUUCUUGGGAAGAUGUGUCAAUGGAAUUCAGUAUGGAUUUGCCUAGAACUCAAAGGGGGAAGGAUUCCAUUAUAGUGGUGGUGGAUAAGUUUUCAAAAAUGGCUCACUUUGUGCCAUGUCAUAAAACCAAUGAUGCAUAUAAUGUGUCUGAUUUGUACUUUAAAGAGGUGGUUCGCUUGCAUAUUAUUCCUAAAACUAUUGUUUCUGAUAGGGAUUCCAUGUUUUUGAGUUGCUUUUUGAACACUUUGUGGAGGAAACUUGGUACUAAGUUACUUUUUAGUACGUCCCUUCAUCCACAAACUGAUGGGCAAACGAAGGUGACUAAUAGAACUCUGGGUACAUUGUUGAGGGGGUUGGUUAGCAAAACUCAAAAACAGUUGGACAUCAAACUUGCACAUGCUGAGUUUGCCUGUAAUCGUUCUCCUACUUAUGCUACAGGUCACUCUCCUUUAUAAGUGGUGUAUGGUGUGAAUCCUUACAUGCCUUUGUAUUUGAUUCCAUUUCCAAAGGAUCAAUUGGUUCCCAAGGAUGCUAAUGACAAGUUGAAUACCAUGAUGAAACUACACCAACAAGUUCGUGUGAAGAUUGAAGUCGUGAAUGACGUGUACAAACAGAAUUCCAACAUGCAUAGGAAACCACGUGUCUUUCAAGAUAGUGAUUUGGUUUAGGUGCAUAUCAGGAAAGAACGCUUUCCUAACAACAGGAAGAACAAAAGUUGAUGCCAAGAGCUCAAGGUCCUUACAAAGUGGUCUCACAUGUCAAUGAUAAUGCUUAUAAGGUGGAUUUGGGAGGAGACUUUGGAGUGCAUGCUACCUUUAAUGUGGGAGACCUUUCAUCGUAU
rnacentral:lncRNA from 1 species